GCUCAUGAUGUACUAAAUGGAAAUAAAAGCAGUAAUUUGCAUGAUAUAUUUUCAAUGCUAAUAAUUAAUGAACAUGUAAGCAACAUGGGAUCAUAGUCUCAACAGUGAUGAAUCAACUGAUUAAUAGAAGCAUAGCAACUACUAUAAGCAUGAACAUAAGCAUAAAUGUGUAAGUAACUACUGUACACUGUAACUGAUAAUCAUUCAUUACUGUCCAAUUUCCUUUAGCACUUUCCUUUCAUUCACAGGGACCUACCCAAGGUAGUCCAGCUUGCGCCGCGCCUAAUGGCCCCGUGGUAGUAUACACUUCCCACGGCAAUCCACUUCGGCACCCAAUCCCGCACGGGCGAGCAACUGUCGCAUAGGCUAACUCCGGAGUGCCGGCUUGUAGGGAGCUACCCUCACAAGCGUGUGCGAAUGAGCACAAUGGCAAGCAAGCAUAUUUCACAGUUCACAUGCCUCAAUUAUCAUAUUCUCAUUUGCAAUGUUCUUACCCUCGAUCCUCUGAUCGGAAUUUCAAUACACAAAGAGUAACAAGAACUAGUAUCCACUAGAUUGUACACAUAUAAGAGUAAUGCUAAAUCACAUGGCAUUAGAAUCUUUCCACUAUUAUGGCACUAUCAACAUGGUCAUAAGCAUGUUAUAAUUUUCUACUUUAGAGUCAAGAGAAUGUCAUUGUUCUCUACAAAGUCACGAGAAUAUUAUUGUUCUCUACAUUACAAAAGCAUCAUUAGUAUGUCCACUAGUUAACUUAACUAAAUAUAAACAUAAACAGAAGCAUAAAGACACUUAUGCAUGGGUGCUCUCUACUUCAUAGAGGUUCUAUUCAGCUAUAUAUAUAUAUCAACACUAUAAUAUAGUGACUUGUCUCAAGUUCUAUAUCAAUCACAAAAGCAUACAACUGUAUCAAUUCUAUAAUACAUAUAGAACCUAGGGGAGCUCCACUUGCUCUGGUUAGGUCAAACCCACCUCGCACUAAGCUCAAAUCAGUCCAAAGGAAUCCCAAGGAUCAGCCCCACUCGGUCUCAAGCCUGCCGAACACGAAGCACAAAUAUCGUAUCACAAUUAUGAUCGACACGUCCAAUUUCGGCGCAAUUGCACUUAGUACAUAGGAAUAGCUUAAAUUCCUGUUUUGGCUCAAUAAAUACCUCAAGUUAAGUUUCCAAAAUCCCUCACAUAUCAGCCGGAGGUAAUCCGAAGGUCCGUUGCAAGCCCACUGCGAACUAUUUCCCAAAACGGCAACAAAGUCGUCAAUUACUAACAAUAUAGUCGGAAUCAUGCGAAUUCAGUUUUCUAACUGAAAUUCCUACUUACCUCAGGUUAGAACACUUGUAGAACACUUCGAGACAGUCCCCAAGGUCAUCCAAUUAACUCCAAAUGGUUCGAGAACCUGCUGCGAAGGAAUCAUACAAAACUGCGUCAAUAAACUGCACAUUGUUCCGAAAUUGAGUUAUAACUCACUACUUAUCCUUCAUAAGCUUUAAAGUAACGUAUCUCAGAGUUUAGAUGGAUAAUUAGCAGCCAAAAGAACCCUUCUUUACUGCUGAAAAUAAUUUCUAGCUCAGUUGGAAGCAACGAGACUAAACGGCGUCCAAAUUCAAUGCUAAAUCGGAAACUAGAGAGGAAUCGAGUUGAAUACCUCUCUAAAGCUGUGAUUCAGCCUUUCCUGGUGAUAACCUCACAAGAAACACAGCAAAACUCCUUCUCCCCACAUGCCAAAGGCUUCCCUUGAGUCCUCCUAUCAGCGAGCAACGAACGCGGCGCGAAAACGGCGCGAAUCGGCGGCUUUUCUCUAGAGAGAGAAAAACCCUAGAGAGAGAGAAAGAGAGAAGAUGGAAGACUCUCUCCUGAGCUCCAGCAACUUCUGAAGAGGUCCAGGGGUCGAGCUGGGAGGAUAGGGAUGAGUAAAGGAUGUGAAAAGACCAAAACAACCCUGCUGCCACGCAGCUGCAGCUGCUGCUGCUUGCUGUACCGGUACAGCAUUAUGCUUGUACCGGUACACCAAUGCAGAAAAUGCCAAUUUCACGAUUUCAAUGCACUUUCUCGCUUUUAACCCUCCAAUCACUCUCUAACUUAUUCAAAAACUUGUCCAAGUCAUUUAGAACAUAUAGAAUAGUUCCACACUUCAUUCCACACAUUCGAACUCUGCAAUUUGCGAAAGUUCAGUGUAUUACAUUCACCCCUCCUAAAAAGAAGUUUCGUCCGCGAAACUUGUAAACACUUACCUCACGAUUCCAUCGAGAAUAGAUAGGGAUAAUGCUCUUGCAUUGCACUCUCCAGUUCCCAAGUGGCUUCCCGUUCAUCGUGAUUGCCCCAAAGGAUCUUCACGUAAGGUAUCUCGCGAUUUCGAAGCCGUUUAACUUCUCGAGCUAGUAUCUUUACUGGAUGCUCCUUGAAGCUCAGAUCUUCUUGUAAAUCCACUGGAGUACUCUCCAAUAUGUGCGUUGGAUCAAAAAUAUAUUUCCGAAGCGUAGAUACAUGAAAUACAUUAUGCACUCCUGAUAGGCUCGGCGGCAAAGCAAGUCGAUACGCUACGGGGCCUAUCCGUUCCAACACCUCAUAGGGUCCGAUGAAUCGGGGACUUAACUUUCCUCAAAUACCAAAUCUCUUAACUCCCUUUGUCGGUGAUACUUUCAGGAAUACAUGAUCGCCAACCUGAAAUUCCAUUUCUCGCCGACGUUUAUCCGCAUAACUCUUUUGUCGACUUUGAGCUGUCAAUAGACGUUCUUGUGCCAGUCGAACUUUAGCUUCAGCCUCUUGCAGUACAUCUGGACCCAAAACUAAUCUCUUUCCCACUUCAUUCCAAUGAAGUGGUGAUCUGCACUUUCGACCAUAAAGGGCUUCAAAAGGUGCCAUUUGAAUACUUGCGUGAUAGCUAUUGUUAUAGGCAAAUUUUGCCAUAGGCAAGAACUGUGACCAACUGCCCUGGUAAUCUAUCACACAGGCCCGCAACAUAUCCUCAAGGGUCUGGAUGGUACGCUCGGACUGCCCGUCACUCUGGGGGUGGAAAGCAGUACUGAAAUCCAAUCGGGUACCCAAGGCCUCCUGUAAACUCCUCCAGAAAUGUGAAACAAAUCGGGUGUCCCGAUCUGAAACAAUAGAGGUUGGUACUCCAUGUAAUCGCACAAUUUCAUCAAGAUAUACUUGUGCGAGUCUCUCUCCUGACCAAGUUGUGUGGAUUGGAAUAAAGUGGGCAGAUUUGAUUAAUCUAUCCACAAUUACCCAAAUUGCGUCAUGACCUGCUUGUGAGCGAGGUAAUCCAACGAUGAAGUCCAUAGUGAUCCUCUCCCACUUCCACACUGGUACGGGUAAGCUCUGAAGUUUCCCCGCAGGAAGUCGAUGUUCAGCCUUAACCUGUUGACAGGUUAAGCAUCUUGCUACAAAAUCAGCAACUUCCUUUUUCAUUCCAGGCCACCAGUAAGUCGAUUUCAAAUCUUUAUACAUUUUUGUACUCCCAGGGUGUAAAGUAUAUGGCGCCCGAUGUGCUUCCUUUAAAAUUUCCUCUUUAGUAUCUGGAUCGGCAGGUACACAAAUUCUAUCACCGAAUUUUAGUAAUCCCUGAUCAUCUACUUGAAAGUCGCCAACAGGAUCAGUAAUGAUCUUUGCUCGAAUCUUUUGUAGGAAUUCAUCAUGAAUUUGCUUAUCUUUAAUUCGAUCGAUCAGGGUAGGUUGCACUACCAAUGACAUAAGUCUCCAAGGUGUAUCAGGAGCAACAACUUCCAAACUCAACUGCUCCAUUUCCUUUACCAACAGGGGUUGCAUAGUUAUUAACAUCGCCAAAUUUUCUGUCGAUUUUCGACUCAAAGCAUCUGCUACGACAUUAGCUUUUCCUGGAUGAUAGAGGAUAGUCAAAUCAUAGUCCUUGAGCAACUCCAACCAUCUACGUUGUCUCAAGUUUAAUUCCUUCUGCGUAAAUAGAUACUUUAAGCUUUUAUGAUCAGUGUAGACUUCACAACGCUCGCCGUAGAGGUAGUGGCGCCAAAGCUUUAAAGCGAAUACCACAGCUGCUAACUCAAGAUCAUGUGUAGGGUAGUUCUUUUCAUAAUCUUUCAAUUGGCGAGAAGCAUAGGCAAUUACUCUGCCAUUCUGCAUUAGAACACACCCUAAUCCACUCAGUGAUGCAUCGCUGUAAAUCACAUAAUCCACUCCACUAACAGGCAAAGCCAGAAUCGGGGCGGUGGUCAAUCGUUCCUUCAGCUCUUGAAAGCUUCUUUCGCAGGCUUCAUUCCAUAGGAAUUUAGCUCCUUUAUGUGUAAGUCGAGUAAGAGGAGUGGACAUCUUCGCAAAUCCUUCUACAAAUCUUCAGUAGUAUCCUGCCAAUCCAAGGAAACUCCGAAUUUCAGUGACACUGGUCGGUCUAGGCCAAUCUUUAAUUGCUUCAAUCUUCUUGGGAUCCACAGCUAUCCCAGUUUCAGAAAUCACAUGGCCCAAAAAUGCCACUUCUUGAAGCCAAAAUUCGCAUUUCUUUAACUUGGCAAAUAGUUCCUUUUCUCGAAGUACUUGUAACACCACUCUUAAAUGGUUUUCAUGCUCCUUAUCGCUUCGAGAAUAGAUCAAGAUAUCAUCGAUGAAGACGACCACAAACCUAUCCGGAUAGGGUUUAAAGAUACGGUUCAUUAAAUCCAUAAAGGCUGCUGGGGCAUUAGUCAAUCCAAACGGCAUGACUGUAAAUUCAUAAUGCCCAUACCGUGUUCUAAAAGCAGUUUUAGAAACAUCUUCAGGCUUAAUCUUGAGUUGAUGAUAUCCGGAUUGCAAAUCAAUCUUGGAAUAUACUUUCGAUCCUUGCAACUGAUCGAAUAAGUCAUCAAUUCGAGGUAAUGGAUAUUUAUUCUUGAUUGUGACUUUGUUGAUUUCUCGAUAAUCCACGCACAAUCGAAGAGAUCCAUCUUUCUUCUUGACAAAUAACACCGGUGCUCCCCAAGGCGAAACACUCGGCCGAAUGAACCCUUUAUCUAACAGAUCUUGUAACUGUGCCUUCAACUCUUUCAAUUCAGCGGGUGCCAUCCUAUAGGGCGCUUUAAAAAUAGGGGUAGUCCCAGGGACAAGAUCAAUCACAAACUCUACUUCCCUAUCAGGUGGCAUACCCGGCAAUUCAGCUGGAAACACAUCUAUAAAUUCUCGCACAACUGGAAUAUCAUCAAUCUUGAUGGCUUCACCACCACUCACAGAAAUGCUAGCCAAAUAGGCUACACAACCUCUCCGAAUCAACUGUCGUGCUCGCGAAGAGCUAAUAGUCAUUGCGAACAAUGAACUCUGACACCCCUUAUAAACAAACUCCUGUUGACCCGGUUCUCUAAAGGUCACCGUUCUGUUCGUGCAAUCUAUGGUGGCAUAAUACUGUGUCAACCAAUCCAUACCCAAUACUACAUCAAACUCACCUAGUUUGUGUAGUGCCAAUAAAUCCACUGGCAUAAUCCAAUCGCCUACCCUAACUGGGCAACGAGGGCAAAACUCACAAACAUCUAGGGUAUGGUCAGGUACGAUCACUCGUCCCAGAUGCAAAGUAGGUGCUAAUGAAAUGCUAUGCAACUCGGCAAACUGCCGAUCAAUAAAAGAAUGCGAAGCACCAGUAUCAAAUAAUGCACGAACACGACUAUCAUAAAGCAUAAUGAUACCUGCUACGACCUCCUGUGCUGCUACAGCACCCUCGGUCUGGGCGGCAUACAUCCGCCCACUCGAACCCUGCUGCGAACUCUCUGACUGCCGCUGUCCUGGUGGUCGCCUAGACUGAUAGGGCGCUGUCGGGGUCCCCUGGCUCGGAGCUGAAGAUGCAGGUGCAGUCGCUGACGAGGGUGCAGGCAAAGAACCUCUCGGGCACUCUGAACGAAAGUGGCCCUCCUGGCCGCAAAGAAAACACCUGCCCCCACGCUGUGGACACUGUGGCGGUACGUGAGGCCCACCACAGAUAACACAACGCGGUGGUCGACGACGCUCGGGUGCUCCACGGGGUGCUGAAGAACCUCGACCCCUCGACUGACCUAACUGUCCCCUCGGAUACUUUAGUGGCUUUCUAAAGGAUUGUUGACCACUGCUCUCAACUGCUGGUCUUUUUCCUUUGCUUCUAUCCACAACGUCUCUUUCUUUCAUAAUCUCCGCCCCUUUCUCGACGAUCAAGGCCCGGUUCACUACAUCCCGGUAAGUGGAUAGGUUUGACGCCCGGACCAAUCGAAAAAUCGUAGGUCGCAAACCUACCUCAAAUAUGCGAGCCUUGUCCUCAUCAUCUCUAACCACAAAAAGAACGCAGUGCAAUAAUCGGGAGAACUCUCGCUCAUACUCUGCCACUGUCUUGUCCCCCUGCCUCAGGUUUCUCAGAUCCCUUUCCAUCUGUCUCUUUACACUCUGAGGAAAGUAAGUAGUUAAUAACAAUUCCUUGAAUCUGUUCCACGUGAUAGCGGACAGAUCAGUACGGGGAUCCUCACGGAUAUCUACCCACCACCUAUAAGCCUCGCCAUCAAGGUGGUGUGUCGCAAACCAAACUCGGUAUCGCUCCUCGACGAAUGUGUCAUAAAAUAGCUUUUUCAUGUGCAUCAGCCAUUUCUCGACCACCCAGUGAUCUGCUUUCUCCCCGUCAAAGACACGAGGGUUGCAGCGACGGAAUUCAUUCAGUUGUUCCAUCAUCCGCUCUCGCUCCUCAACCCCCACCAUCUCAGGUAACACUGUCCCUGAUGCUGCUACAGGUACUGGUCGUUGUACUGCUGUCUCCUGUCGGGUCUCUGCCCUCGGAGAUACUGGGGGCGUGUCAAGUACAGGUGACUGUGCUCUCACUGUCGCAUCCCUGCCCGAUACUGUAAGUAUAGGAUCCGGAAUCCCUCUGUCAGUCGUCUGUUGCAGUAGUAAAUCCUCUAACCUCUUCAUCCUGUCCUCCUGCUGACGCGCUGCAUCCAUCUGCUGUCGCGCGGCUGCAGCCUGCUGAGCGACCAAAUCUGUCAGCUUCGCGAGCUGAUCCUGUAACCCAUGGAUCCCACUAGAUCCCGAAGUAACGGAAGUCCCCACUUCCUCUGCAUCCGCCACCUCAGCUGCCCCGGCGGUUUGCGAACGAGUCAACGGCAUCUUAAGCUGCAACACAAAAACAAACAUAGGUCAAUAAACCCUAUACUACAGAACCCUCAUUGAGGAUAUAAACCAGCUAAUCAAGCGAAAGUAAUGAAAUGUAACGCGUACUAACUUCCGAUGUCACGUUGUCGGCCGCCAACGUGACCCUCUGCAAAGUUAGUAAUUGCACAUCCCGAUCAAACUCCUACUAGUCGGAGUUUAUAAGUACCCAAUCAAAGAACUUUCGCUAACAACAACCUCGACUAGACAUCGCCUCUCACGAGCCUAUCCUUAUAGUCCAACCAGCCUAAGGUUUACAAGGUCUACUAAGACUCAACCCUAGGCUCUGAUACCACAAUAAUCUCUCACGCCCGGGUACCAGCGGAAGCAUAUCCGGUACGUGCACAGACCCGCCAUACACCUGCAGUAUAUAAGGCGUCUACAAGCAACAAAUCGAUAGGAGUAAAGACAUAUAAUAAUCCUAUCCUGAUAUCAGAGCAUAGUAGAUGUCACAAGGAGAAUAAAGAGUAUACAAUCCAAAAUCUCAGCAAAAGGAGAAGAAGUAAGAACUAUAACAUCUGGAUCUACAACUCAUAUACAACACGGGGUACACAAAAAUAUCUGUACAAUGGUGGUCUUCUAUACAAAGGACAUCACCCUCGGCCGUAGCCCGAGUAACAAGGUGAUUGACUAGCACGCUCCUAGUAGUCCCUAGCUAGNGUGGACCUAGCAAACCUUAGGCCGGUUGGACUAUAGGAAAUAGGCUCGUGAGAGACGAGGUCUAUUUGACUUAUGAGCGAAAGUAUCCUGAUUGGGUAUCUUGAUAACUCUAAAAAGUUAGAGUUUGAUCGGAGUGUAUGGCUUCUAACUUCGCGGAGGGUUACGUUGGCGGCCGACAACGUAACAUCGGGAGUUAGUAGUGAAGGACACUUCCUUACUUUCGCAUGAUUUGGGUUUUAUCUAUUUGAGCGGGGUUGCGAUAGCGUGGGUUACUAACUUACGCUUUUAUGUUUUGUAGUGACGAUGCCGAUUACUCGCUCCCAAUCUGCCGGGGUGGACAAUGCGGCGAACUUUGAGGAGGUCGAGACCUCCGCUACCUCCGGAUCUGGCGAGAUCCGUGAGUUGAAGGGCCAGCUUGCGGCCCUCACCGAUUUAGUUACUCAGCAGGCGGAGGCGGCCCGACAACAGACCGAGGCGGCGCGCCGACAGGAGGCGCGGAUGAAGCGCCUGGAGGAUCUACUCCUACGGCAGGCAGCAGCUUCUAGGGAGACGCAGGGCCCUACACCGCCAGCACCCGUUGCGGACGUUGCACCGAGAGCGCCGUCCCCUGCGCCCAGUUCUUCGCGUGCGGUGCCUGUGGCCGCACCCCAAGAGGAGAUUUUGGUGGCACCACCGGUGCAGAGGCCCCCAGCUGGAGCUGCAUUCCCUACAUUGGUUGAGGGGGCGGAUCGAGACAGACUGAUGGAGCGUCUCAAUGAGUUCAGGAGGUGCAGCCCCCGAGUCUGCGACGGCGAGAAGGUCGACCACUGGAUCGUGGAGAAGUGGUUGAUGUAUAUGGAGAAGCUCUUCCGCGACACCUUCGUGGAGGAGAGGGACAGAGUUUGGCUUGCCACCCACCAUCUGGACGGCGAGGCCUAUCGCUGGUGGUUGGACCUCCAAGAGCACCCCAGUACAGACUUGGCGGCUAUUACUUGGACGAGGUUCAAGGAACUUCUCUUGGUGCAUUACUUCCCGACGAGCGUCAAGAGAAAGAUGGAGCAGGAUCUGCGCAGCUUGCGCCAGGGAGACCGCACCGUAGUCGAGUACGAGAGGGAGUUUUCUCGGCUUCUGCAUUGCGUGCCUUUCGUCGUGCGGGAUGACGAGGACAAGGCCCGCAUUUUCGAGCGAGAGUUGAGAACGUCUAUCUACUGGUUUGUGCAAUCCUCCAACCUCCAAACCUACCGGGAGGUGGUGGAUCGCGCGCUCAUUGUGGAGAGCGGCGUGGCAGAGAUGCAGGAGCGGCGAGAGGGCUUGGACAGGGGUAAGGCCAAGAGGCCUGCGGCUGAGGGUGCGAGCCGAAGCACCCCAGGAGCCAGCAGCUUGGGCAUGGCCCGGCGCCUCAGCGAGGAGGAUCAGAGCGACGCCGGCCCUUCCCGUGUGUGAUCUGUAGUGGCCCCCAUCAUCCACCGCAGUGUCCACAGCGGGCGGGCAGGUGCUUCCAGUGUGGCCAGGAGGGCCACGUNUCCGAAGGUCCGUUGCAAGCCCACUGCGAACUAUUUCCCAAAACGGCAACAAAGUCGUCAAUUACUAACAAUAUAGUCGGAAUCAUGCGAAUUCAGUUUUCUAACUGAAAUUCCUACUUACCUCAGGUUAGAACACUUGUAGAACACUUCGAGACAGUCCCCAAGGUCAUCCAAUUAACUCCAAAUGGUUCGAGAAUGUCACGCCCGGGUACCAGCGGAAGCAUAUCCAGUCGCGUGCACAGACCCGCCGUGUAUACCACAACUCAAGUAUACACAAGGCGUCUACAAACCAUAGAGUAAAAGUAUAUAAUUCUAACCAGGUAAUCAGAGCAAGACUUGUAAGUUUAAGCUUAUACAAUUCAAACCUUACUACAAGAAAUAAAAAUACAGUACAAUUUACAAAAACUUAAUAUACAUCUCAGUACUAAACUACAUAAACUGGUGGAGGCCAUCUAGUACACGUCCAAAAAGGCUCUAGCUAGCCGCAGACCCCUUGCCAAGAACCCUAGCCUUUCCCGCAGUGGAAGGCUCUGUAGAAACAACAACAAAGAGGGCGUGAGAACUAUUAAACAAUAGUUCCCAGUGGGUAAGCCGCCGAGAGUGGCGAAGUACACCACUAGGUCAACUGUGGCAUGAGUAGAUAACAAUAAAUAACCAAGUAAAUGCAGAUAAUGCAAUAAACAAUUACAUUCAACAGAUAUUAAAGUAAACUACUCAUGCUAUUUGCUCAACAAUAAAUAUACAUCAAUAGAUUGCAGGUAUCAAUUAUCAUAAUAGAUUCCAUCAAUCAUAUUACUUGACAAUUUAACCAAACAUAUAUCAGAUUGUAUGCAAAAAUAAUUCACUUUACCGAAAAUUACAGACGAUAUCAUGUAAUUACCUUUUUCAUUAGCAAGAAAUAAACAUAAUGUCAUUCAUUACGUUGCUAACCAAUCAUGAUGUCAACUUCUAGGUUAUUCAUUGCUAGGCUCACUUAGAUGUCAACUUUCUAGUAUGUUCAUCAAUAAGUUCACUUAACCAAAGACAUAAAGUAACUGUACUACUAUGUCCAGCUAAGGUUAAAGUACUUGACAUAACCCAAUUUCCAACAGACUUACACAAGGUAAGUUCAAGCCGCGCCGUGCCUCAUGGUCCCGUGGUAGUCCACAUCCCUACUCUAGGAAUGAGCCUCCCCCACGGCAUUCCGUUUCGGCACUCACUUCGUACAUUUGCGAGCAUCUGUCGCUAAGCUGUUCGGGAGUGCUGGCUUGGGAGGGAGCGACCCCGCAAGCGUGUGCGAACGCGCACAAUGGUAUGCAAACCAUAGUCCAUAGUACUAAUCUCACAACAGCAUCAUGUCUCUGACAUGGUAUCUCAACUCGAGCCACUCCGGAACGCGGGGCUUGGGGGGCGCGACCCCUGCAAGCAUGUACGAAAGAGCAUAAUGGCAUGCUAGCUAUAGUCCAGGAUACAAAUAUCUCAACAGCAUCAUGUCUCUGACAUGGAAUCUCAAUUCGACCCAAGGUCGGCACGGUAGUACCCAAUCAUAAGUCACUAUCAACAACUUGUUGACAAGAUUCUACCAGUCGUUAAUAUAACUUAACAAGUUAAAACUUUACAUCACACUAGUGAUUCUAUCAGGCUAUACCUGGUCAGUCACUCACAAUCCCUCACUACUCCUUACACAUAAGGAAAGUGGUUUACUAAGAUUCUGUUCAUAGACUCAUGGCACAUAUCCUGUAGUCCAAUAUAAACCUCUACUUGACUAUACAAGUAUGUUAUCAUAUCCAAAUCUAGUUAUUUACUAGAUUAUAUUCAGUUGAAUAAUCAUUCAAGUUAUGCCAUCAUAUGAAAGUCUAGUUACUUACUAGAACAUAUACCAUAAUACAAGUCUAUCAUGUGAAAGUAGAAACUAACAGGGUAAUGCAAGCAAGUAAAACAAGCGAUAAAACACUCUUCACAUGAUCUCUAUGCCAUUCAUUCUACAAUUAGAAAUGCAUAUGCCAAACAAGGCCUUUACCUGAACUUUCAGAGUAUAGCAAUUAUACAUAACAUUGCAUCGUUCAAUCCUAAAUACAUCAAUCUCUUUGUUGUUCAACAGAACUAUUUAGUCCAUUCACGAGAGAUCAAAGGCUAAAUCGUAACUUAAACCUGCGGCAAAUCAGAGCAACGAAGGUUGACUCGAUCUUUAACAAAAGUCGUCAUUUCUUCCCAAGAAAACCGACGAUUAAUAGGUAGAUUUGAGACUCUAUGCAAUGAAAUUUCGAAUACUUCCUAUUCAUCACUCAAUAUUGAGUUAAAGCCUUGAUACACGUCGAAUAACUGCGUCAAAACAUUCUAAGGAAGCGUCGUCCAAGAGACAUUAUAUGACUUAGACCCGGAUAGCUGUUCAAGUUCCCAACCUUACCGGAAACCUGGACUAGAUGCUGCAAACUAUCUGGAAUCUUCCCAAAACUGUUCAAUGACUUCACUCUUUCAUUGACCUUAACCCUUUAACGUAGCGUUUACGUAAUAGUUAACGUUACGAAGCUUAAACCAAUUAAUGCUUCAAGCUUACACUUUUUACCAUACACCUUGAUGGGAUGUAUAAGAUUUCCCGAAUCUGUUCAAAAACCUGUUCAAUCUCCCAUUAACCUUUCGAUUUUCGUUCUUUCACGUAACGAAACCGCUUUAGUCGUAAAAAGACGAACGACAUGGCCAUGUCGGUGUAGCACAUGGCCAUGCGUCACGGUCUAUGCACCGUCAUUCCGAUAAAGCCAUUUAAGUGUAGAAUAGAGAUAGGUAUAUUGGGGUCGUGCUGGACCCUACGAGUCCCUUCCAACGAACUCAAGUCUCUUCGAAGAAAGUGGAAGAGAGAAAGAGAGAGAGAUCCCAAAAAGAGAGAGAUCUCUUUUCGGCGGCUAAGCGCGGCAAAAGCGCGGCGCGAUCAACGAACGACUAACCUCCUGAGUUCCCUUCAGAAACCGUGCACCCCUCUUCCUCAAAACGACACAAAAGACCCUCCAAUGAUGGUCCCCUUCGACUAAGAGUCGAAAUCUCUCCAUGAGUUGAGCUAAAGAGAGAUCAAAGGCCAAAUCAUAACUAAAACCUGCGGCAAAUCAGAGCGACGGAGGUUGACUCGAUCUUCAACAAAUAUCGUCAAUUCUUUUCAAUAAAACUGACACUUAAUGUAUGAAAUCGAGUCUCCUUUCAACAAAAUUUCGAACUAUUUCUAUUCAUCACUUAAUACUGAGAUUAAGUUCGAUAUGUGCCUAAAUAGCUCGCUUAACUACGUCCAACUUGGAAAGAGAAGCGUCGUCCAAACGCUUAGUAUAAUCCGAUAAAACCACUGUACCCUCCGACCAAAUCUUUCACAAAGUUGAUUUCCAUUCGACUUUAACGACACUCCUUUGACUUAAAAGUUCUAAGGCUGAUAUAGAUAACUAUAAACUGCUGAUACUACGGCAAAACCUUUAACAAGCGUCGCCCGAACGUUGCCUGAAAGCCUCAUAGAGGCCGACUACACAUUUCCGAAAAUCUUCGAAUUGAACUCCAUAAUUGACUCGGUUUUUUUUUAUCCUUAAAUUCGAUAACGAAACAUGAUUUAUGUUACACACGGCUUUAACCUGUAAAGCCAGCAUCAAACUGCGCGGAAGGCACAAAGCAAAAGUCGUCUCAACCCUGAGGCAACUCAUCUCAAAGCCCUGAAGAACACCGACCUAACUUGAAGUAUUAUCCACCCAGCCUGGAAGGGCUUUACCCACUUAAGGGAGAUACAGAAGAAACUGUAGACUCAACUUCAAUAAGGAAUAAGUACACUUAUAUACAUAUCAAGUACGCUGUACGUAACUUCACAUCUAGUAUAGCCUAUACUAUCUGUCAUUACUUUCUAAGCACUGAACAAGUGAGAUAUACCAAUGUACAACAAUUUCAUGAUACCUAAGUACUAUGAUCAUCGUUAAACCGAACAACAAUAGGUGCUCCUAUCUUACCAUUCANAAAGAGAGAAGAUGGAAGACUCUCUCCUGAGCUCCAGCAACUUCUGAAGAGGUCCAGGGGUCGAGCUGGGAGGAUAGGGAUGAGUAAAGGAUGUGGAAAGACCAAAACAACCCUGCUGCCACGCAGCUGCAGCUGCUGCUGCUUGCUGUACCGGUACAGCAUUAUGCUUGUACCGGUACACCAAUGCAGAAAAUGCCAAUUUCGCGAUUUCAAUGCACUUUCUCGCUUUUAACCCUCCAAUCACUCUCUAACUUAUUCAAAAACUUGUCCAAGUCAUUUAGAACAUGUAGAAUAGUUCCACACUUCAUUCCACACACUCGAACUCUGCAAUUUGCGAAAGUUCAGUGUAUUACACUGUGUAGCCUUUUUGGCUAGUGUUGUGUUGAGGGGCGUUUAUGAUACGCCUAGGCUUGAGGAUAUCCCGGUGGUGCGGGAGUUUCAGGAUGUGUUUCCAGCUGAACUAUCGGGUAUGCCUCCUGAUAGGGAGAUUGAGUUUGUGGUAGAUCUCGUCCCUGGGACUACCCCAAUCUCAAAGGCACUCUAUAGGAUGGCACCAGCGGAGUUGAAGGAGCUGAGGGCACAGCUACAGGAUCUUCUCGACAGAGGCUUCAUUCGGCCGAGCGUCUCGCCUUGGGGAGCUCCAGUUUUGUUCGUCAAGAAAAAGGACGGAUCGCUUCGCUUAUGUGUGGAUUAUCGUGAGCUCAAUAAAGUCACGAUCAAGAAUAAGUAUCCGUUGCCGAGGAUUGACGACUUAUUUGAUCAGCUUCAGGGAUCGUGUGUGUAUUCCAAGAUAGACUUACAGUCGGGAUACCACCAGUUAAAGAUUAAGCCCGAGGAUGUUUCGAAGACGGCUUUUAGAACACGGUAUGGACACUAUGAGUUCAUUAUUAUGCCGUUUGGGCUUACUAAUGCCCCGGCAGCUUUUAUGGAUCUUAUGAACCGUGUCUUUAAGCCUUAUCUGGAUAGGUUCGUCGUGGUGUUCAUCGACGACAUCUUGGUUUAUUCCCGGAGUGAUGCAGAUCACGAGGAGCAUUUGAGGAUUGUACUCCAAGUACUUCGAAAAAAGGAGCUCUACGCCAAGUUGAAGAAAUGUGAAUUUUGGCUUCGAGAGGUGGCAUUCCUUGGACAUUUGAUUUCAGGAUCAGGCAUCGCCGUGGACCCGAAAAAAAUUGAAGCUAUCAAGGAUUGGCCAAGGCCGACGAGCGUCACGGAGAUACGGAGCUUUCUUGGCUUGGCCGGCUACUAUCGACGGUUUGUUGAGGGAUUUGCAAGGUUAUCUACUCCCCUCACGAGGCUCACGCACAAGGGUGUUAAGUUCAUUUGGAAUGAUGCGUGUGAAAGGAGCUUCCAAGAGUUGAAGCAAAGAUUGACUACCGCCCCGAUCCUAACCCUGCCAGUCGCCGGCGCGGGGUAUGUGGUUUAUAGUGAUGCUUCUUUUAAUGGAUUGGGUUGCGUUUUGAUGCAGGAUUGCAAGGUGAUCGCGUAUGCUUCUCGCCAAUUGAAGGAAUAUGAAAGGAAUUAUCCUACACAUGAUUUGGAAUUGACGGCCGUAGUCUUUGCAUUGAAGCUAUGGCGUCACUAUCUUUAUGGCGAGCGGUGUGAAGUGUACACGGAUCACAAGAGCUUGAAAUACUUAUUCACUCAGAAGGAGUUGAACUUGAGACAGCGUAGAUGGUUGGAGCUGCUCAAGGAUUAUAAUCUGACUAUUUUGUACCACCCAGGGAAGGCUAACGUGGUGGCUCAUGCGCUAAGUAGGAAAUCGAUGGAAAACUUAGCGAUACAUGUUGUGACUCAACCGCAGUUGAUCGAGCAGAUGAAGCGGUUGGAGUUGGAGAUAGUGACUCCUGACACACCCUUGAGAUUGAUGACUUUUGUAGUGCAACCUACUUUUUUGUAUAGAAUCAAAGAGAAGCAAGUUUCCGAUUUGGGAUUGCAAAAGAUUAGAGGUAAAAUGGUUGAUGGUUGCACCGGCGACUUCCUUUUGGAUGAUCAGGGAGUGAUGCGUUUCCAUGGGCAGAUUUGUGUACCCGCGGAUUCGGGGAUUAAAGAAGACAUUCUUCAAGAAGCGCACUGGGCGCCCUAUGCUAUACAUCCGGGUGGCACCAAGAUGUAUAAGGACUUAAAGUUGCUCUAUUGGUGGCCUGGGAUGAAAAAGGAUGUUGGCGAGUUUGUCGCUAGAUGCUUAACUUGCCAACAAGUAAAGGCUGAGCACCGAGUUCCCGCGGGAAAACUUCAGAGUUUGCCUAUUCCCGUGUGGAAGUGGGAGAAGAUCACCAUGGACUUUGUGACAGGAUUGCCACGCUCACAGGCGGGGCAUGACGCUAUUUGGGUGAUCGUGGAUAGGUUGACGAAGUCGGCGCACUUCAUACCUAUUCAUACGACUUGGACCGGAGAGAAGCUCGCACAAGUGUACCUUGAUGAGAUUGUGCGACUUCAUGGAGUGCCUACAUCGAUUGUAUCUGAUCGCGACACGCGCUUCGUGUCUCACUUUUGGAGGAGUCUACAGGACGCCUUAGGCACCCGAUUGGAUUUCAGUACAGCAUUCCACCCGCAGAGUGAUGGACAGUCGGAGCGCACUAUUCAGACUUUAGAGGAUAUGCUCCGGGCUUGUGUGAUAGACUUCCAGGGAGGAUGGUCGCAGCAUCUACCUAUGGCGGAGUUUGCUUAUAACAACAGUUAUCAAGCAAGCAUCAAGAUGGCGCCCUUCGAAGCACUUUAUGGACGGAAGUGCAGAUCGCCACUUCAUUGGAGUGAAGUCGGCGAGAGUUUGGCUCUAGGCCCUGAUGUGCUCCAGGAAGCUGAGGACAAGGUUCGAAUUGCUCGGGAGCGACUUUUGACGGCGCAGAGUAGACAGAGGAGCUACGCCGAUCGACGACGGCGAGACUUGGAGUUCCAAGUUGGAGACCAUGUGUUCUUGAAGGUCUCGCCGACUAGAGGAAUCAAGAGAUUCGGGAUUCGGGGAAAGUUGAGCCCCCGUUUCAUUGGACCGUAUGAGAUCUUGGAGCGUGUAGGUCCGGUAGCGUAUCGACUUGCUCUACCACCGAACCUAUCGGGCGUACACAACGUCUUUCAUGUAUCGGUCCUUCGGAGGUACAUUCAUGAUCCAGCUCAUGUUUUGGAUGCUGUACCAGUGGAGCUGCGUGAGGAUUUGAGCUUCGAGGAGCAACCAGUGAAGAUUUUGGCUCGCGAGGUGAAGAAGCUGCGGAAUCGGGAUAUUCCGUAUGUGAAGGUCCUUUGGAGCAACCACGGGGAGCGGGAGGCCACGUGGGAGCUAGAGAGUGCGCUGCAGGAGCGCUAUCCCCAUCUUUUUCAGAUGGAGCCUUGAGGUAUGCUUUUGCUUUCGAGUUUCGCGGACGAAACUCCUUUUUAGGAGGGGUGAAUGUAAUACACUGGAUCUUAGCAAAUUGCAAGAUUCGAGUGUUUGAUCUGUGUGUGGAGCCUUUCCACAGUUUUUGGAGGGUCGUUGAUAGUGUCCCGACCCCUGGCACGCAUCCCGAGGAUGUUGGAGUAGGACUUGGCACCAAAAUUCCAAAAUCGGAAUUUUUGGACAGCUCUCGGGUAGCCUGCAGCAGGGCUUGUACCGGAACAAGACUGGCCUUGUACCGGUACAAGGGUUGAUGGUUGUACCGGUACAGCCAUCGGGCUUGUACCGAUACAGAGCCGCAGACCCCGCAACCCGAGCCUCGGGUUUGUAUUUUCGUGGGCCUUGUACCGGUACAGGGGCCCGUGUACCGGUACAAGGGGGCAGUUUUCGUGCAGUUUGGUCUGCAGGGGCGUUUUUGCUAUUGUAGCACUUCUAUAAGUGCACCCCACGCCCCUUAGGGCCUCCCCUGUGCUGAGACCAGCAGGAGUUGAGGUAGGAGGAGCUCUCUCUCCCUUUCUUUGCAUUUUUACUCCUUUUGCUUGGUUUUUAUUGGGUUUCCUCUCCUCUAUUUGCAUCUUGGUGGCUUCUCCACCAUUGUUGAUGGCUUAGAGCUUGGAGAGGAGCUAGUGGCUGCGGAGAUCUUCAACGUCACUUGGAUUGGAGCUAAGUUUGGAGCUUCUUGAGAGGUUAGAGACUUGAUUUCUCCCUUUUGAUCCUUGAUUUGAGGUUUUUGUGAGAUUAAACCCUAGAAAUGGGAAUUUAAGAUUUAUUUGGGCAUUUUCGUUCUAGGGCUUUUGGAGCUAGAUUAUUGGGAUUAGAGGUUUCCUUUUGGUUGGAUUGGAAAGGCUCUAGCCCUCUUUUGGAGCUUUAGAGGAGAUUUUUGCACUAGAGGUGAGUUUUUCCCACCUAUGCUUGAUUAGCUUAUUGAUUGAACUUAGCGUCGUUCGUUUCGAUUAGGUGACACUUGUUCUCAUACCUCUAGGGUACUAGGAGGCUAGAGGACACCUUCGUCGAGGCAAACGAAGAGUUUCGCUGUCAUCGGUGGGUUUGGCUUCAUGAAAACGGGGCGAAAUGGCCCCUAAGCUUCCUAAACUUUUCGUAUACUAUUUUUGAAUGCAUUUUCAUGCUAAAUAUGAUCUAUGAGAAUUUUAGGGUACUUAAUAUGCAUGCAUUAUGUACGAUGAAAAUUUGCACUCUAUAUAGUAGAGCAUUGUGGGUGUUGUUGCAUGCAUUUGGGUGGUGCUCAUGCUAGACGUUUAGAAUCAUGUUCUAUGUGUUUAGAAUGACUUAAUUAAGCAUUCAUGAACCUUUGGGUUAAGCUUGGACUUAGUAAACGAAAGUAUCAUAAAGGGGCACUUAGACUAGCACAUUAUGAGACUAUUGUAUUGAGACAGAGAGAUAGGCCAUGAGCAUCUAUUAUUUUCAUAUUUUAGACAUGAUGAUAUAGAGAUAGGCCUAUGUGUGAGUUGUGACAUAUUCCAUGUUGUAGACAUGAGGACUUGGUACUUGAGACAUACUGAUAGCAUACUUGCCAUUGUGCUCAUUCGCACAUGCUUGUGAGGGUCGCUCCCUACAAGCCGGCACUCCGGAGUUGGCCUUGCGAUACGUUCGCCAUGCGGGAUUGGGCGCCGAAGUGGAUUGCCGUGGGAAAGGCUCAUUCCUAGAGUGGGAAUGUUGACUACCACGGGGCCAUUAGGCGGGGCAAAGCCAGACAGCCUUCGGGUGGGUCUUAUGCCAGACAGCCUUCGGGUGGGUUUUAUCAGAGCUGAACUUUAAACAGAUAAAGUGACAAGUGAACAUUGACUAGGAUAGUAAACAAUGACAUCUUUACUAUUACAUUGUGGACUUUGGGUAGUAGCAUAUUCAUGCAUUACAUGUUGGAUAUUCAUGUGUAUAUAUCUAGUAGUUGCUUUCUUACUUAUGCAAAUCAUGCUAAGUAGAGAUAUCAUGAUUAUUGGGUACUCGUUUAUUUAUUUAUUUACAGUGCAUUUAUUGCUUUUGUUAUAGUUGUACACUGACCCUCUUUUACAGUCUCGGGCCUAGUGGUGCAUUUUACUGAAGUCAGUAAUUGCCCACUGGGAACUAUUAUUUAAUAGUUCUCAUCCCCCUGUUUCUAUGUUUUCCUUUCAGAGCCUUCGGCACCGGCGGAGGCACGGGAUCGCGGCAAGGGUGUCGCUUAGCUAGCUCGUGGAGAGUUCUUUCGCGCUAGGUGGUUACUCCUCUUCUUUUUGUGUUUUGAGAGGGAGAGGUUCUGUACCAUAUAUAGAGAGACCACCUUAUGCUUCAUUUAGCAUUUGUUAUGGGGUUCCUAUUGUACUUACUCUAUGUUUUUAUUUAGUGAAUUUUCAGCUUUAUGUCCUUUUUCUUGUUAUAGAACUAGUUGUACAAUGCUCUGAUAUCACUAGAUCUCUUGUAUUACUGUUUCAUUUAUCAAAAUUUUGUAGACGCCUUAUAUGUUUUAGACGUAUGGCGGGUCUGGACACGUGCCGGAUAGGCUUCCGCUGAGCCCCGGGGCGUGACAGCCCGCUUGUUCCUUUGCCCAUUUACUCUUGGUCCAAUCAUCCGAUGUGAACAUUUUUCUCAAGUUGCUCUUUUGCUUAUGUAGCCGUUGAAGGGUAAGAAAGGCCGUUGCAAAUCUUGUAACGCCAGGUCUAAGCAACUCUCUUUGGCUUGUGAAACGUCUCAUCAUGUUGACUACGCCGGUGCGGGUAUAAAUAUAACUAUUGAGUGUCGUUGCCCUUUUCAAUGUUCUAUGCACCUCGGGCAUUUUCCCAAUGUCCUCAAGUAUUAAAUCAAUGCAAUGGGCGGCACAAGGUGACCAAUACAAAUGUGGUCGCUUUGCUUCCAACAAUUUUCCUAUUAAAAAUUCACAUAUAUUUCAAGUUAAACAAAUAUUCCACCAAAUAAUAUAAAAUUACGUAUCAAAUAAUAUAAAAAAUUUGUAGGAUUUCUUACCGGCUAAGACAUUAUUUGAUGCACUAUCGGUCACGAUUUGAAUGACAUUAACCUCCCCAAUACGCUCUACCAUACUAUCUAAUAACUUAAACAUCUCUUCGCCAGUUUUCGUGUAAUUGGAGGCAUCAAUAGAUUCAAUAAACACAGUGCCCAUCAGAGAAUUUACAAAAAAGUUUAUAAGAGUCCUUUCCUUUCUGUCCUUCCAUCCAUCGCACAUUAUAGUACAUCCAGUCUUUGCCCAUUCCUCCAUACAACCUUUCAGUGAUUUCUUCGUUUCUUGAACCUCUUUUUGGAGAAAAGGAACUCAUAAUUCAUACAUAGAAGGUGGUUUCAUGCCAGGGCCGAAUCGUCCAAUGGACUCAAUUACCACAGUAAAGCUAUUAUAAGUAGCAGCGUUGAAAGGUACUUCAGCAUCAUAAAACCAUUUUGCUAGAUCUCUGCAAGCUUUUUCUCUCAACUCCUUCCUACAAACUUCGUUGAUAGUAGCUUGCUUCAAUUUUCCAUCUUUUUUAUUUUGAACUACCUUCUCUGCAUUAGAAUUGAAAUACAAAUACAAAUCCAAUCCUUUUGUUUAGUUUUUUUUUGCACUUUUACUACUACCAAUGCUACAGCCGCUACUUUUGCUUUGCAUUCUUUUUCCUUUAGAGUUCAAUUCUUCAACAUCAUUUUCCUCGUCAUCGUCAUUUAAGUUAUCUAUAUCUUCAAAGUCAGGUAUGAAAUCAUUUUGCUCCUUCUCUGAUAUUUUUUUAAUCAUAGAGUCUUUGAUUUCCUCCUUCACAUGUGGUGGACAUCUGGAGCACGCUUUUGCAUUUCAAAAGCCUCCAACAAUAUGCUGUUUGCUCGGUAAAUUCCUCCUUUUGCUACUUUUUGACAAAAAUUAAAUGCAAGAUCAUUUUUAUUUUUUUGAUCUACUAAAUGUACAUACUUCCAUGCAGGGUCUCUUUUGGAUGCUUCCGAAUCCAUUCAAGAAAUUCAACAUCAAGUUGGCACUCCACAAAUAUGAAAAAGAAAUCUAAAAAAUAAGCAAUGUUUCAGCAAAAUUUCUAAUUCAACAAAAAUAUAAUUUUUACUAGUCGUUUUCAAUGACAAUAUUUACUUAUUGUCAUUGAAGUUACUGUUAAAAAAAAAUUAAGCAUAGAGAGAAUGAGAGAUGUGUGUACUGUUCACCAAAAAAAAAUAGAAAAAAUAGAGAAAAUAGAGUGUUUUCUCUUUUAAAAAAGAAAAAAACAAUCUUUACUAUUUAAAAAAACAGAAAACAGUUUUAAAAAAAAAUAGAGAAAGCCAAGUGUUUACUCAUAAACUCUUUACUCUUCAGUUUUUGAUUUUUCGCUUCCAAACAACGCAAGUAGGCUCCUAAACUUUUAGUUUUGACAAGUAGAUUUUCUAAAAUUUUUUAAAUGGUUCGAUAAAUUCUUCUUUUCAAGAGAAAUUAUUAAACUCAUUCUCGAUCAAUGUCUUCUAUCUGAUCUUAUGAAGCCCUAUAACAACUUAAAACAUAUCUCGAUCAAUGUCUUUUUAAUAGUUUUGUUUUUUUGGGGCACAAGGCUUUACUGUUAAAAAAAAAAAAAGAUAACAGUUUACAAAAUAUAUAUAUAUAUAUAUAGAGAAAGCCAAGUGUUUACUAUUUAUACAAAAAAGAAAAAAAAAAUAGAAAACAGAGAGAGAGAUAGAGUGUGUGUAUUUACUAUUUAAAAAAAACAGAGAAAGCCCUUUCUCUGUUUAGUGUUUACAAGAAAAAGGGGCUUUCUCUGUUUUAGUGUUUACAAGAAAAAAAAGAAGGUGAGAGGUAGAGACUGUAGAGUGAGAGAGGAAGAGAAAUUAAAAACCAAUGUGAGAAGGGAAGAGAUCGCACCUCCAAGAGCACGCAAGAAAGAGAGAGAGAGGUUAUGCUUGGCUGCUUGCUCGGGGUUGACCCUCAGAGAGUGAGCGAGCAAGAGAGAGAGAGAGGUGAUCCUUGGGCCGCUUGGCUGCUUGCUCGAGCCGUGGAGAGCCAGCGACAGAGAGAGAGAGAGUGAGCGGAUAGUUGCUCGAGCGGAGGACUCAAGGAGGGAGCUCGAGCGGAGGACUCAGGGAGAGAGCUCGUUCAACUUUUACACUUAACGGGUUAACGGGUUAACGGGUUUCUCUUUUUUCUUUUUCUUUUUUUUUACACUUAACGGGUUAACGGGUUUCUCUUUUUUCUUUUUCUUUUUUUUUUACACUUAACGGUGUGAGAUCCCUGGUGUUUGACUGUGGAGGCUUGUCGACAGCUCUGGAAAGUGUCGGGACAAGCCCGAGUCGCGUUGGCGUCAAAUAGACGUAAAACGGACUCCGUGCGACGCGAAUGCAGCUUAUCGCAAAGGAAUCUGCAAAAUAGCAAAUUUUUCUGCUUGCUGUACCGGUACAAGAUGAUUCUGUACCGGUACAACCAGCGCAGGGAAUGCUUGCUGUACCGGUACAAGGGUUUUCUGUACCGGUACAAGCUACGCGCACAGAUUUAGCUGCUCUCGGGUUGGCUCUUGUACCGGUAUAAGAGCCCGUGUACCGGUACAAGAGGGUAGGUGAGAGGGUGUUUUGGUCUUUUCUCUCCCUCGUUUGUAUCACCACCCCACCUACUUCUAUUUACAGGCGUAGAGCUCUGAGGGGGAGUGUUCUUGCUGCUCCUUCUUCCUCUCUCUCUCUAGCUUGGUUCGACCGGGGAGAGCUCGGUUGGAGAAUCCGUCGCCGACGUCGCGUCGCGGAACCGUUCGAGCAAGUGUUUGACACCGUGGUAGCACGAGGAGGCCGGGCGAGCGGAGAUUUUUGCCGUUUUGCUGUCGCAGCGGUGCUCGGUGUUGUCGAGGUGAGUAUUCAGCAUUUCUUUGGAUUUUUGGGCAAGUUCUUACUACUUCAACUCGAUGAGACGUUGUUUGCUAAAUUUCACCGUCGACUGUUUGUAUUUUGACUCGUUCUCGACGUAGGAGCAUCGGAUUGCGACGGGACUUGGCUCGUUGGAUUCGGGACUUCGAGAGGAAUCCAUGAAGCCCUUACUUACGAAUUUUGGUGAAGGUUAGCUUGGUCGAAAUCCUUCUCUUCUCUGCUGCUGUGGAUUUUGGACUGAAUUGAGAAAUUUUGUUGUUUAGAUUGGCGUUAGCUCGUCCACCGGACUUGGAGGUCCCUAGUUGAUCCAGCAGAGGUUGUCCUGGUUCGAGGCUUCGUUCGCUGCCAGGGGAUAGCUUUCGAGGUGGGUUACAUCGGCUUUACUCCUAAGUUCUUAUUGGUCGACAUGUAUAGAUCUUGAUUUCGGUAAUUAAGGUUAGCUCAAAUUCAUGGACUAUAUGUAGAUUGUGAAAUCCGAAUUUUGGAGCAUGUUUUAUAAAGUAAAUAGAUUAUACAUGUUGGACUUGGAAAUUGAAUUAGGAGAAAACCUGCGAUUUGGACCUGUCACCAGUUUUAACUACCUGAUUUAGCUCUAGGAGCCGUUGGAAAAUUGUACUGUCGCAGUUUCUUCGAGACGAGUACCCCAGGUAGUUUAGAAUGUAUUUACACUCGUGCUGGUUCGCCGAGUGGAUUUUUACAGGGUCGUUCAGGUCGUUUCGGACUGUUGGGUGCCGUCAGAGUUGACGGUGGACCCGUAUCGCCUUUUUGGCGUCAGAUUGUGCCGAGGGCACGUUACCUAUUGGUUGUUAGAUCAGUUUGAGUCGAUUACUUGACUAUGGCUAGUUGGAGCCUGAUUGAGCUCGACAGAGAUACGCUGCAUACUCGGUUGGGUAGCGCCCACGAGUGCCACUCCGGAGUCAGGCUUGUGCUUUUGCGUUGGUGUCGCUCAUGCCAGUUGGACUUGCUCUCCACGGACCAGUUAGUGUGGAUAGAGCCCGAUAGUCGCAACGGGGCAAGGACGGGUGUAUUCACAGUCCCGGGGACGGGUAUGCUUACAGUCCCGAUUGGAUUGGGUCAGAUUUGACAUUUCCUACAGUUGGUUAGUGUAGAGCAUGAUAGUGUAGUGGAUGAUAGCGGUAGAGUAUGCUUUCUGCUUUUCUUCUAUCCUUGCUCCCUUCUGUAGACUUAGUGGGUGACCGAUGUUGUUUUGGGCGGUACCCACUGAGGACUACUUGUUUUUACAGUAGUUCUCACGCCCAGUUGUUACCUAUGUUUUUGCAGAGCCACAGGUUCCGGUUGCUGCACCGCCCGUGGAUCAGGAUCGAGGCAAGGGCGUCGCGAGUUAGAGCCCUACCCGACGUGCUGAGCUAGAGGUGCCCUACUGCAGGUAGAUGUUUUGUUUCGAGUUUAUGUACAUAGCAGACUUAACUCGCCAGUGCGAGUAGCUCUGUAUUAUGGAUCUGAACUAUGUAUAUGAAACUCUGUUUUAUUUAGCUUCUGUUUUCUCUAGCAGCUCUCUACUACUGUUCGUAGUAGUGUUUGAUUUACAGGUACAGCUAUCGCUUCGUAUACAGGGAAAAUUCUUUGUAUACGGCGGAUUUGUCGGCGUGCCCGGGGAACGUGUAAUCCGGGGCGUGACAAACGGGUUAACGGGUUAAUUGGAUGUUGGAUCCGAAGUCCAACCCAUCAGCUUCUUUUUUUUUUUGGCAUCGCACGCGCCUUGCGCCUCGCUCAAGGCGAGCGCCUGGGCGCAAGAGGCGCGCGCCUGGGCGAGGUCGCCCGCCUAGGAGCUGCCUAGGCGCGAGCUAUCUCGCCUAGCGCCUAGGCGCCUAGGCGUGCGCCCGAGGCGCACCUUUUAAAACACUGGCAGGCGCGAGCUGGCGCCGAUGCGAGCUGGCGCUAAUGCGAGCCCAUAUAUCCCUCUCUCUCUCUCACUCUCUCACCUUCAUUUUUUUUUUUCCUCGCUGUCUGACGCCCCCUUUCAAUUGCCCAUACCUCCAGUAUGGCUCCCUCAAAAGCAAACGUUGUGAAUAACCACUCCUCUCUCUCUCUCUCUCUCUCUCUCUUUAGCUUUUCAUUUUUUUUCCUUUUCUAACUUUUUUAUUUUAUAAUAUAUAAAAAAAUAAAAUUUUAAAUCUAAAAUUUAAAUUUAAAUUGAAUUUUAAAUUUUAAAUAUCGAAUCUUUUUUUACUUUGAUGGAUUGUGGGCCAAGGUUUAAAGUGCCGUGGCAUGGGGGCAUGCCGUUAUGCCCCUGGCACGGUACCGCACAAGCACGCUUGCGUGCCGAUAGAUACGCAUGACCUCCUACUGGCACGCUUUGGCACGGACUUAUUUUAAUUUUUUUGAUUCCAAUAAACUCUUAUAAUAUUAUUUUGAAAGGUUUAAACAAAAUAAUUAUGAAUAUUUACUAUGUAUACCUUACUAUACUCAUCAAUUAACAUGCAUGAAAACUUUUUGUAAGUAAAGUACAGCUAUAUCUGAUGUAGAAUAGAAAUUAAAAUAUAAUAAUAAAAUUCACAAGUACAAUAAUUAUUUAAAUUUACAUCUUUACAUUGAGAUGACUGCUUAAUUCCAUAUAGAUUGUCGCGCUUGAUCAUAUGGCAUAUUGUUAUCUGUACAUACAAGAUUUAUUUGAUAAUGUUGAUAUAAGUAUUGCUGUAUUGUGAGAAAUUCGUAUAUUCCCAAUAUUACAUCUAUAUUUUUUAUUCUUUUAUUCUUUUUAAAAAUAUCUGAUCAAAAUUUGUUUAGGAAAUCGAUUUUUGUUUCUUUGAUUCAUCGAAAGUUUCGCGGUGCGACAUUUUUUGAUAAAAUAUUUUGUGAAGAAAAAAUGGAUGUCAGUGGUGGAAGCGGAGGGCUCGGGCCGACAUAUGGAUCAGAUAAAUAAUAAGUUAAAUUAAAAAAAAAAGUUAAUCUGUUCAAAAAAAAAAAAUUUGAAAAAGAUGACAGCAAUAGUGAAAUGCCCCCAUCCAAUAAAAAGACAACCCCAAAGCAUCUUACAGUGCAAAAAGUAAACCAACAAUUGCAAAAAGACAAAACAAAAAAAACAAACCCAAAAAGCAAAAGAAAAAACAAAGCGUUCGUGCGGCACGGCACGUGCCGCGCACCCUCACACGUUGCCGUUUUGUCUCGUGCGGCCAGCGCCGCGCGGGCGUGCGCGGACACAGGGGAGUCCGAGACCCCCCCCCGCGUACGCAUGCCGAUAGCGUCGAGACUUUAAACCUUGUUGUGGGUCCACGUAUCUAGAAAUAUAGAAUCUUUGCUAUUUAAAUUAAAAUUUUUGAACAAAAAUUAAAAUUUGGAUCUAAUGUUAAAGAUUUUAAAUUUAAAUUUUAUAUCUUAAAUUUAAAUUUAAAUUUUAAAUUAAAUUUAUUUUUUGAUUUCAAACUUAAAUUCUUUAUUUUAAUUUUGAUAUUUUAAUUUAUAUUUUAAAUUAAAUCUCUCUCUCAUUUUUUUUUUUUCUCUAAAUAUCUUACCGACUCCCUCUCCCUCUUCCUCUCCCUCUCUCCCAUAGUCCCAUCUUCACCUGUUACCAUCACCACCCACUCCCUUCCUCUCUCUCUCUCUCUCUCUCUCUCUCUCUCUCUCUCUCUCUCUCACCUUCCAUUUUUUUUCCCUUACUGUCGGACGCCCCCUUUCAAUUACCCAUACCCCCGUACGGCUCCCGCUGACUGCCUCCGUGACUGCUUCCUCUUCUCCAUACUCCAUCUCAUCCCAGCCUCCUCCCUCCUUGCUCCCUGCGCCACCGUGCCGGUGCGAUUAAGACGCCGCCACUAAGCCCUCCUCUCUUCUCCUCCUUCGUCGCCGCAACCAUCGCAGACUUCGUGCGAGGAGGGGCAGCUCGAUGCCGUACCUCUUCACUUUCUUCUUUGUCUGCCUCUCAAACCUUAACCCACAUCUUGGGUGCUUAAUUUAUUAUAUUGCAUUAUCAUUUGUUUUUUCUUUUUUUGCCCUAACAUCUGAAUUAGUUGCAUACAACGGUGACCAUUCACUCAUCACUCAUCGCCGAAAGAAACAUGUUUAUUGCAGGUGCUCAUUUGCUAUGGUAUCCUGGGGCGUUCAACAUGACUACUGGUCCUCUGCAUUGGGAGUUACUGCAAAGGGCAAGGUACUGUUGUAUUUAUUAUAAAAAGUAAAAGAGUUUCAUGACUAGGUCUAAUUUUUUUCGUUGGAUGGUCUAAACUUACGGGUGAAAAUGGUUAGGAUAAACUCCGAUCGAAUUUGACACUAGAAUCGAUCGGGUGCGAAUACGGAUGUCAAAAUUAUGCAUCAAGAGGUGAAAUCUACAGAAAAGCGCACUUAUGUUGUAUCAUUUUGUUCAGUUAUUGUAUACACAAACUGUAAUAGAGUUAAUUGAUUAAAAUGUAUUCAUGCCCAUUAGAAAAUGUAAAAACAUAUAUACUUUUAUCUUAAAAUAUUCGAAGAAAUGUAAUCUCAAAACUAAUUCGUAGAAUACAUGUACUCUUUGGAUUUCUGUACCAAAAUCAAAUCGCGGAAACCAUAAAUUUAACAAUGAGACUAAGUAUAUCACAACUAAGAGAAACUACAUGCAUUCCAUUACUAAAGUCGAACACUUAGAAUACUAUGAAUAGUCACAAUGUGAAAAUUCUAUUAUUGUUUUAAAAAUACAAAAUUGUUUAUGUUUUCUCAAUUUUUAUCCAAUAUUAAUCCAUCUUUAUUAUUUGAAUUUUCAGGAUGAACCAAAAUGAUAGGUUUUCUCGAUUGAGUGAUUCGAAUCUAUUCAUAAGCUUUUUCGAUGAAAUGCUGAUUGACUCUUAUGCGUCAAUGGCAAUUGACACUCAUGGGUCAAUUAUGCGUCCUGUGUAUUAGGUUUUGAUUGUUAAGGUAUAAGAGGCUAUGAUGAUAAAAAUGUUUCUUCCUUGAACAAUGCUGAUUUUGGAAGCUUCCCUAUUUAGUAAGGUUAAUAUAAAUUCGAAUCCCUCUCAUUUUUUAGAAUUUUGAUAUACAAUAUAAGAGUUUUAUGGCAAAGCAGCUUGGAUGGCCUAAGGCAACCGUUGCAGCCAUUUACUCUUAAAAGGUUUUGGGAAGGGAGGAGCCGAUUUAUGGGUAUAUAUCAUUGUGAUUAAGUAAAAGUAUAUGUGAGCCUCUAUCAUUUACUCUAUAUAAUUAUUUACUGUCUGUUUUUUGUUUGUUUGACCAAAAUAAUUGUCUUUAGAUAUUUCGUUCAUUCAUCACACUUGCUUUGGUUAAUUGUACGUUAUUCUUUAUUAGCACUAUUGUUUAUAUUAUAUUUUGAUACUUUACCCAUCACAAAAAAGUGUUAAUUUUUUAAAAAAUCAAGCUCAGGGAUUGUCGAUUCAAACUUAUUUUUGAAACUAAAAGAGCCCCCGACAUAAGUGGAACAUUGAAGAGAGCAACUAUUAUGCUUUUAGUUUGAAAGUGCAGUUUGACUUUUGCUUUUCUUUUUUUCGCUGGUAGAUUUUGAUGAAAUUUUGUGGUCUUUUUUCUCAAAGCGUUUGCUUUUCAUUACCGAGCUUGCUAUGCUAUUUUUUACCUCUUAGUUGCUUGGUAGCAUAAUUUCAAUCUUUCAAUCAUCAAGAUGUAAGAAUUGCUAUACAUGAGAGGAUCUAGAUGAUUAGUUCUUCCUCCUGACGAAAAAUAAGAUAAAAAAGAAGUCAAGGUGAGGUGUCUAAGUUUAACGAAUCUCUAUAUAUUUUUAGAUUUAAAGACCAAUCUACAUAGAAGUCCAUGGAAUUUAGAUGAGAAAAAUUAAAUUAAAUUUAUUUUGAAGUAUUUUUUCAAAUUAAAUUGAAGUUCAACUAAAUUUUAUUUUUUUUUUAUUGUUGGGUAAAAAAAUUAGAAAUUAUUUUAAUGUACUUACUUUUUUUCAUGAUUCAGGGUUCAAGGGAAAGUCUAAUAGAGUAUUGGGUGAUACGCGAUAUCGUAACGAAAGAAUGAUAGUUGGGGUGGAAUUUCGAUGGUAUAUUCUAUUUCACAGCAGAACCUUAUAUUUUCUGUGAACUAAUAGAAGUUACUUUACUAUAGAUUAUUAGGUUUUAAGUAUGUAAGUAAAGAAGCAUAAAUCCUUUAAUUUGCUUUUAAAAAUCUUAUUCUACAAAUAUUACUUCUAUUUUCUGCAAAAGAAGCUUCAUUUAUUGUAGCUUCCAAACAUUGGUGUAAGAAGAAAUAUGUAACGAUUUAUUUGGAUUUUAUACAGCUCUUACUGUUUUAAGUAAAAUUUAGAUCAUAUUCCAUAGGUUGCUACUGAGGCCCUUGGAACUUUGAAGUCUAUGCUUGGUCAAUUUACUCGGAAAAACUUGGGUCUCCACUGUGAGAAUACAGUAAUCAAUACCAUGCUGAAAAAUACCAGUUUACUUAUGAGUUAUUCAAUAGACAUAAAAGCAAAAAAAAAAAAUGGACAAUAUUCUAAAGCUAGAUUGUUUGCUUUCUAUAUUUUGCAGAUCCAAAGCAAUUGCAACCCUAAAGGGUUUGUGUUUUUUGGGUAUCUUUAGGUGUGAUUUAGAAAGGUAGACAAACAAACACAUAAUGGAAAGGAAACAAAAAAAAAAUAGCCAAACAAUUCAUAAUUUGUUGCGAUUUGUAUCUAUGGUUCUAAUUAUUUGUUUUGAAACACUUUCCCUGUUUUCAUCAAUUUGUCUCUUGGAAUUGGAAUAAUAAAAUGAUGUUGCCUGGUUGCAAGCAACCUUUUUAGAAUUGCUAUUAUUGCAUUUUAUUGUGUAUAUUGUUCGUUAUAAAAUAUUUUUUUAUUUAUUUAAUCUAUUUAUGAGUUAGAUUACCUUACAAUUUUGUCAUUCUGUUUCUUCGCAAAUAAAAUAAUCGUAUUGACUAUUUUAAUGGCUCUUCUUUUACUACUUCGCCUUCGAUACCGCACUCUUUGAGGCCUUGACGGAUGCUGUGAGGGAUUUACGGUUCGACACUAUCCCCUCCAACCUGUUGUCGAUCGAGCUCACCCCCUUCUUUUUGGGCGCCCUUUCUAAAUCCCUCACCUAGCAGCUUCUGCUCUGAAUCCUAUGUACACACUACAAGGUAAUCAUUCCUUAUCCAUUUCUCUCUCGAUCUUUGUUUAGAUCUACAAUAUGAUGCAUUUGAGCCAACUGAUGUUUUAGAGAGUCGGUUCUUUGAUAUUAGCUUUAGUGCCAAAGCAUUUAUAAUACAUAAAUAAUGCCAUCUCGAGCUUGCCAUUGUUUUUUAAAUCAUAUAAAAAAGCAUAUUAUAUUGCAAUUGAAUGGUAUGCACCAUGUUCUUAAUUUGGUUAUGUUGCACCUUCACACACACACACAGAUAUAUACAUGUCCGGAUUUCUCAUAAAACUAUAGUCGUAAAAUUAAUGGGCAGCAUUAACGGUUUAUGAUUAUUACUUUUAUUUCAAAUGAUACAAUUUAAAAUUAUUUGAUAUCUAUAUUAAAAAGUAUAUUCUAUGUUAUCUCUUCAUACAUCAUAUGAUGUGUAGUAUAUACCUAUUAUAUACAUGAAUGAGAUCGUUUAUGCUGAUCCUGUCUCAUUUAUAAUUACAAAUUUGACAAAAAUUUUGCUUUCUACAAAGGGCGUACUGUUAUUAGCUAUCUAUAUUGAAGUAUAGGUUGUGAUAGGCAAUAAUUUAAGCCUUCGCUGGCUUAGCUAGUGCUUCGCUCACUCUUUUAUAGGUUGAGUAUUCUAAAGCUCUAAUUAAUAUUGUUUUUAGGUAUUCUGCUUAGCUACCUUUUCUCAAAGCUCUUUGCAGCAGUAGUCUGAGAUACUAAUUAAGAUCGCUCUUUUGGAACGUUAUGAAUAUUAUAUAUGUUUCAUCAUGUGCUGUUAUAUAUGUGUUGCUUCUAUAUAUGUCUUAUUCUCUUUUACUUUUAUUUAUUUUGCAUGAUUUCCGUAAAAUAAAACUGAAUGAUAUUGUUGGGAGAAGUUCGGAAUAUUUUUCGUAAGACCACCAAUAUAUUGUUUCUUUUUUAGGUUAACUUACUAAGGUUUUGUUGCUACACAAUGUUGUAUAUAGUUGUCAACUGCUCUUGUGCUUCUCCUGAUUUACUAAUUUCACGUUUUUAUGUAUUUGUCUUUGGAACAAAAAUGCAAAAUGCUGAUGUAUGUGUGCUUUCACAUAUUAUCUUUUAGGUUUCUUUGUUAUUUUUAGUUUUGUAAUUGACUUUUGUUUUGUGGUUUUUUGUUUUUUGUUUUCUUUUUCGGGCUAUGAUGCUUUUGCUUCUUUUAUUGUGACAUGGGGUUAAUAGACAUAUAUUUUCCUCAUUAAAAGUAAGAGUGUGGAGUGGUUAUGAUUAGUGCACAAUCUUUGGAUGGUCUAUUAUGUAGGCAACCAGUUGGCACUAUUUAUUUGCUAUAUAGAUUAUAAAUCUGUUUGGUACUAUUUAUUUCAAAUAUGGAUUAGGAUUAUAUGUGGCACCUCUUUUUUUUUUCCCUGUGUUAUUUUUCUGCAGGAUGGAGUUGGAGCAUUUUUAACUUUUAUUGCUGAGUAAAUCUGAGCCCGUAUAUUUUGUUUUCCUGCUUUUUGUCAAAUGACAUUCCAAAUAUCAUAUAUAAGAGAUGUAUGUAUACCUUCACGGACAGGGGUACUGACCAAGUGUAAACUCCAUAUUACAUACACUCGCAGCAAGAUCAGAUUUAUGUGAAUUUGUAUUUUGUAAUAUUUUAUCUCUGUGAGAAUUUGUUGACUGGAAAAGACUUGGAAACCAUUAAAAGAAGCAUGAAAAGUUUGCACCAUCAAUUCAUCUCAUUAUCUCUGUAGGUGCUUCUGGUGCUUUAUUCGGUCUUCUUGGAGCAAUGCUGUUGGAGCUUCUCACUAACUGGACCUUAUACACACACAAGGUUUAUCUUUUCUUUCUCUCAUUUCCUUUCCGAGGCUCAUCAGUAAGUUGUUUGGAGGCUGAUUUUUUCCGACUUACUUCUACAGGCUGGAGCUUUAAUAACUCUUUUAGUCAUGAUCGCGAUCAACUUGGCCCUCGGAAUAAUCCCGCAUGUAGAUAACUUUGCACAUAUUGGGGAAUUUCUCACUGGCUUUCUCUUAGGUUUUGUACUGCUGCUCGAACCUCAGUUUGCGUGGUUGGAGCGACACAAUCUACCUCCCGGAAGGAAAAUCCCAUUGAGACCUAAGGCUUACCAGUUACUAUUAUUGGUUGUUGCGCUCACAUUAAUCAUAGCUGGGUAAGUAUAUAUGCUCUUAUACUAUACAACAGCAAAUUAUUUAUAACUAUUCCAGUCAAUAGUCGCAUGUCCGUAUGAAUUUUGAUCGAAUGUAAUAAUUAUUAUAUUAAUAAAUAUAAUAAUUUCCAGUCAUAUAUUCGCCUCCUUUUGUAAAAGUAAGGGUGUGAAAUGGUUAUAAGUAGUGCUCAAUCUUCGGAUGGCCUAUUAUGUAAGGCAACAGGUUGACGCUAUUUAUUUAUAUUUUGUGGAUUUUUUUUUUUCUUUUUCGGCCUAUGAUGCUUUUGCUCCUUUUAUCGCGAGAUCGCAUUAUUGGUCAUAUAUUUUCCUCCUUUUGUAAAAGUAAGGGUGUGAAACGAUUAUGGUUAGUGCGCAAUUUUUGGAUGGCCUAUUAUGUAGGAAAUCAGUUGGCACUAUUUAUUUGCUAUAUAGAUUAAAACUCUGUUUGGUACUAUUUCUUUCAAAUAUGGAUUAGGACUAUAUGUGGUAGCUGCUUAUUUUUUCCCGUCUUAUUUUCCUGCAGGCUGGAGUUGAAGCAUUUUUAGCUUUCAUUGCUUAUUAAAUCUGAGCCCGUAUAUUUUUUUCCCCUGCUUUUUUUCCUAACUGUUUUUUGGGUUUUAAAGUAUAUACCAUUAACGUUUGUUGUAUGAUUGAACUUGAACUCCAAUAAUUCGAAUUGAGUUGCAACUCCAACUAUCAUUUUGUCCUGAUUUUUUUAGUACUUCAAAUGAUGCCUCUUUUGUUUGACCAAAAACAUGCCAAAGCCAGUAAUUGCUUCAUAAUUUCUAUAAUAAAUUCUUCGGUGUGUUUGGAAAACAGAAACCUUUUAGAGUUCAUGAUAUUAUGACAAGUUGGAAUGCACUAGGACCUAAAUAAACCAGUAUCCGAAACUUCUUUCAUCAAUUUUGAACUAACUAAAAGGCGGGCCUGUUGUUAUAAGUAGUUCUUUUGUUUGACCAAAUUCUUUUGGUGUCAAUAAUAGGUGGCAGUUUUUUAUAGAUUUGAAUAAUGAUAAAAAGUUUGUUUUGUUAAGACGCUUAUUAUUUUCAAUUUUAUUGACAACCAUCCAACUCUUCUUUGGGUUUUUCUGCGGCUUUAAAUUGGAUGCAAAAUAGUGAGACCUACAGGAUCGCCACGAGCCUUAUUCCUGGCUCAUCUUAGCAUGCUUCUUAUCAUACCUGGAAAAAAAAGGUCCUGUUUGAUUGUGAUAAAAUUUUGUGCCUAUUUUUUAUGGGUAUCUUAUAGUGAUCAAGUUUUGUCGACAACGUUAUGGGACAAAUUUACUCUUGAUUUUGGUGGAAAUUUUAUUCAGUGUGUUCAGUAAAUAGAAACCUUUUAGAAUUUAUAAUGUGAUAAAGAUUGGAAUGAACUAAGACCUAAAUAAACCAAUAUUUGAAGUUUCUUCUAUGAAUUUUGAACCAAGUAAAAGUCAGACCUGUCAAUUUAUAAGUUUAGGGUGUUUCUUGAGUUGAUUUGGUUUUAUUAUCUUACAAUUUCGAGUUGUUGUUAUUUGAAAUUGUAAAAACCUUCCAUGGUUUCCUGCAUGCAAGCCUUUAAUUAAGCUCGGAAUAUUUGUAUAGAUUCUUACUCUACAUCUUUUGGAUAUUCGACUGUGUUCCGAAUAGUGAAAUGUUUUUGUUUAAUGGAUAUUAUUAGAAUUUUGUUACUAUCAUUUGGACUUUUUUUUUAGCUAAAGCAAAUGCUGAGAUGAUCUGUUGAUUUUUAUCUGAAGCUAUUUUUAAAAACCAAUGAAACUUGCAACUAUAUUUGACACUUAUGCAGUUUUAAGUUUGCGGUCACUGAAAGCGUGGAAACUUCCAUUCGUUUUAUCUUUUCUGGAUUUUUGUCAGCCUAAUAUUAUGUAUCAUUUUUUUUUUCUGCCUAAUGGAAGUGCAGAAUGCUUCUUUAUGUAUAUGUUUGCGCCUUUUCUUUUAGGUUGUUUCAUUCUUUUGAGUUUUAUAAUCGGUUUAUGUUUUGUGGUUUUUAAUUUAAAUGUAUUUUUAAUUUUUAAAACUUAAGUGGCAUCAUAAACAAUAUAAUUGUUUGACAUGUAUUUGUCUGUGCAAUAGAAAUGUGAAAUGUUGAUGUAUGUAUGCGUUCGCAUUCUUUCCUUUUAGGUUGCUGCGGUCUUUUGAGUUUUAUAAUCGACUUAUGUUUUGUGAUUUUUUUUUUUUUGUUUUUGUUUUCUGUUUUGGGGCUAUAAUUAACAUUGCAGUAUUAGUCAUAUAUUUUCCUACUUUUGUAGACAUAAGGGUGUGAGAUAAUUAUCAUUAGUGUGCAAUCUUUUGAUACUCUAUUAAGUAGGGAACCGGUUAUCAAUAUUCUUACAAAUAUGGAUUUGCAGCACCUACACUCGUUUUUUUUUUUUGCAAUCAAAUUUUUAAUAUCUUUAUCUUUUUUAACAUGAAUUGUGAACCCUAAAGGUCUCCCUUUAUUUAUUUAUUUUUUUUGUUUUGAGAGAGAGGUCUCCCUUUAUUUUAAUGAUUGAAUCUCAACUUUUUUUACUUUUUUUUUUUAUUUUAUUUCUUAAUUUUUUUUUGCAAUCAAAUUUUAAAAUUACAAUAAUUUGCUGUGGUAGUAUCUCCCGCCGUAUUGCGCGGGUCCCAUAACUAGUAUAGCAUGAUAUUUUUGUAAAUUAAACAGCUUAUUGUUUGCUUGUUCUUUUUGCUUUAUAAUGCCUAUGGAGAAGGCUCACUCAAAGUUCUUAGUAAAGACGUAACCUUCUUUUUUUUAUUUAAUGAUUAGGGAGUGUUUGAUUCCUGGAAAAAUCGUGAACAGAACAAUUAUUUUUUAGAAAAGUAGUUUUCAUGAGAAAAAAAUUCGUUUACAACACUUUUCUAUAGAUUCUAAUUUUUUUUUUUUUUUCAGAACUACACAUUCUCAGAACGAAAUAGAUGAAAAAUACUUUUCCAAACCAAAAUUUAUUUUCAGAAAUAUUUUCCCGGGAAUGAAACACCCCCUUGAUUAAAAAGUCCACAUAACUGCACAUAGGUUAACACAUUUAAUAAAAGAAAUAAAAAAAAAAAAAAUUGUAAUUCAAAGAAUUGAGUGUUUCUGGUUAACAAAUUUCUUAAAAGACCAAUGACUACUGGUGGGUGUAAGAGUCCUACAAUUCUACAAAACUUAAUUAUUAAUAAUCUCUUAAUUAUGUGGUAAAAAAUGGUUAGUUACUUAACAAGUUAAUUAAUUUAUUACAGUUAAAAAUUAAUUUAUAAGAUGAUUCCACCCGUGUUUCUUCGAAAGUAACGGCAAUGCUAUCCAUUUGAUGAUACGGUUCUUACAAUGCAGAUUCCAAAGCUUCUGGGCAGCUGAGAAAGCAUAUAUCCCAAAGCUUCUGGGCAGCGUGGAAAGCAUAUAUCCCCGAAAGUAUUAAAAAAAAAAAAAAAAAAGAGACAGUAAUGGAAAGAUACAGGGUGUGAACUGGUACAAGAGGGUGUGAACUGGUAUAAGAGGAUUCCUUGACAUAAUGGUGGCGACGAUGGCCGCGGCGGCAGCAGCACCGGAUGAUCGGGCUGGCGACCAGCGACGGUGCAGGCAACAAGCGGCCGGUUGGUCGGUCGGUCGGUCGUGAGAACAACGGGCAAUCAUCCUUCUCUGAUCCUCAAUCUGUUUUAUUACAAUAAAAUAAAAAUAUAUAUAUAUUCCGCAAUUCAAAGUAUAGUGUCGGACAAUUUUAUAAAAUAAUAUAAGUACUUCGGAUUAGUCGAAAUUAAAAUAAAAAACAACAUAACACCAAUCCAGAACACAAUAAAAUACCAGAACUAAUGCUACCAAACAACAAGAAUUAAAAAAAAAGAAAAAAAGAAAAGAAGCAUAAGCAGUAUAAAAGAGAAAAAAGAAAACAGUCAUCAUCAAAGCGAUUUCGCAAUAUUCUUCGCAGCUUCAGAUGCACGGGAGGCCCUUUUCUUUAUCACAAUCGCACCAACUGCGGCAGCCGACAAGCAGACAUUCGUAACAAGCGCUAACUUUUUAGAAUUAUCGUGCAGUUUUUUAUUUUCCUCUCUCAAUUGCUCGAUUUUUUUUUUUUCUUCUCGUUGCUCGCUACUAAACUCUCAAGAUCUUUACUAAGCUGAUUUAGUUCUUCGGAGUCAGAUUCGUGCUGCUCAAUCUCGUCUGAAAUAAUGAAGUAAAUUUAGUAAGUAAGAAAAGAGCCGAAUUAGAUAGAAAAAAAAAAUUACAAAUUACAAAUUAAAAAACUUACCAGAAUCAACGGAGGAAUUCAUUAUCGAUCGAUCGAGUCUAAAACAAAAAAUAAGACAAAGAGUAAAGAUAAGUCAAAAAAUAUAUAUAAAGCCAAAAGAGUAGUAGAGAAAUUAAAAAAAUAGCAUAUAAUAUUCCUCUUCUUUGAGAGUUGGGAGAGAAGCACGCCCAAGCACGCCCGGCUGAGAGUUGGGAUUGGGAGAGGCGGCUGAGAGUUAGGAUAUUGGGAGAGGCGUGGGCGAGGAGGGGUUAAAGAAUAGAGUUGGGAUUGGGAGAGGAGGGGAGGAGGGGUUAAAGAAUGAAAGGAGGAGGAUUUGAAUUUAUAGACAAGGAAAUUAAAAAAAAAAAAAAAAAAAAAAAAUCUGCAAAAGUUUUGCUGGCGGUCAACGUGAGUUGGUGAAAGGUGCCGGUGUGCCAUUUCUUGCCCCAGGACAGUGUUGUGUGCACCCGCAGAGGUUAAAAACAUAUUUUCCUUAUAUCAGGGGUAAAAAUGUAAUCUUAUACUAUCGCUACAUCUUGUACCCUAUUUAUUUAUAAUAAUCAUAUAUAAUCUCUGUGGCCCACACUUGUUGUUUAGCUGGUGCAGUGGGAGAGCUCAAUCUCUAGUUUGUUGAGCCUUUUGUAUCUGUUCUUGGCUUGGAUUACCGGUGUUCAGUGCAUAUAUGUUACGCGAUUCGCUUAUAUUGUAUAUUUCUUUUAAUAAGUAUAUCUGAUAAUUAGGUAGAGAGCUUUUUUUUUUUUUUCUUCUUUUGUUAAAGGAAAAGCUAAAUAUAUAUUCUUGUAUGUCGAUUGUUUUGUGCUUGAGAGUGAUCGGAUAUUAUAAAUUUGUGCUUGUGGAGAUGCUAGGGUUGCCUUGGUACCGAUUUGCUGAUUGCAAGGAAAAGAGAACGUGUGAGGUGGUUAGGAUAUGCAUUAGUUUGCAAAAUUUUUUAAAAAAAGUAUGUUUAAAUUUAAAAACAAAUUGAUAGGACAUUCUAUAAUUUUGAAAACAUAGUAUGUUUAAAUUUAAAAACAAAUUGAUAGGACAUUCUGUAAUUUUUUACUCUAAUCCCACAUACGCUAAGCAUGUUGCUGAAUGGAUUUGAAAUCAAGCCGAGUCAACUGAGCUGGGCUUCUGAGUAGAGUCAGUGAGUUUGCAUGCACGAAUAGGGGUGGCAAUCUAAUUCGCUAUUCGCGAGUUGGUUUGCGUUCAGCUCGAAAUCGAAUCGCUUGUUUAGUAAAUAAGCCGAACACGAGCUGAAUUUUUCAGCUCGUUUAAUAAAUGAGCCGAACACGAUCUGGGGUCAACUCGCUCGUGUUCGGCUCGAUAACAGCUCGAAUACAUAUAUUUUAUAUUUAUAUAAUUUAUUUAAUUAUAUUUUCAUAUAUAAAUAAAUAAUUAUAUAUAAUAUAUUUUUUUAUUAUUUAAUUUUUAACAAAAUAAAAAUAUAAAUGCGAGUUUAAUUAUAAAAAUACUUAUUUAUAUAUAAAGUUUCAACUAUUAGAUCAAAGUCUAAUGGAUAAAAUUUUAUAAAUUUAUUUUUUAUAUAUAUUUAAUCUAUUUUUUUUAAUUUAUUAUUCAUUAGUCAGCUUGUGAGCCAACUCAUGUUCGGCUCGUUAAUAAACGAGCCGAACACGAGCUGAAUUUUUUGGCUCAAUACUUUAACGAGCCAGCUCAUGUUCGGCUCGUUUAAUAAACGGAGCGAACACGAGUCGACUCCAGCUCGCUCGUGUUCGGCUCGUUUACACCCCUAUGCACGAAUAUGUACUUACAUGCACAAAUAUGUAUCACUAAAUGUGGAGGAGACAAGAUAAUAUAAGAUAGCUAUUAACAUCUAACAUUCAUUCAUGAUUUAUUAAUAUGGUUAUAUUCUAAUUACACUUGAGUACAAACAAACUAUGAUUGUAUUCUAAUUACACUUUGAGUACAAACAAAACUAUUUCUCUUUCAUCAGUGAAAAUACUGGUAUAUAACCGCUAGCAAUAAUAAUUUGUUGGCCCAAAAUCACCGGCCCAAAAUAUUUAAAUCUAAUUAUUAUGUCUAAUCCAAUCAAGCUUAUAUAAUUUCAUAACUAGGCAUAACUAUCUAAUAUAGGACUAUUAAGGUGUAGAUCCCCCAUCUUAAAUUUGACCUCUCAACUAUCUUUUUUAUUUUUUAUUAUUGGUAUUCACCGCAACCAUUUUUACUAUGGUCUUCAUGCAAUUAUUAUAUAUUUUAUAGUUGAUCUGAAACUUCAUCAUAAGUUAACUGCUACAUUGAAUUGUUAAUCCUAUAUAUCGUCUUGUUAGCUAAGAAGGUACUAUCUAGGGCCCUUAAAUUCGAUAGAAUCUACUAUUAAAAUUAGCAGUCUAAGCUUUAAAUAAGAUCAAGUUAAAAUGAUUAAUUAAAAGUUUAGAAAUUGUUCAACGGAAACUAAGUUUAAGGGCUCUAUUUAAAUGGGCCUAUAGUUGUGGAGAUAUCCGUACAUUUUUUUCUGCUUAAACAAAUGCCAAAAGUUGUUUCAAAUAACAAAAAGGCUUUUCUAUUCAUUUAUUUUUGCAAACUAUUUUGUUAUUUUCAUCUUUUCUUAUUUAUUUAUUUUGUAAAAUAUUAAUUUUCUGGUGGUUUUUUUUAGAAUUUUUUAAAAAAUUUAUUUCGCAAAAUAUUUUUUAAGAGUUUAAUUAACAAUUUAAUAUUUACGCAUUUAUUUUUAAAAUAUUUUGAAAUAUAAAUUUUAAAUUUAAUUAUUUUAAUUUAAGGUUUAAAUUUUAAAUUUAUAUUCAAAUAUUAGUUCUAAAUCUUAAAUUUUAUAUCUAAAUUUUAAGGUUUGAAAAUUCCUUUAAAUUUCAAAUUUUAAAAUUAAAAUAUAAAAUUUGGAUCUCAAAUUUUGAGUUUCAAAUUUUAAUUUUUAAAUUUCAAAUCUUAAAAUUCAAAAUGAAAGUUAAAUUUCAAUUUUUAAAUUUUGAAAUGUAAAAAUUUUAAUAUUUUUAAAACUCAAAAGAUUACAAUUAUACAUCUUAAUUUUCAAAUUGCAAAUUUUAAUUUUUUGCAAUUCAACAUUUAAAUUCUUUAAUUUCAAUUUUGAAUUUUUGACUGUCGAAUUUAGAUCUUAAAAUUUAAAAUUAAAUUUCAAAUAAUAAAAUUUCAAAUUUUAAAUUAUAAAUUCCUAGUAAUAAAUAUUAAAUAUUAGACAUUAAAUUUUAAAUUAUAAACUAAAUAUUAAAUUUCUAAUUAAAAAUUUAAAUUUAGUUUUAAAAUCUUAAAAAAAAAGUGUGCGAGUUUCUCUAGAAAUUAAUCACUUGAAAAUGACUUUUAAAAACAUUUCACAUCACUUUUAUUUUUCUUGGGAGUUGGGCACUUCCGAAAAUGAAAAAAAGACAAAGACUCUUCUCUCCCUUUUUAUUGAUCAAUGUAUGCAAGGCCUCAUAGCAGCCCAACCCACUUGACAACAUGCAACCCAACCAACCUCACAUUUAUAUACUAAAAACUAAAUAUACAUCUUAUUUAAAAUUAAAAAUAUUAAAAAAUUGAAAGUCUUAUACAUGGAUAAAUUUUAGAAAAAAAUUUUAAUUAAUAGGUUACACAGGUACUUGUGACAUUUUCGAUUUUUUCCUUUACUAGAAACACUACAAUCAAGUUUUUUUUUCUAAUGCUUUGGGAUUCUUAUUGUCACGCCCCGGAUUACACGGUUUUCGGGCACGCCGACAAAUCCGCCGUAUACAAAAAAAUUUUUCUUGUAUACGAAGCGGUAGCUGUACCUGUAAAAUAUACAAUACUACAAACAGUAGUAUAGAGUUGCUAGAAGAGCCAGUAACAAAAACAAACCGAGUUCCAUAUACAUACGCCAAAUCCCAGAUACAAAACUACUCGCCCUGGCGAGUUAAACGUCUGUAUGUAUAUGAACUCCAAUAAAAACAACUACCUGGUGUAGAGGCACCUCUAACUCGGCUCGUCUAGUAGGGCUCUAACUCGCGACGCCCUUGUCUCGAUCCAGAUCGGCAACAGCAGCAGCCGAAAACGAUGACUCUGCAAAAACGGGAUAACAACAGGGCGUGAGAACUACUGUAAAACAAGUAGUCCUCAGCGGGUGCCGCCCUCAACAUCAUCGGUACACCCACUAAGUCUACAGAAGGGAGCGAAGAUAGUAAUAAAUGCUGGAAUAAAAUCUACAGCUACGAGUUAUUACACUAUCAUGCUCUAAACUAAUCUACUGUAUAAAUGCCAAUCCUGACCCAAUCUCUUUAGGGACUGUAAACAUACCCGUCCCAGGGAUUGUGAAUACACCCGUCCCGCCUAGUUGGGACUAUCCAGCUACCUCCACACUAACCAGUCCGUGAAGAGUAAGUCCAACCGUUAAUGAACGACACCAACGCGGGAAGCACAACGCCCGUCUCCGGAGUGGCACUCGUGGGAGCUACCCAACCGAGUAUGCAGCGUAUCUCUGUCGAGCUCAAUCAGGCUCUAACAAGCCAAAGUCAAGUUGUAAGGACUGAGUUUUUACAGUGCAACUAAACUCUCUGUUGACGAUGUUUAUGUGUGUAAUUUAAUUACAUAAGCACUCGUCAAGUUUCAGGAGAAAAUGAGCUAAAACGGAGAAGUUACGCGAUUUUUAGUUUUCACUUAAGUGAAUAGUAACUCCGAUUUUCCGGAGAAGCCACGGAGUAGAGUUGGCUUCUGGUGCGUAUCGGACUCCGUUCAUAGCAGUCCAAUAGCUCGUUUCGAAGGAUGCAGGUAUUCUGGAACUAAUGGCGCUGGCGGAUUUUGGUUUUGACACACGGAUUUCGACAAAAUCUGAAAAUACAUGUUUCUUAUGUAAUUGUGCGUCAUUGUGGCCUUUUGGAAAGAGAAUGGAUUUCGUCGCGAAUCUGUGGUCGAUCGAGGUGAACCAAAAAUCGUAGCUUUGCUAUCUCCGAGGUGCUGAUCGCACUGGUGUGAUCCGUUCGCAAAUCCGAUGGACGGAUCUGCGGAGAUCGCACGUUGAUCGAAGAGAGGUCGGUGUUGGCAAAAUUGUAAUUUCGCAAAAGAUGCGAUAUUUUAUGUGCCGUUUUGCGUGGGAUCGUACAUGGAGGGGUAUUCUCGCGUUUUACACGCGCUGUGGAGUACUCGUUAUGAAAUUUUGAGUUCUGGAGGACUUACUUGCAUUUUGUCUCUAGUAUAAGGCUAAAAGAGUUAGGGUUUUCAUGUGAAACCCUAACCCUACACCAUUCCGAGAUAACCCUAGCCUCCUAACCGCUUCACCUCCUCCCUGCCCACCCCAUGCGCGCGUCUUGGCCGCCGGCAAGCCGCUGCGGUCGCCGGAGGGACCUCCCCGGCUUCCCCCUCCACUUUCUCUCCCUCUCCAUCUCUAUCCCUCUCUCCCUCUCUCUUAUCUCGGGUUGUGAGGAAGCCCGAGACUGCCGCCACCUCCAGACCCUCCGCCGGUGUCGCUCCGUGCUCCGGCGAGCAUCCCCGCCGACCGCCGCCGUCGCCAAGCGCCGCCGCGGCCGCUGCUGCACCCGGCUGCUGCCUAGGCCGAGCUUAGGUCGAGGAUGACUCGCGGCCUCCCCGCGCGCAGCCACCGCCUGCACCCGUUCCGGCCGCCAUCCCCGGACCCUCGGCCACCACCCCGGCGGGUCGCCGGCGCUCCUGCGGGCCGCCGCCGCCGCCGCGGCCACCCUGCGGCCAUCCCAGGUCUGCUCGGACCGAGCAGACUUGGUAACUCCACCCCAGCGCCGCAGCCGCCUUGGUCCACACCCGCGGCCUUCUCCUGUGUCCCACCGACUUUUCCGGCCGGUCGCCGCCGCCCUUCGGAUCGCCGCCGCCGCCCUGAACCUUGGGCGCCGCCGCCUAGGCCUGCAGACCGAGCCUAGCUCGAGUGGCAACGCCCGAGCCGCGGGCCGCCGCCGCUGUCGCCCGCCGCCUUCCUCCUCCUCCUCUGGCCUCUGUGGACCUGCCACCGUCGUCCCCGACCUGCCCCGGCCGCCGCCGUGGCCGCAACACCCCCCGGACCCGUGCCCUAGCUCGUGCGGGCAUGCCUUGCUCCGCCGACGCCGCCGCCGCACCCCGCCGCCAACGGAGGUGAGCAUCGUGUUCCUCACCUCCCCCGCACCCAUCCCUGGCCCCCACGCGCGCCGCCGUGCCGCCGGAGGCCGGCCGGAGCAACCUUGCUCCGGCCAAGCCCGAAAUAGGGCUUAGUUUGGGAUGGUUUACUGUUCGGAGCUUCCUGAGCCUCCCCGAUCUCUGCGAAAGGGAGCACGAUGAUCGUAGAAAAUUGCUGAUCAUCGUGCUCACCUUAGAUUCUGCCGGGGAGACUCCGCUCCGCUGUUUCGGCAGUGUCGACCCUGUCGAGCCUGUUUGGCUGCUGUUUUGGGUUUGCGCACGCUUAUCCGGCGAUCCGAGGCUGUCCUGAUGCCUCCGGAGGUGAGCACAGUGAUCGUGGGUCAGUUCUGAUCACAGUGCUCACCUCACUUUGGAUCAACAGUGUCCGGUUAGCCCUGUUUUGAGCAAUCUUCCCCGACUGCGCGCUAUUCGCUGAACCUUCGGGUUGCUCCCGCGCUCCCCACAGUGACCUGUUGCGCUCCAGACCGUGAGCACGGCCUCCGGUACGUCGAGACCUAUCAGUAUGUGUCUCAGCAGAACUUAGAAGUCCUCGGUUUGCGUGUACGGGCUAUGUUAUCGCCCGAUUUACAUAAAAUAUUGGGAUUUUAUGUAAAUUCAGGGGCUUUUGUGCAAUUGUGAGCCUUGUGGCUACUGUGGACAGUGUGUAGACAUGUGUGGUGUCCUCUGGACUGAUUGUCCAUGAUCCGUUAGCUUUUGCAGAAAUCGAAGAGUCGAUUUCGAUGCGUUUUUCGGCGAAAUUCGCCGAAAGAACGCGGUUUCGGUUCGGAUUUCUUCCGACGUCGUUUGGUUGCUCUGUGAGUGGUCGCUAAGCCUUGUUGGCUGGUCACCAUCAUCACUUUGUGGGUUCGGUGAUGACGGGUGAGCGACGGUGGGUUCCGGUGUCGAAUUUGACACUUCCGGGAACCCGUGUUUGUACAAUUAUCCGGCGAUAAUUGUGUAGUGGUGUUAUCUUGUGUUUGCUGCCAAAACAUCCAAAUUGGAGUGUUUUAGGGCAGUAGGUGACUCGUGACAAGAGUCGGUGAGUUGCGGGACACUUAGUGGGCCCCGACGGCGUCCCGGUGUGGUUUUCGGGACUUCCGGCGUAUUACGACGAUCGGUUUGGGAAACCGAUUCUCGUGGGUUUAUUUGUGGGUUUAUGCUUUUAGGGUUUCUUAGCUAUGGGUUAGACACUAACCCAGUGGACCCUCCUUAGGUCCUGUUGACGUUCUUUUGAAGUCAGGAGACAGGCGCGACAGUUGUACAGGUGGGAUAGUUCGAGUCCGACGUCGUACAGUGGUGCACGCUCGUGAUGGUUUCUAUACCCUUGCUCCUUUGUUAUUAUCCAUGCAUAUGUUAUAUGUUGAGCUUUGCACCUCUAUUGAUUACAUUACACCCACGUUGUUUGAUUAUACUUACUCGUUGUUUGCAUGCUUAGUAUCCUGAGUAGGAGUAGAGUGGUUCUAUCCGCAUCCGUAUCUGUUGACCUAGUUGGUCUGUUGGCAUUCUGUAUCUGUUGACCUAGUUGGUCUGUUCUGCAUUCCUCUACUCAGUUAUUUCCAUGUUGAUAUAUACUUAGGAGUAGAGUUGACUUAUCUGUCACUAUAUCUUGAUUUGGUUGGGCGUUCCCCUAUUGUGAUAUCUAUGACCUAUUCGGUCGAGUUGCUACAGUUCUACUUGACUUACGUAGUCGAUUAGUUGCUGAUGGCUAUACGGUCGCGUGGCCCUGAGGGGCUGAUGGAUCGGCUAGUUGGCGAUGGAUGAUCUUGAGCAUACUACAUUGAUCGCCACUACAGUACGCAUUUCACGAACCGACCAGCGGUCUGAUCCACCGCAAGAGGGUGUUCUUUUCCGGAAAAGUGGUUGGAUUGCCAACCGGUAAAGCCCAGGGCUUUAUUGCGAGGGAUAUGUUGACCCAGGGCUUCAUUGCGAGGUCAGGUACUAUGCUUAUGACCCAGGGGCUUCAUUGCGAGGGUCAGGUGCAGGUUGAGCAGUGUGGCAUGGGCCUGAGGUUUCGGACCAAUAGGGCAGCGAGAUUGGGUACUUUUGAGCUUAUCGUCAGUUGGGGCUGCAUACAGUAGUGUAGUGUUUAUUUCCAGUACAUCCUUAUCUGUUUAUUGUACGCUACUGUUUUAUUUACCUGCAUCUAUACUUGUCAGCUUCUUACAUAUCUCUUUCGUUUAUUGUUUUGCUACUAUAUUUCACUGGACCGUGUUGUUGUAUAGCUCUUCCUGAUCUGGUGAGUAUCCUCGCCUUCAUCGGCUUGCGGUACCACGGGGAGGGGACAUGUUUACAUGUUCUCACUCCCCACCAUUUUUCAGGUAUCGGGGGCGGUGAGGGUGAGACGAGGCGGAGGUACGCGUGUAGCGUCGACUAGAGCUUCCGACCGAGGUUAUUUCGCUUUAGUUUCUUACCCUUCUUACUUCGGUUGAUGUAUGUUUAGUUGGUUCAUGUGGUUCAGUGUUUAUUUACAUUUUGAAAAUGUGAAUUCUGGAUUUUGUAAAUAAAUGUUUCUACCCCUCGUGGUAGCGUUUUUAAAGAUAAAGGUUUCCGUGUAGGAAACAGUUUUCAAAAGAAUUUUUCGUGGAUUUCUAUUUAAACAUGAAUGUAAAACUGUGAUGUGAAUGGUGAAUGUAUGAAUGUAUAGGUAUUUUUAUAUUCAUUUGUUGUGGUUGUGGUUGUUUCCUGGCUAUACUCUUAUACUGUGUUGACGCCGUGCAAAUACAGGGGGACUCUGUCCGCGUGAGCAGUGGAUUCCCUGUAUUUGUGGCGGAUCUGGCAUACCCGGUCAGGUUUCCAAAAAAAAAAAAAAAAAAAAAAAUUCUGCUGUGUUUUAACCUAAAAGGGACCCCGGGGCAUGACACAAGUAACUAGGGUCAAAACAUGUCUAGAAACCAAACCCACGUGCCCUCAGCACAAUCUGAGACCAAAAAUAAGUAUCUGGGUCCACUGUCCACCCCGACAGCACCCAACAAUCCGAAACCGUUCAAACGACCCUGUAAAAAUCCACUCGGCGAACCAGCACGAGUGUAAAUACAUUCUAAACUACCUGGGGUAUCCAUCACACCAAUACUGCGAUGAUACAAAUUUAUAACGGCUCCUAGAGCUAAAUCAGGUAGUGUAAACAGGUGACAAGUCCAAAUCGCCGGUUUUCUCCUAAUUUCAUUUCCAAGUCCAACAUGUAUAGUUUAACUAGAUUCUAUACAUGCUUCAAAUUCAGAUUUCAGCCACUAUGCUACUCAAUGAAUUUAAGCUAGUACGGAGUAUAAACAAUCGGAAACUAUACAUGUUUACUAAUCUCUACUUAGGAGUAAACCCGAUGAAAACUCACCUCACAGGCUAAUCCCCGGCAGCGAAGAGGGUCACCGGAGUCCUUGCUAAGCUCGACUGCAACUCACCGAACCAGCAAUAACAACACUCCAAGAAUCUAGACAUAGAAACCCACAAUAAAUACAAAUUCUACUCAAAACAAUAUCAGCAGAGAGAAAUAGAGUUUCGACCAAGCUAACCUUCACCAAAAUCAGCAAUCUUGGACUUCGUGGAUUCCUCUCGAAGUCCUAAAUCCAACGAACCAAGUUUCGUCGUAAUCCGACACUCCUACGUCGCGUACGAGCCGCAACACCGACGGUCGACGUGGAAAUUCUGCAAAACAACAUCUUUGAGCUUGAAGUAGUAAGGACUUGCAACGGUUGAAGGAAUUGAUGAACACCUCAGCUCAACCUCUAUCCGAACUCCGGCGCGACGUCGAGAACAGUGAAAAUCCACACUAGCCCUGCCUCCUCGCAGCACUAAACAACGAAGACACGCCCGACAGGCUCCACGGCGCGACGUUGGCGAAACUCAAACUCCACCCGAGCUCCUCUACAAUCGGACCAAGCUAGAGAGAGAGAGGAGAAGAAGCCAGAGAAAACUCUCACUCUCUCUGCUCUACACGUCUAAAUAGAGAGGAAGGGAAAGGGUGACACGAACGAGGUAGAAAAAGACCAAAACACCCUCUCACCUACCCUGGUGUACCGGUACACGGGCCUGUGUACCGGUACAAAGGCCAACCCGAGAGCAGUCUGCGUACAGCCCUGUGUAGUGUACCAGUACACCAUACUGGCUGUACCGGUACAGCAAGCAGAGAAAACUGCUAUUUGUAGAUUUUCUUGCCAAAGGCUGCUCUCGCAUCGCGCAGAGUCCGUUUUGCGUCUAUUUCGCGCCAACGAGACUCAGACUCGUCCCGACACUCUCCAGAGCUGUCGACAAGCCUUUACCGCAAACACCAGGAAUCUCACAUUCUCUCCCACUACAAAAAGUUUCGUCCGCGAAACUUAAGUAUACCUCAGCUCUAGCAUCGAACAAAUAGUGAUCUCAUAUUAUAUACAUGUAUAUAUACAUACAUGUCUGAUAUACAUACAUGUCUGUAUAUAUACAUGUAUGAUANNNNNNNNNNNNNNNNNNNNNNNNNUGUUGUGUAGCUAUUUCUGUUCAUAUAUGGGAUUAGGGACUAUAUGGUUCGCGUAGCUGCUUUAUGUUUUUUCCCGUCUUAUUUUUCUGCAGGCUGGAGUUUGAAGGCAUUUUUUUUUUUUUAGCUUUCAUUGCUUAUUAAAUCUUGAGCCGUUAUAUUUUUUUCCCCUGCCUUUUUUUCCUAACUGUUUUUUUGGGUUUUAACAGUAUAUACCAUUACGUUGUUGUAUGAUUGAACUUGAACUCAAUAAUUUGAAUUUGGAUGUUGCAACUCUUAACCUAUCAUUUUGUGCCUGAUUUUUUUACUCAAUGAUGCCUCCUUUUGUUUGACCAAAAAACAUGCCAAAGCCAGUAAUUGCCUUCAUAAUCUUCUAUUAAUAAAUCUUCGGUCGUUGGAAUACAGAAACCUUUUUAGAGUUCAUGAUAUUAUGCAAAGCUUGGAAUGCACUAGGAAUCAAAAACCAUAUUCAUUCUGUUCUUCAUAAAUACUAACUAAAAAGCGGGCCUGUUGUUAUAAGUAUUCUUUUGUUUGACCAAAUUCUUUUAGGUGUCAAUAUAGGUGGCAUUUUUUAUAGAUUUUGAUAUGUAAAAGUUUGUUUGUAAGACGGUAGUUCUUAACUUUAUAAGACAACCAUCCAACUCUUCUUUGGUUUUUCUGCCGUUUAUAAUGAUGAAAAAAUAGUAGCUACCAGAUCGCACAGCCUUACUCCGCUCAUCUUAGCAAUGCUUCUUACACACCUGGGAAAAAAAAGGUCCUGUUUUGAUUGUUGAAAAUAAUUUUGUGGCCUUAUUCUUGUUAUAGGUACUCUAUAGUGCAUCAAGUUUGUCGACAACGUUUGGGACAAAUUACCUGUGUUUUGGUGGAAAUUGUUAUCAGUGUGUUCAUAAAUAGAAACUUUUAGAUUAUAAUGCUGAGUAAAUAUUGAUGACAAGACCUUUAAAUAAACCGAAUAUUUGAAGUCCUUUCUAUGAUAUUUAACCAAGUAGAAAGUCAGUACCUGUCAGACUUUAUAAGUUGUAGGCGUGUUUCUUGAUGUUUGUUUUAUUAUUCUACAAUUGAGUUGUGUUAUGAAAUUGUAAAAACCUCAAUGGUUUCCUGCAUUCAACCUUUAAUUAAUCAUCGGAAUAGUUUGUAUUAUGAUCUUACUGCUAUCAUCUUUUGGAUAUUCGCACUUGUGUCGAAUGUAGAAAUGGUUUUUGUUAUGGAUAUUAUAGAAUUUUUGUUCUAUCAUUUGAUUUUUUUUAGCUAAAGCAAGCUGAGUAUAUCUGUGAUUUUUAUCUGAAGCUAUUUUAAAAACAACUGAAACUGAACUAUAUCUUGACAAUCUUAUGAGUUAAGUUUGGGUACUGAAAGCGUGGAAACUUCCACUUCUUUUAUCUUUUGUUUUGUCAGCCUAAAAUUAUUAUCAUUUUUUUUUCUGCCUAAUGGAAUGCAGAAUACUUCUUUGUAUUAUGUUUGCGCCUUUCUUUUAGGUUGUCUUCAUUCUUUGUGAGUUUAUCAAUCGGUUUUAGUUUGUGGUUAAUUAAAUGUAUUUUAUAAUUUUUAAAACUAAGUGGCAUCAUAAACAAUAUAAUGUUUGACAGUAUUGUCUGUGCAAUAGAAUGUGAAAUGUUUGAUGUAUUAUCCGUUGCAUCUUUACCUUUUAGGUUGCGCGGUCUUUUGAGUUUUAUCUCGACUAUCGUUUCGUGAUUUUUUUUUUUUUGUUUUUUUCUUUUGUGGGCUAUAAUUAAACUUGCCAGUAUUAUUACAUAAGUUUCCUACUUUUGUAGACAUAAGGUGUGUAAGUAAUAUAUCAUUAGGUCAUCUUUGAUACUCUUUAAGUACGGGAACGGUAUCCAAUUUCUUACAAAUAUGGAUUGCAGCACCUACACUGCGUUUUUUUUUGGCAAUCAAAUUGUUAAUAUUCUUAUCUUUUUACAUUGAAUAGUGAACCUAAAGGUGCAUCCCUUAUUAUUUAUUUUUUUGUUUUGAGAGAGAGUCCCUUUAUUUAAUUGAUGAAUCUCAACUUUUUUUACUUUUUUUUUUAAUGUUAAUUCUUAAAUUUUUUGCAAUCCAAAUAUUUAAAAUUACAGAUAAUUGCUUGGUUAGUAUCCGCCUGUAUUGCGCGGGUCCCAUAAACUAGUAACGCAUGAUAUUUUUGUAAAUUAAACAGCUUAUUGUUUGCUUGUUUCUUUUGCUUUAUAAGCCUAGGAGAAGGCUCACCAAGUUCUUAGAUAAAAGACGUAACCUUCUUUUUUUAAUUAAUGAUUAGGGACGGUGUUUGAUCCUGAAAAAUCGUGAACAGAACAAUAUUUUUUAGAAAAGUAGUUUUCAUGAGAAAAAAUCUUAUUACAACCUUUCUAUAGAGCUCUGAAUUUUUAUUUUGUUUUCAGAACUACACAUUCUCAGAACGAAAUAGAGGAAAAAUACUUUUCCAAACCAAAAUUAUUUUCAGAAAUAUUUUUCCCGGAAUGAAACCCCCUUGAUUAAAAAGUCACAUAGUAGCUAGUAACACAUUAAUAAAAAAAAUAAAAAAAAAAAAAUUGUAAUUCAAAGAAUUGAUGUUUCUGUUAACAAAUUUUUAAAAGACCAAUGACUACUGGUGGUGUAAGAGUCCUACAAUUCUACAAAACUUAAUUAUUAUAAUCUCUUAAUUAUGUGUAAAAAUGGUUAGUUACUUAACAGUUAAUUAAUUUAUUACAGUUAAAAAUUAAUUUAUAAGAGAUAUUCACCCGGUUUCUUCGAAAGUAACGGCAAUGCUAUCCAUUUGAUACGCGUUCUUACAAUGCACAUUCAAAGCUUCUGGGCAGCUGAGAGCAUAUUUCCCAAGUUCUGGCCAGCGUGAAAGCAUAUAUCCCGAAAGUAUUAAAAAAAAAAAAAAAAAAGAGACAGUAAUGAAAGAUACAGGGUGUGAACUGGUACAAGAGGGUGUGAACUGGUAUAAGAGGAUUCCUUGACAUAAUGGUGCGACGAUGGCCGCGGCGCAGCAGUCACCGAUGAUCGGGCUGGCGACCAGCGACGGUGCAGGCAACAAGCGGCCGUUGGUCGGUCGGUCGGUCGUGAGAACCACGGGCAUCAUCCUUCUCUGAUCUCAAUCUGUUUUAUUACAAUAAAUAAAAAAUAUAUAUAUUCCGCAAUUCAAAGUUAGUGUCGCGACAAUUUUAUAAAAUAAUAUAAAUACAUUCGGAUUAGUCGAAUUAAAAUAAAAAACAACAUAACACCAAUCCAGAACACAAUAAAUACCAGAACUAAUGCUACCAAAACAACAGAAUAAAAAAAAGAAAAAGAAAAAGAAGCAUAAGCAGUUAUAAAAGAGAAAAAAGAAAAACAGUCAUCAUCAAAGCGAUUUCGCAAUAUCUUUCGCAGCUUCAGAUGCACGGGAGGCCCUUUCUUUAUCACAAUCGCACCAACUGCGGCAGCCGACAAGCAGACAUUCGUAACAAGCGUAACUUUUAGAAUUACGUCUGCAGAUUUUUAUUUUCCCUCUCAAUUGCUCGAUUUUUUUUUUUUCUUCUCGUUGCUCGCUACUAAACUCUCAAGAUCUUUACUAAGCUGAUUUAGUUCUUCGGAGUCAGAUUCGUGCUGCUCAAUCUCGUCUGAAAUAAUAAGUAAAUUAAGUAAGUAAGAAAGAGCCGAAUUAGAUAGAAAAAAAAAAUUACAAAUUACAAUAAAAAAUACCAGAAUCAACGGAGGAAUUCAUUAUCGAUCGAUCGAGUCUAAAACAAAAAAUAAAGACAAGAGUAAAGAUAAGUCAAAAAAUAUAUAUAAAGCCAAAAGAGUAGUAGAGAAAUUAAAAAAAUAGCAUAAUAAUAUUCCUCUUCUUGAGAUUGGAGAGAAGCACGCCCAAGCACGCCCGCUGAGAGUUGGAUUGGGAGAGCGGCUGAAGUUAGGAUAUUGGGAGAGGCGUGGGCGAGGAGGGUUAAAAGAAUAGAGUUGGGAUGGAGAGGAGGGGAGGAGGGGUUAAAGAAUAAAGGAGGAGGAUUUGAAUUUAUAGACAAGGAAAUUAAAAAAAAAAAAAAAAAAAAAAAUCUGCAAAAGUUUGCUGGCGGUCAACGUGAGUUGGUGAAAGGUGCCGUGUUGCCAUUUCUUGCCCAGGACAGUGUUGUGUGCACCCGCAAGAGUUAAAAACAUAUUUUCCUUAUAUCAGGGGUAAAAAUGUAAUCUUAUACUAUCGCUACAUCUUGUACCCUAUUUAUUUAUAAUAAUCUAUAUAAUCUCUGUGGCACACUGUUGUUUAUGCUGGUGCAGGGGAGAGCUCAAUCUCUUAUUUGUUGAGCCUUUUGUAUCUGUUCUUGGCUUGGAUUACCGUGUUCAGUGCAUGUUAUAUUACGCGAUUCGCUUAUAUUGUAUAUUUUCUUUAAUAAGUAUAUCUGAUAAUUAGGUAGGAGCCUUUUUUUUUUUUUCUUCUUUUGUUAAAGGAAAAGCUAAAUACUAUAUUCUUGUAUGUCGAUUGUUUGUGCUUGAGAGUGAUCGGAUAUUAUAAAAUUUGUGCUUGUGGAGAUGCUAGGGUUGCCUGUACCGAUUUGCUGAUUGCAAGGAAAAGAGAACGUGUGAGUGGUUAGGAUAUGCAUUAGUUUGCAAAUUUUUUAAAAAAGAUAUGUUUAAAUUUAAAAACAAAUGAUAGAAUUCUAUAAUUUUGAAAUAGUAUGUUUAAAUUAAAAAAAAUUGAUAGGACAUUCUGUAAUUUUUUACUCUAAUCCCACAUACGCUAAGCAUGUUGCUGAAUGGAUUUAAAUCAAGCCGAGUCAACUGAGCUGGCUUCUGAGUAGAGUCAGUGAGUUGCAUGCAGAAUAGGGUGGCAAUCUAGCCCGUUGUUCGCCGGAGCCAGCUCGUGUUCGCUCGAAAUGAGCUCGAGAUCGGCUCGCUCGUUUAGUAAAUAAGCCGAACCACGAGCUGAAUUUUUCAGCUCGUUUAAUAAAUGAUCCGAACACGAUCUGGGGUAACUCGCUCGUGUUCGGCUCCGAUAACAGCUCGAAUACAUAUAUUUUAUAUUUAUAUAAUAUUUAAUUAUAUUUCAUAUAUAAAUAAAUAAUUAUAUAUAAUAUAUUUUUUUAUUAUUUAUUUUAACAAAUAAAAAUAUAAUGCGAGUUUAAUUAUAAAAAUACUAUUUUAUAUAAAGUUUCAACUAUUAGAUCAAAGUCUAAUGGAUAAAAUUUUAUAAAUUUAUUUUUUAUAUAUAUUUAAUCAUUUUUUUUAAUUUAUUAUUCAUUAGUCAGCUUGUGAGCCAACUCAUGUUCGGCUCGUUAAUAAACGAGCCGAACACGAGCUGAAUUUUUCGGCUCGAUACUUUAAGAGCCAGCUCGUAUUCAACUCGUUUAUAAACGAGCCGACUCCAGCUCGCGCCGUGUUCGGCUCGUUUACACCCCUAUGCACGAAUAUGUACUUACAUGCACAAUAUGUAUCACUAAUGUGGGGAGGACAGAUAAUAUAAGAUAGUAUUAACAUCUAAUUCAUUCAUGAUUUAUUAAUAUGUUAUAUUCUAAUUACACUUGGUACAAACAAACUAUGAUUUAUUCUAAUUACACUUGAGUACAAACAAAACUAUUCUCUUCAUCAGUGAAAAUACUGGUAUAUAACCGCUAGCAAUAAUAAUUUGUGGCCCAAAAUCACCGGCAAAAUAUUUAAAUCUAAUUAUUAUGUCUAAUUCAAUAAGCUUAUAUAAUUUCAUAACUAGGCAUAACUAUCUAAUAUAGGCUAUUAAGGUUUAGAUCCCCAUCUUAAAUUUGACCUCUCAACUAUCUUUUUUAUUUUUUAUAUUGGUAUUCACCGCAACCAUUUUACUAUGUCUUCAUGCAAUAUUAUAUAUUUUAUAGUUGAUCUGAAACUCAUCAUAAGUUAACUGCUACAUGAGAUUGUUAAUCCUAUAUAUCGUCUUGUUAGCUAAGAAGGUACUAUCUAGGCCUUAAAUUCGAUAGAAUACUACUAUUAAAUUGCAGUCUAAGCUUUAAAUAAGAUCAAGUUAAAAUGAUUAAUUAAAAGUUUAGAAAUUGUUCAACCGGAAACUAAGUUUAAGGGCUCUAUUAAAUGGGCCUAUAGUUGUGGAGAUAUCCGUACAUUUUUUUCUGCUUAAACAAAUGCCAAAGUUGUUUCAAAUAAACAAAAGCUUUUCAUUCAUUUAUUUUUGCAAACUAUUUGUUAUUUUCAUCUUUUCUUAUUUAUUUAUUUUGUAAAAUAUUAUUUUCUGGUGGUUUUUUUUAGAAUUUUUUAAAAAUUUAUUUCGCAAAUAUUUUUUAGAGUUUAAUUAACAUUUAAUAUUAGCAUUUUAUUUUAAAAUAUUGAAAUAUAAAUUUAAUUUAAUAUUUUUAAUUUAAGGUUAAUUUUAAAUUUAUAUUCAAAUAUAGUUCUAAAUCUUAAUUUUUAAUUCUAAAUUUUAAGGUUUGAAAAUUCUUUAAAUUCAAAUUUUAAAAUUAAAAUAUAAAAUUUGGAUCCAAAUUGAGUUUAAAUUUUAAUUUUAAAUUUCAAAUCUUAAAAUUCAAAAUGAAAGUUAAAUUUCAAUUUUUAAAUUUUGAAAUGUAAAAAUUUUAAUAUUUUAAAACUCAAAAAGAUUACAAUUAUACAUCUUAAUUUACAAUUGCAAAUUUAAUUUUUUGCAAUUCAACAUUUAAUUCUUUAUUCAAUUUGAAUUUUGACUGUCGAAUUUAGAUCUUAAAAUUAAAAUUAAAUUUCAAAUAAUAAAAUUUCAAAUUUUAAAUUAUAAAUCCUAGUAAUAAAUAAAUAUUAGACAUUAAUUUGUAAAUAUAAACUAAAUAUUAAAUUUCUAAUUAAAAAUUUAAAUUUAGUUUUAAAAUCUUAAAAAUGUGCGAGUUCUCUAGAAAUAAUCACUUGAAAAUGACUUUUAAAAACAUUUCACAUCACUUUUAUUUUCUUGGGAGUUGGGCACUUCCGAAAAUGAAAAAAGACAAGACUCUUCUCUCCCUUUUUAUUGAUCAAUGUAUGCAAGGCCUCAUAGCAGCCAACCCACUUGACAACAUUGCAACCAACCAACCUCACAUUUAUAUACUAAAAACUAAAUAUACAUCUUAUUUUAAAUUAAAAAUAUUAAAAAAUUGAAAGUCUUAUACAUGGAUAAAUUUAGAGAAAAAUUUUAAUUAAUAGGUUACACAGAGUACUUGUGACAUUUUCGAUUUUUUCCUUUCUAGAAACACUAAAUCAAGUUUUUUUUCUAAUGCUUUGGAUUCUUAUUGUCACGCCCGGAGUUACACGGUUCUCGGGCACCCGACAAAUCCGCCGUAUACAAAAAAAAUUUUUCUUGUAUACGAAGCGGUAGCUGUACCUGUAAAUAUACAAUACUACAACAGUAGUAUAAAGUUGCUAGAAGAGGCCAGUACAAAAAACAAACCGAGUUCCAUAUACAUACGCCAAAUCCGCAGAUACAAAACUACUCGCCCUGGCGAGUUAAACGUGUAUGUAUAUGAACUCCAUAAAAACAACUACCUGGGUGUAGAGGGCACCUCUAACUCGGCUCGUCUAGUAGGGCUCUAACUCGCGACGCCUGUGUCUCGAUCCAGAUCGGCCACGCAGCAGCCGAAACAUGACUCUGCAAAAACGGGAUAACAACAGGGUCGUGAGAAACUACUGUAAAACAAGUAUCCUCAGCGGUGCCUGCCCUCACAUCAUCGGUUAACCCACUAAGUCUACAGAAGGGAGCGAAGAUAGUAAUAAAUGCUGUGAAUAAAAUCUACAGCUACGAGUUAUUACACUAUCAUGCUCUAAACUAAUCUACUGUAUAAAUGCACAUCCUGACCCAAUCUCUUAGGACUGUAAACAUACCCGUCCCAGGGAUGUGAAUACACCCGUCCCGCGCUGUUGGGACUAUCCAGCUACCUCCACACUAACAUCCGUGAAGAUAAGUCCAACCGUUAAUGAACGACACCAACGCGGGAAGCACAACGCCUCUCCGAGUGGCACUCGUGGGAGCUACCCAACCGAGUAUGCAGCGUAUCUCUGUCGAGCUCAAUCAGGCUCUUAACAAGCCAAAGUCAAGUUGUAAGGACUGAGUUUUUACAGUGCAACUAAACUCUCUGUUGACGAGUUUUGUGUGUAAUUUUAAUUACAUGAAGCACUCGUCAAGUUUCAGGAGAAAAUGAGCUAAAACGGAGAAGUUACAGAUUUUUAGUUUUCACUUAGUGAAUAGUAACUCCGAUUUCCGGAGAAGCCACGCAGUAGAGUUGGCUUCUGUCGUGCGUAUCGACCGCGUUCAUAGCAGUCCAAUAGCUCGUUUCGAAGGAUGCAGGUAUUCUGGAACUAAUGGCGCGGCGCGAUUUUGUUUUGACACAUCGGAUUUCGACAAAAUCUGAAAUACAUGUUUCUUAUGUAAUUGUGCGUCAUUGUGGCCUUUUGGAAAGAGAAUGGAUUUCGUCGCGAAUCUAUGGUCGAUCGAGGUGAAAAAAAAUCGUAGCUUUGCUAUCUCCGAGGUGCUGAUCGCACUGGUGUGAUCCGUUCGAAAUCGAUGGACGGAUCUGCGGAGAUCGACGUUGAUCGAAGAAGGUCGGUGUUGGCAAAAUUGUAAUUUCGCAAAGAUGCGAUAUUUUAAUGUGCCGUUUUGCAUGGGAUCGUACAUGAGAGGGUUUCUCCGUGCUGUACACGCGCUGUGGAGGACUCGUUAUGAAAUUUUGAGUUUGGAGGACUUACUUGCAAUUUGUCUCUAGUAUAAGGCUAAAAGAGUUAGGGUUUUCAUGUGAAACCCUAACCCUACACCAUUCGAAAACCCUAGCUCCUAACCGCUUCACCUCCUCCUGCCACCCCAUGCGCGCACCUUGCCGCCGCAAGCCGCUGCGGUCGCCGGAGGGACCUCCCCGGCUUCCCCCUCUACUUUCUAUCUCCCUCCAUCUCUAUCCUCUCUCCUCUCUCUUAUCUCGGUUGUGAGGAAGCCGAGACUUGCGCACCUCCAGACCCUCCGCCGGUGUCGCUCCUGGCUCCGGCGAGCAUUCCCGCCGACCGCCGCGUCGCAAGCGCCGCGCGGCCGCUGCUGCACCGGCUGCUGCUAGGCGAGCUUAGUCGAGGAUGACUCGCGGCCUCCCCGCGCAGCCACGCUGCACCGUUCGGCGCCAUCCCGGACCUCGGCACCACCCGGCGGGUCGCCGGCGCUCCUGCGGCGCCGCCGCGCCGCGGCCACCCUGCGGCCAUCCCAGGUCUGCUCGGACCGAGCAGACUUGGUAACUCCACCCCAGCGCCGCAGCGCCUUGGUCCACACCCGCGGCCUUCUCCUGUGUCCCACCGACUUUCGGGGGUCGCCGCCGCCUUCGAUCGCCGCCGCCGCCCUGAACCUUGGGCGGCCGCCGCUAGGCCUGCAGACAAGCCUAGCUCGAGUGGCAACGCCCGAGCCGCGGGGCCGCCGCCGCUGUCGCCCGCCGCCUUCCUCCUCCUUCCUGGCCUCUGUGACUGCCACCGUCGUCCCCGACUGCCCCCCGGCCGUGGCGCAACACCCCCGGACCGUGCCCUAGCUCGUGCGGGCAUGCCUUGCUCCGCCGACGCGCCGCCGCCACCCCGCCGCCAACGGAGGUGAGCAUCGUGUUCCUCACUCCCCCGCACCCAUCCCUGGCCCCACGCGCGCCGCCGUGCCGCCGGAGGCCGGCCGGAGCAACCUUGCUCCGGCCAAGCCGAAAUAGGGCUUAUUUGGGAUGGUUUACUGUUCGGAGCUUCCUCGAGCCUCCCCGAUCUCUGCGAAAGGGAGCACGAUGAUCGUAGAAAAUUGCUGAUCAUCGUGCUCACCUUAGAUUCUGCGGGGAGACUCCGCUCCGCUGUUUCGGCAGUGUCGACCCUGUCGAGCCUGUUUGGCUGCUGUUUUGGGUUGCGCACGCUAUCCGGCGAUCCGAGGCUGUCCUGAUGCCUCCGGAGGUGAGCACAGUGAUCGUGGGUCAGUUCUGAUCACAGUGCUCACCUCACUUUGGAUCAACAGUGUCCGGUUAGCCCUGUUUUGAGCAAUCUUCCCGACUGCGCGCUGUUCGCUGAACCUUCGGGUUGCUCCGCCGCUCCCCACAGUGACCUGUUGCGCCUCCAGACCGUGAGCACGGCCUCCGGUACGUCGAGACCUAUCAGUAUGUGUCUCAGCAGAACUUAGAAGUCCUCGGUUUGCGUGUACGGGCUAUGUUAUCGCCCGAUUACAUAAAAUAUUGGGAUUUUAUGUAAAUUCAGGGGCUUUUGUGCAAUUGUGAGCCUUGUGCUACUGUGGACAGUGUGUAGAAUGUGUGGUGUCCUCUGGACUGAUUGUCCAUGAUCCGUUAGCUUUUGCAGAAAUCGAAGAGUCGAUUUCGAUGCGUUUUUCGGCGAAAUUCGCCGAAAGAACGCGGUUUUCGGUUCGGAUUUCUUCCGACGUCGUUUGGUUGCUCUCUGUGAGUGUCGCUAAGCCUUGUUGGCUGGUCACUAUCAUCACUUUGUGGGUUCGUGUGAGCGGCGUGAGCGACGGUGGGUUCCGGUGUCGAAUUUGACAUUCCGGGAACCCGUGUUUGUAAAUUAUCCGGCGAUAUUGUGUAGUGGUUUAUCUUGUGUUUGCUGCAAAACAUCCAAAUUGGAGUGUUUUAGGCAGUAGGUGACUCGUGACAAGAGUCGGUGAGUUGCGGGACACUUAGUGGCCCGACGGCGUCCGGUGUGGUUUUCGGACUUCCGGCGUAUUACGACGAUCGGUUUGGGGAACCGAUUCUCGUGGGUUUAUUUGUGGGUUUAUGCUUUUAGGGUUUCUUAGCUAUGGGUUAGACACUAACCAGUGGACCCUCCUUAGGUCCUGUUGACGUUCUUUUGAAGUCAGGAGACAGGCGCGACAGUUGUACAGGUGGGUAGUUCGAUCCGACGUCGGUACAGUGUGCACGCUCGGUGAUGGUUUCUUACCCUUGCUCCUUUGUUAUUAUCCAUGCAUAUGUUAUAUGUUGAGCUUUGCACCUCUAUUGAUUACAUUACACCCACGUUGUUUGAUUAUACUAUACUCGUUGUUUGCAUGCUUAGUAUCCUGAGUAGGAGUAGAGUGGUUCUAUCCGCAUCCGUAUCUGUUGACCUAGUUGGUCUGUUGUGCAUUCUGUAUCUGUUGACCUAGUUUGGUCUGUUCUGCAUUCCUCUACUCAGUUAUUUCCAUGUUGAUAUCAUACUUAGGAGUAGAGUUGACUUAUCUGUCACUAUAUCUUGAUUUGGUUGGGCGUUCCCCUAUUGUGAUAUCUAUGACCUAUUCGGUCGAGUUGCUACAGUUCUAUCUUGACUUACGUAGUCGAUUAGUUGCUGAUGGCUAUACGGUCGGCGUGCCCUGAGGGGCUGAUGAUCGGCUAGUUGCGCGAUGGAUGAUCUUGAGCAUACUACAUUGAUCGCCACUACAGUACGCAUUCACGAACCGACCAGCGGUCUGAUCCACCGCAAGAGGGUGUUCUUUUCCGAAAAGUGGUUGGAUUGCCAACCGUAAGCCCAGGGCUUUUAUUGCGAGGGUAUAUGCUUCUGACCCAGGGGCUUCAUUGCGAGGUCAGGUACUAUGCUUAUGACCCAGGGGCUUCAUUGCGAGGGUCAGGUGCAAGUUGAGCAGUGUGGCAUGGGCUGAGGUUUUCGGACAAUAGGGCAGCGAGAUUGGGUACUUUUGAGCUUAUCGUCAGUUGGGGCUGCAUACAGUAGUGUAGUGUUUAUUUCCAGUACAUCCUUAUCUGUUUAUUGUACGUACUGUUUUAUUUACCUGCAUCUAUACUUGUCAGCUUCUUCAUAUCUCUUUCGUUUAUUGUUUUUGCUACUAUAUUUCCACUGACCGUGUUGUUGUAUAGCUCUUCCUGAUCUGGUGAGUACUCCUCGCCUUCAUCGGCUUGCGGUACCACUGGGGAGGGAGACAUGUUUACAUGUUCUCACUCCCCACCAUUUUUCAGGUAUCGGGGGCGGUGAGGGUUGAGACGAGGCGUGAGGUACGCGUGUAGCGUCGAUAGAGCUUCCGACCGAGCGUUAUUUCGGUUUAGUUUCUUACCCUUCUUACUUCGGUUGAUGUAUAGUUUAGUUGGUUCAUGUGGUUCAGUGUUUAUUUACAUUUGAAAAUGUGAAUUCUGGAUUUUGUAAAUAAAUUUUCUACCCCUCGUGGUAGCGUUUUUAAAGAUAAAGGUUUCCGUGUAGGAAACAGUUUUCAAAAGAAUUUUUCGUGGAUUUCUAUUUAAACAUGAAUGUAAAACUGUGAUGUGAAUGGUGAAUGUAUGAAUGUAUAGGUAUUUUUAUAUUCAUUUGUUGUGGUUGUGGUUGUUUCCUGGCUAUACUCUUAUACUGUGUUGACGCCGUGCAAAUACAGGGGAGACUCUGUCCGCGUGAGCAGUGGAUUCCCUGUAUUUGUGGCGGAUCUGGCAUACCGGGUCAGGUUUCCAAAAAAAAAAAAAAAAAAAAAAAAUUCUGCUGUGUUUUAACACUAAAAAGGGACCCCGGGGCAUGACACAAGUAACUAGGGUCAAACAUGUCUAGAAACCAAACCACGUGCCUCAGCACAAUCUGAGACCAAAAAUAAGUAUCUGGGUCCACUGUCCACCCGACAGCACCCAACAAUCCGAAACAGCCUAGAUUUCUACUGUAAAAUAUGCUAGGCAUCCCAACACGAGCGUAACUGAAUUCUAAACUACCUGGGGUAUCCAUCACACCAAUACUGCGAUGAUUACAAAUUUAUAACGGUCCUAGAGCUAAAUCAGGUAGUGUAAACAGGUGACAAGUCCAAAUCGCCGGUUUUCUCCUAAUUUCAUUUCAAGUCCAACAUGUAUAGUUUAACUAGAUUCUAUACAUGCUUCAAAUCAGAUUUCAGCCACUAUGUACUCAAUGAAUUUAAGCUAGUACGGAGUAUAAACAAUCGGAAACUAUACAUGUUUACUAAAUCUUACUUAGGAGUAAACCGAUGAAAACUCACCUCACAGGCUAAUCCGCGCAGCGAAGAGGGUCACCGGAGUCCUUGCUAAGCUCGACUGCAACUCACCGAACCACAAAUAACAACACUCCAAGAAUCUAGACAUAGAAACCCACAAUAAAUACAAAUUCUACUCAAAACAAUAUCAGCAGAGAGAAAUAGAGUUUCGACCAAGCUAACCUUCACCAAAAUCAGCAAUCUGGACUUCGUGGAUUCCUCUCGAAGUCCUAAAUCACACGAACCAAGUUUCGUCGUAAUCCGACACUCCUACGUCGCGUACGAGCCGCAACCACGACGGUCGACUGUGGAAAUUCUGCAAAACAACAUCUUUGAGCUUGAAGUAGUAAGGACUUGCAACGGUUGAAGGAAUUGAUGAACACCUCAGCUCAACCUCUAUCGAACUCCGGCGCGACGUCGAGAACAGUUGAAAAUCCACACUAGCCCUGCCUCCUCGCAGCACUAAACAACGAAGACACGCCGACAGGCUCCACGGCGCGACGUUGGCGAAACUCAAACUCCACCGAGGCUCCUCUACAAUCGGACCAAGCUAGAGAGAGAGAGGAGAAGAAGCCAGAGAAAACUCUCACUCUCUCUGCUCUACACGUCUAAAUAGAGAGGAAGGGAAAGGGUGACACGAACGAGUAGAAAAAGCAAAACACCCUCUCACCUACCCUGGUGUACCGGUACACGGGCCUGUGUACCGGUACAAAGGCAACCCGAGAGCAGUCUGCGUACAGCCCUGUGUAGUGUACCAGUACACCAUACUGGCUGUACCGGUACAGCAAGCAGAGAAAACUGCUAUUUGCAGAUUUUCUUGCCAAAGGCUGCUCUCGCAUCGCGCAGAGUCCGUUUUGCGUCUAUUUCGCGCCAACGAGACUCAGACUCGUCCGACACUCUCCAGAGCUGUCGACAAGCCUUUACCGCCAAACACCAGGAAUUCACAUAUCUCUCCACUACAAAAAGUUUCGUCCGCGAAACUUAAGUAUACCUCAGGCUCUAGGCAUCGAACAAAUAGUGAUCUAUAUUAUAUACAUGUAUAUAUACAUACAUAGUCUGUAUACAUACAUGUCUGUAUAUAUAAUGUAUAUAAUAGUAUAUAUAUAAUAUUAUAUAUAUAUAUAUAUAAUAUAUAUAUAUAUAUAUAAUAUGUAUUAUAUGAUAAUAUGUUAUAUAUGCUAUAUAUAACAUGUAUACAUGUAUAUACAAUGUAUAUAUACAUGUAUUAUAAUAUACAUAUAUGUAAUAUAUAACAUGUAUAUAUACAUAUAUGUAUAUAUUAUAUAUAUACAUGUUAUAUACGAUAUAUGUAUAUAUACAUGUAUAUAUACAUGUAUAUAUACAUAUAUAUAUAUAUAUAUAUAUAUAUAUAUACAUGUAUAUAUGUAUAUAUACAUGUAUAUAAUAUGUAUAUAUAUGUAUGUGUAUAUAUGCAUUAUGGUGCUUGUAAAAGCACAAAGAAUUUGAUACUUAUAAAUUUUUUACCGUUAGAUAUAUCCCUUCGAUUAUUUUUAUAUAAUACGGUUAUGGUGCUUGUAAAAGUAUCAAGCACUUGGUGCUUGUAAGUUUCCUACCGUUAAAUCUACCCCUUUGAUCAUUUUCAGCCAUUAAAUCAUACUUUUUAACUAACCAACCACCCACUCAACCCUAAGGUCCUAUGUUAUCCUAACAGCACAUCCCUUAAUCCAAAUGCCAAAAUCCAUAAAUACCAAUAACUUGGUAUUUUUAAAAGGACAAGAGCUCAAUUCUAUAUAUAUUUUAAAUAUGGUAUUUUAUUUUUAAUAUAAAUAUAUAAUAUUUUAUUUAUAAAUAUUAUUUAUAAAUAUCUAGUAAUUUAUUUUAUAGUAUUAAAUAUGUACUAUUAUAUAUUAUAUUACAUAUUUAAUUUUUGCAUAAUAUAUUUUAAAUAUAUUUCAUUUAUAAAUAUAAACUAUAAUACUAAUAUAUGUAAUAUAAUAAUUAUUAUAUAUUAAUAAUAUAAAAUAUAUAAAAUAAAAAAAUAUAUAAUAAUUUUUAUUUAUAAUUUUUUCCUUUCAACUAAAUAAUUAAAAAUUAAUUUUUUUCCUAUAAAUUAAUAUUAAAUAAUGUAAAAUUUUUUUCACUAAAAAUAUUUUUUCUAUGCCGACCAUCCCUAGAGUAAGUCGCAAAGGGCUUGCUGAUUGGUACUCAAGAUCCGAGUUUGAAUUCUAUUUGAUUCACAUUUUCAGCUAAAUUUAUUUUUAAAUGAAAUAAAUAAAUUGGGUAGCGUGCUACCUAUCUCUAAAUAACAAAAGAAUUCUAUAAUUUUAUGUGUAUCCGAACGCAUCCUUAGCACGAAGAUCUAAUUAGAUGCAACACUAUAUUAAAGAGGGGAAAAAGAGCUUUUUUUAUAUUUAGCCUCCUGAUAAAUUUUUAUUUUAAAAAUAGCUCUGUCAAAAUUUAAUUUGCAAAAAUAGUUCUGGGCCUACCACGCAGGCGCCACGUCAGCACCACGCGGGCAGGGCCGUGUGUUAAGUUGAAUACGGUGAACCAUUCACCGUGUUUGAAUAUAGUGAAUGGUUUACCGUGUUUAGUACGUAUUUUUUGUAUAUUGAAAAGAGGAAUAGGGAGUAGGGAUGUCAAUAGAUAUGGAUAUCCGAAAUAUUAUCCGAAUCCAAAUCCGAAUAAAUUAUGUAUAUGUACAUAAUUUAUUUUUAUUUAUUUAUACAAUAUAUAAAAUAUUUAAUAAUUUUUAUUUCUUAGAUCUUCAUCCAACGGUAUAGGUUUUUAAAACUCACUGGGUUCAGGUUCAGGUUUCAAGUUUUUGGUCAGAUAUGGAUAUAUUUAUAUAUUGUAUAAAUAAAUAAAAAUAAAUUAUGUAUAUAUAUAUAAUUUAUUCGGAUUUGGAUUCGGAUAAUAUUUCGGAUAUCCAUACCUAUUGACAUCCCUACUCCUUAUUGCUCUUUUCAAUAUACAAAAAAUACGUACUAAACACGGUGAACCAUUUACCGUGUUUAGACACGGUGAACCAUUUACCGUGUUUAGACACGGUGAAUCAUUCACCGUGUUCAACUUAAAUAUCCUGGCCCCAGCCCUGCCCGCGUGGCGCUGAUAUAGCGCCUGCGUGGCAGGAAUAGGAUUAUUUUUAUAAUUUUAAUUUUGAUAGAGUUAUUUUAAAAUAAAAAUUGCUCAAGGGGUAUUUGCAAAAAAAAGAAAAAUCGGGGAAAAAUUUUAUGGACACAGUGUCCAUAAAGAGCAAUUUAGGGAUGCCCGCUGUGGGCGCCGCGUGGCACGUGCCUCGUGAGGGGAGCAGCUUUAGUUUUUUUGGGUGCAGAUGGUGCACUACGUUUUGCUUUAAUAUUUUUUUUACUUUUUAAAUCAUAAUUUGACAUAGUAUAUUUUAAAAAUAUAUAUAAACAAUUAAGAGUUUACGAUUUAAAAUUAAUUUUAAAUAAUAUUUUUAAAAUAUAUCAUAAAUAUAUCUCUAUUAUAUUAUUAAAUUAUAAUUAAAAAAUAAAAAUAAAAUUUAAAGCAAAAGAUGGUGCACCGGGUGCACCGAAAUAACCCCACUGUUCUCCCAAAAAGCAGAGUAGUGGGGGUGACACGGCGCCCAUCUGGAGCGUCUGGAUGCCACGCGGCACUCAUCCAAGUCGUCCUCAAAUUAAAUUUUACAGACACUGUGUCUGUACAAUUUUUGCCCGAUUAGGGCAAAGACGUGUUGUUUUGUUUCCCGAAGAAUCUGUAGCACAGUGCAUAAAACACGUUUUGUUAAUUUGGAAAUCACGUGUUUUUUCACAGGUUUUCCCCAGGGCGAGUCACAGUUUCCAACAAGGCAACAAACAUCACAUCACAUUUAUGAUGGAACAGAGCUAUUUAUUCUUGACGGCGACGAAAAAGUGGGCCCCACUGGAACAGCGCAAUUUAUUGUUGAUGGCGACGAAAAAGUGAGCCCACUCGUUUUUUUUUUUUUUUUUUUUUUUUUGAGAGAUAGAUAGAACGCUAUCCGCUUCGUUUAUUUCAUUAAGAAAUAAACUUAGCUGGAAAUGUGAAUCAACUAGGAUUCGAACUUAGGAUCUCUGGUACCAACCAUCAAGCCCUUCGCCACUUGCUUUAGGGACGGUUGGUAGCCCACUCGUUGAUGGUCCAACGUUCACGAAAUUCGAAGGUACACACCACCCACCCCAUCCGAUUAUAAAACUGGACAACAUGUAAUUCUACAUCUAUUUUAUUAAAAACUUUAUGAAAAUUUUAAUUAUUUUAUUAUUUAUGCAGUAUAAUGUAUGUUUAAAUUUUAAAUUUUGAACAUUCAAAUUUUUAAAUUUUCAAAUUUUAGAUUUUUAGCUUCAAAUUUAAUAUAAAAUUUUAAAUUUUAAAUUAAAAUUAGAUUUUAAGAAAUGGCUUUUUUCUAUUUCUGAAUUUAGGUAUUGAAAAUUAGAAAACUUAUUAAAUAUAACAAUUCAGGUCUACGAAAAAUAAUAAUUCGUUGGGUCCAAACCACUGACCUAAAAUACUUAAGUCCAGUUAUAAUGACUAGUGGCUAGGUCUCUUAUAUAUCCAGUGACAACCCUAGUUAGUUAAUUCGCGAAUUAUUCGCGAAUUAUUAAAAAUCCGAAUUAAACGGUCCGUUUAUAAAUUUUUUUCCAAAGAAAGAGAAUUAUUCGCUAAUUUUUAUGCUAGCCGAAUUAUUCACGAAUUAUUAAAAAUAUGAAUAAAAAAUUUAUAAUUUUUAUUUUUAAAUAUAAAUUAUCUUAUAUUUUAUAUUUUGUAUUUCAUAUUUUAUACCGAAUUCGCUUUUUAAGCCGAAUUUUUCAACAAAUUUAAAAAUUAAAAAACGAAUUUUAUACAUAUUAUAUUCGUGCCGAAUUUUUGUCGAAUCCGAAUUAACUAAUUAUGGUGACAACUCAAUUCCCAUUCGAUGGAUGUCAUAUACGUCCCCCGUUUAGAGCCUCGCUCUCCCCGCUAUAUAACAUGUCUCAGUUGAAAUUUAUCUCACAUUUCGUCUACUAUCAAUAAUAAUUUGCCGGGUCCAAGCCACUAGCUCAAAAUGUUUAAGCCCAAUUUUCAUUAUUAGUAACUAGAUUCUUAUAUAUCCAAUCAUAAACUCAAUUGGAUGUCAUAUUAUAAAAUUUAGAAUCAAAUUUCGAAAAUGAGAUUACUAAAUGCUAUAUCAAUGACCUGGUUGGUUUAAAUUCUGGAAAUGUGAUUUGUCAUGUAACUGAUUUUCAAUUGUAAAAUUGAUUUUGAUUAAAGCUCUAAACCGAUUGGCUGAGUUUAGAUAAAAAGAAAGUUUUCUGAAUUCUACAGUUUAAAAAUUUAGAAUUUAUAAAUUGAAAAUUAAAAAUUAUAGAUUAAGUUUUAAAAUUUUAAAUUUUAAAUUUUAAAAAUUAAUUAUUUUAAAAAUUGAUAUGACGUGCAUACAAGAUUAAUUUUUAAAAGUAAUUAUUUUUUAACUUUAAUGCAUUAGUGCUUAUGGAUUGUUGGCCAAUAAAAAAGAUCUUUUAAAAAAGAAUAUUAGAAAAUUUUGCUUUGUUUUUCUUAAAUGGGUACUAUGUGUAGGACGGCAGGACGCACACUUGGUGACGGAUAUUUUGUAUUUCAACCAAUUAAUAUAUACAUAUUAAUUAAAAUUUUAAACUUAUAAAAUUAUAACUUUAAAAAUUAUAGCUAAAGAAAAAUAAUAUUUUUGAAGGAGCUUUGUACACUACAUUAAUAAUUUUAUAAUACUAGUUCAUUUGGAGUAUGGUGGCAUGAUAAAUACUACUUACCGAAAUGUCUUGGUUUCAAAUACCACCGUUAACGAGAAAAUUUUUUUGUUCAUUUAUUUUUGCAAAUUAUUUUGUUUCUUUGGUUUUUUUCUUAUUUGUUUAUUUUGCAAAAAAAAAAAAAAAUUUUUCCGGAGCUUUUCUUAGAAUUCUGUUUAUAAAUUUAUUUUGCAGAAUAUUUUUUAAGAGUUUAAUUGACAGUAUAAUGCAUUUAUUUUUCAAAAUAUUUUAAAUUUAUAAAAUUUAAAAUAUUUACUAGGAUGCCUACCCUCCUAGUCCUAGGUUUUGGGAAUCUCUGGAAGGAAUCACAUGAAUGCAUGUAUCAUUUACUCGUUUUAUAUAUAGCCCGUUUGUUGUAACUUUACCAACUGACACACCCAGUUUGCACUUUUGCACCACUUCAAAAUAAAAUAAAAUAAAAAAAAGAAAAAAAAAGAAAAAGAAGGUGGGGGAAAGAGAAGAGACCCGUUUGAUCAGUCCUAGUUCAGAUCAAAGGGACAAAAUUGACUAAAGAGAUCCCUGGAUUUGGUAAGAUAUUUCACUGUCUCACAGGAUUCGAUCAGUGAGCCAUCCCCUGUAUUUAUUAUUGUUCUCUUUUUCCAUGGUAAAUGCUUUGGAUCUCCCAACAAAUUAAAGAGCCACCCCCUUGUACAAUGUUAAAUGUGUUGAUAAACUACCUUACUCGUGUUUCGAGGCAGAUACAUAAAUAAACCAAAAUAAUUAGGACAUGCACAAUAGCACAUUAGCAAGCGCCCUGGACAUUCAAUAGAUAGAUUAGCUUCUUCGAUCUCAACAAUAUUUCAGAAUAAAUGAUCUAAUUCAACUGUCACAUCAAACACAUAAAAUACUUAAUUAGAGACUUUGUUUUGUGACGAUGGGAAACCAGUUAAAAGAGCUGAGUACUUUCCAUUGUUUGGUUGGAUGAUUGAUUUCUCAAAGCUGUCUAUUUAUUUCUACGAGGAUAGUUUGGCUGGGUUGUUUGGGGCCCAUCUUUCUCCCUAUAUAAAAGGGAUGAAACCUUCCACUCCAUUUAUCCCAUCACUCCGAACCCUUCCACUCCAUUUAUCCCAUCACUCCAAACCGCUCCAUUUAUUUUAUUUCCACUCCACUCCGAGCCCUUCUCUUUCUACUACUAUAUUUAUCCUCUUUCGUCGAUUACUAAUGGGACUUUUCUCCUGUUUUUCAUGUGGAAAACAAGGAAAUUUUUUUAUUUUCUUUUUUCUCUCUCCUUUUUUUUUUUUGAUAUAUUUUUGUUUAUUUAAUUUAUUAUUGUUUCAUGCAGGAAAAAUUAACGAACAAAGAGCUAGAACCAAAAAGGAAAAAGCUAAACUGAAAGAACGACGCGAUGAACUGACGGGGCGAUAUCGGGCCGAGGAAAUAAAGUCCGAAGUUCUACAAAAUUCCGAAGAUUUUUUCACGGUGGAAAAUGCAAGGAAGCGCAAGGAGAAUGCAACAAACUACUCUGUUCAAGCGGGAAAAAUUGCUACUGCAAUUGCAGCUCUAAAACGAUAUUUAAAAUAAAUUAUACUUAAUUAUGUUUAAAUAUUUUUAUUUAGUUUGGAGACUAUAAAUUUAUCUUGUUGUUUUCGUAAUUUAGGUAAUUUAAUUUUUUUGGCAACUAAACUUAGUUACGCUUUUUGUAUAAAUUAUUUUGGCCGUCUUAUGUGAGAUUUAUCCCGUCGUUGAUGCUGUUGAUUUGGCGCGUUUACUUUUGUUCACGUCUUCGUCGCCGCCCAUUCCAAGCUCGAAAGGAGGGACUUUUCCAACGAGGAAGACAAGGACUUGGAGCUAUUCACUAACGGGGACGAUGAUGUGCUCAGCGAAACCUCGCCCUUUGCCGAGGCCUCCUCACCCCAACAUCUUCUUAAUNUAAUUUUUUUUCUUUUUCUUUCUUUAAUUCUAGUUUGCCUUUCCUCUUGUAGAUUUGGAUUUGUAGGAAGUGCCCCGGAUUUUUUUCUUCUUUUUCCUCACUUUUUUUUUAGACGAAUUUUCUUCCUGUGAUUGUUCUUGCUUGCUACUCGCUCGAGAUUUUGGUGGGAGUGUGGAGUGGGGGCAUUAGAGAGGAACUUGAUCAGCAGCUAUGUUAAUUCAAGGGGUUUCUGUUGUCUAGUGUUUAUUAUUAUGAUAAGAUUUCCGAAAGGGCUUUAUUGUCGAGUCCGCAGGAAGAAGAUGAAUUUGAAGAAGAAAUGGCCUUCUUGUUUAUAUCGUAGGAUCGAUGAGGAAAAACGUAAACAGGAAGAAUGAUGUAACAUUUCGGUUUUGAGAAAUAAUAUUUAUAUAUAUGUGUGAUAUUAGAUGCUAAUUUGAUUGGAAUAUUUCAUCUCAAAUUUCUUCCUUUUUUGUGCUUCAUUCUUUGCUUGCUGGAUUGCAGAUGAAUAUGAACUGAUGCAGUACUCUGUUCCGCGCGCGUAUAACAUUUGUUUCCUCAGCAUCAAUCACAUUGGUCUUAAUGCUGCUUGUAAUUAAAAAAGCUCAGUGAACUACUACUGCAUGUUGAACUCCCACCAAUGUCUAUGUAUAUUCAAAAAUGCCCUGCUUUUUAAUCUCUGCCUUAACAGGACGGACAAUUAAUGAAACAGUUUGCCAAAUCCACUGUAUGUUGUUGAACUACUGCUUCUUAAUCUCUGCAUUUUUCCACUUCUUCAUGUUUUCUUCCCCCAUUCACUCUUCUUCCAAUGGCUUGGUAUUAUUAAUAACUAAUUUUUGACCCGUGCGUAGGGGUGGAACUGGGCCCGGGCCUAAACAAGGCCCGCCCCGAUGGGCCAUGUUUGGGCCGGACUUUGGGUAUUAAAAAUACAACUUUGGGUUUGGGCCGGGUUUAAAAAUUUAGGCCUGAAUAAAUUUUGGGCCUAUUUGGGCAUGUCCAAGCCCGACCUGAGCCCGACCCAAAAACCCGAUAUAUUAAUUAUCAAAAUAAAAUAUUUAAUUAUACAUAUUAUUUAUCUAUAGUAUAUCAUAUAUAGUAUAUAUUGUUAUUAAUGAUAUGUACUUAUAUAUAUGAGGAUAUAUUAUAUAUUAACAAAAUAUUUAGUUCUAUAUUAUGAUAUAUUUGAUGUUAGAUAUUAAUUUCUUUGAUGUGAUAAAACUAAAAAUAGGUAUUUUAUUUUAAUUUUAUACAAAUAAAAGUAUUUAUGUAUUAUAUGAUAAAUGCAUAAAAUAGGCCUCCACAAAGGCCGAUGGGUAUUGGGCAUUGGGUUUGGGCUUGGGCCGGGCCUUAAUUUUUUUAAAAAAUUGGCUAAAAGCCCGACCCGAAGCCCAACAUUUUUUUUGGGCCGGGCUUGGGCAUAGUAAUACCCGACCCAAGCCCGGCCCAGUUCCACCCCUACCGUGCGAUGCACGGAUAAUAUAAUAAUAUAAAAUAAAAAAAGUUAUUAUGUGAUGAUAAAAAAAAUAUUCUAAUUAAUAUUAUAUUUUUUUAACAAAUAAAGAAAUAUACUAUCAAUCUUAAUUAUAGUACAUAUUAAAGUACAAAAGUUAGAGAAAAAAAUUAUGGACCAAAGUAAAUACUCAAGUAAAAAGCAAAAUUCAACCCUACUCUAUUAUCUAUAAAUUGGUGUGCAAAAUAAUUCACAUUUACAUAUUGAUGUGCAAAACAAAAUGAUAACUAAAAUUGAUAUGAAAAAUUACUAAUGACAUUAAUAUUUAAGCAUAUAAUGAGAUCAACUAAAUUUUCAUAUUUGACACAAAUUAGAGUAAGCACAUGUAUAUGAGAGACAUACCAACUUUCAAGAUUCAAAAAUAUAUAGAUGUUGGUCUUCAAGAAAAUAUAAAGAAAAAAAACUUUGUUGCAUGAAGAUGGAAAGUAUCUGCUCCAAUAACAAUAUGGAUAAAUUGUUAGAUAAGUGAAAUGAUAAAUAUCAUAAUAUUAGUGAAUUUUUUUUAGAAAAAUAUCUAAAUUUAUUUAAAAAAUAAAAUGACAGAGUUCAAUUGUAAAUUAUAAAUUUUGAAAUAAUAUGAAGAAAAAUAAACCGCUCACCUAUUUAUAAUUAUGAGCACCUACUUGUCAUCCUCAAGUAGUAUCGUAAUCUUUUUUGUUUCCUUACCGUCCUUACAACUUUCUUCCAUUCUACUAAUUUCAGAAAGCUUCCCAAUGACAUCUGAUAAAUUAGAAAAAUGAAAUGUAAGAAUCAAUAUAAUAGGUACACAUAUUAAAAAUUGAAUUUUAAAAAUCAAAUAUUUGAUGCAUGUAACAACUCUUACCUACUAAAUAUUUGUCAUCAGCGACAUUAGCAAGUAUUUCAUCAAAAGGGAUAAAUAUAAAUCUAUACUUUGAUAUUGUCAAAACAUUUUCCAUCUCACGUGCAACCGUAGAAUAUUGAAAAUUGAUUUUGUAAGGAUGUAUAGUGGUCCUGUAGGAGGCAUUGCUCUGCCCCACUCCAAACUGGUUGAUCACAUAAACUUUUCUUUCCGUAAAAAGGCCUUUAAAUUUGUUCAGGAAAGCUUUUCUUAUCGUUGCAUGUAUCCUAUCUCCCUAAAAUAGAAAAUAAACAAAUUAUGUAGUACCUUUUAGUAAAAACAAAGCAAACGUAUGUUCAAUUUGAAAAUGAAAGUCGUAUCUUAUAUUUUGAUCAGAAAAAACUAACUCUAGGCUAUUCACAACUUCUGGACGAUGAAAUUCAGGUAUAGUAUACAGACAAAUCACUCUGACUUUGAUCUUCCAUUUGUCUCUAAGAGGAGUGAUGUCAUGUAUAGAAUCAUACUCAAGUGCCAUAUCCUGAGAACAAUAAGACAUCCAAGAAAAAAAAUUAAGACUUGCUUCGUUCUUAAAUAAUAAAAUAAAAAUAUAUUUUAAAGCAUCGACAUCUAAGAACUAAGAAAAUUACAGGAGUGAUAGUAGGGAAAAAAAAUUACGAAGUGAAAAUUACAGAAGGAGUGAUAGUAUGGAAGUGACAUGCAAUAUCUAUAAUAUUUAUAAAAGCGUGAGUUUUGAAUUUUUUCCUCUUUCCAAAAAUGUCUCUAUCCUUUUUUACUAAUAUUUUUAUGUUCAGUAAUUUUCAACCAAUUAUUUCAAAUAAUUAACUAAGUAAUAAUUUAUUCUCAAAUAAAUAUAUUAAUUUUUUGCCAUUAGAUCUUAUCUAAUGAUUGAAAAUAAAAGUAUCUGUCACUUUUUGUGACAAUAAUACCCUCGCAUUUAUAUCAUAUUUUCUAUCUACGCGUUUCUCAAUUUUUUUCCUUCUCACACUGCCAAUUCUUUCGCAACGUAAUAUCCGUGAAUUUCUCAAAUAUCUCAUUAAUCCACCUACCAUACACAUCCACCACCUACAUAAUAUCCAGUUAACCUUUCUCAUACGUAAUAUGACCUAUCAUAAUUUUGAAUUAAACAUAUCAUCGCAUUUGAAUUUAAAUAUUAAAAUGAUUCAAAAUUAAAUUUUAAAUCAAAUAUGAAUUUUAUUGCGAAAAUAUCUUUAUCUUUUUAACUAAUUUUUUCAUGUCCAAAAAUUUUGAACCAUUCAUCUCAAAUAAUCCAUUAAAUUUUAACGCAUUUGAAUUUAAAUCUUAAAAUAGAUCAAAAUUAAAUUUUGAAUUUUGAAUUAGUAUUUAUGGUUUAAGAUUUAGAUAAUUGUUUAAUUGGUAUAAUUUGACUUAAUUUGAACUAAUUUGAAUUAAUUUUAUUUAAUUUGGUUUUAAUAUAAUAAUUAACUAAGUAAUAAUUUAUUCUCAAAUAAAAAUAUUAAUUUUUUGCCAUUAGAUCUUAUCUAAUGAUUGAAAAUAAAAGUAUCUGUCACUUUUUGUGUCACGCCCCGGAUUACACUUUCCCCGGGCACGCCGACAAAUCCGCCGUAUACAAAGGAAUUUUCCCUAUAUACGAAGCGAUAGCUGUACCUGUAAAUCAAACACUACUACGAACAGUAGUAGAGAGCUGCUAGAGUAAUCAGAAGCAAAAGAAACUAAGUUUCAUAUACAUAGUCCAAAUCCAGAAUACAAAACUACUCGCACUGGCGAGUUGAGUCUACUAUGUACAUAAACUCGAAACAAAAUAUCUACCUGCAGUAGGGUGCCUUUAACUCUGUCAGUCGGGUAGGGCUCUAACUCGCGACGCCCUUGCCUCGAUCCUGAUCCGCGGAAGGCGCAGCAGCCGAAACCUGUGGCUCUGCAAAACAGGAGUAACAACUGGGCGUGAGAACUACUGUAAAAACAAGUAGUCCUCAGUGGGUACCGCCAAAACAACAUCGGUCCACCCACUAAGUCUACAGAAGGGAGCAAGAAUAGUAGGAAAAGCAGGAAGUACACUCUACCGCUAUCAAUCACUACACUAUCAUGCUCUACACUAACCAACUGUAGGAAAAGUCAAGUCUGACCCAAUCCAAAUCGGACUGUAAGCAUACCCGUCCCCGGGACUGUGAAUACACCCGUCCCUACCCCGUUGCGACUAUCAAGCUCUAUCCACACUAACUGGUCCAUGGAGAGCAAGUCCAACUGGCAUGAGCGACACCAACGCGAAAGCACAAGCCUGACUCCGGAGUGGCACUCGUGGGCGCUACCCAACCGAGUAUGCAGCGUAUCUCUGUCGAGCUCAAACAGGCUCCAACUAGCCAAAGUCAAGUGACCAGGGUCAAAACAGGUCUACAAACCAAACCCACGUGCCCUCGGCACAAUCUGUGACCACAACAGGAAUCUGGGUCCACCGCUAACCCGAACGGCACCCAAUGACCCGAAACAGCCUAUACUUUGCUGAAAAAUAAGCUCGGCACCUCAGCACGAGCGUAAAUGCCAUCUAAACUACCCCAGGUAUUCAUCGCAACGAUAUUGCAACGAUACAAUCGAACCACGGCUCCUAGAGCUAAAUCUGGUAGUUUAAGCAUAUGACGGGUCAACACGCAGGUUUUCUCCUAAGUCAAAAUCCAAGUCCAACAUGUAUAAUUAAAAUAUUCAUUUCAGCAUUCUUCUACAUUCAUAUUGCAGUCAAGACGCUAAUCGAUGAAUUAAAGCAUGAUAUACAAGAACCGAACUAUACACGUCGACUAAACAUGCACUUAGGAGCGAAACCGAUGAUAACCCACCUCUAAUGAAAUUCCUGGCAGCACGGAACUUCCUCGGCUGCGGCACAACCUGCUGGAUCGACUGAAAAUGUCCAAGUCUCAAAAUCAAGCUAUCUCCAAGCUAUCAACAUCAAAAUCCACAAUUCAGUCCAAAUACACAGCAGUAGAGAAGAGAAGGGUUUCGACCAAGCUAACCUUCACCAAAAUCCACAAGUAAGGAUUUCGUGGAUUCCUCUCGCAGUCCCGAAACUAACGAAUCAAGUUUCGUCGAAAUCCGAUGCUCCUACGUCGAGUAUGAGCUGAAAUACUAACAGUCGACGAUGAAUUUCAGCAAAACAGCAUUUAAGCUUAAAUAUCUCAAUUCCAAUGUCAAAACUCACCAAACGAACUCCAAAUCAGGUGGAGAGGAUCCCAAUUCCAGUACUGGGUGAUAGGGAAAAUGACUCAACUCCACAAAGCCCCUGCUUCCCAAGUUCACCCCAAGAAAACAUCAAAAAUUGGCAAAUUCUGUACAAAGCAACAGCAGCAGAGGAAAACCUGAGUUCGACUGAGCUAACCUUCACCAAAUCUGGCAAAUGAGGGCUUCGUGGAUUCCCCUCGAAGUCCCGAAUCCAACGAACCAAGCAUCGUCGCGAUCCGACGUUCCUACGCGGAGAACGAGCUGAAAUACGAACAGUCGACGGCGGAUUUCAGCAAAACAACUACUAACCGAGUAGAAAUAGUAACACUUGCCCAGAAAAGACGCCGAAUCACCCACCUCGACAGCGUCGAAUCUCGGCGCGAUGUCAAGAACAGUGAAGACGCUCUCUUGCCCGGCCUCCUCGCAAAGCUCCGGCAGCAAGUGCGCUCGAACGGCUCGCGGCGCGACGUCGGCAACGAAAGCUCCAACCGAGAUCCACCUAUUCGUUCAAUGCUAGAGAGAGAGAGAAGGAGAAGAGUAGCAAUUAGCUCUCCUUAUCUCUGCUCCUACACGUAUAAAGCAAGGGAUGGAAUAGGUGAUACAAACAAGGCAAGGUGAAAUUACUAAAAAAAUCCUCACCUACUCAAGUGUACCGGUACACGGGCCUCUGUACCGGUACACAUGCCAACCCGAGAGCAAUCUGCGCGCAACCUGCUGAAGUGUACCGGUACACCUUGAUGGCUGUACCGGUACAACAAGCAGAAAAACUGCUAUUUUGCAGAUUUCUUCGCUGAAAGCUGCCAUCGCGUCGCACGGAGUCCGUUUUGCGUCUAUUUGGCGCCAACGCGACUCAGACUUGUCUCGACACUCUACAGAGCUGUCGACAAGCCUCCACAGCUGAACACCAGGGAUCUCACAUUUUGUGACAAUAAUACCCUCGCAUUUAUAUCAUAUUUUCUAUCUAUGCGUUUCUCAAAUAUUUUUCUUCUCACGUGUAAUAUCCGCACCCGCCAAUUCUUUCACAACGUAAUAUCCGUAAAUUUCUCAAAUAUCUCAUUAAUUCACCAACCAUAUACAUCCACCAUCUACAUAAUAUAUAUACAGUUAACCUUUCUCAUACGUAAUAUGACCUAUCAUAAUUUUGAAUUGAACAUAUCAUUAUAUUUGAAUUUAAAUAUUAAAAUGUUUCAAAAUUAAAUUUUAAAUCAAAUAUGAAUUUUAUUGCAAAAAUAUCUUUAUCUUUUUAACUAAUUUCUCAUACAUAAUAUGACCUAUCAUAAUUUUGAAUUAAACAUAUCAUCGUAUUUGAAUUUAAAUAUUAGCGUAAUAUCCGCACCCGUCAAUUUUUUCGCAACGUAAUAUCCAUGAAUUUCUUAAAUAUCUCAUCAUUAACCACCUACCAUACACAUCCACCACCUAUAUAACUCAUCAUUAAUCCACCUACCAUACACAUCCACCACCUACAUAAUAUCCGGUUAAUCUUUCUUAUACGUAAUAUGACCUAUCAUAAUUUUGAAUUAAACAUAUCAUCGUAUUUGAAUUUAAAUAUUAAAAUGAUUCAAAAUUAAAUUUUAAAUCAAAUAUGAAUUUUAUUGCGAAAAUAUCUUUAUCUUUUUAACUAAUUUUUUCAUGUCCAAAAAUUUUGAACCAUUCAUCUCAAAUAAUCCAUUAAAUUUUGACGCAUUUGAAUUUAAAUCUUAAAAUAGAUAAAAAUUAAAUUUUAAAUUUUGAAUUUGAUUUAAUUUGAUUUUUAAUAAUAUAGUAAAAGAAUAGAAUUUGACACGUGGCAAGCAUAUAAAAAGCCAUGUGUCAAAUUCUCACAAAGGAUUUAUAAAGGGUUCUACUUCAGUAUGUAGUAAUAGAAAGAAUAGAUAUUCCAGACUAGUUCUAUAUAUAUAUAUAUAUAUAUAUAUAAUUCGUUAAGCAUAGUUUUCAAUUGAAUAAUUUAUUCUGACAUCCAAAUAGAAAUUUACUUUUAGUAUUCAUAAAUAACAAACAUUAUAAAGUAAAAUACAAGGGGUAUGGCCAAUAUGUAUAAGUUCCUUCUCACAGAGAAAUAAAAUUCAAUACAGCUUAAAAGUUCUACUUGCAAAAACAUUCAAUUACGACACAUGCAGAAGAGCUAAAUAAGCCACAUAAUAAUUCAAAAGAAAGCACAUUUUGGAGAUAUAUACACUAUGAAUUUCACAGCAUAUCUCGUUAUUAUCUGCAUCAAGCAUGCAAAAAUUUAAAAACCAACAGAAGAAAAAGAGUCCGAUGAAAACAUAAGUAGUAUUUAUCCAAAGAUUAAGCAAAUCUUCACAAGUAAUAAAACGGAAUAUCAAGUAGAGAAUUGAAUGACAUGUGAUAGCUUUAAUUAAAGCAGUAACAAUGUUCCAAAUACUAGUUCGAAACACUGGAGCAAAUAAGCUUAAACCAGGACAAGCAUAUAGAAGUGCAGAGAAAAUUUUAUUUAUAUGCGUCAAAGAAGCAGAGCAGAAUAUAAAGUUUAAAAAAUGAGUAAAGGAAACAGAAUAGAGAAAACAAAGAUCACAUGCAAACUGAAUCAAACUGAUCACACUUAUGCAGCAUAAAUUCAAUACAAACUGAUCACACUUGCGCAGUAUAAAAUUCCAUGCCCCUCUCAGAAUGUUAUUCUAAACUAUUGCAAAAAAAAUUGAGACUUCAAACAGAAAAAAGAGUUUCACACAAGCGCGACUAGUAAUCCUCUCAUAAAUCAGGUACAACUCAGCGACACAUACAAAAAGAAAUUGCAAGUGGAAAACUCAAUGACAUAGGGCAUCCUUUAUUACAGGAAAUAGAACGGUCCGGACUCUUUUAUGUUAACUUCUCCCGUACUAACUUUCCCUCAUUAAGCAGGAGAGGGGCAGGGCAUUUAAAUGAUUUAAUCUUAUAAGCUUUUCGCAGCUGCGAUGACGUUUUCCGCAGUUAUUCCGAAUUCUUUGUAUAUUCUCCCGGCAGGAGCGCUCGCUCCGAACCGAUCAAUCCCUAUGGCCUUCCCCUUCUCACCCACAUACUUCUGCCACCCAAGAGUUACCCCCGCUUCGAUGCUAACCCUAGCGGUCACAGAAGCAGGUAGCACACUCUCCUUGUAUUCGUCCGGUUGCUCGUCAAAUAACUCCCAGCAAACAAGCGACACAACGCGAACCGCCUUCCCCUCCUUCCUCAGCUCGUUAGCUGCCUUGGCUGCAAUUUCCAGCUCCGACCCAGUCCCGAUGAGAAUGAGAUCAGGCUUAUUUCCGGAUGAAUUAUCUGAGAUAAUGUAACCUCCCUUCUCGACCCCUUCAACAGACGUUCCAGGAAGUUGUUGAAGCUUCUGCCGGGAGAGCGCUAGUACCGAUGGCCUCUUCCUGUUGAGGACAGCGACCUUGUAGGCCCCGGCAGUCUCGUUACCAUCAGCCGGCCGGAGCAUCAAAAUGCUGGGCAUGGCGCGGAAGCUGAUCAGAUGCUCGAUGGGCUGGUGGGUCGGGCCAUCUUCUCCGAGCCCAAUAGAAUCGUGGGUCAUUACAUAAAUGACGCCAGCCUCAGACAGUGCCGAGAUCCGCAUGGCUGCCCGCAUGUAGUCGGUGAAGACAAAGAAGGUAGCACAGUAGGGGAUGAGGCCAGGGCUGUGGAGGGCGAUUCCGUUGCAUAUAGCGCCCAUCCCGUGUUCGCGGACUCCAAAGCGGACGUUCCGUUCUUCAGGUGUGUCCUUUUGGAAGUUCCCGUACAUUUUAAGUAGCGUCAUGUUGGAGGACGCGAGAUCGGCACUGCCUCCGAGAAGACCAGGGAGGACUUUAGCGAGCGCAUUCAGACACUGCUGGGAGAGGUUGCGAGUUGCGUCGGCUGGACUCUCGGGUGUGUAUUUCUGGAUGGAAGGAAAAUAGAGCGCCACUCAAUACGUUUUAUGCAUAAAGCUACUAGAACAUAAAUGAAUUGAAGGGAUUGGAAAGGACUGAGGAUUAUCUUUUGUAAAACCAGUCCAGCUUUUUUCGCAACUUCUGUUCAAAAUAUUCACUUUUGCACCUCCUAACAAAAAUAUCUUCUAGUGGAUAGAAAUGCCCCUGACUGAGAAACCUAGUGCAGAAAUGCAUCUUGUGUCAGCAGGGGCACUCCAGUCCAGGAAAAGAGGUUCUGACCAACAAUGACGAAAGCCGAAAAUAAUGGGAUGAACUAGCAAAAUUGACAAAAGUCGACUUCUUUGUUUGUUUGUUUUUUUUUUUUUGGUCAAAAACACAUAAGAUGAAGAUAAGAGAUAGAUUUACCGGAAGUGCGUCAGCCCAUCCAGCAGGCAGUUCUCCCGAAAUGAUACUCUUCAACACUGCUGCAUCCUCCUUGUACUUCUUCUCAUACUCUGCGAAUUUGGCAUUCCAUUCCGCUUCGAGAGCAGCGCCUUGAGGGAUAUGGCGGCUCCAGUGCCUGAGAUGGUUCGUGUGAGCGAUAAAUUAUCUCAAUAUGAUUCAGUUUGCUCUCGCAAGUAAGAUUUAAGUGCUAUAAAGUUUUAACAGACCUCUUCACAUCCUCAGGCAGAUGGAAUGGCUCAUAGGGCCACCCAAGGUUCUGCCUAGUUGCAUCAACUUCCUUCGCACCCAAGGCGCUCCCAUGUACACUAUAGCUGUUUGCCUUGUUCGGUGAUCCAUACCCGAUGGUGGUUGUUACCUAAGGAACAGCCAAUUAGCAAACUUUUAGCACUCCAAAAGACUCGUAAGCAUGGUAGAAGGCUCGGCGCAUGAAUGAGCGUGAUAGAGUAAAAUCAAACACACACUUGAAGUAUAUAAAACACCAUGGUUCUGAAUACCACCCUGACGUCGCCGUUAUGGUUGUUUACAAGAAACUAAUGAUUAAAAUAUCGUGCUCAAUCUCAGCAAUAUUAGCACAACAAAAGGCAACAUCAGGAGUGGCAAAGUGCUACAUUCUGAACCACUGUAUGCUGAAUGAGAAAUCAGGCUAUACAGCAGAGGGCUACGUGAGCUUCUUGCAAAGUAACAUCCGAUUAAACUAACCUUGAUUAACGUUGGCUUGUCCUUGACAGCCUUUGCUUCCUUAAUCGCAGUGCGGAUCUCAUCGUAUCCUGUGUUACCAUUCUUGACCCAGAUCGUGUGCCACCCGAGAGCCUCAAAGCGCGCAAGCACAUCUUCGGUGAACGCAAUUUCUGUGUCUCCGUCGAUAGAGAUGUGAUUAUCAUCGUAAAAGGCAAUCAAUUUUCCCAAACCCCAGUGGCCAGCAAGUGAGCACGCUUCGUUCGAAACGCCUUCCAUUUGGCAACCAUCACCAAGUAUGGCAUACCUGUAAACGAACAGAAAUCCAUCUUACAGUUCAGUGAUAGGAAAUAUCCACGAGGACCAGACAAGGAGUUGGUUAACAAAGGAAUAAUAAUAACAAUAACAAUAGAGCACAGAGAAUAUGUUUAAAGAAAUUCUUUACGUGUAAUGGUCGAUGAUCUCGUUGUCGGGUUUAUUGAAACGGGCCGCUAAGUGUUUCUCAGCAAGUGCUAAGCCGACAGCAUUAGCGAUACCCUGACCAAGAGGACCUGCCCCAUUCGACAAGAAGAGGGAAAAGCAACAAAAAUAAAAAAUUUGUUAACAAGUCACUCUCCAUUAUACUAGAAAUGGUUCAUUAUCUUAGUUUCAAGAAGAAUACCGGUAGUAACUUCGAUCCCAGGGGUUUCGAAAUUCUCUGGAUGACCAGGAGUUCUGCUUCCCCAUUGCCUGAAGGCCCGCAAGUCUUCUUCCUACAAGACCGAAAGAGAAUCAUUUUUUUCUUUUCUUUUUUUUUUUUUAAGACAAAGAAAAUUCAACAUAACAGAGAAGACUGUUUUUUCUAAUGUUCUUCCAAGAUGAUCAAAUCAGAUCUAUCAAACCUCAAUGGUUAUAGAUCAAGUGAUGCUGGUGACAAACUGACAUAAUAGAAGAAGUUCCGCCCAAGCUCUACGAGAGCUCCCACUUGAAGCUUCUUCAAAUACUUGAUGGCAAAUGAGAAAUAUCCAUCCAACAAAUUCCUAGAGCUCCAAGGGAAGUGGAAUUUUGGCUUUACCAUCUCUCUCGAAACAAUUUUAUUUAUCCAAAUGGAUGGAUAUAUUUCUUUGUUUUUACUGAAUUGAAUUGAAUUCAAUUCAAUUCAAUUCUUCAGAGCUGAAAUCAAUUGAAGCAUAACUACGAUUCGAUUCCAAAUAAUUAUUUAAGAGUUAUCUCUCAGUUUCUUUCUUUCUUUCUUUCUUUUUUUUUUUUUUUCAAAAAACUUUUAUAUAUAUUGGGCCGGUCAAUAACAGGCUUACUACGGUGACACACAUUCUGAUUUCUGCCCCAACCAAAACUGGAAAGGGCAAUAAUAAUAGCAAUAAUACUAAACAUAAAGCAACUUUUUGCGUGAAAAGCAGGGAAAAGCUACGAAUUAGGAGCCAAUCAAAUUCUUUCUUUCUAUUUUCGUUGAGCUGAUAUAUAUAUAUAUAUAUAUAUAUAUAUAUAUAUAUAUAUAUAUAUAUAUAGAGAGAGAGAGAGAGAGAGAGAGAGAGAGAGGGUGUUCGAAGUAACCUUUGACGGCUGUCGUAGUGCCGCGAGUGUGAGUAGGGCGUAGUGAGCAUGCAGCCGUGCCGCGGAGAGGACGUAAGCGGAUCGCGGUUUGAACCAGAAAGGCGGUGUCUGGUUGACACCGCAUCACCUCGUCGAACACGCACGUGCCCCGUCGGCGCCAGCACGCCAUCGGGAAGCCCCGGGUGCCCGAAUUCGCUCGCCCCAUCCGGCGUCGAUAGCGCCACGAAGCGCUGAUCGUGUUCACCGACUCUCAUCCCGUGACUCCGACGCUGAUCCGCCGCCGCGCCUGCCGCGCCACAAGCCUGACUCCGCACGCCGAGCCGACAGCCGUACGCGAGGCUUGAAGCCUCGCACUCCGCCGAGCGCGGCCGGCGCGGGGCUGCGCGGAGGGGGCGCGCGGAGUAGCGAUGGCUGCGGGCGCGGGACGAUGCGCCCGGCGGGGCAGGCGCGGCGCGGCCGGGGCCGGGAUGCGCGACGGGCUCGGCGGCAGGACGCGACAGGUUACGGCGUGCGGCGGCGGCGGUGGGCCAUGGCUUGAUUCGUCGCCGACGUUGACGGCUCCUCUCUCUCUCUCUCUCUCUCUCUCUCUCUCGGGGGCUUAGCAGGCCUUUUGACCGAGGGAGGAGCUAACGAGGAGGAGGAGGAGGAGGGGAAAUGGGACGGGGGUGUUGAAAUACCAGGGAGAGUACCCUUUAAUAUAUAUAUAUAAUAUAAUAAUAAUAAUAUAUAGAAUAUAAUAUAAAUAAAAAAAUUAAUUACAUCAGGCGGUAGGUACGAGGAGGAGUGGAAGAGCGCGAGAGGCCGUUGGAUUGGAUUAGAUCGGGAAGGCCGAAUCGUGGCCGUUGGAGGGCGCCUGCCUAAAAUUUGUUCCAACUUUGACGAGUUGAGUUGAGUUGAGCUGAGCGUGAGCUCAUCCUGAUCGGAUCGGCCGGUGAUCCAACCGCGCUCUCUUCUCUCCAUUACAAGUAUACAACAACAUCACCGUUCGAACGACAGUUGUUGUUGUGGCGUACCAGUAAUUUUCUUUUUUCAGGAGAAAUUUGGGUGGUUCCUUUUUUAAGUUUCGUUUAUUUAAAACUUUUUAAUUCAAUAAAUAUAAUUUUUGUUUUUUAAAAAAUAGUUCUUUUUAAUUUUUUUUUAAAAAAAUAUCAAUCAAUUAUAUAAAAUUUGGAAAACGGAUGGGAAGAUUUUCAUUCUAUUAUUUAUUAUUAUUAUUAAUUAAUUAAUUAAUAUAGCUAGUUAGCCCAGUUUUAAUUAAAAAGGCCAAUUUGCAUAAAAAAUCCACUUAUUUUGGGCUUUUGCAAAAUCGGGCCACCUUUUUCGUUUUUGCAGAUUCGGUCCACUUUUUCAGCAAACUGACCAAAAUACCCUUUUUACUUUUUCUCUUUCCUCUUUCUCUCUCCUCUUCGUUUCUCUCGUUUUUUUUUUUUCUCGCCGGUAGAGCGGAGGCGGAAACGGUCCGUCUCGCCUCUCACCCUCAUUCUCUAGCCCUCGCCCUCGCCCUCGCCCUUGCCCUCGUCCACGCACCCCCAACCUUCCUCGCCUCCAACCCCGCCAAGGCCGCGCCGCGACUUUUUUUUUUUUUGCUUUUUUCUUUUCUUUUCUUCUCCGACUCUUCUCCACCGUCUCCGACGACGAUGCCUCUCUCGUCCUUCUCGUCCUUCCCCGCCCUUCUCAUCUCUCCCUCUCCCUCAUUCUCUGCCGCCUCCGACGACGAUGCAUCUUCGCCGGCGCCGACGUCGACACCGUGGAGGUCACUGCGGCGCUACAGGCUCGGAGCGGGGGUCCUUAGCGGUGUCGUCGCCGGCACCGUGGCUGUUGGCAGAGAAGGUGACAAAAAAAAAUUAUAGAAAAAAAAAAAAAAAAAAAAAUAAAGAUAAAAAAUUAUAUAAAAAGAAGGAUGAACAUCAAAUUGUAUCGUUAACUGCAAAAAAAAUUAUAAGUUGCACUAUUUAAGAUGUAAACUGCAGCUUUAAGAUGAAAACUACACUCUUUAAACGAAAAUUACACUCUUUGAGAAAUAUUUACACUGUUUCUCUUCUUAUUACACUCUUUCAGAUGUAAACUGCAUCCAUUAAGAUGAAAGUUACACUCUUUAAACAAAAGUUGCACUGUUUCUCCUCUUGUUGCACCAUUUCUCCUCUUGUUACACUAUUUUUUAUCUUAAACUGCACCCUUUUAAGAGAUAUUUAUACUGUUUCUCCUCUUGUUGCACCAUUUCUGUGUAAAUAAGAGGAGAAAUAGUGCAACAAGAGGAGAAACAGUGCAAGAAGAGAAGAAACUGCACUGUUUUAAGAGAUAUAUAUACUGUUUCUCCUCUUGUUGCACCAUUUCUGUGUAAACAAGAGGAGAAAUAGUGCAACAAGAGGAGAAACUGCACUGUUUUAAGAGAUAUAUCUACUGUUUCUUCUCUUGUUGCACUGUUUCUCCUCUUGUUGCACCAUUUCUGUGUAAACAAUAGGAGAAAUAGUGCAACAAGAGGAGAAACAAUGCAAUAAGAGGAGAAACUGCACCCUUUUAAGAGAUAUUUAUACUGUUUCUUCUCUUGUUGUACUGUUUCUUCUCUUGUUGCACCAUUUCUGUGUAAAUAAGAGGAGAAAUAGUGCAACAACAGGAGAAACAGUGCAACAAGAGAAGAAACAGUAUAAAUAUCACUUAAAAGGAUACAGUUUAAGAUAAAAAAUAGUAUAAUUUUCGUUCAAAGAGUAUAAUUUUUAUCUUAAAGCAGCAGUUUACAUUUUAAAUAGUGUAACUUAUAAUUUUUUUUGUAAUUAACGAUAUAAUUUCAUCUUCAUCCUUCUUUUUAUAUAAUUUUUUAUCUUUAUUUUUUUUUCUGUUUUUUCUAUAAUUUUUUUGUCACCUUGUCUGCCAACAGCUACGGCGCCGGUGACGGCGCCGGUGACGGCGCCGCUAAGGACCCCCCGCUCCGAGGCUGUAGCGUCGCAGGGACCUCUACGGUGUCGACGUCGGCGCCGACGCCGGCGAAGAUAAAUCGUCGUCGGAGGCGGCAGAAAAUGAGGGAGAGGGAGAGGGAGAAAUGAGAAGGGCGGGGAAGGGCGAGAGGCGUCGUCGUCAGAGACGGUGGAGAAGAGUCGGAGAAGAAAAGAAAAGAAAAAAGCAAAAAAAAAAAAGUCGCGGGGCGGCCUUAACGGGGCCGGAGGCGAGGAAGGUGGGGGGUGCAUGGACGAGGGCAAGGGCGAGGGCGAGAGUAUGAGGGUGAGAGGCGAGACAGACCGUUUUUGCCUCCGCUCCGCCUCCGCUCUACCGGCGAGAAAAAAAAAAAUAAUGAGAGAAACGAAGAAGAGAGAGAAAGAGGAAAGAGAAAAAGUAAUAAGGGUAUUUUGGUCAGUUUGCUGAAAAAGCGGACCGAAUCUGCAAAAAUGAAAAAGGUGGCCCGAUUUUGUAAAAGCCCAAAAUAAGUGGAUUUUUUAUGCAAAUUGGCCAAUUAAAAAUAUAAAAGAAGAAGUAACGUUACCAAACUAGACCUAAAUUAAAAAAGUUUUUUUUUCUCCCAAGUACUUGGAUUACUCUUAUUAAAUUACUUUAAAUUAAGGGUGCGUUUGGUUCGCAUUAUGAAAAAUUACUAGGAAUAAAAGAUAUUCGAGAAUCUUACUCCUAUUCAUCCUAUUAUUAAGGAUGUGGAAUUCCUGUAUUUGGUUCGCACGGUAAUAUUAAUUAGCCAUGUUAUUUAAUAUUACAAAAAAUAUACAAUUAAUUAAUUAAUUAAUUAAUUUAAUUUUAAAUAAUGUUAUUAAAAGUUUCAAUAUUUUUUUUGAAAAAAGGGAGAGAGAGUAUAAGUUAGAGAGAGAGAGUAUAAUUAAAAAAAUAAAAAGAAAAAUAUAGUCAAAAUUAGAGGGAGUGAGAGAGUUGAAAUUUUAGAAAGAGAGAGAGAGAGAGAAAGCUUAGUUUAGAGAGAGAAANGUUGUGGAGGUGAUGAGAGUGGGAGAAGAAAAAAUGAACGAAAGAAAAAAAAAAAAGAGCGAGAAAAAAACAGAGUAUUUUGAUUAAUUUACUAAAAAUUUGGAAUGAAUUUAUAAAUUUAAAAUAGUGACUUAUUUUUAUAAAAACACAAAACUAAUGAAUUUUUUAUGUAAAUUAGAUGUUUUAGUACAAAAAAAAAGCGCUCCUAUCUUUUACCAUUCGUCUUUUUUAUUCUAUAUAAAUAUAUGAAUUCUCAGUUGGGAUCCAUGUGACAGCAAGGGGCGGAGGCACUGGGGAGAGCAAGGGCGCAAGCGGGUGCGAGCGCGUGUAGGGUGGGCUUGGUGUCGGUGGGGCCCAACCGGGGAAGGGGAGAGGGAGGGGAAGCUUUUUUUUUCCUUUUUUUUUUCCCUCUCUAUUAAAUUUUUUUCACUUUUCAUAUACGAGGAAAAAGAUUUGUAAUAGUUUUUUAAAAUCCAAUCUAAUUUUUUAUUAUAAAAAUUUAAAAAUAUAUAAAUAAUUUUUAAAUAAUUUAGAUUAUUUGUAUUAAAUAUAAAUUUUAAUUUUAUAAUAUUGAGCAUUUAGAUACACAUUGUACAAUAAAAAAUAAAAAAAAGAUUUAUGGGAUUUAAAUUAAUUUUUUAUUUUACAAAAUGUAAUAACUGAGAUUUUUUGAUUUAUUGAAUAAACCCUUUUGUUUGACGAUGUUCUUGUGUGUAAUAUAAUUAUAUGUGUACUCGUCAAAUUUCAGGAGAAAACGAGUUAAAACGGAGAAGUUACGCGACCCGGAAGUCUGACUUAAGUGAAUAGUAACUCCGGUUUUCCGGAGAGGCCGCGGAGUAAAGUGGACUUUCGACGCGUAUCGGACUCCGAAUAUAGCCUUCCAAUAGCUCGUUUUCAACCGCUCGACUAUCCUGGACCCUUUGGCACUGACAGAAUUGAAUUUGGAGGCACGGAUUUCGAGAAAAAGGGGUUUAGUGGGUUUGUGCAUAUAGUUGUCUAUAUGUGGUUUUUGGUGGAACCUAGGAGGGAAGGUUUUGUCGCAAAUCGGGAAUCUUUUCGGGCGAAACGAGAUGCUAGAUUCGAUGCCUCUGUCGUGCUGAUCGCGCUGGUGCGAUCCGAUCGGAAAUCCGACGGACGGAUCUUCGGGAAUCGCAAAAAGUCCGCGAAGGGGCUGAUUUGAAUAAUCGGAUUAUUCGCGAAAAGGCACUAUAUUUUAUGCGUCGAAUGGCGAGUUUUCGAACUUAGAGGGACUAUCGCGCUUUGUGCGACUGCUGGUUGAGAGCUGGGAUUAAUUCGACUCCUUUCGAGGGGGGUUUUCCGCAAGUUUUUCAUACCUAUAUAUAGGAUGACUUAGGGUUUCUUGAGCUAACCCUAACCCUAGAACCCCCCCAGCUGACCCAGCCGCCCCUGUCACCACAGCACCUCCCUGCCCUGCCCGUGCUCACGUUCCGGCCGCCACCGAGCAGCCCCGGCCGCCGGAAACUGCUUGCGACCAGCCUUCCUCCUCUCCUCGGCCAUCUCCUAGACCGAGGGUUUGUGGGAGGGUCUCCACCGCCUCUGGAAGCAAGCCCCGACCUCCUUCCACCUCAGGUGUACCUCUCCCCUAGCUCCGGCCGCCCCCGAGCGUCGUCGGAGCCGCCGGAAGAGACGGUAGCCAGCCGGGUCUGCCCUGAACCGAGCCAGGCCGAGCUCAGGUUGCAGGCUUCGGGACCGCACCUCCCCUGCGGCCAAGCCCCCCUGUCGACCCCGGCGACCUCCAGCAACCCGGCGCGCGCGCCCCCGGCCGUCCCCGCGCCCCGCCGGCCGCCGCCAAGGUCUCCCGCCGCCGCUGGGGUCCUGUGCGGGCCGACCUGGGAGCCGCGCCGCUCCCGAGCGCCGCCGUUACCCCCUGAGGUGGGCACCACCACCUCCUCGGUCUCCGGUACCGGUUAAUCGCCGCCCCGACCUCCCCCGGUCGCCGCCUCGCCGCCGGCAAGCUCCAACCCGAGGGGAAGUCAGCGGGCCCGUUCUCCGCCGCCGCGCCACCGGCUGAUGCUCGCCGCCGGCCAGCACCUCCCCCGGACCUCCCCGACCUGCUGCUCCCAUCACCGGCCGGAGUGCCCGCCGUCCGAUCGCCGGCGGCCAUCCCUAGCUCCCACAGCUCCGGUGAGUAGUUUACUUUGGUUCCAGCACUGCUGUUUUGCGUUCCGGUCACUUGUCCGGUGAUCCGAUGACUCCCUGGCACCUCGGGAGGUGAGCACGGUGAUCGUGGGCUCGUGCUGAACACGAUGCUCACCUCCAUUUAGGUUAGCGGUGCCCUGGUUAGUGAGAAAAGGAUGUUUUCCACAGUGUGCGCACUGAUUCGCUGAGGUUCGCGUCGCUCGUGCGCGCGUGGUUGCUGCCGGCAGUGCUCCGAAAGGUGAGCACGGCCUCAGGCAUGCUGAAACCUUGCAGCAAGUGCGAUGGCAACCUCCGUAGAUCCCUGGUUUGCUGGUACGACCCGUUAGAGCCAUGAAAUCACAUAAAAUAAUGUGAUUUCAUGGGCCAUUAGGGAUCCGUUUGCGUUUCGCUUCGUCGUGGCUGCUGUUGGCAGCAGGUAAAGGCUUAAGAUAACCUCUGGACUGAUCGUCCAAGGCCCCAAGCCUUUGCGGAAAUCUAUCGGUCAUUUCCGGAGCGUUUUUCGGCGAAAUCCGCCGAUAGAACGCGCGUUCGACUCGGAAUUCAUCCGACGGUGCCUCGUGGUUGACUGUAGCGUCGCUGAGCCUUGUUGGCUGGUCACCCGUGUCGUCUCGAGGGUUCAGAAACGACGGGUGAGCGACGGUGGAGUUCCGGUACGGUUUUCGGGACUUCCGGCUGGUUCGGAAGUUGCGUUUGAGAAACCGAUUUCAGUGGGGUUAUGAUUUUGGGAUUUGUGUGAGAAUGGUCGUGUUAUUGUGUUCGUGGGUUAGACUCUAACCCGGUGGACCCUUCGUAGGUCCGGUCGCUUCGUCUCCGCCUUAGCGAGACCAUUUCAGCUUUAUACAGGUGGGUACUUCGAUCCGAAGUCGGUACAGCGGUGCACGCUCGGUGAUGUCUUCCUUUACCCUAUCUUUUACAUCGUCUAUUCAUAUUGUUUACUCGUUACAUAUUGAGCCUUGCACCAUACUGUCUUUAUUUACUCUGCCCGGUUGUCCUAUGCGUAGUAUUCUGUGUAGGGGUAGAGUAGAUGGCAUUAGUAUAUACUAUACAUGUGACCUGAUUGGUCGGUUCUCCUGUUGCAUCGGUGACCUAUUUGGUCGUUCACUACUUUACGUACUUUGACCUAUCUCGGUCGGUUCACUUUGUACUUGAUGACCUAUACGGUCGGUGUCGGCUGGUUGCCGACGGUUGGCUAUUGAGCAUAUCAGCAUCGAUCGUCACCACUCGUUCGCAUUUCACGAACACCAGCGGUCUGAUCCACCGCAGGGGGUGUUCUUUUCCGGAAAAGUGGUUGGGUUUGCCCACCCGUGAGCUCAGAGGUUACGACUGGGUAUAUGCAGGUUGAGUGAUUGUGGCAUUAGCCUGAGGUCUCCGGACCAACAAGGCAGGUUUAGAUUGGGUAUCCUUGGACUAUCCACCAGUUGAUGCAUACAUACAGUAGCAGUAGUUCAUUACUUGUACAUCAGUUCCUUACUUGUACUUUCUGUUCUUAUAUCAUAGUAGCUACUGUAGUUGUUUACCUUUACUGUUGCUUAGCCUCCUUUGCUGGUGCGUACCCUCGCCCUCGUCGGCUUGCGGUACCCACUGGGAGGGGAGACAUGUUUACAUGUUCUCACCCCCCGCCCCCAUUACAGGUGACGUCGCAGGUCCGAGUGGGACGGCAGGUGAGGAGCGAGUCUAGCGCGCGUUAGAGCUCCGUCCCGUUUGGUUAUCUCUCUUCCCUUGCUUGAAUAAAUAGUAAACUUUCAUUACGGUUCAGUUUCAUUCGGUACUUGAAUAUUCAGUUUUCUGCUGGGUUUUCGUAAUAAAAAGAGAUUUAUGAGCUUUUCAAGUAAAAUGGUUUUCUACCCCUCGUGGUAGCGCUUGUUUUAAAAAGAAAAAGGAUUUUCAUAUUCAAUACAGUUUUCGAUGGUUUUCUACCCCUCGUGGUAGCGUUUUAAAAGAUAAAGGUUUCUGUGUGGGAAACAUUUCAAAUGAUAGUUCUGGAUUUAUGUUUAAAACUUGGAAUACUGUCGCGUUGUGAAUGGUGAAUGUAUGAACGUCUGCAUGUACAGUUGUGAUUGUGUGUUCAUAUGGUUGUGGUUGUAUUAUGGUUGUACUCUGAUUGCGUAUCUGUACUUGUGCGAUGCCGUGCAAAUACAGGGGAGACUCUGUCCGUGUGAACAGUGGAUUCCCUGUAUUUGUGGCGGAUCUGACAUACUCUGGGGUCAGGUGUUUCAAAAAAAAAAUUUUAGUCGUUUCCGCUGUUUUUCCAAACUAAAAAGGGACCCCGGGGCGUGACAUUAUGUUAUAAAAAAUAUAUUAUAUUCUUAGAGGGAGAGAGAGAAAAAAUAGGUGACGAAUGGUUGGUUAAAUGUGCUCUCACUUUUUUAGUCGAAAAUUACACAUAGUUUUGGCCCCUAUUUCAUUUUACCCCACCAGUACACGGGAUGGAAUUGAAUUGGUUUGUUACAUUAUAUAUUUCUAAAAAAAAAUUGUUUGAACUUUGAACAACUUUUUUUUUUUUUUUAAAAAAAACAACAGUAAUCCUAAUAUCCUCUUUUGAACAAAUAUCUCACUUUUACAAAUUUCCUUAGCAAGAUCAAAUAUUAUGUGUUGGUUUGAUGAUAAAUAUAAAUAUAUAUAUAGAAAAACACUACUUACCCAUCUCUUGUUGAGGAUAUAAUAUAUAUAUAUAUAUAUAUAUAUAUAUAUAUAUAAAUAUAUAUAUAUUAUAUAUAUAUACUUUAAUAGGCAAUUUCUUACAAGAUUCUAAGGCGUAGACAAUUUCUUUUAAAAUUUUAAUAAUGAAAUAAAAAAAAUAGAAUGAUAAGACUAGUCUAAAAAAAAAAAAAAACAAUUAGAUGGUGAUACUUCAAAAUGCACAUCAAAAAAAUACUGUACAUGUAGCAUUCUUCAGUUACAUAAUAUGUUUAAACAAUAUGUUAGAACUAAUUAAAGUUUUACAUAAUUUAAGGAAUACUGUUUAUUAUCUAUUUUUUUAACUAUUGGAUCAAUCCAAGAUAUCCCAAAGCUAAAAUAUUGAAACUAAUAGGUGUUCAUCCUAUUUCGAUACCCUUCUAACAUUGAUAAUUCACGAAUGUCUUCCAAUAUAUAAAAAAUUAUUAUAAAUAUCCCGCCAUUUAAAGUUUGAGAGUUAAAGUUUCAAAAUAUCAUUUUUUCCUUUCAUCUCUUCUCAAUAGUAGGGAUACUAAUAGGUGUUUCAAAACAAUUUUUGCAAAUCUAAAUCUGACUAUUGAAUAUCCUAAAUAUUAAAUUAAAUUAUUAAUAUAUAUUAAUUAUUAAAAAAUAUAAAAAAUUGUAUUAUAUAUAUAUAGUAUGUUUUUAUAUGGUUGUGGUUUUAUUUCUAGUUUCGAUUCCGGUUCAUGUCCAAUUUGGGUAUAGACUAAAACCGUAAUCAUAUUUGAAUUCGUUGGAUUUUUUUUUUUUCCUUAUACCUAUGACUGGAACCAUCCAUAUUAGCAAUCAGUUAAACUCACCCUAUUCAAAAUCGAGUUCAGAUAAAAUUAUGGAUACCUAUAUUCACCCUAUUCAAAAUCGGGUUCAGAUAAAAUUAUGAAUACCUAUAUCCAUUCACAUUCCUAAUCAAUAAUAGUAAUUUUGAAAUAAAUGAAUGAUUUAAUUAUUUUAUUCUAUUUAAUCCAAAAUAAAUAACAUAACUAUAUACAUAUUUUUUUGUCGAAUGAAAAAAAGAAGAGAGUAUAUAUUGUAUUUUAAUUUUUUUUAGGUAUUUAAGACAGAUAAGAAUAUUGAGAAUGAUUUGGUUUAAAAAAAAGUUGUUAAGCUUUAAAAAUUAAAGAAAGAUCGGAAAAGUCCUUAACUUUUUUUUUCAUUUAAAUUUGUAUACAUAGUUAUUUAUUUGCUAAAAAAUAAAUAGAGCCAUUAUAUUUGAUGAAAUCGUCAACAAAUUUGAUAAAAUUAUCAUUUUUUAUACAUUAAAAUUAGUUACUGUUUAGAAAAACUAAAAAUUAAUGGGAUGUCAAUUAAAAAAAUGAAAGUUGAGGGAGAGCUGUUUAAAAAUGGCAUAUAGUUGAGGGGAUCUUCAUACAUAUUUAACAUAAGAGAUAGCUGAGGGUAAGCUAGUCAUUUUAAAAGUUAACUCAUCUUUAGCCAUAUGGUAAAUCUAACGUCAACUAAACUAACGGUAGAAAUAUUGGUAAUAAUUUUUUAUAUUUAUAGAAGCAUAUAUGAUAUUUUAGACUUAAUUUGGAACGGAUGUGUAUGAAAUUGCCCCAAUAAAUAACGUAUAAAAUAAUUAUCGCAUAAAACUUUGGAAGCAACAAUAUAUAUCAAGAAAAAGAAAAUGUUUUCAUGUAAUAGCAUGUUAUAUAAAAUUAUGCCAAAUUAAAUUUACUAUUCAUUUGAAUUGUUGAUUAAUUUAAUUGAAGAUAACAUGAUUUUUUAUUAAAAAUAUUUAUUUAAAAUUAAUAUUUUUGUACUUUUAUAUGAGAUGAAAUUUUUUUAAUCGAUGGUAAGUUGUUGUUGUUGUCAUGAGUUGUGAUAAAGAAGACUUUUUAUUGCCCAACAAGAGAUGAUAUGGGAAAAUAGUUACACUAGACUAGAAGACGCAUCUAAGUAAAGAGGCACUCUUUUUUUAUCGUCAAAUAAAGCUCAUUUCUCAAGUUAAUAAAGAAAAUUAUAACUAAUGAAAAAAUGAUUGUUGUCCUCAAAUGGAGAACGCACAAAACGAACUCUCAAUAUAUAUAAUUACUGAAUAUAAAAUAUAAUCUCAUUAUUCUUGAAGUUACAAUAUUUACAUAAUUACAUUCUAGAAAUGUACAACAUUUAAAUUCAAAUAUUUUCUAUUUGGAGUGAUUACCAUACUUGAGAGAUUGUCAUUCUUGAGUUUCCUCAGUUGCUCAUGAUUUGAAUACUUGUCAUAGUUGGUGGAUUCUUGAUUUUGAAAAUUUGAUUCAUUCACUUAAGUUCCUUUUCUUCUGGUCAGAAUGGCUCCCCUGGGUCCACUUCCUCCUCGUCCACCUUCUUGUCCCCUUCCUAACCCUUCCCCCUUCUGCCCCUCUAAUCCUUCCCAUCCUACCCCCGCAUCCGUCCUCAAAGUGGUCCCUCGCUCACAUGGGGAGUCACGUGUCUGCCAGGGGGUCACCUUUAAGGAUGCCUUCUUAGCCCCUCGUCCCUUCAGCUUUUCAUCCCACCUCCCCCCCCGAGUUCACCACCCCACCUCCCCCCUUCCCUCACUACUUCCCAAGUAUCUCCUCAAUCCCUCCCUCAAUGGGCGCUGCUUUAGAUGUUUUGAGCGGGGUCACAGAGCUGCCCAUUGCAGAGAGCCGAGGCGUUGUCUUCUUUGCAUGAGGAUCGGCCACCUUGCCUCUCGUUGCAGGCACCCGCCUGGUCCGCCGCGUAGGCCGCCGGAUCCGUCGCUUAGGUCCAUGGAGCCGGGUCCAUCUUCAAGUAGGCCAAGCUUCUCCCGGGCGUUCCUCCCUUCUCGAUCUCCUCCCCCUGGCCUCCCUCCGCUCUCGGCGUGUGUCGUCUUGGUGGAAGUCCUCGGCCCGGUUGAUGGCAACGCUAAGACCGCCCUCUCAACGGGUCUCGCAGCCAAGUUUGGGGGGUCCUGCAGGGAUUUCUUGGUGGCAGACUUUGAUGGCCCUCUCCUAGCGAUGUUUUUCCCCAAUUGGGUUGCUAGAGAAUCGGCCAUCAGCAGGAACCCUUUUCGUUUUGAGGGUUUGAACUUCAAGUUUUCAAACUGGACCGAGGUGGCCGAGCUAGAUAGGGGGCAUCUUCGCCAUAAAGUUUGGGUUCGUCUUUGCCAUUGGCCGAUUCUAUGCUAGAAUGCGGAGGAUGUCAAGGCUGCUGUCAGCGGUUUCGGUGAACUUUGGGAAAUUGAUCCACUUUCUGAAAGGAAACUCGAUGUCUCUUUCUUUCGGGCCAACGUCAGCUGCCAGGACGUUCACUCCAUCCCCGAGUUCAUCUUCCUGACGGUGGACGACAGGAGAUUCCGUAUUCCUAUCAAAAUCGAGUCGUGGGAAGAUGCCAACCCCAUCUUUCUAGGCGAAGACAUGGAUGAGCGCUUGGGAUUGGAGACGUCUGAAGCUCAAGACCAGUUCAUCAGGCUAACGGGCUUCAGCUCGAUCCCCGGUCAGGGAAGUCUGGAUGGGCCCAGCGACUUCCGGGAAGGCUUUCGUUCUGCUGGUCGCCGCAUUCGCCCGGCCUUUGACCGUGCUACAGGGGUUGUUCAUCCGGUGACGCCGGCCGUUGUGGGCCCUUCGAUUUCAAACCCGCCAGAGCUGUUACCCCGGUCCUCGCGCCACCCGCUGUCCACCCCCCAUGUGCGGACAGUGACAGGAUAGCUGGGAAAGCGCCCGUCCUAUCGCUGUCAGCUCCACCUCCCUCGGAUGCUACCCUGGUUGACCCUUCAACUUCGGUCGGGUCGCAGGUACCGUUUGGCCCUGAUCCCAGCAGGCCUGUGGUAGGUCCAUCCAACCCUGUGUGUUUGGCAUCCUCUUCUGGGGGCCUACUCGUUUACGCGGGCAACCCGCCGCCACCCUCAACUUUGGUCCGGUUCCAGGUUCUGCUUGGCCCUGAUCCUAGCGGGCCUGUGGUAGGUCCAUCCAACCCUGUGUGUUUGGCAUCCUCUUCCGAGGGCCCACCCAUUAACGGGGCAUUCCAUCGCCGCCCUCCCCUGGAUCUGGUGGGCCUCAGUUGGGCUCUUCCGACCCAGUGAGCUUGCCGCCCUCUUCUGGGGGCCCUGCCGUUUCUGACUGUCUUCCGCCCCCACCCACACCUGUGGACCCUCCUUUUGAAGUUGCUGCCUAGUUGGAUCACUCGAGUCCGGCUGCGUGCACGGUGGGUGUUGAUCCUAUCGGCUCGAGCUUGACCCCCCCUCCAACAAUUCUGGCAACUCUUCUCAGGCUUCCUUCAAGCUUGGGUCCUUCAGACGCAGCCUUCGCAUCGCUUCGAAGAGCAUGGGAAUUAAAAAAAGCUCCAUCCAACGUGCUCAGGACCUAAUGUGCUCCAAGUUCAAAUCUAUGAAAGCCUCCUAUAAUUCCCCGAGUUCUGCUAUCUCACUCCCUGUUGAUCCCCUCCCUCUCGGCCUAACUACUGAUGCCCUUUCGUGCGUCGCUCCCAAUGUGCCUGCAGUGAACGAGGUUGCCAUUCAAGACUGUCCCGCGGAUCCGCCAAUGGUCGAUAUUGCUUCCUCUCGCCCUAGAGACCCGGCCCUUCCACUCUCUACUCAGAGAGUCGGGCCCUUCUAAGCCGAUUGUGGAAGGAUCGCGGGGUUUCAGACCUGCUCCGGAAGGGGUCUAGGCCCACGUUUCUUCGCUGUGCUGUGUGCUGUUGUUUUCUAUAUGGCUAGAAAUAAAGUUUUUAGAUUUCUGUCCUAGAAUGUCAGAGGCCUAAACGAUCGGGCCAAAUGUACCGUUGUCCGUUCCUUUUUUCAUUUUAGUAAAGCUUCGGUGGUUUGUCUCCAAGAAACCAAACUCUCCUCUGUCUCUUUGGACAAAUUCCGUUCGUUUUGUGGUUACCAUUUACAAGAGUUUCGCACCUUGGAUGCCUCAGGGACUUGAGGCGGUCUUCUCACAGCUUGGAACAACCUUAUGUUCGUUUGUAUUCGGCACUGGUGCGGUUCUCACACGCUCACUGUGCUACUUCAGAGAAAGGUUGACAAGCAACUAUUCUUGAUUAAAAAUGUUUAUGGCCCCACUGGUUCUAUAUCCAAAGUCAACUUCUUCCAGGAACUGAGAAACAUUGGACGUCAUCCUGGCAGUUUGUGGGUAGCACUUGGCGACUUCAAUGUCCUUCUUUCCUUGAACGACAAAAAUGGGUUACCGUCUAAUACCUCGGACAUCCUGGCUUUUAGAGAGGUUAUCUCGGAUUUGGGACUUAUAGAUUUACCUAUUAUGAAUAAAUCUUAUACCUGGUCUAAUGGUAGGAGGAGCCCCACCUUAGAACGUCUCGAUCGUGCUCUGAUCUCGUAGGAUUGGCUUCUCCGUUUCCCAAGAUCCACCCUCAAGGCUCUUCUGCACCCGAGAUCCGAUCACACCCCGCUGAUCCUAUCUGCCUUUACCUUUGUGCCUACUCCGAGCAUCUUCAGAUUUGAGUCCUUUUGGCUCUGUUAUCCUACCGCGUCUGAGAUCGUGACCAGUGCCUGGAACUCGGAUGUGUCUACUAUGAAGCCGGUAAAUCGCUUCAGCGCUAAGCUCACCAAAGUGCGUGAGGAUCUCCAACUUUGGUGUAGGGGUAUUUCUUCUACUCUCAAACAGCAAUCUUUCUCGUGCUUACAGUGGCUUCUUUGGCUUGACUCUGCUGAGGAAAGGAGAGCACUCUCAGCCUUGGAGCGUUCUAUUCGACCUAAACUCAAAAUCAGAUAUGAGGAAAUAUGCCUAAUUGAGGAACUAAAGUGGAAGCAACGAUCGCGUGUUCAAUGGUUAAGGGAAGGCAAUGCCAACGCCAAGUUCUUCCAUCUCCGUGCUAGCUGUCGGAAAAGUGCGAACAAUAUCUCCCAGUUGUCGGACGGCACCGCCACUCUCUCCUCCCAAUCAGCAAUUGCGAACCACCUGUUUUCUUAUUUCUGUAACAUGAUUGGUUCGGUGCAACUCUCUAGCUCCACUAUUGACUUCUCUACUAUUUAUGGUAUCGAGACGGUUGAUCUAUCCUUGCUCCAUGUUCCUUUCUCAGUCGACAAGGUCAAGUCAGCCAUCUUCGCUUGUGCGCCGGAUAAGGCCCCUAGCCCGGAUGGCUUCCCGUUGCUUUUCUAUCGCAGCUUCUGGUCGGUGUUGCAGAAUGAUGUUAUGGAUAUCUUCAAUGCUUUUCAUAAUGGCUCUACGGAUCUAAGUGGAAUAAACACCAGCUAGAUUUGCCCUGUUCCCAAGAAACCCAACGUGCUAUUCGUGACUGACCUUUGCCCUAUCAGCCUGGUUCACAGUGUGACUAAAAUCAUCUCAAAAGUCUUGGCCUCUCGCCUUCAAGCCGUCCUGGAUCAGUUAAUUAAUUCGUAUCAGGCUGCCUUCAUCAAGAGGCGCCACAUCCUCGACAACUUCUUUUGUGCCCACAUCCUCAUCCACCACCUCCAUGUUACUAAAAAGCCGGCGGCCUUAUUCAAGAUCGAUUUCGAACGUGCUUUCGACAAUGUUAAUUGGUGUUUCCUUACCGAGCUUCUCACUGCCAGGGGUUUUUUCGACUUGUGGAUACGCUGGGUCUCCGCUUUGCUUGCAUCUUCCUCGUCGGUCGUGCUUCUCAAUGGAACUCCCGGUCCUUCGUUUCAUUGCAGGAGAGGGUUUAGGCAAGGCGAUCCGCUAUCCCCUCUUCUUUUCAAUCUUUGUAUUGACAUGCUUUUCAGGCUUAUCGAUAAAGUUGUCAGCACUGAUAUUCUGCCAGCUGUGGGUAUCAGAGAAGUUAAAAUCCACUCCCUCUAAUUUGCGGAUGACGUCCUCUUCUUCUUUGAUGGCUCGGUCAGGUCCGCGACUAUCAUCAGGUGCAUCCUCGAUGCCUUCUCCUUAAACUCGGGCCUCAAAAUAAACUUUGCCAAAAGCUCCUUGUCUCCCAUCAAUCUUCCCUCGGAUUAGGCUUCAGCCCUUUCGGUCAUAUUCAGCAGUCCGCUUCAAGCUUUCCCCUUGUCGUAUCUGGGCUUGCCACUCUCCCCGAAGGCUCUCUGCCGAGCUGAUUACCUUCCUAUUAUCGAGAAGAUUGACAAGCGCUUGGCUGGCUGGAAGUGUUCAACUCUCUCCCGAGGAGGCCGUCUUAUCCUCCUAAAUUCGGUACUCUCUUCUUUACCUAUCUAUUUUUGCUUCGUGUUCGCCUUCCCUGUUUGGGUACAAAGAGCGAUCGAUAGGAUCCGUCGAAGUUUUUUUUGGAAAGGUAAGAGCUUUAUCAACAAAUUCCACUACCUUGCAAAAUGGGAUCAUGUCUGCCACCCUAAAAGGGUGGGGGGGAUCCGUAUCUGUAACUUUCAAGCCACCAACUCGGCCUUGUUGAUGAAGGGUCUUUGGAAAUUUUUUUCCUCUAAUUCUUUACCUUGGGUUCAGCUGUUGAAACAAAAGCAUUACAAAAGGCGCCCGAUUGCAACUGCCGCAUCUCCCCCUAAUGGGUGCUGUCCAAUCUGGAGAAACAUGGUUAGGUUAAUUGUCCUUUUCCUCAGCUCGGUUGACUUCAUCUUAGGAGAUGGCAAGGAUACACCCUUUUGGAAUGCGAGAUGGUGUGGCGACAUCACUCUCAGAAAUCGCUUUCCGCUCCUUCACAAGGCUUCCGCUAACUUGAAUCCUACGGUCAAUACUUGGACUCUUCGCUUUGCUAACCUGCCUAACUUGGGCUUUAACUCCCUAACCAAUCCUCUUGAACACCGGGAACUGUUGCUGUUAUCUGCUGUGUCUUCCAGUAUCGUCCUAUCUUCUAACACAAAAGACUCGUUAAGCUGGAGAUGGACUAGCUCGGAAAGGUUUUCGGUCAAAAGUGCAUAUGCUUUUCUUCUUUUUGAUAGAGUCAAUAGUACUACCUUGCCUUUCCUGUGGAAGCUUAAAAUUUCGUGAAGAGUCAAACUUUUUCUUUGGCUAGCGGAGAGAAAUAAGAUCCUGACGGUCGACAAUCUACUCAAGCACGGAUGGCAGGGACCAACGAUAUGUGUACUCUGCAACGCCGAUGCUGAAUCCCUUCAGCACAUAUUGCUUCAAUGCAGUUAUGCUUCAGUUUGGAAUACUCUAAGGUGCCCAAUUGCUACUUUACAAGCCUCGUCAAUCUCUUCGACAAAUGGUAUCGCAGCACCUUGGUGCCGACUAAGGAGGUAUGUCUCUGCUGAGAACAAACUCAACAUCGAUAUAGGAAUUGUUGCAACCUACUGGGAGAUCUGCAAGGAGAGAAACAGAAGAAUUUUUGACAAUCGGCAAGUCCGGUCAGAUGUCCUUGGUAGAUGUAUCCUUGAAACCGUGCUCUGUUGGAAGUCUGUGUUAGGCCCUCCUAGCAGCUAGAUGUUUCUUCUGCUUCUGUUUGUGCUUGUUAUGCCCGUGUCCCUUACGGUUGUGUGAAGGACUCUUUGUUACUUGGUCGUCUGAUGGGCUUUUUGUUACUUGGUGUAUAGACCCAUACAUUGCCCCUUCUCUAAUCCUGCCUCUGUAAAACAGGGUUUACCCCUGUUUAAUAAAAAAAAAUUUGAUUUAUCCAUAGUUAAUUUCUUAAUUGUAUCAUCACUUAAUCCUCCGUUAGUUAAUUAGCAAAAAAUUUUCUUAUUGCAGGAUUUCAAGUAAAAAUUAUUUAUUAUACAUGCUUGCAAAUAUUGAAAAUAAAAAUGAACGGUUAUGAUCAAUUGGUUAAAAAUAUUGAAAAUAAAAAUAAACGGUUAUAAUCAAUCUGUUAAAAAAAGAACUUCUAUCCGUUCAUUUUACAUUAAAAUUUAAAUUUGAGUUUAAAUCGUAAAUUAAAUUAAAUUUUUUAUUUUUGAUAUCAAAUCUAUCCAUAUAUUUUAUAUUAAAAUUUAAAUUUGAGAUUGUAGAUAUUUUCUAAUAAAAUAUAACAUAUAAAUUUACAAAAUAUUUUAUUCUAAUUUUUUGAAUAAAUAUGAUUUGCAAAUUAUUAUUGAUUUAAAAUAAAUUAAAUAAUUGUUACGUGCAUUUCUACGUACGCUCAACUAGUAUAAAUAUGUACACAUAUAGAAUUGAGCUUCUAUGCUUUUAAAAGUACCAAGUUAUCGGUGCUUGUAGAUUUUUCGCCAUUGGAUUAAGGAAACUUGUUGGCCAUAACUAUCCGAUGUGGGACUAUUGGAGUGUCACAGACUCCUCUCGUUUAGGGCCUGACAUCCUCGUCAGCCCUAAACACACACAGCUAAAGAUCACUAAGCGAUAUGAGACUUGUCUUGCUAGUCCAAAGAUUACUAGGCGAUAUGAGACUUAUCUAGUGUCCAAAGAUUACUAGGCGAUAUGAGACUAGACUUUGUCAUUCUGAUCCUGACUUAGCCUGUCGAUCACUGACCAUGACUUAGUCUGUCAUUCUGACCCUAACUCAGCCAAGACUCAUCUCACACUUCCGGCUGGUGAACUGGCUCUAAUACGAAAUAUGACGACCCAACCUGCUAGCUAUAAUAACUUGUUGGGCCCAACCAUCGGCCCAAAAUGUUUAAACUCAGUUAUUAUGUCUAGCUUAAUCAACCUUAUAUACUCCCACAUCUGGCCAUUACUAACCGAUGUGGGACUAUUGGAGUGUCACAAUAGUCGGACUUAGUUAUAUAAUAUAUAUAGUUAUAUAUAUAUAUAUAUAUAUUAUAUAUAUAUAUAUAUUCAGGCGUAUGUGCUUGUAAAAGCACCAAUCACUUUGUGCUUGUAGGUUUUAACCUGUUUAGAUCAGCACUGUUUGAUCAUUUACACCCGUUAGAUUAUACUGCAUUCAACCAACCACCCACUCACCCUAGGGGCCCACAUCAUCCUAACACAUAUUUUUAAUCUAAAGGCCUAAAAAACUUACAAGCCACCAAUGUCUUGGUACUUUUAAAAGCAUCGCAGCCUCAAUAUAUAUAUAUAUAUCGCUCUAGGGCUACUAUGCCAUCGGGAAGUACUAUGAGUGCAUCUAGGCUUUUUUUGACAUUUUUGACUUUGUAAUGCAUCAAGAGUUAUCGGUCUGGGAUAAACUGCGGUCGCUCCUAGGAUAAGUAGGAAAUGAUCAAAAGGGUUUAAUCUUAAGGCCAAAAAGUUGGAAGCAUUAUAUCUCUAUUGCUUCAUUUCCAAAAACAUAAUAGCUCUUAUAUAUAUAUAUUAUAUAUACUAUAAUUUAUGCUACUAUAGCUAUCAAUAGUACCAACCCUUUGGUUACUAUUUGGACUUCUUCGACCGUUGGAUAACAAGGAUGUAUGCGUAGGAUUGAUAGUGUGUCCCGUUAAAUAUGAUAGUGGAUCCCUUAGGGUUGAAAGUGGAGGGUUGGUUAAAAGUAUAUCUUAACGCGGAUGGAAAAUGAUAAAGGGUAGUUAACGGCUAGAAAAUUAAUAGUUACCAACGGCGUCGGUACUAUCAGAUAGUAUAGUAGCCGACCUCUCUCUUCUCUCUCUCUCUCCUCUCUCUCUCUCGUCUCUCUCUCUCUUAUAUAUAUAAUUAUAUAUUAUAUAAUAUAUAUAUAUAAAUAUAUAUAUGAUAUGAGUGCGUCUGUAUGCAUCAGGAAGCACAGAGCGCUCCGUGCUUCCAAGCUUGUUUUCGAUGUUCACAUCUUCGAAUCAACAUAUCGCUCUCGUUAGCACUGAUCUAGGAGUAUUUGAAGUUUUAAAAAAAAAAUAAAAUUUGCGAUUUUACUGAUAUCAUUUGCGUUGGUGAUCGAAGUGGCCUCAAAAUCCAGCGGACUGAAAAUAAAAAUCUUAUAAAAUAUGAUGACAUGACAUUAAAAUUUUAGAUCAAAUUAUUAAAGUCUUGUUUAUAUGGGGGCGCGUAUAAAGAAUUUUCUAUCAAAAAUAUUAAUGUGAUUUAGGAUAUUUGCCUACACUGUUUUAAAAACUUGCAAAACGCAUCGCAUGGCCAUAUAAAAUUAUUGCAUUUUGACCCCCCCUUACGAUCACUAGUGACCAAUGAUAUUAGAAAAAUCGCCAAAAUUUAUUUCAUUAGGUACUUCAAAUACUUAGACAAUCUUAAUAGAGCCGAUCGUCGAUUCCGAAAGUCAAACAUCGAAAACAACUUGGAAGCACGCGAGGGCUUCCGUUCUUCCAGAAGCAUACCAAGCACCACCAUAUAUAUUAUAUAUAUAAUUAUAUGAUAUAUUAUAUAUAUAUAUAUAUAUAUAUAUAUAUAAUAUAUGAAUAUAUAUCUUAUAUAUAUAUAUAUAUAUAUAGUCUAGCUAUAGUGCUUGUAAAGCAAAGUAUGAGUGCCUUGUAAGUUUGUUUAGCCGUUAGAUUCUAAUUCUUAGAUCAUUCAACCAUGUUAGAUUAUACUAUUCAACCAACCUCCACUCAAUCCUAGGGGGCCAGAUAUCCUAACCGCAUAUCUUUUGUCACAUGGCUUAAAAAUCUACAAGCCACCAAUAACUAGUGUUACUUUUAAAAAAUAGGAGCUCAUUAUACAUAUUAUAUAUAAUAUAAAUAUUAUAGAAUAUAAUAUAUAUAUAUAUAUAUAUAUAUAUAUAGAGUCCGGCUACUAUACUCUUAUGAGUACGAUCGCCCUCGUACUCAUAAGUUUAUUUCGAUGAUAGAGCUUCUGAAUCGACAAUCCAUACUGUUAAACAUUAUUUAGAACAUUUAAAACUUCUAGAAAUUAAAUUUUAUAAUUUUUCGACAUCAUUUGCCUUAUGAUCAAAAAGUCACAAAAUUGUCAAUUUUUAACGGCCGGUAUGAGAUACUUGCUAGUUUAACGGUGAAAAAGAAUCGAAAUAGGUUGAAUUUUUGAUAAAAAAUUCUAUUCAUACCCAAAUAAAGAUCAAUAACUCUGAUCUUAAAUUUAAGGAUCCGAUCAUCCAUUUUUAGGAUGUCAUUCGAUUUUAACCGUUCAUUUUAUACUCACUUGAUGGACUUUAUAAUGAUUUCGAAAUUUAUGAAAUUUAUUUUCUAGAAGUUUCAAAUACUCUAGAUCAUGUUUAAUGGUAUGGAUCGUUGAUUCAAAAACUCCAAUAUCGAAAAUAACUUAUGAGUAGUAAGGGUUCUAUACUCAUAAGAUUAUGAGUAUAGUAGCCCUACUCUCUCUCUCUCUCUCUCUCUCUCUCUCUCUCUCUCUAUAUAUAUAUAUAUAUAUAGUCCGGCUACUAUGCUAUUAAUAGCACGAAGCACUUGGUGCUACCAAGUUAAUUUUCUACCGUUAGAUCUACCAUUUUGAUCAUUUUCACCCGUUAGAUCAUACUAUUCAACCAACCACCCACUCAACCCUAAGUAGGCCACAUCAUCCUAACCACACAUCUCUUAAUCCAAUGGCCAAAAACUUGGUAGCACCAAUGACUUUGUGCUAUUAAUAGCAUAGUAGCCUAGUUAUAUAUAUAUAUAUAUAUAUAUAUCGAGCUAGGCUCCUACACUAUUUAUUGUACUGGGGCUCCGGUACUAUAGUCUUAUUUUCAACCUUAAAAUAUUCAAAUCAAUGAUCCACACUAUUAAAACUAAUUUAGGGUAUUUAAAGUUUUUAGAAAUAAAAUUUUAUAUUUUUUCAAUAUAGUUUACUUAUGAUCAAACCGUUUCAAAAUUGUCAAAUUUCAAUGGCUAUUAUGACAUGUUUGUAGUUUAACGGUGUAGAAGAAUAUAAAGUUAUUCAAAUUUUGAUAGAAAAUAAUUUAAACUAUCUAGAUCAUGGUCAACAUCCUUGAUCUCGAAUUCAGAAGUCCUAUACUCAAAUUUUAAAGAUUAUUCAAUUUUCACCGUUUAUUUUGAAAUGAUUUACUUACUAAGUAGACGAUAUCGAAAAAACAAAAAAUUUAUUCCUAGAAUUUUUUAUAUACUAGAUCAUAUAUUAACGGUGUGAAAAUACUCUAAAAUGGAAAACAAGAUUAUAGUACAGGAGCUCCGGUAUUAUGGAUAGUAUAGUAGCCUUAUUCUCUCUCUCUCUCUCAUUUGUGUGUAUGUGUAUAUAUAUAUAUNNNNNNNNNNNNNNNNNNNNNNNNNAUAUAUAUAUAUAUAUAUAUAUAUAUAUAUAUAUAUAUAUAUAGAGAGAGAGAGAGAGAGAGAGAGAGAGAGAGAGAGAGAGAGAGAGAGAGAGUUUUUUGAGAGACAUGUAACAUUCUAUCUGCUUUGUUUUAAUUCAUUUAAAAAUAAAUUUAGUCGGAAAUAUGAAUCAAUUAGAAUUUGAACUUGUAACAUCGGGUAUCAACCACCAACUAAGCCCUUACUACUUGUGCUAGGGACGGUCGUUGUGAGAGAGAUGAGGCGGAAAAUAAAAAGCUAAAUUUAUUUUUAAAUGAAAUACAAAAGCCGAGUUUUAUUUCAAAUCCGUAAAAUAAAGUUUCCUUUUACACCAAACUAAACAUCGGGGAAAAAAAAAUUUCAGGCCUGAAAUUUUUUUUUCAGCGCCUUUUAUGUGGAACCAAACACAUCCUACGAAAAUAUCGAAAAUGUGAACUUCACGUGUGAUUUUACAGCUCCGAAAUUAAUAUAAGGAACCAAUAAACUGGCUAUUGUACUAUCCUUGAUAUUAUUUAUCCAUUUUAGUUUAAUUUUAUGACUGGUUUUGAAGUGUAAAAUCAGAUAACUCAUUUUACACUUGAAUUCCCGUUCUUCUUAUUAUCUUGGUAAAAAUGUAUAUAUAUAUAGAUCGCUUAGCUAGAUUUUGUCUCAUUUUGAUCCGAGAUUUACCCAAUCUUUUAAUUCAUUUGAUUUUAGCUAGCCCAUGGCUUCUUGGCUUCAGAAUUUAACUCUAUCAGUUAUUUCUAAUGUGCUUAAUUUUAGAAUCUGAUAUAAUCUACAUAACUAUAUUUAUAUUUGUUGGUGUAAAUAUUCAAAAAAUAGAGGUUAGCUACAAAAUAAUUUAAAAAAUAUCAACGAGUCGAUCAAGCCGAGGCACGGAUAUCUCGCUCUCUUUAAGGAGAUUCAAGCCCUCUGCGGUUGGCAAAGCCUUUGAACCGAUGCAGCAGAGCACUGACUUGUCCCCUCCAGGAUACAACGGUUCGACCCUCGUCGUGUGGCUUCACCAACUCUGCACAAGUAGAUGAGCGCAAAGCUCCACCAAAACAAACACCUUUCUUUGAUCUUCUCUCUCUCAAGUAUAAUUGAAAUACUUUUGUUGUUUGUUGUUGAGUUGUGUGUUAUAGAAUAGAAAAGAACAUCCCUCUAUAUAUAGGCUCAUAGGAUAUAUAGGAGUUACAUGAAUUAAAAGCUUAGGAGUUUCUCAUACUUUAAAUCACAUUUUGGUUGUGAUUCCAAGUAUGCAAAGGUUGUAGGAAUUAAAUCACGAUGAAAGCAAGGUUAGUGAAGUUGUAACUCCACUAGCAUAGGUUAUGAGAAUUAAGAUUCACAUUAAAUAAUAAAAAUGUAACAACACUAUUAAACAAGUGAUGCGUCUAUAUUCUAUUAAAUACCUCUAAUUAAAUGAAUUGAAAAGUCCAAUUCAAAAAUUCAGAAUUUUAAAGGUUAGAUAUCGAUCCGGCCGUAAUUUUAAUACGUUUUUACCUUUAUAUGUGUUUACAUACUUGCAUGGCAUACGUACAUAUAUUGAUUGAGGUAUGGUGCUAUUAAAACUUAAGAGCAGCAAAUGUUUUGUCCUGCAAACUCAUUUUUUAUGAUGAGGCAUAUGCUUUAACGAUCGACACCAUUAAAUAUGAUUUAGGGUAUUUGAAUAUUUUAGCCAUCGAGUUUCUUAAUCUUUUAAAAUUAUUUUUAAGUCAUCAAUUUUUUCUAAAAAAUAAAUGGUCAAGAUUAAACAAGAUUUUGUAAAUAGGGAACGGUAUUCUUAAAUUCAAUAUUAUGUUGGCCUAGUGGCCCUAAUCUUCUAUUAGAUUUUGAUGAUAACAAAUAAUUACGAUUAUUGGACUAAUCUUCUAUCUUGAGUUUUGUGUUUUAGAUCUCUCUAUAUUCAAAAAGGAUUCAAGAUGGGCAAUAUUCUAGCAUCAAGCUUCACCACUUGAAGCUGUGUUUGUUUCCUUUGUCAAAUAGACAAACUCACUCUCUCCAUUCUUAAUUUGAUUAAUAUUUUGCCUUAUGAUUAGAGUGAGAAUGUCACGCCCCGCGACCAACCGCCAAUUUGGACCGGGUCGCGGUGCCGCCGACAGACCGCCGAACGGACUGGAAAUUCCCCUGUACGCGGACAGAGUCUCCCCAGUACGUCCAAGGCGUCGCAAUCCAAACAAUCCACGAAUGUUCCAACAAGGAACGGAUAUCAAUCCAGAUUGCAUAAGGAAGUAUCAAAUACAUAACCUACUUGUUAUUACAAGCAUUCAUUUCACAGUCUCGUUAUACAUCACAGUUUCUGUUUACAUUUUUACUUCCAAAUUACAAUCUCACUAUUACAUUAGAGUUAUCAAGUUUGAUACAUUUUCUUUUCUUGUCUUCUAGACCCCUAAGCUAAACUGUCUCAGGGUACUGCUACCUCAGUCUCUGUGGUAGGGCGCUAUCUACUGAGCUACGCCCUUGCCUCGCGCUGCUGCGCCGCACACGAACGAUCUGAAAACCCCAAAACAACGUGGGGUGAGAACCAACUCCAUGGUUCCCAGUGGGUACGGCCACCCAAGGGAAAAGCUCGACCGAUAGGUCAAAGUAGGCCCUGCAACAUGUCAGUUCAACAAUAUACGAUGCAGAUAUAUUCAAUUGAAAUACAUGUUAGGCCUAACAAUAUGCAAUAUGAAUCUUUUAUGCUUUUCCAUACUUUACUAGUAGAUUUGCUUGAUUCUACUUAGCUACUUUAGUUCAUUUAUCAACGAGUAGAUUAUUUAAUUCUACUUUUACUUAGCUGCUCCAGCAUAUAACUUUACUCUAAGGUUUCUAUUACCUUAGGAACUCAACACUAUUCAUUGGCUUCUAAGGUUUCUAUUACCUUAGCUCAAGCCUCUAUCUCUAGCUCAUAAGGGUUCCUCUACCCUAUCAUAGCUAACCACCCGACUCGGCUUCGAGUCAAUCAUCCGCGGAUAGNNNNNNNNNNNNNNNNNNCUUAUCCUUUCUAUUAUGCCUGAGUUAGUCCUAGUGGGAAAGUCGGUGAUGUUGAGGCCGAACCCACUGGGAACUUUGUUGUAGUUCUCACCCCACUAUUUCUACAGAGCCGGGACCGAGCGAGCCGGCGAGCGACCGAGGUAAAGGUAUCGCGCCUUAGACAGAGGCCACCAAUGUUGGGUUUCAUUUUGUUAGUAGACACCCUUUCAUCAUCUUUUGUAUGUGAUGAUUAGUAGUGUAAAGAAAAGAAUGUAAAGCUUAUUUUGAGGAAAAUGUGAUGUAAGAAAGAAAUGAUGAAGUUAUGUAAUGGAAUGCAAAGAAUUCGAAAAUUAUUAGAUGAAUGCAAUGUAUAUGAUCCAAAAUGAAUCAUGUUACUUGUGAAUGUUUAAUUUCCUUUUUCUUUCACUUAUGGCUAUUGCUUACCCUCGUGUAAGCCGUUUGUGUAAGUUUCCGCUAGUGCAUUUCUGGUUUGAAUUUGUACAUGUGAUGAGCCUUGGGCGGAUAGGGGAAACUCUGUCCGUUCGGCGUCUGUUUGACGUGCUCGGGUCGGGCCAAAUUGGCAUCGGUCCCGGGGCGUGACAUUUACUGACACUAGGUUAAAUGCCACACACCUAGAUUGUUCGACUCUAGGUUUACUAGUCAACCUAUGUUCUUUAACACUAGGUUAGAUGCCACUCAAUCUAUCUGACAACCUAGUUGUCCAAUCAUCUCUACUCAUCCUAGAGUUAUCAUCUAGUUUAUAUACAUAUACCAUGCAUCAUGCUUUCUACUUAGCAAUUACUCUUUGCAUCAUUACUAACAUGCAUCCUUUACUUAGCAUCCUCAUCCAUGCAUUAUUAUUAAUAUGCAUUUACUUCAUAUCAUCAUGCAUUACUUAGCAUUACAUUAUUAUCAUGCAUUACUUAGCAUUACAUUAUUAUCAUGCAUUACUAGCAUUAUGUCUACUUAGCAUUUUCAUCUAUGCAUUAUCAUUAUCAUGCAUUCUUUACAUUAGCUAGCAUUAUCUAAUGCCAUAAUCAUUAUACUCCACUAAGCAUUGUUAUUAAUAUGCAUUUACUCUAAGCAUUACCAUUUAUCAUCAUGCAUUCCACUUACUUGCUUGCAUUAUUUACUUAUCAUGCUCAUUAUGCAUUCUUUACUUUACUUGCAUUUACUCUAUGCAUAUUUAUUAAUGCACUAUUUAGUCUUGUCUAUAUGCACAUGCAUCAACAAGAGAUUACAUUCCUAAGACAUAAAGGGCGACCUAGUCGCUUCGGUAAGCACAACCCACCUUAACUCGCGUUCCGAUUGCUUGUCGACACUUACAAUCGGCCUCCUGCGGCACUCGGCACCCGUUUGGCCCGAUCUCUUUCGUGACUUAGCGAACGACCUCUGAAUCGCGAUCCGUCUUUUCCGGUGCUUAUUCCUUGACUCCAAGGUACUCCAGUUCCGAUCUCAUGAUUUUUAGACCUUUAUUCCGCGUGCUGCGGCUAUCUGUACCAAAACCGAUCGUUUCAUCAAUAACUUCGCGUACGCUCGUCGGAUUGUCGAACCGAGCGCACCAACGCGUUCGUUAGGUCCCCAAUUAGGUUUCUAAGCACUCAAAAUAGAUCAAAACCCCACAUUAGCAAAAUCCCCAUUUGGGAUGCCCUAAUGCAACAUAGGCUUAAUACCUCGGAUUUGAUCUAUAAAACAAGCAAAAGAAAGCUUGUUUAUCAUCUAGAAGCUCAUCUAGGAGCAUUCAAACUCAUUCUAGGGUGUUUAAAGCAAACCCUAGAAAUCCACCAUUAGAGCUUCAUGAAACAACCAUGGAUUUCAUGGUGUUCUAGCUCUCCACAAGGUUCUAAAUAAGUUAGAAGCUUCAAAACUCUAGGUCCUAGGGUUUUAAAACCCAUUCCACAAAAAUCUACCAUGAGAGGCUUGGAAGCUUACCUCUCCUAGAGCUCCAAAAUGAGGAAGAAGAUGAAGAUGAGGUUGAAGAUGAAGAUCUUCUUCUUCUUCUCCUUGCUUUUCUCUUUUCUUCUUCUCCUUCUUUCUCUCCUUUCCUUUCUUUCUUUCCUUUCUUCUUUUCUUCUCCCUUCGGUUUGCACGAACAGAGAGAGAGAGAGGGCUGUGGGAGUGGGAGAGAGAGAGAUAAAACACUCUCUAAUAGUGUAUUGUAACAAUAUCCCCCUAGCCCCUCCAUGUUUUCUGUUUUUCCAACUUAACCCACUGAUCUGGGUCCCUUGUACCGGUACACGGGCUCUUGUACCGGUACAAGGCCCGACAGACAGCCAAAACCGAGAGCUGGCUCGCUCGGUUUCGCGGAUUUUGUACCGGUACAAGGCCCCCUUGUACCGGUACAGCGCCGUAGCACUGAUCCGUGAUGGUUGUACCGGUACAGCCAUCACUCUUGUACCGGUACAACAGCUCCAGAAUGCUGUUUUUCGAUUCGUUUCGAUUCGAUUUCGCACUGAUCAAUAUCAAAACCCUUCCAACUCUUUUGGAGCUUACUUUUAACCCUUCCAACAGUGUUGGAACAUUAAUGGAUCGCGUCCAACCAAUCCUCUUGAGUGCUUUAGUCAAUUUGGCUAAAGUCCACAAUAUUUCGCCGAGAUCUCGGGGGUUACAGCGUGUACACUGUCGUGGGUAAUGAGGGCCACCACAGCGGGGAGCCUGGCGACGAUCGGGUCCUCCUCGCUGGGUAGACUGGCCGCGUCCUCGCGACUGGCUCCUGCUCCUGGGAUGCCUCGGCGGCCUCCGUGAGUGCGUCUGACUCGCACCCUCAGCCGCUGGCCUCUUGCCCUUGCCCUUAUCUAGGGCCUCGCGUCGCUCCUGAAGGUCUGCUGCUCCGGCCUCCACAAUCAACGCUCGAUCCACAACCUCCCGGUAGGUCUGGAGNGAGAAAUUUUGAGCUAAGUUUAAACUAUUCAUUUUAUCACCUUAUAGAUCACUUAAAUAAAUUUCUAACUUGUGAUUAGGUGAAUAGAAUUUUUAACUAUUCAAAAACUGCUCAAAUUGUAUGUUCUGUCAAACUCACUCUCUCCAUUCUUAAUUUGAUUAAUAUUUUGCCUUAUGAUUAGAGUGAGAAAUUUUGAGCUAAGUUUAAACUAUUCAUUUUAUCACCUUAUAGAUCACUUAAAUAAAUUUCUAACUUGUGAUUAGGUGAAUAGAAUUUUUAAAUAUUCAAAAACUGCUCAAAUUCUAUGUUCUGUCAAGUUGAAAUUUCUGGACCCUGUUCUGGGCGCCCUAAAGUGGAUCCGAAACUUUUGAGACUUUUUGGAUCCUGCCUGUUUGUUGUUCGGGUGAUCCAGAAACUUUUGGGCUCCAUUACUUCAAAUUAGGGCAAUCAAGGCUAUUUGACUUGACAGGUUGCAUGUCAGCCCAAAAGUUCUGACAGCAGGCGGCGCGCAAUCUGGGCGCCCAGAUUUUAUGGAAGCUCAAAAAUGAUCUUGGUAAGCGGCGCACGCAAUCUGAGCUGUCUGGCAAGAAAGUUAGCACGAUUUUCUGGGCGCCCAAAACUUUUGACGGCUCGAAUCCAAAAAAACGGUGCAUGUCAGAAAAGUUGUCCCUCGAGAUCUGGGUGCCCACAAUUUCUGACGGCCCAAAUCCAGAGGAAGCGGCGCGUGUCAGAAAAGCUGUUCCUCGUGUUCUGUGCGCCUACAACUUUUGACGGCCCAGAACUUACGAAGUCAAGAAAAGCUGCUCGUGUCAGAAAAGCUGUCCCUCGAGAUCUGGGCGCCCACAACUUUAGACGGCCCAAACAUACAAAGUCAAGAAAAGCGGCGCACGUGGUCCGACAGGCAGCUGGCGUGCACAACUUCUGGGCGACCGGAAACAGUUUUAGGGCGCCCAAAAGUACAACCGACAGAGGCUGCCCGAGGCUAUAAAUAGAUGGUAUUGAGGCCUCUCUCAACAGCAACUUGAUAGUUCAUUUGAGCUUAAAAACUUCAGUGAUCUUAACACUCUUAGCUCUCAAUUCUCUCUCUAAACUUGAGUGAAAUUUGUAGUGAGAUUUAAUCUUGUAAAAAGAGAGGAAAGAAAAGCCUUGAAGCUUGAAAGAAGGAGUUGGUGUGAAGGCUUGGUGCUUGCACGCAAAAGCAUCAUUUAGUGGAGAUCCAACAUUCUCGAGUGUUGAAAAGUUGGCGGGGACGUAGGCAAAGUGCCAAACCUCGAAACAAAUUGAUCGUGUGCUUUUCGAGUUUGCAUUUCUUUUAUAUGCAUCGGUUUUUAAUUUGCUUGAUUAUUUGGAUUUUUAUUUUAGAAACCUAAUUCACCCCCCUCUUAGGUUGCCAUUUUGAUCCUCACAUUAUAGUUGUAAAUCUUGUUCUACACAUACUAAAAAAAAGAAAAAUUCUGUUAAAAGAUCAGCCAAAUUUAUUAGAUUAUUCUAAAUAGUCUAUAUAUACACUAUUAAAUUGCCAAUUUUAAGAUUGCUUGUUCACUUAAAUAAAUGAUCGAUGCCAGAAAAAAAUAUAAAUCUUGGUAUCUAGCUAGAAAGUUCAAGUGAAGCAUGUUGAUUAUCGAAUUAAUUAGAUGCUUAAUCGAUCAUUNCUUGUUCACUUAAAUAAAUGAUCGAUGCCAGAAAAAAAUAUAAAUCUUGGUAUCUAGCUAGAAAGUUCAAGUGAAGCAUGUUGAUUAUCGAAUUAAUUUUUUGUGGAGUGAGAAUCGGAGAUGGAACAACCGAGCUCUAGCCUAGUCGGCUGAAACUUUUUAAAGAAAGAAUAUUUAAAUGGUCGUAGGAUCGAACUCCCGUUUAGCACUAAUAAAAGUUUGAAAAAGACAGAGAUCUACAGACUACAGAUCUGAUAUAAAAAAUUUAUAUAACAGAAAGGAAAAGAACUGAUCAUGAGUGGGAAGGUUGGUUUUUUUUUUUUUUUUUAAUUAAUUUGAUUUAUUUAUGUAUGUUGCCGUACAUUGGAUCGUGCAUGUGUUUCAAAAAUGGCAGCUACUCCUUGCUAAGCUUUUCAUGUAGUCGGUGGUAGGUGUGAGAGGAUGCGUCCAAAACACUCACAUGGGCUUGUAGGUAGGUGCCGAUUAAUAUACAGUAAUAAUAAUAAUAAUAAUAAUAAUUAUAAUAAUAAUGGAUAAUGAAGGAGAACUAACGUACAAUAAUAUUGUGCCAAAUUUAAUGUGUCUGUAUAUAUUUAAUUAUUGAUUAUCGAUCACUUUGAGAAACUCUUCAACGAGAUCUUCGUCGAUAAAAUUUAGUGAGCAGCAUANAUAUAUGUUAAUUUUAUAUUCAGAUAAUAUUUUUUUAAAAAUAACUCUUCUACUUUUGUGCGAUGUGAAUGUCUUCCACGAGAUCGAUUUAGUACAGAACGGUUUUGAAUUACUCUAGCUAGCAGUCUUCCACUCACAAGUGUGCGGGAAUAAUAUCAGUUGAAUUAUGCUACGUGCAGUGAAUGAAAAGGCGACAAAAUAGAUAACGACGGAGCAACCUCUCAGAUGUUACUAUUUCUGUAUUGAAUAAGUGCGAUAAAAAAAAUUUCUUCCGCUGGCGUCUAAGCAUUUCCUGUCUCAAGAAAGAAGAAAUCGUCUUUAUAACAAAUAUUUAUAUAUCCAUAUAAAAUAUUACUCAAAACUAAUUCUCAUUUCUGUUGAAUCGAGUGAACCCUUCCUUAAUUGGAGCCCGAAUUAAUCCCGACCCAUUCGAGCCAGUUUUCGUUGAGUGAAUUUUGUUUUAUUUAAAGCCUCUAAAGUUGUUGGAUUCAACUAACUUUAUAUAUAUAUAUCCAAAAAGUGUUAUUUACACAUAGUUAACAAACUUGGACUAAUUAAUUAUUAAGCUUUUAAUGCAUCGAUCGUUCAGUGCUUGUUUUGUUUUCUUUUUUUAAAAUUUCUUUUUCUCAACAUUUUCUCUUUGUAAUCAGAUAAACUUUUGUUUAAGAUAUUAUGAACAUUUGAGAGAUUAAGACCAACAUUCUUAAUCUUUGAAUUGAAGAGUUCUCUCAUCGAAAUAACUCCAUUUAAUUUCCACUCUUCAACAUUAAUUCUAGAAAACAAUUAGUACGUAAAUGAGUAUAAAAUUGUUUAGUGCGUAGGUGUUUUAAAAACUUAAUUAAUUAAGACCAUUAAUUUCCUACAGUGUUAAUAGUUGGUUGGGCAUUAAUUAAAAGAAAAUGACUCAAUAAAACUGAUCAAUGACUCCCGAUCGUGUGCUAUCGCCAGUAUUCUAGCUCAGUUCUUAUAUAAGUUCUUGUUGAUUUUAUCUUUACGGACUUCAAAUUUUCUUUUCCUUGGAAAAUAUAUACAAUCGAGAUGUUUGGCAAACAGCAACAUUAAUCCGAAACUUGUGCAUUAGUGGGAAGAAAUCAAUCAAUUAUCCCGUACCCCACCAUAUUAAUUAUAUAUAUAUAUAUAUAAUAUUUCUAGUUUACGUCUAAUAAAAUGGAAAACGAACAAUAAAUAACACCUUAUAAAUUAACUUCAGCACAAUCAGCUUGACCGUUCAAACUGUAAAAAUGUAUAAAAUAUCAUCUAAAAAUUCAGACUCUAAUUAAUUAAUUAGAGUCUAUGUGGAUCUAUGACUUUUUGCCCGUUUUCAAAACUAAUAUAUGAUGAAUUUAUUCCAGAUUUGACAAUGAGUCUACGACCAGCUGGCCAAGCUAACAAAACACUUUUUACUAAAAGACUCACAUUUGGUAAAGAAAACCUAAUAUCUUUCCCUCAAGAUAAUAAUUUAGUAUUUAGGUUAAAAGACACUUCAAAACAUCUAGCCAGAAAAAAAAAAAAAAAAGGGUCAAUUUGCAUUAAAAAAUUCACAAGUUUUGAGCUUUUGCAAAACUGAGCCGCCGUUUUUGAUUAUGCAGGUUCGGACUGGAUUUUUAGAAAACUGACCAAAAUAUUCUUAUUUUAUUCCUUUCUCUCUCUCUUUUUUUUUUCUGUCGUUAUUUUUUUCUCUCUAUGAAAAGAGAGACGGAGGCGGAAGUGGGCCUACCUCCACUCUGCCCCCCACGCCCUCGCCCGCGUCCGCACCCCACCCGCGCUCCUUGCCUCCGACCCUACCAAGACUGCGCUCGUCGCAACCUGCUGAAGCUGCGUCACAAUCCUUCUUCUUCUUUUUUUUUUUCUCUCUGAACCUCCUCCAUUACCUCCGAUGCCCUUCGUAACCCACUUCCACCUCCAUCUUCACUGCAGCAAAUUUUUCAUCUACCAAACCCACUUCUGGGAAGCCGCGUCCUCAUUGCUGCCACCGACGACGAAAAGAAAGCGCUUCUCGGCGCCAAGAAGCUCUCUGGCGAGGGAAGGGCAUGCGACCCACUAUGCCCACCUGGGACUGGCAACAAGUAGGGUGGAGAAGGAGGAGAGCACGACGACACCGGAGAAGAGGGCGAGGUGGGAGCGAGCACGACGUCCUAGAGGGCAGCGAUGAGCACAACCUCAACGAGGUCAGAGACUAGGAGGGCGGGGGUGCACGGGAGUAUUUCUGGUCUAGCACUUUUGUUUGCUUAAAACAAAAAAAAAUUAACUAAAAAUAAAAAACUAGAGAAUGAAGAAGAAGAACUAGAGAAAAAGAAAGAAGAAGACGAAUUACACUGUUUUAGAAGAUCGUUGCACUAUUAUAGAUGUAAGUUGCACUCUUUGAAAUAUAAAUUGCACAUUUUAAAAUUAAAGUUACACUCUUUAAAAAAAAAUUAUACUCUUUGGAAGGAGAAACAGUGUAAUAAAAUAGUGGCGACAAUAGUCGCCACCAUAAAACUAGUCAUAAAAUAGGCCGCUAAUUAUGUAAAGUUUUCGUGGCCACAGUAUGUCGCCGCUAAUUAUCUGGUCCAGGUCCGACGGGGUUUUAGCGGCGACACAAUGUCGCCGCUAAUUAUAUAACUUUUCACGGCGACCGUAUGUUGCCACUAAUUAUCUAAUUUUUGGCGGCGACAAAUUGUUGCCACUAAAUAGUUUUACCAACGGGGUUUUAGGUGGCGGCAUGCGGCGACAAAUUGUCGCCACCAAUACGUUUUUCGUGGCGACAAUUUUGGCUAUGGUAGCGACAUUUAUCACCACUAAAUCUUGUACUUGUAGUAGUGAAUUAUCUUUCAAAGAGUGCAACUUUCGUUUAAAGAGAGUAAUUUUUAUCUUAAAGGAUGCUCUUUAGGAGAAAAAAUAGUGUAACUAUCUUCUAAAGAGUGCAACCUUUCAUUUAAAGAUGUAACUUGCAUCUUAAAGCGUGCUCUUUGGAAGGAAAAAUAGUAUAACUAUCUCUCAAAGAGUACAACUUUCGUUUAGAGAGUAUAACUUUCAUCUUAAAAGGUGCUCUUUGGGAGGAGAAAUAAUAUAACUAUCUCUCAAAGAGUGUAACUUUCGUUUAAAAAGUGUAACUUUUAUCUUCAAGUGUGUAAUUUAUAUUUCAAAGAGUGCGCGUCUAUAAUAGUGUAAUAUUCUUCUAAAAUAGUAUAAUUUUAACUUAACAGUGCAAUUUCAUCUUUUUUUUCUUCUUCUUUAGUUUUUUUUUUUUUCUUAUUCUCUAGUUUUUGACUUUUACUUAAUUUUUUUUAUUGUAUGCAAACAAAAGUGCUUCCAGAGUUGCUCUCGUGCGUCCCCCGCCCUCCUUGCCUUCGACCUCGCUAAGGCCGCGCUCGCCACUGCCCUCUAGAACAUUGCGCUCGCCGCUUGCCUCGUCCCCUUCUCCGGUGUCGUCGCGCUCUCUUUGUUUCCACCUCAUUUGUCACCGCCCUUGGUUGGGCGCAGUGGGUCGCGUGCCCCCUCCCUCGCCAGGGAGCUUCUUAACACCGAGAAGUGCUUUCUUUUUGUCGUCGGCGACGGCGGUGAUGACGGCGGGUUCCCAGAAGUGGGUUUGACGGGUGAAAAAUCUGCUGAGUGGAGAUGGAGGUAGAGGUGAGUCGUGAAGGGCCGCGAAGGCGGUAGAGGAGGUUCAGAGAGAAAGAAAGGAGGAUCGCGACGCAGCCUCGGGGAGGUCAGAAGGAAUGAGGGCGAGGGGUGAGCGGGAGCGGGAGCGGGCGCGGGCGAGGGCGCAUGGGGCGAAGGCAAGGAAAGGCAUUCCAAAGGGUGGCAACGAGCAUAGCCUUGGUCGGUUGGAGGCGAGGAGGGCCAGUGGUGCGCGAAUGCGGGAAGGAGUGGUGUGCAGAGGGGAGGCGGGCCGCCUCCACUUCUGCCUCCGCCUCCGCUUCGCUCUUCGUAGAGGGAUUAACAUGAUAUUCAAGAAGGAGGUCUUAAGUUCGAAACUUACUAGGCCUCUAGUGUUAUUUAAUUUCUUCUCAUAGGUAAGUCCACGUCUUGGGCCUAUUAAAAUAUCUCGAGAUCUGAAGCUUAAACUUUUGAAGACUAACAGUUGUUUAUGAAGACCACUGAACUAAGAACGAUAAUUAUUUCAUAUAAUUUAACAAAAUAAAUAGAUAAAAGUGUAUGAAGAUCCUCAACUAUAGGCAGUUAGAAUUAUGCCUCUCAGCUUUAUUUCUUUUUGUUGACACCUGCUUAGUACGUUGAGUUAUUGUAAAUUUUACUAAAUUUAAUGACCCUCUUGUCUAUUACCCGCUUUACUGAAGAGUCAUAAAAAUUAUUAAAUUUGUCGAUAUCAGGCAUUGUUUGGAUUGGGGAUAAGAGGAGGGAUAACCCCUUAUUCCCUCCUUUACACCCAAACGCAAAUAUUUUACCCGAGAAUAGUAGUUCUCGGGUACCUAAAAUAACUUGAUAUAACUAUUCCCACCAACACCUCUAUUUUUUAUGUAUAACUACCCACUAUUUUUCUUAUUUCAUAUUAUCUAUCAAAACGCUAUUUUUUUUUAUUUCCGGGAACAACCCAAUUUUCAUCCAAACGCUAUUUUUUCUUAUUUUCAUACUUGAACCUAUCCCUGUAAGAACUAGUUCUUACUUAUAAUUGAACCAAGCGGUGAAAUUACUUGGCAAUUGGAGGAAUUAAAUAUAAAGUUUUUAUAUUCCGUUGUAAUGGUUUGGUAUGAAAUCCGGAAUACUCCGGAAUAUUUCACUCCGAUUUUUACUGUUUGAAUAAAAUACCAUAUUUUUUACACCAUUGAAAAAGUGAGUGUUUUUUUUGUUUUACUGGAUUUCAAAUUUAUAAUGCCUACCAAAUUAUCAUAUACGACAAAUUAUUCCGUAUUGAUGUAGUGUUAUUUAUUUUACAAUAUCAAAAUAAUUUAACGUAAGGAAACUUCUCGUUAGAUAUCUACAGAAAAUAAAAAAAAUUUUUUUUUUUUUUGCACAGUUAAAAAUAAAUAAAUACGUGCAAACUAAAAAUAGUAUUCUUGUAACUAACUAUCUUGUAAAUAAAUAUAAAUAAACAUAUGCAAUUAAAAAUUAGGGCACUUGAAUUAAAUAGUCUCAAAAUAGCUUUCCUAAUAUUUCCCCUCUCUCCCUUUCCUCAUCAUCUAGAAACAACCACCAUUAGAGAGCAAUCAAGGGUGACGAUGAUGGGGUAUAGUUGGAGUAGAUCGAUCAAGGCUGUGGCGCCGUUGGUGGCGGUGAUAUGGGCGCCGAUGUUGCUGGGGCUUGUGGAAUUGUUGACCAUCCAAUUGGAGAAUUUUCUAAAGAUAUAUCCGGCACUCGGCGUAGAUCGAAGAGAACGGCGAUGAAGAGGGCGGAGGAGAGGUCGGCUGCAAGUCGACGGAGGAAGGGAGGGAGGCGAAGGUGGAGAAGAUGAGGGAGUUGAGGUGAAGAAGAAGGUUGGGGCAUGCAUUUGGACGUGAAGAACGAAAGAGGUUAGGCCAUUAGGGUACGUAGGUCUUUGCAAGCUCGAGUGCCAGCCCGAAGAUCUCUGGAAUUUUUUCCACUAGUCCGAGUUGUUUUUAUUUUUUUUCCCCUAUUAUUACAGAGUUUUAGGCACCCUAAAACAGUGUAUUGUAAAAUUUUAUAAAAUCUAUCCAAACACCAAACUCUGUAAAAAAUUUCUUUUGAAAAAAAAAACUCUGGAAUUAGCUCGCUCAAUCCAGAGUUUUGGAGGCCUCUAUCCAAACAGGCCCUAAUUAGUUAAAAAAAAUGCUGCAAAUGGAAAGGAUUUCAAUUAAGAAAAAGUAAAGUCCAGCGGUUCAUUUCAAAUGGCCUCUACUAUACUUGCUGUGCAAAUAAUUUACUAAAUAUAUUUAUAUAUAUUCGAUCACCUACUAAGAAAUAGGUUUGAGCCUCACGUGCCAAUCAUGAGGUUGGAUUCCAGUCCGCAAGCGUGCUUUUAUUAGCGAGUUAUCCGAGUCUCCGAGUCUUUGUAUAUAUAUAUAUAUAUAUAUAUAUAUAGAGUGAGGCUAUAAUCUAUCGAUAGCACGGAGCCUUCGUGGCUUCCAGCUCGUUUUCGAUGUUUGUAGACUUCGAAAUCGUCGAUCGAGCUCCGUAAACUUGAUACUAAGUAUUGUAAAUAACCUAGAAAAUACAAUUUUAUGAUAUUUUACUGAUUCAUUUGCAUAGUGAAUGAAAGGGCUCUCACAUCACAGCCUGAAAAAUAAAAAAUCUAUUAAAAUGUAAUAAUAUACAUUAAAAAUUUAAAAAUCAACUAUUGAUCUUGUUUUAUAUAUGUAUAAGAAAGAUUUUCUAAUCAAAAUUUCACAAGUGAUUUGGAUAUUUCUACAAACCCGUUAACUUGCAAACGGCUCACUAUGGCCUAUUAAAAUUUGUUAAUUUUGAAGCCCAUUCGAUCACUAUGCAAAUGAAUAAUGCGAAAAAAUAAUUAAAUUUUAAUUUUUAAGUAUUCCAAUACUGUAGAUCAAUUUAACGGCCGAUCGACGAUCGAAAAUCGCAACACACCAUCGAAAACGAAAGCUGGAAGCAACGAAGACUCAAUGCUUCGAUAGAAAGUCCGCCUCACUGCUAUUAUAUAUAUAUAUAUAAUAUAUAUAUAAUAUAUAUAACACACACGCUAUCUACAAACGUGGGACUGCCGACGUGUUAAUUAAGCAAACUAAAUUUAAAAAAAAAAAAUAAAAAAUAUAUAAUAUAAUUAUUUUUAAAUAAAUAAUAUUUAAAUUUGUGUUAUAUAAGUGUAAUUUUGACAAUUUCUAUAAUGAUCAAACUAAAUAAUAGUUUUUUUUUCCUUAACUUUAGUUCAUAGUUAAGAAUGAAUAUUAAGUUAUUAACAGUAAUAACUAAUUCAACUAUUUAUUUGAUAAAAUUUUCAACUUUACUAUAUAUGAAAACUUAAUUAUUAAAAAAAAUUUAAAUGAUAUACAAUAAGAACAAAAUAGCUGAAAGACUAUUUUAGAAUGAGAAUAGUCACAUAAUUUUUUAAUAAUUACAAUUAAAGAUAUUAACUAUUAAUUAUAAAAAUAAAAUCAAAUGAGAAAGAAACAAUUUUAAUUCUAAAAUUAAACAUAAAGAGUUGGACACUACGUAUUAAAGUGACUUGUAAAUAAUUAAAUAUAUAAAAAUUUGACCAAAUUAUAAAUUUUUUUUAGAGACUUUGAAGAUAAAGUAUGUUAUGAAAACCAAUUCUUAAUAUAUUUUUCGUCUUUUUAGUUGGUGAUCAUUCCAUUUACGAAGAAAAUAAACUAUUAAUUUGUUAAGAUUUACACUUGAAGUAUAUUCAUCUUUUUUUAAAUUUUUUUUCAAAUCUUGACUUUUGCUUAAACAAAUUGAUUUUCGUUGUCUUGUUUAAUAGUAUAAAUAGUUUCAAUUAAAAUAAUUUUACGGCUGUAGUUUAUAGAAUCAUCUCUUUCGAUUAAAUCACUUUAAAAAUUUAUAGGUAUUGACUUCCUAAACAACUCUCCAAUUGCUAAAUUUUGUUAUAUAUAUUAUAAAAAAGAGAUGUGAUUAUAAUUAUAGCUGCAAGCUAUAUAUAUUGUUAAAUUUAGAAUUAGUAUUUUAUUUUUAUCUCUUAAACACCGUUGUUUUGCAAUUCAAUAACUUUUCAUUUUCUUUAUUAAAAAGUGACAUUCCAAUAUUGAAAUAACAAGUUAAUUUGAAAAAAAUUUAAGAACCAAAAGCCAUGUGAGAAAAUAAAUUUAAUUUCAUAAAAAUAAAAUAAUAGCAUGUGCUAAAAAUGGGUAGAAAAUGUCUAAUAAUUUACUUAUAAAUUACACGAUCAUGAUUUAUAUUAUUAUUAUUAUUUGUAUUAUACAUUUAAUUGUAAUUCAAGAUAUUAAAAAAUUCAUAAGCCUAGAAUGAUAUAGACAAAAAAAUGAUUAAAAAAGCAUUAUCAAUACAAUUUAUCUUACUCAAAAGGUUUCAUAUUAAAAUAAAAAAAAAUCAAUUAAUUCAUAAAGUGAAACAAUAUUACUAUGCAACCUUGUAGGGACUGAGAUUUUGACAGCGCAACUAGACUCUCUGUUGAUGAUGUUUAUGUGUGUAAUUUAAUUACAUAAGCACUCGUCAAGUUUCAGGAGAAUAUGAGCUAGAAUGGAGAAGUUACGCGAUUAUUAGUUUUCACUUAAGUGAAUAGUAACUCCGGUUUUCCGGAGAAGCCACGGAGUAGAGUUGGCUUUCGGCGCGUAUCGGACUCCGUUCAUCGCGAUCCAAUAGCUCGUUUCGAUCGGUUCAGCUAUUCUGGAACCACUGGCACUGGCGGAUUUCUGAUCUGAUGCACGAUUUUCGAGAAAAAGGAGUUUUACCGAAAAGAGGGUUUCCGCUCUUUGCUUUUCUGUGCAUUCUAAAGCUUCUCGUACUCCGUGCUUGUGACCUGGAGUAGGGUGAAGAAUGUUUCGAGUCCCUACUAGUGGUAGGGAAGUCAAUUUCUUAUGCGAAAGUUGGUUUAAUGGGUUUACACAUUGGUAUAUGUGCGAUAUAUGGAUUAAUUAGAGAGCGGAUGGGUUUCGUUGCGAAUCCGUGACCAUAUCUGAUAAAAUACGAUUGUAGUUUUGAUGCCCCCGACGUGCUGAACGCAAUGGUGCUGUCGGAUCGAAAAUCCGACGGACGGAUCUCUGGUAAUUGCAAAGUUUUCGUUAAGAGGUCAAAGGUGGCAAUUCGGAAAAUUCGCGAAAGGCGCGACAUUUUAUGUAUCGAAUCGCGUGAGAUCAGACGUUGAAGUCACGUACGCACAAAAUUGUACGCCCUGGCAAGGGGCUGAGGUUUAAAUAAUUACUGGGUUAGAGGGGUUUUCUGUCAAAUGUCCUCUUUAUAUAAUUAGCAUCUAGAUUUCUUUGCCACGAAACCCUAGUAUCUAGGUCGACCUUGUCUCGCAACUGUGCCCUAACGCACUUCAGCGGUCCGCCUGCCCAAACCUUCGCGCACAGCUCCGGCCUCCGCAGGUGCCCCGGCAGCACGAAAGCUUGAACCGCACCCCCCAACUUUCUCUCCCAACCAUCCCUGCGUGGAACCAAUGCUGUGUGACCAUAACCGUCGGCCACCACCUCUGCGCGCCGCCAGCCUUCCGCCGUCCCGCCUCCGGCUCCGCCAAUCCCCACGCGCACGACAGCCUGUCAGCGGGCCUUAGGCGCUCUGCAGCGCGAGCCUUACCUAGCUCAGGCCGACGCCCUGGCCCCCACCGCCUCCACAGCCGCCGUCGCCUUUAGACGACGUAUGCUGGCCAUUCGCCGGCGUCGUCACCGCGCGCGCCCCCCGUCAUCGUGCGCCGCCGGCGGGCCGUUUUGGCCCCUGCGGCCCACUUGUGGCCAAGUCGGGCCGAGCUGCUGACCCUCCCUCCCGCAGCGUCACCACGUUCCCGCCAGCCGCCGCGUCCUCCCAACGGCCUCGCGGCCGACGCUCCCCGCUCGCGCCGCUGCUUCGCACAUCACCCCAUCUCCCAGUGGACCGCCGGACCGCUCCCUCCUCCAUCCUGCGUCCGCCCUGACCCGUGCGGGCUCGGUUGGUCCCAGCAUCGCCGCGCUGAUCUUCCGCCCGCCUCACGGCUAGCACCGACAUACUCCUCUGGCGGCCGCACUCGUCCGCCCCCGGCGCCAGGCCGCCCCGGAGCUUCCUGUCGGCGCGAAAUAUGGCAUGUGCCUUCCUCGGGUUUUGUGGUGAUUAGGCAUAAAAUGCCUGACCGUCCGCCGCCGUCCCGAACGCCGCUGAAUCAUGCCCCCUUGCCUCCCCUGCACUCGCCUGACCCUCCUGCCGCCGGCGCUGAAUGACCGCUCCGUCCGCCUGCAUUCGCCGGCUAAGGCCGCUAAGCUCUUCCUGGACCGCUUAAGCUUGAUUCAGCUUUCCUGCGCAUAUUUUUCUGUUACGAUGACUGUUCCGGCGACAGUUGCUCGAGCAUUAGUUCCGAAUCUCCGAAGUGAGCACGGUGACUCAGUCCAGUACUGAUACACAAGUGCUCAUGGUUUAUUGGGUCAACCCCGAGCCCCUGGUAGCGAGAUAAGCAUUGUUUUUUCAUGCUGGCGUCGCAGUUCACUGAUAAUUUCGCGUCGCUCGUGUGCCCCCAACAGUGGCCGGAAUUGUCUCCGAAAGUGAGCACGGCUACCGCAUGCCGUAGACCUGUCAGUAGUGUCUCGGUUUGGCAUUUAAUGACUCCUAAGUUUGACGUGGGACUGGGGGGGGAAUCCAUAAAAGUGCCGAAAUUCGCAAUGAUAAUAAUGUCGAUUUCUGGGUAACGGGGAGGGCUUUUUAUGUAUUUAGGUUGUUGCGGGCUGCUGUUGGCAGCAAUGGAUGAUUAGUGGGUAACCUCUGGACUGAUUGUCCAAGCCCCGGACCUUUGGCUAAGAUCGAAAAUGUAUUUUUCGGUGCGUUCGAGGCGAAAAUCCGCGACGAACGCGGGUAUCGUUCGAUUAUUCCGACGUGCUAUCGGAGCUUUGUGUAGUCGCUGAGCCUUGUGCUGUCCUCCCUCGCGUCAUUUCGAAAGUUCAGAAAUGAACAGUGAUCGCGACACGGUGGGUUCCGGUGUCGAAAUUGACAACUGUCCCAGGAACCCGAUCCAACAAUUAUCCACACAAUAAUUGUUUGGUGCUGUAUCCUUGUGUUUGUUGCAUGUCGACACCUAAAAUAAGUGUUUUAGAGGCAGCGAAAUGACUCGUGCAUGAUCGGUGUCCUUUCGGAUAGUUAGUGGGUCGCCGGCGAAGCCCCCGGUGCGAUUUUUCGGGAGUUCUUCGCGAUUACGGGUAAAUCGGUAUUGGAACCAUUUCCGUGGAUUGUUUGUGGGUUAUCUUUAAGGUUUCUUAGCUAUGGUUAGACACUAACCCAGUGACCCUCUUACAGGUCCAGUUGACGGUCUUUUGCAAGUCAGGAGACAGGACGCGACAACUUGUGAAGCAGGUGGGUACUUUCAUCCGACAGUUGGUACAGUGUGGCACGCUCGGUGAUGUGCUUACACCUUGCUCUUUUGUUAUUAUUCCAUCGCUUAUAUUAUAUGUUGGCUUUGCAACCUCUAUUGUUUACAUUACACGCUCCACAGUGUUAUUGAUUAUACUCUACUACUCAGGAGGUUUCCAAUGCUUAGUAUAAUGUGUAGGAGUAUAGGCUAUAAAUGUAUGUGAUCAUGUUUUCGCUUGUUUGCUCUAUCUUAGCUAUUCUGUAUACCCUGUUUCAUGACUUAUAGUAGAGCGAUUCCGUGAUAAUCUGUGAGAUUAUCGCGAUCUGUGGGUCGAUUCUAGUAUCAGUAUAUUGAACAUAUUAGGUGAGUUCCUCAGCCUUUGUUGUCGUGUAUGACCGUUGCGUCGGUAAAAGCCUGAAGGGUGAUUGUCGUUAGGUUCGCCCCGACUGGAUGAUUAUAGCUUGUACUCCAAUACUCCUAACUUGUGACAUGAUUGGUCGACGUUUCAUAUCUUAUAAACUUGUGAAUGAUUGGUCGAGUUCAAUAUCUUAUACUUGUUGACAUGAUUCGGUCGAGUUUCAUACUUAUACUUGUGACAUGAUUGGUGCGAGUUUCAUAUUCUGUACUUGUGACGGUGAUUGGUCGAGUUUCAUAUCCUAUUGAUGCUGAGUUGGUCAGUCCUGUAGUAGGUUCAUUGUCGCAGCAUUGCAUAUGGUUUGAGAAGGAUGUCGACGUUGUCCGCAUUCCUAGUUUGACCUGAUGGUCCGUUCUUGGUGCUUCUUUUACAGUUGACGACGCUAUUGCGGUCGAUGGGCCAGGGGGCAGAUUUGUCGGCUGGUGCCGACCGGUUGAUCGUUUGAGGGCAUCAUUGCAUUUGAUCUGCCCGAUUACUCGUCGGCAUUCACGAAACAUCUGGCGGUCUGAUCGCACCCGCAAAGGAAGUUGGUUCUUUUCCGGAAAAGUGGUUGAAUUGGUGAUUAACCUCGUGAGCCCUACAAGGGGUUAUAUGCACUGGAGAGUAGUAGUGCACUGGCUUGAGGUCUGGCGGUGGCUGACAAGAGAGCCAUUGGGUUUUCAGAUUGGAGUUACUUUUGGACUUCUUGACCGGAUUAAGACGCUAUAUGUCUAUUAGUAAGCAGCUCCGCUUUGUCAUGCAUACUUAACAAUUCCUUACUUUAUAGUUGUCUGAGCUGCUGAUAAUGUAGAUAUUCAUGUAAUGCUUCGUUCUAGAUUACAAGUAGUGUAACGGUAUUAGUCUAUUCUUACUUUCUUUCAGUUUAUUGCUAAACUNNNNNNNNNNNNNNNNNNNNNNNNNAAGAAUUAUAUUUUUAAAAUUAUAGUAUUUUAGAGAAUGUACACAAAUCUGUAUAAAGACCUCCUAUAUGUUUGAAAUCAUUUCUGUUUAAUUAAAUUUUAAGAAUAUAAAUUUUUAUAUGCACCCACAGUUUGCGACCUUGUGGUUUAAAAAGUUUCAUUGUUCCUCCCUAUAGUUUAGCUUAUAUUUACUUUAUCAUUCUAUAGUUCGAAAAGUUGCACUUUGCCAUCUAUAGUUGAGUGUAAAUUUUAUUUUUCCAUUAUGUGGUUCAUUAAAAUUUUUGUUACUUUGUUGCUCUAAUUUAUAUAAAUUUUUGGGUAAAUAAAAAUUAAGUCACAGAAAAUUAAAGUAAAACUUUUUAAACCACAGGAUGACAAAAUAAAAAUAAGCUAAACCAUAGGGGUCCAUUUGAAGUUUACCCCAAAGUAUUAUAAUUGAGGGCACAAUUUUAAAUUUAAGUUAGAUUUUAAGUUUACAUUUAAUAAAAAUGUAGUAUAUCUAGAAGUUAUAUUAAUUAGAUGAUUCUUUUAAUAAUUGAUUGAACAGUCUAUACUUAGUAUUCAUAUUGAAUGUCUUUUAGAAUUUUUUUAUACUAUAAAAAAAUUACAAUUGAUUGUACAAUUAAAACUUUAGUUCAAGUUUUAAGUUCAAAUUCAAAUCAAAUUAGAAAUUUAAAAUUUAAAAAUUUCAACACAUUUGAAAUUUUUUAUUGUUGACUAAUUCUUUUAAUAAUUAAUCGAACAAUUUAUAAAAUAUAUUCAAAUUCAAUCUCAAUUUCAAUAACUUUUAUAAUAAAUGAAAUAAAAGUAUAAUCGUAAUUACACAUAGUUACCGACAAAGAGGUAGGGUGAGACGAAACCACUAAACUUAUUUGCUUAUAAUAGAAUAGAAGAUAAGAAUAGAUAUACACACACUAAUGUAGUUACCCGCGCGAUGUGACGGACAGACACUAUCGAAACAAUCAUUAUUUUUAUAAAAUAAAGAAUAUUAGUUUAAAUAGUCUGCAAAAAUUGGUGAAAAACUAUUAAAGAUGAUCUUUUUAUACUUAUUAACUCAACAAUCUUUAUAAUUAAACUUAAUAGUUCAGUCAAGAAAAUAAUAAGAUUAUAAGAAGGGAUAAAUAUAUACACUUCUAGAAACAUCAAGUAUUUCUUCAAUUUUAGAGUUAGCAAUACUCAAUGUAUGAGUAGCACCAGCCAAUUAAUUUAUGAUUGUAAUUUUCUCUCACAUUCCUUAUAAGAGUUGUAGAUUCUUGCUCUCCUGCCAAGAAGUUUAAUUUCAAUAAAAUUUAAAAUAAUGGAAAAAUAAUUCUUAGUUGCAAAUUUUGUAAAUAUAUCAUGUAUAAUAAUGAAGAAUAGUUUUGGUCAUCAAUCCUGCUGUAGAGGCUUAACUCUUAGUGUCCGAUACAACAUUCGAAAAUGAAUGAAGAUGAGUUUAAAAUAAUUUUUGAAUUAUAAUCCAACAUUUUCAAGAAGAAGAUUAUUUAUGCGAAUUAUCGCUAAGUUGGAAAGAGUGUUAGACACAAAUAGAUUAUGCAGAAAUAAAUAACCCUUAAAAAUCUAAGUUAAUAUAAGUAAUCAAUCACUUUGUGACAUCAUUACUAAAAAAUUCAAAAUGCCAACUAUUCUUACAUAUGUUAGAAUUAUUUAACGCAAAAUUCCAUAAUAGCAAAAUUUCAAACCAAUGAAUGCAAACUGUUUGUCUUCGUAAUUGAUUGCCUACUACCAAAAAAAGUGAAAUAAAUUAGACAUUGCACACUCCUUUUGUUCCUAUAAAUUUGCCGCAAACAUCUCAAAUCUCUUAUCUUUUAAAAAUUUCAUUCCAUUUAAAUUCUACACAUAAGAUAAAAGUCAAGAAUUAUAUAUACAUACAAAAGAUGUUGACCUUCUAAAUAUUUUCAACCUUCUACAUACUAAGAGGAAUAAUAUCACUCUCGUAGUUCAAUACAACCGAAAAAUUGACCACAACAUCUUAAAUCCAUUAGUUUGAGAAAUUUCAAAAAAAAUUAAGUUAAUGUAACGAAAUAUUUGGGCAUUUUUAAGAUAUUACAUGCUCUCGAUAAAAUCAAAACUCUCUAUAUAACUGACCAAACUCUCAUUUACAAAUUGAAAAAUUACAUUUCAAACCCUAAUUUUUUUAUAAUUUAUUUGAUCAUAAUAAAUCUUCUUAAAUAACCCGAGUAUGCUCUCAAGUUUGACUUGAAUAAUUAUUAAUAUUUCUAUUAUAUAAUAUGAAGUGUGGGUUACUAUAGUUUUUGCUGUUUAAACUUCUGAACUCUAAAAAGUUCUCAUAAAAUUAAAUAAAAUAACUGGGACAAUUAUUUUCUUUUCAUCCGAAAGGUAUUUAGAGCAUUGGAUCCUUCUCUUAUGUUUUUUUUUUUUUCGAUCUCUUCAAUUUUUUCCCUUCUUUUUUUCUAAAGUCUAAUCUAAUUUUUUAUGUUUUAAUAUAAAAAUUUAAAAUAUAUAAAUAAUUUUUAAAUAGGAUAUAUUAUUUGUAUUAAAUAGAAAUUUUAAUUUUAUACUAUUAAGCAUUUACGUAUAGAUUGCAUAUUUAAAAAUAAAAAAAUUAAUGACGUUUAAGUUAAUUUUAUUAUAAAAUUUAGUUGCGAGAAUCGUAUAAAAUAUACUAUCUACAUUUGUAGAACUAAGUGAAAUAUUCGAAUUUUUAAAGUCACACUACGUACCAUUGAUUGACUCAAAUCUAAUAUAUCAAAAAAUUGAAUAAUCCAAAUAAAAUUUUGAAAGAUUGAAUUUACACUUUUCGUCCUUCAAACUAUAAGACGAGUAAUAUUUUAAUUCUCGAACUUUGAUAUGUUAUGAUUUAAACUAUAAGACAUGUGACACUUUCAUCAUCAAAUUUUAAUUAGUUAUAAUUUUUUACUUGCAAUAUGAGAUAUAUUAUUUUAGUCCUCAAUAUUUAUUACUGUUAUAAAUAUAAUUUAUUAUUCGUAUGGUUUUCACUCUUAUUUUUUUAAUUCUUUUUAUAAUUUAUUCUUAUAUUUUUAUUAUAGCAAUAGUUGCUUAUUUUUUAGUUGAUUUUUUUAAUAUAAUUUCUAAAUUUUUUUAUUAUUUAUUUAUUUUAUUUAUUUUUAUGGAAUUGUUCCACCGCAACGCGCGCGGGUCCUUCACUAGUGUGUGUGUAUAUAUAUAUAAGGCGUUCUUCUAGUAGAGCUUAGAAGCUUGUUCCCAACUAGGGAGAAAAAAAAAAAAAAUUAAAAAAAAAUCACAGAGGUCGACUUGGUGCCCCUUAAAAUGUCUUGGCCACAGAUAUGGUCCAAAGGACAUAUUAAAACCCUCUGUCGCCCUGAUCAAGCCGAAACUGUGCAAGGGUCAAGAAUAAUAGAAGGGUCAAACUUAAUUAAGAGAUCUCAGCCCCACAAAUACUGGAAAAGGCAGUCAAACUUUUUGUAUUAACAUUUAAAAUUUUCAAUAAUUAAACAUAUAUACUCUUAAAAAGUCUUUAAAGCUGUGCGUCGAGGUCAUUAUAAUAGAGCAGGAGAAUCACAGAGUAAGAGAAAAUUAUCCGGCUCCAAGCUCAGGCUUGGUCCUUACUUGGAUGGUGUUUUUUUUUUUAAUUUUCUUUUUAUAAAAUUUUUUUGACGUUUUUUAAAUACAUAUUCUAUAAGAUGGAGUGGUUCUUAUACUAGGGGUGGCAAUCCAGUUCACUGUUCGUNAUAUAUAUUUAAUCUAAUUUUUUUUAAUUUAUUGUUCGUUGGCUAGCUCGUGAGCCAGCUCGUGUUCGGUUCGUUAAUAAACGAGCCGAGCACGAGCUAAAUUUUUCGGCUCGAUACUUUAAAGAGCCAGCUCGUAUUCGGUUCGUUUAAUAAACGAGCCGAACACGAGCCGACCCCAGCUCACUCGUGUUCGGCUCGUUUACCCCCCUACCUUAUACAACAUGUACAGGACCUUUCGUAAACUAGAGGGGUUGUGUUUUAAGCUACGGAACAAUGUUAAGAAUUGAAACAUCCAUCUCCGGCUCACCCCAACCAUCAAGGGCACCGUUAGUUUGAAGUAUUUAAAAAUUGAAAUGUGAAUCGAAAUAAGGGGGUGUUUGGCCUAUCUAUUUAAGAGUGAUUCUGAGCCCAAAAUCACUUUUGAACUCAGUAGAGUGUUUGGGAAUGACAUUCUGAAAAUCUGAUUUUACUUUUGAGAAUCAGAAAACUGAAUUUGAAGGCACCAGAAUCAGAAGCAGAAAAAAGCUGCUUCUCCAAAACUGAUUCUGAUUUUGAAUUCAAACUUCUAAUUUUUAUUUUUAUUUUAGAUUCAAAGUAUAAAUUUAACAUUAAAUUUAAAUUUUGAAAUUUUAAAUUCAUAUUUGAAUUUUUAAAUCUCAACUUUUCAAAUUUAAAAUUUAAAAUUAACAUUUAAAAUUUUAAAUUUAAGUUUCAAAUCUCAAAUUUUAUAAAUUUUAAAAUUCAAAAUUCAAAUUUAAAUUUUAAAUUUCAAAUUUCAAAUUCAAUUUCAAAUUAUAAAUUUUAAAUUUAAAUUUUUAAAUUUUAAUUUAUUUUAUAUUUCAAAAUUAAAAUUCACAAUUUAAAUUUUAAUUUUAAUUUUCAAUUUUGAAUUUUGAAUUUUGAAUUUGAAUUUUGAAUUUCAAAUUUCAAAUUUCAAAUUUGAAACAAAUUUCAAUUUUUAAUUUUAAUUUUAAUUUUAAUUUCAAAUUUAAAAUUUGAAAUUUAAUUUUUAAUUUUAAUUUUAAUUUUAUUCAAAUUUUUAAUUUUAAAUUUAAAUUUUUUAAUUUAAUUUUAAAUUUUAAAUUUGAAAAUUUAAAUUUAGAUUUUAAAAUUCAGAUUUUAAAUUUAAAAUUUUAAAAUUUCAAAUUUAUUUUUGUACAAAUUUGAAACUUAAAAAUUAUACUUUUAAUUAAAUUUAAAAUUUUAAUUUAAAUUCAUAUUUUAAAUUAUUUUAAAAAUAAAAUUUAGUAAAAAUAUUAAUAUAUACAAACAUUAAAAUUUUUUUGCAAACAGAUUUUGAAAAUCACUUCAGAAAAAUCACUUUUUUAUAAAUUCAACCAAACGUUUUACAGCUUUUCACCAAAAUCAAUUCUCCAAACCAAAAUCACUUUUACUGAAAUCACUUCUCCAGAAGCUAGGCCAAACAGGCUCUAAAUCAUUUCCAUUGCUAGCGUUUGGAUAGAUAGAUUAUCAUUUCGAUUCCCAUUCCGAAGGGAUUUGAAUCCCACGAGAGUGACUCCGGCCUCUAUGGUCGAUCGGAAUAAUUUUUGAUUCCGGAGUGACUGAAAAUUGAUUUUUUUUUAACACUAAUAAUUAUUUGAAUUCAAAUAUAAAUCAUAAAAUUUAUUAGAUUAAAUCAUAAUUUCAAAUUUGAAUUUGGCAUGUGAAUUUAAAAUUAAAAUUAUUUUGUUACUUUUAAUUUAUACUUAUAGAUUUAAAUUCAAUACAACGGAAUUAGGUUAUAGGGAUAUAUUUUUGGGACACUUUUGUGUAAGUGUCUCAUUUAUGCCAAAACUUAAAAAAAAACUGUUAAUUCCUAAGUAUAAAGCCCAAUCCAACCAAAAAUAAAAGAUUACUCUAUUUAACCUACCCCACCCAGCCCAUUCGGCCCGAUUACAAACAGAAAUGGAAAAAAAAAAAAUCGAUUACCAUCUCCCAUUUCCCCCUCACUCACUUCACUAAAAUUCUAAAUGAAGAGCCCUUCCCUCUCCUUAUCCUACGCCACUGCAGCCAACGAGAUAGAGUUCCGGCAGUUGCUAAAUACUUAAAUAAGUGUUAGUAAAUUAGCAGUACUCUUUUUAGGUUUUACCGACACUCUUUAACUGUCACUAUAUACUUAGUGACCCCACAUAUAGCAACACUUUUUUACAGUGUCGGUAAUUUAGCCAGCAACACUUUUUUUGACAUGUACCGAUAUUUAAAAGUGUCGCUAUAGAUCGUUUUUGUUGUAGUAACAUUAGCUAGUGGAGAUUAAUGAAAGAUUUACUCAACCUGUGGCAUGUAGCUUAAAGAUGGAAAAGUAUAUAUGAUUUCUUAUAUAAGUGUUUGUGCAUGUGAUAGUGUAGAAUUCGCAUACAUGCUAAAUGACAUAUCAUAUAGAGGCAUGACUAUUAUUGAAACUGUUUAGUUGUUAUUAACUUCAUGUUUAAGCUUAUUGCACGCAUUUUAUCAUGUCUCAGUUGACCUAGUGGUGUAUUUCGCCACUCUCGGUGGCUUACCCACUGGGAACUAUUGUUUAAUACUUCUCACCCCCAUUGGUUGUUGGUUUUUGUUUCAGAGCUUUCUGCAGCGGGAGAGGUUAGGGUUCGCGGUAAGGGAUUGGCGAUUAGCUAGAGCCUUCUCGAUGUUAUUAUAGACGAACCCGUAGAAUUUCUUUCUUUUUUUUUUUGGAGAGAUAGGUAGCACGCUACCUGUUUCGUUUAUUUCAUUUAGAAAUAAACUUAGCUGGAAAUGUGAAUCAACUAAGAUUCGAACUUGGGUCUCGGGUACCAACCGCCAAGCCCUUCGCCACUUGCUCUAGGGACGGUCGGUGUAGAAUUUCUUUCUUGAGUUUAGUUCAGGAGCAUAUAUUUAUUCCUUAUUGUAGUCUUGUUGUACAUCUUGUUUAGAUCUUUGUAAUCUUUAAGAUGUAUUUGUUUCUGAUUUUUUUGUAUCUAGCAUAUUUAUAUUCUUGCUCUGAGUACCAUGUUUAGGGAUGACUCGUACUUUUCGUUUUGAUUUUUGUAGACGCCUUGUAUGCAUCAGAAGUGUUUGGUGUAUACGGCGGGUCUGUGCACGCUCCCGGUGGGCUUCCGUUGAAGCUCGGGGCAUGACAGGAAUAGUAUUAUUCCACCAAAAUGAUGGAAUAGAAAAUCUCUUGCAAUUUCGGAAUAAUCGAAAAUAGCAAGGUUUGAUCGGGAUAAAAUAUCCCAGCAACAAAUCUUUCUAUUUGGCGGAAUAGUGGGAAUAACUGUUGUUAUUUUCGCUUAUCUUCCGAUCCAAACGGGGCCUAAGAAUAAUAAAUCAAAAAGAUAAAAAUUUUUCAUGAAUAUAUAAGCAAUUGCCCCCAUAAUUUUAUUACUGUGAGGGGUGCAUAUGCAAUCAGUUUUUGCUUUUCUAUUCUUUACUUUGACCGAUGUUUUUGUCCUUUGAUAAUUCAAGUUGCUUCCUUUAUGGGCAAAUUCGUCACAUUAUUAUUCAUGAGAGAGAGAGAGAGAGAGAGAGAGAGAGAGAGAGAGAGAGAGAGAGAGAGAGAGAGAGAGCUCUUCUUUUGAGAAGAUUCCUUUUACCGGGAGCAGAGCCCCGCAAAACGUGGUGAUGGCGGCUCACCUUUUGUUCUGCUCCCCUUGAAUUUAUUUUAAAGUAUAUAUAAAAUAAUUUCAUACAUAAUUAUUAGUUAAGUAGUUCUUCUAUACUUAUUAUUUUUUAAUAUCAUUUAUUUAUUUUUAUUCAACGGUUCAGAUCUAACUUUUAAAACAUUAUAACCUACAAUUGUAGGUCACUUUGAUGAGAGAUACCUAUUACAAGAUAUCUCAAAAAAAAAUAUUUUUACUUUUAAUAUAUAAAUAAUUUAGUAAUUUUACCUUCAUUAUAUUAUCAAAUCUCUAUUUUUUUUUCUUUAUUUCCUUUUUUCUCUCUCUCUUUCCCCUUUAUCCACAGUAGAGAUGUAAAGAGGUAGGAUUUGGGACGGAUUUUUAAAAAUUGGAACUCGAACCUGAGCUUGACUAUCAAAUCCGAAACCCGAAUUCGAACCCAAAUCAAACAAAUUUUAGAAAAAUCAUAUCCACACCCAUACCUGACUAAAAAUUCGAAUCCGAACUGUAGCCCGAACCCGAAAAUCUGAACCCAAAAUAUUUAUUUCUCUUUCCAAUAUUUUAAAAUAUAUUAAAUUAAAUCUAAAAUUUUAAAAUACAUAUUCAAAUAUAACAUCAAACAUUUAUAUAUAUUAUAUAUAACGUAAAAUAAAUUCGGAUUCCGAUCGGUUUCAAGUUCGGAUAAGAUAUAAUCAAAAUCCAUACCGGAAUUCAAAUCCAUCACAUUUUCAUUUUUUAUAUUCAGAUCCAAAACUAUAUUUAUUUUUAGUAUAGAUAAAUCCAUUCCGUUUGCUUUCGGUUUUGGAUUUGGAUUCAAAUAAAAUUAUGAAAAUCCGUACCCAUUGACAUCCGUAAUCCACAGAUAUUUUGUCAUUUCAUAUCCGUAUUCCACAGAUAUUUUAUUAGAAAAUAUUACAACAUAUUAAAUACAUUGAAUUUAAUUAUUUUUACCUAUAUUCAAUUUUUUUUAAGUUUGUGAUAAAAAAUUAAUAUCUAAACUAGAGGAAUUUAAAAGUUUCUUAAACAAAUUAGAUAUGUUGAAUUCGUUAGUAUCAACAUUAAAUUGGUUAAAAUAGUAACACAAAAUUUCUCUUAUUUAAAUUUAAAUUUUUGAAUUUAAAUAUUAAAUAUUUAAAUUCUACAUAUAUAGAAAUAUUACUAUUUCUAAAAUUUCUAAAAUUUAAAUUAAUGCCCAAACUAGAAGAAUUCUAAAAUUCUUAAAAUUAAUGAUGUUGAAUUCGUUAGUAUCAACAUUAAAUUGGUUAAAAUAGUUGAUUAAUAUUUCUCUUAUUUAAAUUUAAAUUUUUGAAUUUAAAUAUUAAAUAUUUAAAUUCUACAUAUAUAGAAAUAUUACUAUUUCUAAAAUUUCUAAAAUUUAAAUUAAUGCCCAAACUAGAAGAAUUCUAAAAUUCUUAAAAUUAAUGGCUAAAAUUUGAAAUAUUAAUCAAAUGUUAAAUUAAUGCUUAAAUUAGUACAAAAUUAAUGUUAAAUUUGGGAUAUUAAUCAAAACUUUCUUAAAAUUUUGUUUAGUUUAAUUACAAAAGUACCCUCAGACAAAAUAACCUUUUAACGUGCUACAUAAGGAAAUAAUAUUUUUAACCUUCAUUAAUCAACGGUUAAGAUUUUUUUAUUUUUUAUAAAAUAAAGUACCGAAUCAUUUGUCUUAUUAAUAAGUCGUACGUGUAUUGUUUACAGUUACAUGCAAGACCUUAAUCAUAAGAGUCGUAAUAGGCCUCUCAAAGCUACGAACCAUAAGAAUGGGGAUCAGCAUUAUUAAUUAUAUCCCUUCUUUUUUUCGGUAAUCUAGGCUGCUACUUUUCUUUAUGCCCCCCACAGCAAGGGUGAAUUGGUUACUACCUGAUCUAUUUUACGGAUCUGAUGAUGAAUCUGAUCUGAAGAUCGGUAAGAUAGAGAUGAUGAGGAUCCUAGAUGAAGAGGAUUUAGGGAAAAGAAGCUAGAAGAAGUGAGGAAGAGAGGAUAAGAGAGGGAUCAGGAAGGAAAGAGGAGAGGAGAGGAGAGAAGGUUGGGGAAGAAGGCAAUUCUAUUCCAUUCAUAGUCAUUACACUUUGCUCCCCAAACUAUUUAUAACCACUACAUAGGGGCUAUUCCCUAAUUACAUGUAAGCUGAAGGUUAAUAAGAAAAUUGUAAUACUCGUGUGGGCCAUCUGGGCUUUCAAUCUGCAAUGGUCUGGACCAAGGCGGCACCUCUGGACUCGAGUGGACGGCCCACUGAGCAACCCUCAGCGAUGGAUGGCUUACCGGGUGACCCUCCUGGCUAUUGGUGCCCGAUUGGAGUUCCGACAGCCCGACCCGUUACUCUAACUAUUGCUACUUCUGUUUAUUCGCUGGAUCCCACAAAUCCAUCCUCUCCUCCCCCUUUGACUCCUUGACUCCCCACUCGCUUGCCCUAAUCCACCAUCUUUUCCCCUUCAACCAUUACAACUCCCCCCCUCCUUCGGACGAUCCUUGUCCUCAAGGAUCGAAGUUAGGGAAUUGCGACUUGAGAGACCAGUAAUCUUCCCAAGUCGUUUGGUCCGCCGGGAAGUUACUCCAUCGGAUCAGCACCUGGGAAACUUCCUUGCCCCCACGCCGUACCAUCCUUCGAUCAAGGAUCUCCACUAGUUCCGUUGACAGCUGCCCGUCAUCUCCUGUAAGAGUUACUGUGGUAGAUGUGGGUCUCCCUUCCGGUGGGCUCCUUUUAAGCAGUGAGACAUGGAAGACGGGGUGUACUUGCAACCCUUCUGGCAGGCUCAACCGAUAGGCUACCAAUCCGAUCCUCUCCAGAACUUCGAAGGGCCCAAAAUAGCGGGUUGAGAUCUUGAGGUUCCAUCGCACCGCCACAGUGUUUUGACGGUAUGGCUGUAGUUUCAGGUAUACCUGAUCACCAACCUUAAAUUCCCGAUCCACCCUAUGCUGAUCAGCGAACUAUUUCAUGCGAUUCUGAGCCUUUUUGAGAUGGUCCAUUAGUUCUUGGUUCAUCAUUUCCCUUUUCUUUACCCAAUCCGCCGCCUCCCUUUUUGCACCCUGUGGUAUCCCAGUGAGUAUGUAGCUCGACGGUGGUCUCCCAUAUAGGGCCUGAUAAGGGGUCAUCCCCAGUGAGCUGUGGUAGUUCGAGUUGUACCACCAUUCUGUGUGUGUGAUCCACUAAUGCCACGCCUUGGGAUGCUGGGAACACAUGCACCUUAGGUAGGUUUCUAGGCACCUGUUAAGCCUUUCAGUCUGUCCAUCAGUUUGUGGGUGGUAAGAGGAACUCAUGUGUAGCUUAGUCCCCAUUAUUUUGAACAGCUCUUGCCAUAGAUCACUCGUAAAGAUCCUAUCCCUGUCUGAUAUGAUCUUUUCUGGUAAUCCAUGUAAGCGAUAGAUCGUGUUGAAGAAGGCCUUAGCGACCUCUGAAGCAGUAUAAGGGUGUGUGAGGGCAAUAAAGUGCGCAUACUUAGUGAAGCGAUCUAUUACCACAAUUAUAGAAUCCUUCCCUUCCGAUCUAGGGAGUCCUUCUAUGAAAUCUAAACUGAUCUCAUUCCAAGCUUGCUGGGGUACUGGUAAUGGCUGUAACAACCCUACAUAAGGUUGAUUGUCUAAUUUGUUUUGUAUGCACACUGUACAAUUCCUUAUUAUCUCUUCGACAUCCUUUUUGAGACUAGGCCAGAAGAACACUUGCUUUAUCCUUUGGUAUGUAUGUUGCUGUCUUGAGUGGCCUCCUAAAGCAGAGGCGUGCAUAUGUUGGAGUAGCUUCUGUCUAAUCUCCCCCCCUGACCCUAUGUAUAGCCUUCCUUUAUAGCAGAUAAGCCCUUGAUUAUAGGAGUAGUUCUCGUGGGAUUCAGGUUGUACUGUCAAUUAUGCGAUCAAUCUUCAACAGUCUUCGUCUCCACAAUAGCUUUUAAUUACCUCCAUAAUCCAAGUCGGGGUAGCUACUGAGAUGGCUUGGUUGCACCCUUCCUCUAUUCCCCUGUGCGAUAGGGCAUCUGCCACUCUAUUCUCUCUUCCUUUCUUGUAUCGAAUCACAUAGUUAAGCCUCAUCAACUUGAGCAUCCCCUUCUGUUGUAUGGCCGUGUUGAUCCUUUGCUCCAUUAAGUGUUUAAGACUCUCGUGGUCUGUUUUGAUGACGAACUGCUUCAUGCUCAAGUAAUGCUGCCAUUUGGAUACCGCCAUCAACAUAGCCAAGAACUCCUUCUCAUAUGUUGAUAGCCCGAGAUUCUUCUUACUGAUGGCCUUGCUCAGGUAAGCUACCGGUCUUCCAUUUUGCAUUAAUACCGCACCUACUCCUUGAUCACAAGCAUCUGCCUCUACCACAAAAGGCUUGGAGUAGUCUGGCAUGGCCAGGACUGGAGUUUCUGUCAUCAACCUUUUUAACCUGUCGAAGGCUUCCUGCGCCUCACUUGUCCAAUGGAAGUUGUUCUUCUUCAAGAGAUCGGUGAGGGGUUUACUUAUAGCUCCAUACCCCUUGACGAAUUUGCGGUAAUACCCUGUGAGCCCAAAAAACCCCCUCAAUCCUUUAAGGGAUGUCGGGGUAGGCCAUUGCUGCAUGGCAGCUAUCUUGCUUGGGUCCGUACCUACUCCUUUCUGGGUGAUAAUGUGACCUAGGUACUCAACCUUCUCCUACCCGAAAUAACAUUUUGAUCUCUUCGCAUACAAUUGAUUCUUCUUUAGUAGGCUCAACACUUCCCUCAAGUGGAUGGUGUGGUCCUCGAGUGUCCUGCUAUAGACCAAUAUAUCGUCAGAAAAUACUAAAACGUAUUGCCCGAGUAAAGGAGCGAAUACCUCAUUCAUCACGGAUUGGAAGGUGGCCGGAGCGUUGGUGAGCCCAAAGGGCGUGACUUUGAACUCGUAGUGCCCCAAGUGUGUUCGGAAUGCUGUCUUUGGAACGUCACCGGGGUUCAUCCUUAUCUGGUGGUAGCCCGAUCUCAGGUCUACCUUAGAAAAAUACCUCGAUCCUCCCAAUUCAUCUAGUAGAUCAUCAAUAAUGGGUAUUGGGUAUUUGUCCUUGACUAUGAAUUUAUUUAGCUGACGAUAAUCUACGCAGAAUCUUCAAGUUCCAUCCUUCUUUUUCACUAGAAGCACCAAAGAGGCGUAGGGUAUAAGGACCGAGAUUUUGGCAGUGUAACUAAACUCUCAGUUGACGAUAUUUUUGUGUGUAAUUUAAUUACAAAAGCACUCGUCAAAUUUCGGGAGAAACCGAGUUAAAACGGAGAUUCUACGUGAUUUUCAAGUUUCACAUAAAGUGAAUAGUAACUUGAUUUUUCGGAGAGCUCAAUGCGUAGAGUUGGCUUUUGGCUCGUAUCGGACUCCGUUCAUAGCAGUCCAAUAGCUCGUUUCAACCGGUUUAGCUCUUUUGGAACUAUUGGCGCCGACGGAUUUUGAGUUUGAGGCACGAAUUUCGAGAAAAUUCAAAAAUACAUGUUUUAUAUGUAUUCGUGCGUAGUUUCUUUUGUUGGAGAGUUGGAACGGAUUUCGUCGCGAAUCCGAGAGCGAUCGAGAUGAAAUGAAAUCGUAGCUUUGUUGUCUCCGUCGUGCUGACCGCACUGGUGUGAUCCGUUCACAAAUUUGACGGACGGAUCUACGGAGAUUGCACGAUGACCGAGUUGAGGUCGGUGAGGGUAAAAGUUGCAACAUUUUAUGUACCGAUUCGCGUGAGAUCGCACGUGGAAGGCUAUUUGCGCGUAUUACACGUACUGGGAGAGACUUAGUAUUAAAUACUACAGUUCGGGGGGGCUAACUCGCGAAGUUGCACCAUGAUAUAUAUGUAUUUUAGGGUUUCUUCCGUCUAACCCUAACCCUAGCCAGCCCCCAGCUAUGCUAGUCGCCCCUGCCACCUUCACCUUGCUCCCCUGCCCUAGCCGCGCACCCUCCGCCACCGCCGGCUGAGCCCCGGCCGCCGCCGAGCCACCAUCCAUCUCUCUCUCCAUCCCUCUCUCUCUUUCUCUCGGGUUAGAGCCUGGCCGAGGCUGCAUUGCCUCUGGGUCCGUCGCCGGCGUCGCCCCGACCUCGUCGGAGUCUCCCCGGCCGGUCGCCGCCGCCUCUGCGGGCCACCGCCGCCGUCUUUGUCAACCGCAGCCGCCCAAACCUGCUCGGGCUGAGCCGAGCUUCAGAGGUUAGCCUCCGCACCACCGCCCCUUAGACCACCUCUGCAGCCUUCUCCGAAGCCUCGGUAACCCUCCACGUCGGACGUUGCCGCCCCAGUGAGUCGCCGCCGCUGCCGCGCGCCUUGGGCGCCGCCGUCCCAGCCUGUAGACCGAGCCAAGCUCGGGCAGCCACACCCGAGCCGCGGGCUGCCGCCGCUGUCGCCCGCCGCCUCAUUCUUCCUCCUCCGGCCUUUGGAAACCCGCCGCCGACGUCCCCGUGCAGUUGCUCUGGAACCUUAGCCGGAUCUCGUGCGGCUUGGUUGGUUCCACCGUAGCCGCCGCCGUUUCCAACUGCCAUCUGAGAUGAGCCUCGUAUUCCUCACCUCCCCCGAACCCAUCCCUGGCCCCCGCGUGAGCCGCCAUGCCGCCGGAAGCCGGUCGGAGCAAGCUUGCUCCGGCCAAGCCCGAAAUAGGGCUCAUCUUGGCGGUUUGCUGUUCCGAGCUCCCCGAGCCUCUCUGAUCUCUACGGAAGGGAGCACGAUGAUCGUGGCAAAUUGCUGAUCAUCGUGCUCACCUUAGUUUCUGUCGGGGAGACUCCUUUCGGUUGUUUCGGCGGUGUCGCUCCGUUAGAGCCUUUUUGGCUGUUGUUUCAGGAUUAUGAGUAUUUUUACGAUGAUCCGAGGCUGUUCCGAUGCCUCUGGAAGUGAGCACGGUGAUCGUGGAUCAGUGCUGAUCACAGUGCUCACCUUAUUUUAGAUCAGCGGAUGUCGUAUUGUUCUGUUUGGUGCGUUUUUCCCUUACUGCGCGCUGUUUGCAGAAUCUUCGGGUUGCGCCUGCGCCUCCCGCAGUGAGCCGUUGUGCUCCAGAUCAUGAGCACGGCCUCUGGCACAUUGAGACCUGUCAGUACGUAGACAGACCUUGGAAGUCCUCGGUUUGCGUGAACGAGCUACUUAAUCGCUCAAAUUACAUGAAAUGAUAGGAUUUCAUGUAAUUAGAGGGACUUUUGUACAAUUGUGCACCCUAGGGCCACUGUGGACAGUGUGUAUGAGUGUGUUUGACCUCUGGACUGAUUGUCCAUGAUCCUGUAGCUUUCGCGAAAAUCGAAAAGUUGAUUUCGAUGCAUUUUUCGGCGAAAUUCGCCGAAAGAAUGCGGUUUUAGUUCGGAUUUCUUCCGACAUGGUUUGCUUAUCCUGUGAAUUGUUGCUGAAUCUUGUUGGCUGGUCACCAUCAUCAUUUUGUGGGUUCGGUGAUGAUGGUGAGCGACGGUGGGUUUCGGUGUCGAAAUAGUCGCUUCCGAGAACCCGUAUUCGUAUAAUUAUUCGACGAUAAUUGUGUAGUGGUGUUAUCUUGUGUUUACUGCCAAGACAUCCAAAUUGGUGUGUUUUGUGGCAGCGGGUGACUCGUGGUACGAGUCGGUGAGUUUCGAGACACUUAGUGGGUCCCCACGGCGUCCCGGUGUAGUUUUCGGGACUUCCGGUGAGUUAGGUGAUCGGUUUUGGGAAACCGAUUACGGGAAUCUUGUGUGGGGGGUUUGUCAGUUGUGUACUUCAGGUUAGUGGGUUGGAUACUGACCUGGUGGAUCUUCGUAGGUCCGGUUGACUGUACGCACCCAGGUUUCGGCGCUUUUGUGACAGGUGGGUGCUUUGAGCUGGUAGUCGGUGAGAUCGUUUCACUAUUCCUCUAUUCUUUCAUAUCAGUAUCGUAGUCUCUACAUGUCAGUUGAUUGUUUAUCGUUUAUUUAUCGUACCUCAUUGAUUGCAUUUGGAUAGUUGUGGAUAGACAUGUAGAGCAUGUUGCAUGUAUAUUGUAUCUCUGUGGACCUUGGGUCCAGGCAACACAUCGACUCCUUUGUCGUGUGUUUCGAUCUAGUUUAUCAUGGUUCGGCGUUGUACGCCCUUGCACCUGGCUUCGGCCAUGGCACCGGUCUUUUUUCGCCGGUUUUCGUUUUGAGCAUAUCAGCAUGAUUUAGUUACAGCACUAUGUAUUCUAGACAGCAGGUUGGUUUGGCCACCAACCAAGGGGUGUACGUAUCCGGAUAGGUCGUCGGUGACGCAUGAAUAAGUUGACAGUGUCUGCUCUGUGACAGGCAACGCUUGAGCUCUGUGGACCAAUAUAGCAGCAUUAGAUUGGGUUUGAUCUCGGACUAUUUACCCUUGAGGCAUCCGUUCAGUUGAGUUUUUAUUACAGUAGUAGUUUCAUUCUUGCUCAGUUAUUAUCAUGUUUCUAUUACUACUGUAGUUGCUCUUAUAUCUUAUCAUGCUCAUAUCUGUUGUUCUAUCUCCUUUGAGUUCUGGUGAUUAUGGUUUGCCUUCGUGGCUCUGUCGUACCCACUGGGACACCAUGGUUGCGAUUUCUCACCCGCCAUUCCCACAGAUGAUAUGGACGAGGAGUUGGUAUUUGGGCUCAAUGGGAGGACAAUCUAGCUAGUCGGCGGUAGCGACCGUCACCCUGGUUAUAUUUCUUCCCGUAUUUAGUAGUUAUUAAUAAUAAAUGGUUCAGUUAGAUGUUUGAAUGUUUGUGAUUUCUGUUAUGCAUGAUUAGAGAUUUUGUGGAUCAUUGGUUUUGGUUUUAUGGAUAUUUAGUUCUCGGAUUUGUGUAUUUAUACAUAUUUACGCAUCGUGGUUUUCUACCCCUCGAGGUAAUUGAUUUUUAAAAUAGAAUUUUCGUGUGGGAAACAGUUUUAAAAAGGUUUUCAAAUAAUUUUUAUGAAUGAGUGAAUUAGAGUUUAAAAACAAAAGCUUCCGUGUGGGGAGCACUUUUAAAUAGGAUGUUUGUUGUAUUGUGCACUGCAUCAUCCAGUGCCUAAGGAGUGCUUAGAGGCAUGCAUCAUUUCUAAAGAUCAUUAGCUAUAUGGAAACGCAUAUCAUGAAUUAGUUGUUGAUUGGUAAAUAUAGGUUGUGGUUGAGAUCCUGUUGUAUAGUUGGUACGCCGUGCAAAUACAAAGGAGAUUCUGUCCGAGUGGACAGAAAAAUUUUGUAUUUGUGGCGGAUCUGUACGUCACGUGGGCCAGGUUGAAAAAAAAAAAUUAGCAUGUCUUCCGCAACUCUGUUUCAAAAUGGUAAUGAAUUUUAAAAAGGCUUUUAAAAUCGGCCCCGGGGCAUGACAUAGGGACUGUUGCUCGGCUGAAUCACCUCACCGGCCAACAUUUCCUUGAUUAACUUCUCCAUUUCAUUCUUUUGCUCCCAUUUGUAGCAGUAUGGUCGAAUAUUAACGGGCUGUGCAUCUCUUUGCAAUGGAAUUUUAUGGUCCUGUGGCCUUGUAACAUAUCAUCCCUGUAGAACAUGCUGAGUUCCAUCGAAACGAACGAAACGCGGAGUGGAACAAGUUACAAUGGGUUCUAAGUAUUUUGGAACCUUGGUAUAGUGUAAAAGGACCCGAGAGAGUAAAAUUGGAAAAUCUGGCCAAAUCCUAGAUUUUGGACUCUCGGGGACCGGUCCCUGAAGGAGAGACCGAUCCCCGUACGCGUAGCCAGCCCAAGUAGGUGGAAAAUCGGCUAAGUCCUGAGAGCCGCACUCUCGGGGACCGGUCCUUGCGGGGAGAGACCGGUCCCCGUAAGUGAAAAUUUUUCCCAGCGGCUAAGUCCUGAAAAACCUGCUCUCAGGGACCGGUCCCUGGUGGGAGAGACCGAUCCCGCAUGCGAAACUGGCUCAGUCUGGGCUGAUGUGAAAAAUGGAAAUGAGAGGAAUUUAGGUGCAAUUGUGACAUGAGUUGGGUGUAUAGGUGAGAGGGAUGGGUGUUAGGGCUCAUUUCUCUCACACCCCUACACCAAACCUUUCCUUCUCUCUCUCUAAAAACCCUUUUUCUCUCUCUCAUUCUCUCUAGAGCUAGGAGCAAGGAGGGCUUGCUAGGAGCAAGGAGGGCUUGGGAGGAGAAAAGCUUGGAGAAGAAGCUUCUCUAGUUGAAGGCAAGCUUGGGCAAGAGCUUUUGGAGGAAAGCUUUGGACUCUAAAGGUGAGUUCCAUGUUUUUGAGCUAGGUUUUGGGUUAUUUUCCCUUCUAGCAUGCUUCUAUGAGAUGAAUAGAGGUUUUUCCCCAUAGUAUCCAUGUAGGGACUAGUUUUGGAGAAUAUGACAUUGUAUAAGGGCUUAAACUUAGGAUUUUUAGAUUUUGAGGUCAAAGCUUGGGAUUGAUCUCAUUCUAACCUAAUUGGUAGGUCAGCGAACGCGUUAGCGCGCUCGGUUCGGCGAUACGACGAGUGUAUGCGAAGAAAUCAAGGAAAAAAGGCCCGUUUUGGCUCCAUUUCGUCGUAGCAAGCGGUAUAGAGGUUUAAAAAUCACAAAAUUUGGAUUACGACAUCCUUAUAACACUAAAAGGUGGGGGCUGCUAUCCGAAAACACCGAAUCACUUUCUAUAUCUAUGUCACUUUAUUUGAGCAUAUUGAUAUUGUAGCAUUCUUGCAUAUAGGAUAGUGUGGAUAUGUUCUUGGUUGAAAUGCAUGUAGAUGCUUAAAGAUUAUGUGAAAGGACAAUGAACCAUGUGAACAAUGAAUGUGAAAACCCUAUGUGCAUGUGAAUGUAUGAAAAGACUAUGAUAAUAGUAAACAAAGGUGACAUUGACUAUAGUGACUCGAUUGGCAUUGAAAAGAGAUCGGUUAAACAAUGUUGAACCUAGAGUGGCGUCAUAACCUUUGUGGCCCGGAUAUAGUGGUAUAUAUGUAUGAUAUGGUAGAACCUAUCAUUGGCAUUUGAGGCAUUGUGACUUGAGACAGGUUGGCUAUACUUCCUCAAAAUGAGGAUAGGAUCAUACUCAUAUGUAUUGGUUCCGGCUUGAGGGAGGUCGCUCCUCCUCAAACGGUGUACUCCGGAGUGUAGACACCACGGGGAGAGUGCCCCGGCGAAGAUCCCUCGGGUGGUUGUGCAUGUGCCUCCCCCGGUAGACGGGAUAUGUGGAAUGUGAGUUGGGGGUGACGCAGGAUUACCCCGAGAUGAUUGGGUAAAAGCCAUGGAAAAUAAGAAAUUGGACAUACAUGCAUAAAUAUCAUGUACUUGAUUAUCUAUCUAUCCGCUAACAUCUUUCUUGCAGGCAUUGUAGUAGUUGUGCAUUAGUUGGUUUAUUAUCUACCAUUUUUAAAAUACAUAUACCUGAAUAAACCUAGUGGGUGAGUCGGCGCGGUCGGCGGCCGAACCCACUUGGAACUUCGUUGUAGUUUUCACACCACCACUAACCCUGCAGAUCCGUGCGCAAGCGGGGCGGCGGAGGAUCGAGACAAGGGUAUCGCGCCAUAGAUAGCGGCUUUGGAGUUUUGUAGGCAUAUCCUUUUGGAUGUUCAACUUUUGUAUGUUGAAUUAUAAAUGAUGUAAAGAAAAAAAGAUGUAGGUCCUAUAUUUUGGGUUAAAGGACAAUGUGAUGUAAUUGUGAAUGGAAAGAAUGAAUGUAAAGAAUAGUUUACUUGUAUUUGAUUCAAAUGUAAUCAAAUGACAUGUGUUGAAUGGUUUAGUGUAAUAGCAUAGAUGCUUUCGCUUAUGAUUUGGUUGUUGUUUGCCCUCGUGCAAAUCUUGUAUAAUUGCAUUCAUCUUGUAUUGAAUUGCUUGUAUUAUACAUGUUGUUAGAGCCUUGGGCGGAUAGGGGAAGUGCUGUCCGUUCGGCGUCUGUUCGCGUGCUCGAAUUGACCAAAUUGGCGGCUCCGGGGCGUGACAGGCCUUGUGGGGGGCAACCCCUGAGGUUCUUGGAAAACCAUCUCAAAUUCCAGCAACACCUUCUCCACUUCUUCAGGUAUGGAUUCUUGUUUCCCUUCCUUCAGACUGAUCAGUUUAGCUACCGCAUAGCAGUGUCCUUCGAGGUACUCUUGGUGCCAUUGCCUCGUUGUUAAGUCCUUGAGUUUGGCCUUCUCAGUCAUCCCUUUUAAUUCUACCCUUUUUUCUCCUUUAGAGAUGGCAACAGUCUUUUGCCCGUAAUCAAAGGUGACUGGUGUAUGCUUCCUUAAUCAAUCAAUCCCUAGUAUCAUGCUAUAACCCUCCAAUCUGAUUACUCUUAACUCGGCUGUGUAUUCUUCUCCUUGCAUCUUCCAAGAGAAGCUUGGGCACUUUAGCUUACUCAUCACUUGCUGACCAUUUGCGACGGUCACCAACAGAGGUGUGGUGGUAGUAAUGGAGGCUCGGAUCUCUUUGGCGGUCGCUAUAUCAAUGAAACUGUCGGUGCUUUCCAUAUCUACUAAAAUUGACAAAACUCUCUUAGCUGCUUCUCCUUGUAUCUUAAUAGUAUCUUGUGGAUUUUCUGCACUCAAGGCAUGGAUUGAUAGCCCGAUCUCCUCCUUCUCCUCAUUCACCUCUAGUUCUUCUUGCUCCAUUGGCUCUCGGAGGCUGUCUUCAUCAUAGACUUCAGUCACUUCUUGGGUAGCUAUGACAGUAUUGAUACUUUGAGUCUUGCAUUGAUGCCCUGGUGAGUACUUAUCUCCGCACUUAAAACACAGCCCAUCGGCCAUUCGUUGCUCUAUAAGUCGCCUAUUUGGAAAUGCUCUUUCUGUGCUGUACUUGUUGGCAUAGUUCCUGGUGGCAUCAUUAGUUCUGCUUGGUGUGACUGAACUGUUGCCCUUAUAGCUAUUGGUUUAAGAAUUUCCUUGGUUCCUGAGCAACAUCCUGCUCUUCCUCAUCAUUGCGGCUAUACUUUGCUCUUGCAGUCGAGCUUGCUCGUAUGCUUGCCCGAAGGUGCUAGGGUACAACAUCUUAACAGCUGCUCUAAUCUCUUCUUUUAGCCCACUCAAGAAGCUUGAUAAGAAAAAUUCUGAGGCAAAUUGGGACUUAGUGGUCAAUAAUCUAGACCUAAGCUCCUCGAAUUGUUCUUGAUAUUCCUCAACAGUCCCCUGCUGCACCAAUUUGUUGAACUCCUCCACUAUGUCUCUCAACCCAUUGGAAUCAAAGCGUUUACAUAAGUCGAGGGCGAAUGAGUCCCAACUCACUUCUCCCUUCUCUGCUAGAUAUCUAUGGAACCAAAUAUCUGCUCUCGGUUCCAAGUACAUAGCGGCUAUUUCCAAUUUCUGUGACUCCUGGAUUCCAUGAAUCUCAAAGUACUUUUCACAACGCCUAAUCCAGUUCCUGGGGUUAUCUCCACUAAAAAUAGGAAAAUCUAAUCGCGGUAUGGGUGUAUAAUUGUUGCUCUUAGUAAAUAAUUGAAAUGCAUAUUGGUCAUCCUUGGGUAAAGGAAUCGAAGGUGUGGGCAGUAUACCUCGUUCAUCUUGGUUAAGUGUUGCAGAUGUUCCUUUGGUUGUUGAACAUUGCUGCUGAUUGGAUAAGAGAUCCAUGAGUUGCUCCCAUCUUUUUGUGGAAUUAGCGGCCUCCCUCCGCAGGAAUUCAUAGUGACUUUGUUCCUUGGCUUGCAUAGCUCCAAUUCUCUGUUGCAGCUCCUCGAAUCUUCGAUCGUUCCCUACUGCCAUCUCCUGCAGCUUCUGCUCUAAGGCAUGUACAUGUUCAUCGAGCAAUUUGAGUCUGGUGCCCUCCGCCAUUGUUGUUUUGCUGAUGAAUUUGAAACGGUUACCUCAGUUGGACCCAAUGAUUUCGCAGCCGGACCGCCUUAACAGGAGGACCUCUUACUUCUCUCCUUGCCGAUGAUGUUCUUGAGGCAAUUGUGUUUCUCCUCCCCUUCUGGUAGCCAACCCUUGUAUCCUGGAUUCAACAACCGUGGUUGGAAUAUGGGAUGCGGGUCGAUCGUUCCUGUGUAAUUCCUCAGAUCUCUUGAUCCUGGUAUUACUUGGAACUACUACCUCCCCUGGGACCGAUGCUGCUCUGAUACCAAGUUGUUACCUGAUCUAUUUUACGGAUCUGAUGAUGAAUCUGAUCUGAAGAUCGAUAAGAUAGAGAUGAUGAGGAUCCUAGAUAAAGAUGAUUUAGGGAAAAGAAGCUAGAAGAAGUGAGGAAGAGGGGAUAAGAGAGGGAUCAGGAAGGGAAGAGAAAAAGAGAGGAGAGAAGGUUGGGGAAGAAGGCAAUUCUGUUCCAUUCAUUGUCAUUACACUUUGCUCCCCAAACUAUUUAUAACCACUACAUAGUGGCUAUUCCCUAAUUACAUAUAAACUGAAGGUUAAUAGGAAAAUUGUAAUACUCGUAUGGGCCAUCUGGGCUUCCAAUCUGCAAUGGUCUGGACCAAGGCGGCACCUCUGGACUCGAGUGGACGGCCCACUAAGCAACCCUCAACGAUGGAUGGCUUAUCGGGUGACCUGUUAGAAAAUUGCAUACGGUAAAACGCAGCGGAAAAAGAAAAUCAAACAAAUUUGAUUUUGAAAAACUCUCGAGAUCUAAUCUCAAAAACCACGCAAUUAGGAUCCCUCAUGUUCUUUAAGAUUAAAGGAGAAAAGUAAGAUCGAAUCAUUACCUUUUUCACGGAUAAAUUCUUGCCUCAAUUUGAUGAUCGUGGAAUCGGGUUCUCUUGAAGCCGCACACGCGGCGCCUCUAUAGGUACCCACGAGGUUCUUGAUUGAUCGAUUCCUCACCGGGGUGCUAGCUCCCUUGCAAAAGACGUCUUUCUUGCUUAGAGAUGGAGAAGAGAAGAGAGGAUAGAUGACGACUUAGGUUUUCUAAAAACUCCGUAUAUUAUAUAUAGAGAUAAAUCCUAUUUCCUAAUAAAUAUAAUGACAAUUAAGGAUAAGUAUAAAUCUAGAUUUAAAUUUAUCUUUUCCUUAAUGGUUUAGAUCGAUCAAAUCCUAAUUUGAUUCGACUUGAAUUUAUAUAUAUUUUGAUCUCAUCAAAUUAAUAUACAACAUUUGCAAAUAAGUCCUCUUAUAAUUUACUAACUUUAGUAAGUCCUCUCUUGUAACAUUUACACUUAAUUACACUAAUUUGUAACAAUUACAAAUAGUCCAAUUUAUCAUAUAUUGACAAUUGAGGUCCUCGACGAUUCAAUAAUCGGCGAUCUACCUAUUCGAUCAAUCACAACUCUUAUUGUGUGUGACCCAUAGGUUCUAUUCUACUUGUAGUGAGAUAUAUUUUGAUCACUACAACAAUAUCACUGAAACUCCUUUCAAUGGAUUAAACAAUUCCAACUCAGCCCAAUGAGAAUUAUCGUAAUCUAGAUAAUUCUCAUGAGUCUCACAUUCCACCAGUGACGCCUAGCAGCAUGUAUGGCAUUCCAGUAGAAUGGAAUAAUGAACCUCUUGGUGCAGUUACCGUGUGAUACAAUCUUCUAUCAUGAGUUCGCCGACUUGACGGAGUUAUGGAACAACUCGUCAAACCCAUCGUCUGUCAUAUUUAAAUUUAUUCGACUCCGAUUUUAAUAUCGAACCCUUUUCCGCUAUUUUAUUCUUGGCCUGGCCAAGCUCUUCUAAACUCGGUUCUCAUAAAUCACAUGGACUAACACCCCUAUCUACCAAGGGAGAUAGAUUCCAUCUGAGUGCGCACCCUAUUCCUACAAUGAACCUAUGCAGGCAACAUGCACCUCAAGACGACGAAUGGCUAGGGACCAAGUGUAUGUACAGUCAAACUACAGUACCUCAUUGUGAAUAGCGAGGCACCGCAGGUCAAAGGACCAGUCACACUACUGCAACAAUUGAGUAAGUCACUGACGAUGAGUAGACAUCCAAUGACUUCUGCGUUGGUCACGCUCAGUACCCUUGUUCUUCUAACAACCACCUGCAUAUUGCGUUCAGUGUCCCCACGACUGUCGACUCGAAACUCAUUCUGACCUGAAAGGGAAGCGACUUAUGCACCAAUCUCAUCGGAUCAAUCACCGUCCCCGUGAUGAUCCAUUGAUCGGGAGCAUUUAGGAAUUAAUCACCAAUGACACAUGUCUCAAAUUCUCAACACUUGAAAAUAUAUGUCAUCAUCUUAUUAAUUCCUUGGACGAUUCAUGGACACAUACACAACAUGAAUGGAAAUAAAAAUCCAAAGUUAUUCAUAAUAUUUUAAAAUCAAAUACAAAAUUAUGUCCUAGAAAGAAUACAUGUGUCGGCCUGGUUGGCUUCUAGGGCAUACAUCUAACAUGACCCUCCUGGCUAUUGGUGCCCGAUUGGAGUUCCGACAGCCCGACCCGUUACUCUAUCUAUUACUACUUCUGUUUAUUCGCUGGAUCCCACAAAUCCAUCUUCUCUCCUCCCCCUUUGACUCUUGACUCCCCACUCGCUCGCCCUAAUCCACCAUCUCUUCCCCUUCAACCAUUACAGAAUUAAUAGUGCCUUUGAUAGAAAAAUAAUAAAAAAGAAUACAUACAUUGUAGUUUCAGUUUAUGAUUAUAGCUUUUGUAUUAAUGUAUUGUUUUUAACUGUUAAUUUUUUUCAGAGCGAGGGGGGGAGAGAGAGAGAGGAGAGAGUUUAUGAUCGAUGACAGCUUGUGUAUUGUAUAUUUUUAACUUUUUUUUAUUAGAUAGAAAAAUAACAUUUUAUUUAUCUCAUUUAUUUCUUAAAAAAUAAUUUUAACUAAAAACAUAAAGCAAUCAAUCAGAUCUUAAAUUUUAAAGCUUGGGAUAACAACCACAAAGUUCUUGCCAUUUGCGUAUUAGUUAAUUACCUCUUCUCUUUCAAUUCAUAAUUAGCUUUAUGUUUUUGUGCUUGAUUCCCAAUUUAUUGCUCUGGUUAAGGGAUCACCAAAACGUAUAUCCUUUUCAAUUUUCUUUUUAACUGGGUUUUGGAGGUUCCUGUUAGAUCAUUUUCUCCUACGUACAGAGGGACAAUUAAUUCUUUUUAUAUAUAUUUUUUAUCCUUACCAGAGACUGUAAUUUGUGCCGUGCCCAAAAACUGUUUUAUCCUGCAUGUAAUCAAGCUCCACUGCUAAUAAAAUGCCUACGAAUUAAUUUUUACUACAAAAUACAAAGUUGCUUGUUCUAUCCUUCCUCACUCACUGUUUAUUCUUUAUUAUUUGUAUUUGUCUGGUCCUGAAACAAGUUGCAUAUAAUCUCUUUCAAUAAAAUACACGUGCCAUAUAUAUUUGAUUGAUAGAAAAGCAUCCAUCAUGCAUGAGGUAAUCAAUCAGUGUAAAAGAAAAUGCUCAAUAAUGAAAUUCAACUAUAUAUUAACUUUUAAAAUUAAUUAAUAAGAUGUUAUAAAUUUUAGACUAAAUUACAAAAAAUUUCUCUAGCUAUCAAUACCUUUUUUUUAUUUUUAAAAAUUUAUAUUUUACCAUUUAAAAAAAUAAAAGAUAUCCACUUCGGACCCUACCGUCAGUGUUCCGUUAGGAUUCCAUCUAUAUCCUAUUAUUUUAUAUUUUUUUACCCAAAGUACUUUUGUACCCCUUCUCUCCCCAACGCUGCCUCCCUCCUCGUUGACGAUGUUCUCGGCCGUGCCACCUCGCCUUCGUCCAUCCCGCCGUUUGCGUUCAUACCCAUGCCCCUCCUCCGCCAUCUUAUCCUUGGCCAUCCUCCGUCCUCGCCCACCCUAAUCUCAUCCCUAUCGUAGCGGAAUGGAGGGGUAGCAGGAGUGCAAAAGUAGAAAGAGCAGGUGGAGCAAGCGGAGUCAGAGUUGGCCGGGGUCGAGAAAGGCGCGAAGGAUGGAGGAGAAGAAGCUGCGGAUGAAGCAGGAUCAGAAAGGAGACAAAAAGAAAGAGAGCAAUUUGGUCAUUUUAUUAUCACAAUUAAAAUCGUACCUCUGUAAAUAUUUUUUAUUUUCAAUUUUAAGCAAUUAAAUAUAGAUUUUUAAAAGUCGGAAAGGAAAAGUUAAAAAAAAGUAAAUCAUUACUUAAUAAUAUUUAAGUCAUACGAAAAAAAAAAACAGGUUAAUUGUAUUUAAUGCUCCUAGCUAAUAUUUUAUUGAAUGCUAGCUCCUGGCUAAUAUGUUUUAUUUUUAGUAGAAUCUAAUAAAGGUUUUACUUUUCUUGUGGCCUUAAAUAAUAUUUUCGCAUGCUUUUCGUUACAAAGGAAAUUUCAUAAUUUUUUUUUUUUUUUGUGUGUUUGCUAAACAUGUAUAUUAGAGAUUACCGUAGCUAAAUAAGAAGGCCCCAGACAGCGUCUAGUGGAUUCUGAAUUUCUGAUUUGAGUGCUUGGUGAUUGUUUUUGUCACCGAGUUUAAUUUAUAGUACUUUUUCAGUUUUCCGUUUUUUUUUUUUUUUUUUUUUUUUUUUCUAUUCAAUCAUCUAUGUGUUUUCAUGUUAUAAAUUUAAAUAUUUUUUGUUUAAUGAUUAGAUGAAGGACCGUUUUUUAAAUCUUCAACACAAGCGAUUUCUUGAUGGGUAGUAAUACAUUCUUUUUUUUUUUUUAAUCAAUCAGGAUGGGUAGUCAAUACAUUCUUCUUUUUUUUUUCAAACGAAAAAGACAAGCCGAUUUCUUGAGCAAUUCAUAAAUGGGAUAAAAAAAAAAAAAGCUCAUAUUCUCAUCAUAUUCCCAAUAUCUAGAAAGUCGGAGGACAAUUCAAACAAGUUUUUAAAUAAAUAAUAAUAAUAAUAAUAAUAUAAUAUAAUGAUAAGGAAGAUAAAUAGCAGAUAUAUAUAUAUAUAUAUAUUAUUAGUAUAUAUAUAGAAAUUAAGAACUCUAUGCAAGGUAUAAAAGAAUAAAAAAAAAACUCUGCCAUAUACUAGAAAGAAAAGACUCAAACCUUAAACUUAGUUAAAGAGUAAGCGGACUAACCAACAAAUUAAAUCUACCCGCAUUUGUCACAAAGAGAGAACCAUCAAUAUAUAUUAACAAAUGAAAAAUAUUAUCUGUACAUCUAUAUGUUGGUGUAAAUCUUAUACCUUAUCUAUUCUAAAGUUUAUAAAAGUUCAGAUAAAUUUUAUCAAAAAAAAUGAUAAAACUAGAGGGGGGAAAUGAGAAUUUGGAUUGAUAGGAUGUAAGAUGUACGUUUGGACUCUGUUAGAAUGUCGUAAUAUGUUAUCCAAAGAUUACUUGUGAAUAACAUUUUCAGUAUAAAAAUUUUCGAGUAUGAUUGUAAGUCCAAAGUUUGAUUUUCUUUUUUAUAUUUCUUUGAAAAGUCUUAUAGUCCAUAAUUUGGUAGGAUAUAUAUUUUAGCUAAUAAGUGAUUUAUCUUAUUCUGAAAAAAAUAACUUUAAGGUCAAAUAUGAUACUUCAUUAUAAACAAUUGUUUUAUUUCUCAUUAUUCGAAUGUACAAAUAUUUUUAGUAAAUUAAAAGAUAUACCGAAUAAGAUAUUCAUGCAUUCAAACAUGGCCUACAUUUAGGAUUGCAGAGAUAGUAUUGCUCUUAACAAAUUUUUGCACAGCUAAUAAACCUCUUCCUUCUCCAGUUUUAUCGUGGAUUCGGUUCUUUUGAACGUGGUUAAUAACAACACUAUGAAAUAGGUGACUUCUUUGCAGUUAGGGAGCAUUAAAUUAAUCUAAUUCAACAAUUGUGUAUUCGGUUUAAAAUUAAUAUUCUUUCUAGUAAACUUAAUGCUAUAUAUCCAGUUUUAUUUGGUUCAUUUUGACAUCUAAUAUUAAGCUUAUCAACUAAAAAUUAGACGUCACUAUUUAUUUAAAUUUGUAUAUUUAGUUAAGUUAAAAGUUUUAUUAUAUAUAAUAAUGAAUCUGCUAGUUAUUAACCAUUAACUAGUUUAAUUUUAUUUACUAACAGAUAAUUAAAAUUAUUAAAAUUGCUAAAACUAUCAAUAAUUUUGAUAAAUUUUUAAACCUUUUUAACUAAAAUUAUUUUAAUUUAUAAAAAUUAAAAUUAAGAAGGAUUGGGUUAAAACAAAAGGUACAAGUUAAGACGUUGUUUCAAAAUAGUAAAUAGUUGAGAGGGUGUAGGUGUAGGAGUAAAAUUAUAAUACUUUUCAGAAGUAACUAAAGUUGUUUACUUCUACAUUGUUUGAGGUUCAGAUAGAACAUUCGAAUUGACGAUUGAUUUAUCUGAUAUAGACUAUUUCAAUUCUCUAGAAAUAGAAUUUUAAGAAGUCAUUUGUCUAAAGUCAAGGGGUGCUAAAUUUUUUUUAAGUCAGCCAUUAAAAGUUGUUAAUUUUUAAACCACUUAAUUAUAGGCAAAUAAUUAUAAAAACUUAUGAAAUUUAAAAUCUAACAAAUUUAAAUAUUUAAAUCAUAUUUAAUUUUGUCGAUCGUUGAUUUGAAUGUCUUAUUACCGAAAAAAAAAAGGGCAUGUUUGGUUCAUUAUUGAAAUAGGAAUGGAAAAUAGAAUUGGAUUGAUUUGGAAUGAAAAAUGAAAUGACGAAUCAUCCAAAAAUAUUUGAUUCAUUAUUGGAAUGGAAAUCAGAAUAAAAAUUUAUAAUUUUUGAAAGAGGGUUUUGAUUAAGAGAGAGGAAAGUGAUGAAGAUGAUGAGGUAGAUGUUAGUGAAAGAGAAUUUGGAAUAGUUUACUUUGGAGUGGUCAAUCCGGGAUUCAAAGUCGGAUAGGGUGUAGUGUCUCUGGUGUUCUGCAGCCCGUGGGUUUCAGCAUAUGAGGCUUGUCGACACAUCUGGAGAGUGUCGAGACAAGUCGAAGUCGUUUUGGGCAAAUUGGACGCAAAACAUAUGCAGUGCGAUGCGAGAGGAGAGUUUUGACAUUGGAAUAUGCAAAGUGUAAGAUUUCAGUAUAUAUUGAGUACCGGUACCAGAGAGAGGAGUACUGGUACCCUAGUGGAAUUCCAGAACUAAUGCUCUCAAGUUGCGCCAAUCUGAUGCCAAGUACCGGUACUGCAUCGGGCUGGUACCGGUACCCUGUGUGCGAGCUUGCGGGUUGAGAGGCCGAGUACCGGUAACCCAGUUGGGUACCGGCACUCCAGCUGGAUUUCUGAGUUGGUGAGGGGCCUUUUGGUCAUUGAGGCAUAAUUAAUUCCAAUCUUAUCCUCUACCUCUAUAUAUUUGUAGAGAGCACUGAGAAGGGUGUUUGGUUGCUACUCCUUUUCUCUCUCUAGUUUUUGGUCGAACCCGUGGUGGAGGUUGCGGCUCGAGCCUGGGAGGUUGUCGACGUUGACUCGGAGGGCCGUUCGAGGGCGUGGGCAUCGCGGUUGCGCUGUUGGAGGCCGGGCGAGCACGUGGUUUACUCUCCUUUCGACUUCUCGCCGUAGUUGGACAAGCUUGUUGAGGUGGGUUAAUGUUUACCGAAAACGUCGAAAUUCCUCCUAAGUUCUAGAAUUGUUGACAUAUUUUAUUGGUUUUAUUUUCCUUGCUAGUACUCGAGUUUAUGGAUUAGAGCAUAAAAUCUAAAUUUGUAGUUAAGUUAGUAUUAUAUACAUGUUGAACUUGGAAUUGACUUAGAAAAAAAAAAAUUAAAUCCUACACUGUUAUUUUCUAAAAAGUUACCAGAUUUAGCUUUAGCAGCUGUGGUUCUUUUGUAUCGCUGCUGUUAGUACGCGAUGGAUAUCCAGAUUAGUGUAGGGUGAGUUUAUACUCGUGCUGGGAUGCCGAGCUUAUUUUACAGUAGUGUAUAGACUAUUUCGGACUGUCGGGUGCCGUCGCAGUUGACGGUGGACCCAGAUUUCUGUAUUUUGCAUCAGAUUGUGCCAAGAACACGUGAGCUUUGGUUGUCAGACUAGUUGGACUCAUUUGCAUUAAUUACAGCCUGUGAGAGCCUGAUUGAGCUCGGCAGAAACACGCUUGCAUACUCGGUUGGAUCGCGCCCACGAGUGCCGCUCCGGAGUCAGACUAAAAAGUCAGACUUUUUAGUCUGCCUUUUUGCUUUGCGUUGAUGUCGUUGUUGUCUGGUUUGGACUUGCUCUCCACCGGCUGCCCUCGGGGUGGUGUUCGGUGUAGCUUCGACAGGCAGGACGGGUGUAUUUACAGUCCAUAGUGAAAUUGGGUCAGAGAUCGUAUUUCUUUUAUCUACAGAUAGUUAGUGUUGGUUAGCGAUAGUAUAGUGGCUUAUAGCUGUAAGGUUUCCAACUUUCCUUACCAUCUCUUGCACACUAUUCGAUAGACUUAGUGGGUGCGCCGUUGAGGUUGGUGACUGUACCCACUGAGGAUUACUCUAUUUUGUAGUAGUUCUCACACCCAGUUGUUGACCCUUUUUUACAUAGCCUUUUUCUGCGGCUGCUGCUGUCGCUGAUUCAGACCGUGGGAAGGGAGUUGCAAGCUAGAUCCCUACCCAUCUCGUUGCCGUACUAGAGGAGUACCUUUCACAGGUAGUUUUGGACUUUCUUUGCACAUACUGUGAUGUUGUCGGGGUACUCGCUGGAACGAGUUGUGUUGUAGACUUUUUGUAUAUAUAGGAACCCCUUAAGGUUUUUUAUUUAUAUGUUUAUUUUUAGUUUAGCAGCUCUUUAUCUUGUGAUUGUAGCUUGGUUUUGGUUACAGAUACAGCUAUCGUUUCGUAUUCCUAUGUAUACGGCGGGCCUGUUAGCGUGCUGGGGGAACGGUGGUAAUCCGGGGCAUGACAUAGGGUCAUAAAUGGAUUUGGUCAUUCCUAUUUCGGAGUGAAAUGAGAACCGAAAUCUGAUUCCUAUAAAACAAAUGACAACUAUAGAAACCAACAAAUUCCAUUCCAACUGCACAGUCUAAAUUCCCUUCCAACUAUAGAAGUAAGUACUCUGGCACAGUUCCAGGUAUAUACACCUUUAACUAAAAAAAAAUGAAAAAUCAAAGCAUAAUUUUAGAAAAAAUCGAAAGCUCGAAUUGAUAAAUUCACAAAUUUUCAAUGCAAAUUAGCCAAAAGAAAGAAAAGAAAAAGAAACAAGAAAAGAAAGAAACGAGUGGCCGAGUGGAUGAUGGGCUUGCUGUGGUUGGUUGGUGGUGGUCGUGCAUGUCUGGGAAUUGGAGGUGGAAACGCGCAGACAGCGCACAAUCAAACACGCAGUAAUCGAUGGGUUUCUGCCGCGCACGCCCCACGCCUGACAUUAUUUUCACACAGCACAACUUUUUCCUUUUCCUUUCUUUUUUUUUUUAUUUUAUUUUAUUUAUUUUUUCUCCUGGAGAAAAUAUGCAGCACAAAGCCCUUCUCAACUUUAAUAUUUUUGCUGAAAUUGGUGUGAUAUUUAAUUUUAACGAUUAACUUUUUAAUAGAUUACACUGUCGGAACCACUAAUUACACAAUCUUUUUAGCUGCUUAAUUAUUUUGCAUACAAUUUUGUUAAACUUUACAAUAUAAAAAAAAUCCAUUCGUUUAUUUUUAUAAUUGAAAAAAUUAUGAAAUUAAAGAUAAAUUUAUUCUAUUCUUCAACCUAAUACAUAUAUAGUAACCAUAACAACUGAAAGAGAAAAAGAGAAUUCCUUUAUGUUUUAGAGUUAUACAAAAUUAUGUAGAAAAUAUUCGAUCAAAAUCGCUAUCGAAUUACUGAUCACUUCUUUUGAGGAGAGAGAUCUUUUAAAUGACUGUUUGUGUAAUAUAUUACUUAUACAAGACAUAUGAUGAAAUUCACUGGGUCGAAAUUCCCAAAAAUGCUUUUAAGUUCAGGCAGGUGAUUUAUUUUUUGUUUUUUUGUUUUUAUAAAUGCACAAACAAAAAUGCGACCAUCAAUCUCUUAAUUAAUAAAAGUCCUAAGGGUGCGUUUGGUUCGAAUUAUCCUGGCAGGAUUACAGGCAAUCCUGGCAGGAUAACUGUGUUUGGUUAAUCCGCUAUAUAAUCUAGUCGUUAAUAUAGUAUUACAAAUCGAGCAGGAUUACAUCGAAAAUAUUAACGGGAGGGGGUCGUGUAUCUUGCAUUACUGAAAUCCGUUAAUACUACAUAUUAUGUAAAAUGACAAUUUUACUCUCCAACAACUCUAAAUCUAAUUAACAGCAUUAUUUUUAUCUCUCUCUCGCCUUCUCUCUCCUCUCUCUCGCAUGCCGCUUUCUCUCGCUCUUUCUCUCUCUCACGUCUCUCUCUCUCUCUUGCGCGAGCGCACGAACACCUAUCAUCUUCUAUUGCGUCGUCCUCCCAGGUCUUCCCUCUAUUCGUCAUUUCCGUAAAAAAUAAUAUUCAAAUGACCACAACAAAGGCAAUUUUGGAAAAAACUAUACUUUUAUGUUAGGAUUACUAAAUUUUAUAAAUUGAACCAAACGUAUUAAUGCUAUAAACAUUGUAAUCUAGUAUUAUAUUACUGUAUUAAACCAAACGCGUUAAUGUAGCAUCAGUAGUAAUCUCACGUCGAAAUUUAAAAUACCUGGAUAUGUCGAGAUACUUUGUAAUAUUACAUAACUCGAACCAAACGGGCCCUAAAAGGUAACAAACACUACACUAGAGCACAGUUGGGAUCAUGCACGUGACCUGCCGAAUGCACGGGACGCAUUCUGUACAUCCGUAGCGUACAACAACAACUUGUCAUAAUUUUAGGAGUCCACAACCAAGAAGGUAUCAGAGUAGAUAAACAUACCACAGGUAGACCAGCAUUCACAAAAAUAUGACCACUGACCCAUGGUAUCACAUAAAUCAAACAUAUACAUUACCCUGACAUCUCACAUAAAAUAUACAGAUACAUCACAUGCUAGUCUCACCAAUACAUUGUACAUUCUCUGUGGCGCUGAUAUGGCGCCUCCGUGGCACUGACAUGGGAUUGACGUGGCAUUUUCCGUCAAUUUUAACACCUAUCUAACUGCUGGUCCUUAAUUGUAAUGAAAUUCAGAGAUUAGGGACUUGAUUGCCGAAAAAAAAAAGGUUGGGGAGCAAAUUGAAAAACGGUGCAAAGGUUGAGGACCAAUGGUGUAAUUAACCCAUUAAAUUUAUAAAUUCAAAAAAAAUUUUAAUUUAAGAUUUAAAUUUUAAAUUUAAAUUUUGAUUUUGGAUUCAAAUUUAAAUUGGAAUUCAAAUUCCGAUUUUGUAUUUAAUUUUAAAUUUUUAAUUUUAAAUUCAAAUUCACAUUUCGAAUUCUAAAUUCUAAUUUAAUUUCAAACUUCGAUUUGAAAUUUCAAAUUCAAAAUGUGAAUUUGAAUUCGAAGUUUAAAUUCAAAUUUAGAAUUGAAAUCAAAUCUUAAAUUCAGAUUUAAAUUUUGAAUUCAAAUUUAGAAUUUAAAAUCAAAAUUUUGAAUAUGAUUUUAAAUUUAAAUUCAGGUUUUAAAUUUAAAUUCAGAUUUUAAAUUUAAAUUUUGUUUCCAAAACUUUCAUUUUAAAUGUAAAUUGAAAUAUCAAUAUCAAAAUCAAAAUUUUAAAUUUGAAUUCAAAAUUUAGAUUCAAUUAAAAAUUUAAAUUUAAAAUUUGAAUUUCAAUUCAAAAUUUUAAUUCAGCUUUAAAUUCAAAUUCAAAAUUAUAAUUUCUGGUUAGUAAAAUUUUAAUUUUAAUAUUAUUUUUGAAUUUAAAUUUAAAAUUUUGAAUUUUUAUUUUUAGGGACUAAAGUGAAAAACGUGCAAAGUUUAGGGACCUAAAUUAAUAUGCAAAAGGAUGCCAAUAGGCACUGAUGUGGCGAUUCCGUUAAUUUUAAUAGUUGUUUUAACGGUUGGGACGUAAUUGUAAUAAAAUAAAGAGAUUAGGAACUCAAUUGCAAAAAAAAAAAAGGUUGGGGACCCAAGUGAAAAUUGGUGCAAAGGUUUGGGACUACUGGUGUAAUUAACCAAAAACAAAAAAAUGAAAUAAUAGGAAUGUCUCUGUUGUGAUCGUAUCUCUAUACAAACUCAUAUGGUGGCAAAAUUCGUUGUGCGUCAGCUGGAAUUGGAUAUCAGGUAAAUAGAGUCGUACGACCCAAUUGCAUGGGCCGGCUCAUAGGUCCUACCAAGCUUGCACUGUCGCAAGCCCAAUAUGAUAGAUAUGUAUAGGUAUGUAAAAUAAGAAGAAAAUUAAAUACAUACAAAAAUUCAAGAUCAAAAUAAAAUAACUCACAGAGUGCCAUAGAGAAGAAAUUCUUGAUCAAUCUACGGAAGCAAGAAGUUCGGCUAUGAUCUGGAAGUCAUGAACCAAACUUGGAUAAUUUGGUUUCUUCUCCUAUCUCAGGUACUCUCCCGUAUGGUGUGGAACCGAUGGUAUUUCUUUACUAGAAUGUGUAUGCGAAGGUGGCAAGACCAAUACCCUUUUAUAUAGAGUCUAGAUCGACUUUCCAUCAAAGUCUGAUUAGGAUUCUAUUUAAUUUAAAUAGACGGAAUAGGAAUAAAAUAUACCAUACCAAAUAGUUCUAUAUUUAUUAUGAUUGACCUUUAUCUAUAGUAAAUCCAGAUUUGAAUAUGAUUAUGUCACGCCCCGGAUUACACGUUCUCCGGGCACGCCGACAAAUCCGCCAUACACAAAGAAAUUUUUCCUGUAUACGAAGCGUAGCUGUACCUGUUACACAUACAAUACUACAACCAGUAGUAUAGAGCUGCUCGAAUAAAACUGGUAAAAACAGGAACAAGUUCCAUAUACAUACAUACAUAUAGGUAUACAAAAAGCUCGCCCAGCGAGAUACAACAAGUAUGUAUAAGAAACUCAAAAACUAGCACUACCUGCAGCUGGUAACCCCUCAAAUAGCAGCAACUGGGAAGGGCUCUAACUGGCAACGCCCUUGCCACGAUCAGUCUCCGAGGAAGUAGCAGCCGGAACAGCAGGCUCUGCAAAAAUAGGGUAACAACUUGGCGUGAGAACUACUGUAAAAACAAGUAGUCCUCAGUAGGUACCGCCCUCAACAUCGUCGAUCCACCCACCAAGUCUACAGAAGGAAGUAAAGAUAGUAGGAAAAGCCGGAAGAAAUCUACAGCUAAAUGCCGCUACACUAUCCUGCUCUACACUAACCAACUGUAAUAAAAGUCAAUCCUGACCCAAUCUCACUAGAAACUGUAAGCAUACCCGUCCGUGGGACUGUGAACACACCCGUCCCGCCCUGUUGCGACUAUACAGUUACCUCCACACUAAGUGGUCCGUGGAGAGUAAGUCCAACCUGCACAAAUGACACCAAUGUGAAGGCACAACGUCCGUCUUCGGAGUGGCACUCGUGGGAGCUACCCAACCGAGUAUGCAGCGUAUCUCUGUUGAGCUCAAUCAGGCUCUCACAAGCCAAAGUCAAGUAAAUCAGGUCCAACUGGUCUAACAACCAACAUGUCACGUGCCCUCGGCACAAUCUGACGUCAAAACGGCAAUAUGGGUCCACCGUCAACCCCGACGGCCCCCAAUAGUCUGCAACAGUUUGAAAGCUACUGUAAAAAUACACUCGGCAUCCCAGCACGAGCGUAACUGAAAUCUAAACUAUCUGAAGUAUCCACCACGCCGAUACUGCGGAGAUACAAAAUAACAACGGCUCCUAGAGCUAAAUCCGGUAGUUUAAGCAUGUGACAGGUUCAAUCGUAGGUUUUCUCCUAAGUUAUAUCCAAGUCCAACAUGUGCAAGUAGAUUUAGUAACACUAGGCUCCAAUUCAGAUUUUUGUAAAAGAAACACCAAAUCCAUGAAUCGAGCAAAUAGAAUAUGCAAAAAUAACUACAACGACACAUGCCGACUAUCUCUAUAUACUUAGAAGACAAACCGACGAUUAACCCACCUCAAAAGCUACUCCCAAUCCGGCACGACGUCAAGAACGGUGGAAAUGCACCCUCGCCCGGCCUCCCCGUAGUGCUACGACGACGAAGACACGCUCGAAUGGCACCGCGGCGCGAUGCCAACGACACCGGAACUUCACCCGAGCUCCUCCACCACGGACGAUCAAGCACAAGGGGAAGAGAGAGAGAGCGCACUAAUCCUCUCCUCUCUGAUCUCUCUAUCCUAUAUAGGGAGGGAGAAGGGGUGGUAAUACAAACAAGACAAGAGAAUUACCAAAAAGCCCCUUGCCUACCGUGGUGUACCGGUACACGGGCAUUUGUACUGGUACAAAUGGCAACCCGAGAGCAGUCUGCGCGGGGACAUGCGUUGUGUACCGGUACACCUCUGAUGUUGUACCGGAACAGCAAGAUGUACUGGUACGCCUUGAUGGUUGUACCGGUACAGCAAGCAGAAAAUCUGCAUUUUGUAGAUUCCAGCCCUAACUCAUGCCCUCGCGUCUCCACUGAGUCCAUUCGGCGUCCAUUUCGUGCCAACGCGACUCGGACUUGUCCCGACACUCCCCCGAUGUGUCGACAAGCCUCACCUGCUGUACUCCAGGGAUACCACAUCCUUCCCCACUACAAAAAGUUUCGUCAUCGAAACUUAAGCAUACCUCCACGCUGAGCAUCAAACAGGUAAGGGUAGGACUCCCUCAUCACCGUCUCGGGCUCCCAAGUCGCCUCUCGUUCCUCGUAAUUACUCCACUACACCUUCACAGACGGGAUGACCCAAUUGCGCAAUUCUUUCGUCUCCCAAGCAAGAAUUCGCAAUGGUCGCUCCUCGUAUCUCAGAUCCUUGCCAAUCUCUAGUGGAGUGAAGUCAAUCACGUGGGAGGGGUCGAAAACAUAUCUCCUCAAUGCCGAGACGUGGAAUACAUCAUGGAUACCGGCUAGUCCGGGAGGUAGAGCAAUCCUAUAAGCAAUCGGUCCAAUUAGCUCCAAUACCUCAAAAGGGCCAACGAAACGUGGAUUGAGCUUUCCACGCACUCCGAAUCUGCGAAUCCCUCUGGACGGCGAGACUUUGAGAAAAACAUGAUCUCCAACUUGGAACUCCAAGUCUCGUCUCCUGGUAUCGGCGUAGCUCCUCUGGUGGCUCUGGGCUGUCAAAAGGUGUCGUCGAACAACUCUCACCUUUUCCUCAGCCUCUAGCAAGAUCCCAGGCCCUAGCAUCUUUCUUUCACCCACAUCACUCCAAAACAAAGGGGAUCGACAUUUGCCUCCAUACAACGCUUCAAACGAAGCUAUCUGGAUGCUCGUUUGAUAGCUGUUGUUGUACGCAAACUCAGCCAGUCUCAAAUGUCGAUACCACCCUCCUCCAAAGUCCAGGACGCAUGUCCUCAGCAUGCCCUUUAUAGUCUGAAUGGUCCUCUCUAACUGACCAUCUGUCUGUGGGUGAAACGUCGUGCUGAAGUGCAACUGUGUACCCAAGGCUGUCUGUAGACUCCUCCAAAAGUGCGAAACAAACCUCGGGUCCCUAUCUGAUACAAUCGAUCUCGGCACACCAUGCAGCCUGACAAUCUCAUCCAGAUAUAGCUACGCGAGUCUCUCCCUGGACCAGAUGGUCUGCACUGGUAGGAAGUGAGCAGACUUGGUCAGUCUGUCUACUAUCACCCAUAUAGCAUCAAAGCCACCCUGUGCUUUAGGCAAUCCCACGACGAAAUCCAUCGUGAUCUGCUCCUAUUUCCACUUGGACACUGACAGACUCUGAAGCUUGCCAGCAGGUAUCUGAUGCUCGGCCUUUACCUGUUGACAAGUCAGACACUGAGCCACAAAUUUACCACUGUCCCUCUUCAUUCCGUUCCACCAGAAUUGUGCCUUCAAGUCCUUAUACAUCUUGGUUCUGUCAGGGUGAGCCAUAUAAGGAGCACAAUGAGCCUCUCUCAAAAUAUCCGCUCGGAUCUCUAAAUCCAUAGGCACACACAGUCGGUCCUUGUACUGCAUACUCUCGAACUGUCCACUACGAAGCCCUCAGCCUGUCCCCUCUCUAGCUGCUCUUGAAUCCUCAAUAAGUGUGGAUCUCCACUCUGUUUCUCUCGAAUCCUAUCCAACAGAGUGGGCUGCAAGACCAUAGACAUUAGUCUCGCAGUAGACCCAGGGGACACUAUCUCGCGCCUCAACCGCUGCAGCUUCUCGAGUAACGGCCUCUGCUGUAUGAUCAUCAGACUCAAGUUCUGCACUGCCUUUCUGCUCAACACAUCUGCCACCACAUUUGCCUUGCCGGGAUGAUACUGAAUACUAACGUCAUAGUCCUUCAGUAACUCCAACCACUGGCGUUGCCUCAGGUUCAGCUCCCUCUGGGUGAACAGAUGCUUGAGACUUUUAUGAUUGGUGAAAACCUCACAGUGCUCGCCGUACAAGUAAUGCCGCCACAACUUCAAAGCAAAAACUACCGCGGCAAACUCCAAGUUAUGCUUAGGGUAAUUCUUCUCAUAAUCCUUUAACUGCUGUGAAGCAUAAGCAAUUACUCUACCAUACUGCAUCAGCACACAACCCAAACCACUGUGCGAUGCAUCACUAUAAAUCACAAAGCCUUCCCCCAUCAUAGGAAAGGCAAGGAUAGGAGCUGAUGUCAACCUCUGUCUCAACUCAUCAAAGCUCCUCUGACAAUCCUCACUCCAGAUGAAUCGAAAUCCCUUUCUAGUCAAUCGAGUGAGGGGUGUGGAAAGCUUCGCAAAGCCUUCUACAAAUCGACGGUAAUAUCCUGCCAGUCCAAGGACACUCCUCACCUCAGUCACCGUCGUCGGUCUGGGCCAAUCCCGAAUAGCAUCGAUCUUCUUCGGGUCCAUUGCUACUUCCUCAGCAGAAAUCACGUGGCCCAAGAAAGCAACCUUCCGCAACUAAAACUCGUACUUCUUCAACUUGGCAUACAACUUCUUCUCUCGCAGAAGCUGUAGCACAGUCCUCAAGUGCUCUUCAUGCUCAGCAUCACUCCGGGAGUAAAUUAAGAUAUCGUCGAUGAAGACUACUACAAAUCUAUCCAAGAACAGCUUAAACACUCUGUUCAUCAAAUCCAUGAAUGUGGCAGGGGCAUUCGUCAAUCCAAAAGGCAUGACUGUAAACUCAUAAUGCCCGUACCGAGUCCGAAAAGCCGUCUUGGAGACAUCCUCGGCCCUCACCCUCAACUGGUGGUAACCUGACUGGAGGUCAAUCUUCGAGAAGACACAAGAUCCUUAUAGCUGAUCAAACAAAUCAUCAAUGCGCGGCAAAGGAUACUUGUUCAUGAUGGUCACCUUAUUCAGCUCCCGGUAAUCCACACAUGACCUGAGCGAACCAUCCUUCUUCUUUACAAAUAACACCGGCGCUCCCCAAGGCGACACACUGGGUCUCACAUACCCCUUAUCCAUCAGAUCCUGAAGCUGCGCCAUUAACUCUCUCAGCUCCGCCGGUGCCAUCUGAUAAGGUAUCUUUGAGAUUGGUGCAAUUCCAGGAACUACAUCAAUCACGAACUAAAUCUCCCUCUCCGGCGGCAUCGUCGUCAACUCUGGAGGAAAUCCAUCCGGAAACUCGCGGACUACAAGAAUAUCCUCGAGUCCCGGCGCCGCUGUAGGUACCUUAGUAAUUGCUGCUAGAAAAGCGAUGCAUCCUCUACUCAUCAGCUGUCAAACCCUCUCGAAAGAAAUCCAAGUUGCAAAUAACGUGCUCCUGCAGCCCCUAAAAGUGGACUCCUCUUGGCCUGGCUCGCGGAACGUCACCGUCUUCGCUCCACAAUCAAUAGUAGUAUAGUACCGCACCAGCCAGUCCAUACUGAGCACAACGUCAAAGUCCUGCAGCUGCCCUAACACCAACAGGUCUGCGGGAAUGAUCCACGAAUCCAACUGCACCGGACAUGACUAACAACACUCUGCAACUGUAACACGUGGUCGGGGAUCUGCACAUCUCGUGUCUGUGAUAAUGACCCUAACUCUAGACCAUACAACAAUGCAAAUGCUCGGCUAACAAAGAAAUGCGAUGCACCGGUAUCAAAAAGUGUACGAGCUCUAAUGCCAGAAAUCAAAAUGAUACCUGCCACCACUCGGUCAGCUGCUGUAGAGUCCUCCACUUGGGCUGCAUAGACCCUGCCACUCGGAGCUUGUUGUCGCCGCUCACUCUGACGUGGCACAGACGAUCUGUCCUCCUGGCGGAAACUCGGAGCUGCUUCAAAAGACUGCGGGGAUGCUGGCUGUGCAGAUGCUAUGGAUGGUGCUUGUGACGCCCCAACUUCCCAGGGGGUCACCCAUCCUAGGACUACUCCCGUCCUAGCACGCUUAAUUCUCUUAACCUCUUGGGCCUUGCCACCACCCAAAUUGCUUAAGCCGGGUUAAGAGUUUAGCCCUAUUAUAUCUCAUACAUAGGACUAUCUGGGGUCUCACAAUCUCCCCUCCUUUAAGCCCUGACGUCCUCGUCAGGCUCAGACUCACAAGUACCAGGCGAUGUGAGACUCAUCUCGCUAGCCCGUCAUCCAGACCCUGGCUCAGCCAAGACUCAUCUCACACUUCCGGCUGGUAAUUGGCUCUGAUACCAUAUGUGACGCCCCGACUUCCCAGGGGAUCACCCAUCCUAGGACUACUCCCGUCCUAGCAUGCUUAACUCUCUUAACCUCUUGGGUCUAGCCACCACCCAAAAUACUUAAGCUGGGUUAAGAGUUUAGCCCUAUUAUAUCUCAUAUAUAGGACUAUCUGGGGUCUCACAGUGCUGGUGAUGCUGCUCAAGGACAAGCUGAUCUCAUAUGCCCGGGCUGACCGCAACUGUAAUACUUGCCCUCUCUCUGGUCGCACUGCCGGGGCCAGUGGGGUCCCCCACAGAUCACACACUGUGAUGUCCUCUGUGGCUGUCCCUGCUGACGGAAUCCUCGAGAACGCUGAUGCCCCGAAGACCCACGACCCUAAGACCGUGAUUGUGGCGGUCUCGGCGAACGCCUGCUGCUCGACGGUCCUGCGUCAUCUGGAAAGGGGCACUUCCUGUCCUGACUCUGCCCCACUGCCUGAGUCCUCUCCCGAAUGGAUGCAUCACCCCUCUCUACCCAAAGAGCCUGCUCCAUUGACGCAUCCAAGAUCCGCAACCUCUGCGCCUGAACCAAUCGGAAGAUCUUGGGCCUCAAACCCUACUCAAAGAGGUAAACUCUGUGCGCCUCAUCCCUGGCCACAAUCGAAACACAGUUCAGGAGUUGAGUGAACUCCUGAAUAUACUCUCGGACUGUUCGCUCGCCAUGCUGAAUCCUCUUCAGAUCCUCCUUAAGCUUCUAUUUCACGCUGUUGGGAAAAUACAUCCCGAACAGCAUUCCAUAGAACUUGUCCUACUUCAGCUGCAACGUCACUAAUCAAUAAUCUCGCCUCACCCUCCUCCACGAGGCGUGAGCAUCGCCUGCUAAGCAGUGUACUCCCAUAGGCACCUGCUCCCUCUCAGGAAUGAACAGAUCCUCAAAAAACUUCUCCAUCGCGCUGACCCAAACCUCAACCACCCAAGUCUCCGUGCAACUGCCAUCAAAGGUCGGUGGGUCAAAACGACGGAAACGGGCAAGUCUCUCAGCUAUCCGCUCCUGCUCAGCCUCAGUCAGUUGUGGGGCCUCACCAAAAGCGGCAACUGGCGCUGGGGGAACUGUCGCUGGUAGGGGCACGACUGCGGCUGGUGCUGCCACUUGAGUAAUAGGGGGUGGAGCUGAUGACUCUAGUGCUCUCGGUGUUGAACUCGGGGGCGGAGCUAACCUCUCACACAUCCUCUCCAACAACUCCCCCUGCCGCUUCGUCACCUCUGUCAAGGCGGCCAGCUGCGCUUUCAAAUCAGGGGAUGCACUUGUCUCCGGUCAGACACUCCGCUCCACAACAGGGGGUGCACUCGCCCCUGGUCGGGUACUCCGUUCCGUCUGCUCGGGCAUAUCAGAAGGUCCCGCAUGAUCCUGCGUCAAUUGGGCAAAUUGAAAAACGGUGCAAAGGUUGGGAACCAAUGGUGUAAUUAACCCAUUAAAUUUAUAAAUUCAAUUUUUUUAAAAAAAUUUAAGAUUUAAUUUUUAAAUUUAAAAUUUGAUUUUGGAUUCAAAUUUAAAUUGGAAUUCAAAUUCCGAUUUUGAAUUUAACUUUAAAUCCAAAUUCACAUUUCGAAUUCUAAAUUCUAAUUUAAUUUCAAACUUCGAUUUGAAAUUUCAAAUUCAAAAUGUGAAUUUGAAUUCGAAGUUUAAAUUCAAAUUUAGAAUUGAAAUCAAAUCUUAAAUUCAAAUUUAAAUUUUGAAUUCAAAUUUAGAAUUUAAAAUCAAAAUUUUGAAUAUGAUUUUAAAAUUAAAUUUGGUUUUAAAUUUAAAUUCAGAUUUUAAAUUUAAAUUUUGGUUUCUAAACUUUCAUUUUAAAUGUAAAUUGAAAUAUCAAAAUCAAAAUCAAAAUUUUAAAUUUGAAUUCAAAAUUUAGAUUCAAUUAAAAAUUUAAAUUUAAAAUUUGAAUUUCAAUUCAAAAUUUUAAUUCAGUUUUAAAUUCAAAUUCAAAAUUCUAAUUUCUGGUUAAUAAAAUUUUAAUUUUAAUAUUAUUUUUGAAUUUAAAAUUAAAAUUUUGAAUUUUUAUUUUUAGGGACUAAAGUGAAAAACGUGCAAAGUUUAGGGACCUAAAUUAACAUGCAAAAGAAUGCCAAUAGGCGCUGAUGUGGCGAUUCCAUUAAUUUUAAUAGUUAUUUUAACGGUUGGGACGUAAUUAUAAUAGAAUAAAGAGAUUAGGAACUCAAUUGAAAAAAAAAAAAGGUUGGGCAUCCAAGUGAAAAUUGGUGCAAAGGUUUGGGACUACUGGUGUAAUUAACCAAAAAAAAAAAGAAAUAAUAGGAAUGUCUCUGUCGUGAUCGUAUCUCUAUACAAACUCAUAUGGUGGCAAAAUUCAUUGUGCGUCAGCUGGAAUUGGAUAUCAGGUAAAUAGAGUCGUACGACCCAAUCGCAUAGGCCGGCUCAUAGGUCCUACCAAGCCUGCACUGUCACAAGCCCAAUAUGAUAGAUCUGUAUAGGUAUGUAAAAUAAGAAGAAAAUUAAAUACAUACAAAAAUUCAGGAUCAAAAUAAAAUAACUCACAGAGUGCCAUAGAGAAGAAAUUCUUGAUCAAUCUACGGAAGCAAGAAGUUCAGCUAUAAUUUGGAAGUCAUGAACCAAACUUGGAUAAUUUGGUUUCUCCUCCUAUCUCAGGUACUCUCCCGUAUGGUGUGGAACCGAUAGUAUUUCUUUACCAGAAUGCGUAUGAGAAGGUGGCAAGACCAAUACCCCUUUAUAUUGAGUCUAAAUCAACUUUCCAUCAAAGUCUGAUUAGGAUUCUAUUUAAUUUAAAUAGAUGGAAUAGGAAUAAAAUAUACCAUACCAAAUAGUUCUAUAUCUAUUAUGAUUGACCUUUAUCUAUAAUAAAUCCAGAUUUGAAUAUGAUUAUGUCACGCCCCGGAUUACACGUUCCUCAGGCACGCCGACAAAUUCGCCAUACACAAAGAAAUUUUUCCUGUAUACGAAGCGUAGCUGUACCUGUAACACAUACAAUACUACAACCAGUAGUAUAGAGCUACUCGAAUAAAACUGGUAAAAACAUGAACAAGUUCCAUAUACAUACAUACAUCCAAAUAUACAAAAAGCUCGCCCAGCGAGAUAUAACAAGUAUGUAUAAGAAACUCAAAAACUAGCACUACCUGCAGCUGGUAACCUCUCGAACAGCAGCAACUGGGAAGGGCUCUAACUGGCAACGCCUUUGCCACGAUCAGUCUCCGAGGAAGCAGCAGCCGGAACAGCAGGCUCUGCAAAAAUAGGGUAACAACUGGGCGUGAAAACUACUGUAAAAAUAAGUAGUCCUCAAUGGGUACCGCCCUCAACAUCGUCGGUCCACCCACCAAGUCUACAGAAGGAAGCAAAGAUAGUAGGAAAAGCUGAAAAAAAUCUACAGCUAAAUGUCGCUACACUAUCCUGCUCUACACUAACCAACUGUAAUAAAAGUCAGUCCUGACCCAAUCUCACUAGUAACUAUAGGCAUACUCGUCCCUGGGACUGUGAACACACCCGUCCCACCCGGUUGCGACUAUAUAGAUACCUCCACACUAAGCGGUCCGUGGAGAGCAAGUCCAACCUGCACAAUCGACACCAAUGCGAAAGCAGAACGCCCGUCUCCGAAGUGGCAAUCGUGGGAACUACCCAACCGAGUAUGCAGCGUAUCUCUGUCGAGCUCAAUCAGGCUCACAAAUCAAAGUCAAGUAAAUCAGGUCCAACUGGUCUAACAACUAACAAGUCACGUGCCCUCAGCACAAUCUGACGCCAAAACGGCAAUAUGGGUCCACCGUCAACCCCGACGGCCCCCAAUAGUCCGGAACAGUCUGAAAGCUACUGUAAAAAUACACUCGGCAUCCCAGCACGAGCAUAACUGAAAUCUAAAAUACCUGAAAUAUCCACCACGCCGAUACUGCGGCAAUAUAAAAUAACAACGGCUCCUAGAGCUAAAUCCGAUAGUUUAAGCAUAUGCCAGGUUCAAAUCACAGGUUUUCUCCUAAGUCAUAUCCAAGUCAACAUGUGUAACCCCCGAGGUUUCGGAAGAAAUAUCGAGCUUUAGCCAAAUUGGCUAAAGCAUGCGAAUAAGAUGAAUGGACGAGUUCUAAUUAACAUUUUAUCAAGGUUGGAGGGGUUAAGAUGAGUUCUAAAAGAGUUAGAAAGAUUUUAGCGUUGUUCGGCGCGAAAUAGAGUCGAAAACAAGCUAAAAACCAAGUCUGGAGCAUUGUGUACCGGUACAAGUUGAUGGUUGUACCGGUACAACAAGCGACCCGAAGAAUAGCAGCUCUCGGGUUUGAGUGAAAAAGGCUGUUAAACCGGUGACACGGGAAAGUGUACCGGUACACUUUGGCAGAAUGGCAUAGAAUUAGUCUGCUGCAAUUAUAAAUGAUUGGAGGGGUUUAUUUGCAAUUGUUACCUAAUGUAAUAGCCCUAAACCCCUCUCCCUCACAGCAGAUCUCUCCCUCUCUCUCUCUCUCGUGUCUCUCCCUCUCUCUCAACCGGUUGCAAGAAAAGAGAAGGAAAAAGAGAAGAGAAGAAAGGAAAAGAAGAAAAGAAGGAAAAGAUGGAGGAGAGGAAGAGGAUCAUCACCAUCAUCAUCCUCUUCAUGGUAGAUUUUUGUAGAAUGGGUUUUAAACCCUAGAUCUUUGGUUUUGAUCUACCUACAAGCUUUAGAACUUCGUAGAGGCCAAGAACACAUGAAAUCCAUGGUGUUCUUCAUAAUGCUCUAAUGGUGGAUUUCUAGGGUUUGUUCUAAACACCCUAUGAACGGUUCUAAUGGUCCUAAAUGAGCUCUAAGAACUUGGACAAGCUCUCUUUUGCUUGUUUUAUAGAUCGAAAUCGGAGUAUUGAGCAUAUGUCAUAUUAGGGCAUCCCAAAGAGGGGUUUUGCUCAUAUGGGGUUUUGAUCUAUUUUGACCGCUUGGAAACCUAAUUGGGGACCUAACGAACGCGUUGAAACGCUCGGUUCGACAAUCCGACGAGUGUACGCGAAGUUAUUGACGAAACGGUCGGUUUUGGUACAGAUAGCCGCAGCACGCGGAAUAAGUGUCUAAAAAUCGUGAGAUCGGAACCGGAGCAUCUUGGAGUCAAGGAAUAAGCACCGGAAAAGACGGAUCGCGAUUCGGAGGUCGUUCGUUAAGUCGCGCAAGAGUUCGGGCCCAAACGGGUGCCGAGUGCCGCGGGAGGCCGAUUGCAAGUGUCGACAAGCAAUCGGAACGCGAAUCAAGGUGGGUUGUGCUUACCGAAGCGACUAGGUCGCCCUUUAUGUCUUAGCAAUGUAAUCUCAUGUUGAUGCAUGUGCAUGUAGACAAGACUAAAUGGUGCAUUAAUAAAUAUGCAUAGAGUAAAUGCAAGUAAAGUAAAGAAUGCAUGAUGAGCAUGAUAAAUAAAUAAUGCAAGCAAGUAAUUGGAAUGCAUGAUGAUAAUAAUGCAUAGUGUAAAUGCAUGUUAAAUAAUGAUGCAUAGAGCCAUGCUAGUAAAUGUUAAGUAGAGAGCAUGAUUAAUAUAAGAUGCAAAUGCUAAAUGGAAAGCAUGCUAAGUAAUUAAUGCUAGUUGAUGUAAAGAAUGCAUGUACUAAUUAUGCAUAGAUGGAAAUGCUAAGUAGAGAGCAUAAUGAGCAUAGCAUGUAUAUAAUGCUAGUUAAAGUAGAGAAUGCAAAGUAGCAUCAUGAGAGCUAAGUAAGUGACAUGAUAACUCUAGUGUAAAUAGAGUUGAUUGGACAACUAGGUUGUCAGAUAGAUCGAGUGGCAUCUAACCUAGUGUUAAAGAACAUAGGUUGAUUAGUAAACCUAGAGUCGAACAAUCUAGGUGUGUGGCAUUUGACCUAGUGUUAGUAAACCUAGGUUGAACUAGUAAACCUAGAAGUGGACAUCUAGGCGAAGAUGACAAGAACCUAGCAAGUGUAUCUAGGUUAAGUGAUGUGGACAUAGAACCUAGAGUAUUGGAACCUAGGUUGAUGAGUAUAGUGGUAUAGCCACUAGGAUGAGCUAGGUCGACAGUAUAGGGUUGGCUAUGAACCCUCGACCUGUGGUAAGUGGAUUCCGGAAUCCCAGGACUUAUGAUGUCCCUGGUACAGGCUAGGGCGUUCGUGCGACGAUUUCGCCGCCGAGCUUGGUACCGUGGGUAGAUUGGGGGCGAUCACAUGGAGAUCACCGCCCGGGGCUUGAACCAUUGUGCUGGCGUUUGUGCGACGAUUUCGCCGCCAGAGUGGUUAAGCCAUUUGAGGAUCAGACCGCCAGAGUAGACUGAAUCCAUGCUGGGUAAGUACGAUGCGGGUGCCUCCAGGUGACUGAGUCUGACAUGAUCGUUGUUGGGUGUGGUGCGACCCGUUCGCCGCCAGACGGUAUGUCAUGUCUCGAGCUCACGCUGGGUAUGUGCAACGCGAUCGCCACCGAUGGUCAAGUCUUGUGACUCGAGCCGUGUUCAGCGUGUGCGACGAUUUCGCCGCUAGGAGGCUGAGUCAGAGAGAGUGCGGUAGGCUGUUGAGCAGCCAGUGCGCGGACUAUCCGCAGAUGAUUGACUCGAAGCCGAGUCGGGUGGUUAGCUAUGAUAGGGUAGAGGAACCCUUAUGAGCUAGAGAUAGAGGCUUGAGCUAAGGUAAUAGAAACCUUAGAAGCUAGUGGUUAGUGUUGUGGUCCUAAGGUAAUGGAAACCUUAGAGUAAAGUUAUGGGCUAAAGUAAAAGUAGAAUUCAAAUGAUCUACUAGCUGUUGCAUGAUUUUCAUAUCGCAUAUUAUGAGGCAUGGCAUGUAUUUUAAUUGAAUAUAUAUAUCUAUUGUAUAUUGUUGAACUAACAUGUUGCAGUGCCUCCUCGGACCUAUCGGUCGAGCUUUUCCCUUGGGUGGCCGUACCCACUGGGAACCAUGGAGUUGGUUCUCACCCCACGUGGUUUUGGGGUGUUUUCAGGUCGUUCGUGUGCGGCGCGACGGCGCGAGGCGAGGGCGUAGCUCAGUAGAUAGCGCCCCACCACAGAGACCGAGGUAGCAGUACCCUGAGACAGUCUAGCUUAGGGGUCUAGAAGAUAAGAAGAGAAAAUGUAUCAAACUUGUAAACUCUGAUGUAAUAAUAAUAUUGUAAUUUGGAAGCAAAAAUGUAAACUGAAACUGUGAUGUAAAGAGUGGUUGUAAAAUAAAUGCUUGUAAUAGCAAGUAGAUUAUGUAUUUGAUACUUCCUUAUGCAAUCUGGAUUGAUAUCCGUUCCUUGUUGGAACAUUCGUUGAUUGUUUGGAUUGCGACGCCUUGGACGUACUGGGGAGACUCUGUCCGCGUACAAGGGAAUUUUCGGUCCGUUCGGCGGUCUGUCGUCGGCGCCGCGACCCGGUCCAAAUAGGCGGUUGGUCGCGGGGCGUGACAACAUGUGCAAGUAGAUUUAGUAACACUAGGCUCGAAUUCAGAUUUUUGUAAAAGAAACACCAAAUCCAUGAAUCGAGCAAAUAGAAUAUGCAAAAACAACUACAACGACACAUGCCGACUAUCUCUAUAUACUUAGAAGACAAACCGACGAUUAACCCACCUGAAAAACCGGCACGACGUCGAGAACGGCGAAAAUGCACCCUCGCCCGGCCUCCCCGCAGCUCUACGAUGACGAAAACACGCUCGAACGGCACCGCGGCGCGACGUCGACGACACCCGAACUUCACCCGAGCUCCUCCACCACGCACGGUCAAGCACAAGGGGAAGAGAGAGAGAGCGCACUAAUCCUCUCCUCUCUGAUCUCUCUAUCCUAUAUAGGGAGGGAGAAGGGGUGGUAAUACAAUCAAGGCAAGAGAAUUACCAAAAAGCCCCUUGCCUACCCUGGUGUACCGGUACACGGGCAUUUGUACCGGUACAAAUGGCAACCCGAGAGCAGUCUGCGCGGGGACAUGCGCUGUGUACUGGUACACCUCUGAUGUUGUACCGGUACAGCAAGAUGUACCGGUAUGCCUUGAUGGUUGUACCUGUACAGCAAGCAGAAAAUCUGCAUUUUGCAGAUUCCAGCGCUAACUCAUGCCCUCGCAUCUCCACUGAGUCCGUUCGGCCUCCAUAUCGCGCUAACGCGACUCGGACUUGUCCCGACACUCUCCCGACGUGUCGACAAACCUCACCUGCUGUACUCCAGGGAUAACACAGAUUAAUUGGGCCAUAUUUAUGGAAAUACUAACAAUCUCCCACAUGUCUCAAAUUAAUCAUACUCCAUGAACGGAUUUUCUACACUCCAAAUUUUAUUGCGCAUUAUUGAAAACUUUAUGGUCAAAUAUCUUAGAACUCACUUUGGCACACCCCGAGACCCGCCUAUUUGGUUGGAUUCGGGCCCGCCGACAGAUUGCCGAACGGACAGAGUUUUUCCUAUACGUCCUAGGCGUCACAAUUCAUAUAAUACACGAGGUUCUGACCAGGAACAGUAUUCAAGCACAGAUUGCAUAAGGAAGUAUCAAAAACAUAAAACAACUAAGUUAUUACAAGCAUUCACAUCAUAUGCUUUAUAUUACAUUCUCUUUUACAUUUGACUUCCAAAUACAAUCAACAAUCACAAGGUUAUUACAAGUUGUUUCCUUCAUCUCUACACCCCUAAGCUAGACCACCUUGGGGUAUCGCUAUCUCUGGUCAGAAUGGUAAGGCUCUAUCUACGGAGCUACGCCAUUUCCUCACGCCACCACGCGGCUCGCGUGUGAACCUGAAACCCCCAAAAUAACGUGGGGUGAGAACUAUUGUCCAUAGUUCUCAAUGGGUAUGGCCAUUCAAGGGAAGAGCUUGACUUACCAGGUCCAAGGAGGCACUGCAACAUGUUAGUCGAACAGAUAUCCACAGAUAUAUAUAUAUAUAUAUAUAAUUGAGCUCCUAUGCUUUUAAAAGUACCAAGUUAUUGGUGCUUGUAGAUUUUUAGCCAUUGGAUUAAAAUAUAUGCGGUUAAGACGAUGCGGGCCCCCUAGGGUUUAGUGGGUGGUUGGUUGAAUAGUAUAAUCUAAUGGUUGAAAAUGAUCCGAGGAGUAGAUCUAACAGUAAAAAAUUUACAAGCACCAAGUGCUUGGUGCUUUUACAAGCACCAUAGCUGGACUCUAUAUAUAUAUAUAUAUAUAUAUAUAUAUAUAGAGUGCGGCUAGGAUGCUUAUGGAAGCACGGAGGGCUCCGUGCUUCUACUUUGUUUUCGAUGUUCGGACUUUCGAAUCGACGAUCGGCUUCGUUAGACUUGAUCUAGAAUAUUUGAAGUAUAUAGAAAAUAAAUUUAGCGAUUUUNAUAUAUAUAUAUAUAUAUAUAUAUAUAUAUAUAUAUAUAUAUAUAUAUAUAUAUAUAUAUAUAUAUAUAUAUAUAUAUAUAUAUAUAUAUAUAUAUAUAUAUAUAUAUAUAUAUAUAUAUAUAUAUAUAUAUAUAUAUAUAUAUAUAUAUAUAUAUAUAUAUAUAUAUAUAUAUAUAUAUAUAUAUAUAUAUAUAUAGUAGUACAAGUAUAGAGCGUUAUACGUUAUACUUUAAAUACGUUGAUACGUUGGUUGAUCAUCUAGUUAACUAUGAUGUAAGUUAAGACGAUAGGUAUCGAGUAUAGUAGAUCGGAGAUUCCAAAGAUGAUGGAAUCAAGGUACGGUAUAUGGUGAACGAGAAUUCCAAAGUAGAUGGAAUUGGUUCGAUAGGUGGGCUGAGCCGGAGCUCAGUUAGUAGACGUCUUAUGGCGAGUAUCGAUCCGAGCUCCACUUCCUGCAGAGUGUUUGCGGAGUCGGUAUUCAGAUGAGUUGACAUAUAGUUGGUGUCGGUGUAGCGUGCUGCCCAGCGUUUUUUGACGCGUGUGGGCGCCAGUCCCUAGAGGACCACCCUCUCCUUGUGCGGCGUAUGUGAGCGUCGGCUCUAGGGGUUAUCCCUCUCCUUGUACGGUGUAUGUGGGAUCUCAAACUUCUAAGAAGGCCACCCUCUCCUUGUACAGCGUAUGUGGGCGCCGGUUCUUAGAAGGCGUAGUGUUAGGAGCUUCAAGAAGGCCACCCUCUCCUUGUACAAUGUAUGUGGGCGCCGGUUCUUGAUAACUCAUGAUGUUCAGAACCCUAAGGCCUUAGAUGAAAAGUUCAGAAUUUCCAGGCGAACGUUAGGAUAUUACAGCUGGAUAGAUCCAAGCUGGAUACGUAUAGGAUCACCGAUGGUGGUGAUAUUAGGUGAUUGGAUCCAAGUUGGUGCGAUCUAAGUACAGUAGAUGUGGAUCUAGAGUUGAAGAUCCAAUUGAACAAGUUGGAUACAAGAUGCUGUAAUCCAAGUACAGGUUGGAUACAAGUCCUGUGAUCCAAGUUACGGUGAGCUAGAUGAACUGUAGGAUGAACAGGUGUAGCUGAUAGGUAUUUAAAGUAUAAGAACAAAAGGUUACAGCUCAAGAGAUUAGUUGGAUCUCAAUAGCUGGUAUAUAUAUAUAUAUAUAUAUAUAUAUAUAUAUAUAUAUAUAUAUAUAUAUAUAUAUAUCAUCAUGUUCAUAUCUCGCAAUAUGCAAUAUGAAAUUUAUGCAACUAUGCAACCAACUAGUAGAUCAAUUGAUACUACAUUCAAUUCUGCUAUCCAUAGCUCAUAUCAUCUAGCCUCUAAGGUUUCUACUACCUUAGUUCCAUGCCAUAUACCACUUGCUCUUAAGGUUUCAUCUACCUUAACCAAGCUAUCCACCCGACUCGGCCUCGAGUCAAUCAUCUGCAGAAUACCGCUCAUAGCUAGGCUCGAGGUGAAGGACGUCUCACAAACGCCUCAGCCAUAAGUCUACUCAACUGUAUAUCAACCACAGCCACAUCGCACGACGGGUCGCAAAAAACUGCGCACACCCGCGGUCAGGGAUCUCCUGGUGGGAGAGGAACACGCCGCAUACACUCGCAGCCGAGAUCCCCAAUAGGGAGAGGAACAUGCCACAUACACCCUAGAGUUUGAAGAUUCUUCCGGUGGGAGAGGAACAUGUCGCAUACACCCGCGGCCAAGAAUCUUCCGCAUCACAAUCCUCGAAGUUCUUCCGGUGGGAGAGGAACAUGUUACAUACACCCGCGGCCAAGAACUAUUGAGUACUACAAGUCUUGGGAUUCCGGAAUCUACUUUUCAAGUCUUAAAGGUCCGCUUGCAAUCCUAUAAUGUCGACCUAUCUAGGUUCGACCUAUGCAUAUCCUAGUGGCUACCACCACUAUAAUCCACUAACCUAGGUUCAACCACGCUAGAUUCAUGUCAUCUACACCUAGAUCUCAACUUCUAGGUUAACUUGUUCAACCUAUGUUCUACGACAUUAGGUUCAUGUCCAACCUAUGUUCAGGACACUAGGUUCAAUGCCACUCGAUCUACUUGACAUCCUACUUGUCCACAUCGACUAUCCAUAAAUUUCAUAUUCUUGUUUUCCAAUGUCGAGUUCUCUAAUCAACCUAGAGUUAUCGACCCAAAUUCACGUCUUCAUGAAUCUAGCACAUUCUACAACCUGUCAACAUGUAUAUAUAGUCUAGUAUGAUCCACAACAUGUCAACAUGCAUUUCAUCUAACAUUUCUACAAUAUGUCAUUAUGCAUAGCAUCUAGCAUAUUCUAUAAUAUGUAAACAUGUAUAUCUCAAUGGUAGAUAACAUCAACUAACAUAAUAUGAUUCCUGUAUUCAUAUUAUAAUCCACAACCUACCACUAUACAUAUAUGCAUCAACAUUUACCAUAAAUCAUCAUUAUCAUCCAAUGGUAGUUCAACCUAUGUAACACACUGGACCUUUGCAAAUUGCAAGGUUCAAGUGUUUGGUUGGGUUUCGAGCUUUUCCACACUUGGUGGAGGGUCGUAGAUGGUAUUUCGACCUAAAAGUUCGAUUUCUGAAUUUUGGUUAAGUCCUGAGAAUUUUCACUCUCAGGGACCAGUCCCUGGUGGGAGAGAUCGGUCCCCCCCAGAAAAGUGCUGCGGUAGACUUGAGGCAACCGGUCCCUGGCGGGUAAGACCGGUCCCCGAGUAGGAUUUCGGGGGAGAGACCGGUCCCAUGCGGGGAGAGACCGGUUCCCGAACGUUGAUUUUGCGGGACGAACCGAGAGACCGGUCCCAAGCAGGGAGAGACCAGUCCCUUUCGACGAAAACUGCCCAGAACCGGGCAGUGUGCAGAUUGGAUUGUUGAGGGGCUUAUCAGGAUUUUGUUACAUUAAAAGGCUUUUAGAGCCUUUCUCUUCUCUCUUUCCCUCAUUUCUCUCCCUCACACUCUCUCUACACUCUCUAGAAAGAGAAGAAGAAGGAGAAGAAGAAGGAGGAGUAAAAGGAGAGCUAGCUUGGAGGCCUUGGAGCAUCUUCCUCAACAUCAUUUCUCACCUUUGGAGGCUUAGAGCUUGUGGUUGGAGCUUUGAGGAGAAUCAAUCUUCAACCCUUGAGGAUUUUGAGCUUGGUUGGGAGCAUCCUAGAGGUAAGUGGCUAGUUUUCUUCCUCUAGAUCCUAGUUUUGAAGUUUUAAACUAGAUGAAACCCUAGAUUUUGCGAUUUAGGGUUUAUUUUGAGAAAUUUCGAUUUGAGGGCUUUGAAACCUAAUUGAUGGGUUUAGAACCUUUAUUUAGGUUAGAUUUAAAGAACUCUAACUCCCAUUUGGAGCUUGAGAGAGGAUUUCUUCACUUGAGGUGAGUUUCUCCACCUUAGCCUAUGUUGCUUAUUGAUUGAGCUUAGAGUUGAUCGUAAGAUUCGUUUAACUCUUGUUCCUACAUCUUUAGGGUGCUAGGAGACUAGUGGACACCUUCAUUGGAGCAAACGAAGGAGCGCAAGAGUUGUGUCGGUUUGGCUUCAUGGAAACGGGGCGAAAUGGCCCCCAUACUUUCUAUACUCGUCGUAACGUUAUUUUAAAUGCAAAUCUAUGCUAAAUGAAAUUUAUGUGAAUUUUAAAACACUUAAAAUACAUGUGUUAUGUGUAAGAUAAUUUUCACUCUAUAUAGUAGAGCAUUCUGGGUAUUGUUACAUGCAUUUGAGUAGUGUUCGCACUAGCCGUUUGGAAACAUGCCUUAUAUGUUUAAAGUGGCUCAACUAUGCAUUUAUGAACAUUUGGUUUAAGUUUGGACUUAGUAAAUGAAAGUGUCAUAAAGGGGCACUUGGACUAGCAAAAUAUGAGACUAUUAUUUGAGACUUAGUGAUAGGCCUUGGACAUCUACGACAUUUCAUGUUUUAGACAUGAUUACAUAGAGAUAGGCCUACGAGAGAGUUGUGACGUAUUCCAUAUUGUUAGACAUGAGAACUUGGUACUUGAGACGGAUCUUUUGGUUACUUGCCAUUGUGCUCAUUCGCACUUGCUUGUGAGGGUCGCUCCCUACAAGCCGGCACUCCGGAGAUGGCCAUCGCGAUACAUAAUCGCCGUGCGGGAUUGGGCGCCGACGUGGAUUGCCAUGGGAAAGGCUCAUUCCUAGAGUGGGGAUGUUCACUACCACGGGGCCAUUAGGCUCGGCACCGGCCAGACAGUCUACGGGUAGGUCUCAGGGCCAGACAGCCUUCGGGCAGGUCUCUUCAGAUUUGAUUUUGAGCAUUAAUCAUGCCAUGUGGACAUUGAUUAGAAUAGUAAACAAUGAUAUCUUUGCUAUUUGACUUAUGGACAUCAUACUAGCGAUGUUUGGGUACAUUCAUACGAGAAUAGCUUUUCUUACUUAUGUUAAAUCAUGCUAAGUAGAGAUAUCAUGUGGUAGCAAAUAUUCAUGCUUAAUUACUUGUCGUACAUAUCGCUUUUGCUUAUAUCUGCUUACUGACCCCUUUUUAGUUUGGGCCUAGUGGUGCAUUUCACUGAAGCCAGUAAUUACCCACUGGGAAUUAUUAUUCAAUAGUUUCUCACGCCCCCUGUUUCAUGGUUUUAUUUCAGAGCCUUCGACAUCGGCGGAGGCACGGGAUCGCGGCAAGGGAGUCGCAUAGCUAGUUAGUGGGGAGCUACUUUUGAGCGUAGGUGGUUUACUCUUCCUUUUAUUGUAUUAGAGAGAGAGAGAUUUUGCACCAUGUAUAGAGAGACCACCUAUGUACCUUUCUAGCACUUAUUUUGGGACUCAGUUGUACUACUUUAUGCUUUUUUCUAGUGGACUUUCGGCUUUAUGUUCAUUUCUUUAUUGUAGCUCAUAGAUACAUUUUGCUCUGAUACAGCUAGAUGUUUUUCUCUCUUCUUGCCUUAUUUAUCGUUUUUUUUAGACGCCUUAUAUGUUUUAGACAUAUGGUGGGUCUGGGCACGCGCCGGGCAGGCUUCCUCUGGGUCCCAGGACGUGACAGAUUAGUUUAGUAUCAGAACCUAGGGUUGAGUCUUAGUGGACCUAGCAAAUCUUAGACCGGUUGGACUAUAGGAAAUAGGCUCGUGAGAGACGAGAUCUAUUUGACUUGUGAGCGAAAGUAUCGUGAUUGGGUAUUUUGGAUAACUCUAGAAAGUGGAGUUAAAUCGAAGUGUAUAGCUCCUAACUUCGCGGAGGGUUACGUUGGCGGCCGACAACGUAACAUCGGGAGUUAGUAAUGAAGCACACUUCAUUACUUUCGCAUGAUUUGGGUCAUUACCUUCUUGAGUGGGGAUUCGAUAGCGUGGGUUACUUACUUACGCUUUUAUGAUGUUGUAGUGUGAUGCCGAUUACGCACUCCCAAUCUGCCGGAGCGGAUAACGCGGCAAAUCUGGAAGAGGUCGAGACCUCCGCUACCUCCGGAUCCGGCGAGGUCCGAGGGUUGAGGGGCCAGCUUGCGGCCCUCACUGAUAUGGUGACACAACAGACGGAGGCAGCGCGCCAACAGGAGGCGCGGAUGAAGCGCUUGGAGGACCUCCUACUUCAGCAGGCUACUGCUCGAGAGACUCAGGCCCUUACACCACCAGCACCAGUUGUGGACGUGGCAUCGAGGGCACCGUCACCCGCGCUCGGUUCUUCGCGGGCAGCACCCGUGGUUGUACCCCGGGAGAAGGACAUAGUGGCACCACCAGCUCAGGCGUCACCGACGGGGGCAGUUUUUCCUGUGACGAUUUCUGCAGAGGAAAGGGAAAGGCUGAUGGAGUGCCUCAACGAGUUCAGGAGGUGCAGUCCCCGAAUCUUUGACGGAGAGAAAGUCGACCACUGGAUCGUGGAGAAGUGGUUGAUGCAUAUGGAGAAGCUCUUCCGCGAUACCUUCGUGGAGGAGAGAGAUCGAGUUUGGCUCGCCACACACCACUUGGACGGCGAGGCCUACCGCUGGUGGUUAGAUCUUCAGGAGAACCCCAGCACUGACUUGGUAGCUAUAUCUUGGAAGAGGUUCAAGGAGCUUCUAUUGGCGCACUACUUCCCGACCAGCGUCAAGAGGAAGAUGGAGCAGGACCUGCGCAACUUGCGCCAAGGAGACCGGAGUGUAGCCGAGUACGAGCGGGAGUUUUCUCGGCUUCUUCACUGCGUGCCUUUCGUCGUGCGGGACGACGAGGACAAGGCUCGCAUUUUCAAGCGAGGGUUGCGACCGUCGAUUUUCCGGUUCGUGCAAUCCUCUAACCUCCAAACCUACCGGGAGGUGGUGGAUCGCGCGCUCAUUGUAGAGAGCGGUGCGGCGCAUGUCCAGGAGCGGCGAGAGGCCAUGGACAAGGGUAAGGCUAAGAGGCCUGUGGUUGAGGGUGCGAGCCAGAUGCACUCUAGGAGACCGCCGAAGCAUCCUAGGAGCCAGCAGCGUGGACGCGGCUCAGCAGCGCAGCGAGAAAGUUUUGACCGUCGCCGGCCUUCCCCGUGUGUGAUCUGCGGUGGUCCUCAUUACCCACCGCACUGUCCACAGCGGGCGGGCAGGUGUUUCCAGUGUGGCCAAGAGGGCCACGUUCGGACUGAGUGUCCAAAAGGUUCGUCACCGGCACCGUCGACUGCAUCGACACUGGCUCUACCAGCCCCUAGUCAUGGGACUCCGUCGACACAGUACCAGCCUGGGCGUGCACCCGUCCAGCGCCAGAGCGAGGGAUCUCGACAGGCCCCGAGUGGGCGCUUGUACGCCGCUCAGACCGAGGAGGUGGCAGCAGCCGAGGAUGUGGUUCUAGGUAUCAUUUUACUUGAUGGCAAUAGAGUUCGUACUUUAUUUGAUACUGGUGCAUCGCAUUCAUUUAUAGAUCGGCUGUUGCUGAGUUGCAUGGUAGCCCUUUGGUUUCUUUGUUACAUCCGGGACAUGUUGUAGUACCCGACCACACUCUGGAUAUUAGAGAGUAUUGCCCUAGUUGCCCUGUUCGGAUAGGAGAUUGGAUCAUGCCCGUGGAUUUGCUUGCUUUGCCCAAGCUAGGGGAUUUCGAUGUGGUCUUGGGUAUGGAUUGGCUAACUAAGUACUAUGCCAUGAUUGAUUGCAAGAAUCGCACGGUUACUUUUAGAGAACCGGGGCAGAAUGAGGUUGUGUUUAGAGGAUGCCGGAGUUCACCUUUUGCGAUGUCGAUCAGCUCGUCUCAAGCUAGGCAGCUAAUCAGCCGAGGAUGUGUAGCCUACUUGGCUAGUGUUGUGUUGAGGGGCGUGGAUGACACCCCUAGGAUGGAGGAUAUCCUGGUGGUACGGGAGUUUCAAGAUGUGUUUCCAGCUGAGCUACCGGGUAUGCCACCCGAUAGGGAGAUCGAGUUUGUGGUAGACCUCGUCCCUGGGACUACUCCAAUCUCGAAGCCACCCUAUAGGAUGGCACCGAUGGAGCUAAAGGAGCUGAGGGCACAGCUACAGGAUUUGUUGGACAAGGGCUUCAUUCGACCGAGCGUCUCGCCGUGGGGAGCUCCAGUUUUGUUCGUCAAGAAAAAUGACGGAUCACUUCGCCUAUGUGUGGACUAUCAUGAACUUAAUAAAGUCACGAUCAAGAAUAAGUAUCCGUUGCCAAGGAUCGACGACUUGUUUAAUCAGCUUCAAGGAUCGUGUGUGUAUUCCAAGAUUGACUUGCAUUCGGGAUACCACCAGAUAAAGAUCAAACCCGAGGAUGUAUCGAAGACGGCUUUUAGAAUACGGUAUGGACACUAUGAGUUCACAGUUAUGUCGUUCGGGCUUACUAAUGUCCCGGCAGCUUUUAUGGAUCUGAUGAACCGUGUUUUAAGCCUUACCUGGACAGGUUCGUCAUGGUGUUUAUCGACGACAUUUUGGUUUAUUCCCGAAGUGAUACAGAUCACGAGGAGCAUUUGAGGCUUGUACUUCAAACACUUCGGGAAAAGUAGCUUUAUGCCAAGCUGAGAAAGUGUGAAUUUUGGCUUCGAGAGGUAGCCUUCCUUAGCAUUUAAUAUCGCGAUCGGGUAUAGCCAUGGAUCCUAAGAAAAUCGAGGCAAUCAAGGAUUGGCCAAGACCGACGAGCGUCACGGAGAUUCGGAGUUUCCUUUGGACUGGCCAGUUACUACCGGAGAUUUGUUGAGGGGUUUGCUAAGCUAUCUACUCCCCUCACGAGGCUCACGCAUAAAGGUGUUAAGUUCAUCUGGAAUGAUGCGUGCGAGAGAAGCUUCCAAGAGUUGAAGCACCGAUUGACGACCGCCCCGAUCCUAACCCUGCCGAUGGCUAGAGCAAGGUAUGUGGUUUAUUGUUAUGCAUCACUUAACAGAUUGGGCUGUGUUUUGAUGCAGGACGGUAAGGUGAUCGCGUAUACUUCUCGCCAGCUGAAGGAAUAUGAAAAGAACUACCCUACGCAUGAUUUGCAAUUGGCGGCCGUAGUCUUCGCAUUGAAGUUAUGGCGCCACUACUUAUAUGGCGAGCGGUGUAAAGUGUACACGGAUCACAAGAGCUUGAAAUACAUGUUCACUCAGAAGGAGUUAAACUUGAGACAGCGCAGAUGAUUGGAGCUGCUCAAGGAUUAUGAUCUGACGAUCCUAUACCACCCGGGCAAGGCUAACGUGGUGGCGGAUGCGCUAAGUAGGAAAUCAAAGAAAAACUUAGCAAUGCAUGUUGUUACUCAACCACAGUUGAUCGAGUAGAUGAAGCGGUUGGAGUUGGAGGUGGUGACUCCUGACACGCCUUUGAGAUUGAUGACAUUGGUAGUGCAACCUACACUUGUGGAUAGAAUUAAAGAAAAGCAAGCUUCCGAUGUGGAGUUGCAAAAGAUUAGAGAUAUAAUGGUUGAUGGUUGCACCGGCAAUUUCCUUGUGGAUGACCAAGAAUUGAUCCGUUUUCGUGGACAGAUUUGUGUACCGGCGGAUUUCGGAAUUAAAGAGGAUAUUCUUCAGGAAGCACACCGAGCGCCCUAUGCUAUACAUCUGGGAGGCACCAAGAUGUACAAGAAUUUAAAGUUGCUCUAUUGGUGGCCCGGGAUGAAAAAGGAUGUUGGCGAGUUCGUAGCUCGAUGUCUAACUUGCCAACAGGUGAAGGCUGAACACCGAUUACCCGCGGGGAAACUUCAGAGUUUACCGAUUUUCGUGUGGAAGUGGGAGAAGAUCACCAUGGAUUUUGUGACAGGUUUGCCCCGGUCUCAGGCCGGGCAUGACGCUAUUUGGGUGAUCGUGGAUAGGUUGACGAAGUCGGCGCACUUCAUACCUAUUCAUACUACUUGGACCGGAGAGAAGCUCGCACAAGUGUACCUCGAUGAGAUUGUGCGACUUCAUGGAGUGCCUACAUCGAUAGUAUCGGAUCGAGACACUUAGUUUGUGUCCCACUUUUAGAGGAGUCUACAGGACGCCCUAGGCACUCGAUUGGACUUUAGUACUGCUUUCCACUCUCAGAGUGAUGGGCAGUCGGAGCGCACCAUACAGACUUUAGAGGAUAUGCUCCGAGCAUGAGUGAUAGACUUCCAGGGAGGAUGGUCGCAGCAUCUACCUAUGGCAGAGUUUGCUUAUAACAACAGUUAUCAAGCAAGCAUCAAGAUGGCACCGUUUGAAGCAUUCUAUGGACGGAAGUGUAGAUCGCCACUUCAUUGGAGCGAAGUUGGCGAGAGAUUAGUUUUAGGCCCUGAUGUGCUCCAGGAAGCUGAGGACAAGGUUCGAAUUGCUCGAGAGUGACUUUUGACGGCACAGAGUAGACAGAGGAGCUACACCGAUCGACGAUGGUGAGACUUGGAGUUCCAAGUUGGAGACCAUGUUUUCUUGAAGGUCUCGCCGACUAGAGGGAUCAAGAGAUUCAGGAUUCGGGGUAAGUUGAGCCCCCGUUUCAUUGGACCGUAUGAGAUUUUGGAACGUGUGGGUCCGGUAGCGUAUCGACUUGCUCUACGAUCGAACCUAUCGGGCGUGCACAACAUCUUUCAUGUAUCGGUCCUCCGGAAGUAUGUCUUCGACCCAACUCAUGUGUUGGAUGCUACACCGUUGGAGUUGCGGGACGACUUGAGCUUCGAGAGCAACCCAUAAAGAUCUUGGCUCGCGAGGUGAAGAAACUACGGAAUCAGGACAUUCCGUAUGUAAAGAUUUUUUGGAGCAACCGCAGGGAGCGGCAGGCCAUGUGGGAGCUAGAGAGCGCGCUGUAGGAGUGCUAUCCCCAUCUUUUUCAGAUAGAGUCUUGAGGUAUGUUGUUGCUUUAUGUUUCACGGACGAAACUCCUUUUAAGGAGGGGUGAAUGUAACACACUGGACCUUUGCAAAUUGCAUGGUUCGAGUGUUUGGUUGGGUUUCGAGCUUUUCCACACUUGGUGGAGGGUCGUAGAUAGUAUUCCGACCUAAAAGUUCGAUUUUUGGAUUUUGGCUAAGUCCUGAGAGUUUUCACUCUCGGAGACCGGUCCCUGGUGGGAGAGACUGGUCCCCCCCGUAACAGUGUUGCGGUAGGACUUGAGGCAACCGGUCCCUCGCGGGUGAGACCGGUCCCCGAGUAUGUUUUCGCGGAGAGAGACCGAUCCCAUGCGGGGAGAGACCGGUUCCCGAACGUUGGUUUUGCGGGACGAACCGAGAAAUCGGUCCCAGGCAGGGAGAGACCGGUCCCUCUCGACGAAAACUGCCCAGACCGGGGCAGUGUCCAGAUUGGAUUGUUGAGGGGCUUAUGAGGAUUUUGUUACAUUAGAAGGCUUUUAGAGCCUUUCUCUUCUCUCUUUCCCUCAUUUCUCUCCCUCACACUCUCUCUACAUUCUCUAGAAAGAGAAGAAGAAGGAGAAGAAGAAGGAGGAGUAGAAGGAGAGCUAGCUUGGAGGCUUUGGAGCAUCUUCCUCAACCUCAUUUCUCACCUUUGGAGGCUUAGAGCUUGUGGCUGGAGCUUUGAGGAGGAUCAAUUUUCAACCCUUGAGGAUUUUGAGCUUGGUUGGGAGCAUCCUAGAGGUAAGUGGCUAGUUUUCUUCCUCUAGAUCCUAGUUUUGAAGCUUUAAACUAGAUGAAACCCUAGAUUUUGAGAUUUAGGGUUUAUUUUGGGGAUUUUCGAUUUGAGGGCUUUGAAGCCUAAUUGAUGGGUUUAAAACCUUUAUUUAGGUUGGAUUUGAAGAACUCUAAUUCCCAUUUGGAGCUUGAGAGAGGAUUUCUUCACUUGAGGUGAGUUUCUCCACAUUACCCUAUGUUGCUUAUUGAUUAAACUUAGGGUUGAUUGUAAGGUUCGUUUAACUCUUGUUCCUACAUCUUUAGGGUGCUAGGAGACUAGUGGACACCUUCAUUGGAGCAAAUGAAGGAGCGCAAGAGUUGUAUGGGUUUGGCUUCAUGGAAACGGGGCGAAAUGGCCCCCAUGCUUUCUAUACUUAUCGUAACGUCAUUUUAAAUGCAAAUCUAUGUUAAAUGGAAUUUAUAUGAAUUUUAGAACACUUAAAAUGCAUGUGUUAUGUGUAAGAUAAUUUUCACUCUAUAUAGUAGAGCAUUCUGGAUAUUGUUACAUGCAUUUGAGUAGUGUUCGCGCUAGUCGUUUGGAAACAUGUCUCAUAUGUUUAAAGUGGCUCAACUAUGUAUUUAUGAACAUUUGGUUUAAGCUUGGACUUAGUAAAUGAAAGUGUCAUAAAGGGGCACUUGGACUAGCAAACUAUGAGACUAUUGUAUUGAGACUUAGUGAUAGGCCUUGGACAUCUACUACUUUCCAUGUUUUAGACAUGAUGACAUAGAGAUAGGCCUAUGAGAGAGUUGUGACGUAUUCCAUGUUGUUAGACAUGAGGACUUGGUACUUGAGACGGAUCUUUUGGUUACUUGCCAUUGUGCUCAUUCGCACUUGCUUGUGAGGGUCGCUCCCUACAAGCCGGCACUCCGGAGAUGGCCAUCGCGAUACAUAAUCGUCGUGCGGGAUUGGGCGCCGAAGUGGAUUGCCGUGGGAAAGGCUCAUUCCUAGAGUAGGGAUGUUGACUACCACGGGGCCAUUAGGCUCGGCACCGGCCAGACAGCCUACGGGUGGGUCUCAGGGCCAGACAGCCUUCGGGCGGAUCUCUUCAGAUUUGAUUUUGAGCAUUAAUCAUGCCAUGUGGAUAUUGAUUAGAAUAGUAAACAAUAAUAUCUUUGCUAUUUGACUUAUGGACAUCAUACUAGCGAUGCUUGGGUACAUUCAUACGAGAAUAGCUUUUUUUACUUAUGUUAAAUCAUGCUAAGUAGAGAUAUCAUGUGGUAGCAAAUAUUCAUACUUAAUUACUUGUCGUACAUAUCGCUUUUGCUUAUAUCUACUUACUGACCCCUUUUUAGUUUGGGCCUAGUGGUGCAUUUCACUGAAGCCAGUGAUUGCCCACUGGGAACUAGUUCUCACGCCCCAUGUUUUAUGGUUUUAUUUCAGAGCCUUCGGCAUCGGCGGAUGCACGGGAUCGCGGCAAGAGAGUCGCAUACCUAGUUAGUGGGGAGCUACUUUUGAGCGUAGGUGGUUUACUCUUCCUUUUAUUGUAUUAGAGAGAGAGAGAUUUUGCACCAUGUAUAGAGAGACCACCUAUGUACCUUUCUAGCACUUAUUUUGGGACUCGGUUGUACUACUUUAUGCUUUUAUUUAGUGGACUUUCGGCUUUAUGUUCAUUUCUUUAUUGUAGCUCAUAGAUACAUUUUGCUCUGAUACAGCUAGAUGUUUUUCUCUCUUCUUGCCUUAUUUAUCGUUUUGUAUAGACGCCUUAUAUGUUUUAGAUAUAUGGCGGGUCUGGGCACGCGCCGGGCAGGCUUCCGCUGGGCCCCGGGGCGUGACAACCUAGCAUUCAUCUUAUGCAUUCAUAUGUUUGCAACUAACUACCAUGUAUGCAUCAAUGAUAAAUAACACCUCACUUCGACAUGGAAGUGAGCUAAUAUCCUCGGUGAGCACAACCCACCUCGUAUCGCUCUACGAUUGCUUGUCGACACUUGCAAUAGGCCUUCCGCGGCACUCGUUAUCCAGUUCGGUUCAAACUUGCAAACGAUCACCAACCACACGUCAAUCCGCGUCCUAGGGUUGUCAGGGACCCUUCUUUAACCUCCAAUCAGAGAAACAUUGGGUUUAAUUAGAUUAAAACCCACCAAAUCCCAAAACUCUCAGCUGUAACUCUAGCAUGAUAUAAUCUCCAAUGAACCCGAAAUCUCAUGGGGAAAACAUGCUAGAAUUACUUUAGAGACUACUAGAAUACCAAGCAUAAAGGAUUUAACCAAAUCCUAAACACUUACCAAAAUGAGAACGCCGAGUCGGAAGCAUGCCGCUCCACCGGGUGCACGAAGACUCGAUCCGUCGCCCCACACGUGUUCCCAAGCACGCUCUCCGCCAACUCUCCGAAUUUGGGAGUGAGAUCUAGAGAGAGAAGGGAGAUAUCUAGAGAGAGGAGAGAGCUUCUCUCUUUAGGUUGUGUGUGUGUGUGGGUUAAAAUGGCUGAGGGAGGGAGGAAGGAGAUGAUCCCCCCUUUUUAAGUCAACCCCCACCACUCAAUUACAAGUAUGCCACUGUUACUGUGCAUUUUUCCAGCUCGGGGUCGGGACCUUGGACCUUGGCUAGAGGGUCCGGACCCCGUAGGUCCAGAAAUUCUGCAAAUUUCAGAGUUAGCCAAAAUUUCAGCCUUUUGCCAAUAUUGGUCCGUUUUCGCUCGUUUUCGCUCCGUGGGUCUCCGAUUCAAUUCUAAUCAUACCGAGACCCCCAAAACACAUUUUCGAGCGUGUCUAAAUUAUCUUUUCAUCCACGCCUUGCCGGAUUUUGGUCAAGGUCCAAUCUAGCUAUUCGAGUUCCGUUUUCACGCCCGACGCAUACCGAAAACACUCGAAUGCUCCCGAACUUCACCGGAACCGUUCCAAUAGCUUUCCAAACUAACAUACCCCGUAACGUCAUAAAUAUAGAAGUUCGGUAUGCUACACACUUGAUUUUUAGCUCAAACUAAAAGACUAUAAUAAUAGGAAACAUGGUGGUCCACCUCUACAUAUUAAAAAUUUCCUUCCAUAAUUAUCAUAUCAUAUUCAUCUCCUAGCCGAGUACUUUAUAUGGUACAACUUUAUGAAUGAACUUAAAACUGUAUGUCUAUUCAUUAAUAGACAAAAUUUUAUACCUAUUAAAUGGUCCAAUACAGCUGUAUUAAAUUUUAACUUUAUUGAAAAGAUAGAAUGUUAUAAUCUUAUACAUCAAAAGAACUAAUCAAACUCAUAUUUCUAACAUGAUCUGUAUAUGACCCAAAUGCCAGCCCUUUGGUCAUUGGGUCUGCAAUGAUACACUUGAUACUGAUGUAUUCAAUUGUAACAUAACCUUCCUCUAUCUUCUCUCUCAUGACAAGAUAUUUGGUGUCCAAGUGUUUACACCGUGCUCUCCACGUCGACCGCCGCCGCCUCCCGCAGCCGACCGGUGCGAGCCCUGGCCUCCCCACGUCGACCUCCCCUGUCGAACGCCGGCGCACCCGCCACUGAGUCGCUGCCGGCCAUGCCCUAGCUCCCACUGCCGAUAAGCCUUUGCAGUGCUUUCUUUUGGUUGUUGUUUUGGUUUGUACACACUUUUCCGGCGAUCCGAGGCUGUCCCGAUGCCUCUGGAGGUGAGCUGUGAGGACUGAGAUUUUGGUUAUGUAGCUAAACUCCUUGUUGAUGAUGUUUUUGUGUGUAAUUUAAUUACAUAAACACUCGUCAAGUUUCAGGAGAAAACGAGUUAGGAUAGAAAAGUUACACGACCUUUACUAAUCACUUAAAGUGAAGAGUAACUCCGGUUUUCCAGAGAAGCCAAUGAGUAGAUAUGGUUUCUGGUGCAUAUUGAACUCCGUUUAUAGUGAUCCAAUAGCUCGUUUUCGACAGUUCUACUAUCCUGGACCCAAUGGCACUGACAGAUUUGGGUUUUGAUGCACAAUUUUCCAGAAAAAUGGGUUUUAUCGAAAAGAGGGUUUUCGUUCUUUGCUGUUCUUGCAUUAUAAAACUCCUCAUGCUUUGUGCAUGUGACCUGGAGUAGGGUGAAGGAUGUUUCAGGUACCUACUAGUGGUAGGGAAUUCAAAUUCGAAUUUGAAUUUAAAGUUUAUUGGAUUUACAAAUAUGUCUAUGUGUGGUGUUUGGAAAAUUGGAGAGGGGAUAGGUUUCGUCGCAAAUCGCUGAUCAAAUCGGAUAAAACAAAAUAGUAGAUUUGAUGCCCCAGUCGUGCUGAACGCGCUGGCACAAUCCGAUCGAAAAUCUGACGGACGGAUCUCCGGUAAUCGCAUAAAGUUCGCUGAGGGGUCGAAAUUGGCAAAAAUGGAAAAUCUACGAAAAUCCCAAUAUUUUAUGUACCAUUUUGCACAAUUUUGAACGUCGAGGUGCGUAUGCGUGAAAUACACGCGCCGUGAAGGACUGGGCUAAAAAUAAGGAGCUUAGAAGGGCUAUGUUGCAUAAUGACCAACCUAUAGAUAUUGCGCAACAUUAGGAUUCAUGCAAGGAAACCCUAACCCUAAUCUUCCAGCCCUCAUGUUGAGCCCUAGCAUCACUAGCAACCCUCUGCCCCAGCCGCGACGCACCUGGGCUGCCGAUGAACGACUACGAUCGCCGGAAAAGCCAUUUGUUUUACCUCUCCUCUCCCAUCAUCUCCCGUGCGCGUUGUAGGCGUUGCCUAUGCGACUGCGGCCAACCCCGGUCAACUGGGGCCGAGCUCAGCAUAGCUCGUGGGCCCCCCGCCACCGUUGCCCUAGACCUGCUGCGCCGCCUUCCUGGACCUCCGGUGACCUCCCGCAUGCCACCCCCGUCGCCCCGGAGCGCCGCCGGCCGCCGCCCUGGCUUCCUGCGGCCGCCCAGCCUCAAAUCCGGUUGAGCUUGGGCCCGCACUGCCUCUGCGCACUGCCGUCGCCCUCAGUCGGCUGCGCCGCCCUCCCUCGACCUCUAGCGACCCAUCGCCGUCCCCCCGGAGCUCCCCCGGCCGCCGCCCGACCGCAACUACACCCUGAGCCCGAGCUUCGCCUGUGCGGUCUUGGCUUGCUCCACUGCCGCUGCCAACGCCUUCCGCCAUCGGCCGGCGUAAGCACCGACUCUGCCUGGCCGGCCGCACUCAUCCGACGCCGGCUCCCCACAGCCGGAGCUUCCUGUCGGCCGGACUUGGGCCGUGCUCUCCUCGGCUUGGUGCGGCUAGGGCAUCAUUGCCCGCUGCAGCCGCCGCCUUCCGUCGCCGGCUUACGCUCGUCCCGGCCUCCCUCCGUCGCUCGCACCUGCCUGCAGCCGGCAUUCCCGCCUCCCGGCCGCCGCCGGCCGUGCCCGAGCUCCCCAUGGUUCGGUGAGUUCUAUUUCACUGUUUUGUGCAUAUUCUCGGGUUCAGAUCGCUGUUCCGGCAAUCCGAGGACACCCCGACACUCCUGAAAGUGAGCACGAUGAUCCUUGAUCCGUGCUGAACAUCGUGCUCACCUCCGUUAGGAUCAACGAUGCCCCAGUUUGCGUGUUAGACGCGAUUUAGGUGCUGUGCGUGCUGUUUUGUUGUACUUCGCGUCGCUCGCACGCUCGCCACAGUGGCCGGCUGUGCUCCAAAGUGUGAGCAUGCCCUCCGGCACAUCGGGACCUGUCAGCGGGUGUCUCUGCCAGGCUUGAGGGCCCUCGAUUUGCACUGUCGGGUUAUAAAACCCCGAAAAUCACAUGAAAUGAUGUGAUUUUAUGUAGUCGCAGCGGUUUUUAUGCAAGUUUACGCUAUGUGGUUGCUGUUGGAAGCGUGUACGGGCAGUGGGUGACCUCUAGACUGGUUGUCCAAGGCCCCAGGCCUUUUCGGAAAUCAAAUGUUGAUUUUCGGUGCAUUUUUCGGCGAAAUCCACCGACAGAACUCGAUUUCGGUUCGGAUAUCUUCCGAUGGUGCCUCACGGUAAAUUGUAUAGUCGCUGAGCCUUGUUGGCCAGUCACUCGGGUCAUUUCGAGGGUUCUGAAACGACGGGUGAGUGACGGUGGGUUCCGGUGUCGAAUUAGACACUUCCGGAAACCCGGAUCGGAACAAUUAUCUGACGAUAAUCGUUUCGAUGUGAGGAAGGUGUGUUUGCUGCCAAGUCACAUGAAUAGUUGUGUUUAGUGGCAGCGGGUGACUCGUAGCACGAGUCGGUGAGUUUCGAGACAGUUUCUGGGUCCCGGCGGAGUCCCGAUGAGAUUUUCGGGACUUCCGGCGUGUUACGGCAGUUGGUUUGGGAAACCGAUUCCCAUGGGUUUACAUGUGGGGAUGGUGAGUUAGUGGUUCGUGUUGGAUUCUAACCCGGUGGACCCUUCGUAGGUCCGGUUGAUACUUCCUCUGCAGUCGGAAGACCAGUACCAUAUACGUACUAUUGGGAACUUCGACCCGAAGUCGGUAUAGUGGUGCACGUUCGGUGACAUUCCCUUCACUCUUUCCUUGUUGUUUAUCUUGCAUAUUAUAUGUUGAGCCUAGCACCUAUUCCCUUCUUCUUUAUUGCUCUACUUAGUUGUUUUGCAUACCCAGUAUCAUGUUUUAAAAGUAGAGCAGUUUCGUGAUUAUUGGUGAGAUCUAUGACCUAGUCGGUCAGUGUGUUGUAUCUGGUAUUAUGACCUAAUUGGUCGGUCUUGUAUCUCGUAUCUGCGACCUAUUCGGUCGGCUUACUGCAUUGUUAUCGUGGCCUAUUUAGUCGGUUAGACUAUUUGAUGACCUUUACGGUCAGUAUACCCUGAGGGAUAGGAUUGUCGGCUAGUGGCCGACGGCUAGUUCUGGAUUAUACCGAUGCAUGACGUGACAUCCCUGUGACCUAUUGUCGGUCCUUGUGCAUAUUUGUUAGUUGGCAGUCAGUGGUCGAUACUUGCAUACCUUUGGACGGAUGUUGAGUUGUUCCAUCCUAGUUGACCUGAGUGGUCGGUACUUGUGUUCCUUACGGUUUGAUGACCUAUUGGUCGGUGCGCCCCGAGGGGCAGUGAUUGUCGGCUAGUUGCCGACGGUUGGCUAUUGAGUAUAUUAGCAUUGAUCGCCCGAUACUCGUAUGCAUUUUACGAACGCCAGCGGUCUGAUCCACCGCAAGUGAGUGUUCUUUUCCGAAAAAGUGGUUGGAGGUACCAACCAGUGAGCCCAUACACCUUGGGUUAUUUGCAGGUAGAGUGACAGCUUGAGGUCUGCGGUGCGGACCAACAGGGCAUAGCUUGAGGUCUGCGGUGCGGACUAACAGAGCACAGAUUUCAGAUUGGGUAUUUUUGGACUUAUCGUCCGGUUGAUGCAUACAUACAGUAGCGGUAGUUAUGCAUUUAUAUAUCUCGCUCGUUUAUUUAUCAUUGCUACUGUAGUACCAUACAGGCCUGAGGUGUGCGGACCAAUAUGGCAGUUUCAGAUUGGGUAUUUUGGACUUGUCGUCCGGUUGCAUUCAUACAAUAGUGGUAGUUAUUCAUUUAUACCUCUCAUUCAUAUAUUUAUUGUUGCUACUGUAUUACACUUAUCCAUACCUUUGUUUGUUCUCCUUGACUGGUAAGUACCCCUCGCCCUCUUCGGCUUACGGUACCCACUGGGAGGGAAGACAUAUGUAUAUGUUCUCACCCCCACCCCUCUUUCAGGUGACGUCGCAGGUCCGAGUCGGGACGAUUCGUGAAGUGCGCAGUUUAGCAUUCGAUAGAUCCAUCAGCUCGUCGCUUUGGUUAAAUUCUCAAACUCGUCCUUUAAUAAUUGAUUCAGUAUUUAUGGUUCAGUGGUUUGCUUAAAUUGGACAAAAAUGAUUUUGUGGUUGUAAUAAAGGAUUUAUGGCUUUCUUGCAAAAAUGAAAAUGGUUUUCUACCCCUCGUGGUAGCGAAUUUUAAAAGGAAAAAGGUUUUCGUGUGGAAAACGGUUUUAAAAAGGAUUUUCUGGUUUUCCUGAUUAUUAGUAUUUCAAAACGAGUUUCCGGGUAGGAAACAUUUUAAACUGGUAGAUGUGAAUUUAUGAAUAUUGGUGAUGAAAUAAAUGUGGUUGUGAAUGGUAUAUGGAUAUAUAUAUAUAUGUUCAUAUAUGAUGGUUGUAUCUUGAAUUGUAUAUCUUGUACUUGUGCGACGCCAUACAAAUACAGGGGACUCUGUCCGGGUGAACAGUGGACUCCCUAUACUUAUGGCGGAUCUGGCAUACCUUCGGGGUCAGAAUUUUCAAAAAAAAAAAAAUUGGGCACUUCUGCAAUGACUUUUAAACCAAAAAGGGACCCCAGGGCGUGACAUGAGCCCGGUGAUCGUUGGUCAGUGCCGAUCACAGUACUCACCUCAUUUUAGAUCAGCUGCUUUCGAAGUUGCGUUUUCGGCGCAGUUUUACCCGAGUGCGCUGUUCGCAGAAUUUUCGGGUCACUCCCGCGCCUUCCACAGUGAGUCGUUGUGCUCCGAAUCGUGAGCACGUCCUCCGGCGUGUCGAGUCCUAUCAGUACAUGUCACGGCAGACCUCGAAAGCCUUCAAGUUUCGUUAACGAGCCACAAUGUCGCCUUAUUUAUCUAAAAUAGUGGGAUUUUAUGUAAAUAGAGGGACUUUUAUGCAAUUUUACAUCUUGUGGUUUCUAUGGGCAGUACGUACGUGUGGUAAGUGACCUCUGGAUUGAUCGUCCAAGGUCCGAUAGCCUUCGCGGAAAUCGAACGUCGAUUUCGAUGCGUUUUUCGGUGAAAUUCGCCGGUGGAAUGUGGUUUCGAUUCGGAUUUCUUCCGACGUUGUUUGUUUGCCCUGAGAGUUGUCGCUGAGCUUUAUUGGCUGGUCACCAUCAUCAUAUCAUGGGUUCGGAGAUGACGGGUGAGCGACGGUGGGUUCCGGUGUCGAAAUUGACACUUCCGGGAAUCCGGAUCCGAACAAUUAUCAGGAUUAUUUAGUUGUGAACUCUUGUGUUUGCUGCCAAGACAUCAAAAUCGAUGUGUUUUGUGGUACUGGGUGACUCGUGGCACGAGUCGAUGAGUUUCAGAAUACUUAGUGGGUCCCGACGGAGUCCCGGUGUGAUUUUUGGGACUUCCGACGAGUUACGGUGAUCUGAUUUAGGAAACCAAUCACAGGGAUUUGUGUGCGGUUUGUGAGUCGUGUAUUCUAGUUGUGUGGGUUGGAUACUGACUCGGUGGACCUUCAUAGGUCCGGUUGACUAUAGUGUACUUUGGAGAUAGACGCGACAUUAGUGCAGGUGGGUGCUUCGAGCUCGUACUCGGUGAGAUUGUUUUACCUUCUUCUAUUCUUCUAUUUCAGCAUUGUAGUCUCUACAUGUCGGUUGCUUUGUUAUUGUUUGUUUAUCUAUACCUUAUUGAUUGCAUGAUGAUUAUUGUUGAUAGACAUGUAGAGCAAGCUUGUAUAUAUAUUGUAUCUCUGUGGGCCUUUGGUCCAGGCAACACUUCGAUUCCUUUGUCGUGUGUUUCGAUCUGGUUGAUCGUGGUUCGGCGUUGUACGCCCUUGUAUCUCACUUCGGCCAAGGCACCAGUUUCAGUCGGCUUUCGUAUUGAGCAUAUCAGCAUAACUUAGUCACAGCACUUGGGUGUAUUCAUGACACCAGGUCGGUUUGGCUACCGACCGGAUGUGUACUUAUCCGGAUGGGUCGUCCAGUGGACGGAUGAAUCAGGUCGGUGCAAGUAGUGUGACAGGCAACGCUUGAGGUCUGCGAACCUAUAUAGUAGGCACCAGAUUGGGUACAGUUUUGGUUUGAUUACCUUGAGGCAUACUCAGCAUUGUAUUCUUUACAGUAGCAAUUUUUAUUACUUGCUUCUUAUCAUAUCUAUUAUAGCUACUGUAGUUCACUUUUUUAUCACAGCAUCAGCACUUGUUUACUUUACCUCCUUUGGUUUCCGAUGCUUACGACUUGCCUUCGUGACUCUGUCGUACCCACUGAAAAACCUUGAUUGUGGUUUCUCACCCCCCAUUUCCCUAGGUGGUUCGAGUAAGGAGUUGGCUUUUGGGCUCGACGGGAGGACGCACUAGCUAGACGGCAGUAGCGACCGUCACCCUGAUUAUCUUUUAUUUCCACAUUUAGUAGUUUAAUAAUUAAAUGGUUUAGUUAGAUGAUCACUAUUACUGUUGAGUAUUUGUGAAACUGUUUGACUUGAUGUUUUCAUAUGAUGCUAGCAAUUGGAUUUGUGGUUUUGAUUUUAUGGAUAAUUGGUUCUCGGACUUUUGUGCUUACGCAUUGUGGUUUUCUGCCCCUCGAGAUAGUCGAUUUUCAAAAGUGAAGUUUCCGAGUGGGAAACAGUUUUAAAAAGGUUUUCGAUUGGUUUUUAUGAAUGAUUAAAUAGAGUUUAAAAUCAAAGCUUCCGAGUGGGGAGCACUUUUAAAUAGGAUGCUUGUUGUACUGUACAUUGCAUCAUCCAGCGCCUAGGAGUGUUUAGAGGCAUGCAUCAUCUCUAAGGAUCGCUAGCUGUAUGUAAAUACAUGGCAUGAGUUAAUUGUUGAUUGGUGAAUGUAGGUUGUAGUUGAAAUCCUGAUGUAUUGUUGGUACGCCGUGCAAAUACAAAGGAGACUCUAUCCGAGUGGAUAGAGGAACUUUGUAUUUGUAGCGGGUCUGUACGUCACGUGGACCAUGUUGAAUAAAAAAAAAAUUGGCCGUUUUUUUCGCAACUCUGAUUUUAAAAAUUGUAUCCAUUACAAAAAGGCUUUUAAAAUCGGCCCCAAGGCGUGACAGUUUGCCAGUAAAUAAAAGCUUUGAAUGGUGUACCUGCUGACAGAUUGCAAAAUCUUCCAACUCCUGAAUAGAAAUGGGAUGGAAUCACUAUGGAUUUUGUAAUUGGUUUAUCAAGAUAACAAGGUGGACAUGAUGUGAUUUGGGUAAUCUUAAGCAGAUACACUAAAUUUACUCACUUCCUACCAAUACAAGUGACAUUGUCUAGGGAGAAACUUGCUCAGAUAUAUCUGGAUGAGAUCGUAAGAUUGCAUGGAAUUCCUACCUCUAUAGUGUCGGAUCGAGACCCGAGGUUUAUAGUACACUUUUGGAAAGUUUUAUAGAUAGCUUUGGGGACUCAGUUAUAGUUCAGUACUGGUUUUCACCUGCAGACUGAUGGACAAUCCGAGAGGACGAUUCAGAUAUUAGAGGAUGUGUUGAGAGCUUGUGUCCUCAAGUAUGAUGGUGGCUGGUAUCGACAUUUGGCAAUGGCUGAGUUUGCAUAUAAUAAUAGUUAUUGAGCAAGUAUAAAAAUGGCUCCAUUUGAGGCAUUGUAUGGAAGAAAAUGUCGAUCACCAUUACAUUGGAGUGAAGUAGGUGAGAGAAUAACUCUUAGUCCAGAUAUUUUAGUAGAAACAGAAGAAAAUGUUAGAAUUACUCGAUAACAUUUGCAGACCGUCCAGAGUCAACUGAAAAGCUACGCUGACACACGGCGUCAAGACUUAGAGUUUCAGGUUGGAGAUCAUGUAUUUUUUCAAAGUCUCACCAUCUAAGGGGAUAAAGAGGUUUGGAAAUAUGUGGAAAGUUUAGUCCACGAUUCAUUGGACCUUUUGAGAUACUCGAGCUAGUUGGACCUGUUGCAUAUCAGUCAGUUUUACUACCGAGUUUAGCAAGUGUACAGGAUGUGUUUCAUGUCUCAACCUUAAGGAAGUAUAUCUUUGAUCCAUCACAUGUUAUAGAUUAUGUUCCAUUGGAGGUGACUGAUGAGAUGAGCUAUACUGAGCGUCCGGUUUGAAUUUUUGCACGAAAGGUAAAAAAAUAGCGAAAUCGAAUUAUUCCUUCUAUGAAGGUAUUAUGGAGUUACCAAGAAGAGUGAGAGGCGACAUGGGAGCCUGAGGAUGCGAUGCGAGAAUUUUAUCCCUAUUAAUUUGAGCAGUAGACUUGAGGUACAUUUCAAGUUUUGAAAACGAAACUUUUUUAAGGAAGGGAGAAUGUGAUAUACUGGACCUUAGCAAAUAGGCAAGAUUGCAGUAUAAAUUUUUAGUCAGUAUUUUGUUCUACAAUGCUUGACUGAAUUAGAGACGUUUUGGCGCGAAAUAGACGCUAAAACGGACUUUGACACUCUAGAUUUGACUAUAGAGGACUAAAAUUGAAAUAUCUAAAUUUUGAGGGACCUAUUAGCAUUUUUUCACUUUAAUUAGUGAAGCCCACGUGGGCCUUAGGUUUUCUCCAUGCUUAUCCAUUUCUUUUCUCCAUCAAGAAGCUUUAAGGUAGAGAGAGAGAGAGAGAGAGAGAGAUUGAGCACAAAAAAAAGAAGAAGCUUGGUUCCUUUGUAGCGAGUGAGCGAGUCGAGAGCGCACGCACGUGGAUUUUUCAUUGUUUCGACGUCACGGUUAGUAUCACAAUAUUGUUAUUUAUUCCGUUUAGACUCCUUUGAUGAAUUUCUUAUAGGAAUUAAGUGUUAGAAACUGAUUUUUAUAUAUUUUAGGAGCAGAUUUCGUGGCUGCCAUUCAGGCUAGGAGAGCCGUAGCGGAUCAUUUCCUUAUCCCAACUAUCGUUCCUUUCUUUGGAUUUACGAUAUAGGUGGCUUCCGUGUUGUCAAAACUGGCGGACUAAUUUUUAUGUCCAUGUCAUAUUAUUUAGCCGAUAAGAUGAACUGUUGAUAUAGUUGAGAUAACAGUAAUAUUUUAACACCUAUCAGUAGAGUAAACUGAAACAUAUAUAUAUGUGAUAUUUUUCUAAAAGUCAAUAAACGACUACAGAUAGUGUGAGACUAUAAUUGUAUUUUGGGCACUAUGAUGGUAUUAACAUGAUAUGUUUGAUCAUCGCAUUUUACCACAGUCUGUAUGCUAUGUUGAGUUUGACAGUGAUACUAUACUCGGUUGGGGUAGCGUUCCGCGAGUGCCACUCCGAAGGUUGGGAUAUGAGAUAUUAUUAUGGCAUGAUAGUAGUCUGCGUGGUAGCGGACCACUAUAAGUGGGUGCUGGACAUGAGGCGGCACAGGUUAGACUGACUGUUGAGUCGAUCACUAUGAUUGGAUUUUAUUACAAUAUUUUAUUUAGUACUAAUUGAUACAUGAUAUUUAUGAUUUGUCGAUUUCAGUUAUAUUGUAGAGAUAUGAUAGUAGUAGUUACUCUCAACAAUUAUUCAUAUUAGUACUUGUUUAUUUACACUGCUCAGUCAUUUACUAUUUUUGCCUCUUAUGGACCAAGUGGUGUAGAUUGUCAGCAUUGAUGACCUUACUCACUGGAAACUAUUAAUAAUAGUUCUCAUACCCUCUUCAUUAAUAUUUUAUUUCAGAACCUUCAGCACUAGCGACUGAUCGAAACAAGGGGAUCAUAGAUAGUUAGUAUCUUCUACCUUCUUUGUGUGUGUAGCUAGACCAUCUAUCAGUAUAUAUAGCAGCAUGUAUAGCGGUUUGAGGUUUAGGAUAGUCAGAGUAGUUAUAGCAUUUCGAGGAUUGUUGUGCUGACAAUUAUAUAUCUUUACCUUGUUGUUAUGAUAUAUAGUUUUUAUUUUACUCUAAUACUUAUUGUUGUUAGAUUUUUGUUAAUUUUGUUGGUCAAAGUUUUUUGUCGCUUCGUAUGUAUAACAUGUAUCCUUGCGCAUGCGAUGAGUCUGUUGAUGUAAUCCGAGCUUCCAUUGUAAUCCAAGGCGUGACACAAACUUGUGAGGGUCGCUCCCUACAAAUCAGUACUCAGGAGUUAGCUUUUGCGACAACAUGCUCACCCGUGCAGGAUUGGACGAGGCUCAUUUCUAAAGGGAGAAUGUUGACUAUACCACAGGGCCAUUAGGCAUGGCACAAGUCGAAACGUUACUUUAUGUAAGUCCCGGUUGAUUAGAUAAAAGUUAAUUAAACUUGACAUUGUACGUCACAAUUAGUUGAUAUAUACAUAGUAUAUGGACAUUUUUGUUGGGCACUACACAUUUGUAUAUUUGAUAGUAGUAGAGCUACAUACAUGUUGAUUGACAUAGUCAUUUAGUGAUAUUGUGGUAUUUGAACUUUUACUUCAAUUAUUACAUCCAUGCUUUAUCCUUAGCUACAUAUUAUCUUUGCCUCAAUUGACCUAGUGAUGUAAUACGUUUUUCUCGACGGUUUACCCACUGGAAACUAUUAUUUAAUAAUUUUCAUCUUUAUUGGUUGUUUGUUUUGUUUCAAGACCUUACACUAGAAGAGAGCCUAGGAAUCGCGGUAAGAGAUUAGCGACUAGUUAGAGUCUUUUUGGUGUUGCUAUAAGUGGACCCAAAACACUUUUCUUUUGUUUUUAUUGUGAAAGAUGUACUAACUCAUUUUGUAUAAAGACAAUCUUCUUUUCAUGAAAUAUACCCUUUUCUAUGUACUCUUUUUGUAUAAAAUUAUUAUAUAUCUUGUGAAAGGUUUAUAUUAAUCGUAGUAAAUUGGUUGAAUUAUUUCAUAAUAGUACACAUACUCUUAUUACCUUGUACUGCGCAUGGAGAAUUUGUGCACGUACCGGAUAGACUUUUGCUGAAAUUCGAACGAGACUUUUGUAUUCAAAUUCAAAUUUAAAUUCAUUUUUUUUUUAAAAAAAGGCUAAUCAUCAUCUAUAUAAAGCAACAACAUUAAACAGCCACCACCAUCAUCAUCAUCAUCAUCAUCAUCAUCAUCAUCAUCAUCAUCAUCGCCGCCAACAUCAUCACCACCACCCCCGCUGCAUUGCCGCAUCUCGGCCGGCACCACCACCACCACCACGGCCGGAUCGCCCUCACAGCUCCAUGAUUGAUGAAGCUCCCCUCUGCCUUCGUCGUUAUUCAAGAACUAACUAAUUUCGAACCAUAUAAGAUCAUAAUAGACAGAGAGGAUGCAACUCGAUCGCGCGAGCAGCAGAGUAAAAUCAAAACGGUGCACUUAAUUAAUUAAGGGAACUAUAUAUAUUCGUUCGCUCGUUCGUGAUGGGUAACUAAUUAACGAGUAACUAAAGGUCGUGCAUCUAUCUACUGAUGUUCUCUCUCUCUCUCUCGAUCGAUCGAUCGAUCGAUGGGCCCGGUCGAGCGGCAGAAACUAGCUAGCUAGCUAGGAGCUAAAUAGCUAGCUCGUGGUUCUUAUACAAGUAAAAUAAAUAAAUAAAUGUUUUACUGGUCGAGGGCGUUGGGGCCGGAGCAGUAGUUGAGGAUGGGGUUCCAGAUCCACUGGACCAAGAACCUCCGGCCCCCGACCCCGUUGGCGUUGUAGGCGGCGCCGGUGCGGCGGUCGAGGAGCAGCUGUCCGGUGUAGGCUCCGCCGCCGCCGGUGCCGUAGAUGCCCUCGCAGAGGUCGGCGAUCUCGGUGGGGAAGCAGGGGUCGGCGCCGGCGUACCAGGCGUUGACGAGCGGGUUGGACGCCAUCUCCGCCAGCUCGUGCGCCACCACGCUCACCAUGCCGUCCACCCCGACGUCCCCGUUCGGGGCCCGCUCCGCCCGCGCCCCGGGCACGUAGCUGGGCACCGCGAACGGGUAGGCGCACACCUCCGGGCAGCGCCCCGCCGAGUUGCCCGCCCACGCGUACGGCAGCGCGUAGCCCACGAUGGACGGGAAGGUGAAGUAGUGGAACCCGCACACCUGCCCGCAGAAGUCCUCCACGGCGACGUCGGGGGAGGUGAGCACGAGGUAGAGGCCCCCCCUCGCGUUCACGGGGAGGGGCCGGGUCUUCGCCGUCACGGCGUCGCGGAUGACCCCCUGGAUGUCCAGCCGGGACAGGGAGGCGCCGCGCGACAGCCGCCGGUCGCUCUUCUCCGCGCCCAGCGCCACGGCGGCCGAGAUGUUGGCCCCCGUCUGGUCGGUGUACAGCCGGACCGUGCGCCACCACGCCGCCACGGAGGGCCGCCGGGGGGGGACGCCCGAGGACGAGGGGGAGAUGGAGCGGAGGAAGGACCGGAUGAUGCGCUUCUGCGCCCGGGACCACUGCCGCCCGUACCAGAUCGGGUGGACGGUGAUGUUGGCCGUCAGCACCGGGCCCAUGUGGUAGCGCAGCUGCACGAACUCCGACGAUCCCUCGAACUUCUUGCUCGCGCCCAAGUCCAAGUCCGAGUCCGUCGCUCUCGCUCCGAAUCCCAAGCCACCGACGGUCGCGCUGGUGGUGUUGAGAUACAGGUGAGGCCACGGCCGCCACGCUGCGACUGCCGGAGCAUGCUGCGUGACAUUCAGGACGAUGACGACGACGACGCGUGCUACUAGCAGUAAAAUUUUAGCGAGCACAUUCGGCACACGAGCGGCGGUAGAAUCGCCGGCACGUGCGACGGAGCCCAUCGUGCUUGCAGGAGAUCGGGGGAGAGUGCCGACUGCCGAGUGAAGAAGGAAGAUUUAUUAGUCUGGGAGUGGCAGCGUUGGGUGUGCGUUUUGUGUGUGUGUGUGUAUAUAUAUAUAUAUAGAUAGCUAGCAAUCAACACUGCAGCACAGUGGAGGAGAGUGGGAACUGGGCUUCUGGGGUUUUGGGGACUGGGAUUUUUUUUUUUCUUUUUGCUUUUUGGUUUUUGGUCUUUGUGAUACGUUAUAGUUUAAUUUUGAUUUCAUCUAUUAUAAUAAUAAUAAUAAUAAUAAUAAUAAUAAAGAAAUGGUAAAAAGAAAGGGAGAGAAGGAAAAGUAAAAGGGGCAGGGCAAACGGGAACUAAUGUCAUAUAAUAUCUAGCCUGAAAAAGAAAACUCCCAAACUAGUCAGCUUCUCAAAAAAAAUUCCUAAUGUAACCUUUCUUUUGAUGGAUUAAAAAAUAAAAGUAACAUAAGAACAUUUAUACGUUAAUUAGGACUUAGGAGAGAGAAUUUUUCUCUCUCUCUCUCCUCUCAACCUACUAAUAUUUAAAAAUAAUUAAAAAUUAAUAUUUAAUAAUAGUGAUAUUAUUAUUACUUAUUAUUAUUAGUAUUUAUUUAACUAUAUAUAUGUCAAAUUUGAUCAUAUUGAUUUGUAUAGUUAAAUUAAAUACUAGUAAUAAUAAUAAUAAUUAUAAUAAUUAUUAUUUAGUAACUAAAUGUUUCUAGUGUAAGUGGUAAAGGAUUUGAUGAUUGAUACUUGAGGUUCUAAAGUUUGAAUUAUAGUUGAUUCACAUUUCCGUUGAUUCAUGUUUCUGUUGAUUCAUAUUUCCAUUUAAAUUUAUUUCUAAAAGAAAUAAACGAAGAUGGUAAUAUAUUAUUAUAUUUUUCUGUAAAAAAAAAGUUAAGUAAUAAUAAUAUUUAUUUUUAAAUAAUAUUAUUAUAAUAAAAAUUAUUUAUUUUUAAAUAUUAGUAGGUUUGGAGGAGAGAGAGAGAAAAAAUUCUCUCUUCUAAUUAGCAUUAAAGUCAUCUUUUGUUUUCUAAUUCAUCAAAAGAAGAGUAGAUCACAAAAUUUUUUUGAAAAGAAGGGUAGAUGGGAAUUUUUUUUUUCUAAUUAUUAGACAUGGCAUUCGCUCGCGAACGGGGGAGAUGAUCGAGAGAGCGAAGGGAAAAGCGCGCCGUUGAAAUGCGGAACGGAGGGGGCCAAAGGUGAUUGGCAGUAAUGGAUGACAGAUAGCAUCACUAAUGACCAGCUGUCAGAACAGGUCCCACUUUCCGGAACGGCAUAUACCUCCGCGGCACUUUCCGCUAGCACCCUCCACUCAACCUGCCAUAAAUUUUAACUGUCUAAACCUGGUGUAUUAUUGUUAGAUUUCAUAGGCAGCAAGUUACAUAAUUUUUCUAAUAUUUAAUGAUUAUAUAAUUAAAUUUAAUUUUGACAAAUAUAUGAAAGCGCAAGCUUUUUUGUACUAGAAUAAGGUCACAUGCUAUUUGUCACGGCCUAGAGUUUCACAUGCUACUUGUCACGGCCUAGAGGUUUUUGCUCGCAAAGUUCGUGCGACGCCAUCUUUUUCUAAAAAUAUUGAUAAAUCUUACUUCUUGUUAUUAAUCGGGACCUAUGUGUUCUAUGACUAUGUUUGCAAAAGAGAGAAAACAGGAAAAUAAAGAUUAUUUAAAAAAACUAAAUACUCUUAAUUAUUUAGAAAAAUAGGAUUAGAAAACACUACCUCUUGUGGAUUUGGACUUAACAAUUCCCAUAAUUUAUAGGCAUAUGAUUUAAUAAAUAUUGCCCAUCAUAUCUCACCCACUAACUAAACCUACAUUAACUCAACCAUUAUAAAUGCCAGGUGAAAUCAAGGGUUGCCCAUGACCUUUGAAUUUUUUUUAGAAGUUUUGGAGGCUUGAUGGCAGUAAUUUCAUAUCUCUUUUUCUCCCACAAAAGGAUUGGAAUUGGGCAUCCUUGACGGCCUGUUUUAGCUUGCGGAGUUAGGCCAGGAACUGGACUGCGCAGAAAUUUUUCUAAGUCUCUGACACUCUCCCCUACCUAAUGCGCAGGCGUCCUCAUCACGCGCUACUUCUGGAACUCGUUGAUGAAUGCUUGGUAUUGCCAAAGUGUGUCAAGCCUUCUCCCAACUAGCCUCGCUGUAGGGGAGAUUCGUUCACUUCACCAAGUACUCAGAACUCCGUGGAACUCCACGAUGUCGAAUGAGCCAAGUGCCUAGGAUAGACUCUGCUUGUUUGUCAAACGAAGUGAUUAUGGUUGACGGAGUGUGAUAUGACACGCCAUGGCUUGGAUCCUCCACAUCUUCAUGGUAUAAUUUCAGUCUGCUAACAUAGAAGAUGGGAUGGAUUUUGAGGUUCGCGGGCAGCUGUAGCUUGUAGGAGCCUUUGUCCACAUGCUUGACGAUGGUAAAUAAGCCUUCAUACUUUCGCAAUAGUCCCUUGUGCACCUUGCGCAGGACCUUAAACUGCUGCGACUGAAAUUUGACUAUCACGUGGUCUCUCUCGGUGAACUCCGGAGGUUGCCACUUCUUAUCUACCCACUUUUUCACCCGUCGGGCUAUUUUCACCAAACUCGCACUUGCAAUUUCAUCUUUUUCCUGAGGUGAAUUGGAGAGCAACAGGGCUGCAUAACUGCUCUCCCAUAGCGGCUGUGUAUGAAGCAAGUGGCUGUCGCACAGUCGCCAGCUCGAAGGGACUACAUUUCGUAGAGUUGCUACGUGGCAAGUUGUAGGAAAACUGUGGGACAUCAAGAUGAUGCACCCAAUCCUUUGGUUGGCACUUACAUAGUGUCGUAGGUACUUCUGUUACACAGCAUUCAGCCGCUUCAUUUCCCCAUUCGUCUAUGGUUGAGAAUUGGUGGAGAAGAGCAAAUCGGACCCCAAGAUUUCAAACACUUUUGGUCUGAAACAUGCUAGUGAACUUGGGGUCGCGGUCGCUCAUGAUGCACUCGGGGAUCCCCCAAAGCGUGACAAUGUGAUUGACGAAGAGACUGUUAGAUGUAUGCCCUAAAAAUCAACCGGGCUGACACAUGUAAUUUUUUUAGGAUAUAAAUUUGUAUUUGAUUUUAAAAUAUUAUGAAUGAAUUUGGAUCAUUAUUUUCAUUCAUGUUGUGUAUGUAUUCAUAAAUCGUCCAAGAAAUUAAUAAGAUGAUAAGACGCAUUCUCAAGAGUUGAGAAUUUGAGACAUGUGUUGUCACGCCCGGGCCCCAGCAGAAGCACGUCCGAUGCGUGCACAGACCCGCCGUGUACAGUAAGCACCUCUGAUGCACACAAGACGUCUACAACAACAAGAAAAGAAGUUGGAAUAGAUCCCUAACGUGGCUAUCAUAGCAAGUACAUAAAUCUACUAAAAACAGGAGUCUAGAACAACAACACCCACAUAAGAUAUACAAUAGGUACAUCAUGAAAACUAGUAGAUCUCUAAACAAAAUACAUUAUACAUCUUUCACCUAAAUCGAAAGAAAGAUGUCGAUGGGUCUGAUUAUAAUAACACCGAGAAGGCUCUAACUAGUCGAAAAUCUCUUGCCACGAUCCCUACCCUCUCCCGCAGUAGAAGGCUCUAAAACAGAAACAAACAACAACCAAUAAGGGUGAGAAUUAUUAAACAAUAAUUCCCAAUAGGUAAGCCGUCGAGAGUGGCGAAAUACACCACUAGGUCAACUUAGAGAUGAUAAUAUGCAAUAAGUAUUAAGCAUACAGUUAAUAAUAAAAUGAACAUUCAAUUAUAGUCAUGCCUCUACAUGAUAAUGCCAUUUAACAUGUAUGUAAUUUUCUACUGUCACAUGCAUAAGUAAUUGUACAUGUGAGUCUAUAUGCAAAUUUAAAUGCACAGAUUAGAUAUUUCACUUCAUUUUCAUCAUGUAACUAUACUUCUGUACUAAUUAACAUGUGUGUAUAGAUUUACUUUUAUCCAAUUAAUGAGGGACUUACACAUGAUAACGUCCCGAUUUGUGUCGUGCUUAAUGGCCCCAUGGUAGUCAACAUUCUCCUGCUAGAAAUGAGCCUUUUCCACGGUAAUCCACUUCGGCGCCCAAUCCCGCACGGGCGAUCUGUCGUUGCAAAGGCUAACUCCGGAGUACCGGCUUGUAGGGAGCAAUCCUCACAAGCUUAUGCGAAUGAGCACAAUGGCAAGCAAGCGUGAUCAUAAGCAUGAGGUCCAAAGACCACAUAUCCCAAUCGUUGAUCAUGUCUAAAAUAUAGAAUCACAAUCUUCGACUCAAAAGUCGGGUACUAUAUCAAAUAUGUCAUGUUUCAUUCUCAAUUAACUUGGUGGUAUGUUAUUUAUCUAACGAUACAUAACAUACCUUAAACAUGUAUUGAUUUACAUCUCAUUUAUCCUAUCAUGGACGGAUCUCUACUUUAUUCAUGACCCAACAGGGGUUUCAUAAUAAGUAUACUAUUUCCACUAUGGUGUAAGGUGAACAAUUUACCAAUGUCAUAUUCGAUGAACUACGAGAAUGUCAACUAGAUCAUGAUUCAGGUCAUGCACAUGCCUUGGUACACAAGCGUCCACUACAUUGAGUAUGGUGGUCAUCAUGCAAGUAACUUCAUUCAACUAAGUAAUUAUAUGUAAUUACCUCUUUUUAUUUGCCCAAAGGCGCAUAAAUUUUUUUCGUCAUGUCUAAAAUAUGGAAUGCAACUGACGACCUAGAGGUCAAGUACAAUGUCAUAAUGUCCACUUAGUUGUUCAACUAAGUUAAGUGCAACAUGCUUAACUUCACAAUUUAUCUCUACCAUGAAAUAGGUCAUGUUUGCCCUUGUCUAAAACAAGUAUAUUAGUUGGCAUAUAUGCAAGUUGAAUUCAAUAACUCUACUAACCAUGUAAGGUUCCAUAGGGCAUUCAUUUACUCAUCUCUAUCAUGCAUUCUAAUAUUGCAUAAGAGGAAAUACAGUUACAUUAUAUUUAGUAUACAAAUCUACAUUUUAAGCCUUUAUUACAUAGAGUAUGAAAACUUCUAUAUAUAAUAUGAGUGUAUCAUGUAUUCGAAAAUUCUACCAUGUCAUAACUAGCAUGACUAUGCAUCAACUUAUGUCUUAUAGCAUUAUAGAGGACAUAGAGGGAGUUCACCAAUUUCGGUGAGGUCAAACUCACCGGAUAGCUUCCGAAACCUUAUUUAUUUCUCCAACAGAAUUGUCUCCAAGACUUCUAGCAUCCUAAGAAAAAUUUCAAGGGGGUUAUAAGCUUCUAACAAGCUCACCAUGAAAUUCACCAAAAAUUCAAAGAAAAAUAGGUGAAAAUUUCUUUUGAUCAAGUAGAAUUUAUCCAAGGUCCAAAUCAAAGUUAAGAAGCUUCAAAUCCAACCUACAAGAGUGUUCUAUACUCAUCAAUUCCAUACAAAAAGCUCUCAAAAGAAAAACCCCAAAACAAAUCCUAAUUUCUAUAAAACUAAAUUUUCCAUCAAAAUUUUUUUGCAAAUAUCUCAAAUAAAGAGUACAAGAAGUUACUCAUCUCAAAAUAAGCUCCAACUCAAGCCAUGAAGUGUUAGGGUUGAAGGUUGAUCCUCCAACAAGCUCUUCUCUUUAAUCCCGAGCUCCUCUCCAAGACCAAAAUGCUUGCAUCCAAAGAGGAAAGGAAGAAAAGAGAUCAAACCCUAAGGAUUAAAGGGUUAGAAAAAGGAAUCCUAGAGAGAGAGUGCAAGAACUCACCUCUCCUCCCCUCUUUGCCUCAGCCAACAAAAGAGGAAAUGACGGGGUGAGGGACAUACUAUAUAAGUUGUAAUAAUACCCCAAAAGCCCCUCCAAAAUAAAGAAAUUGCAUUCUGCUCAAAACAGAUUCUGUGGCAUUGAGUACCGGUACACAGCAUUGAGCACCGGUACUUGGCAGUUAGUAUCGGUACCCGAAGGUCAAUCCCGUAGAACCCGAAUGUUGAAAAUUCAGGUUUAUAACUGUGUUUCAGUACCAGCCCAAUGCAGUACCAGUACGUAGCUUAGUAUCGGUACUCACAACCCAGUUCCGCACAACCCGAGAGCUGCCCAUUUCGGCACUUUAUAGGGUUCCGGUACCUGAACCCAGUGCCGGUACUCAACACUAAAUUUUGCACCUUGCAAAUUUUAAUGUUGGGAACCCGUUCUCACGCCUAACAAGCUCUAGAAACAGGUCGACGCACAACCAACAAACCUCAAAACUUUCAGAAUAGCACAAAAGAUUAUUCUUACACUAGAACCUUGCAAUUUGCUAAAGUUCAGUGUGUUACACUCUUGGUGUGCAAAAGAAACAGCCUGCCAUAUCUCGUUCUAGUGCGGAGGCUGAAUAUUGCUUUCUCACCCACACUACUGCCGAGCUUUCUUGGGUAUUAUUGCUUUCUAAAGAUCUUCAUAUAUUUCUACAUUCUAAACCGGUUAUUUAUUAUGACAAUAUGUCACGCCCCGGGGUCCCUUUUGAUUUUAAAAUCGAUGCGGAAGUGCCCGAAUUUUUUUUUUUUAAGCCUUGACUCAGAGAACGUCAGAUCCGCAACAAAUACAGAGAAUCCACUUUUCACACAGACAAAGCCUCCCCUAUAUUUGUACGGCGUCACACAAGUACAAGAUACAACCACAUUGUAUACAAAUCUAAAUACAAUCACCACAUCACAUAAUUCACCUUCACAUUUAGUCAUUCACAAUGAUACAAUAUUUUAUUUUUAUUUUUUUUUUGAGUGAUAGGUAGCAUGCUACCUGCUUCGUUUAUUUCAUUUCGAAAUAAACUUAGCUGGAAAUGUGAAUCAACUAGGAUUCGAACUUGGGUCUCGGGUACCAACCACCAAGCCUUUUGCCACUUAUACAAUAUGUUAUUCAUAAAUCCAUAUCUAUGAGUUUAAAACGUUUCCCACCCGAAAACUCAUUUUGAAACACUAAAAAUCAUGAAAACUGUAAAAUCCUUUUUAAAACUGUUUCCUACACGAAAACCUUUUUCUUUUAAAAGCAAGCUACCACGAGGGGUGUAAGGAUUGAGAUUUUUACAGUGCAACUAAACUCUCUGUUGAUGAUGUUUAUGUGUGUAAUUUAAUUACAUAAGCACUCAUCAAGUUUCAGGAGGAAAUGAGCUAAAAUGGAGAAGUUACGCGAUUAUUAGUUUUCACUUAAGUGAAUAGUAACUCCGGUUUUCCGGAGAAGCCACGGAGUAGGGUUGGCUUUCGGCGCGUAUCGGACUCCGUUCAUAGCGAUCCAAUAGCUCGUUUUGAACGGUUCAGCUAUUCUGGAACCAAUGGCACUGACGGAUUUUAGAUCUGAUGCACGGUUUUCGAGAAAAUCUGAAAAUACAUGUUUCUUGUGUAAUUGUGCAUCAUUUUGGCCUUUUGGAGAGAGAUUGGAUUUCGUGCGUGAACCGGAGAUCAAAAUCGGACGAAACGAAAUGCUAGAUUCGAUGCCCUCGUCGUGCUUGAACGCGAUGGUGCAAUCCGUUCUGAAAUCGACGAUGAACAGAUUGUCGAUAUUGCAUGAAGUUCGCUAAGGGUCGGAGAGUGGAAAAUCGGGAAAUACAACAAAUGUAAUAUUUUAUGUACCGAAUCGCAUGAGAUCAAACGUGGAGGUGCGUGCCAGUGAUUUUACUCGCGCUGUGAAGGACUGGGUUAGAAAUAACCAGUUCCGGAGACUUUGGUGCAAAGUGCAUAAUGGUAUAUAAUAUGGCCUUUAGGGUUUCUAUGCACGAAACCCUAGUUUCUGCCGACCUAGUCCCAGCUAUGCCUAAGGUAGCUUCAGCAGGUCUCGCCUUAGCCAUGCGCAUGCCCCGGCCCCGGCAAGCUGCUCCGGCCACGCGAAAACCACCCUUUCCACCUUCAUCUCCACUAUCUUCAUCCUUCCUGGCGUGGAUCACCCAGGGUCAUCCACUCGCGUCGGCCCUCUCCUUUGGCCGCGCCGACCUCCGCAGCCUCCCCGCCGGUCGCCGCCCCGCCGCGCGCAAAGGCAUUGCAGUCUUGGCAGCCACGGCCAGCCUGUGCAGGCUCGGGCCGAGCCAGGCUGGCUUCCCUCUCGUGCACUGCACGCUGCCUAGAUCGAGCUGCGCCGCCUUCCGGAGCCCGCGACCUCCGCCGCGGCCCUACGUCAGCGUACGCCGCCGGAGCUGCCCAAGCUCCUCGCGCCACCUGCAAUCACCAGGCGAGCCUGGGCAGACACUUUGCAUCCGCGCGCCGCAUCCGCCUCGAGGCGGGCCGCCCCGCCUCCCUCUUCUGUCGGCGACCUCACGCGCAUGUUUCCCGGCGUCCCCGACCACCGCCAGCCGCCGCCCGAAGCGCCUGCAGCCGCCGCCCGAGAGCAAGUCGAGGAAUUGAUCUCCUCCGCCGCGUCACCGGCCGCCUCCCGCCGUCGGCCAGCACCUUUCCCUGACCCCUUCGACCUGCCGCACUCUUCCCCGGCCGACGCGCACGCCGUCCGAUAGCCGCCGGCCGUGCCCUAGCUCCACCAUGUCCGGUACGCUGUUUUCAGCCUGUCUGCGCACUAGUUUCCUGUUUGGAUCAUUGUUCCGGCGACCCGGGGCUAUUCCGAUGCUCCCGGAGGUGAGCACGGUGAUCAUCUGUCAGUUCUGAUCACAAUGCUCACCUCACUUAGGGUGAGAGAGCUCCGGAUGAGUUAAUUAGAUGUGUUGUAGUUUCAGUGCGCGCUGUUUUGUUGAACUUCGUGCCGCUCGUGCGCGUCCCACAGUGGCCGAAAUUGCUCCGAAAGGUGAGCACGGCCUCCGGCACGUCAAAAGCUGUAAGUGGGUAUCUUGUCUCGGCUGUUUGACCUCUAGUUUGCGUAGACGGACCAUAAAAGCCCGGAAAACACAUGAAAUAAUGUGAUUUCUUGGAAUCAGAAGGGCUUUUAUGCAACUUUGUCCGUCGUGGCUGCUGUUGGCAGCAAGUAUGGGCCGAGGAUAACCUCCGGACUGAUUGUCCAAGGCCCCGGACCUUUGCGAAGACCGAAAAUGCAUUUCCGGAGCAUUUUUCGGCGAAAUCCGCCGAUAGAACGCGUUUUCGAUUCGGAAUUCUUCCAACGGUACUUGGGAAUCAUUUGUUUCAUCGCGGAGCCUUGUUGGCUGGUCACCCGCAUCGUUUCGUGGGUUUGGAAACGACGGGUGAGCGACGGUGAAGUUCCGGUGCGGUUUCGGGACUUUCGGUUUGUUCGGUAAUCGGUUUUGGGAAAUCAAUUCUCGUGGGUUUAUUUGUGGGGUUAUGCUUUUAGGGUUUCUUAGUUGUGGGUUAGACACUAACCCAGUGGACCCCCCUUAGGUCCUGUUGACGUUCUUUUGCAGUCAGGAGACAGGCGCGACAGUUGUACAGGUGGGUACUUCGAUCCGACGUUGGUACAGUGGUGCACGCUCGGUGACGUUUCCUUUACCCUUGUUGUUUAUAUCUUUUACCAUAUAUAUGUUGAGCCUUGCACCCAUGCUGUUUCCUUAUUACUCUAUUUAGUUGUUGCCAGGUGUAGUAUCAUGUGUAGGAGUAGAGUAGACUUUAUCUGUAUAUGAUAUUUAUGAUUUGGUUGGUCUGAUCUCCUAUGUGAUCUCCAUGACCUGGUUGGUCGACGUUGCAUCUCCUACACUUGUGACCUGGUUGGUGGUUUCUUGUACCUCGUAUCAGUGACCUGGUUGGUCGGUCCUUUGACUUCUGUUGUCCGAUGACCGUUGAGGUCGGUGUACCCUGAGGGGUCGGAUUGUCGGCUAGUGGCCGACGGUAGUUCUAGAUUAUAUACUUGUGACAUGAUUGGUCGAGUUCAUAUCCUAUACUUGUGACAUGAUUGGUCGAGUUCAUAUCCUAUACUUGUGACAUGAUUGGUCGAGUUUCAUACGCUAUACUUGUGACCUGGUUGGUCGAUUUGGUUACAUGAUGACCCAUGCGGUCGAUGGUUCCAUGUUGAUAUCAUGCUUAGGAGUAGAGUCGACUUAUCUGUUCACUAUAUCUGUGAUUUGGUUGGGCGGUUCCCCUAUUUUGAUAUCUAUGACCUAUUCGGUCGAGUUGUUACAGUUCUAUCUUGACAUACGUAGCCGACUAGUUGUUGAUGGCCUAUACGGUCGGUGUGCCCUGAGGGGCUGGAUUGUCGGCUAGUUGCCGAUGGAAGAUCUUUGAGCAUACUACAUUGAUCGCCACUGCAGGUACGCAUUUCACGAACACCAGCGGUCUGAUCCACCGCAAGAGGGUGUUCUUUUCCGGAAAAGUGGUUGGAUUGCCAACCCGUGAGCCCAGGGGCUUUAUUGCGAGGGUAUAUGCUUCUGACCCAGGGGCUUCAUUGCGAGGGUCAGGUACUGUGCUUCUGACCCAGGGGCUUCAUUGCGAGGGUCAGGUACAGGUUGAGCAGUGUGGCAUGGGCCUGAGGUCUUCGGACCAAUAGGGCAGCGAGAUUGGGUACUUUUGAGCUUAUCGUCAGUUGACGCAUGCAUACAGUAGCUGUAGUGUUUAUUUUCAGUACAUCCUUAUCUGUUUAUUGUAGCUACUGUUUUAUUUACCUGCAUCUAUACUUGUCAGCUCCUUACUUAUCAGCAUCUUUACUUACCAGCACUUAUGUCUAUCUAGUUCUCCGUGUUGUUGUAUAGCUCUCUUCCUGAUCCGGUGAGUACUCCUCGCCUUCUUCGGCUUGCGGUACCCACUGGGAGGGGAGACAUGUUUACAUGUUCUCACCUCCCCCACCAUUUUUCAGGUAUCGCGGGCGAUGAGUAGUGGGACGAGACGUGAGGUACGUGUGUAGCGGUCGAUAGAGCUUCCGACCCAGGUUAUUUCGAUUUAGUUAUUAUCCUUGGUAUUUCUGUUGUUAUAUAGUUUAGUUGGUUUAUGUGGUUCAGUAUUUAUUUACAUUUGAAAAUGUGGAUUUCUGGAUUUUGUAAAAUAAAAGGAUUUCUACCUCUCGUGGUAGCGUUUUUAAAGAAUAAAGGUUCCUGUGUAGGGAACAGUUUUCAAAAGAUUUUUUAUGGAUUUAUGUUUAGACAUUGAAUGUAAAACUGUGAUGUGAAUGGUGAAUGUAUGAAUGUAUAGUUAUCUUUAUACUCAUCUAGUUGUGGUUGUAUCCUGGUUGUACUCUUGUACUUGUGCGACGCCGUGCAAAUACAGGGGAGACUCUGUCCGUGUGAACAGUGGAUCUCCUGUAUUUGUGGCGGAUCUGGCAUACUCUGGGGUCAGAUAUAUAUAUAUAUAAAAAAAAAAAUUCAGACGCUUUUCCGCUUCGUUUUAAACUGAAAAGGGACCCCGGGGCGUGACAGAUUAAAGUGGUAUCAGAGCGAGGUUACAACCACAACACCAUUCACAGGUUGUUUUGAAAAGUAAAAGAAACUGAACCAUUGCUUAGGUUGACCCUUAGGAAGACCUACGGUGUAUAGGCACGUGAGUGCGGGGUUUGGGCUUGUAUCCCGGUGUGCAUUCGAGUUGGGUAAAUUCAGAGUGCAUGGUGUUUUUGUAUGUGUUACGGUUCGCACAAGCUGGUGUCUAAGUUGGGAGUAGUGGCGGUGUACUUUUUCGGACAUCAAGUGGUGGGACGAUAUUCCCCAGGUGUUACCACUCCUGUCAGGUGAGGCCUUGAAGGGCCAAGUGAGAUUUUUUUCGGGCCUAGGCGAGUGUUAUAACUGCCGACGCCCAUGCCACUCUCUCUACUUAGGACACGAGUGCUACUGCGAGUGUCUCUACGGAGACGGUGCUUAGACCAGUUACGGUCGCGACUUCAGUAGGGCUACUAGGGUGUAGCCCAGGGUUUGGAUAGCGGUCGUUCAGCGACUGCAUUGUUAGUGUUGCUUCCACAGACCUUUGGGUAGGGUUGUGAUGCCUACCUAUCCUCCUUGAUUGCUAAUUGGAAUCAGCGGUUCGGGUCUUUUGACCUUUUUCUCGUUCUUCCUUCCUACUAGAGUCGGAUUGACACAAUUUUGGUGUCAAGUUUUCUUUGAGGCAUACAUCGUAUGCGGUUAUUCUAACACCUAAAUUGGUGUGUUGUGGGUUAAUUUGUGGUUGGUGAUAGGUUUCGUCUUGAUUCGAGGGACUCCAGGUUAUUGUCGGAAUUCUCAGAGCUUUGAUUAUAGCUCGGUUGUGGUGCGGAAAUCUGUUAGAGAAACCGUUUCCUAAAGCCUCAGUUAGUACGGUUCGCGGCUUAGUGUAGCUAGCAGCUUUCGGAUGUUGAAAGUUAUAGGACUCCCUGUGAGUCGGUUCAGGGUCGUUCCGAUUUCGAAUGUCGACUUGUAAAGUUGAUGUUUCGAUAGUAAUGGUUGUGAACUCGUGGUUCAGUGAUGAGGAAUCAAGUGGCUUGAUUCUUCAAAGUGUCACACUUCCAACUCGUUGUUGGUAGUGAAUCUUCGGAUAUUUCGCUUUUCUUUUGAUAAGUACAUUGGCUGCAGACAAUAUACUGUCGAAAGUUACGAUGAAAUACCUAUCUUGUCGUUUGGGACUUAUGGAUUGGGUCGAUGUAUUCUCUAGACUGUUUUGUGGGAAAAGCUAGAGUGAUGUCAUCUUUGACCACGUAGCGAGCCUUGGGUUAUUCCUUGGCAGGUUUUGCACAGUUGACUUAUCGUCACUGAUAAAGGGGUUUUGACUCUAGUUCGAGUCUGGGUGUUUGUAGCUCUUUAGUUGUGCUUCCCACAAUUAAAAAGUUUGUUUGGUUAGUAGUAUCGGUCUAUUGUCGAGUGGUUCAGAAUCACAAGUGUGGAGUGACUUGAGCAUGGUUGUUGGCUUUGAUUGUCACCGUAUGUGAUAGCGUAAAAGGUUUGCGACUUGGCUUAACGUGCAAACCUUGAAAUGGCUUGCUUGUCCGGUUAUUUGGUGACAGGUGCCCUUGGGUCUCAAUGAGACAAGUUAUCGGGUGUUGCUGGGAACAUCGAUCGCUAGGGUCCCUUGUAGGACGGCAGCGACAGGGUCUUGUGGAGACCAGUGCUGAGCAUCACCGAUGGUUAGUAUCGCAGUUGCGAUUAGCGACCUGUGCAUCAAGUGGUGGACUUGCAAGAGCAUUCGGUGGUCUGUUGGUACCGGAUUAAGUUUGAGGGGACAAAAUUGUCUAGCUCAAUUGGUAUUGUCAGUUGGAUCUUUUGGGCAGAUGUAAAGUGAGGUCUUGAACCUAGGGCUAUAGAUUGUGGCAGGUGACCUUUCGUUGAUGAGAUUUUGGCAGUUUGUGUGGUUACUGCUGGAGACUGUGGUCUCUAAGGUGAGAGUUUUGACUCAGGUCUUAGAACAACGUUUCAUUUUCACUCAUGGUGAGCAGGUUGACGCUGUUGGAUAGUCGGAGUUUUUCGUUUCAGUCUACGUAAAUAGACUCUAGAUUAAAAUAGUUGUCUCGUGACUUUUCUACGUGAACUUCCAAGGUAGAACGGACCUAAAUUUCUGAAUGUUGAUUAAUUAUCUCAGAAUUGGCAAAUUGGGAUCGAAUAAUCCUAGUCGUGGGACUGUCUUUGUCCGCAGGUUAUAGGAUAGUGUUAAUCCUGGUGAGUUUUGGUCCGUAGAUUUUGGGUUAGUACAUUUUCCCUCGAUUCGUCCAGGUGGAACCGCAGUCCUAUUUUUCCCCUUUCUACGGAAGUUGAUAUAUCCAAAUGUAAUUGACCAGUACUCAAGGGUGAUAUUGCAGAGGUGGAGUAAUAUCCGAAUUCAAUUUCGGUGGGUAUGUGGUCAAGUUUCGGGGACGAAACUUCUUUUAAGGGGGGGAUAAUGUAAGGACUGAGAUUUUUACAGUGCAACUAAACUGUCUGUUGAUGAUGUUUAUGUGUGUAAUUUAAUUACAUAAGCACUCGUCAAGUUUCAGGAGGAAAUGAGCUAAAAUGGAGAAGUUACGCGAUUAUUAGUUUUCACUUAAGUGAAUAGUAACUCCGGUUUUCCGGAGAAGCCACGGAGUAGGGUUGGCUUUCGGCGCGUAUCGGACUCCGUUCUUAGCGAUCCAAUAGCUCGUUUUGAACGGUUCAGCUAUUCUGGAACCAAUGGCAGUGACGGAUUUUAGAUCUGAUGCACGGUUUUCGCGAAAAUCUGAAAAUACAUGUUUCUUGUGUAAUUGUGCAUCAUUUUGGCCUUUUGGAGAGAGAUUGGAUUUCGUCAUGAACCGGAGAUCAAAUCGGAAGAAACGAAAUGCUAGAUUCGAUGCCCUCGUCGUGCUGAACGCGAUGGUGCAAUCCGUUCUGAAAUCCGAUGAACAGAUUGUCGGAUAUUGCAUGAAGUUCGCUAAGGGGUCGAGAGUGGAAAAUCGGGAAAUACGCAAAAGUCGUAAUAUUUUAUGUACCGAAUCGCAUGAGAUCAAACGUGGAGGUGCGUGCACGCGAUUUACUCGCGCUGUGAAGGACUGGGUUGGAAAUAACUAGUUCCGGAGGACUUUGGUGCAAAGUGGCAUAUGGUAUAUAAUAUGCCUUUAGGGUUUCUAUGCACGAAACCCUAGUUUCUGCCGACCUAGUCUCCCAGCUAUGCCCUAGGUAGCUUCAGCAGGUCUCAGCCUUAGCCAUGCGCAUGCCCCGGCCGCCGGCAAGCUGCUCCGGCCACCUGAAAACCACCCUUUCCACCUUCAUCUCCACUAUUCUUCAUCCUUCCUGGCCGUGGAUCACCCAGGGGUCAUCCACUCGCGUCGGGCCCUCUCCUUUGGCCGCGCCCGACCUCCGUCAGCCUCCCCCGCCGGUCGCCGCCGCCCGCGCGCGCCGGCAUUGCUAGUCUGGGCAGCCGCGGCCAGCCUGUGCAGGCUCAGGCCGAGCCCAGGCUGGCUCCCCUCUCGUGCACUGCCGCUGCCUAGAUCGAGCUGCGCCGCCCUUCCCUGGAGNAUAAAAGUUCCCGUGUAGGGAACAGUUUUCAAAGGGUUUUCUGUGAUUUUGUAUCUUAGUAUUUCAAAACCUGUUUCUGUGGUUGGAAAUAUUUUAACUGAUAGAUGUGGAUUUAUGUUUAAAUAUUGAAUGUAAAAAUGUGAAUCUUUGGUGAAUGGUGUAUGAAUAUAUAGCUGUGGUUAUUUGUAUAUUCAUCUGGUUGUGGUUGUAUCAUGUUUGAACUCUUGUACUUAUGCGACGCCGUGCAAAUACAGGGGAGACUCUGUCCGUGUGAACAGUGGAUCUCCUGUAUUUGUGGCGGAUCUGGCAUACCCUAGGGUCAGGUUUUCAAAAAAAAAAAAUUUCAGACGCUUUUCCGCUAUGCUUUAAACUAAAAAGGGACCCCGGGGCGUGACACCGAGACUCUCCACACAUGUCCAGCUGGUGAACCGGCUCUGAUACCAAAUGUAACGACCCAGCCAACUAGCAAUAAUAACUCGUUGGGCCUGGCCAACAACCCAAAAUGCUUAAACCCAGUUAUUAUUACUAGUGUCUAAGUCCCUUAUAAAUCCAAUGACAACCCCUUUCCCAUCCGAUGUGGGACUAUUGGGGUGUCAUAGACUCCCCCAGUUAAGGCCAUGACGUCCUCGUCAGUCCAAUCACACACACAGCCCAAGAUCACCAGGCGAUGUGAGACAGUGGCCGUAAUCGUACCGAGACUCUGCCGGGACCCACGGACUGUCCCGGAACUCUGCCUGGCGGGUUCCCUGGGCAAGCUCGGUCCGAGUCAGCGUAUUACGGCGAUCGGUUUGGGAAACCGAUUCUCGUGGGUUUAUUUGUGGAGUUAUGCCUUUAGGGUUUCUUAGUUGUGGGUUAGACACUAACCCAGUGGACUCUCCUUAGGUCCGGUUGACGUUCUUUUGCAGUUAGGAGACAAGCAUGACAGUUGUACAGGUGGGUACUUCGAUCCGACGUCGGUACAGUGGUGCACGUUCGGUAAUGGUUUCUUACCCUUGCCCUCUUACUAUUACCUAUGUUGAUAUCAUAUUGAGCCUUGCACCUGCUUUUAUAUCUGCAUUCCUCUACUCAGUUAGUUCCAUGUUGAUAUCAUGCUUAGAGUAGAGUUGACUUAUCUGUUCACUAUAUCUGUGAUUUGGUUGGGCGGUUCCCCUACAUUGAUAUCAUAUUGAGCCUUGCACCUGCUUUUAUAUCUGCAUUCCUCUACUCAGUUAGUUCCAUGUUGAUAUCAUGCUUAGUAGUAGAGUUGACUUAUCUGUUCACUAUAUCUGUGAUUUGGUUGGGCGGUUCCCUUAUUUUGAUAUCUAUGACUUGUUCGGUCGAGUUGCUACAGUUCUAUCUUGACAUACGUAGCCGACUAGUUGCUGAUGGCCUAUACGGUCGGUGUGCCCUGAGGGGCUGGAUUGUCGGCUAAUUGCCGAUGGAAGAUCUUUGAGCAUACUACAUUGAUCGCCACUCCAGGUACGCAUUUCACGAACACCAGCGGUCUGAUCCACUGCAAGAGGGUGUUCUUUUCCGGAAAAGUGGUUGGAUUGCCAACUCGUGAGCCCAGGGGUUUUAUUGCGAGGGUAUAUGCUUCUGACCCAGGAGCUUCAUUGCGAGGGUCAUGUACUAUGCUUCUGACCCAGGGGCUUCAUUGCGAGGGUCAGGUACAGGUUGAGCAGUGUGGCAUGGGCCUGAGGUCUUCGGACCAAUAGGGCGGCGAGAUUGGGUACUUUUGAGGUUAUUGUCAGUUGACGCAUGCAUACAGUAACUGUAGUGUUUAUUUUCAGUACAUCCUUAUCUGUUUAUUGUAGCUACUGUUUUAUUUACCUGCAUCUAUACUUGUCAGCUCCUUACAUAUCUCUUUCGUUUAUUAUUGUUGCUACUAUAUUUCCCCUGACCCGUGUUGUUGUAUAACUCUUCCUGAUCCGGUGAGUACUCUUCGCCUUCUUCGGCUUGCGGUACCCACUGGGAGGGGAGAUAUGUUUACAUGUUCUCACCUCCCCCACUAUUUUUUUUAGGUAUCGUGGGCGGUGAGGGUUGAGACGAGACGUGAGAUACGUAGCGGUCGAUAGAGCUUCCGACCCAGAUUAUUUCGAUUUAGUUAUUACCCAUAUUAUUUCUGUUGAUGUAUAGUUUAGUUGGUUUAUGUGGUUCAGUAUUUCAUUACGUUAAAAUAAAAGGAUUUCUGAAUUUUAUAAAAUAAAAGAUUUUCUACCCCUCGUGGUAGCGUGUUUUAAAAAGAAAAGGUUUCCGUGUGGGAAACAGCUUUCAAAAGAGUUUUCUCGUGGCUUCUAUGUUUAAACAUUGAAUGGUAAAUAUCUGGUGAAUGGUGACUGAAUGUUGAGUAUUGUAUAUUCAUGUAUUGUGGUUGUAUCCUGGUUAUACUCUGUUUGUACUUUUGUACUUGUGCGACGCUGUGCAAAUACAGGGGAGACUCUGUCCAUGUGAACAGUGAAUUUUCUGUAUUUGUGGCGGAUCUGGCAUACCCUGGGGUUAGGCUAAAAAAAAAAAAAAAAAAAAAAUCUCAUGGAGCACUUGUUUAUUGAUAAUAUUACUGAAGUAGGAUCUUUGUUUUUUAGUUUUUCUUGUGCUUUNGUCAAAUUUUGUUUCGCCUUUUCGCAGACUUAAAAAAAAAUAUAUAUAUAUAUAUAUAGACUGGGGUCUCAUACGGUCUAGGCGGUGUUUAUGUCCUCUAGGUGACAAGUGUGCCUGUCUCAGAGGGGACAUAAACGUGCCGCANCGUGUUCAUGUUCUCAUGUUGGUCCUAUGUUGGUGUUGAUCUACUCAUAUUUCUAUUGAUAUGUAAGUAUGUAAGUGGUAAGUGUAGUGUCAAAAUGUAAGUUACAGAUUUCUAUUUAGGUAUCUUUUAGAAAACUUUUGACACGGGAUGUGUACUUGGAAAUAAGAAAUUUUUGCGAUGGUGCUCUCCAUCUUUAGGAAAAUAAAAUGUUUUAGGUCUUUAGGUGUAAAAGUUUACAUUUAUUUAUGACUUGGUGUAUUUGGUUGAUUUGAUAUGUAGCUGGCUUUACUCUUCCCAUUCUUUGAUUUGGCUUGUUGGACCCAGCCUUCGAAAUAGCUGGUGAUGCUUGCAUAGAGCGCAGAGCAGGGUUAUGUGUGGCGGACGCUAUGGACUUUUUACCACCCCCUCCACUCAAAAGGGACCCCGGGGCGUGACAAGGGGUAGAAAAUCAUUUUCAUAAUCUCACAAGAAAACCUUAAGUACUUUAUUAUUUUCACAAAACCACAUGUAUCCCGAUAAAGUAAAACCAACUGAAACAUAAUGUCUAAGUCAUUUAUUUUGAGAAAGCAAAGUUAGGAAUUAAACCAAAUCCAUAAGGUUGGGAGCUCUAUCGACUGCUAGAUACAUGCCUCACGCACCGUCCCGACUUGGAUCCGCAACGUCACCUAAAAGGGGGUAUGGGGUGAGAACAUAUACACAUGUCUCCCCUCCCAGAGGGUACUACUAGCCGACGAGGGCGAGGGGUACUCAUCAGUCAAGGAGGAUAACUAGAAAAUUAAAUAACAGUAAUACAAUAGCAAAGAUAAGUAAGAAAACAACAUAUGCAUAAAUAACUAUCGUUACUGUAUGCAUGCAUUAACCGGACUAUAAGUCCAAAAGUACUCAAUCAGAAAUCUGCCAUAUCGGUCUGCUUACCUCAUGCCUGUGCCACUGCCACUCUACCUACAUAUAACCCAGACUAAGCCGCCGGGCUUACAGGUUGGCACGUCCAACCACUUUUCCGGAAAAGAACACUCCCUUGUAGUGGAUCAGACCGCUGGUGUUCGUGAAAUGCAUACAAAUAGUGGUGAUCGAUACUGAUAUGCUGAAUAGCCAACCGUCGGCAAUUAGCCGACAAUCCUACCCCUUAGGGUAUACCGACCGUGUAGGUCACCAAGUAGUCGAAUCGACGAAAUAGGUCACAGUAUCAGAUAUAAAGAACAGAUCGAAUAGGUCACAGAUCUCACGUAUAAUCACAAAUCCGCUCUGCUUCUAAAUCCUGAUACUGGAUAUGCAACUAACCAAGUAGAGCAAUAAAGAGAAAUAGUAAGGGUGCUAGGCUCAACACAUAAUAUGCAAGGUAAUAGUAAGAAGAGGGUGGAGAAAAUGUCACCGAGCAUGCACCACUGUACCGACUUCGGGUCGAAGUACCAACCUGUACGAAUGUAGCACCUGUCUCCCGACUAUGCAAGAACGUCAACCGGGCCUACGGAGGGUUCACCAGGUUAGAAUCCAACCCACAUAUAUGAAACUAAACUUACAAUUCCACCAUUAAACCCACGGGCAUCGAUUUUUCAAAAACCGAUGACCGUAACUUGUCGGAAGUCCCGAAAAUCGCAUCGGGACUACGUUGGGACCCACGAAGUGUCCCGCGACUCACCGACUUGCGCCACGAGUGACCCGCUACCACACUACACCAUAAUAAAGGUGUCCUGGCAGCAAAUACAAGGCUGACAUCGAAACGAUUAUCGUCGGAUAACCGUUCCAAUCCGGGUUUUUGAAAAUGUCAAUUUCGACACCGGAACCCACGGUCGCUCACUCAUCGUCUCCGAAUUCUUGGAACAACAUAAGUGACCAACCAAUAAGGCUCAGAGACGAACAAAUCUACAAUGAGGCACCGUCGAAAGAAAUCCUAACCGAAAUCGCGUUUCGUCGGCGGAUUUCGCCGAAAAACGCACCGAAAAUCGAUAUUCGAUUUCUUCAAAGGCCUCGGACCUUGGACAAUCAAUCCAGAGAUCACCCGCUGCCCGCACACACUACCCACAGAAGCCACGAGGUGGCCAAUUGCACAAAAGUCCCUACAAUCAUCUAAAAUCAUGUUUAUUUUAUGUGAUUUUUCGGGUUUUACUGCUCGAUAGCACAAACCGAGGAUUUUCGAGGCUUGCCGAGACACACGCUGAUAGGUUUCGACGUGUCAGAGACCAUGAUCAUGAUUCGGAGCAUGGCCGCCCACUGUGGAGAGCAUGGGAGCGACCCCAAAAUCGGCAAACUGCGCACGCUGAACCUAAACCACGCUUAACUCACAAACCGAGGCCUCGCUGGCCCCAAAGGUGGGGAGCACGAUGAUCAGCACUGGUCAGGGAUUGUCGUGCUCACUUCCAAAAAGUGUUGGGGUACCCUUGGAUCUCUGAAAUAGUGACCCAAAUCCAAGAGUGUGCACAAAAAUAGUUAAAUAAACUCACCGGACCAAGGGGGAGCUCGAGUUGGCCGGCGGCGGCUGGAUGGUGGGUGCGCCGGCAACAGGUGGGUACGGCCGGUCGGUGGGGGCCGGGGCUCGUGCUGGCUGGCGGCAGGAGGCAGCCGAAGGUGCGGCUGAGUAGCUCGAGCCCACACGGCUAGGGCACGGUCCAGGGUGCAGCGGAGGCCAUGACAACUGUCGAGAUGCUCAGGGGCGGCGGCGACGUGUCACCGGAGGCCGAAGGGAAGCGGCGCAGCCGAUCCUAGGCGGCAGCGGUGCGAGGGAGAAGAAAAGGCAACCCCUCAGCUUGAACUACUCCAGGCUGGUCGCAGGUUGCCAGGAGCGGCAGCGGAAGUGCGCGGGCCAGGAGCUCGGAAGAGCUCGGCCCGAGUUGACCUGGCUUGGCCGCGAGUUGCCAAGCCAGCGACAGCGGCGUGCGAGGAUGACGGAGAUCGGAAGGGGAGUCACUGGAGGUCGGGGUCACGGCCGGGGGAGGGAGCCCGAGAGUGUGGGUCGUUCUACGUGGUCCACAGGCCGAGGUGGUGAGGAUGGUGGAGAGGGAAGGCAAUGCAGCUUUUUCGGUGGAUGAAAGUGCACGGUGGCGACCGGGGUGCUGACGGCGAGGGUAGGGGAAGGUGCAGUGGCGGCUGGGGAGGUCAGCUGAGGGAGAUGAGCUACUAAGGUUAGGGUUUCAUGCAUGAAACCUUAAUGCCUAUUUAUACACAAAGUGUAAUUUUGCAGGAAAGUCCUCCCAAGAUGAAUAUUUUCAGCAAAGUCCCUCACAGCACGUGUAUUUCGCGUAUAUGCACCUCAACGUUCGAAAUUGUGCAAAACGGUGCAUAAAAUAUAGAGCAUUUCGCGAAUUUUUUAUUUUGCCACUUCGACCCCUUAGCGAACAUUAUGUGAUUCUCGAAGAUCCGUCCGUUGGAUUUUCGAUCGGACUGUGCCAGCGCGUUCACCAUGACAGGGCAUCGAAACUACUAUUUUGUUUCACCAGAUUUGGUCACCAAUUUAUGACGAAAUUCAUCCCCUCCAAAGUCCACCAUAUAACCCUACACACACACACACACACACACACACACACACACACACACACACAUAUAUAUAUAUAUAUAUAUAUAUAUAUAUAUAUAUAUAUAUAUAUACACACACACACACACCAAAUUCAAAUUCAAAUUUCGAAUUCCCUUGUUCUCACACCCCAAUAAUCCCACAUCGGAUAGGAAUGUGGAUGUGAUUGGGUAUAUAAGAGACUUAGACAUUAGUAAUAAUAACUGGGCUUAAGUAUUUUGGGCCGGUGGUUGGGUCCAGCGAGUUAUUAUUGCUAGUGUGCUGGGUCGUUACAUUUGGCAUUAGAGCCAAUCACCAACCAGAAAUGUGUGGCGAGUCUCGGCUGAGCCAGGGUCUGAAAGACAAGGUGAUAGGCUAUGCCGGAAUCUGUAUGACAAGGUGACCUGCUAUACCAGGGUCUGGAUGACAAGGCUAGUGAGACGAGUCUCACAUCGCCUGGUGAUCUUGGGCUGUGUGUAUGAUUGGACUGAUGAGGACGUUAGGGCCUUAACGGGAGGAGUCUGUCACACCCCAAUAAUCCCACAUCGGAUAGGAAUGGGGAUGUGAUUGGGUAUAUAAGAGAUUUAGACACUAGUAAUAAUAACUGGACUUAAGCAUUUUGGGCCGGUGGUUAGGCUCAACGAGUUAUUAUUGCUAGUGGGCUGGGUCGUUACACUUGUAUUCAAAUCUCAGAUAUUACACAAUAUUAGUGCUAUCCGACUUGCCUAUAAUCCUAUCUUUCAUGCUCGAACUAAACACAUAGAAGUUAAUUAUCAUUUUGUGCGAGAAAAAGUUGUUCAACAAGAUCUCGACGUUCACUAUGUAGCCUCACAAGAUCAAAUUGCUAAUAUCUUUACAAAAGGGCUAUCUUCUCAUCGAUUCAAUUUUCUCAAGGACAAGCUAAUAGUGCGUGCCCAUAAACUUGAGGGGGCGUAAUGGAGGAUCAACUGAUGAUACAAUUAAGCAAUUAAUUAUGGAUGAAUCAAAUUCCCAAAAUCAGGAAUUUAUAAACUAUGACAAGUAUUCAAAUCAUAAGCAAUCGUGGAAACUCAAGAAUGACAAUCUCUCAAGUAUGGCAACCACUCCAAAUAGAAAAUAUUUGAAUUCAAAUAUUGUACAUUUCUAGAAUGUAAUUAUGUAAAUAUUAUAAUCCAAAGAAUAAUGAGAUUAUAUUUUGUAUUCAAUGAUUCUAUAUAUUGUGAGUUGGUUUUGUGUGUUUUCUAUUGAGAACAACAACCAUUUUCCACCAAUUAUAAUUUCCUUUAUUUAGAUCAUCCUUUUUCUUUACUAUGAAAUUUAUAUCGUUGUUCUUUUUGAAUUUAUGGAUACUAUUUCUCACCUCAUUAAAUAUAGUAUGCUUCUAAUAAUACUAUUCUUUUUUUAAUGAAUCUAUUGACAUUAAUUAAGAUUAAAAAGUGAGAACUUGAUCUGAAUCUGUUUCUUGACCUAAAUUUAUAACAGUAAAUGACUAUUAGCUAUCAAAACUAUUAAUAUUAACAUAUAAUUCAACUUAUUUAAACAAAAUAACUCAUCCAAAAUAAUUAGUAGUUAAGAAAUCAUUAAAAAAAUAAUUAGAAGUUGCGGGACUUAUUUUAAAAUGCCUUAUAAAUAAAAGGUUAUUAGUACAUUAUCAUCUAUAAAAUAAAUUAGCAGAGAGAGGGUCUUUGUUUGCACCAAGGACUUUUUUCAGAAAAUAGUCAUGCAUAUUUGAGAUCUAGACUUGUUAAAAUUUAUUUUGAAAUUAAAUAAUUUUGAAAUUCUUUGUUAUCUAUAGACUGCUAAGAAAAUGUUGAAAUGUUGAGAGUGACCCGUUUAAAUUUUAUGCAUAUUUUGAACCUAAGUAGCUUUAUGGUAGAUAAUAAAGACAUUUUUAUGUGGAUGCUAAAUAUUCCUUUUUAACUUUUUUGUCUUUUUACUUUAUCAUUCGUGAUAAAUUUUGCUUUACCGCCCAGUAGCUCAUACAGUUUGACGCUCUUUUGACGUGCUAUAAUUGCUAUACCAUUUCUUUUUGAUGAUUGUGCUAUGCAAGCUAUUGUAAUAACAGAGUUUUGCAUAAUAUGCGAUUUUUUUUCAACACGGUUGAUUAGCUCUAAUUGAUAAAUUCUUUUUCUUAUCAUAAUAUAUAUAGCUAAAGUUUAGAAAAAAGAAUAUUUUAUUUAUACUAUGAUAUUUAUAUGUUAUUUCUGUAUUUUGUCGAUACUUUAUUCUAUAUACAAAUCUUUACUUCAACCUAUCUAUCCGCCAUACGAUGCGGUAGCUAAACUAGUAAAUAUAGUACAGUACAAGGGCCAAAAAACAGUUCUCUCUAGGGAGAAGCUUUUCCCCCACAAUCACUUUCGUCCCGUGCUCCCAUAAUUUGCUCCGUGAUUCAGGCCUCCACAUAAUUCCCUCGUAUCCCCUCUGCAUGCAAGAAUUAGCGUAUCCGUCAAUCUAAUUUUUUAUAAUUAGAAAAUUUUCGUUAAGAAUUAAAGAUUUCAUUAAAUUUAUGAAUGAUUUUAUCUACUUAAUGAUGGUGAUCGCUUUCCAUCUAAUAAAAUUAAAACAACUAACAAAUAAUAAAGUUCUUAAAUUCAAAAAAAAAGUAUAUUAAUAAUUAACUAUCAAUACAUAUAUUAAAAGCCCAGUUCUUCUGUGGCCUAUGUGGCGCAUCCUCGGCGCUCGAGAGAAAGAGAGAAAGAGAGAAAGAGAGAGAGAGCGAGGCGUGGGGGGGCUGCGCGUGGGCGACCCGCGCCCGUCGGGCGCGCGAGAGAGAAGGAGGGGGAGAGAGAGAGAGAGAGAGAGCAGAGGGAGAGAGAGAGAGAGCAGACAGAGGGGGAGGGGGCUGCGGGCCCCUAUGUGCCCCCCCCCCCAAAGCUGGUUCUCUCUCUUACUCUCUCUCCCCCUCUCUCUCUCUCUCUCUCUAUCCCUCGCGGGCCCCCAUGUGCUCCCCCCCCGCUGCGUUCUUUUCCACUCUCUCUCCCCCCUCUCUCUCUCUCCACGCCCGCCACCCGCUCCCCACUUCUCUCUCUCUCCCCUUUGUUCUCCCACCCCCUCCGCGGCUUCUCUCUUUCCCCACGUGCGCACGACCUGUGGCCCCCACGCGCGCGGGGGAGAGAGAGAGAGAGAGAGGAAGAGAGAGAGAGACACGGGGGGUCCCAUGGGGCCGCGCGUGCGAUCCCCCUCCUCUUUACCUCUCCAUCCCCCCCCGGCUCUCUCCCUAACCUCCCCCCUCUCCCUCUCAUUUUUCCCGCCGGUUCUCUCUUUCUCUCCCCUCUUCCCCAGCGCGGGAGGCGCAGCGGGGAGACGGACAGGCGCGGGUGGGCGGCAGCGGGCGGCGCUGCCGCGGUGCGUACACGGGCGAGGGUGAGCGCCGUGCAAGCAGGCACAAGCCGAGGCCGACGGGCCGGCACGGGGCCUACACGCUGGCGCGGCGCGCGGGCGCGGGCACGGCGCGAGCACGAGGGGGGGGGGGGGAGAGGGCGAGAGAGAGGAAGAGAGAGAGAGAGCCACGGGGGGCUGGCAUGUAUGCGGGGAGAGAGAGAGAGAGAGGAAGAGAGAGGAAGAGAGAAAAGGAGCCAGGGGGAGAAAGAGAGAGAGAAAGAGAGAGAGGGAGAGAGAGUGAAUUUUAAAAUUUUAAAUUUCAAAUUUUAUAUUUUAUAUUUAGUUUUUAAAUUUUAAUGUUAACUUAUAAUAUUUAUUUCAAUUUUAAAGCUUAAAAGUUUAAAACUUUAAAUCUCUAAACUCUAUAAAAUUAAUUAAUUAAUUAAAUUUAUCAAUAAUUAUUUAUAUAUAAUGUAAUUAGUUAAUUUAUUAAUAAUACAUAUAAUAAAUCAUGCUUCAAUCUUCAAAUUUUUUUAUUCCUCUCUAUUUAAAUAAUUUUUUUACUUUUUCUCUCUCUUCAAUUUUUUGAAGUUUAAAAUUUAAAAUUAGAUUUGAAAAUUAAAAAAUUUAGAUUAGUUUGUUAAAAAUAUUUUAGAAAUUGCGUAAAUUUCCGGCAGCAAAGCGCGGGCCUUCACUAGUAUAUAUAAAACUCAAGUUAUAAAUAUCAAAAGUUAAGGAAAUAUCAACUGAAAAUAAAAAUUGUGAGGUUUUUAUUUUUUAAUGGUCUAACGCGCGAAGCUCUUUAUAUAUUUUGAGCAACACUAUUCGUGCACCCCAUUUUGAGUGUAUGAUUAACAUCCAUCCAUAUUAUGGAUGGAAUUCUUUUGCCAAAAUUAUAUUGUUUUCGUACAACUUAUGCAAUACAUUCAAAAUUUAAAAAUUUAUGAGUUAAUAUUUUUAAAUUAUAUAAUUUGAUAGAUUCGAUUGACGAUAACCAAAUAAUUUAUGCCAUCUUGUAUAAAAAAUUCACUGGGUUUAGGAUUUUGCACUCAGUCCACUUGUUUGGAUUUUGUUGAUUCAGUCAAUUCUUUAAAUCUGACAAAAUUACCUCUCAGUCCAAAAUACAUGCAAGUUAUACAUAUUAAACCCUUCGCUACAUAGACCCUCUGUGACAAAUGACUGUCAACAAAAGUGACAGACUACCGGGGAUGAAAAUUGCCGAAUACAGUUAGAUAUUUAACGAAACUGCUAGGGCCAAUAAUAAAAUGCCAUGUGGCUGUUGGUGCACGAUUCAGCCGGGAGUCAGGAUUAAAUAGCAUUUGGUGCACCGGGAGUAGAAAAGAAAAAAGGAAUAAUAGCAUAACCGCAAGGCAUAACCGCAAGCGGUUUCGAGCGGUUUAUAGAUCGGCUGCCUUAAAUGCCGGCCAACAAACAAAAAUAGCAUGGGGAUUGCCUCCUCCGCCACCACUAGCGACAUAUCAGCCCCUAAUACUAUGUAGGCAGCGAACCCUGCAGUAUAAAAUCACGGACUUCCUCCAGGAACAAACCAGGUUCAAGUGCAAGCUCCUAUUCCCGUACAACGGAAUAAAUGAGCUUUAUGCUCAAAUAGAAGAAGCUAUCCGGAAUACAUUUGGAGUUGGGGCAAGGCCGGUAAUGCGGCCUAUAUUUAGAUCCCUUUACCCAGCAAAUAUAGAUGCGGAACAUCCAUAUCCGGCAAACUGAAAAAUACUGAAAUUUGACAAGUUUUCAGGCGAUGAAGCCGAGAACACGGUUGAACAUGUCACAUGAUUUACGGCCCAAUGUAGAUAGUCCGCUGCGGAUCCUUUUCUGAAACUCAGGUUAUUUAAUACCUCAUUAACCAAGACUGCAUUUACUUGGUAUACGAGUUUGCCGGCCAAUUCCGUCCGAGAUUGGGACGAAUAAGAGAGAAAAUUUAAUAAGCAGUUUUAUAGAUCAGAGCCGGAAUUUUCGGUAGCUGAUGUAGCUCAGUUUCGACAAAGAUCUGGAGAAUCGGUUGAAAAAUAUUUGAACUGGUUUAAAAUGGCAAGAAGUCGCUGCUUUGUGAGAAUGCCAGAAUCAGAGUUUGCUAAAAUGGUAUUCAAUGGUCUACAUUUCAAAAUCAGAGACAAUUUUGAAAAUAAGUACUUUCCAAAUCUAUUUGAUUUGGUAGUCGAAGAUCAGCCUAGAUAGAGUCGAAAUAAAGAUUGGAGUCAAGGAAUGGAGAAAAAGAUUUCCUUCGUCGAAGAAUCUUCGGCUCAAGAUGAGCCGAAUAUGUCAGAUGAAGUAGAGGAUUCGGCUGAUGAAGCCGAAAUAUAUGCUGCUGAGAUGGUAAUAAACCGCCAGCCAUAUAAAUGCGCUUUACUUAAACCCACUAAAUCUAGCAAAGCGAAAGCACGAGUAGCAGCAUAUACUUAUUCUUUUGAUAUAUCAAAAAUCGAUUUGAUUUUCGAUCGAUUGCUAAAGGAUGGACGAAUUCAACUCUAAGAGGGCCAAACGAUACUGUAACAUACCGAAUCUCCAAUAGGUUAUACCGGACUUCCGUCAAAUUGACCGGAGGGUGGUGGCGGACGAUUUGGAGAGUAGGUUGGAUGAAAUUCCGAAAUUUUUGGUGUUAUGGUGCUCUCGGGGUUCGGACCCUGUUUGUAGGGUUCGGACCCCGAACACGUGCAGAGGUGGGUUGAGCUGAGUCCUGUUGUUUGGAGGGGCUUAGUGCAAUUGUGUGUGUGGAAGUGUUUAUAUGUCGUUUUUUUUUGUGUUUAACCCCCAUUUCCCUCAUAACCUCAACAUUUGAGAGCUCUCUUUAUCUCUCUAGAUCUCUCUCUCUGUCACGCCCCGCUCCGAAACCACUACCAAUUUGGCACGAUUCGGCCGCGGCGACAGACCGCCGAACGGACAGCACUCCCCACUGUCCGCCCAAGGCUCAACCACAGGAAUGUGUACAAGAAUUCACCCAGGACUUUAAAUUCUAAACAUACACAUUCAGCAAGGGCACAAACAGUGCCAACAACAAGAAGAGCAAGUAAUCCACGAGAUAUACAAGUGAAAUAAAGAGAGUACUUUACUAACUAUUACAUUAGUUACAUUCAUUACAUCAUUUUUCAUCCAAAAUACAUAGCUCUCCAACCUCACCUACAAGAAUCUCUCUCAAUACAUAGGUGACUAAUGCAAAAAGGAAAGCUACUAUACUACCACGGUCUCACUGGUCGGGCGCGACGCCCUUGCCGCGGUCCUCUCUCUGCAGCCCUGAACCUACCACUGGAAAUAGAGUGGGGUGAGAACUAUCUUCCAUAGUUCCCAGUGGGCUCGGCCGCCGACUCUGCCGAUCUCCCCACUAGGUCCAAGUGGGCACAAGUAACAACAGAUAGAUAGAUAGAUAUGUAUCUGAAAGCUGUAAAUGCAGUAGUAGGAAAACUAUGCUACUAUGCCCAUAAUCAUGAAUAUGAAUGCAUGCAUCAUAUAAUAAAGGUUUGCUACCAUGCUAACAAAUUCGAUCCAUGUUCGAAUAGUAAUGUUCAAUGACAUUUAUAAACCUUUAACCUUUUUCAUUUACCCAAUCUGUGGCGAGGCCCUAGGGCUCGCCCAUGACUCACCUUCAAAUCCCAAAGUGGGGAGGGAGCUCCAAGUGCACCCAAGCCCGGGACCGUCUGCGGACCUCCAUGUGGUCCGGACCUCCAAGUGGUCCUAGUCGCACGACACUCCGGAGUACUCGACGACAAUCCCCUCCAUGUGGGGAUUGGAUGGCUAUACCAUCCUAAAUACAGACUGUGAGCUAGAUCUAUCCUCUCCAAGUGAGGACACUCUACAACUAGAGUCAAUAACCCAAUCGAAUCCUCUCCAAGUGAGGACGCCCUACACAAGGGUCAACAAUUAUCGUGGAAUCAUCGGUUUCCGACCUUCUUGCAAUGCUAUUUAGUUUUCUAAAUUCAUUGUUCACAAGGCAUUUUCUAAGGGAUCCACCUAUCCCUAGGUCCAUCGACCUCUAGUGUUAUUUACACUACAUUAAUGCCACUCGUUAUCAUUCGAUGUUUGGAUGCCACUCGUUUGUUCUUUGACAAUAACGCUACUUUCUAUGUCAUCAAUACCCCCAUCGGGUUCAUCUCUAUCUCUAGCAUCAUAGGAUCCACGUACCGACCCAAUCCUCACCUAUCUAGUUACCAAGCGUUCCAAGUACACUAGGUUAUCAUUUAGAAAGCAUAAGGAUGGAGCUACUAUGCAAUCCUACAAUGCAACAUAAAGAGAUGAGAUUAAAUGCAAUCUAAGACAUAGAAAGGAGUUCGAAAGCUUCGGAUGACACCCCCCACCUUUUUAUCAAUGUAGAGGCUUUGGAAAUUCCUUCCGGCGAGCUUCGCAAAAAGGCUUUAGCCUUCCUCGCCCAAAUCCAAGCUAUCCCGGCCCGAUUUUCCCGAGAACUUCACGUCGGUUCGCCGAGUGCCGAAAUCGACUUUGCCCCCGCGUUUUGGGACCUAUCAAUAGGGUUUCCAAGGCUUCAAAUGAGAUCAAUCUCAUACUUUUACAAAAGCUCCAUUUUGGAACCCUAGAUUUGCACCUAUAGCAAACCACCCCAUAAAUCUCUAGACUCUUGGGAUUGAUCUAUUUAGAAGCUUGCUUAGGGUCCCUUUGACCCAUUCCAAGGCAUAAAACCCAUAAACCCUAAGUUCUAGAAGCUAGGGUUUAGUAGCUUACCUCAAGAGCUACACCAAUGAGAAGAGGAGAGGGAGAUGGAGGUGCUCCAAGCCUUCCUCUUGAUCUCCUUCUUCUUCUCCUUCCUUAUCUUCCUCUUCUUUUUCUUCCUCUCCUUCUUCUUCUUCUCCUUCUUUUCUUCCUAGAGAGAGAAAGAGCAAGAGAGAAAUGGGAGUGAGAGAGGGGAAAUGAGAGAGUGUGAGGGAGAGAGAGGGCUCAGCCCACUCAAAUAAAUGCCAUUUUGCAUUUAGACCCCUCAACUUUUAACUCCUUGCACAGCCCUCACUGGGCUGAUUUCGCGCGGAGGGACCGGUCUCCCCGACUUGGGACCGGUCCCCGAGAGCUUCCCUCGGGCGCACGCGUUCGGGAACCGGUCUCUCCCCGGGAGACCGGUCCUUGGGAGACCGGUCCUCACCUGAGAGACCGGUCCCCGAGAGCUUGAUUUUCAGGACUUAGCCAAAUUUUUGGCAUUCUCGCUGGGACCACGUUCGGGAACCGGUCUCUCAUCACCAGGGACCGGUUGCAUCAUGCAACCCCGCAACACCCAGCCGAGGGAACCGGUCUCUCACCUCCAGAGACCGGUCCCCGAGAGCAACUUCUGAUCAAUGAUGCCAUUUGCCUCAUUUGCUCUCGCGGACUCAACUCCAAGGCACUUUUUGUACUUUGGACAUUCUCAACUCCCACAAAGGGUAUACUUCGGACAAUUAGUCGAUCCUGGAUGAAGUACAAUCCUCGUAUUUCGAGAAUUCACUUCCUUACAUCCUCCUCUCCUUAAAAGGAGUUUCGUCCUCGAAACGAACAAUUUUCCUAACUUUCAUUAAACUCAUACCUCACUCCUCAAAUAGAUGAGGAUGGUGCUUUCUCAUCAGCUCCUCGAGUUCCCAUGUGGCUUCGCGAUCAUCAUGAUUGCUCCACCGAACUUUCACAUAGGGGAUUUCUCGAUUCCUCAGCUUUCGCACCUCUCGGGCGAUAACCCCUACCGGAAACUCUUCAUAACUCAAGUCUUCUUGAAGUUCCGGAGGUUCAUAUAGCAUCGCGUGCUCGGGAUCGUGAAUGUACUUGCGGAGAUUGGAGACAUAAAAUACAUUAUGUACAUCCGCAAGCUUCGGCGGUANCGUGUAGCGUCUUGGAGACAUUAGCCCCUGCAACGCAAUUAUUUAUCAGUCAUCUUAUUCAACUGCCUCGUCGCUCUACGACGCAUGACGACUCAUUCACAAAAUCAGGCGGAAGCACACAAGCGUACUCGUCCUAGACUCUUGGCAUCAUGUCGUCGGCCGCCGACACAACCACCUCAAGUCAAGAACUCAUACAACUCGAAUCCGCCUCUAAUCUCAACUAGAGACCCAUACCAACUUCGACCCAAUUGACUUAACUUCCGCCAUCGCUAUAGGUUCACGUUCCGUUCACGCACCUAUAUCCUUAAGGCUUGCCAACCUAGGGUCUCCUAGGUCUUCCUAACUCCCUUUACUUGCUCUUAUUGCUCUGAUACCACAAAGACUGUCACGCCCCGCUCCGAAACCACUACCAAUUUGGCACGAUUCGGCCGCGGCGACAGACCGCCGAACGGAUAGCACUUCCCCUGUCCGCCCAAGGCUCAACCACAGGAAUGUGUACAAGAAUUCACCCAGGGCUUUAAAUUCUAAACACACACAUUCAACGAGGGCACAAACAGUGCCAACAACAAGAAGAGCAAGUAAUCCACAAGAUAAACGAGUGAACUGAAGAGAGUACUUUACUAACUAUUACAUCAGUUACAUUCAUUACAUCAUUUUUCAUCCAAAAUUACAUUUGAUUUCCAAAUACAUAGCUCUCCGACCUCACCUACAAGAAUCUCUCUCAAUACAUAGGUGUACUAAUGCAAAAGGGAAAGCUACUACACUACCACGUCUCACUGGUCGGGUGCGACGCCCUUGCCGCGGUCCUGACUCUGCAGCCCUGAACCUACCACUGGAAAUAGAGUGGGGUGAGAACUAUCUUCCAUAGUUCCCAGUGGGCUCGGCCGCCGACCCUGCCGAUGUCCCCACUAGGUCCAAGUGGGCACAAGUAACAACAGAUAGAUAGAUAGGUAUGCAUCUGAAAGCUGUAAAUGCAGUAGUAGGAAAACUGUGCCACUAUGCCCAUAAUCGUGAAUAUGAAUGCAUGCAUCAUAUAAUAAAGGUUUGCUAUCAUGCUAACAAAUUCGAUCCAUGUUCGAAUAGUAAUGUUCAAUGACAUUCAUAAACCUUUAACCUUUUCAUUUACCCAAUCUAUGGCGAGGCCCUAGGGCUCGCCCAUGACUCACCUUCAAAUCCCAAAGUGGGGAGGGAGCUCCAAGUGCACCCAAGCCCGGGACCGUCUGCGGACCUCCAUGUGGUCCGGACCUCCAAGUGGUCCUAGUCGCGCGACACUCCGGAGUACUCGACGACAAUCCCCUCCAUGUGGGGAUUGGAUGGCUAUGCCAUCCUAAACGCAGACUGUGAGCUAGAUCUAUCCUCUCCAAAUGAGGACACUCUACAACUAGAGUUAAUACCCAACCAAAUCCUCUCCAAGUGAGGACGCCCUACACAAGGGUCAACGACUAUCGCGGAAUCAUCGGUUCCCGACAUUCAUACAAUGUUAUUUAGUUUUCUAAAUUCAUUGUUCACAAGGCAUUCUCUAAGGGAUCCGCCUAUCCCUAGGUCCAUCGACCUCUAGUGUUCUUUACACUACAUUAAUGCCACUCGUUAUCAUUCCAUGUUUGGAUGUCACUCGUUUGUUCUUUAACAAUAACACUACUUUCUAUGUCAUCAAUACCCCCAUCGGGUUCAUCUCUUUUCUUUCGCACUAUAGGAUUCACGUCUCGACCCAAUCCUCACCUAUCUAAGUUACCAAGCGUUCCAAGUACACUAGGUUAUCAAUUAGAAAGCAUAAGGAAUUGAGCUACUAUGCAACCCUACAAUGCAACAUGAAGAGAUGAGAUUAAAUGCAAUCUAAGACAUAGAAAGGAGUUCGAAAGUUUCGGAUGACACCCCCCACCUUUUAUCAAUGUAGAGGCUUUGGAAAUUCUUGUCGGCGAGCUUCGCAAAAAGGCUUUAGCCUUCCUCGCCCGAAUCAAUGCUAGCCCGGCCCAAUUUUGCCGAGAACUCCACGUCGGUUCGCCGAAUGCCAAAAUCGACUUCGCCCCCGCGUUUUGGGACCUAACAAUAGGGUUUCCAAGGCUUCAAAUGAGAUCAAUCUCAUACAUUUACAAAAACCUCAUUUUGGAACCCUAGAUUUGCACCUAUAGCAAAUCACCCCAUAAAUCCCUAGAUUCUUGGGAUUGAUCUAUUUAGAAGCUUGCUUAGGGUCCAUUUGACCCAUUCCAAGGCAUAAAACCCAAAAACCCUAAGUUCUAGAAGCUAGGGUUUAGUAGCUUACCUCAAGAGCUACUCCAAUGGGAAGAGGAGAGGGAGAUGGAGGUGCUCAAAGCCUUCCUCUUGAUCUCCUUCUUCUUCUCCUUCCUUAUCUUCCUCUUCUUUUCCUUCCUCUCCUUCUUCUUCUUCUCCUUCUUUUCUUCCUAGAGAGAGAAAGAGCAAGAGAGAAAUGGGAGUGAGAGAGAGGAAAUGAGAGAGUGUGAGGGAGAGAGAGGGCUCAGCCCACUCAAAUAAAUGCCAUUUUGCACAAAAGCCCCUCAACUUUUACCCCUGUGCACUGCCCUUACUGGGCAGUUUUCGCGCGGAGGGACCGGUCUCCCCGACUUGGGACCGGUCCCCGAGAGCUUCCCUCGGGCGCACGCGUUCGGGAACCGGUCUCUCCCCGGGAGACCGGUCCUCGGGAGACCGGUCCUCACCUGAGAGACCGGUCCCCGAGAGCUUGAUUUUCAGGACUUAGCCAAAUUUUUGGCAUUCUCGCUGGGACCACGUUCGGGAACCGGUCUCUCACCACCAGGGACCGGUUGCAUCAUGCAACCACGCAACACCCAGCCGAGGGAACCGGUCUCUCACCUCCAGAGACCGGUCCCCGAGAGCAACUUCUGCCCAAUGAUGCCAUUUGCCUCAUUUGCUCUCGCGGACUCAACUCCAAGGCACUUUUUGUACUUUGGACAUUCUCAACUCCCACAAAGGGUAUACUUUGGACAAUUAGUCGAUCCUGGAUGAAGUACAAUCCUCGUAUUUCGAGAAUUCACUUCCUUACACUCUCUCUCUCCUAGGGUUGGCUCCAAUGGUGGAGUGGUGGUAGAGUAGAGCUUGCUUGGUGGUGAAGCAACUCUCUUGUGCAACCUUGGCUUGGAGAAAAGCUUGGUUUGAGAUAAGUAUUAUGGGAUUUAGUGGUUUUGAUGUUAGGGUUUGGUUAUUUCCUUCUAGUAGAUGCUUCUAGAGGAUAUGGAGGUGGAUUGGUUCAUGGAUCUCCAUGUUUUGGGGGUUAUUUGGUGAAGAUGAAAACCUUAGGGUUAGAAUUAGGGUUUUGGUAGAAUUGAGAUCUAACUUGAAUUUGAUCUCUUGUAGUCCUAAUUGGUGGAUAAACUGACGCGUUGGAACACUCGGUUUGAAGAUCCGACGAGUCUACGUCAAGAUAUGUGGGAAAAACCUCAUUUCGGUUUUGUUUGCCGUCGGUCGAGGAAAUAGGCGGCCAUAAAUCGCGGGACUUGAAUUGUAGUCUUACGGCAUCACUAUAGGUGGGGGGUGCUGUUCGAAAUCAUCGAAUUUCUUACUAUGUCUAUGUCGCCUUUUCUUGAGCAUAUAUGUGUAUUAUGGCAUUCAAGCAUUGUAGGAUAUUGGGCUAUGGUUGGGAAUCUUUAUAUGCUUUCAAUGUUAGUGACCAUAUGAAUAGAUAUUGAACCAUGCAUGUUAAACCCUGUAGAUGUAUGAAUUGGAUGAAUGUGGACUAUGACAUUAGUAAAUAAAGGUGACAUUAACAUUAACCGGUGUGAAUUGUGUGGUAUGCUAGAUAAGGUAAACCCUUAAGAGUAUUGUGGAAUGUUGGAUUAUGGCAAUAGUGACAUUGUGACAUUAGUGACAUUGUGACUAGAGGUAUGAAUAGCUCCAAAGAUAUGGUAUGCUAGACGAGAUAUAAAACCUAUGAGCAUUGUGGUAUAAAACCUAUGAGCAUUGUGGUCGAAAGCCUAUGAGCAUUGUGGCAAGUAUGGCAAGUGUGGCGAAGUAUGUGUUAUGCUAGACAAAGUAACAUCUUUUUGCGCAUUGUGGCAUGUGGCUUUGUGACAAAAAUAGCAAGUUUGGCCAUACAUCCUCAAAUUGAGGAUUGGAUCAUACUCACAUUGGGUCAUAGCUUGAGGGCAGUAGCUCCCCCUCAAGCGGUGUGCUCCGGAGUUGUCACCACUAUGUGUAGCGGAAUCCUCCCCAGAAGACGGUCCCUCGGGUUGUAGCGGUAUUCUCCCCGAUCGACAAGGAUUUUGGUUGUGAGUUUUGGGGUUAACCAUGUGUUAACCGGGAUGAUUGGGUAAAAGCCAAGGUAAAUGUGGAUUGUAUUAUGGAUCCCGUCGGGUUGUAGCGGUAUUCUCCCCAACAGGAAAGGGACUGGGUUUGGUAAGUGAAAGAUAUGCAUCAUCAUCAUGAUGAUAUCACUUGUUAAUUUAUUGCUUGUUCAGGCGUUGUAGUAGCAUUGCAUUAGUUGGUUUGCUAUCUAUCUAUCCUUUUCCUACAUAUGCCUGAGUAGACCUAGUGGGCGAGUUGGCGGGGUUGGCGGCCGAACCUACUGGGAACUUUAUUGUAGUUCUCAUCCCACUAAGCAUGCAGGUCCUUGCGCGAGUGGGGCGGUCGAGGAUCGCGGCAUGGAUAUCGUGCUCUAGAUAGCAAACUGUCGUUGUAUAUAGAGCCACCUUAUGUAUUUCAUCUAUUAUAGUUGAUGAAUGGAAAAUGUAAUAAUUUCAUUUGAGAGAUGAUUAUGUAUAUUGGAUGAAUGGAUGUAAAGAAAAUGUAUAAGCUUUGUAAUUGAUUCAAAAUGAUCAAGUUACAAUGUAUGGAUGUAAUAGCUAGAUAACUUUCACUUGCGAUAGUGUUGCUUGCCCUCAUGCAGGCCAUGUAUACUCCAAUUCUACCUUUGUUUGUAUUGCUAUACAUGUUGGGUGGAGCCUUGGGCGGAUAGCGGAUAGGAAAGGUUCUGUCCGUUCAACGUCUGUAGACGUACCCGAACCGACCAAAUUGGUGUUAAGUCUUGUGUGUUGGCAAGUUUCGUGAAGUGAGUCGGAGUCUUGAAGUAUCGAUAUGUAUCGUCGAAGAUCGAAGAAUCCAAGACUUCGAAGAGAUUGGAAAAUAACUCACGACGUGAAUCACGAUGCUCAGGUAAAGUUUUAAUUCAUGUUAUGGUGAUUCNCGUACCCGAACCGACCAAAUUGGUGUUAAGUCUUGUGUGUUGGCAAGUUUCGUGAAGUGAGUCGGAGUCUUGAAGUAUCGAUAUGUAUCGUCGAAGAUCGAAGAAUCCAAGACUUCGAAGAGAUUGGAAAAUAACUCACGACGUGAAUCACGAUGCUCAGGUAAAGUUUUAAUUCAUGUUAUGGUGAUUCAUACUUAGUUAUAGGCAUUAGAAUCAUAUAAUCAAAGUUUAGUGGAUUAGAAAGUGUAUUGGAACUUUGCGAAACCCGAAAUGUGAAAAAAAUCUGAAAACUACACUGUGUACGGGUACACAUUGAAAGUGUUACUGGUUACAAACUGUGUACGGGUACAACCAUCAACGUGUUACCGGUUACAAACUGUGUACGGGUACAACCAUAUACAUGUUACCGGUUAUAAGACUGUUUUGAUUUUCUGUUCCGUCAUCGUGUAACCGGUAACAACUUAAGUGUGUACCGGUACACAAUGUAAGCUUUUCUGCUCCGUCAUCAUGUACCGGUGACAGCCUCACGUGUACCGGUACACAAUGCAAAUUUCGGAAAAAACUUUCUAAUCCGACUGCGAUUGAUUUUAAAGCCUAUAAAUAAGCUAUUGGGGUUCUCUAACUCAUCAUGCAUCAUGAAAAUACAUAUUUGAGAAACCCUAGAGGCUCGAAAUUCAUCAAAAACCUAUUUUCUUUAUAAAGCCUCUUUUAGGUCAAAUCGAGAUAUUGGAAUUUCAUAUCUAUAUGUCGAUUUGAUCUUUGCAUCGCUUGGAGUUCUCUUCCCUGGCUUUUAUCGAUACUCUAAGCGAAGGAUCACCAUAGCAUGAUGCUCUUCAUGAACGGUGUCAUGGAUUCGGCAAUGUUGAAGGUGAUUCGUGGAUUCGGAUCGUUGGCUCGUGGAUUCGAGUGGCGUCGUGGAUUCGGCGUGAUAGAAGCUUCGUGUAUUCGAAGUGGAGGCGUUCGUGGAUUCGAACGUGAGGGCGUGGACAACCCAGAGGAUUGCGUGAGAUUUAUAGGAAGUUAAGAGAGGUUGAGUCCGUGGAGUCGGUAAUCACCUUGUAAUCUUUUCUUUUAGUGAAUUAUUUUUUCGCAUGUUUGUCCCGUGGGUUUUUCUCCAAGUUGGAGUUUUCCCACGUAAAUCUCGGUGUAAUUUUUAUUUUCCGCAUUUAUUUUUAUCGCAUUGAGAUUUGUGGUUUUUGGCUAUUACACCUAUUCACCCCCCUCUAGGUGUUAGAUACAAUCUAGAUAGAUCCUUGGGCACCCCAUAACUUUCAAUUGGUAUCAGAGCGGGAUCUAGAUAAAUUGUUAUCUAAUGGCCGAAGGCGGAAACAUUAAUUGACCAUCGCUCUUCAAUGGCACAAACUAUGCCUAUUGGAAAGUUCACAUGAGAGCUUUUCUAAUCGCAAUCGAUGAGCGCGUUUAGCAAUAAAUAGAAUUUGGAUGGAAACAUCAUAUUGAAAAGGUCGAGAAUGUUGAAACGCCAAAACCAUGAAACAAGUGGACAAAAGAUGAAAACAAGGCAUCUUCGUUUAACGGCAAGGGCAUAAACGCUUUAUUUAAUGCAUUGUCUCAAACGGAGUUUACUCGUGUUUCAGCGUGUGGAACCGCCAAAGAAAUUUGGGAUACUCUAUAAGUUACGCAUGAAGGAACGAGCUUACUAAAGGUCCAAAAAUUGCAAAUGUUAACAAGUAAAUUUGAUUCAAUUUUUAUGGACGAAAAUGAGACCUUUACCGAGUACUAUACGCGUCUACAAAACGUUGUGAAUACAUGCGCUAACUUGGGAGAGAAAAUUCCGGAUGCUAAAGUUGUUAGAAAAAUACUUAGAACUCUUCCAGAACGGUUUCGGGCUAAGGUAGCGUGAUCAAAACGGUUAAGCAUCCGGAUGAGAUGAAAGUAGAGGAGUUAGUAGGUGCUUUGCAAACUUAUGAAAUGACUUUUCCUACUAAUCAAUUUUCUUCCAAGUCUUCUCCUAAAAGUACAUGGUUGCACUCAAAUCGACAAAGAAAGAAGACGACGACUCUGAUUCCGACGGAGAUAUUUUGCUCGCCGAUUUCGAACAUCAAUUAGCGCUCCUAAUGAAGAAGUUCCGACGGAAUUUUUGAAAAAAUAGAUCGGACAAGGCUUCAUCCUCUAAGCAAAAAUUCUUUUCUAAGCAUUCUCCUAAUUCUAAAUCUAAGGAUAAAAAACUUGCAAAGUCUUCAAAAGAAAAAGAUGAAUUUGAAGGAAAAAUCCAAUGCUACAAAUGCAAAGGCUACGGACACAUUGCAACGGAUUGUCCUUCUAAGAAGACUUAUGAACAAAAGGCUUUGCAAGCAAAGACUUGGGAUGACUCUUCCUCUAGUGAAUCAUCUUCAAGUGACGAAGAAAAGAGUGAUCAUGUUGCUUUAUUUACUAACACUUCUUUAUCUUCGUCUAACGUUGUUUGUUUAUCCUCUAUUGCUACUAAUUCCAAUGUUUCUCUUUCUUCGCAUGACUCUUCGAGCGACAAUGGCGAAAGCGAGGAGGAAUCAAACGACGAGGACUUAGCGGAAGCGUAUAAUCAACUCCUUAUUGAAUAAAAAAAGAUGGCCAAGCAUAAUAAGAAGUUGAGGCGUUGUCUAUUGGACAUUGAGAAAGAAAACAAAAAUUUGAAGAUUACAAAUAAAGCUCUUGAGAAGGAAAGGGAAUCAAUUUUGAAAAAUAAUUCGGACCUUCAAAAGAAGCUUGAUGAAGCGGAAACAAUGAUCAAAUAUUCUAAUGAUAAGAUUGGUUUUCUAGAACAACAACAUAAAGAAAUUCGUUCAUCCAAUCAAGUGUUGACUAAACAAGUUUAUCAACUUAACUCCGACAUUCAAAAAUUUUCUUCCGAAUCGAAGAAAUUGGAUCAUAUGCUAGGAUUGGGUCAAACGAACAAGCUUGGUCUUGGUUAUGAAAGGACAUAUGUUGAGAAGGAUCAAACGGCGAUAUCUAAAGUCUCAACAACUUUGAAAGAGAAGGUGUGUCAUAAAUGUGGCAUCAAAGGACACAUCAAAAAGAGUUGUCCAAACAAGGAUUUGAAACGUCAAUCCGUAUUCUCUAAACCUCAAUCGGCAUCAUCUACAACUCGACAUCCCCCACGGAAUCAAAAGCAAAAUCAUUUAAGUCAAACGCCUCUAGGGAACCGGUUUUCUAAUGCACAAUGUUAUGUUCGACCGAACCCAAAAGCAAACCGGAUUUCUAAGCCUCAACGACAAGUUCAACCGAAGCCUGAAGCAACGAAACGACAAACGGUUGAUUCAAAAUCAAAACAAAUUGUGAUUAACGUCGACAAACCAAGACAACCAACAAUCCGACAAGUUUGGAUCCGAAAAGGUGAUAUCUUUCCUUGCUCUUUAUCUUAGUUUGUUCUAUUGUUUAUAUAAUGCUUUGUUUGGUGCUUAUUGCAUAUUUUUAUUCAUUGCAUUACAUGUUUAGACGAUUUUUGGUGCUUGAAAUUUAUUUGUUUCAAAAUUAUUUUGAGGAAAGGUGAUUUGGAAUUUAAAAAAAAACUCUUUCUUUGAGAUAGGAGAUGAUUGAAAAUCUUACUUUAGGGAGUAUUUUAAAUGUGACUUAACCAGAAUUCAAAUUGAAUUAAAUUCAUAUUAAUUAUCGGUUUUACUCUACUUUUUAUUAUUUUGACGAUAAUUUAUUAUAUGAAUUCUUAAUACACAUAUUCAUCAAAAUUUUGAAAUCAAAUUUGAUCUCUUGGUGAUUAAUUCAUCUUGGUUGUGUGUGUUGGAUAUGAUGGAUGGAUAUUCUCUNGGUGAUUAAUUCAUCUUGGUUGUGUGUGUUGGAUAUGAUGGAUGGAUAUUCUCUAAUUGACUAAAAUUCGUCAAAAUUAUUUUCAAUUGUGAGAUUGUCUAAUUUAUGGGGAGUUUUGAAUUAUUUAAAAAAUAUACAUAUAUAAAAAAAGGGAAACUCCUAUGUUUAAAAGAUGUGGAAAAAGCUACAUCCAAAAGGAGUGUGAAACUACCACCACAUGUAGAAAAGAGCUACCACCCCGGUCGUCCGGUACGUGUGUGAAGCUACCACAUGAAGAUUGAAUUAAAUAACCGAAAAGGUUGAAAAAAAAUAAAUAUUUUAGAAUUUUCGGAGUUGUAAGGUGUUAGAAUGAAAAGAUGCUCAAAAAGCCACCCCCGGUGCUAUAUUAGUUAAAUCUCUAUUUUGAACGAUUUGCGACAAAUUGAGGUCAAUUUGGUUGAAUUUCUAAAAAUCAUUUUUCAUGAACCGUUACAUCUUGAUGGUUUUGAAUCAUUAGAUUAUUUUUGAUAACAUAAUUUUGAUGAUUCGAUGCAUUUUGAAAUCCUAUAAUAUUUUAUCUUCAUCAUAAUAAUUUUUGGAGUAUAAUUUUUAAUUUUUAUGAAAUUAAUAUAUUUUGAGGAUUGUCGGAAGGCCGUGUUAUAUAGCCUCUUGGCAAGUUUUGGCACGUCAAUCUCGAGUGCUGCAACGAAUCAAAUGAUGUGUGCUUUGCUUUUCUUUCAUUCUCUUUUAGGCCUAUGACUAUGACAUGACUACUCUUAUACUUUCUAAUAAGUUUUCUCUUUAUAUGCUUUGUCUUUGGCAAUUUUUGAGAAAAAGGGGGAGAGCAUAGAUGAACAAGUGUUGAUCGAGAACAAAGGAGAAUAAGGAAUAAAAUCAAAGGAGAAGAGGAUGAAUUCAAGAACAAAGGGGGAGAUGUGAUCAUCGAGAACAAAUGUGGAGAAGGUAUAAGAAUAUAAUGUUGUUAAGGUGGAGAUGUGAUCUACAUUGUUUUUGGAUAAAUUGUUUUGCAGGAAAUCAAGACUUCAAGACUCCUAAUUGUGUCUAAGUCAUAGAGUCUGUUUUAGGAGUUUUGAUGUACUUUUGCAUUUCAUAUUGUAUUUGGAUCACAUGCGAGGGGUUCAAUGUUUUGGUGAUGACAAUUGAACUUCGUUUUUCUUUAAGAUGUAAUUUUUGAGUAGUUGUGAGUUUUGUUACGAAAUUGCCAAAGGGGGAGAUUGUUAAGUCUUGUGUGUUGGCAAGUUUCGUGAAGUGAGUCGGAGUCGUGAAGGAUCGAUAUGUAUCGUCGAAGAUUGAAGAAUCCAAGACUUCGAAGAGAUUGGAAAAUAACUCACGACGUGAAUCACGAUGCUCAGGUAAAGUUUUAAUUCAUGUUAUGGUGAUUCAUACUUAAUUAUAGGCAUUAGAAUCAUAUAAUCAAAGUUUAGUGGAUUAGAAAGUGUAUUGGAACUUUGCGAAACCUGAAACGUGAAAAGAAUCUAAAAACUACACUGUGUAUGGGUACACAUUGAAAGUGUUAUCGGUUACAAACUGUGUACGGGUACAACCAUCAACAUGUUACCGGUUACAAACUGUGUACGGGUACAACCAUCAACAUGUUACCGGUUACAAGGCUGUUUUGAUUUUCUGUUCCGUCAUCGUGUAAGCGAUAACAGCUUAAGUGUGUACCGGUACACAAUGUAAGAUUUUCUGUUCCGUCAUCAUGUACCGGUGACAGCCUCACGUGUAUCGGUACACAAUGCAAAUUUCGGGAAAAGCUUUCUAAUCUGACUCCGAUUGAUUCUAAAUCCUAUAAAUAAGCUAUUGGGGUUCUCUAACUCAUCAUGCAUCACAAAAAUACAUAUUUGAGAAACCCUAGAGACUUGGAAUUCAUCAAAAACCUAUUUUCUUCAUAAAGCCUCUUUUAGGUCAAAUCGAGAAAUUGGAAUUUCAUAUCUAUAUGUCGAUUUGAUCUUUGCUUCGCUUGGAGUUCUCUUCCCUGGGUUUUAUCGAUACUCUAAGCGAAGGAUCACCAUAGCAUGAUGCUCUUCAUGAACGGUGUCGUGGAUUCGGCAUAAUUGAAGGCGAUUCGUGGAUUCGGAUCGUUGGCUCGUGGAUUCGAGUGGCAUCGUGGAUUCGGCGUGAUAGAAGUUUCGUGGAUUCAAAGUGGAGGCGUUCAUGGAUUCGAAAUUGAGGGCGUGGACAACCCGGAGGAUUGUGCGAGAUUCAUAGGAGGUUAAGAGAGGUUGAGUCCGUGGAGUCGGUAAUCACCUUGUAAUCUUUUCUCUUAGUGAAUUAUUUUUUCGCGUGUUGGUCCCGUUGGUUUUUCUCCAAGUUAGAGUUUUCCCAUGUAAAUCUCGGUGUAAUUUUUAUUUUCCGCAUUUAUUUUUUUCGCAUUGAGAUUUAUGUUUUUUGGCUAUUACACCUAUUCACCCCCCUCUAGGUGUUAGAUACAAUCUAGAUAGAUCCUUGGGCACCCCAUAACUUUCAAUUGACGUUCGCGGGGCGUGGCAGAUACCCUACGGAGAAGAGUUGAAAAGGAGGAGAUAUUGUAAAUUACUACAACAGAAUUAGGUUAUAGGGACACAUGUUUGGGACACUUUUGAGUAAGUGUCCCAUUUAUGCUAAAACUUAAAAACACAUCUACUAAUGCCUAAAUAUAAAGCCCAAUCCAGCCAAAAAUAAAAGAUUACUCUACUCAACCCACCACACCCAGUCCAUUUGGCCCGAUUACAAACAGAAAAGAAAAAAAAAAGAAAAAUUAAUUACCAUCUUUUCUUCUCUUUUCGCUCAAUCCACUGAAAUUCUAGACGAAGAGCCUUUACUGUUGUCCUCCUCCGCCACCGCAGCCAACGAGAUAGAGUUUCGGCGGUUGCUAAAUGCUUAAAUAAGUGUUGAUAAAUUAGCAGCACUCUUUUACGUUAUAGCGACACUCUUUAACUGUCACUAUAUACCUAGCGACCCCACAUAUAGCAACACUUUUUAAAAGUGUCGGUAAUUUUAGCUAGCAGCACUUUUUUGAUAUAUACCUACAUUUAAAAGUGUCGCUAUAGACCGUUUUUGUUGUAGUGAAUGGCACCAUUCAUGGAGCCAUAGAACAAAUGAUUGUACCGCCUUUAACAGGUAGAUUUAGAAGAAAAUAAAUGAAGGUUGGCUAAUAUUUGUCGACCAAGAGAACAAAAAUAUGAAAGUUGACAAAAAUCCUUUUCCCUCGCAGGUCAAUAUGAUGGAUAUCAAAGGGAAGGCUCCUGCGGACAAGAAGACAGAUGAUGGUAUUGCCUACACUGAGAGGAUAUUACAGCUAUCCAUAAGAUGCAAGACCGAAAUGACAAAAAGAGAUUGGGAGGCGAUUAUUCAUGAGAAGAAACUAUACGGGGAAUGGAGAGAGUUCAUGUCAUUCUCCGAAGAAUAGAAAGAUAUACGCGAAGCAGAGAACAACUCAAAAGAAGGUUCGGAAGAAGCCUCCAAUGGUUCCGAACAGGACGUUGAUUAUGUGAAAGACAAGAGAGACCUAUUAGUGCAAAAGGUCUUAAAUGAUUAUUACAACAGUCGAAGGGAAGAGCGUAAUAGCCGAUGGAGUUAUCCUGAGAAAUCAUUCGGCUUUCAACAAAGAUUCUCAGGAUAUCGGCCAAACUGGCAACAUCAGAUCAAGCCGAGACCUGAACCUGAAUUUGAAGGGAUGACCGAGGGUGACAUCGAGUUCCUCGGUCGUAGGUUAGUCAAUGAACUUGGCAUUCAGCCUUGGCCGAGACUAUAAGGUACCGGACUUCCAAAAUUACGAAGUUACGGUGUAUAAUGGUUUGGAUAGCCAUUUGAAUGGUUCUGGUGAAAUUCGAGAGCAUUCGGGCGUUUUUAGUGCGCUCGGUACGCGUAGGCGUGAAAACGAAACCCGAAAGGCUAUGUUGGGCCGUGGAUUAAAUCCGGCGUUAGCGUAGAUGAAGAGAUGAGGUGAACAUGCUCGAAAACAUGUGUGGGGAGUCUCGGUGCGAUUUGAAAUGAAUCGGAGACCUGCGGAGCAAAAAUGAGCGAAAACGGAGAAGAAACGGUGAAAAUGCUGAAAAUUUGGCUAAAUCCUAAAGUGCUGGAAUUCUGGACCUAGGGGGAUGGGUCCCUCAGCCAAGGAGCGGUCCUUCAGGUACCGGUCUCUCUAGCCAAGGACCGGUCCCCGUACGCGAGAAUGCCUAAAAUGGGCUGUGUACAAGGAAGCAUUGUUGAGGGGUUUUUAUGCAAUUUUGCAUUAGUAGGAGCUAUAUGAGUGGUCUAGGGUUUAUUCUCCUCAUUCCUCUCAACCCUAACACCCAAAACACUUCUCUCUCUCUCUCUAGAAGCUCUCUCUCUCUUCAAGGAGGAAGGAAAGGAUGAGGGAUUGGUGGAGAAGAAGCAAAGGAGUGGGAUCAUCAUCUCCAUCUUCUUCUUCUCAAGCUUGGAGCAAGCUUUUGGAGGUAAGCUUGAUGUCCAUUUAUGGUGAUUUCUUAGGGUUUGAUUUAAAUACUCUACGAAUGAGUUUGGAUGAAUCCCUUGGUCCUAAUUAGAUGCUAUUUGCUUGAAUCAAGACCCGGUUUAGUGUAUUCUUGCAAAUGGUGGUUCUAGGGCUCCAAAAUGGGGGUUUUUGUAAAUAUGAGGGUUUGAUCUCAAUUGACCCUCCGUAAACCUAAUUGCUAGGUACAUGAACGCAUUGGUGAAGUCGGUUCGGCGAUUCGUCUAGCCGGUGCGAAGAUAUUGAAGAAACGGACUAUUUAGCUUCAUUUCCGCCUGGAGGGCUGUAGCACAUAACCGAAGACCUAUAAUUUUCAGAUCCGUGGUUCGACGCACGGUUGGUGCGCAACUGCAAGAUUGGGCCGUGCCGGAUACGUGUGCCGCGGGAGGCCGAUUGCAAGUGACUACAAGCAAUCGGAGAGCGAAUCGAGGUGGGUUGUGCUCACCGAAGCGACUAGGUCGCCUGUAUGUCUAAGAGAAAUGUGAAAUCAUAUUGUAAUACACUGAACUUUUGCAAAUUGCGGAGUUCGAGUGUGUCAAAUGAUAUGUGAAACUAUCCUACAUGUUCUAAAAGGCUUGGACAAGUUUUUGGACAAGUUAGAGAGUGAUUGGAUGGCUAAAAGUAAGAAAGUGCAUUGCUGUGGCAUUUCUCUCGAAUUUUUGCAUUGUGUACCGGUACAACAUUAAUGCUGUACCGGUACAGCAUGCAGCAGAGGCAGCAGGUGCGUGGCAGCAGGGAUUUUUUGGUCUUUUGGCAUCUAAUCUUAUCCCUAUAGCUAUCUGGUCGACCCCUGAAGUUGCUGGAAGGCCCUUAGAGAUCAGAACAAGCUUCUUCUCUCUCUCCCUCUUUCUCUCACUAGGGUUUCUCUCUCUCCAAGUAAAAUUCGCCGUUACGCGCCGAUUUUGCGUCGAGCUCGUUGCUCGCUGAUUGGAGGACUCGAGGGAAGUCUUUGGAACAUGGAAAGAGGAGUUUUGCUGAGUUUUCUGUGAGGUUACCACCAGGGAAAGCUGAAUCCCAGCUUUAGAGAGAUAAUUAGCUCACUAUCUCUCUAGUUUGUGGUUUAAUAUUGGAUUUUGACGCGUUUUGGUUCCGUUGCUACCAGCUGUGUUAGAUUGAGGUUUCAGCAGCUAGAGAUGACCUAAUUAGCUGUGAAUUAUCCACUUUAAGCCUGAGAUAAGCUGCUUUGAAACCUGAAUUAAGUAAUUAGUUGUUAUGAAGCUAAUUCGGAUCUAAACGAAAUUUAAUCGGGUAAUUGAUGCAGUUUGGAAAUUGUAUCUUCGCAGCAGGUUUUCAAACCAAAUUGAGCUAAAUUUGUGAUCUAAGGAACUUGUUUGCAGGGUGUUCCAACCAAAGGUAAGCUGAAAUUUCAGUUAGGAACCUGAAUAUGCAAGGUUUCAGCUAUAGGAACUAGUAUACAAGCGUUUUGACGCCGUUUUGAGGUUGUUCGCAGCAAGAGCGCGAUCGAGCCUUAGAUCAUCUUCUGUUGGCAUUGAAGAGCAAUUGAAGAGCAAUUGGAGGCUUAAUUUGAGGUACUAAUGUGACCCGAAACAGGGAUUUAAGCUAGUACUUUGUAUUAAGUGUGAAUUGUACCGAAAUUGGAUAUUUCGAUUGUAGUAUUGAUACAACUUUCGUACCUUGAUACCGCAGGAUUGAGGCUUCGUUGAGCUUGAUUUCGGGACUCUUGUGGACUAAAUUGGAGUCUUGUAUUAGGUGGGUUUAACCUAACCAGAGCAAGUGAAGCUCCCCUAUGUUCUAUAUGAUACUAUAGAAAUAGCAUAUGAAUGCAUUUGGCGUAACUUGGGAAUCGACAUAGAUUCAGAACAUUACCACCAUCAUAGUUGAUAUAUGUAUGUGUAGUGAAUUGAAAUCUCUCUUAAGUAGAGAAAUGCAUGCAUAGAAGUAAAUAUGUUUAUGUUUGACUCAGUUGAAUGAUUCAUGAACAAUCUAGUAUGUUCUUAAAGUAGAGAACAAUAACAAUCUUAUGACUUUAUUGAUUAUAAAGUAGAGAACAAUGACAUACUUUGUGACUAUAACCAUAGUGCUAUGAUAGUGGAAAGUUUCGAAUGCUAUAAGCAAAUUAGCAUUACUAUAAGGGAAGUGAAUUCUCGAAAUCCGGGGAUUAGACUUCGUUGGGAAUCGACUGAUUGUCGAGUGUGUAAGCUCCGGAAAGUCCGAAGGUGGUUAUAAUGCAUAAAGUGCAUUGAGGAAAUGUCCGCGAGAGCACCAGUGCAAAAACAGCACUGGAGCAGAAAUGCUCUCGGGGACCGGUCCCUGGCAGGGAGGGACCGGUCCCAUCGGGCUGGGCUGCGGGGGUCUCUGAUGAGACCGGUCCCUGGCGGGCAGGGACCGGUUCCCGAACGUUAACCCUACGAGACAAGCCGAAAUUUGGCUAAGUUCCGAGAAUCCAGCUCUCGGGAACCGGUCUCUCGGACAAGGACCGGUCUCCCGAGGACCGGUCUCUCGAGCAGAGAUCGGUUCCCGAACGCGAAAACCCUUCUGCCCGAAUGGGAGGCCUUCGGGGACCGGUCUCCCUGAGCUGGGACCGGUCCCUCACUGCGAAAAUGGCCCAAGGAGGGCUAUUUCAGAAAAUGAAAAGUUGAGGGGGCUAUCUGGAAAAUGGCCUAUAUGAAGGCUUGGGGACCCCUCUCUCCAUCUCAUUUGCUCUCUCUCCCUUUUACACUCUCUCUCUCUCUUUCUAGAAAAGAAAAGAAAGAGAAGAAGAAGGAAAGGAAGAGAAAGGAGAAGAAGGAAAGGAGAAGGAGUAGGAGAAGAAGAAGACAAAGGUGGAGACCACCUUCCUCAUCUACUUCUUCUUCUUGGACUAAGCUUUUGAAGGUAGGCUUUAAACCCUUUAAUGGUGUGUCUAGGGUUUGGGGGUUUUAUAGCUUAGAAAUGGUUCGAAUGGGACCUAUUGAAGCUAGGGAGAUGGUUCGAGCUCGAAAUCGAAGCUCGCACCGCGGAUUUCUCCAUUGUUGAAACCUAGGGCUUCGAUUUGGGAUUUUGGCAAAUUUAGGGUUUUGAUCUAAUUUAAUAGGUCGCAAACCUAAUUGCUAGGUCUCUGAACGCGUCGACGAAGAUGGUUUGUCGAUCCGUCGAGUGGGUGCGGAGUUAUCGCCAAAGAAGACCUUCGGAGCUUCGUUCUCGCUUAGAAGGCCAACGAGGCGUCGAAGCGUCGGCGAAUCACAUUUGAAGACUCACGGCAUCGCCACGAGGUGGGGGAGUGCCAUCCCGAAGCAGUCGGGCUGCUCUUUAUGUCUGAGUAACAUUGUCGAUCAUUUACAUAUUGUGAUAUAGCAUUAUAGGGUAUUAAAUGUGAUUGUACAUAUCUUCGCAUGCUAGUGAUAGUUCGAGUUGUGGAUAUAAUGAAUGAAAACCUAGUAUACAUGAGUAGAAUAUUAUGAGAUAGUUCGCCCUAUAUGUGAUGAAUAUGUCUAUGUGAAUAAGAACCUAGUGUAUUGGAAACUAGUGUAUCAAGAACUUGUCAAGAGAACGAGUGGCAUCUAGUAAACAGUGAACCCAGAACGAGUGGCACCUAGUUGGUAUUGAACUUGAGAACUUUAGUGUGGUUGAGACACUAUGAGAUUAAGCAGAUGAACACCGGAUGUUAUAGUGACGCCAAUCCCAGUUGGUUAGGGUGUUCCCAGUUAUGAGAUUGGAUCGAGCUCACUUAGCCUGUCUGCACCUGUGGAGGUAGCUCCUCACAGGUAGUGCACUCCGGAGUUUGGCACGCGAGGGGGCCAGUGUAGUGCCCUUGGACCAGUGUAGUGUCCGCAGGCGGUCUCGGGGAAGGUGAAUAACUAGCCACCUCUCCUAUGAGACUUAGAGACGUGAGACUGUGAGCGAACCUUGCGUUCGCCGUGAGAUUGGGUAAUUGGAUGAAUGAUUUCAUUAUUGAGCAUGGUAGUCUGAUAGCCAGCCUUCUUACUAUGAGUCGCAUGCAUGCAUCAUACUAGAUUGAGGCAUUGAUAGAUCAUAGCUCCUAGUUGCUCAUUACUGUUAAUGCUUUCAGUUUUAUAUAUCUAUCUAUUCGCAUAUCUAUCUGUGCCUGCUUAGACCUAGUGAGGAGAUCGGCGGAGUCGGUGGUCGAACCCACUGGGAACUAUUCGUAGUUCUCACUCCACCAUAUUGCAGGUCCGAGUUCGAGCACCCCCGGUGAGGAUCAUGGCAAGGGCGUAGCGCCCUAGCGGUAUAUGUAUAUAGUUAGCUUACCUCCUUUUGCAUUAGCCCUACCCUAUACUUAUGUUCGAGAGUAGAUUGAUGUAUAGGGUGAGGUUUUGAGAAGAUUGUAUGUAUUGUACCUACGUUUUGGAAGAAUGUAAAGGAUGAAAUAAUUGUAUAAAGCUAAAUGAAUUAAUAGUUAAGUACAUCUCUUUUAUCACUUGUAUGCUUUACAUGUGUUGCUUGCUCUUUGUUGAUAAGCACUGUUUGUGCUCUCGUGGUUGUUGUAUGAUUGUGUAUGUAUUCAAGUUGUUUCCUGGGAAGUUGUUGUACACAAUCUAACUGUUUGAGCCUUGGGUGGACAGAGGAGGUGCUGUCCGUUCGGCGGUCCAUUCGCCGCGCCCGAACCAGACCAAAUUGGUAUCGGCCUCGAGGCGGGGGCGUGACAAUUACUCUUACAUGAUUACUACUCUAGUGGAUACUAGCUAUGUUCAAUAUCUGUUAUAUUGAAAUUCCGAUCAGAGGAUCGAGAGUGAGAACAUUGCAAGAUAAAACGUGAUGAUUGAGAUGUAUUGGAUUAUGGACUUUGCUUACUUGCCAUCGUGCUCAUUCGCACGCGCUUGUGAGGGUAGCUCCCUACAAUCCGGCACUCCGGAGUUGGCCUACGCGACAGUUACUUGCCCGUGCGGGAUUGGGUGCCGAAGUGGAUUGCCGUAGGGAGUGUAUACUACCACGGGGCCAUUAGGCACGGCGCGAGCUGGACUACCUUGGGUAGGUCCUUAUGAAUAAAAUGAAAGUACUAAAUGACAAAGAAUAGUAAUGAAUGCUCAUCAGUUAUAGUGUACAGUAUUUACUUACAUAUCCAUGUUUAUGUUCAUGUCUAUAGUAGUUGCUAUGCUUCUAUUAUUCAGUUGAUUCAUUACUGCAGAAAUCAUGAUUACAUGUUGAUUACAUGCCUAUUGCCUGCUAGCAUUGCAUAUAGAUAUCAUGCAAUUAUCGCUUUUACUUUCAUUUAGUACAUCAUGAGCCUAGUGGUGUAAUUCCCCGAGGCUGGCGGCUUACCCAUUGGGAACUAUUGUUAAUAGUUCUCACGCCCUUUGGUGGUUGUUUUUACAGAGCCAUCUACAGGAGAGGCUAGGGAUCGUGGCAAGGGAGUCGCGUCUAGCUAGACAUUGCUAGGAGCAUGCUAGUCGAUCACCUUGCUACUCGGGCUACGACCGAGGGUGAUGUCCCUAUAUAUAAAGAGAGACCACUAUUGUACCUACUUUUUGUAUAUGUACUGUUGAACCAGAUAUUAUAGUUCUGUUACUUUUUUUUUUAGUUGAGAUUUUGGAUUGGUUACUCCUUGUUCCUCUAUUGAUAGUAUUUGGAACUUAUACUUUGCUCUGAUAUCAGGAUAGGAUUUUUCUAUAUUUUUCUCCUAUCGCCUUACUUUCUUGUAGACGCCUUAUAUACUGCAGGUGUAUGGCGGGUCUGUGCACGUACCGGAUAUGCUUCCGCUGGUACCUGGGCGUGACAGAUUAUAGUGGUAUCAGAGCCUAGGGUUGAGUCUUAGUAGACCUAGCAAACCUUAGGCUGGUUGGACUAUAAAAAUAGGCUCGUGAGAGACGAGGUCUAGUUGAGGAUUGUUGCUAGCGAAAGUACUUUGAUUCGGUAAUUUAUAAACUCCGAAUGGUAGGAGUUUGAUCGCAAUGUGCAAUUACUAGCUUUGCAGGGGGCCACGUUGGCGGUUGACAACGUGACAUCGGAUGUUAGUACGCGUUACAUUUCAUUACUUUCGCUUGAUUAGUUGGUUUAUACCUGAAGUAAAGUUCAAUAGUAUAGGUUUUAUUAAUCUAUGUUUGUUUUUGUGCUGCAGCUUAAGAUGCCGUUGACUCGUUCGAAAACAACCGAGGCGGCUGAGGCGGCGGAUGCAGAGGAAGUGGGGACCUCCGUUACUUCUGGAUCUAGUGGGAUCCAUGAGUUGCAGGAUCAGCUCGCGAAGCUGACGGAUUUGGUUGCUCAGUAGGCGGCGGCUGCGCGACAGCAGAUGGAUGCUGCGCGUCGACAGGAGGACGGGAUGAAGAGGUUAGAGGAUUUACUAUUGCGGCAGACGACCGACAGAGAGAUUCCUGAUCCUAUACCUACAGUACCAGACAGGGAUACGACAGUGAGAGCACAGUCACCAGUACCAGAUACACCCCCAGUAGCUCCGAGGGUAGAGCCCCGACAGGAGACAGUUGUACCACCACCCGUGCAUGUGGCUGUGGCAGGGACAGUGUUACCUGAGAUGGUGGGGGUUGAGGAGCGAGAACGGAUGAUGGAAAGGUUAAAUGAGUUUCGUCAUUGCAACCCUCGUGUUUUUGACGGGGAGAAAGCUGAUCAUUGGGUGGUCGAGAAAUGGUUGAUGCACAUGGAGAAACUGUUUUAUGAUACUUUUGUUGAGGAGCGAUAUAGAGUUUGGUUUGCGACGCACCAUCUAGACGGCGAGGCUUACAGGUGGUGGGUGGAUAUCCGUGAGGACCCCCGUGUGGAUUUAUCAACGAUUACCUGGACGAGAUUUAAGGAAUUACUGUUGACAACUUAUUUUCCACAAAGUGUGAAGAGGCAGAUGGAAAGGGAUUUGAGAAACCUGAGGUAGGGGGACAGUACAGUAGCUGAGUAUGAGCGAGAGUUCUCCCGUUUACUUCACUGUGUUCCUUUUGUGGUUUGAGAUGAUGAGGAUAAGGCCCGUAUUUUUUAUGUGGGUUUGCGACCUGCGAUUUUCAGAUUGAUCCAGGCGUCAAACCUUUCUACUUACAGGGAAGUAGUGAAUCGGGCAUUGAUCGUGGAGAAGGGGGCGAAAAUUAUGAAGGAAAGAGAUGUGGUGGAUCGAAGUAAAGGAAAAAGGCCAGCAGCUGAGAGCAGUGGUCAGCAAUCCUUCAGGAGACCGCCGAACUAUCCGAGGGACCAGUCGGGCCAGUCGAGAGGUCGAGGUUUUUCAGCAUCCCGUGGAGCACCCGAGCGUCGUCGACAGCCACGUUGUGUCAUUUGUGGUGGGCCUCACUUUCCACCACAGUGUCUACAACGUGGGGGCAAGUGUUUUAUCUGCGGCCAGGAGGGCCACUAUCGUUCAGAGUGCCCGAGAGGUUCUUCACCUACAUCAUCAUCAGCAUCUGCACCUGCAUCUUCAGCUCCGAGCCAGUGGACCCCGACAGCACCCUCGCAGUACAGACGAUCACCGGGACAGCGGCAGUCUGAGAGUCCUCGGCAGGGUUCGAGUGGGCGUAUGUAUGCCGCCCAGAUUGAGGAGGCCGCAGCAGCGGAGGAGGUCGUAGCAGGUAUCAUUAUGCUUUAUGAUAUUCGUGUUCGUGCAUUGUUUGAUACAUGUGCUUCGCAUUCUUUUAUUGAUCGGCAGUUUGCCGAGUUGCAUAGCAUUCGUUUAGCACCUACUUUGCAUCUGGGACGAGUGAUCGUGCCCGACCAUACCCUAGAAGUUCAUGAGUUUUGCCCUCGCUGCCCAGUUAGGGUAGGCGACUGGAUUAUGCCGGUGGAUUUAUUGACACUACACAAACUUGGUGAGUUUGAUGUAGUAUUGGGUAUAGAUUGGUUGACACAAUAUUAUGCGACUAUAGAUUGCAUGAACAGAACGGUGACCUUUAGGGAACUGGGUCAGCAAGAGUUUGUUUAUAAUGGGUGUCAGAGUUCGUUAUUUGCAAUGACUAUUAGCUCUUCGCAAGCACGACAGUUGAUUCGGAGAGGGUGUGUUGCCUAUUUGGCUAGCAUUUCGGUGAGUGACGGAGGAGCCGUCAAGAUUGAAGAUAUCCCGGUUGUGCGAGAAUUCGGGGAUGUGUUUCCAGCUGAGUUGCCUGGUAUGCCAUCUGAUAGGGAAGUUGAGUUUGUGAUAGAUCUUGUCCCUGGGACUACCCCAAUCUCAAAAGCAUUCUAUAGGAUGGCACCCUCUGAGUUGAAAGAACUGAAGGCACAAUUGCAAGAUUUAUUGGAUAAGGGUUUUAUUCGACCGAGUGUAUCUCCCUGGGGAGCCACGGUAUUGUUUGUUAAGAAGAAGGAUGGAUCUCUUCGAUUGUGUGUGGAUUACCGAGAAAUCAACAAAGUCACAAUCAAGAAUAAAUAUCCAUUACCCAGAAUCGAUGAUUUAUUCGAUCAGCUGCAAGGAUCGAAAGUAUAUUCUAAGAUUGAUUUGCAGUCAGGUUAUCAUCAGCUUAAGAUCAAGCCUGAAGAGGUUUCCAAAACCGCUUUUAGGACACGGUAUGGGCAUUAUGAAUUCACAGUUAUGCCAUUUGGAUUGACAAAUGCCCCAGCAGCCUUUAUGGAUUUAAUGAACCGUGUCUUUAAGCCCUAUCUGGACAGGUUUGUGGUCGUGUUCAUCAACGAUAUCUUGAUCUAUUCUCGAAACGAUGAGGAGAAUGAAAGCCAUCCAAGAGUGGUGUUACAAGUACUUCGAGAAAAGAAACUAUUUGCAAAGUUAAAGAAAUACGAAUUUUGGCUCCGAGAAGUAGCAUUUCUGGGUCAUGUCAUUUCAGAGGCUGGGAUAGCUGUGGAUUCAAAGAAGAUUGAAGUGAUUAAAGAUUGGCCUAGGCCGACUAAUGUCACAGAGAUUCGGAGUUUCCUUGGUUUUGCAAGAUACUACCAAAGAUUUGUAGAAGGAUUUGCAAAGAUGUCUGUAACACACUGGACCUUUGCAAAUUGCGAGGUUCGAGUGUUUGGUUGUAUUUCGAGCUUUUCCACACUUGGUGGAGGGUUGUAAAAUGUUCCCCGACCCGAAAAGUUCGAAAACUGGAACUUUGGACAAGUCCUGAGAGUUUUUACUCUCGGGGACCGGUCCCUGGAAGGAGAGACCGGUCCCCCCAGUGAGCAGUGUUGAGGCAGCCUGAGGCAACCGGUCCCUGGCAGGCGAGACCGGUUCCCGAAAGCGUCUUCGCAGUGAGAGACCGGUCCCGCGCAGGGAGAGACCGGUUCCCGAACGCUGGUUUUUCGGGUUCGCAGCGAGAGACCGGUCCCUGCUGGGGAGAGACCGGUCCCUCUGGGCGAAAACUGCCCAGUCCGGGCUGAUGUAAUUUUGGGUUUUUGAGGGGCCUAACUGGAUUUUGUUACCUUAGAGGCUAUAGGCAGCCUCUCCUCUCCUCUCACUCUCAUUUUCUCUCAACCCUUUGCAUUCUAGAGAGAGAAGGAGAGAGGGAGAAGGAGAAGAAGGAGAAGAAGAGGAGAAGAGCUUGCUUGGAGCACCAUCUCCUUCCUUAUUUCCCACCUUUGGAGGCUUGGAGCUUGCUUUUGGAGCCUUGUGGUGGAUCAAUCUUCAACCCUAGAAGAUUUUGAGCUUGGAUUGGAGCAUCCUAGAGGUAUGUGGCAAGGUUCCUCCCUCUAGAUCUUAGUUUUGGAGCUUUUUGCUAGUUUUAACCCUAGAAAUGAGAUUUAGGGUUGGUUUUGGGGCUUUUUGACCUAGGGCUUUUGAAGCUUAAUUGAUUGGUUUAGAACCUUCCUAGGGCUUGGAUUGGAAGGGUUCUAGCUCUCUUUUGGAGCUUUGGGAGAGAUUUCUACUCUUGAGGUGAGUUUUGCCCCUUUUUGCUCCUAGGUUAAUGUUUGAUCUCUCGGAUGGUCGUAAUGCCCUCGUAUCUCUUCGCUGAUUACUUUUAGGGUAUUUUGGGACUCGGGGACAACUUUGUUCGGCUCAUCGAGACCCUACGCGACGGUUCGGUGGGUUUGACCUAGCCUAUGAUAUGAAAAAUGCUCAUAUAUGGCAAAUAUGUUUCGUAAAAUAGAAAUUCAUGCAUUUUCAUGUUAAAUGUAUUUAAUAUGAAUUUUAGAAUGCUUAACAUGCAUAGGUUAUGUGUAGUAAAUUUUGGGACCUCUAUAUAGUAGAGAGCAUGCAUAUGUGGCCUAGCAUUCUAGUUGAGACUUGAAAUUAUAAUCCCUAUUAUGAAAACGAAUCUUGCUUUCAUGCAUUCAAACUAUAUACCAGUUGUGACAUUAGGGAUUAUUGGAAGCCUAGAGAGGCUUAGAGAUUUAGAGGAUAUGUGAGAUUGGGCCAAUGUCAUGAAGAGGCAUUGGGGCCCGGGACAUAGCGAGCGUUAAUGUUAAUGUCUUAAUUGAAACAUGACCAGUUGUGAAGCUUAAGUGUCAUAAAGAGGCACUAAGCAAGUGCGUGUUGGGACUUCCCAUUAUGACUUUGAACUAGAUCUUCGGGAUGCUAGUGACUUUACCAUGUUAGAGACAUGAGGAUUGGAUACUUGAGACAGUGACUUUGCUUGUUUGCCAUUUGUGCUCAUUCGCACAUGCUUGUGAGGGUUGCUCCCCACAAGCCGGCACUCCGGAGUUGGCCUAUGCGACCUAUGUUCGCUCGUGCGGUAUUGAGAAGCCUACGGGGUCGAGUGGGACAGACACAUUCCAAGAGUAGGAAUGUCGGGCUACCACAGGCACUUAGGCGGCACAAGCUGGACUACCUUGGGUAGGUCCCUAAUUGGAAAUGGAAAUCGACAUGGCUUGAGAAUGAACAAUCACUACUAAAUAGGCAUAGUAGUUGGAUUACAUUUACAUGCAUAUAUCAUAGGGUUGAGACAUGUAGUAUACUUGACAGUUACCUACUUCAUCACAGUGUACUGGGUUGCCAUGAUAGGGCUUAUACAUUAUGUAUGAAUAAAGGGUCGUAACAAUAAACUAUUGCCAUUGGUUGUUUCUCCUUAUGAUAAAAUAGCUGUACAACAUCUUGACAUCUUGCUUAUGAGGGAUAUAGUAGUAUAGCAUUUUACUUAUGCUCUCUCUUUCAGCAGUUUAUUACAUGCUUCUUUCUAUUGCUUGUUGCUAUUACGCUUCUUACCCUUGUUUUUGGGGCCUAGUGGAGCAGGAGCUGAGGUCAGUAAUUGCCCACUGGGAACUAUAAAUUAUAGUUCUCACGCCCUCUUUUUCUUGAUGUUUUUCAGAGCCUUCCACGCAGGGUGAGGCCAGGGAUCGCGGGAAGGGAGUUGCUUCGAGCUAGCUUCCUUCGAGGACGAGUCGCUAGGUGGUCCACCUCUCGAUUUAUGUUUUAUUUUGCGAGAGGUUGAGCGUUUUACCAGUGUACUAGAGACCACCAUUUUUGUACAUUUGAGACAGAUAUUGUACUUCUUAUGACUCCUUUUACUGUCUAGCUUUACUUCUUUACCUUGGUGUAGAUGAUAGAACUAUAUUUGCUCUGAUAUCAUUAGUUGCUAGUUAUUUCACUUCUUCUACUUGUUUUAUUACUUGCUUUUACUUCCGCUUUUAUUGUAGACGUCUUAUAUGUGUUGACAUAUGGCGGGUCUGGGCACGCUACCGGGAGGGCCUCCGCCGGUCCCGGGGCGUGACAAUGUCUACGCCUCUCACUCGACUUACACAUAAAGGAGCUAAAUUCCUGUGGAAUGAAACCUGCGAAAGAAGCUUUCAAGAGCUGAAGGAACGAUUGACCACCGCCCCGAUUCUAGCACUGCCUGUCACUGGAGUAGAUUAUGUGAUUUACAGUGAUGCGUCGCUAAAUGGAUUAGGGUGUGUUCUAAUGCAGAAUGACAGAGUAAUUUCUUAUGCAUCUCGCCAAUUGAAAGAUUAUGAAAAGAACUACCCUACACAUGAUCUUGAGUUAGUAGCUGUGGUAUUUGCUUUAAAACUUUGGCGCCACUACCUCUAUGGCGAGCGUUGCGAGGUUUACACCGAUUAUAAAAGCUUAAAGUAUUUGUUUACUCAGAAGGAAUUAAACUUGAGACAACGUAGAUGGUUGGAGUUGCUCAAGGAUUAUGAUUUGACCAUCCUCUAUUAUCCAAGAAAAGCUAAUGUUGUAGCAGAUGCUUUAAGUCGAAAACCGACGAAAAAUUUGGCGAUGUCGAUAACUAUGCAACCGCUGUUGGUAAAGGAAAUGGAGCAGUUGAAUUUGAAAGUUGUAGCUCCUGACACGCCUUGGAGACUUAUGUCCUUGGUGGUGCGACCUACCCUGAUCGAUCGAAUUAAAGAAAAGCAAGCUCAGGAUGAAUUCCUGCAAAAGAUUCGAGCAAAAAUCACUACUGAUCAUGUUAGUGAUUUUCGAGUGGAUGAUCAGGGACUGUUGAAAUUCGGUGAUAGACUUUGUGUACCGGGAGAUUCUGGUAUUAAAGAAAAGAUUCUAGAAGAAGCACAUCGUGCGCCGUAUUCUGUACAUCCUGGGAGUACGAAAAUGUAUAAAGAUUUGAAGUUAACUUACUGAUGGCCUGGAAUGAAAAAGAAAAUUGCAGAUUUUGUGGCCAGAUGCUUAACCUGUCAGCAGAUUAAGGCUGAACAUGAACUUCCUGCAGGAAAACUACAAAGCUUACCCAUACCAAUGUGGAAGUGGGAGAGGAUCACUAUGGAUUUUAUUAUUGAAUUAUCUCGCUCACAGGCAGGUCACAAUGCCAUUGGGUAAUUGUGGAUAGAUUGACCAAAUCUGCCCACUUUAUUCCGAUUCAUACAGUUUGGUCAAGAGGGAAGUUACCUAGAUGAAAUUGUUUCUGAUUGAGAUAGAUUGACCAAUUCCGAUUCCGAUUCCGAUUCCGAUUCCGAUUCCGAUUCCGAAAUUGUUUCCGAUUCCGAUUCAUACAGUUUGGUCAAUCUAUCUUUGUGGAUAGAUUGACCAAAUCUCGCACAAGUGUACCUAGAUGAAAUUGCGCGAUUACAUGGAGUACCAGCCUCUAUUGUUUCUGAUUGAGACACCCGAUUUGUUUCACAUUUCUGGAGGAGUUUACAGGAGGCCUUGGGUACCCGAUUGGAUUUUAGUACUGCUUUCCACCCCCAGAGUGAUGGGCAGUCCGAGCGUACCAUCCAGACCCUUGAGGAUAUGUUGAGGGCCUGUGUGAUUGAUUACCAGGGCAGUUAGCCACAGUUCCUACCGAUGGCUGAAUUUGCUUAUAACAAUAGUAAUCAAGCAAGCAUUCAGAUGGCACCGUUUGAAGCCCUUUAUGGUAAAAAGUGCAGAUCACCACUUCAUUGGAGUGAAGUGGGGGAGAGAUUAGUUUUGGGUCCAGAUGUGUUACAAGAGGCUGAAGCUAAAGUUCAACUUGCACGAGAACGUCUACUGACAGCUCAAAGUCGACAAAGAAGCUAUGCGGAUAAACGUCGGCGAGAAUUGGAAUUUCAAAUUGGCGAUCAUGUAUUCUUGAAAGUCUCACCAUCAAAGGGGGUUAAGAGAUUUGGUAUUCGAGGGAAGUUAAGUCCUCGAUUUAUUGAACCCUACGAGGUGUUGGAGCGGAUAGGCCCCGUAGCGUAUCGGCUUGCUUUACCGCCGAACCUAUCGGGAGUGCAUAAUGUGUUUCAUGUUUCUACACUUCGAAAGUAUGUUUUUCAUCCAAACCACGUACUUGAGAGUAUCCUAGUGGAUUUACGAGAAGAUUUGAGCUUUGAGGAGCAUCCAGUGAAAAUCCUAACUCGAGAAGUAAAACGGCUUCGAAACCGCGAGAUACCCUACGUAAAGAUACUUUGAAGCAAUCACGAUGAACGGGAAGCCACUUGGGAACUUGAGAGUGCAAUGCAAGAGCACUAUCCCUACCUUUUCUCGACGGAAUCUUGAGGUAAGUAUUUACAAGUUUCGCGGAUGAAACUUCUUUUUAGGAGGGCUGAAAUGUAAUACACUGAACUUUUGCAAAUUGUGGAGUUCGAGUGUGUCAAAUGAUAUGUGGAACAUCCUACAUGUUCUAAAAGGUUUGGACAAGUUUUUGGACAAGUUAGAGAGUGAUUGGAUGUCUAAAAGCAAGAAAGUGCAUUGUUGUGGCCUUUCUCUCGAAUUUUUGCAUUGUGUACCGGUACAACAUUAAUGCUGUACCGGUACAGCAAGCAGUAGAGGCAGCAGGUGUGUGGCAGCAGGGAUUUUUUGGUCUUUUGGCAUCUAAUCGUAUCCCUACAGCUAUCUGGUCGACCCCUGAAGUUGCUGGAAGGCCCUUAGAGCUCAGAACAAGCUUCUUCUCUCUCUUUCUUUUUUUCUCUCUCUAGGGUUUCUCUCUCUCUAAGUAAAAUUCGCCGUUACGCGCCGAUUUUGCGCCGAGCUCGUUGCUCGCUGAUUGGAGGACUCGAGGAAAGUCUUUGGAACGUGGAGAAGAGAAGUUUUGCUGAGUUUCCUGUAAGGUUACCACCAGGAAAAGCUGAAUCCCAGCUUUAGAAAGGUAAUUAGCUCACUAUCUCUCUAGUUUGUGGUUUAAUAUUGGAUUUUGACGCAUUUUGGUUCCGUUGCGCCGUAUUCUGUACAUCCUGGGAGUACGAAAAAGUAUAAAGAUUUGAAGUUAACUUACUGAUGGCCUUGAAUGAAAAAGAAAAUUGCAGAUUUUGUGGCCAGAUGCUUAACCUGUCAGCAGGUUAAGGCUGAACAUCAACUUCCUACAGGAAAACUACAAAGCUUACCCAUACCAAUGUGGAAGUGGGAGAGGAUCACUAUAGAUUUUAUUAUUCAAUUAUCUCGCUCACAGGCAGGUCACAAUGCCAUUUGGGUAAUUGUGGAUAGAUUGACCAAAUCUUCCCACUUUAUUCCGAUUCAUACAGUUUGGUCAGGAGAGAGGCUCGCACAAGUGUACCUAGAUGAAAUUGUGCGAUUACAUGGAGUACCAGCCUCUAUUGUUUCUUAUUGAGACACUCGAUUUGUUUCACAUUUCUGGAGGAGUUUACAGGAGGCCUUAGGUACACGAUUGGAUUUUAGUACUGCUUUCCACCCCUAGAGUGAUGGGCAGUCCGAGCGUACCAUCCAGACCCUUGAGGAUAUGUUGAGGGCCUGUGUGAUUGAUUACCAGGGCAGUUAGCCACAGUUCCUACCGAUGGCUGAAUUUGCUUAUAACAAUAGUUAUGAAGCAAGCAUUCAGAUGGCACCGUUUGAAGCCCUUUAUGGUAGAAAGUGCAGAUCACCACUUCAUUUGUCACGCCCCGAUGCCGCUACCAAUUUGGUCCGGUUCGGGCGCGUCGAACAGACGCCGAACGGACAGCACCUCUCCUGUCCGCCCAAGGCUAAACAACCAGAUCAUGUACAAACAAGCGCCCAGAAAUGCUUAUAUAACAUACAUGAUCGAACAUAGCGCACACAAGUGCAAUCCAUCUAAGAGCAAGAACCACAAGUAAUAUACUAGUGUAUAAAGAGAGAUAGUGUAACUAUUACAUUCAUUCAAUAGUCACAUCAUUUGAUUGCAUUACAUUUUUCAUCUACCAAAAUGUAAAUACAUAUUUUCCUCAAAAUACAAGUAGCUCUCCCAUAUCUAUCGAAACAUCAUCUAGUACACGAGGGUACUCUAAUGCAUAAAGGAAAAGCUACCAACUAAACUCACUUAGGGUGCUAUGCCCUUACCGCGGUCCUCGCUUGACUCGCCUCUGUGUGUACCUGUACUCCAAAACCACACGGGGUGAGAACUAUAUAAAUAUAGUUCCCAGUGGGUUCGGCCGCCGACGCCGCCGGUUUUCCCACUAGGUCUAAGCUGGCACAGAUAGAGAGAUAGAUAGAUAUAUAAAGGUAAACUGCAACUACUCUAUCAUGCCACCAAUGAUAAUAAUGCAUGCAACAACUACUAUCAUGCUAGUAUCAUGUCAUGAGUGUAUAAAGGAGCAUAGUAAUGUAACUACAACAUACACUAUGUCUACUCAAGGUAAUAAUGCAAGUCUACUAUGCAUUUCAUGUUUCUUACCCAAUUCACUUGGUUAACCCGAAGGUUAAACCCUCGACUCACUCUCAAUCUCAUAGGUGAGGAGAAACUGCACUCGCACACCGAGACCGUCUGCGGGACAACUACGUCUGCCCCUAGUGAAGUACUCCGGAGACUCAUGCUUCGAUGGAGCGACCACCGACAAGCAAAACAGACUAGUGAGUAUGAUCCAAUCCUCUCAAGAGGAUACCCUGUCUACUAGGGUCAAUGUGCCUCUGCUGCACAGUCAUGAUAUAUAAUCAAUGUUGGGACCUCUACCAUCCCUAGGUUCAUGUCAAGUUUACUACCUUAGACUCAAUGCCACUCGUUCGAUCAUUGUAGUAAGUUUUCUACUAAUUGACAUGCCACUCGUUCAAGUUUAGUGUCUCUACUACACUAGUCCAAUGCCACUCUACUAGGCUAUGUCCAAGUUCGGCUCUUUAUGCCGCUAUAGGAUUCUAUGCCAUAAGACCCAAUCCUCAUGCUACCCUAGUCUAGGUGUUCAACUCAUAGGUACACUACUAAGGAGCAUGUAAGGAAAAAGGAAAUAUAUAUUUAUUAAUCCUAUAAUGCAAUAUGAUCAACACUUAUGUAACUUAGACAUAAAAAGAAACCCGGAUGUUCCGGAAUGACACCCCCCACCUUUAGUGUUUACGGAGGCUCUAAAAGUGUGCCUCGGCGUCCUUUACGACGAAGCCUCGGUCUUCUUGUCCAAAGCGAUGCUACAAGGCCUCAAAUGAGAUCAAUCCCAUACUUUACCGAAAAACCCUAUUUUGGUGCCCUAGGGUUAGCAUCAAGCUAAACCCACCUCAAAACCCUAGAUUCUAGCUCUAAUCCUUCCAUUCAUGGUGCUAGGGAUCCAUUUGAUCCCAUCCAAAGAGCUAAAACCCAAAAACCCCAAAUCUCACAAGCUAGGGUUAGAAGCUUACCUCUAAGGUGCGUGAGUGACGUGAACCUAUGCGUUGUGGCGGGAGUUGAUUCGAUUGGGUCGAAGUUGUUGAUAAUAUGUUUCUAGUAGUUACUAGAGACAGGUUCAAGUGGUAUUAAUUCUCGACUUGAAGUGGUUGUGUUGGGCGGCCGACAACAUGACACUAAGAGUUUAGAACAAGUACACUUGUCUGCUUCCGCCUAAUUUGCGAUGUUGAGUCGUUUUAUCUCGUAAUUGCGUGAGUUUAACGGGUUAAGAUGAUUGACCAAUGUUUGUGUUUCAGGAGCUGAUGUCCCCGAGACGCUACGUGCGUAGAUCCGUUGCGGCACCACCUCCCGUGGUGCCAGAGCAGGCUGGACCUCCGGUGGCGCCAGAGCCUGCUGGGCCUAGCGAGGUGCAGGAGUUACGAGCGCAAGUUACCGCGCUAACCAGUCAGGUCGAGCGGCUCCAGGAACUUUUGGAGCGGCAAGUGGCGGCGGCGGCCGCGACGGCAGUUGAAGGCCGUGGUCCGCCCGUGCACUCGGCUCGCGCGCCUAAUGCGGCUGAGGGUGUGGGCAUUGCGGCAGCUCCGGCGGCGGCGCAUCCCCCUCCAGCAAGUGUUCCUCCGGCGGCUUCGGGUUCGGCGAUACCCGAUGCGGCGGCCGAGGAGAUGGAGCGAGAGCGUUCGUUGACGGCUAUUAUUAGAUUCAAGAAGUUCAACCCGCCAAUCUUUGAAGGGGAGAAAGUGGAGCCGUCGAUGGUGGAAUCAUGGAUUGACUCAAUGGAGACACUUUUUGAGGAUCUCUAUACCUCGGAGAAAGACAAGGUGUAUCUCGCCACCCAUUGCCUCGAGAAAGCGGCGAAGGUGUGGUGAAAGCGGGUGAAGCGAGAUCGGCCUUCUGACCUUCCACCUAUGUUAUGGGAGGAGUUCAAGAGGGAAAUGUUUGGAAAUUACUUCCCCGACACCGAGAAGCGGAAGUUAAAGGAGAUGUUCCACAAACUGAGACAGGGGGAUCGUUCCGUGGCGGACUACGAGCAGGAGUUCUCCCAUAUCAUAGACUGUGUCCCAGACGUGGUCAAGGAUGACGGGGACAGGGCCGAAUGGUUCUUGCGGGGACUUCGGCCAUGGAUAUAUCGGGCAGUGCAAUUGUUCCAGCUCACGACUUUCGCCGAGGUUUUCAAUAAGGCGCUGUGGGCAGAGCAUGGUGAUGCCCACGUGCGAGAGGAGCGCGAGGCGUCCGAGAAGGACAGGGGAAGAAACGACCUGACGGUAGCUCUGGGGGACAGUCAAGUUCCAAAACGCCCCCGAAGUACCUGAGAAGGCAGUCCGAGAGCCAGGGACCCUUGCGAUGUGUAAUCUGCGGUGGGGAGCAUCGCGCAGGGAAUUGUGAGCAUAAGGCGGGACGGUGCUUCAGGUGUGGUCGGGCGGGGCAUAUUAGCCGUCAGUGCCCAAAGGGAUUGUCACCUGCCCCGACUGCAGCAUCCGCCCCGGCGGCUCCGAGGCAGUUUGGUGGAGUUCCGCCUGCUGCCAUAUCCACGGGACGUGCAAUGGCGCCGCAUCAGCUUGAGGUGACCCGGUCGGCUACGAGUAGUCGAGUGUUUGCCGCUAAAGUGGAGCGACCUGCUGGGGUCGAGGAGCGUUACAUCGUGCCAGGUAUGAGUUAAUUAAAGCAAUCAUAUGCUUCUGCAUGAUGUAGACUUAAGAAAUUGCAUGCAUUUACGUUGUGGCCGUUUGCUACUAUUUGUGCAUUGGUAUAGUAGGGACCAAGUGAACGGGUUGGUGUAGAUACCCGAGCAUGCUUAUGUGGUGAGAGUGUAGCGCCUGCUGGAGCAGGUAGAUAGCUAGAUAGCACUAGCAAAAUGCUGGUGAUGAUUGUUGGACGAAAAGUAAGACUCGUGGUAGAGCGAUCGAUUAGUGGCCAAGUAUUGGCACGUGGGCCUAGUAGUGCCUCGAAUUGAGGUGGGCGAAUCAUGCCAGUGUGGCCGGUGUGCAUAGGCAGGGUUGCGUAAUCCUGGACUUAGAGUACGGCGUAUAGAGCGCUCGAGUGUAGAUACUAGUAGAGUGUGGAUUGGAUUCAGCCGAGAGAGUGUGAUGGGAGUAGCACUUCAGCAUUGCUAAGUGUGAAGCGAGCCAUGAAACUCAUAAGGCUGGCGGCUCGCACUAGGUGUUUAGGAGCCCAUAGUGGUACUUAUAGCUCGAUAGAGUAUGUCGUGUAGGACGACGACGGUGGGUAUCGCUUGGGGACGAUCCGUGCCUAGACCAUUUGUGGACUGUGGAGCCUGGGCCCUUUGGGCAGGCGCAGUUAGCUGUGAGUGACAGCGGGUCGGUGCCUACGGGUAGGGCAGGGUUUUGGUCAGAACGGUAGUCCGAGCUUAGACCCGGGAGCGUGGAAUGCCACGUAUUGGAUCGUGAGAUCGAUGAGAUACCGAGAGUUUGAUUAUGACCCAACUCGAGGACUUGACGUGGUUUGGAGUCAUGGUUGCUCCUGUUCGGAGUGCGUGCGAAUUUUCUAAUGAGAAUUUCGCCCAAUGAUGAUUGGGUCUACGAUCCGAGCGAGAGACGCUAUGCGUAGUUGCGAUAGGUUUAGCCGCUAGGCCUACGUAGUAUUUGUGACCGUUGGUCCCCUGUGGGAGCUGACGUAAUUGGUUCAGCCGAUGACUCUGUGGAUGAGUUGGAGUAAGGAAGUGAAUUCUCGAAAUACGAGAAUUGGACUUCGCUCAAGAUCGACUAAUUGUCGAUUGAGAGUGCUUCGUAAAAGCCGAAGAAGUCAAAUGCACCAAAAGUGCAUUGCAAUGGAGUCCGCGAGAGCAUGGUGCAAGAAUCUAUACUUGGCAGAUUUGCUCUCGGGGACCGGUCCCUGGCGGGAGGGACCGGUUCCCGAACGUUGUCUGCGCAAGCUUGCUCUCGGGGACCGGUCCCAAGAAGGAGGACCGGUUGCCCCGAGGUUGAGGGUUGCGCAGCGCGGGGCAACCGGUCCCCUGGCAGGAAAGACCGGUCCCCGAGCGUGAAACUUGCCCAGGCAGGCUGGGUUAUGUUGGAGGAGUUGGAGAACUUGAAGAUAGCGCUCUUUCGUGGAUUGAGGUUCGAGAGAUGUGCCGCGGUAGGCCAUCUCAUAGUAGAGCAAUCUGAGGUUAGAAGUGGCAAUUGAGAGGUAAGGGAAAGUGGUCUCUUGGAGACACUUGAAUACCGGAUAGCCACAUGGAAUUGUGGACAAUGCUCUCUUGAGGAUUGGAAGUCGAGAUAUGCCGGGGUAGGCCAUCUCGUGGUAGAGCAAGGUCCGAAUGUGGUUAGAACACUCGCGAUUGGGUGAUGCACCAAUGAUAUUGCUUUUGAGCAAUGUUGGUGAUCGAAUCGGAAUGCCCCGAGGAGGAAAGUGAAUGCAAAGAAGAGUUCUUGCAUGCCGAAUGGUGAAUGGUGUUGGAGCACGUAGAGUCGUUGAGCUUCGACUUGCGCUACCACCAAGAAUGGCGGAGACUCGUAAUGCACUUUCGGAGCUACGCUUAGCAAGAGUGAGUGAAUCUAGUCUCACAUCCCCCGUGGUAGACCUUUGGAUGAUUCCAAUGAGUGAAAGGCCACCCCGGAGUAUAAAAGUGCAUUAGAACCCUAUGUCGCUCGAUACGUCGAGUUGAGGUGUGAAUUGGGUUUGAAGUGAGUUAGUUUCGAGGACGAAACUCCUUUUAAGGAGGGGAGGAUGUAAGGUACCGGACUUCUAAAAUUAUGAAGCUACGGUGUAAAUUUGAUUGGAGAGCCAUUUGAAGGGUUCCGGUGAAGUUCGGUGAAGUUUGGAAGCAUCCGGGCGAUUCGGUGCGCGUAGGCGCGAAAACGGGACCCGAAAGACUAUGUCGGACCAUGAACUAAAUUCGGCAUUAGCGGGGAUGAAAAGAUGAUGAAAAUACGCUCGAAAACAUGUUUGGAGAGUCUUGGUUCGAUUUGAAAAGAAUCGGAGGUCAAACGAGCAAAAACGAGCGAAAACGGACCCCAAAAACGAAAAAGGCUGAAAUUUGGCUAAGUCCUAAAAAUGCUGAAAUUCUGGUCCUUCGGGGACCAGUCUCUCACUGCCUGGGACCGGUCCCAAAGUGCGAAAACCACCCAGUUUGGGUUGUUGCAAGGUUGGAGAAGUAAAGGGGCUUAUUUGGAAAUGUUACAAUAUGAGAGGGGGUUAAGAGAGCAUUUUCUCUCUCUCUUUCUCUCAUUUCCCUCACUCCCUCACAUUUCUCUCUCCCUCUCUCUCUCUCUAAAUGAAAAGGAAGAAGAGAAGAAGAAGAGGAAGGGGAAGGAGACAAAGAAGAAUAAGAAGGAGAAGAAGAUCAAGGAGAUCAACUUCUCCAUCUUCUUCAUGAGCUUGGAGUAAGCUUUGGAGAGGUAAGCUUAAGCUCUUUAAUGGUGAUUUCUUAGGGUUGGGUUUUCAUACUCUAAGAAUGGUUUAGAUGGAAUCCUAGCAAGUGUAGUUGAUGUUUAAUACUUGAAUCCAAAGCUUUGAUGGUGGAUUUUCCCUAGUUGCAAUAUAAGGCUCCAAAUGAGGACUUUAAUGGUAGAUCUCUAAAGAGAGGUCUAAAUGCCUUGGAAAUGGUUUGAUUGGAACCCCAGCAUGCUUAGAAGAUGCUUAAUGCUAGGAUUUAGAGAUUUGUUGGAGUUAAUUGCAUGAAUGCAAACCUAGGGUUAAAAUGGGAUUUUUGUAAAUAUAGGGGUUUGAUCUCAUUUGACCCUCUGUAAACCUAAUUGCUAGGUAUACCGACGCGUUGGCGAAGUCGGUUCGUCGAUUCAUCGAGCGGGUGCAAAAAUAUCGAAGAAAAGGCUUGUUGAGGUACAGAUUGCCACAGCUCACGGCGAAAGCUUCCUAAAAUCGCGAAAUCAGAAUCGUGGGCUCGUGGCAUCACCUAAAGGUGGGGGGUGUCUAUCCGAAGAAAUCGGGCUUCCUUCUAUGUCCGAGUUAGAUCUUUGGUCAUAUUGCACAUAUGUUUCUUAUGCAUUAUAGGAUGUAUGUAUUAUUAUAUUUCUACUUUCCUUGAAUGCAUGUCUAGUAUUGUAGUAUUAUGGACUUGACACCUAAAUCUAGAAUGCAUGAGGACUAAGGUUUAGACAUGAGAUCCUAUAAUGAAAAGAAAAUAAAGAACUUGGACUUGAUAAUGAAACUAGUGACAUGUGAACUAGUGUAAUGGAGAUUGUAUGCAUGUAGCAUUAUGAAUGGAUUGCAUGCUAGUUGAUAAUGGCAUAUUAGCAUUAUGAAGAUGUAUACUAGAUGUAUGAUGCAUGUUGGCUUUAUAGAACAUAUAUGCUAGAUGAAAAUGAAUGCUAACCUAUUGUUAAUUAUGGAGAUUAUGAGGCAUGUGGCAUCUAAACCUAGUCUCGUGAACCUAGGAUAGAUUGAGUGGCAUUAACAUAAUGUUGUUAAACAUAGGUUGACAUUAAACCUAGUGUUGUGGAACCUAGAGUUGAUUAGACCUAGGUAAGUGGCAUCGAGAUUUAGUGUGGUUGAGACACUUGACAUGGACCUAGGGAUAGGUUGAUUAUCAAGUGAUGGUUAACCUAGUUGACAGGGUAUCUUCAAUUGGCGAGGAUUGGAUCAUACUCACAUAGUCUGUUUUGGGCUUGUGGCGGUCGCUCCCCACAAGCAGUGCACUCCGGAGUUGUCACACGAGCAGGGUAGCUCACGAGCGGGGUAGCUCAUCGGGUGGGAUACGAGUGGGGUAGCUCCUGUAACGCCCCGGGACCGGCGGAGGCCCUCCCGGUAGCGUGCCCAGACCCGCCGUAUGUCUACACAUAUAAGGCGUCUACCAUAAAGUGGAAGUAAAUGCAAGUAAUAGAACAAAUAGAAGAAGUGAAUAACUAGCAACUAAUGAUAUCAGAGCGAGUACAGUUCUAACAUCUACACCAAAGUAAAGAAGUAAAGUUAGACAAUAAAAGGAGUCAUAAGUAGUACAAGAUCUGUCUCAAAAGUACAAAAGUGGUAGUCUCUAGUACACUGGUAAAACUCUCAACCUCUCGCAAAAAGAAAUAUAAAUCGAGAGGUAGACCACCUAGCAACUCGUCCUCGAAGGAAGCUAGCUCGAAGCAACUCCCUUCCCGCGAUCCCUGGCCUCACCCUGCGUGGAAGGCUCUGAAAAACAUCGAGAAAAAGAGGGCGUGAGAACUGUAAUUUAUAGUUCCCAGUGGGCAAUUACUGACCUCAGCUCAAUGCACCACUAGGCCCCCAAAAAAAAAAGGGUAAGUACAAUAAUAAUAGCAAUAAUAACUGCGAUAUGAAAGCAUAAUUAAAAGGCUAAAUUAUUAAACUCGAGUAUACACGAUGUCAUGGUGAUAUACAUCUACGAUAUCAAAAUAAUAUGACAUUAAUCUUGAAGAAUACAUUAUGCAUAAGUUCUGUCAUGGCAACCAAGUAUGCUUUAAUGCAAAAGGAGACUAUCAAGUAUACUACAUGUCUCAACACUAUGCUAAAAGCAUAUAAAUGUCAUUCAACUACUAAACCUAUCUAGUAGUGAUUAACCAUUCUCAACACCGUGUCGAUUUCCAUUUCCAAUUAAGGACCUACCAAAGGUAGUCCAUUUGUGCCGCCUAAGUGCCUGUCGUAGCCCAACAUCCCUACUCUUGGAAUGUGUCUGUCCCACUCGACCCCGUAGGCUUCUCAAUACCGCACGAGCGAACAUAAGUCGCGUAGGCUAACUCCGGAGUGCCGGCUUGUAGGGAGCGACCCUCACAAGCAUGUGCGAAUGAGCACAAAUGGCAAGCAAGCAUAGUCCAAGUCUCAAAUAUCCAAUCCUCAUGUCUCUAACAUGGUAUGGUCACUAGCAUCCCGAAGAUCUGGUUUAAGUCACAAUGUGAAGUUUCAACAUUUGCUACGCCUAGUGCCCCUUGAUGACACUUAGGCAAUUUGAUGUUCAACAUGUAUUCCAAAUCCCUCAAUGGCCCUAUCCGCUAGGUUCUCACAUGUCCCGAGGUCAAUGCCGCUUGAUGACAUUAGCUCUCUAGUUCACAUACUUUCUAAAUGGCAAUUUUAUCAACUUUCACGUCACAAGUAAACUUAAGUUUAAAUACAUGAAUCCGAACUCAUUUACACUAUAGAAGCAUGAAACCAAGUCUCAUAAAGAAUGCUAAAUGCAACCAUAGAUCUCCCAAGCAACUCUCUACUACAUAGAGGUCCAAAAUUUCAUCAUAUGUAACAUAUGCAUUUUAAGCAUUCUAAAAUUCACAAUAAAUACGUAUAACAAGAAUAUGCAUGCUUUUUCAUUUAACGAUACUUAAUUAAGCACAAAUGAGAAUUCCUCAUUGUGUGGCUAGGUCAAACCCACCGAACUGUCGCGUAGCGCCUCGUUUCGCCGAACAAAGUUGUCUCCGGGUCUCAAAAUACCCUAAAAGUAUUGAGCGACAAGAUACACGGGCAUUACGAUCAACUAUAAGCUCAAACAUUAACCUAGAAGCAAAAAGGGCCAAAACUCGCCUCAAGAGUAGAAAAUCUCUCUCAAGCUCCAAAAGAGAGCUAAAUCCCUUCCAAUCCAAGUCCAAGGAAGGUUCUAAACCAACUAAUUUAGGUCCAAAAGCCCUAGAUCAAAAAUGCCCAAAUAUGAGCCCUAAAACCUCAUCUAGGGUUUCAUCUCAAAGAAACCUCCAAAAUUCAAAUCUAGAGGAAAAGAUCUAGUCACUUACCUCUAGGAAGCUUCAAACCAAGCUCAAAGUGCUCAAACUUCAAGGAUCAACCCUCAACCAAGCAUAAACCCAAGCUCCAAUGGUGGGAAAAGCCUCCAAUCAAGCAAAAAAAAGCAAAAAAGAGGUUUAAUCUCUUAAAAUCCUACCAAAAUCCAAAUAGAUCAAAAGAAAAUCAAAGAGGGCUCCCUUACCUCUCCUCUUGCUGGUCCCAAGCUCAGGAGAAGACCUCUAGGGCGUGGGGGGUACUAAUAAGAAGUUCACAAUCGCAAAAAGCCCCCUGCAGUUCAAAACGCACGAAAUCAGCCCCCUUGUACCGGUACACGGGCUCUUGUACCGGUACAAGGUCCACGAAAUCCAAACCCGAGUCUCGGGUUGCUAGGCUCUGCGGCUCUGUACCGGUACAAGCUCCGAUGGCUGUACCGGUACAACCAUCAACCUUGUACCGGUACAAGCACAGCCUUGUACCGGUACAAGCCUGCCAGAACUCAAUCCGAGAGUCAGCCAAAUCCCCUUUUUUCGGGUUUUGGUGCAAGGCUUUGUACCGCAAAUCUCGGGACACGUGCCAUAGGUCGGAACACAGUCAACGACCCACCAGAAAAUCUGGAAAAGCUCAGAACACGGCCAAUCACUCGAACCUCGCAAUUUGCAAAGGUCCAGUGUGCUACAGCUCCCCACCCAUUGGACUGGGAAGUGAGUCGGGAGAAGGGCGGGGUAGCUCUUCUCCUGUGAGAUUUGAGCGGGGUAGCACUUUACCUCUGAGCGGGGUAGCUCUUUACCUACGAGCGGGGUAGCUCUUGACCUAUGAGUUUGAGUUAGAGUCGGGGCGAAGAGCGGGGUAGCUCUUGCCCUUAGGCAUUUGAGUCAUGAGUUGGGCGAGGAGCGGGGUAGCUCUUCACCUAUAAGACUUGAGAUCUGAGUCGGGUAAGAGCGGGGUAGCUCUUUACCUAUAGUGUUAGAGUUGUGGGACGGGUGAAACAAGGGCGGGGUAGUCCUUCACCUAUGUGAUUUGAGACAAGGGCGGGGUAGCCUAGUAGAUUGGGUAAAGACAUGAAUUGCAUAAGUGGAUCCGCAUUCAUACCAUGAUUAGACAUAGUACACUGCAUAACUAUGUUGUAGUUGUAUAUAUUUCAUUGUUAAAGCAUACUAGCAGGAUAAAUGAUGUUGCAUGCAUUCCUUGCAUUUGGUGGCAUAGUAGAUAUAGUAGCAGUUUAUUUCUUAUAUCUCUCUAUCUAUCUAUCUGUCACGCCCGGGACGAUGCCAAUUUGGCCGACCGAGCACGUCAAACAGACGCCGAACAGACAGAGUUUCCUAUCCGCCAAGGCUCAUCACAUGUUACAUUUUCAUCAAUAGAGAAAAGCACUAGCGGAACAUACACAAAACGGCUUACACGAGGGUAAGCAAUAGCCAUUAGUGAAAGAAAAAGGAACGAAACAUUCACAGUAAUAUGAUUCAUUUUAGAUCAUAUACAUUGUAUCUAUCCAACUUGAACAUCCAAAAUCUUUCAUUCUUUCAUCAUUUCUUUACUACAUUUACCUCAAAAUGAACAUUACAUUCUUUUCUUUACUUUGCUUAUACAUCAACAUCUUAAAUCAUCAAAUACAAAAGAUGAUAAAAGGGAAACUACUAACAAAAUGUAACCCAACUCCGGUGGCCUCUGAUACGGUGCAUACCUUUACCGCGGUCGCUCGCGGCUCGCUCGGUCCCGGCUCUGUGGAAAUAGUGGGUGAGAACUACAACAAAGUUCCCAGUGGGUUCGGCCUCAACAUCACCGACUUUCCCACUAGGACUAACUCAGGCAUAAUAGAAGAAAAUAGGCUGUAAAUAGUAACCAAACUAUACUUAAUGCUAAUAUGCCUGAACAAUUAGCAGGAAUAUUGCUCAACAUUAACAAAUGCAGGUUAUGCAUGUUCUUUAGUUCUUUGCACUUUACACUUUGUUCUUUCUCUUUGUUCUUUAUUCUUUACUCUUAAUCAUUAAGGCUAACCCGGCGUUCGCCACAUUAACUUGCUUCACAUUAAGUCCAUCAUCGCAGGAACUCACCAGCUAGGACCGUCCUUACGGGUUUACUCCAACCCGGAUGCAUAACUCCGGAGCGCAUCGCCCGAGGGGGAGCGACCACCCUCGAGCACGGAACUCAUAGCAAGUAUGAUCAUAUCCUUAACUCAAAGGAUUAUAAGUUCAAUCUUGACUUUACACUAGCUCUAGUGUUCUUUACAUCACUUUAUGUUGCAAGCUCAUGCAAUCACAUUCUUUACAUUUUCAUUACUCUUGCUAACUCUAGCAUUCUUGUUCUUAUUGCCCACUUUACUUUAACUUUACACUUGGUCACUUUCUUCAUUCUUUACAUCACUUUAGUUCUUUACAUUACACUAACUCUAGUGUCAUUUCACAUUAGCUUCAUCGAAUGCCACUCGAUCUAUGUCAUUGUGUCACUCUGUUCUUUUGCUCACUUUGGGUGCUCACAUUUUUUCUCAUGCAUACAUCUAGGGUUUUGACAUUAUUAGGUUCUCAACCAUCUCAUUAUGCAAGUUGUGUUCACAAUCAUGCAAUCAUCACAUUUCAUCAUUACUUUACCCUAAUAUGCAUGCAACAAUAUAAAUUCAUAUGCUCAAGGAAUGACACAUUAGGCAUAGAGAGAAUUUCAAUGAGUUUGAGAAGCACCACCCACCUUGUAGGUCACUUUAGGUGCUUCGACGAUUUUCUUGGGAUUUUUAAUCGCCCGGUUCACUACCUGCGGCAAAACGAACCCCUAUUAGGCCAUUUUGCCCAUAACUUUUCAUCGGCUUUUCGUAACGUUAAUCCGAGCGCACCAACGCGUCAGAAAUACCCCCAAUUAGGUUUUUAGAGGGUCAUUUGCACUUAGAAACCCUCAUGAGCAAAAGCCCCAAUUUGGUGCCCUAGCUCCAAUGCAUAUACAAAACCUAGGGUUUGAUCUCAUUGGGAAGCAAAAGUAGCUUCAUUAUACUCUAAAUAGUCCAUUAGAACCAUUCUUAGCCUUUCCAAAACCCUAGUUUGGAUUUCACCAUUAGAGGUGGUCCAAGCUCACCUCUAAAGCAAACCUAGGUUUUGAUCUCUAAAGAAGCAAAGAGAAAGCUUCAAAAACUCUAAACAAUCCAUUAAAACCAUUUCUAGGUUCAUUCAAGCCCAUUUCUAGGAUUUUAGCAUGAUUAGGGUUGAAGCUUACCUCAAAGCUUUCCCUAACUUGCACUAGAGAGGAAGAAGAUGAAGCCUCUUUGCUCCAAAAGCUUCUUCUUCACCUUCUUCUCCUUCUUUUCCUUCCUUUCUUUCCUUCUUCUUCUUCUCCUUUGCCUUCUAGAGAGAGAGAGGGAGAGAAGAGAGUGUUUGAGAGGGUGGGAAUGAGAGAAAAUCUCAUUAACCCUCAAUACAUAGCUAUUGGGUUGCAAAAUUGCAGCUAAACCCCUCAACUUUCACUUUAAUACACUGCCCGAACUGGGCAUUCCGCGCAGGCAGAGACCGGUCUCCCCGAGCAGGGACCGGUUCCCGAACGUUGUCCCAGCGCAGCCAGAGCUGCUGCGCGCAGUGCAACCGGUCUCUCCUUAUGGGACCGGUCUCUGGGGGACCGAUCUCUCAGGCAGAGACCGGUUCCCGAGAGCUGAUCUUCCAGGACUUAGCCGAUUUUUCGGCUGUCUCAUUUCAUACGCGUUCGGGGACCGGUCUCUCCCCUCAGGGACCGGUCCCCGAGAGCUGAAAAUCUGCAGCUUUGCAGAAUUCAAUUCUUUAGCUCUCGAAAACCUUCCACAACUCACUUUUAAUCAUUUUAACACCUUCGGACUUUCCGAGGUGUUCCAUCCUCGCACUUUGGUCAAUGUGACUAAAGUUCGACAUUUUAUUUUCCGAAUUUUCGGUAUAUUACACUAUCUGUGCCGCUUAGACCUAGUGGGAAGAUCGGCGGAGUCGGCGGCCGAACCCACUGGGAACUAUAUUUUUAUAGUUCUCACCCUGUGUGGUUUUGGGGUACAGGUACACACGUGAGCGGAUCGGUAGGUGAUCGCGGUAAGGGCGUAGCGCCCUAGCUAGCUAAUAGAGCUUUCCUAUUGUACUAGAGCACCCUCGUGUGCAUGGUUAUAGAUGACAUGAUGUAUUUUAGAUAGCUAGCAUUAUAUAUAUGUGAGAUGAUUAUGUAUUCAUUUUGGAAGCUUAAAUGUAAUCAAGUUGUAUUAAAGGUUGAAUGGAUGUAAAUGUUGAAUGUCAAAUGUGAUGUAAUAGAUAGUUAUAUCUCUCUUUUAUUCACUUGUUUAUACUUGUGAUGCUUGCUCUUGUAAUGUUCGGCAUUGGUUGUGCCCUCGCUAUUGUUUUGAUCAUGUAUGUAUUCAAGUUGAUUUCCUGGGAACUUGUUGUACAUGAUCCUGUUGUUUAGCCUUGGGCGCACAGGGGAGGUGCUGUCCGUCCGGCGUUUGUUCGACAUGCCCGAACCGGACCAAAUUGGUAUCGGUCUCGGAGUGUGACAGGUACAGCCACCGGGCUUGUACCGGUACAGGGCCGCAGAACCCCACAACCCGAGCCUCGGGUUUGGCUUUUCGUCAGUCUUGUACCGGUACAAGGACCCGUGUACCGGUAUAAGGCGGCAGAUUUCGUGCAGUCCGAACAGCAGGGGGUUUUUCGCGUUUGUGCCUAAUCUAUUUAGCACCCACGCCCCUUAGGGCUUCUUUUGUGCUGGAACCUGAGGAGGAGAAGGUGAGAGGAGCUCUACCUUGCUCCAUUUGGUUUUGAUCUCCGUUUUAGAUGGAUUUUGGUGGAUUAAUCAUUUUCUUUUCUCUUUUUAUGCUUUUCCCACCAUUGAUGAAGCUAGAAGCUUGGAUUUGAGGCUUGGUAGAGGUGAGAUCUUUGGACUUAGAAGGUUUAGAGCUUGGAUUGGAGCAUUUUAGAGGUAAAUGACUUGUUCUUUCCUCUAAAUUCCUAGCUUUGAUGAUUUUUUUUGGAAUUAAACUCUAGAAUGAGGUUUUAGGGCUUAUUUUGGGCAUUUUGAAUCUAGGGCUUUUGGAGCUAGAUUGAGUGGAUUAGAGGCUUCCAUUAGGUUGGAUUGGAAGGGCCCUAGCUCUCUUUUGGAGCUUUAGACGAGAUUUUUGCACUGGAGGUGAGUUUUCCUCACCUAUGAUUGUAUAGCUUAAUGAUUGAGCUUAGCGUUGUUCGUAUGGUUCUUGUGACACUUAUUCUUAUACCUUUAGGGUGCUAGGAGUGUGGAGGACACCCUCGUUGGAGCAAACGAAGAGUUUCGUUGUCAUCGGUGGGUUUGACUUCAUGAAAAUAGGGCAAAAUGGCCCCUAUACUUUCUAAACUUUUCGUAAAGUAUUUUUGAAUGCAAAUUCAUGCUAAACAUGAUUUAUGUGAAUUUUAGAACGCUUAAAAUGCAUGCCUCAUGUAUCAUAAAAUUUGCACUCUAUAUAGCAGAGCUAUAUGUGUAGAUUGCAUGCAUUGUGAAUGGUGUUUGGUUUUGCAAGUUGAGAACAUGUCUCUAUGUUAGAAUUGAGUGGAAUUAUGCAUCAUGAACAUAUUGAUACCAUGUUUGGACUCGUUGAAUAAAAGUGUCAUAAAGGGGCACUAGAAUUAGUAAACUAUGAAAUUGCAACAUAGAGACAUAUUGAUAGGCCAAUACAUAUCUGCUCUAUUCCAUGUUAGAGACAUGACGACAUAGAGAUAGGCCAUGGGGACAUUCGAUGUAUUCCAGGUUUUAGACAUAAUGACUUGAGAGAGACGGAUCAUUGCUUGCUUGCCAUUUGUGCUCAUUCGCACAUGCUUGUGAGGGUCGCUCCCUACAAGCCGGCACUUCGGAGAUAGACAUCGCGACAUAUGCUUGCCCGUGCCGGAUUCGGCGCCGAAGUGGAUUGCCAUGGGGGAGGCUCAUCCCUAGAGUGGGGAUGUUGACUACCACGGGGCCAUUAGGCACGGCGCAAGCCAGACAGCCUUCGGGUGGGUCUUAUAUGAUUGGGACUUAGUGACAGAACAUACUAUGUGAACUUGAAAACUAUUAAAGUGGACUUGGACUAGAAUAGUAAACAAUGACAUCUUUACUAUUUUUGCGUUGAGGACAUCGGAUUAGUUGCAUUCUAUGCUUAUGCAUGUCAUACACAUCCAUGUACAUUCAUGAUAUCGUUGCUUAUUACUUAUGCAAACCUGCUAAGUAGAGACCUUAUGUUAUAGUAAAUUACAUUGUAUUUACCUUUCGCUUUACUACAUUGUUAGUCACUGACCACUUUCCUUGUAGCUUUGGGCCUUGUGGUGCAUUCACUGAAGUCAGUAAUUGCCCACUGGGAACUAUUUUUAAUAGUUCUCACGCCCCUGUUUUCUGGUUUCCUUUCAGAGCCUUCUGCACCGGCGGAGGCACGGGAUCGCGUAGCUAGCUAGCGAGGAGCGGUUCUUUGCCUAGGUGGUUUACUCUUUCUUUUUGUAGAUGAGAGAGAGUGAGAGAUUUUGUAUUCAUGUAUAGAGACCACCUAUGUAUCUACUUUUAGCACUUGUAUUUGGGAUUUUCUUUGUACUACUUUAUGCGUUUAUUAGUGGAUUUCAGCUGUACUCUUCUUACCUUGAUGUAGAAUUUAGACUUUAAUCAUGCUCUGAUACUCUUAGAUGUCUAUUAUUAUUGCUUUUAUUAUCGCUGUUUUUAGACGCCUUAUAUGUUUUAGACGUAUGGCGGAUUUGGGCACGUGCCGGGCAGGCUUCCGCUGAGUCCCGGGGUGUGACACUCCGGAGCUCAUCGCUCGAGGGGGUGCGACCACCCUCAAGCCAAGAUUUUUAGGUGAGUAUGAUUCAAUCCUUAACUUUAAGGAUGUCAAGUUCAAUCCAUUCCUUAACUAUAAGGAUGCUGUGUCACAUAUGCCAUUUUCUAGCAUUCUAUAACUUUCAUUAGUACCACACACUAAAUGUUCUUUAUUCUCAUUCUCAUGCAUUCUUGACUGGUCAAUGCCACACACACUAUGUGUUUAUCUCUUGAAUUCAAUACUCUUUGAUGCCACACUUGUACACUAGCAUUCAAAAUUCAUUGAUGCCACUCUACUAUCGAUGUCAUAAUGUCAUUUGUUUUCUAUGUCAUCUAAAUCUUUGUCUCCAUUCAUGCAUAUAUAGGGUUUUAUAUGUUCUCAAGAAUUCACAAUAUUUUAUAUGCAUCUUAUACUCAAAGCAUGCAAUCAUAUAUACCCACUCACCCUACAAUGCAUGAUGCUCAAUAUACACAUAUGGUCAAGAAAUGACAUUUUAGAUAUAAAAGAAAAUUCGAGGAUUUCGAAAAGCACCACCUACCUCGUAUGGUUGUAAAGGUGCUACGGUUCAAGUUUCGUGAUUUUUGGGCGCCUAUUCUCUCGCCUGCGGCAAAACGAAGCCAAAUUAGGCUUUUUCUCAAUAACUUUCCGUAGAUUCGUCGGAUCGGCGAACCGAGUCUACCAACGAGUUAGAAAUACCCCCAAUUUAGUUUCUACAAGGUCAAUUUACUUUCAAACCAACCUAGGGCAAAAUCCCCAAUUUUGGUGCCCUAACAAUGCUAUAUAGCAUCAUACACCACUUUGAUCUCUAAGAUAAGCAAAAAUAAGCUUAACAUCCCCUAGAAACUCAUCUAGAUCCAUUUAAAACUAUUUCUAGGGCAUUUGAACCAAACCCUAGGCAUCUACCAUGAGAGCUCAUGAGCAUACAUGGAUUUUCAUGAGUUUCUAUGGUCUUUACUAGGUUUCCCAUUAUGUAAGAAAAGCACUCUAAGCCCAAAAGCACUCUAAGCUCUACCUUGUAGGAGAGCCCUAGACCCUUCAAAACACCAAAUCUCCUUCAAAUCCACCUUCAAAUCUCCUCUUGAUCCAUCUCUAAGAGAGUUCCUAGAGAGUGAGAGGGAGAAAAAUGAGAGAGGAAGGUGUGUUAACUGCUGUGAAUGAGAAGGGAGGAGGAGGGAUACUUUUAUAAGCUGCUACAAUAGCAAAUAGACCCUCCAACUCUUUCUUAUUUGCAGCAGACCAACCUGCUGUUUCGCAGCACUGCAUACCGGUACUUGGGGGGCGUCACCGGUACGCCCCUGUUCAACUGCCCAAACCCGAGAGCUGCUAUUUCUCGAGUUGGCGCAGGGUACCGGUACUACCUAAUUUAGUCACCGGUUAAUAGCUUAACAGAGGCCAAACCCAAGAGCUGCUGCUCUCGGUUUGCAGCCCGUUACCGGUACUGUCCUGGUGCUUCACUAGUUAACAAUGCUCCAAACUUGAGUUUGGCAGAGCUUCGGCUUCAUUUCGCGCCGAGCAAUGCUAAAAAACCAUUCAAACUAACUUGAAACUCAACUCCAACCCUUCCAGCAUUGUUGGAAUGUCAACUGGACUUUGUCCAACUAUAUCUCUCGCACACUUUGGUCAAUUUGAUUAAAGUUCGAUAUAGUCUACCGGAGUUUCGGUAUAUUACAUUCUCCACCCCUUAAAAUUAGUUUCGUCCGCGAAACUAAAUACUAUCUUAGCUCGUCGACUCAAAUAAGUGAGGAUACAUCUUUCGCAUAGUCUCCUCGAGCUCCUAAGUGGCUUCACGCACCGCAUGGUUGCUCCACUGGACCUCUUUACAUAUGGAAUUGUGCGACUGCGUAACUUCCUUUCCUCUCGAUCGAGAAUACAAACCGUAUAUUCCUCAUAAGUCAUAUCCUUACUCAAUUCUACCAGGUUCGUACUCCAACACAUGCGUCGAAUUUCGGAUAUACUUGCGGAGAUUUUGACACAUGAAACACAUUGUGAACUCCCGCAAGCCUCGGUGGUAAUGCAAGCUUGUAUCCGACCGCGCCAACGUGCUCUAAUAUCUCGAACAGUCCAACAUACCGGGGACUUAGCUUCCCACGGUGUAAGGUACCGGACUUCUAAAACUAUGAAGUUACGGUGUACAUUUAAAUGGCUCCGGUGAGGUUGCGACGGAAUGUAACAUACCGAAUUUUAAAUAUAAAAGUGAAAAUAAAUAAAAAUAGUAUGAGAUACUAUUUUUAUUGGAUUUAGAGAAGUGAAAUAUAAGUUGGGAAUGACCUGUGCUGAAAUCGGAGCGACAACAGAAGAUUUAGAAUUUUCUGUAAGAAACGGGGCAGAUAAAUUAGCAGAAAAUGCACAGUGUCAGAAAAUUAUGAAAAUUAGCGGAGAUAUCAGAAAUAUUUUUAUGAUACUGGAUUUAAAGUUCCAUGCCAUUCUGACACCCGGAAGGUGAAAAAUAGAAUCCGAAAGCUAUCUGAUAAAGAUUGCAGUUCGGUACAGUUUUCAGUGACCAAACGGGGUCGAAACUCAAAUAUUAAAAUUUCUUUGGACUCGUUAAGUGAGACCGAACAUGACUGUCAAAUUUGAGCUCAAACGGAUGUUCAGGGAGUUCCGGCGAAAGAUAUCAGAUUUCGAACUGCCUGGAGUGAAUAGUAUUUUGGGGGAGUUUACUUGGAGGUGAAGUUUCCUCCUAUAUAUAUAUAUAAGGGUGUUAUGUCAUUUCCCUCAUUCCUCUCUAUUUGAGCCAACAUAAGAGAAAUCUCUCUCUCUCUCUCUCUCUCUCUCUAGGAUUGGCUCCAAAGUGUGGAGUUGGUAGAGAAAAGCUUACUUAAAGGUGAAGCUUUCCUUUUCUUCACCAUUGGCUUGAAGAGAGCUUGAGUUUGAGAGGUAUGCUUUGUUAGCAAUAAUGGUAGAUUGCUAAGUAAUGAUUUGUAUGUCUUAGAAAUGGGUUUAGUGAAACUCCUAGAUGCUAAAUAGAUGGUUGAUGCUCGAAUUUUGAGAUUAAAUGAUGAAUUCUUGCAUAGUUGCAUCUUAGGGCAUCAAAAGAGCGGUUUUUGCUUGUGAGGGGUUUUGAUCUAAAUUGAUCAUGUAUAAACCUAAUUGCUAGGUAAACGAACGCGUUGGGGAAGUCGGUUCUGCGAUUCGUCGAGCCUACGCGAAGUUAUUAAAGAAACGGACGUUUAGGUUUCGUUUCUGCAUAGAGGGCCGAGGCGACGUCGUAAAAUCAUGGAAAUGGAUUUGAAGCAUCGUGGCACAUAACCGAAGACCUAUAAUUUUCAGGGCUGCGAAGCGGAGCACGGUUGAGGCGCAGUUGCAGUAUCGGGCCGUGCCGGAUACGGGUGCCACGGGAGGCCGAUUGCAAGUGUCGACAAUCAAUCGGAACGCGAAUUAAGGUGGGUUGUGCUUACCGAAGCGAUUAGGUCGCCCUUUAUGUCUAAGAAACUAAGAAUCCAUGUUGAUGCAUAUAAAUGUAAAUGAAGCAUGUAAAUGAUGCAUGUAGCUAAAUAAUGCAUGUUGAUAGUAUGAUGUAAAUGCUAAAUAGAAUGCAUUAUGAGCAAGUUACAUAAUGCUAAAUAAUGUAAUGUAGAAAUGCUAGAAUGCAUUAUGAGCAAGUUACAUAAUGCUAAAUAAUGUAAUGUAGAAAUGCUAGAAUGCAUAAUGAGCAAGUUAUAUGAUGCAUGUUUAUAGUAUGAUGUAAAUGCUAAGUAGAUGCAUAUAAAUGAUAUAUGAGAUUAUAAACGCAUGAUUAGCAUUAUGAGAUCAUAGAUGCAUGCUUAGCAUUGUGAGAUUAUAUAUGCAUAUGAACUUGGUUGAUAACUCUAGCUUGAUUAGAGAGAUAACAUUGGAAAAUGAGAAUUGAUAACUCUAGAAUGAGUAGAAUGCUUAAUUGGACAAUUAGUAUGUGAAUUAGAUCGAGUGGCAUCUAACUUAGUGUUAAGGAACAUAGGUCGUGAGUAGACCUAGAAUCAAAUAGAUCGAGUGGCAUCUAACCUAGUGUUAAUAAACAUAGGUCGUGAAAUGAAAAGUACUUAACCUAGAGUCAAGUGAACCUAGGUUGGAAAGAAUAAUGAUCCUAGUGUAAUAAACCUAGGUUAAGAAUGUGAAAGCAAUAAACCUAAUGGGUGAACUUAGGUUGAGUAAAGGCUUAGACCUAGAGAGGUCAGUUCCAUAGGGUUAAGACCAACCCCUAUGUGAUGUGAAAUGGAUUCCGGAAUCCCAAGGCUAAAAGGAUACACCCAAAGUGGUGUCGGGUGUGUGCGACGAUUUCGCCGCCCAAGGGCUAAAGAACCAUUGUCGUGGCGUGUGCGACGAUUUCGCCGCCGGAUGGUUAGCCAGUUUGUGGAUCCUACCGCCUGUUGAUUGAACCACUGUCGUGGCGUUUGUGCGACGAUUUCGCCGCCGGGUGGCUUAGUCAUGGACCUAGGCCGUUGUUGGGUGAGGUGCGAUUCGUUCGCCGCCAGACGGCUAGGAUAGGAGUACGGUGAGCUGUUGCCAGCUGAGGUGCAUGUGAGAGUUCCUUCACCUCGAGCUAGAUAGUGCGCGGACUAUCCGCGAUUGAUUGACUCGAAGCCGAGUCGGGUGGUUAGCUAUGAUAGGGUAGAGGAACCCUUAUGAGCUAGAGAUAGAGGCUUGAGCUAAGGUAAUAGAAACCUUAGAAGCCAGUGGUUAGUGUUGUGAUCCUAAGGUAAUAGAAACCUUAGAGUAAAGUUAUGAGCUAAAGUAGCCAAGUAUAAGUAGAAUUCAAAUGAUCUACUAGUUGCAUGAUUUUCAUAUCUCAUAUCGUGAGGCAUGGCAUGUAUAUUUCAAUUGAAAAUAUAUGUCUGUUGUAUAUUGUUGAACUAACAUAUUGCAGUGCCUCCUCGGACCUAUCGGUCGAUCUUUUCCCUUAGGUGGCCGUACCCACUGGGAACCAUGGAGUUGGUUCUCACCCCACGUGGUUUUGGGGUGUUUUCAGGUUGUUCGUGCGCGGCGUGGUGGCGCGAGGCAAGGGCGUAGCUCAGUAGAUAGCGCCCCACCACAGAGACCGAGGUAGCAGUACCGUGAGACAGUCUAGCUUAGGGGUCUAGAAGACAAGAAAAGAAAAUGUAUCAAACUUGAUAACUCUGAUGUAAUAGCGAGAUUGUAAUUUGGAAGUAAAAAUGUAAACAGAAACUGUGAUGUAAAAAGUGGUUGUAAAAUGAAUGCAUGUAAUAGCAAGUAGAUUAUGUAUUUGAUACUUCCUUAUGCAAUCUGGAUUGAUAUCCGUUCCUAGUUGGAACAUUCGUUGAUUGUUUGGAUUGCGACGCCUUGGACGUACUGGGGAGACUCUGUCCGCGUACAAAGGAAUCCCCGGUCCGUUCGGUGGUCUGUCGUCGGCGCCGCGACCCUGUCCAAAUAGGCGGUUGGUCGCAGGGAGUGACAGAUAAGAUGGUAUCAGAGCAUAAAGUAGAGAAUGGGCUAUGGUUUAGCUGGACCUAGGAGACCUAGGAUAGUAAACCAUAGGAGAAUAAGGCUCGUGAGAGACGAGGACUUGUGAAUUACGGCGAAAGAUUGAUCGAUUGGGUCAGGUUAGUAACCCUCUGAAACGGAUGUUAGAGGUGGAUUCAAGGUUCAGUUUAUUCUCAGCCGAGGAUGUUCAUGUUGGGCAUGCACAACAUGAAACCGGGUGAUGAGAAUAGACGUCCUUGCGUGACUUUCGCCCGAUUUGAGUCAGUGUUAGUUGUCUCGUGUUCGACCCAGAGGGUCGAGGGUUGAACGAGUUGUCGUGCUUUAGGAAGCGAUGGCAUCGUGUAGGCGAUCAAUAUAAAGAUCGGCGCGGGAUGAGACAAGUGGUGUCCCUAAGCAAUCUGAAGCGAGCGGAGAAUUGAAACUUCGCUAUCAAUUGGCCACACUCGUGGGAGUGGUGAGGCCACGAGUCGGUGGUGCAGCGUCAGUAGGAGACUACCAUACACCAAAGGGAUCGUGUAAGAGGGACUCCAAGAGUUGGUGGACCAGUGGUGAUCGCACUAGUUUCGGCUCGUCGAGUAUGGCCGGGAGUCGCGGUGGAGGUGUUUCCGUCGGGGUUGGGUGAUCCGACUUCUAGCAGUUCGUUGGUGGAGGCAGUGAGGAGGGCGAGCUUUGGUGGCCCUCAUGACCUUCAAGCUAUUGGAUCCACCCACCUUUGGUGGAGAGGAUGCGGAUCCAUGAACCAUGGAGUUGUGGAUCGACUCCAUAGAGACUCUCUUUAAGGGUCUAUGUGCUGUGGAGCGGGAUAAGGUACGCCUAGCCGUGCGUUGUCUGAAACAAUCGGCGAUGGUGUGGUGGAAAGGCGUCAAGCGGAUUUGAUCGCCUAGUUUCCUUCCUGUCGCUUGGGAUGAGCUUCGGGAUUUGUCGUGUUCUACUUCCCCGUACCCCGUACCCGAAGUUUGCCCAGUCUGGGCAGUGCACAUUCUUGAGUGCAAUUGCAAUCCCUAACCUCGGAGGUGUCUUGUGUUAACUUCUUCAAGAUACGGGAUUACCGAAGUUCUCACCAGGCGCGGUGGGGUGCGCUGCGUGAUGAGAUCUGCAUUCGUAUGGGCGAUGGCCAAGCCAUAAGCGAGGGGAGUGCCGCUGAGGGAUGAUCAGACCUUAGCGUUAGCGACGGCCUCCUCCUCCCCGAGACAGCCUGUGCGUGUGUCACCUGCAGCAUGGUUUGGAGGGUGAGUGAUAAAGAAGUGACAACCUGAGGGUUCGCGGCGAGCGCCAGGUGGCCAUGGAUAGCGACCCGGUUUGGGGAGCCUGCUGCUGCCGAGGAUAUCGCGGCAGAUGUGAUUUAGUUAAAGCAAGCAGGUACUUUUGCAUGAUCUCAAGUUGACGCAUUGUGUCUUUGCCCUGUGGUCAUUUACUGCUAUCGAUGCGUCAGAGUGGCAGGGACCAAGUGGACGGGUAAGUGUAAAUGCCCGGGCAUGCUUAUGCGGUGAAAGUGUAGCACCUGCCGGUGCAAGCAAGGAGCUAUAUGGCACUAACAAGUUACUAGUGAUAACCAGGUGAUAAGACUCAUGGUAAAGGUGGAGAUGGGGAAAUGACUCUCGAGGCAACGAUUAGUGGAUUGCGAGGGUUGAACCAUAAUACCUGUAGACACGCGAGUAAUCCGAGAAUUUCGGAUAUUGUUCCGAUAGAUCGAACGGUGAAAGGAAAGUCAUUGUUGAGAGAGUAACUGGUUAGUUACCAAGUUGUGGCACGUGGGCCUAGUAGUAGCACCUCAACUUGAGGUUAGAAGUUGUGCUUAUUUGGUCGGCGCGCAUAGGCAGGGUUGCCUGAUGCUAGAUUUAGUUUGGAACGCUAUAGAGGCGUGUAGAGCGCUUGAGUAUAGGUACUCGUGGUGUGCGGUAUUCACUCAGCCGAGAAAGUGAGAUGGCAGUAGCACUGUAGCAUUGCUAGGUGUGAAGCGUGCCUGGUAUCACUCGUAGGGGCUGAUGGCUCGCACUAGGUGCUUAGGAGCGGAUAUUGGUAUGUGUGACUCGGUAGAGCAUGUCGUGUAGGACGACGACGGCGGGUAGUGCUUGGGGACGACCCGUGCCUGGACCAUUUGUGGACUGUAGAGCCUGAGCCCUUUGGGCAGGCGCAGUCAGCUGUGAGAGACAGCGGCCCGAUACCUACAGGUAGGGCAGAGAUUUGGUCAGGAUGGUAGUCCGAGCUUAGACCCGGGAGCGUGGAAUGCCACGUGUUAGAUCAUGAGAUCGAGGAUACACCGAGUGUGUAGUGACCCAACCCGAGGAUUUGAGGUGGUUUGGGGUCACGGUUGCUCCUGGUUGGAGCGUGUGCGAAUUCUCCAAUGCGAAUUUCGCCCGAUUAUGAUUUGGCCUACGCUGGUGAGCAAGGGACGCUAUACGUAGUUGUAAGAGGUUUAGGCGGUAGACCUACGUAGGACGGGUGACUGUUGGUCCACCUGUGGAAACCGACGUAAUCGGUUUAGCCGAUAACUCUAUUAGUGAGUUGGCUUGGAUUCACGAACAUAGGGUUCGUGUGGAUUUGUCGCAAGAGCAAGGUAAAGUUGGUCGUGGCUUAUGAUAUCAAGGGCGAAAUGCUCUUGUGCGAUAUUGAGAUGUGGAUAGCCACGUGGGAAUUGGAGCUUGAGGACAAUGCUCUUUUGUGGAUUGAGAUUGGAGAUGUGCCGGAAUGGGCCAUCUCCUGAUAGAACAAGGAUCCGGUUGUGAUGAACCACUCGCGAUUGGUCGAGUCACCAACGAUAUUGCUUCUAAGCAAUGCAGGUGAUCGAAUCGGAGUGAAAUUUUUCGUUUGGGUGUAUAAUGCAAGAGUAGUUCUUUGCAUGGUGGUAAUACACUUUUGGAGCUGCACGUGGCAAAUGUGAGUGAAUCUAGUCUCACAUCUUCCGUAGUGAGCCUAUGGAUAGUUCCGAUGAGCGAAAAGCCACUCCGAGAUGCAAAAGUGCACUGUACCCCUUGUCACUCAAGAAAGAGAAUUAGAGUGUGAAUUGGGUUGAAGUGAGUGAGUUUCGGGGACGAAACUCUUUUUAAGGAGGGGAGAAUGUAAGGUACCGGACUUCUAAAACUAUGAAGUUACGGUGUACAUUUAAAUGGCUCCGGUGAGGUUGCGGCGGAAUGUAACAUACCGGAUUUUAAAUAUAAAAGUGAAAAUAAAUAAAAAUAGUAUGAGAUACUAUUUUUAUUGGAUUUAGAGAAGUGAAAUAUAGGUUGGGAAUGACCUGUGCUGAAAUCGGAGCGAAAACAGAAGAUUUAGAAUUUUCUGUUGGAAAUGGGACAGAUAAUUAGCAGAAAAUGCACAGUCUCAGAAAAUUAUGAAAAUUGGCGGGGAUGUCAGAAAUAUUUUAAUGAGGCUAGAUUUGAAGUUUCAUAUUUUUCUGACGCCCGUAGAGAGAGAAAUAGCAUCCGAAAGCCAUCUGAUAAAGAUUGCAGUUCGGCACAGUUUUCGGUGACCAAACGGGGUCGAAACUGAAAUAUUAAAAUUUCUUUGGACUUAUUAAGUAAAACCGAGCGUGCCUGUCAAAUUUGAGCUCAAACGGAUAUUCAGGGAGCUCCGGCGAAAGAUAUCAGAUUUGGAGCUGCCUGAUGUGAAUAGUGUAUGCUACUAUUGAGGUGUUGACUAUAAGUAGAAGCUACUAGGCUUCUUCCUCCUCAAGUUGCAGCCAGCACCAAGCAUCACACGCACAUGGUGUAGUGAGAGAAACCCUCUCUUUCUCUCUCUAAAUAUCUCUCUCAUCUCUCUAUAUUUCUCGCCCAAAUUCGCGGCGUUGGUGGAGAUCGAGCUUGCGAACGCGUUGGAGGCGACGGAUUGAGCUUUCGUGCGCCCGUUGGAGCGGCGUGUUUUCGUUGCGGCGUUCACAUUGGGGUAAGCUUUUGGGAUUUGGCUUAAUCCUUAGCUUUAAGUGUUCUAUUAGCCUCUAAUGAUCAUUAGUAAGCAUAUUGAUCCAUUUAAUUUGGAUUAUUUGGAGGUUAAUUGUACGUUAGGGCUCCGAAUGGGAUUUUGUAAAAUGUAAGGGUUUGAUCUCAUUUGACCCUUCGUAAACCUAAUUGCUAGGUAACGAAACGCGUUGGCGAAGACGGUUCGGUAAUUCGACGAGCCGUUACAAAGUUAUUAAAGAAAUAGACGUUUAGGCUUCGGGUCCGCCGGGAGGGCCGAUGCGACGUCGUAAAAUCAUGGAAAUGGAUUUGAGGCAUCGUGGCACAUAACCGAAGACCUAUAAUUUCCGGAUUUGUAAAGCGGAACACGGUUGAGGCGCAAGAUCUUGUCGGGCCCAAAGGGUGCCGAGUGCCGCGGGAGGCCGAUUGCAAGUGACGACAAGCAAUCGGAACGCGAGUUAAGGUGGGUUGUGCUUACCGAAGCGACUAGGUCGCCCUUUAUGUCUUAGCAAUGUAAUCUCAUGUUGAUGCAUGUGCAUGUAGACAAGAGCAAGGAUGCAUGUUAAUAAAGAUGCAUAAAGUAGAUGCUAAGUAGAAAGCAUGAUAAAUGGUAAUGCUUAGAGCAAAUGCAUAUUAAUAACAAUGCAUAGUGGAGCAUAAUGAUUAUGGCAUUAGAUAAUGCUAGCUAAUGUAAAGUAAUGCAUGAUAAUGAUAAUGCAUAGAUGAAAAUGCUUAGUAGAAAUGCAUGGUGAGCAAGUUACACAAUGCUAAUAAUGCAUGAUAAUAAUGUAAUGCUAAGUAAUGCAUGAUAUGAAGUAAAUGCAUAUUAAUAAUAAUGCAUGAUGAGGAUGCUAAGUAAGGGAUGCAUGUUAGUAAUGAUGCAAAGAGUAAUUGCUAAGUAGAAAGCAUGAUGCAUGGUAUAUGUAUAUAAACCAGAUGAUAACUCUAGGAUGAGUAGAGAUGACUGGACAACUAAGUUGUCAGGUAGAUCGAGUGGCAUCUAACCUAGUGUUAAAGAACAUAGGUUGGUUAGUAAACCUAGAGUUGAACAAUCUAGGUGUGUGGCAUCUAACCUAGUGUUAGUAAACCUAGGUUGAACUAGUAAACCUAGAAGUGGAUAUCUAGGCAAAGAUGAUAAGAACCUAGCAAGUGUAUCUAGGUUAAGUGAUGUGGACAUAGAACCUAGAGUGUUGGAACCUAGGUUGAUGAGUAUAGUGGUAUAGCCACUAGAUUGAGCUAGGUCGACAGUAUAGGGUUGGCUAUGAACCCUCGACCUGUGGUAAGUGGAUUCCGGAAUCCCAGGACUUAUGAUGUCCCUGGUACAGGCUAGGGCGUUCGUGCGACGAUUUCGCCGCCGAGCUUGGUACCGUGGGUAGAUUGGGGGCGAUCACAUGGAGAUCACCGCCCGGGGCUUGAACCAUUGUGCUGGCGUUUGUGCGACGAUUUCGCCGCCAGAGUGGUUAAGCCAUUUGAGGAUCAGACCGCCAGAGUAGACUGAAUCCAUGCUGGGUAAGUACGAUGCGGGUGCCUCCAGGUGACUGAGUCUGACAUGAUCGUUGUUGGGUGUGGUGCGACCCGUUCGCCGCCAGACGGUAUGUCAUGUCUCGAGCUCACGCUGGGUAUGUGCAACGCGAUCGCCACCGAUGGUCAAGUCUUGUGACUCGAGCCGUCUUCAGCGUGUGCGACGAUUUCGCCGCUAGGAGGCUGAGUCAGAGAGAGUGCGGUAGGCUGUUGAGCAGCCAGUGCGCGGACUAUCCGCAGAUGAUUGACUCGAAGCCGAGUCGGGUGGUUAGCUAUGAUAGGGUAGAGGAACCCUUAUGAGCCAGAGAUAGAGGCUUGAGCUAAGGUAAUAGAAACCUUAGAAGCCAGUGGUUGGUGUUGUGAUCCUAAGGUAAUAGAAACCUUAGAGUAAAGUUAUGAGCUAAAGUAGCCAAGUAAAAGUAGAAUUCAUAUGAUCUACUAGUUGUUGCAUGGUUUUCAUAUCGCAUAUCGUGAGGCAUGGCAUGUAUUUCAAUUGAAUAUAUAUAUCUGUUGUAUAUUGUUGAACUAACAUGUUGCAGUGCCUCCUCGGACCUAUCGGUCGAGCUUUUCCCUUGGGUGGCCGUACCCACUGGGAACCAUGGAGUUGGUUCUCACCCCACGUGAUUUUGGGGUGUUUUCACGUUGUUCGUGUGCGGCGCGGCGGCGCGAGGCGAGGGCGUAGCUCAGUAGAUAGCGCCCCACCACAGAGACCGAGGUAGCAGUGCCUUGAGACAGUCUAGCUUAGGGGUCUAGAAGACAAGAAAAGAAAAUGUAUUAAACUUGAUAACGCUGAUGUAAUGGCGAGAUUGUAAUUUGGAAGUAAAAAUGUAAACAGAAACUGUGAUGUAAAAAGUGGUUGUAAAAUGAAUGCUUGUAAUAGCAAGUAGAUUAUGUAUUUGAUACUUCCUUAUGCAAUCUGGAUUGAUAUCCGUUGCUAGUUGGAACAUUCGUUGAUUGUUUGGAUUGCGACGCCUUGGACGUACUGGAGAGACUCUGUCCGCGUACAACGGAAUCCCCGGUCCGUUCAGCGGUCUGUCGUCGGCGCCGCGACCCUGUCCAAAUAGGCGGUUGGUCGCGGGGCGUGACACACGGACUCCAAAUCUCUUUACACCUCUCAUCGGCGAUACCUUCAAAAAUACGCGGUCUCCAACCGCGAACUCUAAAUCCUUUCUCCGCUGGUCGGCAUAACUCUUUUGCCGAGAUUGCGCCGUCGCAAGUCGUUGGCAGGCAAGGGGAACUUUCUCUUUCGCCUCGCGCACCACAUCAGGUCCAAAAGUAACUCUCUCGCCCACAUCGCUCCAAUGUAUAGGCGAGCGACACUUCUUUCCAUAAAGGGCCUCGAAUGGCGCCAACGCGAUACUCUCUUGAUAACUAUUGUUGUAUGCGAACUCUGCCAUCGGCAAAUAAUCGUGCCAUCCGCUCUUAUAGUCGAGUACACACAUUAGAAGCAUAUCCUCAAGAAUUUGUAUUGUCCUUUCCGAUUGACCAUCACUUUGAGGAUGAAAUGCCGUGCUAAAAUCGAGCCGUAUGCCCAAAGCGUCUUGUAAGCUCCUCCAAAAGUGAGGUGUGAACCUCGGGUCUCGAUCCGAUACAAUAGACACCGGAACCCCAUGAAGUCUUACAACCACGUCGAGAUAUACUUGAGCCAAUUUGUCUCCGGACCACGUGGUAUGAACCGGCAAGAAAUGAGCCGACUUCAUCAACCGGUCCACAAUCACCCAAAUUGCAUCGUGUCCGCCUUGAGAUCGAGGCAAACCGGUCACAAAGUCCAUUGCAAUAUCUUCCCAUUUCUAAACGGGUAUAGAUAAACUUUGAAGCUUUCCCUCCGAAAACCGGCGCUCCGCUUUUACUUGUUGGCACGUGAGAAAUUGCUCCACGAACUCCCCAAUAUCUUUCUUCAUACCCGACCACCAAUAGUGCAUUUUUAAGUCUUGGUACAUUUUAGUGCCACCCGGGUGUAUGCUAUAGGGAGAUUGAUGCGCUUCUUGUAUGAUCGCCUUUCGAAUGUCCUCAUUUUUAGGCACACACCAACGAUUUCUGAAUCGAAGUGCGCCAUCGGUCCCAAUGCUGAAAUCAUCAGCACUACCGCUCUCAACUUCACCCCGCACCUUUUGGGGAUAUGCAUCGGAAGCUUAUUGAUCUUUAAUCCUCUCCAACAAGGUUGGUUGAACCAUUAAUGCGGCAAGGCUAGCCGGCACUCCCGGAGCCACUACCUCAAAUCCAAACCGUUGCAUCUCUUUUUGCAAUAACGGUUGGGGUGUAAUUGCCGAAACAAAAUUCUCUACCAACUUUCUACUUAGAGAAUCAGCCACGACAUUAGCUUUUUCCGGGUGGUAUAGAAUAGUGACGUCAUAGACCUUUAGCAACUCCAACCAUCGCCGUUGUCGCAUAUUUAAUUCUUUCUGGAUGAACAAGUAUUUGAGACUCUUAUGAUCUAUGUAAAUCUCACAAUGCUCACCAUACAAGUAAUGCCUCCACAACUUUAGCGCGAAUAUCACCGCGGCUAGCUCAAGGUCAUUAAUAGGGUAGUUCUUUUCAUAACUCUUCAAUUGACGAGAAGCAUAAGCUAUCACUCGCCCAUUUUGCAUAAACACACACCCGAGACCAAUAUAUGAGGCAUCAUUGUACACUACAAAGCUCUCCCCCGGCAUCGGUAAAGCAAGCACCGAGGUCGAUGCCAAUCUUUCCUUUAAUUCCUCGAAGCUCUAAUCGCAAUCGUCGCUCCAAAUGUACUUCACCCCCUUGUGCGUAAGGCGCGUUAGUCGAGUAGUUAUUUUAGCAAACCCCAUCACAAACCGCCGGUAGUAUCCCGCAAGUCCAAGAAAGCUACGGAUCUCCGCAACACUUGUCGGGCGAGGCCAAUCCUUUAUUGCCUCUACUUUCUUCGGAUCAACCGAAACACCAUCACCCGAUAUUACAUGGCCUAGGAAGGUAACCUCUGAAAUUCAAAAAUCACAUUUCUUUAACUUGGCAUAAAGCUUCUCUUUUUGGAGUAUUUGCAACACGGUUCUCAAAUGCUCCUCGUGUUCCUCCUCACUUCAAGAAUAAACCAACACGUCGUCAAUGAAUACCACGACGCAUCGAUACAACAACGGUCGAAAGACCCGAUUCAUCAAGUCCAUAAUUGCUGUCGGGGUAGUAACCCUAAACGGCAUUACCGUGAAUUCGUAGUGGCCAUACCGCGUACGAUACGCCGUUCUGUGCACAUCCUUUGGUCGGAUCUUCAACUGAUGAUAUCCCGACUGAAGAUCAAUCUUCGAAUAUACCCGCGACUGUCACGCCCCGGAUGUCUCGUUCCCCGGGCACGCCGACAAAUCCGCCGUAUACAAAGAAAUUUUUCCUGUAUACGAAGCGACAGCUGUACCUGUAAAUCAAACACUACUACGAACAGUAGUAGAGAGCUGCUAGAGAAAACAGAAACUAAACAACCUGAAUUUCAUAUAUAUAGUCCAAAUCCAAAAUACGAAGCUACUCGCACUGGCGAGUUAAGUCUACUAUGUACAGAAACUCGAAACAAAACAUCUACCUGCAGUAGGGGCACCUCUAACUCAGCAGGACGGGUAGGGCUCUAACUCGCGAGGCCCUUGCUUCGAUCCUCAUCCGCGGAAGGCGCAGCAGCCGGAACCUGUAGCUCUGCAAAACAGAAGUAACAACUGGGCGUGAGAACUACUGUAAAAACAAGUAGUCCUCAGUGGGUACCGCCCAAAACCACAUCGGUCCACCCACUAAGUCUAAGGACGGGAUCAGAGUGUCAGAAAAGAGGAAGUAAAACUUCUACGCUAGUCGAUACUUCAACUAUCAUGCUUACACUAACCAACUGUUAGUAAAUGUCAAAUCUACCAAUACCAUAUCGGACUGACUAGCAACGCUCCCGGGACUGUGAAUCACCCGUCCUGCCCCGUGCGGUACUAAUCAGGACUCUAUCAACACUAUGCGUCCCGAUGAGAGAGCAAGUCUAACUGAGGUGAGCGACACUCAACGCGAAGAGCACAAAGGCUAUCUCCGGGCAGUGGCACUAACAAUGUGUGGCGCUACCCAACCGAAUGCAGCGUAUCUCUGUCGAGUCAAUCAGGCUUGAAAAGCAAAGUCAAGUAAACAACUUCAAACUGGGUUAAUAACAACAAGGUAACGUGCCCUCGGCACAAAUCUGAAGCCAAAGGUGAUACGGGGUCCACCCGUAAUCCUGACGGAAUCCCAACAGUCCGGAACUAACCUUGAACGAUCCUGUAAAAUCAUUCGGCAACCAGCACGUCGAGCGUAAUAUAUUUAAACUACCUGAAGUAUGGGCUCGGGGAAAAGAAUAACUGCGCGAGUACAUUUUAUAAUGGCUCUAGAGCUACCUAAUCAGACGUUUAAAUAUGUGACAGGUCCAAUCGCAGGUUUUUCUAAUUCAAAUCAAGUUCAACAUGUAUAAAACUACUCAAUUUAAUACACACGCCUCAAUUCAGAUUUUGCUAUCAUUAUACAAAAUUCAGGGGAUUCGAGCUAUAGAAUAGACUAUACCUAGAAUUGAAUUUUGUACACAUGGUCGACAAUUAGAACUUUAGGGUCAAAAACCCGAUGAACCCACCUCGAUCGCUAAACCAGCGCAAGCGAGGAGUCACAAAAAUUCCACAAAAUCCACUGGAAAAACAGGGUGUCAGCUCAAGUUACGAAUCGGCCUGCCACAUCGCACAUCGAGAACUCCAACUCAUUUCUGUCGAAAAAGCAAAAGAGAGAACUAAUUCACCAUGUUACCUUCAAAAAUCAAACAAUAAGGCUCAUGGUAUUCGCUCUCGAAGUCACUUGAAUCAUACGAACACGUUAUCGAAAUCCGACGAUUCCUGCGCCAGAUACGAGCAGAAACACUGAUGAGUCAACGCUGAAAUUCAGCAGAGCGAGCGUUCAAAACUGUGCGUUCAAGUAAUCCAAGGAGGAGUUAGGUACCCACCUCGAAGCGAAUCAGCCCGGGUGCAGUCUGAGGACGCGGUGAAAACCACGCGCUCGCUCGAACUCCUCGCGAUGUACGACUGCAACGUAUCGCGAACGGCUCGACGGCGCGUAUGUCGACGUGAUCCGAGCUUGCGGCUCACUCACAGCUCACUUGUGUGCGUGGGGGUCUCUAUUCACACUAAAGAGAGAAAAGAAAGCAAAUUAAUUAGAGAACCCUCAACCAGAUAAGCAUGCAUGGGGGAGUGCACGUGGCAUCCAUAGCCAUGCACACUUAGUCUAGGUACUAAUAUAUAUAUAUAUAUAUAUAUAUAUAUAGAAAGAAAGGAUACUACAUCCUCCCCCACUAUAAAAGUUUCGUCCUCGAAACUUAAAACAUACCUCAAGACGGAGUAUUGAACAAGUCGGGAUAGGACUCUCUCAUCACCGUCUCUGGCUCCCAAGUCACCUCACGCUCCUCGUGAUUGCUCCACUGCACUUUUACAUGCGGGAUGACCCGGUUGCGCAAUUCUUUCGUCUCGCGAGCAAGAAUGCGCACCGGUCGCUCCUCGUAUCUCAGAUCCUCGCUAAUCUCGAGUGGAGUGAAGUCAAUCACGUGAGAGGGGUCAAAAACGUAUCUCCUCAGUGCUGAGGCGUGAAAAAUAUCGUGGAUGCCGGCAAGUCGCGGGGGUAGAGCUAUCCUGUAAGCCACCGGUCAGAUACGCUCUAAUACCUCGAAAGGGCCAACAAACCGUGGACUAAGCUUUCCACGUACUCCAAAACGGCGUAUCCCUCUGGACGGCGAGACUUUAAGAAAAACAUGAUAUCCAACCUGGAACUCCAAGUCUCGUCUCCUGGUAUCAGCGUAGCUCCUCUGGCGGCUCUGGGCUGUCAAAAGGUGUCGUCGAACAACUCUCACCUUUUCCUCAGCCUCUAGCAAAAUCUCAGGCCCUAGUGUCUUCCUUUCACCCACAUCACUCCAACACAAAGGGAAUCGAUAUUUGCGUCCAUACAACGCCUCAAACGUAGCCAUCUGAAUGCUCGCUUGAUAGCUGUUGUUGUACGCAAACUCAGCUAGUCUCAAAUGUCGAUGCCACCCUCCUCCAAAGUCCAGGACGCACGUUCUCAGCAUGUCCUCUAGAGUCUGAAUGGUCCGCUCUGACUGACCAUCCGUCUAUGGGUGAAACGCCGUGCUGAACUGCAGCUGUGUACCCAAGGCUGUCUGCAAACUCCUCCAGAAAUGUGAUACAAACCUCGGAUCUCUAUCGGAUACAAUCGAAAUCGGCACGCCAUGCAGCCUGACAAUCUCAUCCAGAUAUAGCUGCGCGAGUCUCUCUCUGGAGCAGGUGGUCUGAACCGGUAAGAAGUGAGCAGACUUGGUCAGUCUGUCCACUAUCACCCAAAUCGCAUCAAAGUCACCCUGUGCUCUAGGUAAUCCCACGACGAAAUCCAUCGUAAUCUGCUCCCACUUCCACUCGGGCACUGGCAGACUCUGAAGCUUGCCAGCAGGCACCAGAUGCUCGGCCUUCACCUGUUGGCAAGUCAAACACUGAGCCACAAAUCUGCCAAUGUCUCUCUUCAUUUCAUUCCACCAAAACUGUGCCUUUAAAUCCUUAUACAUCUUGUUUCUCCCAGGGUGAACCAUAUAAGGUGAACAAUGAGCCUCUCUCAAAAUAGCCUCUCGGAUCUCUGAAUCCACAGGCACACACAGCCGGUCCCUGUACCGUAGUACUCCCGAACCGUCCAAAGCAAAUCCCUCAGCCUGCCCCUUGUCUAGCUGCUCUCUAAUCCUCAACAAGUACGGAUCUCCACUCUGUUUCUCUCGGAUCCUAUCCAAUAGAGUGGGCUGUAACAAAAGAGACGUCAGCCUCGCCGUAGACCCAGGGGGUACUAUCUCGAGUCCUAGCCGUCGUAGCUCCUCGAGUAGGGGUCUCUGCUCAGUAAUCCUCAAACUCAGGCUCUGCACUGACUUCCUGCUCAACGCAUCUGCCACCACAUUCGCCCUGCCGGGAUGAUACCGAAUACUAAUGUCAUAGUCCUUCAGUAACUCCAACCACCGGCGCUGCCUCAGGUUCAGCUCUCUCUGUGUGAACAGAUACUUGAGACUUUUAUGAUCGGUNNNNNNNNNNNNNNNNNNNNNNNNNNNNNNNNNNNNNNNNNNNNNNNNNNNNNNNNNNNNNNNNNNNNNNNNNNNNNNNNNNNNNNNNNNNNNNNNNNNNUUGAGUGAAGAGAGAAGAAAAGAUGGUAAUUGAUUUUUCUUUUUUUUUUUCUUUUCUGUUUGUAAUCGGGCCAAAUGGACUGGGUGUGGUGGGUUUAGUAGAGUAAUCUUUUAUUUUUGGUUGGAUUGGGCUUUAUAUUUAGGCAUUAGUAGAUGUUUUUUUAAAUUUUAGAAUAAAUGGGACACUUACUCAAAAGUGUCCCAAACAUGUGUCCCUAUAACCUAAUUCUAUUGUAGUAUAUAUAUAUAGAUAUAUGCAACUAUAACAAAUAAAGUAUAAUUUUUGAGCUUUUUCAUUAGGUUGCAUUUGCAAAUGUUUGUUGAAAUGCAAGCAGCCGAUCAACUCCUAUUGUGUUUUUGCUCGUAGUUUCUACUCCCACUACAACAGAAUUAGGUUAUAGGGACACAUGUUUGCGACACUUUUUAGUAAGUAUCUCAUUUAUACUGAAACUUAAAAAACAUCUGCUAAUGCCUAAAUAUAUAGCCCAAUCCAACCAAAAAUAAAAGAUUACUCUAAUCAACCCACCACACCCAGUCCAUUUGGCCCGAUUACAAACAGAAAAGAAAAAAAAAAGAAAAAUCAAUUGCCAUCUUUUCUUCUCUCUUCACUCAAUCCACUGAAAUUCUAGACGAAUAGCCUUUCUUGUCGUCCUCCUCCGCCACCGCAGCCAACGAGAUAGAGUUUCGGCGGUUGCUAAAUGUUUAAAUAAGUGUUGGUAAAUUAGCAGCACUCUCUUAGAUAAUAGCGACACUUUUUAACUGUCACUAUAUACCUAGCGACCCCACAUAUAGCAACACUUUUUAAAAGUGUCGNNNNNNNNNNNNNNNNNNNNNNNNNNNNNNNNNNNNNNNNNNNNNNNNNNNNNNNNNNNNNNNNNNNNNNNNNNNNNNNNNNNNNNNNNNNNNNNNNNNNNNNNNNNNNNNNNNNNNNNNNNNNNNNNNNNNNNNNNNNNNNNNNNNNNNNNNNNNNNNNNNNNNNNNNNNNNNNNNNNNNNNNNNNNNNNNNNNNNNNNNNNNNNNNNNNNNNNNNNNNNNNNNNNNNNNNNNNNNNNNNNNNNNNNNNNNNNNNNNNNNNNNNNNNNNNNNNNNNNNNNNNNNNNNNNNNNNNNNNNNNNNNNNNNNNNNNNNNNNNNNNNNNNNNNNNNNNNNNNNNNNNNNNNNNNNNNNNNNNNNNNNNNNNNNNNNNNNNNNNNNNNNNNNNNNNNNNNNNNNNNNNNNNNNNNNNNNNNNNNNNNNNNNNNNNNNNNNNNNNNNNNNNNNNNNNNNNNNNNNNNNNNNNNNNNNNNNNNNNNNNNNNNNNNNNNNNNNNNNNNNNNNNNNNNNNNNNNNNNNNNNNNNNNNNNNNNNNNNNNNNNNNNNNNNNNNNNNNNNNNNNNNNNNNNNNNNNNNNNNNNNNNNNNNNNNNNNNNNNNNNNNNNNNNNNNNNNNNNNCAUAUGGAUCCUCAACAAGUGGGAACUACCCUCAACACUGACAGGUAGCAAAGUGUUCACGGAACCCCAACUAAGACGCUCUCGAUUACUCCGUGUAACGGAGCAACCUCACUUGCUCCUCAAAGCAACNAAAGAAAAGACAAACAUUAGCCCGGUUUACCUGACCCACACCACCCAACUAAUCUCAUUAGAAAAUAAAAACCAACCUAACCCGAUAUAUAAAUCCGUAAUCGUCUACAAAAAAUUCAAAGUCAUAUUUACUCUAUGAAUGAUUUUUCACAGCGUUUGUACACAGGGAUAUUGGAUUAAGACAACAUCACCCUCAUCUUUGAUGCUCGUUUUUGUGUUAUCCGGACAUUCCCAACUCCCACAAAGGGUAUACUCUCGACAAUUAGUCUAUCCUGGAUGAAGUACAAUCCUCACAUUUCGAGAAUUCACUUCCUUACAAAAUCCCUGCCCAAGCUUCCAAAGAGAGCAAGAACCCUUCCAACCCAACCUAGAGGAAGGUUCUAAACCCAUCAAUUAGGUCUCCAAGCCCUCAAAUUAAAAAUCCUCAAAAUAAACCCUAAAAUCUAAAUCUAGUGUUUCAUUUUCCAAAAUCUACCAAAAAUAGGUCUAGAGGGGAGAAAUAAGCAACUAACCUCAAGGGGAUAUCCAAACCAAGCUCAAAAUGCUCUAGGUCCAAGAAUCUUCCCUCAAACAAGCCUUAAGUCCAAGCUCUAAGCUUCAACCAUGGUGGAGAUGCACAAAGGGGGAAAAAUGAAAGAUCAAUCCACCAAAAUCCAAGCUAAAAGGAGAUCAAAUCCAAAGAGGGGAAGAGAGAGGCUCCCCUACCUAUUCUCUGCUGGUGCAAGGCUCAAAGAGAGCCCUAAGAGGCGUGGGUACACAUAUAAUGUUGCUGCAAUAGCAAAAACACCCCUGCAGUUUAAGCAGUCUGCGGACUGCACUGCGUACCUGUAUACGGGGCCGCGUACCGAUACACAUCCCACGAAAUGCCAAACCCGAGCCUCGGGUUGGCUGAGAAGCUGCCUGUGUACCAGUACACGGCCCCGCGUACCGGUACAACCAUCAACCCUGUACCGGUACAGCCAUCAACCAUGUACCGGUACACAGCCUGCUGAAGGCUACCCGAGAGCUGACCAAAAAUUCGACUUUUUGGGUUUUGGUGCAAAGUUUCAAACUUCAAUUCUCGGGGCUCGAACCAUAGGUCGGAACACUAUCCACGACCCUCCACGAAGUGUGGAAAAGUUCGGAACACAAAUCAAACACUCGAACCUCACUAUUUGCAACGGUUUAGUGUGUUACAUCCGGUCCCCGUAGCCCGAAAAUGCCCUGCGCGGGCUGUGCACAAAGAAGCAUUGUUGAGGGGUUUUUAUGCAAUUUUGCAUUAGUGAGGGCAAUAUGAAGGGGUGAGAGCCUUCUCCUCUCAUUCCUUUCAACCGUAACACCCAAACACCUCUCUCUCUCUCUAGAAGCUCUCUCUCUCUAUUCAAGAAUGAAGGAAAGGAGGAGGGAUUGGUGGAGAAGAAGACGAAGGAGUGGAUGAACCUUCUUCUUCUCCUUCUCAAGCUUGGAGCAAGCUUUUGGAGGUAAGCUCAAGGAGCUUUCAUGGUAGAUCCUUAGAGAUGGAUUUUUAAUCUCUAGAAUUGGUUUAUUUGGAAUUCUAGCAUGCUAAAUAGGUGAUAAAUGCUAGAAUCUAGAAAUUAAACGGUGGAUUUUGCAAUAGUUGCAAACUAGGGCAUCCAAAGAGGGUUUUGGUAUAUGAGUAGUGCUACUGGUACAACCCAUCUUGGGUUGUACAUCCUACAACUAUCCUAUCCAAUGGCUGAUAUUAGUUACCUUUUGAAAAAAAAAAUCAGUGUUAUCCUCACUCCCAUUUUCUUCCUCCUCACCCUUUCCCCCCCUUUUUUGAUCUCUCUCCUCUUUUCCAGUGCCUGCGGGUUAGAGAGAGAGGGCUGAGCGAUAGAGCGAGAGAGAGAAGAUCUCGAGCGAGAGAGGGGCGCCUCACUCCCCGUUUUUGGCGCCUGCGAGCUAGAGAGAUAGAGGCCUACGAGCGAUAGAGCGAGAGAGAGAAGAGCUUGAGCGAGACAGGGGCGACCUCCGCAAGAAAAGGCGAGAGCGAGAGUAAGGGAAACUUCGUCUUUGAUUCAUUGUUUCUGAGAGGGGAAGCGCUGGUUUGAGAUUAGGUGGGCUUCAGAGCGAUACUUCUUGCAGAGUUGUCGUUGGCGAGGGGAACUUCGUGUUUGAUUUGGUGUCCAAGUGGCCGGAUGCGGAUGGCGCCUUGAUUAGCAUCUUGCAUUUGGUAAAUCUCCCCUUUCUAUUUCUCAGUGGAUGGGUGUGACUUGGGUUCGUGUUGUAGUUAUUACGGAUUAAUUGAUUGUGAUGUUGUAAGCAUUUGAUCGCAGAGAAUUAGUGAUCUUUAAUGUUUAAUGAAACUGGUUUCUUUUUUAUGUUGUUAUACUGUUGAGUGUAUACGUAAUAAUGAACGUGAGAAGAUUGAGGAAUUUAAGUGAAAAAGGUAAAAUUAGGACACAACACAAAUGCUACAGUUCCAAUUUAACAAUUGAAAGGUUCGUGACCAAAGUAAAACUAUGCUAAAAGGUCGAGAUCCCGUGGUGCAGUUUACUCAUAGGUUGAAAAAAGUUUUGAAUUUAAGAGUUUCAGUCCUAAUAACAAUGACAACUAACUAGUUUACUACUGAAGUACAUUUAAUGAACUUGGCCUUUGUCACCAUUGUUUUACUUACAUUUGUUUAGAUGCAUCGUAAAUAAAGUAUAUAAGUGAUUUCUCAAAGUUGAUUUUGCAAAUUUAUUGCCCUUCCUGUAUUGAUGCUGAAAUAUUAUUAUCUUGGAACUAGCGAGGCCAAUUCACUAGCCAGUUCAGAUAGGUUGAUCAGUAAUAUUCUAUAUAACAUGAAAGUCCAACUAUUCGUCUCUUACGCAUAAUUGCUGUCCAAGUGUGCUCAAUUUACUAGCUGCGAUUCCUUACUUCUGGUCCACACUGUCUAAUUACUUCCAGUAUAUGAUGCUCGUCCUUGAGCUGCAAAAACUUAUGUCUCUUUUAUAUGAUGUGUGAAUGGCUUGUAAUUCAAGUGAGCAUUAUCUUAUCAGUCUUAAAAAUAAGACUGAUAAGUUGCGACUAUCUCAUUGGAGUUCUUUGUCUUCACAUUUGUCAUGUACUAACUAAAACGUUUAGGAUUAUAAUAAAAUACUUGUAUUAUUUUGUUAUGCCACAAUAAUUCAUUUUUAGGGCAUAGUAGAAUGUGGUGUAUACAUUAUUAAUUUAGAUGUAUUGAUUUUGAUAAAUAGUUUGCCCGGUCACCAUUAUUCCAAUUGUGUAUUUCGACUGCAUGUGAUGUCUUACAAGUGAGCAAUUUUGUUAAAUUUCUGGGUUGACUGAUUAUUUGAAUUGAACAUUUUUGAGAUAGAUGAAGAAAAAAACAGUGAUGUCAGAGACGUAAAUAUUUCGGCACCAGAAAUUGGAAUGUCUUUUAUCAAUUUUGAAGCUGUUUUUAAUUUCUAUAAGCAUUACGCACAAGAAUUAGGAUUUGGAGUUGUAAAGAGGACAACUAAAAUGAUUGAUGGCAAGGCUACGUAUAUAAUAAUCGCAUGCUCUUGUCAUGGAAAAAUGCAUCGGACCGUGACGAAUCUUCGUCCUCGUCCAUCGUUGGUGAAGACGAACUGUCUUGCGAGGAUAAAUGUGGUAAUAAAUGCGGAUUCAUCUUGUGUAAUAAGUAAAAUUGUACUUGAGCAUAAUCACAUCCUAAGUCCUUAUAAGUCUCGAUUUUUUUCCUGCAAUCGAGUUAUAGAUCCAAGCAUCAAGAGGCGGCUUGAUCUUAAUGAUCGUGCUGGAAUCAGAUUGAACAAAAAUUUUAAUUCUAUUGCUGUUGAAGCUGGUGGGUAUGAAAACUUAACAUUUGGAGAGAAGGAUGCUCGUAAUUAUAUUAAAAAAGUCCGUCGAUUAUGACUUGGUGAAGGUGACGGCGAGGCAAUUUGUAAUUAUUUUAGAGAAAUGCAAGAGAGAAAUGGAAACUUUUUUUAUGCUAUAGAUCUAGACGAUGAUUCUCGGCUUCGCAAUGUCUUUUGGGCAGAUGCUCGGAGUAGAGCUGCGUAUUAAUGUUUCGGAGAUGUAAUUACUUUUGACUCGACAUAUCUAACAAAUAAGUACGAUAUGCCAUUUGCUCCUUUCGUUCGUGUUAACCAUCAUGGACAGUCGAUCUUGUUGGGAUGCGGCCUACUCUCCACUGAAGAUACAGAAUCGUUUGUAUGGCUCUUUCGGAAUUGGUUGUCAUGCAUGUCUGAGCGUGCCCCCAAAGCAAUAAUCACAGAUCAAGAUAAAGCGAUGCAAAAUUCUAUCGCACGUGUCUUUCUUGAUACUCGGCAUCGAUGGUGCUUAUGGCAUAUAACAAAGAAGAUACCGGAGAAGCUACGAAGCUAUGGCGAAUAUCAUUCCAUUAAGAGCGUUAUGAUGGAUGCUAUUUAUAAAUCACUGACAGAAGUCGAAUUUGAGGAAAAAUGGAAGAGAAUGAUAGCUUGUUACGGACUUCAAAAUAAUGAAUGGUUGUCAGGCCUGUACAAAGAAAGACGUAAGUGGAUACCAGUUUAUGUAAAGGAUACAUUUUGGGCUGGAAUGUUCAUGACACAGCGAAGCGAAAGUAUGAAUGCAUUUUUUGAUGGGUAUGUGAACUCGAAAACUUCAUUAAAAUAAUUCGUUGAGCAGUAUGAAAGCGCUAUAAAGAAUAAAGUUGAAAAAGAAGCCUUCAGUUUAGUCAUCCCGUGUAUCAGCUGUUAUGCAUUUGAGAAGCAAUUUCAAGAUGUGUACACGAUUGCGAAAUUUAGAGAAUUUCAGGCAGAGCUGAAGGAAUUAAUGCAUUGCGAGACUUCCUUACCGUCUUCGAAGGGUAGUGCAUAUUCUUAUCAAAUUAAUGAGUAUGGCGAGGGAGGUAAAGAUAUAGUCUUCACAGUAUAUUUUGAUGAGAGUAGCUUUCUAAUAAGUUGUAUUUGCCGUCUAUUUGAGUACAAAGGUAUUUUAUAUCGACAUUCAAUUGCCGUCCUAAUUCAUAGAAAGUUAAUGAUUGUCCUAAAUUCUUACAUAUUAACACGAUGGAGGAAGGAUGUCAGACGGAGGUAUACUCGCGUGAAGACAUGGCAUAAGAACUUAGGGAGCACCGCUGAAAUUUAUCGAUACGAAGAAGUAUGCAGUAAUAUGUAUGACAUUGCAGACAUAGCUGCUGAGUCCGAUGAGAAAUGUGAACUAGCAUUACGUACGUUGCGAGAUUUGAAGACCAAAUUGGAAUACAUUUCAUCAUCCAAGGGAAGUAAUGAUAUUGAAUAUUCGCCGAUUGUGGCAACACCUUCGAAUAGUGUGUCGGAUGAUAGAAGUAACGACCGCAGAGUUAUAAGCCAGCUACCAGUUCGCAGUAAAGGCCGCCCGCCAAGCAAAAGAAAAGAGUCGAUGACCGACAAAGUUGUACAACAGUUGAAAAUGAUAGGCAAUAAGCAACAGGUAUAUCUUGACCGAUCUCAAUCAAUUUUUUGUUGGAUUCUAAUAUAUAAUAGACGACAAUGAUUGAUAAUUAUUCAUGAUAUAUUUUAACAGGUUGGGCAACAUUGUGGCGACAGGAUAUAUAAUGGUGAAUGUUCCAUCUAUAAUCGUCUCUCAUCAUCUCACUCAACCUCGUCCCAACAGAGUGUAAAUAUUUUAUGCAUUACUAUAUAUAGAUUUUUUUUCUAAUAUUCGAUAUAGUUUCGUUUGACUAUUUAUUUUUAAAAUUCUGGAUCUCUUAUUCUACAAAAUCAAUUGGUUUAUUACAACAGGUUCAUCUACAAAGUCCUAAGUUUAACAAUUCGUCGCGAAGUAACUUACCUUAUGGGAUCGGUGUACACACCGGCCCAGGCAUUAUCGUAAUAGUAAUAGAAAUUAUAUUUCUUAUCGACGGUUCUUUAAUACAAUUUUAUCUAUAUACAAAUAAUGUGGUUUAAGUUUUCUUUCUUUUAAUAUCAGACAACGUGGGGCCCUAAAAAUAUAUCCGUAUCAUCAGAUCCUAUCAUGUAUCCUCAUAGAGUGGAUAUGAAUCCUCAAUCUACAAAUCAGAAUCUGGCCCUUCGGACGUACAUGCCACACCCAAUUCAUUUGCAAGAGGUAUUGACAAAGUCUUGAUACAAUCUAUAUAUAUUGGUGGCUUUAAAUUAUUCCUAUUAACCUUUUAAACAGUUGCAGGAAAAGAAAAUCCCGCAGGAACAUGAAUUUCAGCAUGAUGGAAGAGCACCGCCCACAUGAAAGCACCAGGCAUUGUAUUCACUGUACUGUUACAGAUUCAGAAUUAAUCUGUAUUGUACCUGCUUGUUCAGGCGUGUCGAUUUAUAAACAGUGAUUUAACAAUCUUUCGUAUUUUUCGUGUUGCUGUUGUAGCACUGGAUGUAAGAUUGACAACAAUGUAAUGGCGUGCUUAUAUUCCUCAUAUCUAGCAAUAUUGAAUGUUCUUGCUUUCUGUUUAGUAUAUGAGUCAUGUGUGUAUAUAUUGGUGAAUUUGUGUUGUAUUAUUAUACUCAAUGUAUAUUUAUAUAUAUUUAAAAUGCAUUUAAUACUGCUUGUACAUGUUAGAUAUGAAUCUGAAGAAUCUAAAAGGUAAAUAACACCUAUUGUUAAGGAUUUUUUCUAGGUUGGCGACUUUCGUGAAGUUUGAUGGAGUCUCGAAGAGUUAGAAGACGAAGUUUGAAGAAAAAAUUGGAGUUUGAAGGUCAAAGACUUUGGUCACAUUUUUGGGAUCUCAGGUAUGAUUAUAAAUAGUUUGUGGUGAGAUUUUAUUAUUAAAAUAUGUUUAGAAGACUUAGAUUGUGUUUUUGUUGAUCAAACUGGACUUUUCUAAAAAUCUCAGGGCUCAAGGACCGGUCCUUGAUCAGAAGGACCGGACCCAUCAAGCUUCUCUGCGUAGAAGUUUUGGGAGACCGGUCUCUGGUCUUGAGGACCGGUUCCCGUAAGUGGUUUAUCUUGUUGCGCAGGGAGGGACCGGUCUCUGAAUUGAAGAUCGGUCCCCGUACGCAUGUUUCUCAGCUACGCAGCGAAGGACCGGUUUUCAACUUGGAGGACCGGUCCCCCAAGGACCGGUCUCCUCGGGAGGACCGGACCCUGAGACCGUUGUCAGUUUUUAAAAUUAAGUUUUUGAAAUCCUAGUCUAUCUAGAAGUCUUCUAAACCUAUAAAUAUGAUAUGAGGAUCCCCAUAUGACGUGAGCUUAGAGAGAUAACCUUUUAGAAACCCUAACGGCUUGAUUCGGAGUUUUUGAUCUAUGUAUUCAACAUCAAGUUCUUAGAUCAUCGAUUUGAUUCUUUAAUUUUGAUUAAAAACUUCUUUAAGGAUCAAAUUGGUGAUGUCAUAAUUAGGGUUUCUCCUCAUAUUAUAUGUGCUUUCUAAGAUCUUAAAUCACCACAAAUUGUUAAAUCCCUACGAGCUUCGGAUGGAGCGUUAGCGUGUGGAUUUCGCGUGGAGGCCGUGGAUUCGGUGGGCAUUUCGUGGAAUCGAGGCAUGUUUUGCUGCAAGGACUUGCGGUGUCACGCCGCGCGACCAACCGCCAAUUUGGACCGGGUCGCGGCGCCGGCGACAGACCGCCGAACGGAUCGUGGUUUCCCCUGUACGCGGACAGGGUCUCCCCUGUACGCGGACAGGGUCUCCCCUGUACGUUCAAGGCGUCGCAAUCCAAAUGAACAACGAGUGUUCCAACUAGAAACAGAUAUUAAUCCAGAUUGCAAAGGAAGUAUCAAGUACAUAACACUAACGCUAUUACAAGCAUUCACUUAGUACAACUCAGUUUCAGUUACAUUUUACUUCCAAAUUACAAUCUAAUUAUUACAUCAUUUAAUUUACAAGUUUGAUACAUUUUGAUUCUUGCCGUCUAGUCCUCUAAGCUAGACUGCCUCAGGGUACUGCUACCUCGAUCUCUGUGGUAGGGCGCUAUCUAUUGAGCUACGCCCUCGCCUCGCGCCACCGCGCUGCACACGUACAACCUGAAAACACCCCAAAACCACGUGGGGUGAGAACCAACUCUAUGGUUCCCAGUGGGUACGGCCACCCAAGGAAAAAGCUUGACCGAUAGGUCCGAGGAGGCACUGCAACAUGUUAGUUCAACAAUAUACAAUAGAUAUAUAUAUUCAAUUGAAAUACAUGCCAUGCCUCACGAUAUGCGAUAUGAAAAUCAUGCAACUCUAUGCAACAACUAGUAGAUCAUUAGAUUCUACAUUUACUUGGCUAUUCUUAGCUCAUAUCUUUACUCUAAGGUUUCUACUACCUUAGGUUCACACUCGAGUCCCCUGGCUCCUAAGGUCUCUAUUACCUUAGCUCAAGCCUCUAUCUCUAGCUCAUAAGGGUUCCUCUACCCUAUCGAAGCUAACCACCCGACUCAGCUUCGAGUCAAUCAUCCGCGGAUAGCCCGCGCACCGGCUGCUCAUCAGCCUACCGCCCUUUCUCUGUCUCAGCCCCCUAGCGGCGAAGUUGUCGCACACGCUAAGCUCGGCUCAAGUCGCACGACUUGACCAUCUGGUGGCGAUCGUGUUGCACUUGCCCAGCGUGAGCUCGAGUCCUGACACACCGUCUGGCGGCGAGCGGAUCGCACCACACCCAACAACGGUACAUGUCAGACUCAGCCACCUAGAGGCGCCCGCAUCGUACUUACCCAGCAUGGAUUCAGUCUGCUUUGGCGGUCUGAUCCUCAAAUAGCUUAACCAUCCUGGCGGCGAAAUCGUCUCACAAACGCCACAGCAAUGGUUCAAGCCCCGGGCGGUGAUCUCCAUGUGAUCGCCCCCAAUCCUCCCUCGGUACCAAGCUCGGCGGCGAAGUCGUCGCACAAACGCCCUAGCUUCUACCAGGGUCAUCAUAAGUCAUGGAAUUCCGGAAUCCACUUUCCACAGGUCGAGGGUCCAUAGCCAACCCUAUACUUUCGACCUAGCUCAUCCUAGUGGCUAUACCACUAUACUCAUCAACCUAGGUUCCAAUACUCUAGGUUCUAUGUCCAUGUCACUUAACCUAAAUACACUUGCUAGGUUUUUGUCAUCUUUGUCUAAAUGUCCACUUCUAGGUUUACUAGUUCGGCCUAGGUUUACUAACACUAGGUUCGAUGCCACGCACCUAGAUUGCUCGACUCUAGGUUCACUUGUUUAACACUAGGUUUGAUGCUACUCGAUCUACCUGACAACCUAGUUGUCCAAUCGACUCUACUCGCACUAGAGUUAUUGUCUAGUUCAUAUACAUAUACUCCUAGCAUAUUCCCUAAUACCGAUUAUGCAUUCUUUACUUUAGCUAACAUUAUUCACAUGUCAUGUCUAUCAUGCUUACUACUUAGCAUUUUAACGUCUCAUUCAUCAUGCUUUCUACUUAGCAUUUUACUCUCUAUGCAUUAUCAUUCAUCAUGCAUUUCUUGUCCUUGUCUACAUGCACAUGCAUCAACAUGGAGAUACAUUGCUAAGACAUAAAGGGCGACCUAGUUGCUUCGGUAAGCAUACCCACCUUAGUUAGCUUUUUCGAUUGCUCGUCGACACUCGCAAUCGGCCUCCCGCGGCACUCGGCACCCGUUUGGGCCCGAUCUCACAGUUGCUCCCCAAGAGCGCGCCGCUUCGCCGCUUCAAGUGCUAGCGAUCUUCGCCUUGCCGCUACGGUGCUCGGGAUCCGAUUUCACGAUUUAUGGACGUCGCCUCGGCCUCCCAGGCGGAAACGAAGCUCCGAGCGCCCGUUUCUUCAAUAUCCUCGCAACGGCUUGUCGGAUUGCCGAACCGACUUCGCCAACGUGUUUCGUUACCUACCAAUUAGGUUUACGAAUGGUCAAAUGAGAUCAAACUCAUCUGUUUACAAAAACUCCAUUUUGGGUGCCCUAGAUGCCAUUACUAGCAAAUCCACCAAAUCGAUCUAUGAUUUGGGUAUAACCCAUCAAAAUAGCAUGCAAGGGUUCCAAACAAACCAUUUUUAGAGAUCAAAACCCUAUCUUUAAGGAUUUACCAUGAGAGGGCUUGGAAGCUUACCUCUCCAAGAGCUCCAAGAUGAGAGGAAGAUGAAGAUGAAGAUGAGGAAGAGGCUCUCCUCCUUGGUCCUCUCCUUCUUCUCCUUCCCUUUCUCUUUUUCUUCUUCUCUUUUUCCUUCUUCUCUUCUUGCCCCUUUUCCUCUGCUAUGAACGGAGAGAGAGAGAGAGAGAGAAAAAAAUAGUGAUGGAGAGUGUGAGGGAGUGAGAUAGAGAGAGAGAGAGAGAAAGGCCUCUCUCAAAUAACCCCUCAUAUGGCCAUUUUGCACAUAAGCCCCUCCACUUUUUAUCUCUUACAUAGCCCUCACUGGGCGUUCUGCGCGCUGAGGGACCGGUCUCCCCGACCUGGGACUGGUCCCCGGGGCCUCCCCCCGCGGGCAUGCGUUCGGGAACCGGUCUCUUCUUGAGAGACCGGUCCUCGGGAGAUCGGUUCCUUUCAGGGAGACCGGUUCCCGAGAGCUGAACUUUCGGGACUUAGCCGAUUUUCGGCUCUUCUCACUGGUGUCGCAGGCUCGGACCGGUCCCUCCUCUGCCAGGGACCGGUUACAUCAGCAACCCCACUGCCUUCAGCUGAUGGGACCGGUCUCUCACUUCCAGAGACCGGUCCCUAAGAGCAACUUCAGCCCAAAAAUGCAGAUUGCAUUAUUUGCUCUCGCGGACUCCAUUCCAAUGCAUUUCUUGGGUCUCGUGCACCAUUAGCUUUUCCAAAGCUUAUCAACUCGACCCUUGGUCGAUUCUGGACGAAGCACGACUCUCGGAUUUGGAGAAUUCCAGGGUAUGACAUGCGGUGUGGUCGGUUGGAGGAGUCCAAGCGAUCGAGGACCGCCAAAGACAAUCUACAACGAGAAUUCGAUAAAUUGAGUCAUGUAUUUUUGUUAAAUCACUUGUACUCAUGUUUUCUUAGUGGAUUUUUUUGUGUGAUUGGUCCCGUGGGUUUUUCUCUUCGGUUUGAAGUUUUCCCACGUUAAUUCUCGGUGUGCUGACUUUAUUUUCCGCAUUCGCUUUUAAUUCGCAUCGAGUUUAUUGAUUUUUACCGUUUACACCUAUUCACCCCCCUCUAGGUGUUAUUUACCUCUUAGAUUCUUGGGAUUCAUAUCUAACAAGUGGUAUCAAAGCGGGUAUAGGUUGUAAACUAUGGCUGAGGGAGGUAACAUUAAUCGACCCCCUCUCUUUAAUGGCACUAAUUACGCUUAUUGGAAAGUUCGUAUGAGAGCAUUUCUUAUUGCCAUUGACGAGAGGGUUUGGCAAGCUGUUGAAUUCGAAUGGAAACACCUACUGAAGUAGUCGAAAAUGUUACGGGUCCCAAACCUAGAAACAAGUGGAUGAAAGAGGAAAAUGAACUAUCCUCGUUCAAUAGGAAGGGUAUCAAUGUUUUGUUCAAUGCUUUGAAUCAAACCGAAUUCUCUCGAGUCUCGGCGUGUGAAACCGCCAAAGAAAUUUGGGAUACUUUACAAAUCACUCAUGAGGGUACAAGCUUGGUAAAGGUUCAGAAAUUACAAAUGUUGACUAGUCGUUUUGAUUCUAUUCGUAUGGAAGAGAAUGAAACCUUUACCGAGUAUUAUACUUGUCUUCAAGAUAUUACCGAGUAUUUCUGUGUCUGAUAAAUCUGCUGAAACUAUUGAUACUAUUGCAUCACAUGAUUCAUCUGAAACCCCUAUCACUUCUUCUGAACUUACACUUGUGAAAGAUCACUCAUUGUCAAAUGUUAUUGGAGACCCUCUUACUAGUGUGAAAACUAGGAGACAGCUUUAGUGUGAAUUUGCUUGUUAUGUCUCUUUAGUUGAGCCAAAGAAUAUUGACGAAGCUCUUCUCGAUGAAUAUUGGAUUAAUGCUAUGCAAGACGAACUUGGUCAAUUCACACGUAAUGAUGUCUGAGAAUUAGUGCCACGUCCUGAGCAACAACACAUAAUUGGUAUCAAAUGGAUUUUUAAGAAUAAGAAAAAUGAGGAUGGUACUAUUGUUUGAAACAAAGCGAGACUUGUUGCUAAGGGCUACUCACAAAUUGAGGAAAUAGAUUUUGAUGAAACCUUUGCCCCGGUUGCUCAGCUUGAAUCAAUUCGUAUUUUGUUCGCGAUUGCCUGCCAUUUUAAAAUUACUCUUUUUCAAAUGGAUAUUAAAAAUGCAUUUCUAAACAAAUUUUUAAAAGAGGAAGUUUAUGUUGAACAACCGAAAGGUUUCAUAGACUCAAAAUUUUCAAAUCAUGUUUUUCGACUGAAAAAGGCACUUUAUGGACUUAAACAGGCACCGCGGGCAUGGUACGAGCGUUUCACAAAAUAUCUUUUAGAAAAGGGCUACAACCGAGGGGGAGCGGAUAGAACUCUUUUUGUAAAGCACUCGAAAAAUAAUUUCAUUGUGGCACAAAUUUAUGUUGAUGACAUUGUCUUUGGGGCAACUAAAGAUAAGGAUGCUAAUGAUUUUGCAAAGUUGAUGACAAGCGAGUUUGAGAUGUCGAUAAUGGAGGAGCUUAAUUAUUUCCUUGGACUUCAAGUUAAACAAGCUAAAGUCGGAAUUCACUUGUGUCAAUCCAAAUAUGCGAAAGAUUUGGUUAAGAAAUUUGGAUUCGACAAUGCAAAGGAUUUUGACACUCUAAUGGGUACAAGUAACAAAGGACUUGGAUUGAAUUCGGAGGGACAGAGUGUGGAUGAGAAACAGCACAGAAGCAUUGUCACGUCCCGGGACCGGCAAAGGCCCUCCCGGUAGUGUGCCCAGACCCGCCAUAUGUCAACACAUAUAAGGCGUCUACAUCAACAGCGGAAAAUAAACCAAAGAUAAACAACACCUAGAGAUAUCAUAGCACAAAUAGAUCUAUCAUCUACAACAAGGUAAAAGGAUAAUACUAAAGCAAUAAGAGUGAAUCAUAAAGUUAUACAAUAUCUGUCCAAAAAGUACACAAAAAAGGGUGGUCUCUAAUACACUGGUACAGCUCUCAAUUUCUCCAAAAUAAAAUAUCGAGAGGUAGACCACCUAUCAACUCGUCACUCGCAGAAGAGCUAGCUCGAAGCAACGCCCUUCCCACAGUCUCUAGCCUCUCCCGGCGUGGAAGGCUCUGAAAGAAAAUAUAAAACAGAGGGCGUGAGAACUAUAAUUUAUAGUUCCCAGUGGGCAAUUACUGACCUCAGCGCAAUGCACCACUAGGCCCCAAAGAAAGGGUAAGUCAAAACGAGGGCAAUAAUAAUGAAUAAUUUGCAUUUAAGAAAGCAUAAUUAAAAUGCUAAGAUACACAUUUAUUUCAUAAUGAACAAAUAUGUCCCUACAUGACCACAAGUAACAAUCAUGAUUUGUUUUAUGAAAUUAUGAAGAUCAUGCUCUACUAUGGUAAACAAUGUUUACAUGAAUGCAAUAAGCAACAUCUCCUAGCAUGCUUCAUGUAUGUAUGUAUACUCAAGUGUCCAACACUAUGCUAGAAGCAAGUCCAAGUAAUCCAACUACUACUCUCUAUUUAGUAGUGAUUAUAACACACUCAACGCUGUGUCGAUUUCCAUUUCCAAUUAAGGACCUACCCAAGAUAGUCCAGCUUGUGCCGCCUAAGUGCCUAUGAUAGCCCAACAUUCCUGCUCUUGGAAUGUGUCUGUUCCAUUCAACCCCGUAGGCUUCUCAAUACCGCACGAGCAAACAUAAGUCGCGUAGGCUAACUCCGGAGUGCCGGCUUGUAGGGAGCGACCCUCACAAGCAUGUGCGAAUGAGCACAAAUAGCAAGCAAGCGUAGUCAAAGGCUAAAGUAUCCAACCCUCAUGUCUCAAACAUGGCAAUAGCUACUAGUAAACCAACGGUCUAGCUCUAUGUCACAAUGUGAUAACCCAACACCCACUGGCUUAGUGCCUCUUUAUGACACUUAAGCAUCACAACUAAUCAAGCCCAAUUCAUAUGCUAUGUUCCAAUUAAGACAUUAAUACCAAUGUUCACUAUAACUCGGGCCCAAUGCCUCUUUAUGACAUUGGCCCAAUUUCUCAAAUAGUCCAAGUCCCCAAGCCUCUCUAGGCUUCCAAAGUCUCUAAUGUCACAAUUGGGCAUAAAGAUUAAAUGCAUGAAAGUAAUGUUCAUUUUCAUAAUAGGAAUCAUGGUUCCAAGUCUCAACUAGAAUGCUAUAUCUCACAUGCAUGCACUCUACCACAUAGAGGUCCAAAAAUGUACUAUACAUUACAUAGGCACGUUAAGUAUUCUAAAAUUCAUAAUAAAUAUAUCUAACAUGAUUACGCAUGUUUAAUCAUUUAACGUUACUCAAAUCAUCACAAAUGAGAUUUUCUCAUUGUGUGGCUAGAUCAAACCCACCAAACCGUCGCGUAGUCCCUCGUUUUGCCGAACGGAGUUGUCCACGAGUCUCAAAAUACCCUAAAAGUAAUGAGCGAAGAGAUACACGGGCAUUACGAUCAAUUAUAAGAUCAAACAUUAACCAUCAAGGCAAAAGGGCUAAAAUCUCACAUAGGGUGAAGAAAAACUCUCACAAGCUCCAAAAGGAAGCUAGAAUCCUUUCAAUCUAAGCCAAAGGAAGGUUCUAAUCCAAUUAAUCAAGCUCCAAAAGCCCUAAAUCCAAAAUGCCCAAAAUUGUAACAUAUCACUAUCACUUCCCCGUAAGUCAUGCCGAGUUCCGUUGAAAUGAGCGGAACGCGGAAAGGAAUGAGUUGCUAUAGGCUAAAAGUGCAUUGGAGCCUAUAUAUAGAGUAUAAAGGGACCCAAGAGAGUGAAACUGUAAUUCUAGAAGAAUUCCAGAAAUUUUACUCUCGGGGACCGGUCCCUUGGGUGAGAGACCGGUUCCCGAACGUUGGUCAGCUGAGCAGAGGAAAAAAUCGGCUAAGUCCUGGAAACUGAGCUCUCGGGAACCGGUCCUUCGGCGGGACACCGGUCCCCGGAGACCGAUUUCAUCGGGGGGAGACCGGUCCCCUUCUACGCAGGUUGCAGGGUAGUUCUCGGGAACCGAUCCCUGGAGGGGAGAGACUGGUCCCCAAGCCCGGAAAUGCCCAGUAAGGGCUAGUUGCAAAUAUGAAGUUGAGAGGGGUUUAAGUGCAAAUGUUGCAUGAGAUGGUUGUAUAGAGCUAAGGGUUAGGGUUAGCUCUCAUUUCCUCACACCUCAACACAAACUUUCCCUCUCUCUCUCUAAAAUCCUUCUCUUCUCUCUCCCUCUCUCUCUAGGGCUUGGACUAAGAAGGGUUUUGGAGGAGAAAAGCUUGGAGAAGAAGCUCUCCAAGGUGUAGAGCAAGGUUGAUCAAGGCUUUUGAAGGAAGCUUUGGACUCCAAAGGUGAGUUCUCAUGGGUUUUGUGCUAGAGUUUGGAUUUUUCCUUCUAGUAUGCUUCUAGGAGAUGGAUUAGAGUAUUUUCCCCAAGUUUCUCAUGUGUAAGGACCUAUAUUGGGGAAGAUGACUUUGUUAAGAGACCUAUAUUUAGGAUUUUGUAAUUUUGAGGUUCAAACUUGGAUUUGAUCUCAUUUUAACCUAAUUGGUAGGUCUACGAACACAUCGGUGCGCUCAGUUCGGCGAUACGACGAGCGUGCGCAAAGAUAUUAAGAAAAUAAGCUGAAAUAGUACAGAUCGUCGUAACUCGCGGCGAACAAGCCCAAAAAUCGUGGAAUCGGAACCGUGGCAUCCUUGUGACACAUAAAGGUGGGGGGUGCUAUCCGGAAACACCGGAUCUCUUUCUAUGUCUAUGUUCUUUUAUUUGAGCAUAUUGAUAUUAUAGCAUUCUUGCAUGUAGGGUAAUGAACAGCAUGUGUUGGUUGUAACAAUUAUCUGCUUGAGAUCAUUGUAGUGAUAUUGAACUGUGUAGAAAAGGAAAGUGAAAUGCCCUAUAUGCAUGUGAAUGUAAGAAAUGACCGUGACCGUAGUAAACAAAGGCAACAUGGACAUUAGUGACUCGAUUGAGAUCGAUAAGUGAAUAGUUAAACAAGGUUUAACCCAAGUGAUAUUAUGAGAAUUGUGGCAUCAGGACCACCAUGACAAUGGCAAGUGACAUUAUGUGCGUGAAUAGGUAUUAACCAUUCAUCGGCAUUGAGACAGUAAGAAUUGUGACAGGUUGGCCAUACCUCCUCAAAUUGAGGAUGGGAUCAUACUCACAGGUAUUGGUUCCGGCUUGUGUGAGGUCGCUCCUCCACGAGCGGUGUACUCCGGAGAAGAAAUGCACCACGGGUGGACGUGCCUGGCGAAGAUCCUUCGGGUGGUUGUGCCUCGUGCCUCCCCCGUUAGAUGGAUACGUGGACUGUGAGUUGGGGUAAACCAGGAGCACCCCAGGUUGAAUUGGGUAAAGGCCAAGGGAAAGUGAAAAAGGACAUGCAUGCAUAAUUAUCAUGUAUUUGAAUAUGAAUAUCUAUCUAUGAUUUGCUUUCGUGCAGGCAUUAUAUUAGAAGUGCAUUAGUUGGUUUGUUAUUCUUCUUUAUUGAAAUACAUAUGCCUGAAUUAGACCUAGUGGGCGAAUCGGCGUGGUUGGUGGCCGAACCCACUGGGAACUUCUUCUAGUUCUCAUUACCACUAACCCUGCAGAUCCAUACGCGAGCGGGGCGGCGGAGGAUCGAGGCAAGGGAGUCGCGCCGUAGAUAGCGACCCCGGAGUUAUAUAGGCAUACCCUACUCUUGAUGUAUUCAACUUUUGUUUGUUGAAAUUGUAAAGUAAAAGUAAUGUAAUGUAAAUUAUAUUUUGGGUAAUACAAGAAGAAUGUAAAUGUGUUGGACUACUUGUGUUUGAUUCAAAUGUAAUCAAAUGACAUGUGUAUUAAAUGCUUAAUUAGUUUCGAUGCUUUCACUAUAGUUGUUGUUUGCCUUCGUGCAAACCUUGUAUAUCUCGCAAUUCUCCUUGAGGUUUUGCUUGCAUUAUACUUAUUGUUGGAGCCUUGGGCGGACAGGAGGGGUACUGUCCGUUCGGCGUUUGUCGCGUGCUCGAAUCCGACCAAAUUGGCGGAGCUCGGGGCGUGACAUCAACACCCCCAUCGGGUACAUCUCUUUUUUUUCGCAUCAUAGGAUCCACGUUCUGACCCAAUCCUCACCUAUCUAAGUCACCAAGCGUUCCAAGUACACUAGGUUAUCAUUUAGAAAGCAUAAGGAAUGGAGUUACUAUGUAAUCCCACAAUGCAACAUGAAGAGAUGAGAUUAAAUGCAAUCUAAGACAUAGAAAGGAGUCCAAAAGCUUCGAGAUGGCACCCCCCACCUUUAAUCGAUGUAGAGGCUUCGAAAAUCCUUCUUGGCGAACUUUACGAAAAGGCUUUUAGCCUUCCUUGCCCAAGUCAACCCUAGUCCGGCCCUAUUUUGCCGAGAACUUCACGCCGGUUCGCCGAAUGCCGAAACCGACUUCGCCUCCACGUUUUCUGAUCUAACAAUAGGGUUUCCAAGACUUCAAAUGUGAUCAAUCUCAUACUUUCACAAAAACCCCAUUUUGGAGCCCUAGGUUUGCACCUAUAGCAAACCACCAAUAAAUCCCUAGAAUCAUGGGAUUGAUCUAUUUAGAAGCAUGUUUAGGGUCCAUUUGACCAAUUCCAAAGCAUCAAAACCCAAAACUCCAAAGUUGAGAAGUUAGGGUUCAAGAGCCUACCUCUUGUGCUACACCAAAGAGAAGAGAAGAGGGAGAUGAAGGUGUCCAAGGCCUUCCUCUUGAUCUCCUUCUUCUUCUCCUUCUUGUUCUUCCUUUUUUUUUUUUUCCUUCCUCUCCUUCUUGUUCUUCUUCUUCUCUUUUCCUUUCUAGAGAGAGAGAGAGCAAGAGAGAAAGAGAGAUAGAGAGGGAAAUGAGGGUGUGAGGGAGAAAGAGAGGACUCAGCACCCUCUAAUGAGGGCCAUUUUGUACUUAAACCCCUCAAUUUUCCAUCUAUUGCACAACCCUUACUGGGCAGUUUUCGCGCAGAGGGACCGAUCUCCCCGACUUGGGACCGGUCCUCGAGGGCCUCCCUCGGGCGCACGCGUUCGGAAACCGGUCUCUCCCCGGGAGACCGGUCCUCAGCUGAGAGACCGGUCCCCAAGAGCUCGAUUUUCAGGACUUAAUCAAAUUUCGGCAUUUCUCGCUGGGACCACGUUCGGGAACCGGUCCCUCCCUGCCAGGGACCGGUUGCAUCUAGCAACCCCGCUACACCCAGCCAAUGGAAUCGGUCUCUCACUUCCAGAGACCGGUCCCCGAGAGUAACAUCAGCCCAAUGAUGCAGUUUGCAUCAUUUGCUCUCGUGGACUCAACUCCAAGGCAUUUUUUAUGCUUUGGAUAUUUCUAACUCCGACCAUGGGUAUUCACUCGACAGUUAGUCGAUCCUGGAUGAAGUACAAUCCUCGGAUUUCGAAAAUUCACUUCCUUACAUUAGAGCCUUUUGAUGAGCAUGAUGUUGAUCGUAGUCGCUGUGACGCCCCGACUUCCCAGGGGGUCACCCAUCCUAGGACUACUCCCGUCCUAGCACGCUUAACUCUCUUAACCUAUUGGGCCUUGCCACCACCCAAAAAGCUUAAGCCGGGUUAAGAGUUUAGCCCUAUUAUAUCAUAUAUAUAGGACUAUCUGGGGUCUCACAGUCGCGGACGUGGUAGGUGACGUGGUCGAUGGAGUAGGAGGAGAGCAUGAUAUUAUAUUUCUAUAUUAUUGUAAAACUUGCUUUAAUUUUUGAUAUUCUGUUGUGAUUAUCAGGUAUUGAUACUUUAUUGAGAUUCUGUUGGUACUGAUGUGUGUAUUGUUAAUGCUGAAUUAUUUGUAUUGUUGGAUUGAAUUUGUUGUUGCGUUGUGAUGUUGUAUUGUAUUGUUGUGCUGACCUCGUUGUGAUGUUGUAUUGUUGAUUGAUCUGGUUUUUUGCGCCAGAAAAUGGUUAAGUGCUGGUAGUUGUAUUGGACACGGUGAACCAUUCACCCUGUCCAAUACAAAUAACUGCAUCUUAGCCAAAAAAUGGCUAAGUCGCAGAUAGUUGUAUUGGACACGGUGAACUAUUCACCGUGUCCAAUACAACUACCUGCCCCUUAGCCAAAAGAUGGCUAAGUUCUAGGAAUUUUGUAUUAGACACUGGGAAUGGUUCACCGUGUUUAGACACGGUGACCCGUUCACCAUGUUUAGACACGGUGACCUGUUCACCAUGUCCAAUGUAUUAUACACACUAGCAUGGGGCGUAUAAUACAUUGGACACGGUGAAUCAUUCACCGUGUUUGAAUUCGGAUUCACCGUGUUCAACUUACAUACCUGGCCCCAGCCUGCCUGUGUGGCGCCGACGUGGCGCCUGUGUGGCAAGGGCAGGACCGUUUUUGCAAUUUCAAGGCUAAUUUUAAAAUAAAAAUUUGCCAGGGGGGCUAUAUACAAAAAAAGCCCCAUGUGUCACGACCCGCGACCACCCACCAAUUUGGCCGGGUCGCGGCGCCGCCGACAGACCGCCGGACGGACAGGGUCUCUCCUGUACAUCCAAGGCGUCGCAAUCAAACAAUACGAGAGGUUUCCAACCAGGAACAGUAUUCACUCACAGAUUGCAUAAGAAAGUAUCAAAAACAUAAACUACUAAGUUAUUACAGCAUUCAACUUAGAUGCAUUUUACAACAUUAUUUUACUUCUUCAAUCAAAUUCCCGAUACAAUCAUAAUUAUUACAGAUUCUUUUACAGCUUAAAUAAAAGUUUGUUCUUGUCUUUAAACCUCCCAAGCUAGACCACCAACUCGGGUACUGCUAUCUCAGUCUCUNCUAAAGUCUCAUUUAUCUCUAUAUCUUCUCGUUGUAAACUCGCUUCUCUCCAUGGCAAGGUUUACGGCUAAAACUCGACCAGGAAAACCUACGGGAACUGCAUCGCCGGUUCCAUAGGUCGUUCCUGAACCGAGUGGUGCGGGAGCUUGUACCGAGCCGGAGCGGUUCACGUCGCCGCCUUUGGGAUCUUUGGGGGCUCCUGGAGUGGCGAAGAGAGAGUACCCACCCUCGAGUAUGCUCUGGAAACCUAAUUUGAACAUUGACACAUUUACAUUGCUGUAUCUUCCAUUUCCGAUUUGUUAUAGGCGUCUGUAUAUUAAGAUAGUUGGAAUUAUUAAGAUGUUUGUAGAUAACAACGGUCUUAUUUUAGUGUGUAAUGCAAUCUAUAAAGUUGGAAAAAUUUCAUUUUCUGCAAAGUCGUGUCACCGAUGGAAGUAGAAGACUUCAUAUUCUGUAGUCAUGUUAAUGGAAGAAGAAGGUGAAUCAUGAAGAUGCGUUGCAGCCAGAUGGCUUAGAGCAGGUUGCAGGAGUAGAUGUUUCUCUCUCUCUCUCUCUCUCUCUCUCUCUAACACAAAUAUGCUUGAGCGAGCUCUUUUACUGUCAAGCUAAGGCUCAUUUUGUUUAUUAAACUUGAAAUUCUAGCUUGAGGUACAAUACAAUAGCAAACUUGAGCAGAGCUCGAGUGGCUUGCCGUCCUUUGAUUCAUUUGAUUCUCCUCCUUGCUAUUGAAAUUGUUAAGCAUUCUAGAAGUUGUGUUGACACGCUUGGGUUGGUACUUGUAGGACUGAACAACCCCCCUUUUGAUGGGAGAAACACUCAUUAUGUAUCACAUUGCAUAAGAUGAAUGAGAGAUGAUUUGUUUAUUGAGGAAUUAUGUUGGCGGAAAUUGUCUUCCUUUGAGUGAGGUUUAUGAACAGACAAAAUUAAUGGUUGCGUGAAAUUUAGGAAGUCCUAGCCUUGGAAGCUAGGGGGGUGGCGGUCGAAGAUCUAGUGCAGAUUUGUAGGUUAUCAAGUUCAUUGAUUAAUUGAGUAGGUCAAUCCUCUUAGAGACUAUGUUUAUUGGGGUUAUAGAAGGGUGGUCUAUUCCUGUUUUAGUUUUGAGGAUAUUUAACUUGUAUAUUGAAUUAAAAAAUAAAACUUUUAGGAAACUUCCUUAUUGAUUUUUUAUUUUUUAUUUGUUUUUAAAUUUUGGUGGUAUCUAAAUUGAUCUAUCCAUUACUUUGAAAUGAUUCAAAAUUAGACAUUGUGUUAUUUAUCUUUUUGGCAAGGAUGACAACAUUCCACUUUACGUAUCCGUAAUUCUGUUACAACUUAUUUGCAACAUAAUAUGAAAAUAAAGGGUGAAAGUCAUUGCUUUCCAACAUAUAUUGUGAUAAAAAGUGGGUAAAGAACAUAGUUCUGAUUGCCAAUGUUUUUGACUUGUGCUAAUAGGACGGUUGAAAAAGCCAUGCUUGCUAAUACUUAGAAAUUUGAAGUAUGUUGGUUCUAUGAUGCGUUUUCUUGAUUCAUUGUUAUGCUUAUUUAAUUUCUCUUGUAGUUAGAUACUGUGAAUAAAGCCUUAGUGAUUAUGUAAAAAUUGAUGCAGGUUCAAGUUAAGGUGUGGCUUAUAGUUUGUUCAUCGUGGAAACAAUUGCCUAUCUUUAAUACUAUAAAUCAACAAGUUGUCUGUUUGAUCUCACUUGGAUAAUCAAUUAGAUGAAUAUUAUCUUCUUGUGGUAAACCAAGUGUUUCAAGGUAAAGAGAGUCUAUUUCUAUAUGUCAUGGAUUUGAAGGGCUUACACGACUUUGCUUAUUGUGCAGAGGAAAUAUUACUGGAAAAUGUAGAACUUAUUCUCGAGGCCUUUGACUAUCUGCAGUUGCCUUUUGCUUUAAAGAGUGGUAUUGCUCUUUUCAUUGGUUAUCUAUGUUGAUUUUUUGCAUCUAUAGUCAUCUAUUUUCUUUUAGCAUAUUGAGCUUUAUGUUUUAUCUUUCGUAAAGCAUGCCCAAUCUUUCUCAUAUUCCAAGAAAUCUGAAUAAUUUGGAUGUGGCUUUGCAAAGAUUAUAUUGGAAUGUACCAUGAAACUUUUACCAUGUAAUUAGCAAUGUUGAUUAAUCACCCACCUUAUCUAUUUUUUAUGUGGCUUUUUAUUUGCUCUUGUAGAUCUGCAUAUGGUUCCGAUUCAUAUUAUUACCUUAAAGUAUAAAACAUGCUGUGUGGUUUGAUUUAGAUUAUUAUCACCUUAUUAUUAUUGAUGCUUUAGAUUAUUCGACAACUCACAGUAAUUGUCUCAUAUCCAGAAGGCUUAACAUUUCUUUUUCUUUAAUUGGUGACCUGUCUAGCUUAGAAUGUUCUCUUUUCUAGAUGUCCUUGUCACAUCCUGGACCCCAGCGGAAGCCUACCCUGCACGUGCAGAGACCUGCCGUGUGCACAAGGGUAUCCCCCAUUACACACAAGGCAUCUACAAUCAUAAUAUCCACCAAGAUGAAAUACAUAUCCUAAACAUGGUGAUCAGAGCGAGAAAACAUAAACUAAACUAGAAUAAAUACACAUCAAACAACUAGCAUCACAAGUACAUCUCUCAAGUACAUAAUCCACUACAUACAACAUCUCCAAAAUGAAUACAACUCAUAGUAUACAUCAAAGGUACAUCUCAUGGACUCCAUAGUAGUCUAUAAAACGUGCACAUAUUUUGUAAAGCACAUAUUUUCUAAAAUUGCGCAACAGCCAAAUCAAAGCUUUUGAGAUAUCCUUUUCUUUCAACGAUUUGUAAUUUAUAGAAACAUGCUUAAGCCUUAUUUUGAAAAACCAUACAAAAAGGGAUAACACAAAUAAACUAACUGAUGGUGGGUCGCUUACCUCUAAAUAAUUUGAGUAUAGUUCAGCCGAAAGCCAAGUAUCAAUUUAAUCAACGAAAUCUUUUCAAAACGAAAUGAUGUCGAACAAGAUGUCGUCGACUACGAAUCAAAUUGCACCAAUGACGAUCAAGAAUUGCAACACCGACCAAGAACGAUGGCAACGGUGUCGAAGGACGAGGGGAAGCAAGAAGCUGAGCGCGAGUAUGUGUAUGAGAGAGAGAGAGAGAGAGAGAGAGAGAGAGAGAGAGAGAGAGACGGUAAUAUGCAUAAGAGAGAGAAGCGGUUGGUUGGAGAGGGUGUACGGAUACGAUAAAAAGAUAGAGAUUUUAUCUUAUAUUAAUCAGGUUAUGGGCCAAUUUUCACAUAAACCCUCAAUGCUUAUAAUUGAUGCUAAGUCCAAAUAUAUAAAUAAGUAAAAUAUGAGGUAUUACAUAUGUGCUGGUGAAUAGAUGAAUUGGAGAAUUUUUUGUACCAUUACACAUGAAUUACCUUCUAUGGUGUUUAUUUGCCUGAUCUCAUUUCUGCAAUUGACUUCUAUAAUAUUGCAGGCAAGGUUGGGAAAUUGAGCAUCAAGAUUCCAUGGAAAAAGCUUGGAUGGGACCCUAUCAUAGUUGUGUUGGAAGAUGUCUUUAUCUGUGCUUGCCAACGAGAGGAGAGUGAGGCAUGUUUAUUUAUUUGGAUCUUAGCAUGUUUUCUGAUAUACGAAUUACACUUGAUAGCUUCAUUCUCAUGCUUAUACGAAUUACACUUCGUAGCUUCAUUCUUAUGCUUAGCUUCUAUGGAUAAUCAAUAAUAUGAAGGUUGUAUUUGUUUGGAUAAAAUUUUUCUUUUUGUUAUUCUUCUCAUGCAGUGGAGUUCAGAUUCAAUUGAUAGAAGAGAAUUAGCUGGAAAAUUGGCAAAGCUUAACGCAAUUGAGCUUGCAAAGUUUUCGAGAAGAGUAUCUGGUAAGCCUUUGUGAUAAGCAAUUUCCAAUUGCUCUUUGAUUCUUUCAGUAGAUUUCAAAAUCUCCAAUCUCAGGUUUCAUUCUUAUGGAUUUCUUUUUAUAGUGUAGCAGUCUAUGUUGCACAGAUACGAAUACAGGGAUAUGGAUACGAUACGAUACGGAUACGAUAACACGACAAUUCCUAAAACUUCUAGAAUAAGAUAUGUGGGGAAUACUUGAAUAAAAUCUUAUUUUAAAUAUAUUUAAAUAUAUGUUGAUUCAGGAUAUCUGGAUUACAUUAAGGAAUAUAUUCUGAUACACAUUAUCUUUUUAUAAUUGUUCUACACCUGCUCAUAAAAAAAAGAUUAUCACUGGUAUGAAAUAAUAAUUCAACAUGUAUCAACCAACUAUCAUCCAACUUGAUCAAAUGAUAACUAUAGAUAUUUAGUCACACAAACUAGAUAAUUAGCCAUUUAACGUGUAUGCCUGUUUUAUUAGUUCUAUUAUUAAAACAGUAAUAAAAGAAAAAUAUGCUAACAAUUUAAUAGAAGACGAAAAAUCAUUCUCUAUAGCUUUUGUUACUUAGUGCUAGGUUGAUAAAUUAGAUGAAAGAGAGUAAAAGAGAAGCAGUAAAGUACUGAACCAUGGGUUAAUAUUUUGUGGAGAUAGAACGAAAGGGAGCGCCUUCUACCAUUCAAGAGAAAAAAGAUGGAAGAAAUGACAAAUUGAAUAGAGAUUCACAUUUUUCUCACUCUUUUCCUUAUUUCCAAUAGGUUUGGAUGUGGACUUUUCGAAAAAUUUUUAAGUUCCGAUCAUCUUGCCAUAACACCCCCUCCCCUGGUAUCGCUCCCAUAUUUGAGCUGUAUCCGAUAUAUAUAUUUUUUAUUUUUUAAAAAAUGCCGGAUACUUCAUUCCCGUAUCGGACACGUACGGCCGCAUAUCAGUAUCCGAUACGUGUCCGAUAUGUGUACGUCAUGAAAUUUGAAGAAGCGGUGCUUCAUAGGUAGCAGUUCAAUCCUUCGAACUAAUGUGGCUUGAACUAUUUUAUCUGUCCUUGCUUCAUUGGCUUAUUUUCUUGCUUUUCUAGUUCAAUACUCUUCUUCUAGACUAUCCCUUGGCAACUUGCUAGCUAAUCUACCAUUGAAUUUGGAUAAUGCUUGGGUUUCCCACAAGAUGAUCCAUGACCAUCUAUCACUGUGAUGUGGUUGUGAUGUCAAGUGACAUAUACGACAGUCUACCUUGUCAAAACCUUGGUGUGCUGCAUGCUGCUUUGAAGAAUUAGGAAGUAGUUAGUUCUAAUUCACCUCCUAAUGACUGAUCUAAUAGUUUGCUUUGCUGGAAAUUAAAUCACAGAGACAAGUGAAUAUAGCCAAAGCUAUUGGUUGAAGAAGAAAAGAAGCAAGAAAAUAGAUAACAUGCAAACUAGUCUCCUUUCUGGUCAAUAAUUAGAACUAAUUAUCCAACAGUAGUAUCCGCUGUAACUGAGUACAUUCUUAUCCUGGUGGCCUAUUUACCUGUUUUUAGUAAAAUUAGGGCGGACUCCUGUAAAGAAGGAAAAAAAAAAAUCUAAUCCACCAAUCAUUUUCGUAGGCACUGAACAUCAAUUGUGUGAGUAUUAAACCACCUAGAGGAUUACUCGUGCACUAAAGCUUGAAUAAACUCGAUCCCCCAUUGUUUUUUUUUUAUGUGUUGGAAUUUAUGUAAAUAGUAGGCUAGAACAGAUACAAGAGAAAGUGAAGUCGAAUCUGCUUUUGGGACUGUAUUUGCAAUGUAUUUGGAAUAGUUCUUUGUUAGAUAUCUUUAUUCUGUGGUUUCAUCAUCAUUUUUUGGUGAUUAGAACUGUCUCUAUAAAAUGAUUAGUGAAAGGGUGGUUUGAUACCCGUUGCAUAAAAGUGGAUAGGGCACUCGCCAAUAUGAAGCUAGAUAAGCAAAAGGAAGAGCAUAUUAUGGAAAAGCAUCAAUUGAAAGGUUGAGAAUGAAUGGAUUAGAUCAACACCCAUAUUCAAACCUCCUUUCUAACCAUUAGCAAGAACUUGUUUUAGCUAAAUAUCGUGAGGAAUUUGGACCACUACUUUAAUAUAUUCAGAAAGCAUUGCUGAGGAACUUCAAUAUCAACGCGCUUAUUAGCUAAAAUUGAGUAAAUAGCUCUACGAACAAACAGAUCGGAUUGAAUUGGAUAAUGGAAAGAUUUCUAGAAGUUAUAUGUUUUGUCACCACUUUGUGGAAAUCGUUAGGUAUGAAAAUGUAAGAGCCAUCUCUUUCUCAACAAUGCCCUUAUCAUUUGAUCUAAUAAUGGUCCCUUAGAAAUAAAUUUGGUAACUACUGAUGACUCUUAGAUAGAGUAGUAAAACAGAAAGAUCCAUAAGCCUAUGAGGUCGCUUUUGCAACAGGAUAAUCAAUGCUGAAUCGUCUUUACAUUGAAUGGUUCGGUGUUUGAUGAUCCCUACCGUAUCGACCACAACUUCUGUAUUUAUUAUCGCCUUUAUUGCUGGUCCUUCAUUAGAUAUUGAUAGUAUUCAUGAACUUGAACUACAGAAGUCCACCGGUCUCCAUUAACUAUAAUUAGGAUGGCUAUGGAUGAGGUGGAAAUUGUAACUAGCCGAGUCAAAAAUACAAUAUGCCUAGAAAAAUAGAAGUUAUUGUAGUGCUGAUUUAGUGACCUCAUUAGUGGUUGGUUCUUUAUGUUACAGUGCAUCAUUUUCUAAGUGCUUGCUCUUUAGUGGAUUGAUUGAGCUCUUGUGGAAAGGUGGGAAAUACUGUUACCUAACAAUUACUGCAAAAGAUAUGAUUGACAUUAAUUGACAAAGUGGUCUAGUCCUGGCAGGAUACCAGGUAGAUGGCAUAGAAUUUCUGUUAAAUGAUAUGUGCCUCAUUACUUGUCUUUAUACUUUAGAACAAGGAUUUAAGUGUCGUGACACGGGGUCGUGCUCGAAACUUGCUAGCACGAUACGACAUGGUGUGUGCCGGGCCGUGCCGAUGCGUGUCGGUCACAAAAAAUAUGUGUGCCGACACAUAAUGCAUUGAAAUAUUUAUUUUCUUUAGCAACAAAAUAUUCUAACUGUUUAUUAUGUAUUUUUAUCAAAUCUUUUGAACUUUAUUGAGAAAUUACUUACUAAUUUAAAGAAUAGAGGGUUUUGAGAUGUGUCAUCAGUACGGGGUUUGUAUCGUGCCGAUAUCUUGUUGGCACGAUACGACAUGGUAGAUACGACCCAUGCCGAUGGGCACUUAAAUUCUUGCUUUAGAAUUUAUGCUUGAAAAAUAUAGCUUGCCAAAGUUUGUUUUGAACCAAGGAUUAAAGUGCCUAUCGGCAUGGGCCGUAUCCACCGUAUCGUAUCGUGCCAACAAGUUAUUGGCACGAUACAGCCCCCGUGCCGAUGGCACAGUUCAAAACCCUCUAUUCUUUAAAUUAGUAAUUAAUUUUCUCAAUAAAGUUCAAAAGAUUUGAUAAAGAUACAUAAUAAACAGUUAGAAUAUUUUGUUGCUAAAGAAAAUAAAUAUUUCAAUGCAUUAUGUGUCGGCACACAUAUUUUUUGUGACUGACACGCAUCGGCACAGUCCGGCACACACCGUGCCGGCAAGUUUCCGGCAUGACCCUGUGCUACGGCACUUAAAUCCUUGUUCUGAACAAAAAGCUCAUGCUUAUUAUAGGUGCUCUUCACUGCUGGUUCUAUAUAUUUUAUGGUAUUAGUUAAAAAAAACCUGGUUAGCAACAUUAACUUGCGUACAUGAUUCAAAUUUUUGUUCGUUCUUUUCAUCUUAAUGUUGUGGUUGUGGUGCGUGCUCAGCAUGUGAUAGCACAUCCCUAGUCAUUAGUUGCUGGAAUCUUAUCAGCAAGAAAUUUUUUCUUUUCUUGCAAGAAAUACCUUUAUCAGUUAUUGCUACCUAAGUUCUAAUUGAUUCUCUUUUCUCUAGAUAAUCAAACUGGCCAGUCAUUCAUUUCUUACGUUUCUGCAAAGGUAAGUGCAUUUUUCUUUUUGGCCUUAAGAAGGAGCUAACAAAGUCUGUAUAGACUACAGUACUCUUUAAAUUUGUGUUGACCCAUGGUUAACAAAACUACUUGAUGCAAAUUCACUCCAAUCACCAUCUCAAUCUACAGAUUCUUGACAACAUCCAAGUUUCAAUCCAAAAUGUUCACAUCAUAUACAUCGAUUCUCAUGAAGAUCAGGUGACGAUUCUCUCUUUCAUGUAUAUUCUAUAACUAUAAUUCUAUGGUAGUUUCAUGUUCUCCGGAUAUAUCAAUCAACAGAUUCUGAUUUUAUUAUUCUAACUCUUUAUCUUUCACUGUUCCGCUCAUGUAUCUAUUGGUUGUUACUUGCAAACUUCCGGCAACUGCGUCUACAUGGUAGAAAGUCAACAAUGAUUAACACUAUUUCACUGAAUUUAAAAUCUUAAGAAAUGUAUAAUUCAUAAGCAACGUGAAUUGUGAAUAUCCUUGUCUUCCUUGUCAGUUGUGACUAUUAAUUGGUAAUCAUUAACCUACAAGUUGGUUUUAGUUUAUUAGAGUCGGAUAAUUGCAUAAAUGUGAGUUCAGUAACUCCAGCUAGAUCUGCAUUUAGUGCAUUUGAGUUGGUUAAUGGUACAUGAAUCAGGUGCUUUUGGUUGUUGCUCAUGUUUUCCUGUUAGUUUUCGAGUUUUGAGAUAAAUUUUCAUCUAUAUUUUAGCAUGGUUUGGAAUUUCAUGCUAGAGCCAAAAUUCUGAAGAUUAAGGCAGGCUAAAUUUGGGAAUCUGUGGUCAUAUCAACUCAUAUAGUCAUAUCAACUGAUUUUUGGAGCUCCACAGAAAUCAGAAAGUGCUUUAGAGUUCCCAUCUGUUACCGUGCUUGUUUGCAAUGAGAUGUUGGUGGGGCCUUGUGCUGGUGAAAUCUUACUUGAACAUAGAUCUGACCAUCCUUUCGUAGGAUCAGAGCAAGUAGGAGUAGGGCGCUGAAAUUCUUUUGGAUUUUUGUUGAGCUUUGAAGCACUCCAAGUCUCUGAUUCACAAAAUGUUGGCAAAUCCUCUGAAGUAGUUGGUUAGGAGAUUAUCUACUCGAACUUAUCUAUAUUUAAAAAGUAAGACGAGGUUACAGACAUAUAUGAUCAUGUUUGAAAGUUCUAGAUAAUGAUAAACACUAUUUUCAUCUUAAAGAACUUUUAUCUAUCAGUGAUUUUCCACACAAUUAAUAAAAGGAGUGGUCAAUAAGGUGACAACAAAGUGACAAACAGAUAAUUAAUUAAGAUGCCCUUCGGCCAUCUUGCAUUUCUUCUAUUGUUUUCUUAUUUCUCUGUGAUUUCUCAUCUUUUCCUUUCGUUUUUUUGGCUGGAACUAUAGUGGUGCCUACUGCCUACUUCUGCAACAAUUACUGGUGCUAAGAUUUUAGACAAACUUAGAGCUAAUCCCUUAUCAAAUCUAUCACACAUAUCUUGUGGAAGGCCAUUAAGUAUCUCGUGUCUAUUUUAACUUAGAAACUUCGCUUCCUCUGUCCUUUUUCAUACUACACCACUUGAUCAUUCAGGCAACUUAAAACAUCUUGCCAUUUUGAGCCUCCUUACUAACUGAUUAGUUGUUUAUAAUCACUUAAAAAUGUCCACACUUGGUGUACAGUCUAUGCUUUUUAAAUGGCCAUUUUUUCUAUUAAUGUUAUUACUAUUUAUCAUUUAAGAAGCAAAUUAGAUAGCAACGUGCUGUGAUGAGAGGUGCCUUAGCAAACAUAUUAACAUCCCUCCUUUUGAGCUGUAAGGAAUUGACCUUCACUUUGUGAAAGGAGAUGGUUUUAUCCAGUGGUGCUGUGCACUAAAAUCUAAACAUCAAUGUUGUGCUCCUUUUUACUCUAUUACAACCAUUAGUUGAGAGUAUGUAAGCUGAAACUAAGGUUAUUGCAAUUGCUAAUCUAAUAGGCAUACAACUAGGUGGUUUUGCUCAAAAAGUGUCUAGCGGUUGCUUCUGACAACACUGCAGAAGAUGUGGAGAUUUUUUUAAGCAGAUUAAAAAGGCUACUUACAUAGUAGCAAGAAUGAUACUUCUUGUAGGUCCACAGGGCAACACCAAGUGCAUUAUUAUUGUGAAAAACAAUAUAACAUGAUACUACAUUCUGAAUUACUAACUAAUAAUCAAUGUUUGAAAAAGCACAUAGCAAAUACAUAGCUGUUAUGAAGGUGAAGCCGUGAAGGCAUUGAAAAUGUUGUUACUAACUCACUUUUUUGCAGAAAAUCAACUUCCACUAUGUAAUUAACAAUAAAAUCUACUAUGUAAAGAAUUUGUAGCUUUGCAAAUCACCAAUUUACUAUGUAAAGCAAGGAUUUAACUGUCGUGGCACGGGGUUGUGCCGGAAAUUUGCCAGUACGGUACGGCAUGGUGCGUACCGGGCCGUGCUGAUGAGUGCCGGUUACAAAAAAUGUGUGCCGACACGUAACGGCAUGAAAUAUUUAUUUUCUUUAGCAACAAAAUAUGCCAAUUAUUUAUUAUGUAUUUUUAUCAAAUCUUUUGAACUUUAUAGAGGGUUUUGAGUUGUGCCAUUGGCAAGGGGGCCGUAUUGUGCCGAUAUCUUGCUGGUGCGAUAUGACACGGUGGAUACGGCCCGUACCAAUGGGCACUUCAAUCCUUGAUAUAAAGAAUUUGUAGCUUGUCAAAUCACCAACAAGAAAACUAGCUAAUUCACCCUAAUUAUUUUACUGUAUACUGCGUCUCCUCUUCUUUUGUCUUUAGUCACUCUUACUCCUUACCUCCGACAAAUUUCAACAUCCUCUACUAUAUUUUUGUACACGAAGACAUGCUGUGUGUUAAUUAAUGGCCAAAUACCCAUUAAUGUCCAAAUUCAAAUUUUUUUUUUCAAGUUGGUUAAAUGCGAUAACCAUACCACCUUCAACAUUAUUCAGCGAUGGUGGGCAAACAACGACCAUGUGACGCCUUGCUUCCCAGAGGGGUCACUAAUCCUAGAACUACUCUAGUGUCACGCCGCGAGCCCGAGACGUAACAGACGACGUAUAUCUGCAAUUAUUCAAUUACAAACAUGCAAGGCAACAAAACAUGCCGAUAUUGAGCAAAAAUAAUCUAUCACGAAUUUACAUUAAAUACCAAUUCAAUUUGAAUCCAUAAAACUAAAUUUAUAGUUGAAAGUUCCACAAAUAAUCAACUAAAUUCACCAAAUUUUAUAAUAAUUCUAACCAAGCAUAAAUAUUAAAUGUCAGUCACAAGUAAAAUUUAAACUAACUAAACUAUCCAAUUUGUUAACAAUAGUUAAUAGCUCCGAAACAAACGAAUCUCAAUGUCUAGCAUUCACUCGGUCCUAUCCCCCACAAGCUGAUCAGACUCCAUUCCUGGAUAAGCAACCAUACACCACAUUAAUUGAUUAAGCAUGGAAACAAAAUGUUUUAUAAAUAUUCAGUUGUAACUUAGUUACCAAAAAUAUAAAGAUGACUGAGUUUAGCAAAAUUCAAAGUCUCAUUUGGAAUUUUGAGCUUUAUAAUUAUAUUUCACAAAAGGAUAAAGAAUAAUGAAAUUUAACCAAAAGCAUUCUUAUUCUAAAAUUAGAAUUUAAAACGGUAACUAGCGACCUGUUGACAAAGGUCCUAAAACACACAUUAAAAGCACCCGAAGGCGUGAUCGCAUAACAAAAUCACCUGAAGGUGUAUCUAAAGAACACCUGCAGGUGCGUCACAAAAUGGCGCGUCACAAAAUUGCACCGGUGGUGCAUCACAAAAUCGAAGCUAGCUUCUAUCACAAAGUUCAUGCUGACAUGGCCAACAAUAUUCAUAGCAAUAUACCAAGAGACAUCAUCUUUUGAGAUUAUUUACCGAGUCAAUAUUUAAAAGAGAGCAAUUAUCGAAUACUAAAUUUUUGCCAAAUAAGCACAAUAUCGAAAGUACACAUUUUCUGAAAUUGCAUAGCAAUUAGAUUCAAGCCUUUUAGAAAUCUUUUGACGAUUUGUAAUUUAACCCAUUAAAUAAAAAUCUACACAAAAGAGAGUUCUUGUUUUCAUAACAUAUUACUAGAAUUUUACCAAAAUAAACUAACAGGCGUUAGGUCACUUACCUCUAAUUAACCCGAGUAUUGAUCAGUCAAAGGUUGGGUAUCAAAUUAAUCAAUGGAACCUAAUGUAAGAACAAAAUAUCAUUAUAAAAGCAAAACACGAAAAUAGCCAAAGCUUGGUUCCGAAUGAGUUUCUAAAAAACAUUCAAUACAUCUAACAUAGGACUAAUUAGUUCAUAAGAAAUAAAGUAACUCCCAACAACAUAAUUUGGAUAGGCUCAAAUAGAAUACUACCACAAGAUGAAGUUGCUAAAAGGCCAAUCUUAUAUAGGAAAAAGAUUAACUCCCAACAACAUAAUUUGGAUAGGCUCAAAUAGAAUACUACCACAAGAUAAAGUUGCUAAAAGGCCAAUCUUAUAUAGGAAAAAGAUUUCGAACAUGAUAAGUUGAGGAAUAACAACUAUCAAUUAAAAGAAAGAAUUUGAUGGGCUAUCUUAUUCAAAAAGAUAGUGCAACAUGAAUAGGAUUAAGUUUUUAAAGAAAAAUAGAAAAUGAAGGCUUAAAUGCUCAAAAGGAUAAUUUUUAAAUCAUAUAUUUCCUAAUUGUAAUCCAAAUAGGCCAAAUUUGGAAACAAAAUUUAUAUCUAUAUUCUCUUAGGCAUUACGUCGAACACUUGGUAAUAAGGAUUUAAGUGUUCAUCGGCACGGGCCGUAUCUACCGUGGUGUAUCAUGCCAACAAGAUAUCGGUACGAUACAGCCCCCGUGCUAAUGACACAGUUCAAAACCCUUUAUUCUUUAAAUUAGUAAGUAAUUUUCUCAAUAAAAUUCAAAAGAUUUGAUAAAGAUACAUGAUAAACAAUUAGAAUAUUUUGUUGCUAAAGAAAAUAAAUAUUCAUGUCAUUAUGUGUCGGCACACAUGUAUUUUUUUGUGACCGGCACGCAUUGGCACGACCUGGCACGCACCGUGCCGGCAAGUUUCCGGCACGACCCUGUGCCACGACACUUAAUUUUUUGCUCUUGGGUCUAGCCACCACCCAAGGAUUUAAGUGCCGUGGCACGGGGUCGUGCUGGAGACUUGUCGGCAUGGUACGACACGGUGCAUGCCGAGCUGUGCUGAUGCGUGCCGGUCAAAAAAAUUCUUGUGUGCCGACACAUAAUACUAUGAAAUAUUUAUUUUCUUUAGCAACAAAAUAUUCUAACUUUUUAUUAUGUCUUUUUAUCACAUCUUUUGAACUUUGUUGAGGUAAUUACUUACUAAUUUAAAGAAUAGAGGGUUUUGAGUUGUGCCAUCGGCACGAGGUCUGUAUCGUGCUAGUAUCUUAUUGGCACGGUGCAGCACGGUGGAUAUGGCUUGUGCCGACGGUCACUUAAAACCUGCCACCACCCAAAAUGCUAUAGGUGGGUUAAGAGAUUUAGCCCUAUUAUAUCUUAGAUAUAGGACUAUUCCAAAUUGUAGGGGUGUCGCAGAUUCUAAUUUCUAUUUCGAGCCCAACGUGUCCUAUAAUUGGUAGUGGUUUAGGUUUCCCUCAUGGCUGCUGAUAUACCUAUCAUGAUAGCUACUUUUUUGAGCAAUGUUAUAAUUAUCAUUAUUUAAGGUGGAAACUCUAAUGCUGCGUUGCUUUUGGAUUAUUUAGCGGGGACUUUUCAAUGACUAGAAGUCUCAUUGCUUUUUAUGAACUUGGUUAUAUACUGUUUUAUAAAGUGUCACCAUUUCACACUGUUCAAGAACUUCAGGUUUCUUAACUUUGUCGACUUCUUUUUAAGUAAAUCAUCCAAAUAGUCUUUACAAAUCCAAGAUAAAAGUUUGCGAUAUACAUGCUGAUAGCCUUAUAGAAGUGUAUCUUUUUACAUCUGUAUUCCUGUAAAAUCUGAAAUUUCAUAUGCUCUCCAUAAACUUGAUAACUUGCAUGGAUAUAGCCAUAUCCUUAUCAGGAUACCCUUCUUUAGAAAUCAUUAUGUAGUUCAAACCAAUUCCUGCACGAGUUGGGUAACUUCUUUAACUUUCAAUGAGGGUACCUUAGCAAGAAGUUGCAAAUUUAAGAAAUAAUUCAAAUUUUACAAGAGUAUAUAAGAAAAUAAAUGGUUAUUUUUGUUUGGCCUUUAAUUUAGAUGUUUGUAUAAGCUCUAUUCCAAAUAUGUUGGAAAUGAUGGCUGCAUUUAACUUCACACCUAUUAUUUGAUAUGGAAGCAAGCACUUUCAGCAAGGCACGAUGGAAGUACAUAUGGCCCAUGGUCUCAGUUGUAAGGACCUCCUUGAUAAUCCAUACCUCUCUAUGUAUAAUCUAUAACUUUGUAUGCCAUUAGAAUUUCUUUUCUUGCCAUUGUUAGGAAUUAUUUCUAUAGUUCUCUCAUUUGCAUGUCUUUUCUUAUAUGCUCUCAAAUUUCUCAAUUUUCUAUCCAAGAGAGAGUAGUUUCUAUGUUACCUAUGAUUCUAUGUUACCUAUGAUUUUUUUUUUAUUUUUUUAUUUUGAUGUUUUGUAGGAAAACUUUAUAUUUGGUUUGAGGUUCUCUACUCUAACAAUAACGACGGACACCCGCAAGCUUGUUUUUUCUAUGUGAGUUCAUAAUUACAAUCAUCCUUUCAUGUAUUGUGUCUUGAUAAUUAUGUCAUGGAUUGUCUGUGCUGUGAGAUACUAUUUGUGCUGGUCAGCAUGUGUCGUGCUGGUGGUGAAUCGACAUUGGUAAUGGCGAAUGACUGGCUUGAGUGCUUUUGCGAGCUUGUAUUGCGGUCCAAUAUCUUCAAUGAAGAUGAUUAAGGGAGGCGGGCAGCGGUUGUAGAUGCAUCGAAGAAUAAAGAGGAGUACAGACCCUAAAUUUGAUUUGAUAUAAAAUAUGGGUUUCUAAUGGACUUGGAUGCAAAGCGAAGCUCGUGUAGGUUUACCUCAAAACCUAUUCAAACCGCAUUGUCUCAACCGACUUUGGCCAUCGAUGCCCCUCCCAACUCAAAUCAAGAGUUGAUAUAUCCUACCGAAGCAACUAGACUGUCAUAGAAACUCGCGAACCAUAAAGGCCCUUCAAUUAGCAGCAUAGAUCUUGGCGGUGCCAUGAGAAAGUGGUCCGUGAUGGAUAUGAUCAUCACAUGUUUGUCUAUCUUUGCGUGCAUUCAAUUUAAUAAGUAUACCAUGCAAGUUAUCUUCUUUCUGUUGCAAAUUUUGUUUGGCUUUGUCUUUAUAAUGAAAGGUGGUUUAUAUUAGUUUGUCUGGCUGCUUUUAUUAACCUCGUUAAAAACUAUGGCUACCUUGAUUUUUUUUAUGCGCAAGGAGGUUGCAAGAAAAACUUAACAGUUUAAAGCAGGGGCAACAAAUUUGGCUAGUUUUAAGAAUUAAUGAGUCACUUUCUCCCUGCUUAGUUAUCUUUUAGUUCUCUCCGUAACUUCGUCAAAAUGUUUGGUUGGAGAUGAACUAUAGUUUGCACAAGGAUUAAAGUGUAAAACCCCUUUCCUGCACCUAGCGGAAUACUGUGAUACAUAUCAUGGUACCAUGCGAUACUUUUAGUUGGGCGCGCGGGUGCCACAAUACGUACCAUGUACGCCGACCUAUAUCUUAAUAUUUGUUAUUAUUUUCCCUUUUUUAUGUAGUACAUGAGUUUUUAUCUCUCUCAUUUGUUUUUUUGGUUCUUUUUUCUUUUAUACCCUCUAACUUCCUGUUAUCAUUUAAUUUGUAGAUAAAAUCUAUUUUAAUAUAUUAAGCUAAUUUAAAAUUUAAUCAAAUUUAAAAUUACUUAUCUAAUCUAGUUAAUUUAAUCUAAUUAUGGAUUUGGAAUCUAAUCUAAUCUACUGUAGAUUUAAAUUAUCAGAUCCAAUAUCUAAUUAAAGCCUAGAUUACAUGAAACUAGUUUAAAUAUAAAUUUUUACAUCCUAAAUUUACUAUCUAAUUACUAUUAAUAUAGACGCAAUGUAUAAACUAUCUAUGAUUAUAGAAUUACUAAAUUUAACCUAGUUUAUACUAGGGGUGUAAAUGAGCCGAACACGAGCUGGCUCGUUAAAGUAUCGAGCCGAAAAAUUCAGCUCGCAUGUUCGGCUCGUUAUAUAACGAGCCGAACACGAGCUGGCUUCGAGCUAGCGAACGAAACAAUAAAUUAAAAAGAAUUAAUUAAAUAUAUAUAUAAAAAUAAAUUUAUAAAAUUUUAUCCAUUAGACUUUGAUCUUAAUAUUUGAAACUUACAUAUAAAUGAGUCUUUUAUAAUUAAACGCCCAUUUAUAUUUUAUUUUGCUAAAAAUUAAAAUAAUAAAAAUAUAUACAUUAUAUAUAUAAUUGUUUAUUUAUAUAUAUAAAUAUAUAUUAGAUAAAUUAUAUAAAUAUAAAAUAUAAGUAUUCGAGCUGUUAUCGAGCCGAACACGAGCGAACAGACCCUAACUCAUGUUCGGCUCGUUUAUUAAACGAGCCGAAAAAUUUAGCUCGUGUUCGGCUCGUUUAUUAAACGAGCAAAAAAAUUCAACUCGUGUUCGGCCCGUUUAUUAAACGAGCGAUUCGAUCUUGAACUCAUUUCGAGCCGAACAUGAGCUGGCUUGCGAACAGCGAGCUGGAUUGCCACCCUUAGUUUAUACCUAUAUUUACUUAACCCAUUAUCUCAUAUAAUCUAAUCUAUCUAAUCUAGAAUUACCUAACCAAAGGUAAUAUAAUCUAGAAUUGGCUAGAUUAGAUGGAAUUAUUUUAGAAAUAGAUAUUUUUUGUUUACUGGUUAGCUUUGAUAUUUUUCUUUCUAAAUUGUCCAAAUUACUCUAAUCUACUAUAUAUGUAAUCUAAUUUAGAAUUACCUGAUCUAAUCAUAAGCUAAUCUUGUCAUGCCCCGGGGACCAUUUUUGAAAGCCAAUUCAAAAAGGGCUAUCUUUAUAAAUCAGAGUUAGCGAAAAACUGCCCCUUUUUUUUUUGAAACCUGGAACCCAAAGACAUGCAAAAGACCAGCCACAAAUACAGAAAAUUUUCGGAACAAACGGACAGAGCAUCCCUGUAUUUGCACGGUAUAGUAUAUAAUCCAAUUUAACAACCAGAUCUCCAUUCACAUACACAACAACAGGAUGUAUAAGGAUCAUCAUAUUACAUCAAACAGCUAGUUGUCCUUAGUCACAUCCAUUCCACAUUGAUUCACAUUCAUCCUAGAAGUUGAAAUUGUCUCCCACACGAAGUCUUACUUUUUAAAACUCUUAACUUUGCGAAAAAUCUCAAGAAAACCUUUUAAAAACGUUCCCACACGAAAACCAUUAUUUUGAAAACGCUACCACGAGGGGUGGAAAACCAUCGAUAGAAAUCCGAGUUCAAAACCAAUGUGUUAAAAAACCACGAAUGUCCAAAACUAUGAGCACCCAAAACCGUCAUAAGUACAAUAUCUAAAAUUCGAAGGUAUAGAAUAUCUACUGAACCACAUAUAAGCCUCUACUAACGGUGUAAUAGGGUAACACUAUACUAUCCACAAGUAUGUCUAUGCUAAGUAUUGAGUAUAAUCAAAUCGUAUACCGUAUGUCGGGAAACUCUAUCUAGGCACUCUAACUAUGGCCUCACGCACCAUCCCGACCAAUCCUACCUGGUCACCUAUGGAAAAAUGGGGAUGAGAAACCAACAAAGGGUCUCCUAGUGGGUACCGCAAGCUGACGAAGGCAAGCGUACUCACCGGUAACCAGAUAUAGGUAAAUAAAGGCCUACUGUAGUAAUGUAAGUGUGAAGAGAGAUGAACUGUAAGUAAGCAUACAACAACCACUACUGUAGCUAUAUGCGUCAACCGGACGGAAAGUCCAAAUGUACCGAAUCUGUACCGCCGUGUCGGUCCAACGACCUCAGGUAAGCCACAAUCGCUCUGUCUGGCAUAUAACCCUAGCAAAUAGCCGUUGGUGAUGCAGGACGGGUCACGGCCUGCAUCAGUUGGGCUCAUGGAUUGGCAACCAACCACUUUUCCGAAAAAAAACACCCUCCUACGGGGGAUCAGACCGCUGAUGUUCGUGAAAUGCUGUCGAGCUAUGGCGAUCGAUGCGAGUAUGAUCAAUAGCCAGCCCUCGGCGAAUAGCCGACAAUCACCGCCCCUCAGGGAACACCGACCAAUAGGUCAUCGAAACAACACUGAUAUACGAGCACCGACCACUCGGUCAACCGGGAUGGAUAAGGUCAACAUCCUCACAAGUAUGCAAGUACCGACCCCUUAGGUCAACAAAAAAGUAUGAGGUUAACAAUGACAAGAGUAUAAAGGAACUGGCCACCCUGGUCAUCUAGGAUGUAUCCACGAGAAUCGACCACUCAGGUCAACAACAACGAGUCCAAGAGAGCCGAUCACUCAGGUCAACAAUGAGGUAUGCACAAGAACCAACCACUUAGGUCAACAAUGGCGCAUCUAGGGGAACCGACCACUCAGGUUAACAAUAAUAUAUAUACGAUCAUGUAUAGGCAAUGUCACGCCCCGGGGCCUCUUUUGUAAAGCUUUUUCAAAGAAUAGUCCAGUUUGAAAGUAAAGCCAGUGGAAAAUGCCUUUAUUUUUUUUUUUUUAAAUACAAACUUGCCAUGGGACAGAACAGACCUGCCACAAAUACAGGUUUUCCUCUGUCCACGAGGAUAGAGUCUUCCAUAUAUUUGUACAGCGUACCACUACACAAGUUGUUGCAACACUAACAUUCAAACUAUACGAGUUGUUGCAAUACUAACAUUCAAUCGCAUAAACAGCAUUCACAAUGCAGAUGCUCUCAAUAAUCAAUCAGCUAGCAAUCCUUGAGAUGAUGCAUACUUUAAGCACUCCUUAGGUGAAGGACGAUGCAAACGCACAUUACAACAAUCAACUCUAUCAUUUACAAAUGUUUCCCACCCAGAAACUUUAUUUUGAAAUACUAAGAAUCGAUGAAGUUGUAGAAAUCAUUUGAAAACGGUCUCCCACACGGAAAAUCAUUCUUUUAAAAAAACAGACUACCUCGAGGGAUAGAAAACCACAUAUCAUAAAACCGAAAAUACUAUAUCACCUGGAAUCCCAAAAGAAUCACCAUCCCAAAUACUUGCAAAUAAAUUAAUAUCCACCACAAGGAAUGUUCAAGAACCAACAACAACACAAAUAGAUAACUGAACCACACUUUCUAAUUUAUUAGCAAUAAAUGAAAUGGGUCGAAUCGAGAUAACCAUAACUGAUGAAGAUAUGUUGGAACCUUUAGAGCUCGCUAGCUAUCGCACCUCACGUACCGUCCCGACUCCCACCACCAAGAUCACCUGAAAAGGGAGGGGUGAGAAACCAACAACGGUCUCUCAGUGGGUACCCCAAGCCGAUGAGGGCGAGUGUAUUCACUGGAAAGAGAAAUACAACUGAGAUAGAUAGCUACUCAUGUGCAAUAGUGGAUAAGGAAAUAUAGAUAUGAACAACAAUAAUCACCUACCGCUACUGUAAAUAAUAAACAUAUGCAUCAACCGUAUGAAAACUGAUAUCCAAACAUCUCGCUAUAUAGGUCUAAAGACCGCAAGCAGUGCCACAGUAUGCUCACCUACUGGCACACAACCUCAGCUAGCACCUUGUAGGGGCUCACGGGUCGAAAAGAUGACUACUUUUCCAGAAAAGAACACCUACACGGUGGCCAAACUAUUGGUGUACGUGACGUGCCACAUGAGAUGUGACGAUCAACGCGAAAUGCUCAAUAGUCAACAAGACAGCAAAAAGCUGAGAGUAAGUUGAUAACCCACACAUGUCCAAACUAGAUCACCAGAUCGGCGAACCGACCAACACCGACCAAUCAGGUCGCACAGAUAGAGAUCAUGCAAUAAUCCAACACCACUCUACUGCUAAUAUGCGAAAGAACGAAAGUAGAGUAAAUAAAUCGAAAGUCUAGUGGUUUAAUACUCAUCAAGUAUGCAAAAGUAACAGGAAAAUUACCAAGCUAGCACCACUGUACCGACUUUGGAGCGAAGCACCUACCUGUAAUCAUAGCAGCGUCUAACACUGAAGGUGUGCUGGGACGUCAACUGAAUCUACGAAUGACCCACGAAGUCAAGAUCCAUUAAGUUGACUUCAAAACACUAAACACACAACCCCAGAACUGCCGAAAGUUCCAAAAAGUCCACCGAAGCACUUCCGAUUAGGGGUUUCAAUCCAGCUCGCUGUUCGCGAGCCAGCUCGUGUUCGACUCGAAAUGAGCUCGAGAUCGAAUCGCUCGUUUAGUAAACGACCCGAACACGAGCUGAAAGAUUCAGCUCGUUUAAUAAACGAGUCGAACAUGAGCUGGGGUUAGCUCGCUCGUGUUCGGCUCGAUAACAGCUCGAAUACAUAUAUUUUAUAUUUAUAUAAUUUAUUUAAUUUAUAUUUUUAUAUAUAAAUAUAUAAUAAUAUAUAAUAUAUAAUUUUAUUAUUUAAUUUUUAGAAAAAUAAAAAUAUAAAUGUAAGUUUAAUUAUAAAAAGACUCAUUUAUAUAUAAAGUUUCAACUAUUAGAUCAAAGUCUAAUGAAUAAGAUUUUAUAAAUUUAUUUUUUAUAUAUAUUUAAUCUAAUCAUUUUUAAUUUAUUGUUCGUUGGCCAGCUCGUGAGCUAGCUCGUGUUCGGCUCGUUAAUAAACGAGCCGAACAAGAGCUGAAUUUUUUGGCUCGUUUAAUAAACGAGCUGAACACGAGCUGGGGUUAGCUCGCUCGUGUUCGGCUCGUUUACACCCCUACUUCUGAUUGCCACAGAGUGUUUCAGAAGGUACCAUAGCACAAAUCUAGUCACCGGCUGUCUCGAAACGCACCAAUAUGGGUGUUCGGAUAGCCGCUAGUCCAAAGAAUACAGAUAUGCAAAAGUGCACUUAAUGCCAGUCCGGGUUCCCGAAAAUGUUGUUUUCGAUACUGGAACCCUCCGUCGCUCACUCUGUCUUCAUAAACUCGAGACAACGAGUGUAACCAGCCAACAAGGCUUCGUGACAAAUCUGGGGUGAUAACACUACUAGCAAGUGGACCCCACAACGGUCACUGCGUUUCGUCGACAAUUUUGUCGGAAAACACUUUGGAAAUCGAAUUUGAUUCUGUGAGGGCAUCGGAAGCUUGGACAACUAGUCCAGAGGGUUACACUAAGUGGCCUCACGCUGCCCAAGACAACCUCUAUUGUCACAAUUACAUAAAGGCCCCUAAAUAAGAGAUAUAAGCUAAAAUACACAUUAAAUAGUGCCGAAAGAGAACAUUGCGCGUCUGCGAGACCAACCGAGGGCACCAGUGGAUAGGUCUCGACGUAGCGAAGCCUGUGCUUACUGUCUGGGGCAAGAAAAACAGCCGAGGAGCGCUUCGGGGCCAAGAUUACAGCAAAUAAAUAAGGCCUCGGGAGCGACAACGCAAAAAACAGCAAGCCGAUGCUUCUCCGAUAGAAACCGAGGUCAGCACGGUGAUCGGUGAUGACUCUAGGUCAUCGUGCUCACCUUCCGGAGAGUAGAGGGUUCCCGGAUAGCUGGAAUAGUAGAUAUGGCCAAAACCUCCCUAUUUUGGGCAAUGUAGGGAGCAACAAGCUCCGAUCGGCUGCUGGCGGCAUGACGGCGAGCGCACGGCCCAGGGGUGAGUGCUGAGGGUGAGGGGAGUGUGGUACUCACCUUGGCCGGCGGCGGGGAGCGGUGGCGGCGACGGCAGCGGCGGCGCUGGGAGGAGCUUGGUCCACUCGAGCUAGGGUUCGGCUUAGGAGGAUCUUCCCAGUGAGGGCGACGGUCGGGAAGGCAAGGGCGGCGGCGGUGGCGGUGUUGCAGUGAGGCGCGGCUGCCUCUGCCCGCACCCAACCAAGGAAGGCUGCAGCGGCCACGGCGGUGAUGGGGGUUGUUAGAGGGGGGUGCUUGAUGUCUAGGGGUGCCGACGGCGGUGAUCCUUAGAUGCGGUCUCCUCGAGGCUGCCUGAGCCGAAGAAGGGAAGGGAGAGGGAGGGGAAAACCUUGAGAGGGAGAGAGAGAGAGAUGGUGGCUGAGGUUUGGCCAGCCGGAGAAGGGUCACCGGCGGCUAGGGUGUGCGCGGCACUGUCAGAGGAGGGAGGGGAGGCGAUUAGGGCUCCGGGAAGGAGAGGGGAAUGCUAGGGUUAGGGUUAUAAGGAGAAAACCCUAGGUGCUUCUUUUAUACACAAAAGUAUAAUUGCAGAAAAUAAUUGCAGAAAACGCCCUGAAAGAUCAAAAUUCCUACCCGACUCCUUCAGGGCGCGCAUGUAAAACGUGCGAACGCACAUCCACUUGCGAUCCCACGCGAUUCGAUACAUAAAAUAUUGGGUUUUUCGCAAAAAAAUCCCAAUAUGCCAUAUUGACCCUUCCUCGAACAACGUGCUAUUUCGGAUGAUCGGCUCAUUGGAUUUAUGAACGGAUCGCACCAACACUUUCGGCACUACCAGACCAUCAAACCUGCGAUUUUUUUUCGCCUUGGCGAUUCGCGACAAAAGCCAUUCCUCUUAUCCACUAUAUAUAUAUAUAUAAGUUAUAUAUAAAUUCAAAUUCAAAAUCAAAAAUUCAAAUUUCAAAAACUCAGGUAUUACAGGCAACCUUUACUGCUCUACUUCUAUGUUAUGACAAGCGAAAGAGGAGUAUGCUAAGUAGAGCUACAGUCGAAGUCAUGUGGUGUAAGGCUCAAGUAUAAGAUAUGCAGCAAGUAAGAGGAAAGGGUGGAGGAAACAUCGCCAAGCGUGCACCACUAAACCGAUUUCGGAUUGAAGUAUCCACGUGUGUCGCAGUUGCACCUAGCUCCUGCGAUGUGCAGAACCGAUGAUCGGACCUACGACAGGUCCAUCGAGUCAGAAACCAAACCUAUCGACUCAAAAUAUAUCGCCCACAAAUCCAAAACCACCUGCGGGAUCGGUUUUGGUUUCCCAAAAUCGAUUCCCGAACUCACCGGGAAUCCUGAAAAUGCACCGGGAUGCUCGUGGGACCCAUGAAACCUCCCGAAACACACUGACUCAUGCCGUGAGUCACCCGCUGCUUUGAAACACAUCCAUUUGAGUGUCCGGGCAGCAAACACAAGCACCAAGGUCAACUCGGUCGUCGUCGGUCGACCGCUCCGCUCCGGGCUUCCGAAAGUGUCCACUUUGGCACCGGAAGCCUCACUGCUCACCUGUCGCCUCCGAACACACAAAGCGAUCCCGGCGGCGAGCCAACGAGGCUAGGGGAUGAUUUCUGGGGCGCCCACGCAGCCCGAAACUUAUUGCGGCGCGAAAUCGCGUUCUACUGUCGUUUUCGCUGGAAAACGCACUGAAACCCCUCCGCCGCUCAUCCACCGCCUCCGGACUUUGAAGGUGGCGGUAGCUACCAGCCAACAAGUCUUGGCGGGGUCUCUAGGGCAUCCGGAUUGCAAAUAUGCGAAAUCCGCAACUUAAACCGCCUCCGAUCGGCGAAUAUUCGCAAAACGAUGUCAUGGACUCAUGGGACCCUAUUUUCACUCCACAACGGCUCCCCACAACGGCUCCCGGACCUUUGACGAUCAGUGAAGAGGUCACUAAUAGCGAUUACACGCUGUACGAGGCUGUGCGCAGGGUCCCUAUUGCAUACAACUUGCAAAAAACCCAUUAUAGCAUUAAUUACUAUACAAAUAAUACAUAAACACGAGUUUCGAGCUCAUUACCCCGAUCCGUGUCACAACGGAUCUAACCAACCAGUCAAUUUGAUUCGUCUCGACGUGAUGAUGCUCGUGCUCGCUGUCACAAUUGACGACCGGAAGGCUUCGAAGCAGCGGAAACAAGCCCCCCAAUUGCUUGAUCCCGGAAGCGGCCGAGUCCCAUACGCGCACCGGAGCUUCAUUGAUCGCAGCAAAGGUGAGUACGGGACUCCACGUGAUCCCAGGAGUGCGGUGCUCACAUCUCGGGUGCUUGCUGAAGUCUUUGGUGGUCGAAAAACAAAGAUCGCCCAAAUUAGCCCUUGAAAUCCACCUUGGCAGCAUCCAACAUAGGGCUAGGGCAUCACGGGGCCGACAACUGGCGGCACGGCAUGGGGGUGCUCCGGCCAGGGGAGGGUCGCCGCUGUCAGGGGAGUCGGUCGGGACCCCUAGCCGGCGGCUGGAGGCACUGGCGGCGUGGCGGCGGCACCCUAAAGUGGACAUGCGGCUAGGGCAUUGUAGAUCCCUGCAGCAGCGGGUUGGGACGGUGAGCGGCGGCGCCGGUGGACUCUUUGGGACCUUCGGCGUCGUCUUGUGGCAAUGCGGUGCGGCGGCGGUCGGGUGUCUCCCCAUGGCCGCACAGCUCUGCGAAGCUCCUCCUCAGCCAUGGCGGCUCCCUAGGGCACGACGGUGCCGGGGAAAUGUCGGGGGCGGUUGCCCGGGGUUCGGGAGGAUGAUGGCGGCGGUCCCGGUGGUCGGUGGCACGGUAUUAAGGGUGCUCGGGCUCCUACCCUUCACACCUCUCAAUGUUGGAGAGUGAGAGGAAGAGAAAGACGAAAGGCCCUUCUUCUUCUUCUCCGGCAGCCGGCGACAGCGAUGACGGCGGUGGCUGACCUCUCAGGUGGAAAAGAAAGAGAGGAGGAAGGUUGGGGUCUAGGGUUUUGGGUUCCCAAAAUCCCCAAAUCCACACUCUAAUCCUAUAUACCACUAUUUAUAGGGGAUAAUUGCUCCAAAGUCCCCCAACUCUCAAAAUUUGCCUUCCAGUCCCUCUUCAUUACGUUCCUCUCGCAGAAAGGUCCCUGCCUGCGAGUUUUCCACGCAAAACAGAGCACCAAUCGCCUCUAAAAAGCAAGAACAAUGCGGAAUAAAUGCCCUCACAGCGAUAAAAGCUGUUUUUCUUGAAAAUCGUGGGUUGAACAUGAAAUCCGUCAAUGCCAUUGGCUCUGGCACAGUCAGACCAUCAAAAAUAAGCUAUUGGAUCGUCCGAAAUGGAGUCCAAUUUGCGUCUGAAGCCCACCUCUCUCCUCGAUCACAAUCGGAAACGCGGGUUACUAUUCAUUUUAAGUGAAAAGUAAUAAUUGUGUAAAAUCUUUAUUUUAAAUCAUUUUUCGCUGAAAUUUGACGGGUAGUUUUAAAAUUAAAAUACACACGAUAACAUUUAAAAAGAUGUCAAUUUUACAUAGGGGAAAAUCUCAGUCCUCACAAAUCUACUACAAAUUUUAACUAAUGUUGCUAUUUUUAAAUAGUUUAAUAUAGAAUUAGCCAAGAAUAUAUUAGGUAAUUUUAUCAAAUACAACCGUAAGAUUAAAGCUCAUUAUAUUAGCCAAUUGGUAUGUUUGAUAUGAGAUAAUUGUUAUCCUAAAAUAACAUCAUAAGACUUUAUUGGGACCAAAAGAAAUUAAAAUACAGCCGUGCCAAAGCAUGCCAUUAGGAGACCGUGCGGCGUGCAUGCUCAUCUGCAUGCAAGCAUGCCGUGUGUCGGCAUGGCACCGUGCCCGUGCCUUCCCGUGUUGAUAGCUAGCACACCCCCGUGCCACGACACUUUAAUCCUUGCUGUUUGCAAAUAACUUUCUUUGUUUCAAUGCUGGUCUGAGUAUGGACAGAUUGGAUUUUAGUACUUGGCAAUACAUUCAGUUAUCCAACCGCAAGCAUUCUUUCAUGGGACCUGUAAUUAUAAUAUUUCAUCUAGACAACAUCUCUCUUAGUGGAUUUGUUUUAUAGCACUAGACCAUGACAACAGUUAUCUACAGGAAGAGCGGGAGGUGGAAGCAGUGGUAGCUGGUCUGUAUUUUUAUGUAAUAUUUGUGUAUCUAUACUCUUUGUUUUAUCUAUGAGCGUCUACAGAUGAUGUAUUUAUGUUUUCUCUGUGCCCUUCUUGUUACUUCUAUAGUUCUAUGGUUCCAUGUACUUAUCUGUUGUUGUUUAGCUUCUAGUGUUGCUUAAGUUGAAUGGGAAUUUUACUUUUCAAUGAUACAGGUCAUCAAUUGGGAGAUCAAGAGUUGGCCAAGUCAAUAAGAUUGUUGUGAUCUCUACUGUUGAAUUCUACUGUAAACGGCUUGAAGAACACAAUUUUUUCAGUAUUGAUGAUCUCACCGAGUCUCAGCUAUGUUGCAAUUUGGACCAUGAAAGAGAGGACUACAUCAUAAACCCUUUUGAUGUAUUGGUGUCUGUGCGAGUAAGUGAGUUGUUAGUUUUUAUGUUCUCCUCAAAUAUAGUCUGUAGCCAGUUUUUCUCAUGAUAGUUAUUUGUAGUUUUGUACAAGACUUGGUUUCUUGCACGCCAAUUAUGGGGUUCUUUAAAUUAUUUCAGUUACUUGUUAAGUAAGAGAUAUUUGCUUUUGUAUGUAGGCUAAUAAAUCUGGGAUGGUUGAUGGUGGUAUACCUCAAUAUGAUAUUACUGUUGAGCUAAGUGAUUUGGUUUGUUCCCUAACAAAACACAGGCAAAACUUACAUUAUUGAUUCUUUUUGAAUUGUUUUCAUUGAGUUAACAUAAGUUGAUAUAUAUAUAUUUUUAAUCUUUUAGGUUCUAUCGUUGAACGAAAUUCAGUUACGACAAAUUUUUGGCCUUUGGGAUUACUUCACUAUUUGUGGACUUCGAAAGAAGUAUGCACAUUUAUAUUACGUUUUAUUGAUAGAAUAUAUAUAUUUUUCCUGCUUGUCCAUUAGAUUUACAAUUACAAUAAUCAAGCAUGAAAUUUGAGAAUCGUGUGAAUGCAAGUUUUUAUUAAUUUAUGUUAUUAGCUCUUUUGAGACGUUUAUGAAGCUUGUGGAGAACUGUACAUAUGUAUUGCCUACAAUGCUGACAGCUAUAUUGCUUGGCCGCUUGUGUCUUUGGUCUGUUCGCUUGGUUUUUCUGUCUGAUUAAUGCUAUUGUGUUGUCCUACUCCUAUCUAAGCACUACAUCCUUUAGGACCAAACUUAUUAAUGAGAUUUUUUUUGACAAGCGGUAUUUCAUAGGCCUAGUGACAAAACUAUGGUGAGUAUUUAUUUAAGUUCAUGGCAUUUCUAAAUUGAGAAUAAUAGUUAGAAUGAUUAAUCUAAAUUAUUGUUACAGUUCAGGCUCUAUUAUUUAUAGAUAAAGCAUUAACACUGCUUAAUGUCCUUACUAUGAUUUUUUAGUUGUUAUUUACUUAGCACGUGAGUUUUUCUAAGAUCAGCAUUUGAUCUUCUAAUUUCUAUUUUUCCAUAUUAGCUUAGAUUCUUUCAUAUGCAGUCUUAUUAAUUGUAUAAAGGAUUAAAGUGCCGUGGCACGGGGACGUGCCGGUAGGUAGCUGGCACGGUAAGGCACGGGCACGGUUACGUGCCGACGCAUGGCGCACGCUUGUGUGCCGAUGAGCACACGUGACCUCCUAAUGGCACGCGUUGGCACGACUCUAUUUUAAUUUUUUUUGGUCCCAAUAAGGUCUUAUGAUGUUAUUUUAAAAGUUUAGAGUUAUAAUUAUCUCAUAUCAGAUUUACCAAUUUGCUAAUCUAAAAUUAAAUAAUGACCUUUAAUUUUACAGCUGUAUUUGAUAAAAUUACCUAAUAUAUUCUUGGCUAAUUCUAUAUUAAAGUAUUUAAGUAUAGCUAGAUUAGUUAAAAUUUAGCUAGAUUAGUUAAUUUUACGGCUGUAUUAGAUAAAAUUACCUAAUAAAUUCUUGGCUAAUUCUAUAUUAAAUUAUUUAAAUAUAGCUAGAUUAGUUAAAAUUUAGAGUAGAUUAGCAUAUAUGGAUUAGAGUAGAGUUUAUGUAUAGUAGAUUAGAGUAAUUUGGAUAAUCUAGAAAGAACAAAAUCAAAGCAAACCAGUAAAUAAAAAAUAUUUAUUUUUAAAAUAAUUUAAUCUAAUCUAGCCAAUUCUAGAUUAUAUUACCUUAGGUUAGGUAAUUCUAGUUUAGAUUAGAUUAGAUUAUAUGAGAUAUCAGAUUAGGUUAAUAUAAGUACAACUUUAGUAAUUCUAUAUCAGAUUAAGUUAGACAUUACAUUACAUUAGAGUAAGUAAUCUAGAUUAGGUAAAUUUAGGAAAUAUAAAAUCACCUAAAUCAAAUCUAAUUUUAAAUCGUAAUAUUUAAAUUUAAAUUUAAACUAGUUUAAUGUAAUCUAGGCUUCUGAUUUAGAUUAAAUUAGAUGAGGCUGCAUGAUUCUAGAUUAGAAAAGUUUAGAUUAGAUAUUGGAUUUGGUAAUUUAAAUAUACAGUAAAUUAGAUUAGAUUCCAAGUCCAUAAUUAGAUUAAAUUUCCUAGAUUAGAUAAGUUAUUUUAAACCUGAUCAGAUUUUAGAUUAGCUUAAUAUAUUAAAAUAGAUUAUAUUUGUAAAUCAAGUGAUAAUGGUGAGGAAGUUAGAGGGUAUAGAAGCAAAAAGAACAAAAAAACAAAAGAGAGAGAAAUUCACGUACUAUAUAAAAAAAUAGGAAAAUAAUAACAAAUAUUAAGAUAUAGUCGGCACGCACGGUGCAUAUGUCACGCCUCAGGUCCUUUUGGAAAGCUAAUUUUUGGAAAAUCCAUCCAAGUUGAAAAGAGAGUUGCGGAAAGCUUUUUUUUUUUUUGUUGUAAACCUUGCCCGAGACAUGCACAGACCCGCCACACACACAAGGUAUCCUCUGUCCAUGCGGACAGAGUCUCCCUUGUACAUGCACGACGUUGGAGCACAGAUACAGAACCACAAGCAAGUGAACAAGAUAAUUUAAUUGUACAACUACCAAUCAACCCAAUACCAAAAUCCAGAACCGACUAAACCACUAUAUUAGGAAGAACCCAAAAGAAACUAAACUCCAAACACACAUGAUAUCACAUAGUCACAACAAGAUGACAAGGUACUGAGAUAAGUAAAAUUUGACGCUGAGAUCCAUGGCACAAGCUAUCUAGGCGCUAACCAACCGUGUCCUCACACUGCGCUCAGACCUGCACUGUCAGCGAUACCUGUAAAAACAGUGGGGUGAGAAACAUAUAAAUAUGUUUCCCAGUAGGGGCAACCAGCCGACGAGGGCAAGCCGCACUCACUGGCAAACCAAGGAGUACGAUAAGCAAGAUAGCUGUAAAUGAGUAAUCAACCACAGUAGCAAAAAGGUUAGACAAACAGAUGUCAUGAACUGAGUACAAGAAUAGUAUCGCUAUUGUAACAUGAAUCAGAUACUGAAACGAAGAAUACAAAUCAACCACAAUAGCAAAGAAAACUAGUGAGUAGUCAUCACGAACAAUCAUGUACGAAGUACCGCUACUGUAAACAAGUCAUGCUAACAUAAAGGACCACCAACUACGGUAGCAAGAUGGAGAAUGCACAAUAACAUGACCCACUCAUGAUGGAAGUUGCUACCGUAGGCCAAACAACUGCUAGAUACCAUGCAAGACUCAAAUCGAGAGACUAUGCAUCAACUGGACAUACGAAUAGUCCAAGGUAUACCCACUCUCUAUGGUCCGUUAUAAAGACCCGUCCUAAGCUCGCCCAUAGGUCUCGAGGACCGCAAAUUAAGUACCACUCCGGAGGGACACAUCAACCUGCACCCAAAGUCGCUAACUCUGUCUAAGAGUGGUGUAAAUCAAGUCUGAGGGUGAGAACUCAGGGUGGCGAACCCUGUCUAUGAAACAUCACCUCCCACUGGGCUGGCAACUGAAGUACCCUGGGUUAGUAACUCUGUCUAAGACUCCUUCAGUGCCGUACAACCUAUAGUCAUAUGUAUAUGCUCAAAGCUCCAAUAAUCUAGACUCAACAGUCAAAUCACUGCCCGUAGGCGACAAUAGGAGCUAAGAGAUAAUCACACUGGAUGCCAAUGAAAAUACCAACAUCCAACUGUCCGGAUCGACUAGCAUGCUAUACUAAACGAGUAUGUAGGAAGGAUAAGGAUAAUACAAGUGACAGAGGUGAGCAUGCUAAAGACCCAAUCACGAUGAAAUACGUCAUUCGACCCUUAGGCCAAAAUCUGCGGAACUGAACACCGACCGACUAGGUCAAUCUCAUGGAGUAACUCUCCAACAAUAAGGUCAGGUUUCACCGAAGAUAAAUCAACCGAUCAACAUGAUCAUAUCUCAACAAGGAGUACGCACCGAUCUAUCAGAUCUAAUCAUACAUAGGUGGAUAUUCUACUAGAUCUUCACCUACUCUACAUGUCAUACACGAGAUACGAGAGAGCUCAAUCAAGAGUCUACCAAUCUAUAUGAUAAUCAACAUGACAAUCAAUAAGCAUGUAGAGUAAAAGCAUGAACCAAUGUGAAGUCAAAAGUUGUCCUACUCAAUUAAUAGAAGGGAUCAAGCGAAAAGAAAACCGAGUAAGAUACAACUUUAUCGACAAGAGGAAUGGAGCACCCACCUCACCAACUACCCGAGUCCUCGACUCGAUCAGUGUAUCUAACGGUCACCUGUACAGGACAUGCGAUCACCAAAUGCCACAAUGAGUCUCCUACAUGUCAUCUAUAUCAAUUCGACACGAUCAACCUGUACUACUAUAACAUUGUGCGAUUGGAACAUUAGUUCCAUAAACCGGCAUACAAGCCAAGUCGACUCGACUAGGAGUCACCUCAAUGCAUACACUGUCCCAUAAAGCACCACCUUAGGUAUUGGGACGAUCGCACAUCCAGUGCUCGAUAAACUGAACUACAACCAUCAUACAAGGCUACAAUUGAACCUAUAGGUGUCGUUCCGAUGAUCCGAACACCACUUUGGUGUCGAACCAUGCACACAUUGUACAAUUGGCUCGAUGAUGCUCGCAAUAUUGCAACAUCACCAAUUGGUGACAUAAAGCCACCCACAAUGUGCACCCACUAUGUGCCACGACACAAGCGGAACAUUGAACAUUCCUACCGUUCUGCCGAACCCGUCGAUUUUCAUAUAAACCCACCGGGAUCCCACUUUGAUCAAGAAGCAUUCUGAGACACACCCAAAACAUCUUAAACUCGCAUCCACUGUCCCCAAACACCCUAUUUAAGGUGUUGGAACAGCCGCAGACAAAGCGAACCAAAACGGGAGCCAUAGCUCCAAAUAUGGCUUGAAGUGGGUCCGGCGGUACCUAUCGGCAUUCGAACCACCCACAACGCACUCGUUGCCAAAGGGGACACAAAACACAAGGAUAUACCAGCCAAUGAGGCUCAACAAACAUUCCGGACAGCCACAUAAUCAACUUCGUGAUAACGAAGUAGAGAACCGCGCAAUUGAUACGAUUUCGACUCGAUUUUGUGUCAUUUCGCACCAAAUCGACCAUGGAAUGUUUCUAAACCUCGAACACUAAGUCUGAACAUUUAAUACCAUCAAGCACUACUGCCCAACACAUUUCAUGAUGCGAAAAUGGAGUUUUCGGAAAUCUUACCAACUUUGCAUGAACCGGGAGUCAACCAAUGGUGCAUCGAGGUAUAUGACUUGUUGCUAGCUGCCACAGAUCAACAGUGGAGCUACCAUGAAGAAUCCGAAGACAAGAAACGGUUGCGCGAAGUCAAAACGGGUACACGAUAGAUGCGCGUCUCAGCUAGAUGUCCGUAUCACUCCACCGAGGUGAGCAUUGCGAAGAUGGAUGUUCGCUGAUCGUCGUGCUCCCAAGGUUGCCAAAUCCGACCACUGGAUUGCCCAGAAAAGCCAAAACAAGAACUGUCAAUUUGCCGAACACAUGGUGGGCACUAUUGAAAACAGUGGUUCGGGGUAUCGUUACCUGAAAAUCAGGGGAGCACGGGUUAGCACAAAUGCCAAGAAGUGCCGUGCUUACCAACAGAUAGUCACCGGAGAAGUCGGAUGGCUGGGACGGUUCUUCGGUAAAGAUCAAGGCCUAUAAGUCAAGUCAGGGCAGCGGUAAUAAAAUAGCUUCAACCGGGGGUUAGCAAGCCUAAUGGAGGGUUGGAAGAGUUGUAGAGGGACACUAACCCGCAGGGGGAGGCCAUCGGAGGUCCGGCGGACGGCGGCGGCGCUUGGGGCCGCGGCGGCUGCAACAGAAGCAACGACCCAAAACGGGUCGUGCACUACCGUCGCGCGGGGGUGGCACGGUUGGGGUAGGUGGCCGCAGGGGUUCUCACGCUCAGACGUGACGGCAGCGAGGCGCUGGUGAGGCGUCGGCGGCGUCAGCUUCAAGCCGAGGAAGGAGGGAAGAAGGGGGUGCUGUCACCUCUCUCUAUAUAGGUAUCAAUAUGCAGGGAGAGAAAGAUGGAGGGACUCUCGGCCGGAGUCUUGCCGGAGCACGUCGAACGCCGACGAAGAACAAAGGGGUGGCGGCGGCGGCGGCGGCACCAGGUGGGAGGGUGUGCAGGCUAGGUUAAUUAGGUGGUUAAUUAGGUAUCCCCUAACCUUUAUAUAUAUAUAUAUAUAUGUAGCUAGGCUCCUAUGCUUCGAAAGUACGGAGACCUCCGUGCUUGUAAGUUGUUUUCGAUGAUGGGACAUUCGAUUUGGUGAUCGGUUCCAUUAGACAUGAUCUAUGCUAUUGGAACUAUUUAGAAACCAAAUUUCAUAAUUUUUUGACUUCGUUUGUCUAGUGAAUGAGUAGCCUCAAAAUGAACGACUGGAAAUAAAAAUCUCAUAAAAAACAAUGAUAAAGGACUCAAAUUUCAAAUCGAAAGUAUUGAUCUUGCUAUUGAUGUUAAGUAGAAUUUUCUAUUAAAUUUUCAUGUAAUUUGGAUACUUCUACAUCGUUGACUUAAAAACGUGUCACAUCGGCCAUUAAAAUAGUCAUUUUUUGGACCUUUUGAUCGCUUGGUAAAUAAUGUCAAAAAAUUAUAAAAUUUGGUUUCUAGAUAGUUCCAAUAGGGUAGAUUAUACCUAACGGAGCUGAUCGUCGAAUCGGAUAUCCUAUCAUUGAAAACAACUUACAAGCACGGAGGUCUCCGUAAUUUCGAAAGUACAUGAGACGUGCNUAGAGAGAGAGAGAGAGAGAGAGAGAGAGAGAGAGAGAGAGCGCUAGGCUCCUAUGCUUUCGAAAGUACGGAAGCCUCUGAUCGGUUUUGUUAGACAUGAUCUACGCUAUUGGAACUAUUUAGAAACCAAAUUUCAUAAUUUUUUGACUUCGUUUAUCUAGUGAAUGAGUAGCCCCAAAAUGAACGACUGAAAAUAAAAAUCUCAUAAAAAACAAUGAUAAAGGACUCAAAUUUCAAAUUGAAAGUAUUGAUCUUGCUAUUGAUGUUAAGUAGCAUUUUCUAUUAAAUUUUCAUGUAAUUUGGAUACUUCUACACCGUUGAACUUAAAAAUGUGCUACAUUAGCCAUUAAAAUAGUCAUUUUUUGGACCUUUUGAUCGCUUGGUAAAUGAUGCCAAAAAAUUAUAAAAUUUGGUUUCUAGAUAGUUCCAAUAGGAUAGAUUAUACCUAACGGAGCCGAUCGUCAAAUUGGAUGUCCUGUUAUCGAAAACAACUUACAAGCACGGAGGUCUCCGUACUUUCGAAAGUACAGGAGACGUGCUCUUUAUAUAUAUACAAAUACUACUAUUGUAACAAUUGCAUCUAACACCCCUUUUGCGCAGAAGUCCCUCCCAUAAUAAAUUUUGCAGUUUAGCAUACAAAAUGCCAUACUUCUCUUAAAAAGAUCCUUCAACUGAUUUUUCCCUCUCCUGCUUCAACUGUAUGCCAGUUUCCACAUAAGUUUCAAAAUUUCGAAAAACUUGAGUCCACACGAUCCUCCUUGAGUCUUUUUCCACAAGAGUCCAUCCACUCAUAGAAAUUCUAGAAUUUCUCACAUGAAAUGAUAACCCUUUCGCGCAUUGCCCUAUUUUCACAUUUCGCAAAAAUUGCAAUUUCUUCUCCAGAAUAUCACCAAAUCGUGCCAAAUUGCAUUGGGCUCCAUUAUUGGACUUACUAUUCUGGCGGACCAUGAAAGUGGCACUUUUCGUUUCAUCGAAAACCGCAUCAGAUUGCAAAAUACAACCCCUUUUUUAAAAGUUUACCGUAAACAUAUCUUGGAUACUACAGCGUAUCGCGGCACCUGUGUGCCCAACUGAAAGUAUCGCAGGGUACCACUAUACAUAUCGCGAUAUUCCUCUCCUUGCAGUAAAGGGGUUGUACCAUGCCCCUUUUUUAGGGGCACGACCGUGCCAUAUGGCAUGGGUGGGCACUUUAAUCCUUGAUAUAAACAUCCAACUUCUCAGAUAUAUGUAAAUAGCAGUGUGAUAGGCAAGGUUUUAAGUGCCCGUCGGCACGGGCCGUAUCCACCGUGCCGUGCCGUGUCAACAAGAUACCGGCACGAUACAGACUCCGUGCCAAAGGCACAGCUCAAAACUCUCUAUUCUUGAAUUUAGUAAGUAAUUUCCUCAAUAAAGUUCAAAAGAUGUGAUAAAAAGACAUAAUAAAUAGUUAGAAUAUUUUGUUGCGAAAGAAAAUAAAUAUUUCAUGCUGUUAUGUGUCGGCACAUAAGAAUUUUUUUGACCGGCACACAUCGACACUACUCGGCACGCACCGUGCCGGCAAGUUUUCGGCACGACCCCGUUCCACGGCACUUAAAUCCUUGGUGAUAGCAUUCAGUUUGCUAUGUUUAUAACUUUAUAUAAAAUUUACUAUUUUUGGCACUCCAGUUGUAUAAGUAAUUUUGCAUUUUACAUUAUGGGUACAUUGCAUCAUUAGUCCCUUAACUUAAGGCAGACUUUCAUUUUGGCCUCUGGACUUUUAAAGUGCUGUUCUGAAAAAAUCAAUCUGGCCAUCCAAUUUUAAAUAAAGGAAUGGCCUCAGCUCUGUGAAUGGUAUGAUUGAGAGAGAGGAUGAUGGGUUGAUGAAUGGGGCGAUGCAUGGAUGCAGGCAAUAAUUUCUGUUGUGAUUGACGAUGGGGGGUUAAUAGUACAAAUAGUAUGAGGUGUCUAAUGCAUGCUCUAAAAUUAGGGUACCACGCCAAGACUGUAAAUUCAGGAACUGGUGAUGCAUAUUACCUUCUACAUGACCCCUAUACAUGAACAGUUUUAUAUCUACUUCACUGUGGACUCUUUAUAUUUUAUGAUUUUACAAACAUCUUUGGCGGAUCCGUUUCAACUUUUCUACUUCUAGACUGGAAGUGUUUGAAAAUUCUAAAGUCUAAUAUAAAUAAACUAAUUAUUUUCUUUAUCAAAGUUACCAUUAUGCUCUCAUUGGAAUAUUUAGGUGUCUUACCUACAGAUCAGAUAACCUGAACCUGUUAAAGGCUGUUUAAAUUAUUUAGGCCCUAUAUGGACGUCCAAAUGAGUAUUUCACUGAAAACUUGUGCUCUGUGGGUGUGUGGGGAUAUUCUUUGAGCAUUGCAACCUACCACCUUACUAUUAGUCCAUGCAAGGUUGUGAUUUUCAUGAUUUUUUUAGGAUAUUACAUUCCGCCUAUGGGUUUAUUUAUCUUGUACUCAUAAAAUGGCUUCAAGGUAGCAUUUUUAUGCUUUUAUAGGCAUUUAAUCAUACUCAUCUGCCAAUGCAUUGCCUUUUAGUAGAAAAAAGAAGUGCCUAACGAGAUGUCCAUGCAUUUAAUCAGCCUCUUAAGUCCUAUUGAAUAAAAGAAUAUCUGAGUACAAUGCUUCUUUCCAAGUGAGAAAGUUAUUUCCUUGAUUGAUGUAUAGCGUUAGAACCUAUCUGAUUGAAUCUUUAUGUUCUAAAUAUGUAAAAAGUAUGCAACUAAUGGAACUUUGAUAAUUUGAAAAUAACUUCCUUACCAUUGAAUAUAUUGAUUCUACUACCUAAUUGUUUGGUUUUAUUGGCUCUGAGAAACUAUUGCAUGUAACCAUGCAUCUGUAAAUUUGUGCAUUGCAAAUUUAUUCUGUCCAUUACAUUCAAUUGUUCAAUCUCCGUCAUACAAUGAGUUGUAGUUUCUUUUGCUUAAUAAUUGGAUAAUUGGGUUAACACUUAACAGUACAAGAUGCAUUGAUGGUUUAUGAAGAUGUGGUGCACAGAUUUAUGGAUGCACCAGGUGUGGGAAAUGACCUUUUAGGAUGUGAAUUGAAUGAUUUGAAAUGUUGGGUAGUGAAAUAAAAAAUUGUAAUGGUGGGUAGUCAUUUCUAAUUUACUCAAGUUUUUGUUAGUUCUGUAUAUUUUUACCUUCUAAUAAAAUUUGUGUUGAUAAGAUCCUACUGAUUUAAUCUAUUGGUGAACCAAAAUAUGAUCUGCAGGGUAAAGUAACAAAAAUUUUCCGUAUAUAUGUUUAUCGUCAACUCUUAUAUUCUCUUUAUUGAUUUCUGCAGAUAUGGGCGUUACCGUCCAUCUCAAAGCUCUUUAUCGAAGAAAGUUGAAGGAUGGCAGAUAUUGUGGUGGCAUUAUGCACAACAAGCUAUUUUAGCAGAUGUUCGUCAAAGAUUAAGAAGAAUUUCAUGGAGUAAUCUUGGUCAGAGAUUGUGAGUUCUUUGAUUAUCAUAUAUUCAUAUCUGAUAUUUGCUUUUUACCUUUAGGUCUUCUAUAUCAUGGCAUGUAUGGCUUUUUGCUAGAGAAAUCACUACUACUCUUAAACCUCUUAAUGAUAAUAAGUUUGCUUCAUUUCACUUCUUUGUUUCCAUUUCUAAACAGUUAAAGCAAGAUUGUUCUUAAGCUUGAUUAUACCUCUAUUUAGUUCUUAAUACUGGGAUAUGGAAGAUGUACUCUGGUUGAUACACAAUGAGAUCCAUUUAGCCAGCUUUUCUGGGUUGUGUUACCUGAGGAUAAGCAAUUCAGUGUAGCAGUCUGGAACGGAGUGAAAAAUCCACGGCCUAAGAGUUUGCUAAUACUUAAACUAGGUUUGCUGAACCUUGUUCACCUUUUCAACACAACCUAUUUUAAUUCUUCUUAACUUGUAACUCUAAUAACUAAUAAAUACUUGAUGCAGGAGAGAGUUUGGUGUCUAGUUCAGGAUUUAAUUGUAAAAACUUUGAAGGAUGUGUAAUUGUGUAUCUGAACUGUCUCACAAGAGGUGGUCUUACGGAUCUUCCCAACUCUCGAAACUCUAAGAGAAGUGACUAUCAUUUUCUUUCAAUGACCUAAGAAAUACUUGAGGAUUUGAAAGAGUUUUUCUUUCUAUGUUAAAGGGAUUUUUGUUUUCUUUUUGGAGCUACUUAGGGCUUGGAAGGAAUCGUUAGCAUUGAAAGGAGAAUAAAGUUCCUAGAGAAUGAAGUAAUGGAGGAGAAUUAGAAAACCAGAAAUUAACAAACAAGAGUGGAAUUCAAGGAGGAAAAACACAAAGAAUUCUUUUCCUCAAUAUUUGACGAGGGAGCCUACCGUGCUGUAUGGAGAAAAAUAGGGCACAAUUCUGCUUGGGUAUUUGUAUGUAGCAGUAGCUGUAGGGUGUUGGUAAUGCGGUGAGAUUUUCAUCGUUUCUUCAGUGAGGGAAAGGUCUUCUCAUGGUAGAGAUAGCUGAGUGAAGAAGAAGAGAAGGAAGCUUGGCCAAGAGGGGGAUUUACAAUUAGGGAAACCAAACUACCAAUUAGGGAAACCCGCCUAAUCCAAUAAUCAAAAUUUAAAUACAUAUCAGUCCUAUUAUGGGAAAAGGAGAGCUCAAAUCUUAAUUUUGGCAGGACAUAAUCCAAAAAUUAAACCCUAAUUGACUCAAAUAAACUAAUCUAAGGCACAAAUUGAACCCAACAUAAUUAGUUCAAGACCAAAAAUAACUAAGCUGGGAUUAACUUACAGUUGACUCUAAUAUGCUGUUCUAAAUGUCCUAAUUUUGUGCUAAUAAGCACCAUUGCAAUCUAAAAUGUCCCAUGCCAGUUAUAGGUCUUGACUGCUAAUAAUCUAUAGUAAAUACCCGUUUAGUGACUCAAAAAUGCGAUAAUGAUUUCAAACACUGCAAAAUUGGCUAUAGCUCUUCAAUACUCUUGAUUUGCCCCCUUGAUGGCCUCCCUGGAGGCAGAGUAGAUAGCUUUCAAUCUCCUGUGCUAUCGGUGCUGUUCUAAGGUACGAAUGGAAAUCUAGAAUAAAACCUUUAGCUAGUAGAAGGUUGACCUAGAUAAUUAUCGGUGAUUUCAAUAUAGCACUUACAGUCACAUAGAUUAAAUAAUUUUUUAGACUAAUGCUGUUCUCCAAUGACCAUUCUUAGUAAAGAGAACUUGUCCGAUCAUUUAUCUUGCGCGUACCUCGUUUCAUGGCUUUGUGUAGAUUACAGACUGUAAUCAGCCUUUUUUUCUGGACAGGUAAGUUCUCCAGUAUGUAAUUCCUAAUUUCUGCUUUCUAACUUUCUGCAGUAUAUAAACUAAGUUUGUGUUUUCCUGUCCUUGGUCUUCGCUUUUAUGCAUGUGGUGCAAUUCUUGACACUCGAUGGAUGUGUUGCAAUUGUUGUCACUCUGUUUGUCUUGGAGACUUAAUUAUUGAAGUGUUUGUUAGGGAAACAAUGUCUUUACCAAGUGCAUUCUAGCAGAUAAACUUCUAUUUCUAGACAAAUCUCUGACUUUCUGUUCAGUUAUCAGACUUCAUGCUAUUUAACAUGAGUAUAGAAACUAUCUUAAAUGCUUCAUUUGAUGAACAGAAACUACCGUCGGAGGUACAUCGAUUUGUAUAGGAGAAAGCUGGAACUACUACAAAAUGAGCAGGUACUUCUUUCUUUUGAUGCAAUAUACACCUUUUUCUCUUAUUUAUAUUGAAUUCCUUUUUUCAACGACACAAAACUACUUGUCUGAUUGCUCAGAUGUCUUUCAAUAAGCAGGAUUUUAUAUACAUGUUAUUAUAGCUAUUUGGUGGUUUUAAAUCCAAUUCAUAAGUAGCUAGAAUUCUUUUGUCCUUUUCUUGAUACACUACAGGUAAUUCUUUACAUGCAUAUUUUCUGUUUUGGAAUUAAUAUAAAUGAGUCACAUGGGAAUUUCCACUAAAUCAACAUAGGAAGCAAUAUUUAGAAGCUACUCCAGUUCCUUGAUGCAUCUAAUCACAGAUUGUAUGUUCUCUCUCCUUUUUGUUUCUUCUCUUUUCGUUAGAAGCAGCUUAUGGAGCUGAUUUGUUAUUUGUAUCAUUUCCAUGUACAACAAAUGCUUUACACAAUAGCUGCACUAUAUUCUUGAUUCUCGUUAUCUUGGUUUCACUUGUUUUAUGGUUUCUGUCUUGUGCCAUUUUGUUUUGAUAGCUUGUGCAUUACACAUUUUUGGGAUAAAUAAAAUUAACUGGUGACACUGAAGAAAUUUUUGACACUUCAUAUUUGCUUUUGGUGCCUUUCAGCUUUUAUGAACCUAAAUAUUCUAGUCGACAAUUGUAUAUUUCAUGUCAGGUAAUGCAUAUAUAGGAAUCUGCAGUUACAGUUUGGUUUUAAUUAUUUGAAGUGUUAUAGACACUGGUUCGGUUUUAGUUAUUUAGUGUGUUUGUGAGACCCUAAGUAGUCAUAUAUAUAAGAUAUAAUAGAGCUAAAACUCUUAACCUGGCUUAAGCAUUUUGGGCAGUGGCUAGGCCCAAGAGGUUAACAGAGUUAAGCGUGCUAGGAUGAGAGUAGUCCUAGGAUAGGUGACCCGUUGGGAAGUCGGGGCGUCACAGCUGGUAUCAGAGCCAAUUACUAGCCGGAAGUGUGAGAUGAGUCUCGGCUGAGCAAGGAUUGUACAGCGAGGAGAGCGAGACUCUCAUGCUGUUGACUGUUGUGGGUGGAGCGUAGCUCGCCACAAGGUUAGAAUGUGAGACCCCAAGUAGUCCUAUAUGUAAGAUAUAAUAGGGCUAAAACUCUUAACCCGGCUUAAGCAUUUUGGGUGAUGGCUACGCCCAAGAGGUUAAGAGAGUUAAGCAUGCUAGGAUGGAAAUAGUCCUAGGAUAGGUGACCCCCGGGAAGUCGAGGCGUCAUAGUGUUAUAGACAAUGAUUAGUUAUUAGCUAUGAUGCAUGGAUGGUUGUAUUUGAGUGCCCUGGCUGUAUACAAUAUCUACUGGAUAUAGUUAUGUACCCGAUAGCGGUCGAUUCUAUGUGAGACACAACAUGAGAAGUAUCUGAUUCUCUAAAAACUGAAAAGAUAAUAUAUAUAUACAAGGAUUAAAGUGCCGCGGCAUGAAGGUGUGCCAAUUGUUGCCUGGCACAGUAUGGGCAUAGGCAAGCCUCCAUGCUGACACGUAGGACGCUUGCGUGCCAAUUGAUACGCAUGACCUCCUAGUGGCACGCUUUGACACCAUUUUUCUUUAAUUUUUUUGUUCCCGAUAAACUUUUAUAAUGUUAUUUUGCAAGAUUUAGAAAAUAAUUAUAAAUAUUGGCUAUGUAUAGCUUACUACACUCGGCAAUUAAUAUAGUAGUAGGUUUUUUAUAUAUGUAAAGUAAAAUAUUAACUAUUGCUCAUAGAGAAUAAAAAUUAAAAAUCGAUUAACUUUGAAAAUUCUUUUGAUUUUACCUUUUCUUUCAGAAUGUUAAAAAUUAUUAAAAUACAAAAUUAGGGAAAAUUUUUUUUUCUUAAAAUAUUUAUGGAAUUUGCAAGAUUCAUCCAUAUUGAUUUGAUGAGAGACUGCUUGAUGACUAGAUUAACUAGAAUCGCACUACAAUUGUUAAUAAUUUCUUUUAAUUUUGAAUCUUUUAAAAAUAUUUAUUAAAAAAUUGAAGAAAAAAUUAUUUUUUAUUUUUUUAAGAAAAAUUGUGAGGUCUAUCCCUAAAAAUUUAACAAUAAAUCAUAUGACGAAUAAUUAAUCAAAUUUAAAUAUCAAUUGCUUCAAUUUAGUUUUUUUAUUUUAUUAGUAUUUUCCUUCUUCUAAAUCCAAAAAUAGAAUUGUCAAAGUUAAAAAAUUUAUGUCGUAAAUCUCAUACCCAAUGCUAGAUUUAUCUAAAAUAAUUAAAAAUCAGACUACAUAAUGACUUAAUCAAAUAGAUCUAUUUUUACAUUUUUGUAAACUAUAAAUAAAAUUUUUGCAUAAUUUUAAAUUACUUAAAAACUGGAAGUUUAAAGUUAGAAACAUUCAAAAUGUAUGAAAAAUUUAAAAUUGUAAUUUUUUUUUACUUACCUAAGAGGUAUAUCUUCGAUUUUCUUUUUCUUUGCCUUUUCUUAUAAGAUUGAAGUGAUUAAAGUAGAAACAAAGUAGAAAUAGAAGGGACUAAAAGAAGAAAUUAGAGAAAAAAAUUAUAAUAAAAAAAUGGUGGGAAAAAUAGAAAGAAAAAAAAGAUAGAAAGAGAUAGUGAGAAGAAAAGGAAAGACUGCAAGAGUGAGUUGAGGAGAAGAUAAGUAGAAGAGAAUGAAAGAGAGCGAUGUGUGUGGGGCAAAAAAAAUAAUCCAAAAGUAGGCCCAAAGAAUAAAAAAGGGGGUUAAAAUUUAAAACGUUGCAUGCCCUUAUAGGCAUGGUCGGCACGGGGCAAUACUAUAAACCCUGCCUAUUUAUGUCUUCGAUACAGUCGCGUGAUAUGGCAUUGAUACGGGUGGUAUCCUGGAACGACAUAAUGGGUUGGUUUUAAAGUUGUAUUUGAUCCCUAUCCAUUGCCCAUAUUCAACGGCCCUUAACAAAUUUUUAAACAACCAAUUUUUCUGGUUCAUUGCUUUAUACUUUCAGCACAAAUAAAUUAUAAUUUUGAAUUGUGCCAUUUUACAAUGCUAUAAAUUUGUAGCUAAAUGAUAAAUAUAGUUAUUUUUUAUUCUCGUAUCUCACACAUCGUAUCUUAUUAUUUUGGAGUUUGUCGUAUCACCAUAUCCCUAUCAUGUGGAUAUUCGUAUAUUUUACCUGUUUCUGCGGAAUAUAGGUUAUUAGCAUCUUUGACUUUUUUCCCCGCCAUCAAUUUGUCAUUUUUCAGAUUUGUGUUUUAUGCUUGUCAUUUUUUAUUUGAGUUAUUAGUGUUAUUAAGGCUCUUACAUUAAAAAUUGGAAUAUUUGCAGGUUGUCAGCAAAGAUAUCCUGCAAGAGCUAGAAAAGAUGGAUAAAGAGUGUGACAUUGAUGAUAUUCUGAGCUACAGAUCUUUUGCUGAGCGACAACUGCAGGUAUCUGCUGGUUAUGCAUUGCUAUUCUAUAAAUGCUUUACCAGUUAUGUUGUUUUCAGUCUUAUCUUGUUCUAUGCUCCUGUUUGCUUGCUUUCUUCUGAGCCUCCAUUACAGGAUCUUUUGUUAAAAUCAAAAUCUUCUACUUCCGGAGCAAACAAUAUUAUGUCUUCUCAAGAAAAGAACCAGAAUGAUGAACAAUCUGCGAGUAGAGCACGCCGGUGGUUAAACUGGUUAUCUCUUGGCAUGCUUGGAGCUGGCGGAACAGCCGACACUAGUUCGUUUGCUGGUGUCGUUUCAGAUGAAAUUAUUAAGGUCAGUUUUGGUUCCUGUAUAGUAUGUUCUGUGUAGUUCUUGGAGCUUAUUCAUUUUAUUUUAUUUUUUUCAGGAUAUAUAUGAGGCAACUGAAUUUCAUCCAAUGUCUUCUUGUAAUGGAGAUUCUUCAGAUAGAGAUAAAUGUCUUUCAUCAUCUAUAAGGCUCAGUGUCUUGAGAAUACUAACCUCAAUCAAUUCCAGGCACUGUUACCUUUCUUGCAUAUCUCUAAGUUUAUUUAUUAUGCUCGCGACAUCAUUAUAAAUUAUUACAUUUGCCCAUGAAAUGUAUUAUAUGAUAUAUAUGUUUUGAAAAGUGGGUACUAAUCGGUAAUGUUCACGUAAAAUCCAUCUUGAAGUGAUUCCAGCACUUGAUAGUGUUGUGAAGAACGGACUCAUUUGACAUAAAGUAAAAUCCAUCUUGAAGUGAUUCCGAUAUUUCAUAGUGCCGUGAGGAAUGACUUAUUUGCCAUAGUAUUGAGUUAAUUUCCAUUGAAGGAUGAUGUGGCUAAAUUUAUUGUUCUAGUAGAUUGCGAUUUUAAGAGAAACUAAUUUUGCUAAUUUAGGCUUUGUUUGGAGGCACAUUUCUCAGCACAAGGGUCACUUGAUAUAUGUAAUUGGUUAAGUAUUCACUAAUUUGAGACUCUUUAUCGAUGCUCCUUUUUUGCCUUCUUAUAUACUGGAAGUUGGGAGAACUACGGUAUUAGCUUCACAAAUUUUUUUAUGUAUAAUAACUAAGCAACGCUUGUUAGACGAGCUGUGACAAAAUUGUGUUGGUCAACUUAUGUAUACAGUUUUGUUAUUUGAAGGCCAAUUGUGUGCUUGGUCCCUACAGGACUCUAACUGUCAACUCUUUUCCCUUGUAAGUUUCACAUGAUUACCAAUUUGAGACCACAACAUAUCAGCUAAUGGUCGGAAAAUAAAAUAUAUUGGUUUCGAUCAAAGGUUCAUAAAGAAAUGGUUACUUUUGUUGGCUAAAAUUUGUUAUAUGUGAAUCGUUUAUGGUAAUCUUUACAUUUCCCAAACUAUUUGCGCCUUUAAACUUUUUAAUCUGUAGAGAAAAUUUGAAAUAAUUUUAGCUUCUAGAGAGAUACUUAUAGCAGCUUAUUAGUGGCUCUCUGCUCAUGUGGUUAUUGGACGGUUAGUCCAGGUACAUUGAAGUUUAUGGCAAGUAAUUUCUUUAUUUUCAUGAUUGACAUAAUUAGAAUUUGUGAUUUCUUGGAGUUCACUGUUUUAGCAGUAUAGAAAUAUCAAUAGAUAUUAAAAACGGAUUUCAAUAUAUAGUUGUGUCUUAUAAGGCCUAACUGGCCUACUAACUAGCCAAGCGUAUUUAAGGGUCUGUUGGCAUAGAAUAAAAUGCUUAAUCAAGCUGUAAUGCUAGUAAGCUAGCUCUAAAAGAACAUAUUCUUCAUGUUUCUAACAUUUUCUUAUGUCGAACCAAUGCGGUGUGACAAACUCCCUUGUUAGAGAACUUCACAUCUUUAUGUGAUUUUCUCACUGGUCUCCUAGUUCUUUCAUAAUAGAUAUUCUCUUUGCUCCCUGGACUAGACAUAACUUAUGAUAUCUGCAGUUUGGUGGCAAUAUGAACAAGUCUAUCAAAUUGGUGCAAAAAUGUUGAACUGUCACACCAAUAUUAGUAUGCCAGCCUUACAUAUAGAUCAUUUACUUCCUAACAUCUUUGGUUGUGAGACAAUGAGUGUGAUAAAGAAAUGGGACAUUCCACCUUGAAUUUAAGUAACCAAUCUUAGAAAUAUAACAUAGUGAUUACAUUAACACUGACGAUAGACAUACUAUUGACUUCAUUAGAAUGCUUUCUAUUUCAUAUGACCUAUCAUGACUAGAUAUGUAGAUAUGCAGCGUAGAUAUCAGUGAAGUGGUAGGGCUUCUGUUCCAUUUGAUCUAUUUUACAUUUUGUUUUAUCAUUUGUUAUCUAACUUCCAAUACCAUGCACAAUAACAAUAAGAUAAUAAUUAGACAUGCCUCAUGUUGUUAUGAAGCUUUGCUAGGAGCUGUAUGUUGUAGCAUGUCUCCACCUGUGUCUAACUUCCAACUAGUUGUUGGCAUGUCCUAUUGCCAUAGUAAUAGAAAUCUUAGAAGUAAUAUGGACCUUGCAUUGUCAAUAUUUUAGGGUUUCAUCUUUCUCUAACACGUAUCAACCUUUUUGAUGAUGCCUCUAAUUUCUUCUCUUGCUGUUGAAGGGGCUCCUUCUGUGACAUCCUAAGGCUUGAGAAUAGUCCCAUAUCGACAACUAGAUGUGGGGGUAUAUAAGGCUGGAUAGGCUAGACAUAAUAAUUGGGUUUAAGCAUUUUGUGCCGUGAAUUUGGCCCAAUGAGUUAUUGGGUCCACAAUGCCCAGUUAAUUGAGCCGUGGGCUCUGUGAUGGGCGACCAAUCUGGGAAUUGGGUCGUGAUAAUUAUGAUAUCAGAGCCGGUUCACUAGUAGGAAAUGAGAGAUGAAUUUCGGCUGAGCCAAGGCCUGAAUGACGGGCUAAGUCAGGGUUUGAGAAUGACAAGGCUACGGAGACAAGUCUUACAUUACCUGGUGAUCUUGGGUAGUGUGCGUAAUUGAGCCCGACGAAGAUGUUAGGUCAUAAAAGAGGGGGAGGGGAGUCUGUGGCAUUCCAAGAUUUGAGAAUAGUCCCAUAAUAGUCCUGCUUCAGAUAGCCAUGGCUAGACGUAGGGGUACAUAAGGCUGGAUAGGCUAGACGAAUAACUAGGCUUAAACAUUUUGGGCCAGUGGAUUUUGGCCUAUCACGUUAUUGGUCCAGGGUACCCAGUUAAAUCGAGCCGUGGGCUCUGUCAUGGGUGACCACAUGGGAAUUGGGUCGUAACACUUUCAAUCUAACAUUCUAAUUACUGUAAAUAUAUACUACAUUGGAAACUUAAUUCUCGUGUUAUGGUACAAAAUGGAAUUAAGUUUUUUAUAUAUAGACAAAAUAUCCUAAUAUGAUAAGAACAUUUGAUUAUUAUGAUUCAAUGAUAGUAUAAUGGAAAAAAAAUAUUCGGAGAAUGAGAAUGAAAAAAAAAAAAACAUGAUAAGGAUACCUAGAGGGAUGAAAUUAAUAAUGGAAAUUUGAUACAGAUCAAAAUGUUAUUAAGCUCUUCUAUGACAUCUUUCCAAUUAUUUACUUUUAUUUAUCUUAUUUAUAUUUACUUUUUUUAUCUUAUUUAUUCGAUAAGCUGUGCAACAUAGCAAAGUGUCUGAAGCUUUGAUUUCUAGGUUCCAACAUGGAUGCUCCUAGAUACUGGGUGAAACUGAUUCAAGACUAAUAAAUUAAGUCUUUGGCUUUAGCUGAGAAUAAUACUGUGUAUAGUAUUGACUGCUCGAGAUUUUAGUCAAAAUAGUGCCCUCCCUACUUUCACAUGAAGAGAAUGUUAGACAUAUUUGCCAUGGAAUAAUCCAUUAUCAUAAGUUAACAAGUUGUGUCAUUUUUCUUCAUGAGAUUUUCCUCGCAUUUGAACUGUGCAAAGAAGAUUCAAGUGAAUUAUUUUCAUUUUGUAGUAUCGCUAUGCAAUCUUUUUUUUCUUGUUUCUUUAUGAAUUAUGCAUUCACUUGCCUCAUGAAUUCACAAUCAUUUGUUUAAAGUUAAUUUUUUCAAUCUUUCAUCAGUGUGUUAAUAUUUAUUCCCAAUGUUAUACUAUAGGAUGUGUAACCAAAAAAUUGCUGAAGUACAGUUCAGUGGACUUGGUAUUGAAUGUGAAUUUUUGAAAGAUUCGGCUGCUAUUCUUGCCUCGAUUGAUUCUGUUAAGAUAGCCAACCCUGUGAAUGAUAAUAUGAUUUUAAUAGCUGAAAAGGUCAGCUUUUUUGUACUAUUCUUUUGAUUUGUUAUCUUUUCCUUUAUUUUUUUUUUCCUGCGGUGGUACCUUUAUAAUUUCAUUUGCUUGUAGAUUGCCAUUCAGGAUGGCUUGGCAAUGCGUUGGCUACCCUUCUUCAGUGUUCAGAUCGACUUAACAGAGUCGAAUCAUCAAUCGCAACUUUCAGUAAACGUACUUAGAUGUUCUUUUCAUACCCUAUAUGAAGCCUCACGGUGCUUUGCAUGGUCAGCUGUAACAUUUUUUAAAGUCUGUCAUUGAAGUAAUGGUGUCUGUGGCUCAGGUUAUGGUUCAACCUUUUGAAGUUUCCUAUGAAUCAGAUUUCUUCCUCAACCUUUUGCAACUUUACGAAGUGUUGGCUUCGUUCCAGUUUCAGCACGAUAGGGUAAAUUACUUUGUGCCAAAUGUCUUUUUAAUUUUCCUUUUCAUCUUUCUAAGAUGUAUCAGUGUUAUUUUUUUUUAAUCUCUUAGUGUUGUGUGGAAUGAAUAAAAGAUAAUAUGCUAUAAAUUUGCAUAAGAUGGUUCAGAUUAUGUCAAACAAAGAGCAUACAGUUUACUAGUGAGGUGGAAUGAUUAGCUUGGAAACUCCAGAACAAGGUGAGCAAGGGCUUAGAUUAAAGCAGUAGUAAAGGAUGUGGUAGCUCUCACAAUGAUUAAUUGCAUGGUAAUCCAGGUGUGAGUGGGCGUGAAGAUUUCAUGCAGCUGCCUUUGAUUCAAAAGCUAUUGUGCUUUGUUGUAUCAAUUAUUUACCUUAAUGCACCUCAUUCUUGGUAUUGGCUAUAUGAAAUUCUAUUUUGUGCAUUAUAUGCCAUUAAUCACGCUUUAAAUUGGAAAUACAGAAGUAUUUUCACUUUUGCCAGUGCCAAGAAUGAGGAAAAUAAUUUGACGAAAUAGAUUAGUAUUCUUAUUUAGAUGAUCUAUUCACCUGUGGGCCCACAUGUCUCAACUCUCAUGUGUAAUAGUAUAUCUGUUCUCAGAUAAUAGUAACUCUCUAAGUGAUCAAAACUCCCGUCUUUUCUUUAUUGGCUUUAUAAAUGCUGUCUUUUUUAAUUAGCUAUAAAUGAUUCAAGGUCUACACAUUACUAUUCGCAGAUAAUAUUUUGGUUGUCCAUCAGUCUGCCAUUACUGCUGUUAAAAUGUUUAAAUUGGAUGGUUGACAAUCCCACGAAUCAUGAGUCAUGAAUCUUUAAAACAUUGUAAAUUAGAACAUAGGUCACUAAAUUUAUCUGAUUUAUCUAAUUUAUGGUGGUUUCAUCACUUCAGCAAGUCAUGUGAUUGUCACACUGUACAAUUCUGAAAAGUUCUUAUUGUAAGGGCAUGUUUGGUUAUCCGUAAGUGAAAGGACGAAAGUGGCACUCUCAAAAGUGAGAUCACUUCAUAGUUUGGUUUCUCGAAGUAAAUAAGCAAGUCACUUUUUAAAAGUGGACAACAAAAGUGAAUUAUAUGUUUAUAACUAACUCUUUCUUGACUUCGGCUCAAAAUAUUCCGAAAUCAUCGAAAGUGGAAAAUCCAUGUAAAGUGAUGGAGUUUGAUGAAAAACAAAUUUUGUUCUUAAUCUUAAUAAUUGAAUUAUUUUUAAUUUUCGAUCUAUACUUAAAUUAUUUUGAAAUUUGAACGGUAAAUCCGAAUUUACAUUUGGAAUUCAAAUUAUGAAUUCAAAGUAAAAAAUAUUAUCAUAAGUUCAUUACGAAUUAAGAUUUGAAUGCAACCUAUGUAUUCAAAUUUGAAUUUAAUGAUUGAUUAUUAGGUUUUAUUUUAAAUUCAAAAUUUGAUUUUUGAGUUUAAUUGUCACUUCAAAUUUAAUUUUGAUUUUUUAUAUAUAAUUUCAUUUAUGGUUUUCAACUUGAACUUUAAAAUUGAAUUUAAAAUCCAGGGUAAAUUACACUUUUGGUCCUCAAACUAUGAGAUGCAUGACAUUUUGGUGCCAAAAUUUAAUUUGUUGCAAUUCUGGCUCAAACUUUUUGAAUUGUUGCAAUCAGUUUCACAACCCAAUUUAGUUGGCUAAGUAUUGACAAAUUGUUAAUGUAUAAGUGAUGUAGUAUCUUGAUUAUUUUCACAUCAUCAAUCACAGUACUUCCACAUCAUUUCGUCAUCAACAAUUUGUCAACAUUUGGCCAACUAAAUUGUAUUUUGGGACUGAUUGUAACAAUUUAGAAAGUACGAGCAUGAAAUUGCAACAAAUUAAAGUUUGAGGACCAAAGUGUCAUGUGCCUCAUGGUUUGAAGACCAAAAGUGUAAUUUACCGUAAAGUGUGAUUGUAUGUUUUGACUUUAAAUUGUAAAUUCAUCUUUAAAUUCAUGUUUGAAUUCAAAUUUAAAGUUUAAGAAAUUCACAUUUUAAUUUAAUUUUUUAAUUCAAAUUGUGUGUUGAUUUAGAUUUAAAUUGAAGUUUUAAUUUUUAACUAUAAAUGUUAAUUCAAAUUUAUGUUUAAUUUUUUAAUUUAAUUUAGUUAUGAGUUUCAAUUAGAACUUUGAAUUUGAAUUGUGAGUCCAAUUGGACAUUAUGAAUUUAAAUUUUAAAGUUUUGAAUCUAACUUCAAAUUCAAAGUUUACAUUCAAAUUAUGAAUUAUGAAUUCAAAUGUCAUUUCACGAUCAAGCAGAUUUGAAUUUAAAUUUAAGUUCAAGUUUGAUUUCUAAAUUUGAUUUCUGUUAUGAGUUUUAAUUUGAAAUUUACAGUUCAAUUAUACAUUUGGAAUUUGAGUUGUAAAUUUAAAAUGUAAAUAUAAUUUCACACUCAAAUCAAAAUUUUAAAUUUAAAUUGUGACAAAAUUGAACUUAAAUUUUAAAUUGAAUUUAAACUUACGACUCAUGUACAACCAAACAGAAGUAGCCACGAUACUACAGAUUUUCCUUUUUCACUUUACAGUGAACCAAAUAACUAAAGUCAAAAGUCACUUUUUUAAACGUGACUUUCUUAGAGGUGACUUUUUCACUUCAGUGGCUUGCGAGCAACCGAACAUGCCCUAAAUGUGAACAACAAGUGUAGUUGGCAAACUGUUACAGUUUUCAUAAAGUGUAAAUAGGCUGUAUCAUAAUGGUGCUAUUUGAUACUACUUCUAGCAACUCUGUUUUAUUAAUUUUUUUUAAUUUACUCUAUGAUUUGAAGGUGCUGUCUUCACUCAACAGGUUUGAUAAUUAUAAGGCCAGAGUACUAUCAAAAACUGAGUAUGUUAUCUUUAUCAAAGUGGUUUCAUUUAACUUAAGUCAAUAACAUUGAACUUUCUUGUCUGUAAAUAUUCUCACUUUCUACUUUGUUGUAGGUAUAUAUCUCAUAAUCGUAAAAAGCUUCAUUGGGACGUUAGUUUUUGCAAUAUUAUCAUUAAACUUCCAUCGCAUAGUGAAGGUUUCGAAGCACUAAUAAUGGUAUGUAUUGAUAGGAUACACAACUUUCUUUUCCCUGUAUUUGUAUUUUUCAAUUUAAACUAAUCUAUGACACAAAGGAUUGUGAUAUGAUGUUUGUGAGUAAAAAAGUUAGGACGGUGGCGGAAAACUAUUUUGUUUGGUUCUGACUGGUGAGUUAUAUGAUUGACCCUUUCAAAUCAAUGACCUAUAGUAGUAUCUCAUAUUUAGGUUUUCCAAGUACUUACAUUUUCAAAAUGUUUUGAAAGCAUCUUACAUGUUGAAAAAUCACCAAAUUCUUUUUAGUGAAUUUAAAAAACAGGCUGAAAGGUGUGAAAAAACUAUUUUAAAUGUAGCAUCUUUUUAUCUUAAUUGGAAUUUUAUUUAUAUGUAGUUAUGUACCGGCAAGGAUCGCCUGUGUCGGUGGCAUGGGCCUGGCACAUGGCAUGGGUCCGUGCCACCUGGUACUCGGAAACUGUGGGCAUGCCACCUUGUAUUGCGGGGUACCACCCUCGUAUCGCCUCGUAUAGCGGCGUGCCGCCCCUAUAUCACCCCGUGCCUAUUCAUGCUGAACUAGCACGGUUUGACAUGGAUCUAUUUAUUGGUUUUUUUUUUUAAUUUUAAGGGGUCAAAAGAGAUCUUUGAUGGUGUCAUCGUUGUUCCUAUACCAGUGUCGGUUACGAUAGUAUAUGUACAUCACGAUACAAUUCGCUAUAUUGAAUAUAUUCGCAAUGAUUACGAGCUGUACUAGCACAAAAUGGGCUUUCACCUGUAUCAGCAAUAUUUAUAUAGUCAAGGGAUCAAUCUAGUAACUAAUGAUGACAAUCACCAAUAUGAUCCACCUAGACACUCUGGGUGUGUUUGGUUUGAAGUCGGAGUCGGAAUCGGAAUCGGAAUCAAAAUAAGCUGGAAUCGGAAUCGGAAUGACUCAUUACCUAAUUCUGUUUGGUUCAUCACCUGAAUCGAAAUCGGAAUAAAUCAUUCUCAUUGUCGGUGUUUGGUUCAGGUGGAUAUAAAAAACGUAAUCAAAUUAAUAUAUUAACAUUAUCUUUAUAAUAUAUUAAUUUAAAUUUAAAUUAAAAAUUAAAUAUUAAAAAUUUACAUCAAACUUUUGGAAUAAUGUCAAAAUUUUAAAUCUAUUUUUUUAAAAAAAAUUUAAUCUUUGAAGUUGAGUGGAUAAUUCAAAAUAUGAAACUAAAUUUUGAUUUAUUCAAAUUCAAACAUAAAAUUACAAUUUAAAUUUUAAUUAGAAUUCAUAAAUUUAAUUUAAGUUUGAAAUAAAAUUUGAAUAAAACUUUAUAUAAAUUAAAAUUUAAUUUAAAUUCAAAUUCAUAAGUUAGAUUCGAAAUACUUGAUUAAAUUUUAAUUUUUAAUUUAAGUUCAAAUUAAAAUUUAAAAUUAUAUAUUUAAUUUUUAAAUUUUAACUCAUAUUUUAAUUUAAAAAGUUGAAAAAAUAAAUUUAAUUGGAAUAAAUAUCCAUUCCGUCCGGAUUCAACGUCCAAUCCGACUUCUUAGGCCGGAUUGAAAAAAGAGGUGAUUGGGGGAUUCCCAUUCCACUCGGGAAUUGGAAUCGGAAUGGGACUCCCGCGUACCAAACACCCACAAACGGAUUCACCCAUUCCGAUUCCGAUUUCAGGGUGAAAAAGAAGCGAACCAAACACGCCCUCAAUGUACUACUAGUGAUGAAAGAUAAAUGUUUAGACUUUAGAGUUAUGAUUUGAGCAUAUUGAAUUUAUCUCUAAUAUUAUUUGUUGUUAAUUAUUGGUCAUAUACUAGUAUUUAGGUGCUUUCAUGAGUUGUAUAUGACCAUUUUUACAUGGACUAGAUGAUAGAUACAAUUUGGAUCAAGUUUAUAUGCAUUACAAAUCUUAAAAUAUCCUAAAAAGCUAACAUUACUUUUAAAAAAGUUUUAAAAAAUCCCUGCUAAACCCUACUAGCGUGCCACUAGCACAGGGGGCUGUACAUGGGUAUGACCCAUGCUGCUUUGCCAUGCCGUGCCGAUGGCAUAGCGACACGGGUCGUGCCGGUGGCACGACAAUCCUUGUGUAGUUGAUUAUUUGGAGGUUAGAUAGGAAGACACACAAUUUUUUUAGAUUGUAUUGCUAUGCUCAAUUUUUGGUGAUUUUAACUCUUUUUCAGCUUAAUUCAUCUCAUAGUAUGAGAAUUCAUUUUGUAGAUUCGGUCAUAUUGAUUAAUAUUGUCUGAACAUUUAUAAUAACCAUGCUUGAUAGGUUGUGGGAGUUGAAGCUUUAUAUGUAAGAUCUGUGGAUAAGCACAAGCAUGGUUCUCUCAUAUCUAAUAAUGAUUACAGUGAUGAUUUUAUAUCUAAGGAAUGGCUGAGCGGUUCAGUCGAUAACACCUCUCUCGGUUAUCAAUUUCAAUAUCUAUAUGACCAUUUUGAGGUUGGACUAACUGGAUUUGAGGUCAGAUCUUGUACUCAUUAUUGUGCGUUGCUUUUGCUUUUCGUAUUCUCGAGAAACUUCUCGCUUCAAUGGCAUUUUUGCAGCUGAAGGUACUGCUGAAGAAUGUACAUAAUGCUAUCUCCAUUAUUGACAAGUUUAAUGCCUCCGUUCUAUUUGCACUGUGCAAUUUGUUAGAUGAAUCAAUGUUGAAGCAGUUGGAGGUAAUUUUCAUUCUCUACAGUUCUCUGUCUUCAAUUAAAUAGAUUGGUCUGCUUCUCUUUACAUUGGCAAUAUUUCAAUAGUUACUCUCUGGUGGAAUUAUGCUUCCCUUUUGUUUUUAUUUUUCUAAAACUCAAAUUUUGAAUGGAGGACACUAGCACGAUAGAUUGUUAUGAAAUGACACAUUUAUGCCACUUGUUUGGCCAAAAAAGAUGAAAUUUUGUUAGUUUUUUUGUUUUUUCCUUGCUUUGCUCCUUUGUUUUUUAAAAAAGAAUAAGUUUGCUUAAGUGUCGUGGCAUGGGUUUGUGCCGAAAAUUUGUUAGUACGGCACGACACGGUGCGUGAUGGGUCAUGCCGAUGCGUACUGGUCGCGAAAAAUGCAUGUGUGCCGACACAUAAUGCCAUAAAAUAUUUAUUUUCUUUAGCAACAAAAUAUUCUAAAUUUCUAAUUGCUUAUUAUGUAUCAUUAUCAAAUCUUUUGAACUACUAAUUUAAAGAACAGAGGUUGAGUUGUGCCAUAGAUACGGUGGCGGUAUCGUGCCGAUAUCUUGUUCACACGAUAUGGCAUAGGCAUACGACGUGUGCUGAUGGGCAUUUAAAUCCUUGAUCAUAGGUGUCGGGAGAGCCGCACCCAAAGUUCUUGGCUGCGAUUCAUCUAGGUUGCAUAACAUUUAGCUCUGGGGCUUUUGGAGCGUCGAUUCCGCUAACCGACUCCCGAAUAGACUCUGAACAUCGCCUGAUGCUUCAAAUGUUUCAGCCCUACACAAUCCCGAAACACCAUUUUAAGUGAGGGAUAGCGGCACAUAAGUUGCAUCAUUAUAGGUGCUGGCCACAAAACUUGCCCUCCAACAGAAAAACAUCGAUUUUGAUGUCGGAACCAGCUUUGCGCAAGUCUAGCUAGAAAAAGCUUCAGGAUUGACAUUGAUAGUCUGUCACGCCCCAAAACCGAUGAGUAACAGACGCUACAUACUUGCUAGAACAACAAAUAUGUAAGGCUACAGAACCUAACAAGAAUCAAACAAAAUGAUAAUCACAAAAAUUCACUAAAUUAUGCGAUACUGAGAAAAGAACAAAACAGAAAGAAAUAAAAUCAGAUGAUAAUCCACAGGAACCCACUUUACAUCUACCUAACUAUACAGACAAAAUAACAAAAGAAAGCAACUCAAACGACAAACUUCGACUAGCGUUCACUCAGUCUCGCCCUUGCUCGGUAGAAGAGUCUCGAAAUCUGGAUAAGCAACCAUACACCACAUUAGUAUGAUUAAGCAUGCAAAAUAGAAAAUUUUCUAAAUAAUCAAAUAUAAAUUUUCAUACUGAAAAUAUAAUAGUGAUGAUUGAGUUUUACAAACUUUUACAUAUUACGUUUCAGAAUUUAUGAAUCUUAAACAAGCAUGUUUUACAAAAGACUAAGAGAAAUAAGGUUUUAACAAAAACAUUCUUAUUUCAAGAAUUAGAAUUCGAAAUGAAAGUAUUCAGUAACUAGCUACUCAUUGGCUGAGGUCCUAAACACACAUUAGAGGCACCGAAGGCACGAUCACAAACCCGAAGAUGAAUCUAAAUAACAUGCGGAGGCUCAUCACAAAAUUGUACUUGAAGGCACGUCAAAAAAUUGCACUCGGAGGUGCACAAAAUCGAAGCUAGCUUCUAUCACAAAAUUCAUGCUGACAUGGCCAACAUCAUUGUAGCAACAAUUUGUAAUUUAUAUAAGCGUNCUGGUGGAAUUAUGCUUCCCUUUUGUUUUUAUUUUUCUAAAACUCAAAUUUUGAAUGGAGGACACUAGCACGAUAGAUUGUUAUGAAAUGACACAUUUAUGCCACUUGUUUGGCCAAAAAAGAUGAAAUUUUGUUAGUUUUUUUGUUUUUUCCUUGCUUUGCUCCUUUGUUUUUAAAAAAAGAAUAAGUUUGCUUAAGUGUCGUGGCAUGGGUUUGUGCCGAAAAUUUGUUAGUACGGCACGACACGGUGCGUGAUGGGUCAUGCCGAUGCGUACUGGUCGCGAAAAAUGCAUGUGUGCCGACACAUAAUGCCAUAAAAUAUUUAUUUUCUUUAGCAACAAAAUAUUCUAAAUUUCUAAUUGCUUAUUAUGUAUCAUUAUCAAAUCUUUUGAACUACUAAUUUAAAGAACAGAGGUUGAGUUGUGCCAUAGAUACGGUGGCGGUAUCGUGCCGAUAUCUUGUUCACACGAUAUGGCACAGGCAUACGACGUGUGCUGAUGGGCAUUUAAAUCCUUGAUCUUAGGUGUCGGGAGAGCCGCACCCAAAGUUCUUGGCUGCGAUUCAUAUAGGUUGCAUAACAUUUAGCUCUGGGGCUUUUGGAGCGUCGAUUCCGCUAACCGACUCCCGAAUAGACUCUGAACAUCGCCUGAUGCUUCAAAUGUUUCAGCCCUACACAAUCCCGAAACACCAUUUUAAGUGAGGGAUAGCGGCACAUAAGUUGCAUCAUUAUAGGUGCUGGCCACAAAACUUGCCCUCCAACAGAAAAACAUCGAUUUUGAUGUCGGAACCAGCUUUGCGCAAGUCUAGCUAGAAAAAGCUUCAGGAUUGACAUUGAUAGUCUGUCACGCCCCAAAACCGAUGAGUAACAGACGCUACAUACUUGCUAGAACAACAAAUAUGUAAGGCUACAGAACCUAACAAGAAUCAAACAAAAUGAUAAUCACAAAAAUUCACUAAAUUAUGCGAUACUGAGAAAAGAACAAAACAGAAAGAAAUAAAAUCAGAUGAUAAUCCACAGGAACCCACUUUACAUCUACCUAACUAUACAGACAAAAUAACAAAAGAAAGCAACUCAAACGACAAACUACAACUAGCGUUCACUUGGUCUCCCCCUUGCUCGGCAAAAGAGUCUUGAAACCUAGAUAAGCAACAAUACACCACAUUAGUAUGAUUAAGCAUGCAAAAUAGAAAAUUUUCUAAAUAAUCAAAUAUAAAUUUUCAUACUGAAAAUAUAAUAGUGAUGAUUGAGUUUUACAAACUUUUACAUAUUACGUUUCAGAAUUUAUGAAUCUUAAACAAGCAUGUUUUACAAAAGACUAAGAGAAAUAAAAUUUUAACAAAAGCAUUCUUAUUUCAAAAAUUAGAAUUUGAAACGAAAGUCUCCAAUAACUAGCGACCCGUUGGUUGAGGUCCUAGACACAUUAGAGACACCGAAGGCAUGAUCAUGAAGCGCAAGCACUCGAGAUGAAUCUAAAUAGCACCGGGAGGCGCAUCACAAAAUUGUACCCAAAUGCGUGUCACAAAAUUGCACUAGGAGAUGCAUCAAAAAUUCGAAGAUAGCUUCCAUCACAAAAUUCAUGUUGAUAUGGCCAACAUUGUUAUAACAAUAUACCAAGAUUUUAUCAAAUAAGUACAAUUUCUAAAGCACAUAUUUUUCUAAAAAUUACACAGCAGCCAAAUAAAAUUUUUUUAGUAGUUUUUAUCUUUCGACGAUUUGUAAUUUAUAUAAGCACGCUUAGUCCUUAUUUUGAAAAACUAUACAAAAAGUGCAUUUUGUUCGGUAACAUAUUUCAAUAAUUUUUAUGAAAAAUAAACUAACAGGCGUUAGGUCGCUUACCUCUAAUUAAUCCGAGUAUCUUUCGGUCAAACAUCGAGUAUCAAAUUAAUCAACGAAAUAUUUUUGAUGGCGAUGAAGGAAACAACGACGAACGAGGUGCCUUUGGCGAUCCAACGAUGUUGGCCCCAAACAAAAAGAUGCUGACGAAGAUCAAAGAGUGCGUUAUUGGCGGCGGUGGCUUUGCUGUCGAAAGACGAGAUUGAGGAUCGUGCAAGAAAAAGAGAGAUCGCGCGCAUGUGCGAAAGAUGUGCGUGCAUAUUAGGUUGAACCAGAGCAGGAGAAAGAACAACCGGUUGGGGAGAAAAAGAGAGAUUAUUAGCCUUUUUAUUAAUUAGGGUUGCAUAAUUGCACAUAAACCCCUAGACUUUUUAAGUUGAGUAAAAUAACUUUUUUAAGUUGAGUAAAAUAAGCCUCUUUUAUCAAAUAAAUAAGAAUAAAAAAAUUGGGUAUUACAUUUUCCUCCCAACAAAAAUUUCGCCCUCGAAAUUUUUACUGUCGAGCUAAAUGAGAAGUUUUAAGAACAAAAUAAUUCAUAUUCCAUUUUAAUAUAACUUCUGUCCUCGAAAUCCGAAUAGUUUGCUCAGACAGUUGAUAUGACAAUUACUCAUUUCGUCUUAUUGUUCUGAUAUUGAAGUUCACAUGACAAUCGCUAAUAAAAUUUUAUAAAAUAUAAUCUACCUGCUUAUCUCAUAUACAAAUAUAAAAAAAAUUAAGGCUAAAUUACAGAAAACCCCUUUGUCAAUACCCGCUUUUUCACUUUCCCCCCCUGUCAUUUAAAAACCUACACUUUGCCCCUUUGAAAAAUGAGAAAUGUUCACUUUGGCCCCCCGCCGUCAGUAUUCCGUUAGGGUUCCGUUUAUAUCCUAUUAUUAUAUAUUUUUAUACCCAAAAUACCCUCACCUCCCUGCCGCCUCCUUCCUCGCCGCCCUACACCGCCGCCUCGCCCUACACAGCCGCCUCGCCCUCCUCUGCCACCUCGCCCUUGCCUACUCCUCCAUUCGCGUCUACACACAUGCUCUCGUGCUCCUUCGCCCUCGCCCUCGCACGCCUCUUCGUCCAUGCCCACUCCGAUCUCUUCCCUAUCGUCGCCGAAAUGGAGCGGCAACACGAGUGCAGGAAGAGCGUGGGAGCAUGUGGAGGAAAAUGGAGUCGGAGCUGCGGUUGAGCGAGGCGCGAAGAACGGAAGAGGAGGGGCGACGACUGAGCGAGGUUGGGGGAGAAGACGAAGAUGGUGAGGGGCAUUUUGGUCAUUUUGUCACGGUGUACCCCCCUGUGAACAUUUUUUCAUUUUUCAAGGGGGCAAAGUGUAGCUUUUUAAAUAAUGGGGAAAAAGAGGUAUUGGAUAGGGAGGUUUUCUGUAAUUUAGCCAAAAAUUAAUAUCGAUCAUCGAAUUUUACAUUGUGCUUUUGCUGUGCACUCUAAUACUUAUCGAAUAUUAAUAUCGAAUAACUCUUUAACAAAAUAAUAAUUCGUAACAUUUUGCUAGAAUUCUACUGUAUGUAAUCUCACUCCAAUUCAAUAAAAAGAUUUUCAAAUCAAAUUCUGAUCCUCCAACUUAUAUUUCAUUCAAACAAAACAGUGGAAUAAUGUCUUCAAUACUCUUGCAUCAUUCUAUUAUCGUUUACAUAUAAAAUGCUUUCCUUAUCUCACAAAUAUUUGAAAUUCCAUCAGUACAUUUCCCUUCCUUUCAUGAUAUCAAAUUUUGGUCUCUAAACGUUUAGCAAGUCACUCAUAAUUAUCCUCUACUUUUGUUUUCUGCAAAUAUUAUGCUUAUGAAAUAAUUUUCAUGAACUUCAUACAAUAUAUAUGAGAUACCAUAGAGAUUACUAAUAGUUCCUAAGUCCUGAAUCACGAAACAAGUAAAUUAUAGUCUCAAUUGUAUCAUUCUGUGAUUGUAAAAUCAAACUUAACAAUAUAAUAUUCUAGAACUCAAUUAAAUUUUGGGCUGACUAGUUAAAAUCUAAUCAUAACAUAUCCAUCAUGAAAGGACAAGACAAGUACAAUCAUCACUAACAAAAUGCCAUAUGAAGGAAUUAAUCAUAACGGAAAGGCCUAACACAAUUCGAGACAAAUCAUUAGAAAGAUUAAUCUAAUUGCAACCACAAUAUAAAAUCACCCUAUUUCAUAGGUCAAUCAAGUUGACUAAGCUAAGGGUUUGAUCAAAAAAUAGAGCAACAAUAAUACAGAUAUAAUUAAUUUAUGAAAUGAAAUACCUUCUCACGUAUAUUAAAGAUUUGCAGUAAGACAGAAACAUGUGAAAAGGCACAACAUACUUUCUCAAUCACAUAAUCAAAGAAUAAAAUAUAGCACAUUGAAAAUCGAAUUCAUAGUGAGAAACUUUUUAAUGAAAUGAACUUUAUUGAAUACAGCACAAUGACAAGAUUCUUAGCUUAUGCAUUACAAUUGUGAAUCAAAAUAAAAAGAUUAGAACCUUAACUGGAUUAACCAUAGCUCAUGAUCAAACAAAUAACAAAGAUUAGCCAACAAAAUAAAGAAGAAGAAUACACAUAAGGUCAAAACUAUUACUAAGAUAGAAAUAAUGAAUUUCAAUCACGAUUACUUAUGAUAUCAGAAUAAAAAACAUAAUCAAAAUUCUAACCUUCCAAAACCAAACCUCUACCCCACUCGCACAUUCUUGCAUGUUCUAAGAUGAACCUUAUUAGUUAUUAUCCUAUUGAUCAAUUUUCUACAAUCCCUGUAAAUCUUAAACCUAAGCUCAGAUACCCUUUUUUUGUCACGCCCCAAAUCCGAGACGUAACAGGUGCCACAUACCUACUAGAACAACAAAUAUGUAAGGCUACAAAACCUAACAAGAAUCAGACAAAACGUUAGUCACAAAAAUUUACUAAAUUAUGUGGUACAGAGCAAAGAACAAAACAAAAAAAAAACAAUCAGAUGAUAAUUCACGGAAACCCCCUUUACAUCUACAUUACUACACAGACAAAAUAACAAAAGAAAGCAACUCAAACGACAAACUUCGACUAGCGUUCACUCAGUCUCGCCCUUGCUCGGUAGAAGAGUCUCGAAAUCUGGAUAAGCAACCAUACACCACAUUAGUAUGAUUAAGCAUGCAAAACAAAAAAUUUUCUAAAUAAUCAAAUAGAAAUCUUCAUACUGAAAAUAUAAUAGUGAUGACUGAUUUUCACAAACUUUUAGAAAUCACGUUUCAGAAUUUUGAGUCUUAAAGAAGCAUGUUUUACAAAAGACUAAGAGAAAUAAGGUUUUAACAAAAACAUUCUUAUUUCAAGAAUUAGAAUUCGAAAUGAAAGUAUUCAGUAACUAGCUACUCAUUGGCUGAGGUCCUAAACACACAUUAGAGGCACCGAAGGCACGAUCACAAACCCGAAGAUGAAUCUAAAUAACAUGCGGAGGCUCAUCACAAAAUUGUACUUGAAGGCACGUCAAAAAAUUGCACUCGGAGGUGCACAAAAUCGAAGCUAGCUUCUAUCACAAAAUUCAUGCUGACAUGGCCAACAUCAUUGUAGCAACAAUUUGUAAUUUAUAUAAGCGUGCUUAACCCUUAUUCUAAAAAACUACUUAAUAAGGGAUUUCCAUUUAUAACAAAUUUCUAUAAUUUUUAUUAAAAAUAAAUUAACAGGCGUUUUGUUGCUUACCUCUAAUUAAUUCGAGUAUCAUUCGGUCAAACAUCGCUAAUCAAAUUAAUCAUCGAAAUAUUUUUUAAGACGAUAAAGGAAAACAACGACGAACGAGGUGCCUUUUGAUGAUCCAACAAUGUCGACCCCAAACAAAAUGACGACGACGACGAUGAAAGAGUGCGACGUUGGCAGCAGUGUCGAAAGACAAGAUUGAGGAUUGUGUGAGAAAGAGAGAGAUUGUGCACGUGUGCGAAAGGUGUGGCGUAAAUAAGGUUGAACGAGAGAAGGAGAGAGAACGACGGGUUAGGGAGAAAAAGAGAGAUUAGGAGCCUUUUUAUUAAUUAGGGUUGUAUAAUUGCAUAUAAACCCAUAGACCAAGGAUUUAAGUCCUGUGGCACGGGGUCGUGCCGAAAACUUGUCGGCAUGAUGCAUGCUGAUGUGUGCCGGUCACAAAAAAUAUGUGUGUCGACAAGUAAUGGCAUGAAAUAUAUAUUUUUUUUAGCAACAAAAUAUGCCAAUUAUUUAUUAUGUAUUUUUAUUAAAUCUUUUGAAUUGCAUUGAGAAUAUUAGUUACUAAUUUCAAGAAUAGAGGAGUUUGAGUCGUGCCUUCGACACAGGGGCUGUAUCGUGCUGAUUUUUUACUGGUACGAUACGACACAGUGGAUACGGCCCGUGCCGAUAGGCACUUUGAUCCUUGCCAUAGAUUUUUUAAAUUGAGCAAAAUAAGCCGGCUUUAUCAAAUAAAUAAAAAUAAAAAUAAUUUGGUAUUACAUAGUCAAAACAACUUUCCGAAUCAUCGCUUCAGCCCUCAAACACAAGUUCGACACUAAACGAUAAGUUUAGGAUGCAGAAAGACCAAUUACUCGUGCUUAGGAUGUCGUUUUCGCUAAUCGGCGUUCGAAAUGACACUAAUAAUCGAUCCAUGUCACCGGCACAUCACUUUAGCCACAAGAGGUGACGAAAUGCACCAUCUUUGGCGUCGGGACAGCGUUAUGGAUAGACUGUCCAAAAUUAUUCAACUCAUAAAUUAUUUUUCUUCAUAUUAUAAUAUCGUAUUUCAUAUAAUUAUUUUGUACUUUGAACUAUUAGAUAUAUUUUUGUAUUAAAUUGUAGAUAAUGUUCUACACAAAUUAAACUAUUGAUCAUAUGAUGUUGAGAAUUUCAAACGGCUCGUUUAAGGCUCGAGCUCGCUCGACUCAAAAUUAAGCUCGCUCGAGCUCGACUCGAAUUAAUUCGGCUCGAAAUUAAUUUCAAGCCGAACUUGAGCCGAGAUAAGCUCGCUCGAGCUCGGCUCGUUUCCACCCCUGCGGAUAGUGCAUGGCAAUACAAGACAUGACCACAAGGCUUGGCUCCAAAUGAGGCUCCGAGGUCCUGGAUUGCGCUGAUUUUGGUGCCGAGACAGUACGUGCACACGAUGAGCCCUAAAGCUUUCGUCCUAGCAAAACGCGCCUACGAGGGCUCGACCAUGAAUACUUGGCUAGCAAGAAGGCCAAAUGUUUUCAUCCAGAUUCAACAUGUUCAACUCUCCUAUGAUGUCUAACGACACCCAAAACGCAACGAUGAAAACAACAACACUAAUUAUGUAAACACAUGCGACAAUGAAUCAAAUAGGGGAGUUGAGAUUAUUUACCUACGUCCAAGCCUUGGCUUCGACCUGAGGCGCGCAUAGGGAAUGUCGACGACUCUGGCUUUCGUCUCGGCCAUUCGAUGGUUCUGGCGCGUUGUUGUUGACCAAAGGAAGAAGAAAUUGCGGUGAUUGCGGAGCUUGGCCACGGUCGCACAAGACCGAGGGCAAAGGAAAGAUCGGCUUGAGGAGGUGAGCACUCGGUUGCACCCGUGGGUGCUAGCUGCCGUCGUGGAGGAGGAGAGCCGUUUGUCAUGGACAUAGAAAUUUUGCUCGCAAAGCCCGUGCGGCACCCACCUUUCUUCGCAUAGAUGGACAAGCCUUGCUCCCUGUUGCUAGUCUGGACCUUUCCGUCCUACGACUAAGUAUGCAAAUGAAAGAAAAGAGAGGGAUAGAGGUUAUCCAAAAAAAAAACUAAGUACUCUCAAUUAUUUAGAAAAGGAGGAUUACAACACACUCUCUCUCUUAUGUGCUUUGGCCUUAGCCAUUCCCACAAUUUAUAGGCCUAAGAUACAAUAAAUUUAGUCUACCAUAACUCAUCUGCUAACUCACCCAUUAAUACAUAGUAAUGUGCCCUCAUGAAUACAAAGCCCAAGAGUUUUCUAUGACUCUUGGCAGUUUUUCAAGACAUAAUGGUAGCAGUUUUGUAACCUUUCUUCUCCGAUAGAAGGGCUGGAAUCGGGUCUCAUUGACAACCUGUUUCAGCUUGCAGAGUUGGGCAAGGGACUAUGCUGCGCAGAAAUUUUUCUAAGUCCCUGACACGUCGAUGACCUAGGCUAUUGGCAAUUGUCGACACCUGUCUCUAAAAGACCCAGCAUGCCUGUCACUAAGUGACAUAGGCUGUCACGCCACGAGUUUGUAGCGGAAGGCUACGGGGCGCUAACAGACCCGCCGAACGGACAGAGUUUUUCCUAUCCGAACGAAGUGGCAACAUAACUAAACAAUCAUGAAGUAAUACAAGGGGUUAUCCCGAAUAUUUUUCACAUUGCAAGAACCAAAAGGAACUAUUAAGGAACCAAACGAUAUGUAUUAGAGCACUAUAUACAAGCUGAUCCACUGUUCAUAGGAUAGUAACAUCAUAUAAAACUCAAAUCCCAAAAACUAAGUACAAAUAGAUGGGCCUGGCCCUCGCCAGUCCAAAAGGUGGUUCAGUGUAGCUCUCUAUUUGGUAGUCCACUACAGUCUAAGAAUGAUAGUAGGAGAUGCUAUCUACAGCGUGAUCCCCUUAUCUCGAUUAGUGGAUGGUGCACCUAUCUUUAGAAAGCAAACCACAAGAGGGUAUGAGAACUACUAAUAGCAGUUCCCAGUGGGUACGGUCGGCGACAACAACGACCUUCCCACUAGGUCUCAUUGAACACGAUUAAGUGAAAGAGCGGUAAAGAGUAAUAUAGAACAAGGACUGAAGCAUGAUAUAACCAAAGUAAACUUUUAAGCAAAAAGGUAAAUGAACUAUUCUAUGUGCAUGGAAACAACAUGAACUAUUCCAACUGUAUGUAAUAGUCUAUGCAUCUAGAAAGCAAAUGCAAGUAGUAUUUUAUUUUUAUGCAUAUGAUGAACAGGAAAAUAAACACUCAACUACAUGUCAUAUUCUAUUUCUUUGUAUCUUCUCUGUUAUGCAUAACCAUUCUAAAUACGCCAUCUAUGCAUGUGAGUGAAGAAAUACUGUCAAGAUACCCAAUCGCAACGACCGACUCAUAGGUCCGGUCAAGUCUGCACACGCCUAGUGUGCAGACACACUCCCGCAGGUUUGACGGCGACUCCUAGGCUACUGUCUCUGCUAUCACUGGCCAGCAUCCGGAGCGGGACUCGAGGGGAGUGACCCUUACCGAGUAUUGUAGCGUGUAAUAUUGUCAUGCUCAAGGUGGCAUCUGCAGGCUAUAGUCCAUGUGAUGGUCAAAGAGUCACAAGAAACUACCCAAUGGUCUCAACUCCAUAAAAUGUCCAAAGGAUCAAGCCACACAUGUCUCACGAGUCCUUGACCUCUAACAUGCAACUCAUGGCAUGCACAAUGCAAAGAAAAGGAAAUAUCUCAUGUCCAUACAUAAAAGGUCUAUAUAGGAUGAUCAAUGCUUUGUAAUUCAUGCAUGUAUGUACAUGUAAGGUAUAGGUUGUCAAAAUAGACAUAGAAAGAAAUUCGCCGUUUUCGGCGACUCGGAACCCACCUCAACUAGCUAGAUCGGCUAUGGCAAGGACUCCACCGUUCACGUACUUCUCCCUAGCUCACAACGAAACCACUAAACAAGGCAAGAAUUUCCAUAAUUAAUACAUAACAUCGGAUUUCUAAUUUACCCCGAUUCGCCUGAAUUGAACGCAAAAUACCCUCUAAUUAGAUGAGCCCAACGCUAUUCGCGAAUUUCUAUACGCCUCUUUUUAAUUGGUGAAUACCAAUUUCAAAGUUCGAGGCGCGAAUUGCACCAAAAAAUCUCACCAUGUCAUCCUUUGUUUUUCUCCCUCUUUUUUCUUUCUAUUUCUUUCUAUUUCUCUCUUUUUCUCCCCUCCCUCUCUCUCUCUCUCUUUCUUUUUUUUUUUUUACAGUCCCUGAAUCUUUUUAAGGAUACGUCGGGCCAGGGACCGGGUUUAGACGAAUCGCUCAAGCCCAACUUCUGCCCAGCUUAGCCCAACCGUUCAUCUGGGUUUGGGUUGGGCGACACCCUUUGAGUUCCCAGUACUUUGAGUACCCUCAAUACCCACUGAGAACUCGAAAACCGUAAAUACUCCCGAGUAAUACAUCCGAGUAAUACAUACAUUAUUACCUACUCAAUACACCAUCACCCACUCAACUUUUCCGUGGAAACCCGGAUAUUUAUCACCCCAACCGAUUCCGGUACUGUGUGUUCUCUCUCACACAAACAUACGACAAACAUCCAACAUUAAGAGUAAAGAUUCAUCACAUCAUGAAUCAAAAAACUCUCUUGGAGACGGAGAAAGAGAAACAGUAAAGGGAAACGUAUGAAUCAGCAUCCUGCGCUUCCAGGCCCGAUCGUUGUCCCUGUUUCCGAACAGGUAGAAGCUCGUCCUUUCCACCCGCGGCGUGCCCGAAACGCUUGUUUUUGCGAUUCAGGCACUGUGGGACGACGUCCCCGUCGUAUACUUUGUUUGGGGUUUUUUUUUUUCUUUUUUUUCUUUUUUUUUUCUCUCUCUUCCCUUCGNNNNNNNNNNNNNNNNNNNNNNNNNNNNNNNNNNNNNNNNNNNNNNNNNNNNNNNNNNNNNNNNNNNNNNNNNNNNNNNNNNNNNNNNNNNNNNNNNNNNNNNNNNNNNNNNNNNNNNNNNNNNNNNNNNNNNNNNNNNNNNNNNNNNNNNNNNNNNNNNNNNNNNNNNNNNNNNNNNNNNNNNNNNNNNNNNNNNNNNNNNNNNNNNNNNNNNNNNNNNNNNNNNNNNNNNNNNNNNNNNNNNNNNNNNNNNNNNNNNNNNNNNNNNNNNNNNNNNNNNNNNNNNNNNNNNNNNNNNNNNNNNNNNNNNNNNNNNNNNNNNNNNNNNNNNNNNNNNNNNNNNNNNNNNNNNNNNNNNNNNNNNNNNNNNNNNNNNNNNNNNNNNNNNNNNNNNNNNNNNNNNNNNNNNNNNNNNNNNNNNNNNNNNNNNNNNNNNNNNNNNNNNNNNNNNNNNNNNNNNNNNNNNNNNNNNNNNNNNNNNNNNNNNNNNNNNNNNNNNNNNNNNNNNNNNNNNNNNNNNNNNNNNNNNNNNNNNNNNNNNNNNNNNNNNNNNNNNNNNNNNNNNNNNNNNNNNNNNNNNNNNNNNNNNNNNNNNNNNNNNNNNNNNNNNNNNNNNNNNNNNNNNNNNNNNNNNNNNNNNNNNNNNNNNNNNNNNNNNNNNNNNNNNNNNNNNNNNNNNNNNNNNNNNNNNNNNNNNNNNNNNNNNNNNNNNNNNNNNNNNNNNNNNNNNNNNNNNNNNNNNNNNNNNNNNNNNNNNNNNNNNNNNNNNNNNNNNNNNNNNNNNNNNNNNNNNNNNNNNNNNNNNNNNNNNNNNNNNNNNNNNNNNNNNNNNNNNNNNNNNNNNNNNNNNNNNNNNNNNNNNNNNNNNNNNNNNNNNNNNNNNNNNNNNNNNNNNNNNNNNNNNNNNNNNNNNNNNNNNNNNNNNNNNNNNNNNNNNNNNNNNNNNNNNNNNNNNNNNNNNNNNNNNNNNNNNNNNNNNNNNNNNNNNNNNNNNNNNNNNNNNNNNNNNNNNNNNNNNNNNNNNNNNNNNNNNNNNNNNNNNNNNNNNNNNNNNNNNNNNNNNNNNNNNNNNNNNNNNNNNNNNNNNNNNNNNNNNNNNNNNNNNNNNNNNNNNNNNNNNNNNNNNNNNNNNNNNNNNNNNNNNNNNNNNNNNNNNNNNNNNNNNNNNNNNNNNNNNNNNNNNNNNNNNNNNNNNNNNNNNNNNNNNNNNNNNNNNNNNNNNNNNNNNNNNNNNNNNNNNNNNNNNNNNNNNNNNNNNNNNNNNNNNNNNNNNNNNNNNNNNNNNNNNNNNNNNNNNNNNNNNNNNNNNNNNNNNNNNNNNNNNNNNNNNNNNNNNNNNNNNNNNNNNNNNNNNNNNNNNNNNNNNNNNNNNNNNNNNNNNNNNNNNNNNNNNNNNNNNNNNNNNNNNNNNNNNNNNNNNNNNNNNNNNNNNNNNNNNNNNNNNNNNNNNNNNNNNNNNNNNNNNNNNNNNNNNNNNNNNNNNNNNNNNNNNNNNNNNNNNNNNNNNNNNNNNNNNNNNNNNNNNNNNNNNNNNNNNNNNNNNNNNNNNNNNNNNNNNNNNNNNNNNNNNNNNNNNNNNNNNNNNNNNNNNNNNNNNNNNNNNNNNNNNNNNNNNNNNNNNNNNNNNNNNNNNNNNNNNNNNNNNNNNNNNNNNNNNNNNNNNNNNNNNNNNNNNNNNNNNNNNNNNNNNNNNNNNNNNNNNNNNNNNNNNNNNNNNNNNNNNNNNNNNNNNNNNNNNNNNNNNNNNNNNNNNNNNNNNNNNNNNNNNNNNNNNNNNNNNNNNNNNNNNNNNNNNNNNNNNNNNNNNNNNNNNNNNNNNNNNNNNNNNNNNNNNNNNNNNNNNNNNNNNNNNNNNNNNNNNNNNNNNNNNNNNNNNNNNNNNNNNNNNNNNNNNNNNNNNNNNNNNNNNNNNNNNNNNNNNNNNNNNNNNNNNNNNNNNNNNNNNNNNNNNNNNNNNNNNNNNNNNNNNNNNNNNNNNNNNNNNNNNNNNNNNNNNNNNNNNNNNNNNNNNNNNNNNNNNNNNNNNNNNNNNNNNNNNNNNNNNNNNNNNNNUUGGAGCUUUUUGAGUUCGCUUCGAAUGUCCCAUGGCAUGUCAGUAGCGACGCUUUCCUCCGAUGCUGUGGACAUCUUCGUUAAAUGAGUUAAAAGGUAUCCGCCAUCUCGGAUGCUACCUUCACCCAUUUUCGCAUGAUUGGUCCUUCCAACAGCCACAAGGCGGGUCCCUCAACGAGCCCGAUCUUGUGAUUCGCUGUUAGGGUCUUUGCUUUUUGCUUCGUUUGAGGGGCUGUUUGGAGGGUCCCAACGUCGACGAUUCCCGCAUCGGAUGACGACAUGGGUUCCUCAACUCUAACGGCCUCUUAUACAAACUGUCACGAGACUUAGGUUUUUUCGGCCAAAGCCCUGCUGCGUGCGCCCACCUUUCUUGCAAUCGAAGAGGACAAGCCUUGCCGUGUCCCUGUGCUAGCCCGGACCUUCGCCGCUCUACGGACUAAUAUGCAAAGGGAACAUGACAAAAAGAGGCAGAGGUUCUCUCAAAAAACUAAGUACUACACUACUUAGAAAUGAGAAUUACAACCUACAAACAGCAUACAAACACACUCUCUCUUGUGUGUCAUGGCCUUAGCCAACCCCACUAUUUAUAGGCCAAAAGGUGCCUUUUCAACUCACCCACUACCACAUAACUCAUCCAUUAUUACAUACAUAAUGAGCCUACAUAAUGAGCCCUCAUAAAUGCCAAAAGCUCAAGAGUCACCCAUAACUCCCAUGAGUUUCAUGACCCUUGAGUUUCCCACAGCGGGUUGGGUUUGGGUCUACUUGCCAACCCGAUUCGACCCGUCUUCAACCCGAACUCGCUAAGCAGAUUUGGGCCAGGGACCGGGCUGCAUAGGAAUUUUUCUAAGUCCCUGACAAGGGGCUGCCUGCAGCAGCAGCAGCUUGCUGCUGCUGCUGCUGCUGCAGCACAGCCAACAGCAGCUGAUGCUGCAGCCAGCGGCCAGCAGAGAGAGAGAGUGAGGGAGAGAGAGAAAAAGAAGGAAAGAGAGAAAGAGGAAAGAAAAAAAAAAGAAAACUUAUGCACGAUUUCAUGCUGAAAACAAUCUCUAAAACCCUUUUUCAUCAACUUCUUCUUCUUCUCCUUUCCUUUCUCUUCUUCUCUUUUUCCUCCUCUCCUACAAGCAAGCUGAGAGAAGAGAAGAGAUAAAGAUGAAGGCUCUUAGUGGAAUUCCACUAAGUUGCCAAUAUGCAACUUAGCCCACAACUUAAUAUAUUAGCGUUGUAAUCCCCCGUAGUAAGAAAUUUGACCUUAUUCAUUCGUUUUCGUGUCAAUUUUGUGCUAAAAUGUUUUCACCUUAUUGAAGCUCUGCACUCGCGCUGAUAGGCAUCAUACACUGCGUCCAUUGGGCAAAAUCAGUAUUCUACAUAGGCCGUAGACACUGAAGCAUGACAAUUCCCUUGAGAGGCUCACCACCUUCAGGUGGCAUUGGAAAGCAUGACAAAUCCCUUGAUAAAUCAAUGAGGGACAAAAUCGUCAAUCUCACGCAAGAAUUGACAAUGUACAGAAAAAUUGUAUAAUAUCUCUCACAUUCAGUAUUGAUUUGCGCGACUCAGGUGGCAUUGGAAAGCUUAUUCAAUAAGGAAUCCGUUGAGCAUAUAUUUGAAUGGUAAAUAAUGAAACAUGUUUUCUCAAAAUAUCAGAACUUCUCAACCUUAGUUUAAUCCAACUAGUAGGAUUCCUAAAAUAGAUAAGAUCAAAAUUCGAAAAAUCUUAAAUUCAUAAAAUCAUGAUAAAAUUUCCUUGCUGGAACUCAAAAUCAAAAUUGUUAUCAUACCUGGAAUCAGGGACGAAGCUAGGAUUCAAUCUUGAGGGGGGCCAAAAUAUAUUUAAAUAAAAACUUUAGUAAUAAAUAAUAAACAAAAUUUUUCCUAAUUAAAAAAUUUUUAUUAAAAAAUUAUUAAUUAAAUAAAUAAUGUAAAAGUAUGAACUUUAUUUUUUUUUUCAGAAUGUUAAACUUCUAAUUAUUUUAUUUAUAUUAUUACAUUAAAAUAACUUAGAAAUUUUACUAAAUCUAAGAGUAAUUUUUAGUUUUUAGUAAAUAAAAUUAACAUAGCUAUUAAAUUUAGUACAAUUCUUGAUUUAGUCAAUAAAAGAGCGACCUAAGAUAAAUAAAAGUUUUAAAAAUUAUAAUAAAAUUUUAGAGUAGAGAAAUUAUUCAAAAGACUCUGUAAGCAAGAAGAUUUUAAUAUAUUUUCACCCAUAAAAAGAGUAUAUCGAUUAGGAGAAAAAGAGAGAGUUAUGUUGCCACCAUACUAUUAAGUAAAUUGAAAAACUAGGGGGCCAAAUCUAUCCAUGGUACACCAAAAAAAAACUUUGAAGGACCAUUAAGCAAAAUAUUGAAAAGUUGAGAGGGGCCAUGGCACCUUGGGCUUCACAUAGCUUCGUCCAUGCCUGGAAUCACAUUAUUUAUGAUCUAAAUAUUGCACCAUAUCUAUAAGCUUGUCAAAAUUCAAAAGCAAAAUUUAUACUGCAUUGAACAUUAACUAAAAUCCAUAUAAUAAAAUAAUAGAAGUGAUGGCUAGGGGUAUUUCGUACUUCCCUGCUUCUCACAUAGUAAAGUUGUUCUAGAUGUUAGGACAAAUGAGCCACUUCGUUGAAAAUGCAUUAUCCAAAUAUGGGGCAAUAAACAUGGCUAUAACUACUCUAAGAGGCAUAUCAGCAUUGAGCGGCAUAGCUUGACAGCUCAGUAUGCAGACACAAAGCAAGCUGGGCCUUAUAUUUUUCUGGUAAGCUAUUGAUUUGCAUCUUCGCUGACCGGGUAGAUAGAACAUCCAUUCCUAGGCUUGAUGGUGGAAUCCUUCAAUAUGUUGAUUGUUAUGAAUUCUCUAGUUUUAUUUGAUUAUUUUCUUUGCAUUGCAAAAAAUCUCCUCGCGAUGGCUAGAUUUGUGUAACAUUUGUCUAAAUCUCUGUUUUUUCAGGUUGAUUGUGUCUUGCCAGUUUUGGACGUGCACUUUCUCCUGAAGACCUAUAUAUAAAUGUAUCAUGGGAGCCUGUGGCAUCUUGAAAAGAAAUGAUGAACCAGCUGGAAUCAAUGUUUUCCAUGUAACUAAGAUUGAUGUACCCACGAAGCUACCCUCUUUUAACUUUUCUGUUGCUUUCAGAUUAGACAAGUUGAUUUUUGAUGUUGAUCUUGAAGAUAAUGCUGAGGGAAGUUCAGUUGUCUCCCUUGUCAUCGGAGAUAUGGACAUCAGGUUUGUUAUUUUGCCGAACUCACUUGUAACUCAUUUCUUUUUUAUAUUGGAGUAUGCGUGUAAUAAUAUAUUGCAAAAGCAGGUAUCACAUAUGGAAAUUUACAGAAUUAUGGAUCCUUGCAAAGAUGUUAAAACUUGAUGCUUCUAAUUUGAAGGCUGUACCGAAGUUUAACAUCUUAUGCCUAUCAACAAAUAGCAUGGACAGCAAGCUCCCGCAUACAAAUGUUGAUUAUGCAGGGGAUGCAUGGCCUUCGUCUCCCGAAUGUUGCUUAAAGUUGCACUACCAGGCAAAAGAGGAUGCAUCUAAUGUUCACCAUUAUUAUGAGCUGAGAUUAUGCAAUAUCCAUUUUCAUGUACAUCCUGAAAUAGUUGGUCAAUUUCUGAAUUUUUUUGAUAAAAUCAACUCAGUAUCUCCUUCAUUAGGUAGUGAUGGUUGGGAGUCCUUUAUAGUGAAACAAAAUAGUAAGGACUCUGAAAUAGCUGGUGUCCAGCUUUCUAGAUUUGGCUUCUCCAAAUUUGUUGGUACUGAUGAUUCUCUAUUUGCUGGAAUUCCUCUUGAUCAGUUUCCUUUUCUGGGUAUGGAGGAAAGAGAAUGUCCAAGAACUUUAAAUUCAAAUUUUAGCAACAGACCAGGAAUUGUUAACAAUUCGAAAUUGAGAUCUUUGCAUAAUAGCAACGCUGUAACGCUGGAUCUUUCUCUCAAUGGAUUUCGAGUACAUUUCCAUGAUUCCUCCGGCAUUGUAGGGACGAUAACUUUUCCUGCCUCUGUAUCAUCACUUUCAUUUGCAAGUUCUGAUAUUUGGGACUUACUCUUUUCAUCUCAAGGGAUAAUGCUUAUGUCAUUUUGUUCUUCCACAAAUAUCCAUGAACUUCUCUUGGGGCCAUCUUCACCAAGUAAUACUUCGAUACUGAACAUUCGUGCCAGAAAGAAAACGUCUGAUGCAUUAUUUCCUUCCGCUGAAGUAAAUAUCAGUAUUCAGAAUGUUGGCUGCAUAUUAUCAUCCAAGUUUCUUGCUAUGGUGGUUGGGUAUUUUUCCUUGCCUGAUUGGGGCUCUGGUAGAAAUGAUCAUCAUAAUAAUGGAACUAACGAAUUUCAGAAACCUCAGACUGCAAAUACUGAUAUCUCAUACAAAUUUGAGAUAGUUGAUACCAGUCUUAUUUUACCUGUGGAACAUAGUCGGAAUGACUGCCUGAAACUGGAGCUUCCCCAUUUAUUCUGCAAUUUCAUCCCAUUUAGUAGCUCUGCAGAAGCUGCUAAGGACAUUCCUUCACAUAGCUUGAUUUCCGACUGUUCAUUUUCUGAUAAAGUUGACAUUGUUGAUCUAUUUGGAAGGAGUAUGUCUUUAUCUCUUUUGCUAAUUACUGAUCGAACUGAUUUCCUGAUGACACUUGAUGAUUACAUGUCUAUUGGAACUUUGCCCCUUAUUGAAAAGCUUGAUGCUGAUAUCUGGAUUCGAGUACCUAGUAAUACAAUGAUUUCUUCUGAACAAACUACUUUGCCGACUUCCAUUAUGGUCAAAACAGAGAGUUGCCACUUGAUUGUUGAAGGUAUAAACGCUCUCCAUCAACUGCUUUUCGAACUUAUAUUGCACUUGUAAUAAGUAGCUUUAUCGCACUGUUGCUCUCUUGUGCAGAUUUAUGUUUCUUACCUGGAAUUCAGGUCCUCGUUCAUGUUAUUGAUCAGUUAUCCUCUGUAAGUAAAGAAUCUAAAAUGUACAAAUCUGACACAUUGCAAUAUUUGCAACUUAAGAGAAACAUUAUUAAUAUGGAAAAUGCCGGUUCUGCUGAAAUAUCCAGUGAAUCCUUUAUCACCGUAAAAAUUUGUGCCAAGGAAGUCUCAAUGUUGUUCUCUCACUCAAGGAACCAGGAAUCAACUUCACCAUUGCAGGUUGCCAGUGCUCACAUCGAAUUCAAUUUAUCUGCUGUAAUAAUAAAUGAUGCUGCAGAUUGUCUUGAUGUCACUAUCUCCUCUCUGGUUCUGCAGUCAUUUCACACCAGAAAUACAUUAUUAUCAUUCACGUCUGAUAGUUCAAGCUCUUUGCAUAUACAUUUCAACUUCUCUAGGCACACCACAGGAGGAAAUGAAGUUACAGUUGCUCUACCAUAUCUUGACGUUUGGUUAUAUUUAAUUGAUUGGAGGAAUCUCAUCAAUCUUCUCUCCUCAUGUACAAUCCAAACAGAGAGUGCAUUAAGCUCAUCUAUGGAAAAUCCACAAUCUCUGCCUAAUGAAUUGGAUUCUCCGAUGUCACCUUGUUCUGCAUCUGAAUUCAUUAUAAAGGAUGAUCCUAAGUUGUCUGUUAGAUCUGAUAACUUUACUCUUUCAUUGCAUUUACCUCUCUGGGAGAUGGAAGGAGAUGAUUCCGAGCUUUCUAAGAAUGAAGUGCCGCAAUUAUAUUCUGGCGAGCAGUCUGAUUAUCCCUUUACUCGUCGUUUUCCUUCCCUUGAAUCAAAACACAAUAAGUAUGUAAAAUUUACUAUUCAGAGUAAAUAUUGUGGUGUGGCUAUAGGUGAGAGCUAUGCAGAGUUGAGAUCUAAUUUGGACAAGGUGAAGGUAAUGCUGCAAGUGAUUCAAUAUGAGAAGGAUGUUAUCUCGAUUCCUUUUAUACAAGUGUCACAAGUGAAAUUGGGACUUAACUCACACAGAAAAGAAGACUUAGUACACCUUAGUUCUGAAAUACAUGCGGAAUUGUUGGAUGUUGGCGUCUCGCAUAAAAUUUUAAGUUUCUGGAAUGGUACUAGUCUGAAAUUUCCUGAAGCAGCACCAUCUUCCUCUCUCGUCUAUCAUUGCAUGACACUUGAAGUUCACUUAGGAAAAGGUUCUAUAUUAUUAAGUGAUGGAAAGGUAUGCUAUUUUAACACUCCUGUUGCCUCUACUUUUACAUAUGUUUCACAUUUACGGUUGCACUUAUUGAUUCAAUUUUUAUGCUUUUUAAUUAAGUGGAAGCGGUUUAUCGUUAAUGUGAUCCGUCUCUAAGUUAUCGUUGCUUCUAGUUCUUCAGGAAUUCAUGGUAUUGACUAGUUUGUAGGAAUUGGUGCUUAUGUCUUUUACUUAUCUGAAACAAAGAUGGAACUAUGAAGGCUUGUUUCUGGUCAUAUUUUCAGUUUGAUCCAACUGUUCUCAACAAGCGUUUUCAAUGGUUUUGGGUUUGUACUUCUCUGUUUUGUUUCUGACCAGGAAAGUCGUAAAGAGGUUAUGUAAAAUCAGAAGGUUAUAGAAGGUUAGGAUCUAUCCUUUACUGUAAUGCAAGGAUUAGAGUGUCGUGGCACGAGGGGAUGUCGGUUGUCGCCUGGCACGGUACGGCACAGGCAUGCCUCUGUGCCGACACGUGGCACGCUUGCGUGUCAAUGGAUAUGCAUAACUUUCUAGUGGUGCGCUUUGUCAUAUUUUUUUAGUUUUUUUGCUCUCAAUAAACUCUUAUAAUGCUAUUUUGAAAGAUUUAGAAAAAUAAUUAUAAAUAUUGGCUAUAUAUAGCUUACUACACUCGGCAAUUAAGGUAGGCUUUUUAUAUAUGGAAGGUAAAUAUGACAAUAGCUCAUAGAGAAUAAAAAUUAAAAAUCGAUUAACUUCUAAAAUUCUUUUGAUUUUAUCUUUUUCUCAAAACUUAGAAAAUUAUAAAGGCUAAAUUACAGAAAACCCUUCCCGUCAAAACUCGAUUUUUCACUUUCCCCCCGUCAUUUAAAAACCUACACUUUGCCCCUUGUAAAAUGAAAAAUGUGCAUUUCACCCCCUACCGUUAUUGAUCCGUUAGGGUUCCGUUAUAAAAUAUCUUUUUAUGCCAAAAAUACCCCUCCGCCCGCUUCCCUGUUGCUUCGCCUCCCUCCGGCUCGCCGCUUCGCCGCCACCUCGUCUCCUCCACUGCCUCGCCCUCGCCCUCGCCCUCGCCCAUAUCCCCUUCGUCCUCCUCCGCUGCCUCGCCUUUGCCCUCAUUGCCCUUGCCUACCUCUCCAUCAGCGCCCACCUCGAUUUCCUCCCUACUGUCGCCGAAAUCGAGUGGCGGCGAGGGUGCAGAAGGAGAAGGGGAGCAGGUGGAGAAGAAAAUGGAGAGAAAUCGCGGCCGAUCGAGGUGUGAAUCGCGGCGGUUGAGGAAGAUGAGGGAGGAGACGAAAAUGGUGAGGGGCAAAAUGGUCAUUUUACACACCGUACCCCCUCUGUGAAUAUUUUUUAUUUUACAAGGGGGCAAAGUGUAGGUUUUUAAAUGACAGGGGAGAAAAGUGAAAAAUCGAAUUUUGAUAGGGGGGUUAAUGUAAUUUUGCCAAUUAUAAAAUACAACUUUAGAGAAAAUUAUUUUUUCUUAAAAUUAUUAUGGACUUUGCAAGAUUUUUGCAAGAUUCAUCCAUAUUGAUUAGAUGAGAGACCAUAUGAUGAAUAGAUUAACUAGAAUUGCACUUCAAUUGCUCCAAUAUUUUUUUUUAAUUUUGAAUCUUUUUAAAAUAUUUAUUAAAAAUGUGAAGAGAAAAUAAUUUUUUAUUAAAAUUUUUAAGAAGUAUUGUGAGAUCAAAAUAGAAUUUUCGAAGUUAAAAAAAUUUUUGUCAUAAAUCUCAUAGCCAAUGCUGGAUUAUCCAAAAUAAUUAAAAGGCUAAAUUACAGAAACCUUCCUGUAAAUGUAACGACCCGACUUACUAGCAAUAAUAACUCAUUCGGCCCACACCACUAGCUCAAAAGAAUUUUUUUUAUAAAUAAUCCUAUCAAUUUUUAUAAUUGUAAAAAUAGUUUUUUUUAAAAAAUAAUUAUAAAAAUGGACCUCUAAAUGCCGUGAAGAAUGCGGUGAAUGAUUCACCGCAUUCAUAACUUCCUUUUAGGAGUAGAAAAAAAAUAAAAACGGUGAACCAUUCACCGCUUUUACCAUCGUAGAAAUGUAGAAAAAAGUAAAAAAAGAAAGAAAGCGGUGAAUAGUUCACCGCUUUUAAAAACGGUGAACCAUUCACCGCUUUUAUAGGACCAUAUUUACAAAUAAAAAUUUAACAGGUCUAUUUUUAGAAUAAAAUUUUAAGAGAAGACUAUUGCACUAAAAAACCCAGCUCAAAAUGCUUAGGCCCAGUUAUUAUUACUAGGGUGGAGUCUUUUUAUAUACCAAAUGACAACCCCAUUUUCAUUCGAUGUUGGACUAUUGGUGUCACGCCCCGGGACCCGGGGUAGGCCCGCCCGGUGCGUGCCCAGACCCACCCGGUGCGUGCCCAGACCCGCCAUAUGCCUGCACAUAUAAAGCGUCUACUACAAUAGUGAAUAAAAGAACAAGAAGUACAGAGUAUCUAGAGAUAUCAGAGCAAUUGUACAGCUAGAUUCUAUCAACAAGUAGAGUCAAAAGAGAACUAGUCCACUAAAGCAUAAUGCAAACUAAUACAUUAUGAAACUCAAGAUACAAAAGUAGGGUAGUCUCUAUAACAAGGUACAAAACUCUCACAACCUCUCCAAAAGAAAACAAAAAAGAGGUGGACCACCUAUCGCCAAAUCCCUCGAUAGCUAGCUCGAGGCGAAACUUUUUCCGCGAUCUCGAGCCUCUCUCGGAGUGGAAGGUUCUGAAAGAAAACAUAAAAUAGGGGGGCGUGAGAACUAUAAUUUAUAGUUCCCAGUGGGCAAUUACUGACUUGCACCAAAUGCACUACUAGGCCCAAAACAUAAGCAGAUAUGGAUAACGGAAAUUAACUGCGGUAAAUGAAGCAUAUAAUAAAUGUUACUCUACUAGGCCACAAGUAUUCAGAAUGUCAACAUGGAGUACAUCUACUCUACAUGAUCCAAUAUGCCGAUACAUAAACAAAUAUGCUAUGAUGCAACAAGUAAUACUAUCAAGUAUUCUACAUGUCCCGAAGCCCAAUAAUCAAACUACUCUAUGCUAUCAAGUAGUGAUUAUCACUUAUUGUUUACUAUUCUAGUCAAUGUCCACAUGUCCCAUAACAAGUACUAAUCUGAAUACAAGGUGGUCUCUCUAUACAUGGUGCAAAAAAAUCUCUCCCUCUCUCUAACACAAACAAAAGGAGAAGUAACCCCUAUAGCAAAACGGACUCUCUCCGAGCUAGCUACGCGACACCCUUGCCGCGAUCCCGUGCCUCCGCCGGUGUCGAAGGCUCUGAAAGGAAAACAUAGAAACAGGGGCGUGAGAACUAUUGAUUAAUAGUUCCCAGUAGGCAAUUACUGACUUCAGUGAAAUGCGCCACUAGGCCCAAAACUACAAAAAAGGGGGUCAGUGUGUAAGCAUAAACAAAAGCGAUAAAUACAACGGGUAAGUAAAGAUGAAUACUACUCAACCAGUAUGUCGCUACUUAGCAUGAUUUGCAUAAGUAAUAAAACAACUACCAUAGGUAUGUAUAUGAGAGUAACCAAUAUGUAAAUGCAUGAGUAUGCAACUAUCCCAAUGUCCACAAUGUGAAUAGCAAUAAUAUCAAUGUUCACUAUUCUAGUCAAUGUCCAUUUGUCACCUUAACUGUUUUAUGUUCCACUCUGAUAAGACCCACCCGAAGGUUGUCUGGCAUAAGACCCACCCGAAGGCUGUCUGGCUUUACCGUGCCUAAUGGCCCCGUGGUAGUCAACAUCCCCACUCUAGGAAUGAACUUUUCCUACGGCAAUCCACUUCGGCGCCCAAUCCCGCACGACGAACGUAUCGCGAUGGCCAACUCCGGAGUGCCGGCUUGUAGGGAGCGACCCUCACAAGCAUGUGCGAAUGAGCACAAUGGCAAGCAUGCGUAUUAGUCUGUCUCAAGCCUCAAGUCCUCAUGUCUAAGAACAUAGAAUAUAUCGAAUGUCACAAAGGCCCAUCACUAUGUCGUCAUGUCUCUAACAUGGAAUGUAGUCGAUGUCCAAUGGCCUAUCACUAUGCCUCUAUGUUGCAUUUUCAUAGUUUUCUAGUUUCAAGUGCCCCUUUAUGACACUAUUGUUCAAUGAGUCCAAGCAUGGUAUUUAUGUUCAUGAAUACAUAAUUCUACUCAUUUCAAACAUAGGAGACAUGUUCUCAACUUGCAAGGCUAACCACCUUUCACAAUGUAUGCAGUCUACACAUACAGCUUUACUAUAUAGAGUGCAAUUUCAUGACACAUAAAGCAUGCAUUUCAAGUGUUCUAAAAUUCACAUAAAUCAUAUUUAACGUGGAUUUGCUCUUAAAAAAAACUUUACGAAGAGUUUAGAAAGCAUAGGGGCCAUUUUGCCCCGUUUUUAUAAAGUCAAACCCACCGAAGAUACUGAAACCCUUCGUAAGCUCCGACGAAGGUAUCGAUUAGUCUCCUAGCACCCUAAAGAUGUAGGAACAAGGGUCAAACAAAUCUUACGAUCAACCCUGAGCACGCUAGCCAGGAUGAGACAAAGCUUCCACAACAGAUUUAGGAACGAAACCGACUCUAGAGAGGUAUUGAAACAACGAGAAGAGGAUAACAAACAGUCAUAAGAAACAAACGAUGAAAUAGGGUAAGUACACGUACGUUUGCCUUUACGAAGAGCAAUGGAAGAUUAGAGUCAAAAGCAAGGUCGGUGAUAGUAGUGACUGGAUCUUUCGACGAAGAAGCUGGUGGAGGAUCUGAGUCAGGAGUCGCCAAUCUCCUAGAAUAGACAUGAACAAUAGGGGGUCGAACAGUUGCCAAUAGAGCAGUAAUAGGUGUUGCAGGACUGGACACUUGUCUGAUGGUGUAAACAAGGAGAUCAUCUUCCUUCCCCCGACUUUCAUAAAGAGAUGAAAAAGGAAAGAAUGGAGUAGAUUCAAAAAAUGUAACAUUUGCAGACACAAUAUAUCGAUCGAGAGUAGGAGAGAAGCAUCGAUACCCCUUUUGUAGACGAGAAUACCUAAGGAAGACGCACUUAAGGAACUUUGGAUCCAAUUUAGUUACCUGUGGACAAACAUCUCGCACAAAACACGUACUACCAAAAAGACGGGAUUCAAUAGGAAAUAAAGAUUUAGAUGGAAACAAAACAGUAGAAGGAAUAUCACCAUCCAAGACAGACGAAGGCAUGAGAUUAAUUAGAAAACAAGCUGUGGAAACUGCAUCAGCCCAAAAGUGUUUAGGACCUUUAUUUGGAAAAGAAGGGCACGAACUACCUUAAGGAGAUGUUGGUUUUUUCUUUCAGCAAUUCCAUUUUGGGAUGGAGUGUGAACACAUGAGGAUUGAUGAAGGAUGCCAUUCUGUGUCAUAUAACUGUGAAAAUUUUCUGAAAAAUAUUCUUCGGCAUUGUCACUUCGCAAUAGACGCACAUAAACCUUAAAUUGUGUUUUGAUUUUAGUACAAAAUGCAAAAAAAAUUGAGAAUAGUUCUGAACAAUUUUUCAUUAAAUAUAACCAAGUAACACGAGAAUAAUCAUCCACAAAGAUAACGAAAUACUUAAAUCCUGAUUUGGAAACAAUAGGACACGGACUCCAAAUAUCAGAAUGAACUAACUCAAAAGGGGAUGAUGCUCGUUUAUUGACUCUAGACACAGAAGGUAAACGAUGAUGCUUAGCAGACUAACAUGACUCACACUCUAGACUGGACAAAGACUGUGAAACUGCGGAAACAAUUUCUUCAAGGUGGAUAACAAAGGAUGUCCCAACUGACAAUGGACUUCAAAAGGAGUUAAAUUACUGGAGCAAGCAAGAGACCUCGGCACCUGGUUGUCAAGGAUAUAGAGACCUCCGGACUUAUGUCCUCUACCAAUAAUCUGCUUCGUCGUAAGAUCCUGAAACAAACAAUGAUUGGGAAAAAAAUAAGACAACAAUUUAAAGCUCGGGUGAGUUUACUAACAGAUAGUAAAUUGAAAGAAAACUAGGGCAAAUAUAAAACAGAUGACAGAAAUUGAUGACGUUGGGUUUGCAAUGUUAGAACCCAUGACACAAGAGGUAGAUCAAUCAGCUAAAGUAACAGUAGAAGAUGUUAUAUGAGACUGAAAGGCAGAUAAAAGACUAGAGUUACCUGUUAUAUGGUCUGUAGCACCAGAAUCAAUGGCCUAUUUGGAAUGGGAAGACACAAGGCAUGAUGUGGAUUACCUGACUUAGCGAGUGCAGUGACAGGGGAACUGGUGGACUUUAAGGAUGCCUGAUAUUGGGAGAACUGUGCAAAUUCUUCAGCAGAGGAUGGGAUUGUAUACUCGCCGGCUACCAUGUUGGCCAUCUGAGAUCGUUGGUUCUUAUUUUGAAGUUUCAAAUAUGUGCGCUUUGUAUGACCAGGUUCAUGAUAAUAAUAGCAAACAACUCCAAAAUCUCGAUUAGAGGCAGUCUCUCCAUGACGGUGAUUAUGUCUAUUGGUAGUAAUCCCUCUAUUGCCCCCUCUGCUAUUAUGCCGUCCAUUAUCAUAGCGAUUCACAAGCGCGCUAUUAGUAGAUUGAGAAAAUUGAGGAGUCUUCGUACGAAGCACUCGGGUGAAAGUAUCAUGCGAAGAGGAAAUUUCAGAGCUAGAAAGAAUCUGAGAUUUAGCUGUCUCAAAUUCUGGGGGUAAACCGGUAAGAAAACUCAUAACCGCCAUUUGUUUGCGUUAAACCUGCUGCACUUUUACAUCAGGACUAAAGGGUAACAAAACAUUAAACUCUUCAUAAACACAUUUAAAGUCCAUAAAAGAGGCUAUGAGAGACCUAUCCUGCUUCUUAGAUCGGUAAAAUGCCUUACAAACAUCAUAUAUACGGGAGAGGUUUCCUUUGCCGGAGUAUAAAACAUCUAAAUAAUCCAGCAAUUCUUUCACAAACUCAUAAUGAUUAAUUAGACUAAUUACCUCACUUUGAAUGGAGUUCCUGAGUUGUAAGAACAACCGAGCAUCUUCCCUCAACCAAGCUUGCUUUGUAUCAUCGUUCGGUGGAUCGCUAGUUAGGUGAUCAUCCUUAUCAAUGCUUCGUGGAUAAACACGAACCGUCUUGCCCCAUUCUAGAUAGUUGGAGCCAUUGAGUUUGUGUUCUAUGAUUUUGGUCAUUACCGGGAUUACAUCGGUAAUCACAGAUUUUGGCUCCUUCUUAGCAGACACACUUUCAGACAUGGCGUCUUGGACAACGAGACCAAGUCACAAAGCAGCGAGGCAAAUAAAACAAUCCUAGGUAUGUCACCUAAGGAUCAAAACAGGGACCAGAUGCAUGAACCUUAGACUGCAGCAGUAGCACUGAUGCUGUAGCGCCGUACUGCAGAAGUACUAUAGCGUCGUACUAUAGCGAUGACUGUAGCAGUACGUAGUGGUAGAGAAAAGCAAAAAAAGGACGAACAACGCCGAUGAGAUCCGGUGAGGGACAACACUGGAUCGCUAUACCUUAGAAUUAGGUUUUGGCUCUGAUACCAUGAAGAAUAGAAUACAAAUUCUUCUCAUUCAUUCAAUAAUGAAAUAUAAAGAUAUAUAUACAUAAAUAUUUCUAUAAUAAGAUAUUUAAUAAGGAAAGAUCUCUAAGGAAAGAUGCCUAAAACUAUGCUAGCAAAAUAGGAACAUAAUAUAUACAAGGAUUUAAGUGCCGUAGCAUAGGGUCGUGCCGAAAACUUGCCGGCAUGAUACGGCCCGGUGCGUGCCGAGCAGUGCCGAUGCGUGCCGGUCAAAAAAAUUCUUGUGUGCCGACACAUAAUAGCAUGAAAUAUUUAUUUUCUUUAGCAACAAAAUAUUCUAACUAUUUAUUAUGUUUUUUUAUCACAUCUUUUGAACUUUAUUGAAAAAUUAUUUACUAAUUUAAAGAAUAGAGGGUUUUGAGCUGUGCCAUUGACAUGGGGUCUGUAUCGUGCCGGUAUAUUGUUGGCACGGUACGACACGGUAGAUAUGACCCGUGCUGACGGGCACUUAAAACCUUGAUAUAUACAAUUUUGACUUUCCAAAACAUUAACAAUAGCUUUGAAACAAAUGAAUCUCAGUAUCUAGCGUUCACUCGGUAUCACACCCUAAUAAUCCCAAUCGGAUAGGAAUGGGGAUGUGAUUGGGUAUAUAAAAGACUUAAACACUAGUAAUAAUAACUGGGCUUAAGUAUUCUGGGCUGGUGGUUGGGCCCAACGAGUUAUUGUUGCUAGUGGGCUGGGUCGUUACAUUUGGUAUUAGAGCUAGUUCACCAGCCGGAAAUGUGUGGCGACUCUCGGCUGAGCCAGGGUCUGAAAGAUAAGGUGAUAGGCUAUGCCGGAGUCUGAAUGACAAGCUGACCGGCUAUGCCAGGGUCUAAAUGACAUGGAUGACAAGGCUAGCGAGACGAGUCUCACAUCGCCUGAUGAACUUGGGCUGUGUGUGUGAUUGGAUUGACGAGGACGUCAGGGCCUUAACGGGGGGAGUCUGUCAUCUCACAUCGGAUAGGAAUGGAGAUGUGAUUGGGUAUAUAAGAGAUUUAGACAUUAGUAAUAAUAACUGGGCUUAAGCAUUUUGGGCCGGUGGUUGGGCCCAACGAGUUAUUGUUGCUAGUGGGUUGGGUCGUUACACUCGGUCCUAUCCCCCAUAUGCUGAUCGGACUCCAUACUUGGGUAAGUGACCAUACACCACAUUAGUUGGAUUGAGCAUGCAAACAAAAUAUUUUAUAAAUACUCGGUUAUAAUUUCAUUAACAAAAAUAUAAAGAUGACUGAGUUUAGCAAAAUUCAAAACUCUUAUUUAGAAUUUUGAGCCUUAUAACAAUAUCUCGCAAAAGGAUAAAGGUAUAAUGAAAUUUAAACAAAAGCAUUCAUAUUCUGUUAGAAUUUAAAACAAAAUUCUUCGGUAAUUAGCGACAUGUUGGCAAAGCUCCUAAACACACAUCAAAUGCACCCGAAGGCGCAAUCGUUGGGCAAAAUCACUUGAAGGUGUAUCCAAAUAGCACCCACAGGCACAUCACAAAAUUGCACUCGAUGGUGUAUCACAAAAUCGAAGCCAGCUUCUAUUACAAAGUUCAUGUCGACAUGGCCAACAAUAUUCGUCGCAAUAUAUCAAGAGACAUCACAUUUUAAGAUUAUUUACCCAGUCAAUUAAAAGAGAGCAAUUAUUGAAUACUAAAUUUUUACCAAAUAAGCACAAUAUCAAAAGUAGACAUUUUCAGAAAUUGCAUAGCAAUAAGAUUCAAAGCCUUUUCGAAAUCUCUCAAAAAUUUGACGCAAGUUCAAAUUUGCGACAGGUACAAAUGGAAUGGAAAUGAGUUGAUAAAAUUGGUUUUUUUUAAUAUAGUAUAAAUUUCAUCAUUUGAAAUGAGGGUCAUUUCCCACUUAAAGAAAAAGGCCAUUGUUCUCCGUAUAGGCAAAAUUAAGCUUCACAAUGAAUGGAUCAUAUUGUAGCUGUGCAAAUCUGUUUUUUAAGAGAGAAAGGUAGUUUUGCAAAUCAUUAAACAUGCUAAUUGUGUGAUUGGGGCUUAUAUGGGCUGACAUUAAGGAACCCGUGAUGCUGAGAUUCCAAAAUGCUCAGGUAGUAUUGUCUAGACCAAGGUUUAAAGUGCUGUGGCACGGGGACGUGCCGUUAUGUCCCUGGCACGGUACGGCACAGGCACGCUUGCGUGCCGACAUGUGGCACACUUGCGUGCGGAUAGAUACGCAUGACCUCCGACUGGCACGCUUUGGCACGAACUUAUUUUAGUUUUUUUGGUUCCAAUAAACUCUUAUAAUAUUAUUUUGAAAGAUUUAAACAAAAUAAUUAUGAAUAUUUACUAUAUAUACCUUACUAUACUCAUCAAUUAACAUGCAUGAAAACUUUUUGUAAGCACAGUACAGCUAUACCUGAUGUAGAAUGAAAUUAAAAUAUAAUAAUAAAAUUCACAGUACAAUAAUUAUUUAAAUUUACAUCUUUACAUAGAGAUAACUGCUUAAUUCCACAUAGAUCGUCGCGCUUGAUCAUAUGGCAUAUUGUUAUCUGCAGAUACAAGAUUUAUUUGACAAUGUUGAUAUAAGUAUUGCUGGUAUUGUGAGAAAUUCAUAUAUUCCCAAUAUUACAUCUAUAUUUUUUAUUUUUUUGUUCUUAUUAAAAAUAUCUGAUCAAAAUUUGUUUAGGAAAUUGAUUUUUGUUCCUUUGAUUUAUCAAAAGUUUCGCAGUGCGACAAAUUUUGACAAAAUUUUUUGUUAAAAAAAAAUGGAUGUCUGUGGUGGAAGCAGACGGCCCGAGCCUGCAAAAAAUUUGCUCCUAUAUUGAUAAAUAAGAAGUUAUAAAAAAGGUAUCCGUCAAAAAGCAAAAAAGAAGUUGAAAAAGAGACAACAAAGUGAAAAAAAUGACAAUGUAGGUGGCCUAAGGGGGGGGAGGGGGGGCUCCAAACCCUAGAGGACAAAAGGAAAAAAAAAAACCAAAAAAAAAAAAGCCAAGAAGGGGGGUCCAAGACCCCCCCUGUACCGUGCCCCCUUCUUGGGGGCACGGUACGGCACGCCCCUGUGCAGUACGGCACAGGCGGCACUUCAAUCCUUGGUCUAGAGACUCAGGCAGAUAUAAUUUCAACAUUAAGAUACACUGCUUUUUAUUUAAAUCGCAUGGGAAUUUCUUCGUUGAUUUAGUCAUUUAGUUUGUGCACUCAUGUAGAAGGUCGCAUUGUUCUUUUUUUUUUCUUUUGGGUUGGGGGGGGGCGGUGGUGGGUGNAGUACGGCACAGGCGGCACUUCAAUCCUUGGUCUAGAGACUCAGGCAGAUAUAAUUUCAACAUUAAGAUACACUGCUUUUUAUUUAAAUCGCAUGGGAAUUUCUUCGUUGAUUUAGUCAUUUAGUUUGUGCACUCAUGUAGAAGGUCGCAUUGUUCUUUUUUUUUUCUUUUGGGUUGGGGGGGGGCGGUGGUGGGUGGGGUUGUUGCGGAGGGUAAUAGAAAUGAGUUAAUCAUCAAGUAAUAUAUUUUCUCAAUAUGUAGCUUUUCCAUUGGAUGCAGCAUAUACAUAAAUUAUUUCUAAAUUAAUUGGUAAUGUCCUCUUUAUCUUUUACCUACUAUCUGUUUUUGUGUAUAGUGGUGCUGUCAUGGACCGAUUCUCGAGACUUUAACCAAAAACAUUUUUGUGCAAAUCAAGAUGAUGAAUGAUAAGCUAGAGGCCUCUGUUGUUGCUGACCUGUUACUAAACUACAACAACAUUGACAAGGUAUAUUUGGAUUCAUCCUUCACUUCCUCUCGAUUGUGCAUGUGAUGUCUUAUGACAAUGCAACCUUUGUAGGUUAUAUGGGAGCCUUUCAUAGAACCCUGGAGCCUUCAGUUAAACUUGACUAGAAAGCAUUGUGGGAAUAUCUUGAACACAUCUUCAAGCACAGAUGUAUGCCUGAAAUCAACGAAGCCGCUAAACCUGAAUAUAACAGAACCAUUGAUUGAGGUAUUGUUUAUGCUAUUCUAGGUGGUUUCUUAUUUAGAGUUCCCUGAAAAGUAUACCCAAUUGCAGUUGUAGUGCAUAUAUGAUUGUUUUUGUUGUUUGCAAUUUUGCUUAUUUCAGUGAUCUUUCACAGGCUAUCUUCAGACUCAAUCAGAUUAUGACCGACUCUUUGAACCCAAUUGAUGGAGGUGCACUACAUGAAGAUCAGCAUAGUAUGGGACUUGGAAACAGUGAUGACAUACAAACCCGAAGAUACGCCCCCUAUAUUCUCUGUAAUGAUACAUCCUUACCAUUGACAUUCCAUGUGUUUCAUGGGUCUGUGAAUACAGAUGAUAUCGACAGCUUCUCAGUUAUAGAUGAAAACUCUGUGGCACCAGGAUGCUCCCUACCGAUUUAUGUUGAAGAAACUCUUGAUGAAUUUUUCUUCCAACAUAGAUCUGCUCAUUCUUCUGAACAGCUUAUUGAGAAAAGGAUGAAUUCUGUGGCACAUCAUUUGAUAUCCAUUCAAUUUGAUGGAACUUCUGAACGUUCGAAACCUAUAUCAAUGGACUUUGUGGGUGUAAAUUACUUUGAAGUUAAUUUUUCAAGAUGUAGCCAACCCUCCAAUACUGAAAUAGAGAGAGAAGAUGAUGCCUUGUCAUAUAAUCGAAAGACUGAGGGUAGGUACGAAAGAGGCCAGGGCAACGACUUAAUUGUCCCUGUGGUACUUGAAGUUUCAAUGCAGAACUAUAGCAAGAUGAUACGUGUGUACUCAACGGUAUGUGUUAUUUGAAUGCAUAUAAUGAUUUCGUAGAUUUUACUUUACUACAAGCGGACUAUUUUUCAGGUUAUACUUUUUAAUGCAACAUCAAUGCCCUUGGAGUUGCGUUUUGACAUACCAUUUGGUGUUUCUUCUAAGGUAGACUCAUGACUCCAUUUGUGGCUUAUUCAUUUAAAUACAUGAAACUUAUAAAUUUGUUAUUAUGAUUCCUACCUUUGGUUUGGGAAGAAUUUUUAAUUGCUAAUGCUAAGAGAGCAACGAAGAAAUAAUCUCCGUAUCUCUCGGUCCAACUUAUAAAUUUACAAAACUAUUUUCUUUUCUUUUUGUCACCCUGAAUCUAUUUUGCUACGUGGUAGUAUACAGUCGUGGAGAAAUAGCGAAAUCCAGGAUGUUUUAUGUAUAGACAAAGCUGAAGCCAUAACCUAAUUUUUGUAAAUAAAUACAAUAUCAUAUCACCUAUUAGAAUAUAUAUGUCAUGAAGAGUAAAGUUGUGAGGGAACGUGUGAUGGUUCUUUAUAUAAGAAACCCAACUUGUAGGUCAAGAUUGAAAAUAUUAGUAGUUGUACUUAGACAACAGUAACUAGUGUUUUAAAUGGCGGCCGCUAUGCCCGCUAUAGCGGCUGCUAUAGCGGAUUUUAUGUGCUAGUGUUACGCCAUAAUCUUUAAAGCCAAAUUUAGCGGAUUGGGUUCAUAGCAGCCGCCUUAGUGGCUUAGGGUCCCCUAAAGCGGCUGCUAUAAAGCAGUCGGAAAGCGGGUGGUAUGAGCCCAAAACUUAAAAAAGCGUAAACGGGUUGAACAUCUAAUUUGGUCGGGUUCUCAAGUGGAUAACCAGAAUACUUCUAGUGAAGGAGAAGAAGAAUGCCUUCCUGAUAAAUAAGAUUUUAAUCAUUUAUCUAAGAUAUCCUUUUUGACAUCCAUUUACAAAUUGUUUAGAUUGUUAAUGGAUUUUAGAUUUUCGAAUUUUAUGCCUUUUUGGUUUGCUAAAUCAUAAUAUUUUAAAGUUAAUCUUAAUAGAAAAUGACAUUAAAUAUGUAUAGGCUUUCAAUACUAAAAAAAAGAAAUGAUUAGUUGUCUUUUCUUCAAAACUAUAUGUAUUUUUUAUAACGAACAUAAACACAUAAGUUUGUUUUUAUGAAACCCGCUAUGGGUUCACAGUGCUUGCUAUGGCACGCACUAUGCGCUUUUUGCUAUGAGAUCCUCCAAACGUUAUGUGCCCGCUAUUCGCUAUUUACAACCUUUGAUAGUAACAUUCUUCGCAUUAGUCUUAAAAUAAAUAGUAAAUUGUGUGUUUUUCUAGGGUUUUCUUCAAAAAGAAGUCAAAUCUAAAUACCUUCCACAAAUUCUUGUUUGACCAAACAAGGAGAAUGAGAGGUAAGAGAAACGAUGGGAUGGAAAGAAAACGAAGGGUUUGGUGAAAGUUUUAUGAUGGAAAUUAUUCAGAAGGAUACUCUUAACUUCCCACAGACAAGAUAAUUAACUUCCCGGUUGACUUUUUAUGGGAAGUUGGGAGAGGCCCGAUUCUCAGCAACUCCAUCUAGAAAAGUCUGCCACCCGAAUGCCGCCUUUCUGCUUCGGGCCUAAAAGUGAUUUAGCAUGGGCAAAAAUCAUUGCUGAAUCUUGGCUAAGUAGUGCAAAUGUUCUAACUAAAAAAACUUUGUCGUUUUGUUUCUUUCUUUAGCUUUAGUCCUGCUUUACUGAAAGUGAGAUUGUAUUACUCAAGUCUGCUAUUAAUCCUAUAAGAUUUUACCGGCUUAAUUUACUUGUCAGAUAAUCAUCUUGUUAAUCUUCUUUGAGAAUCAAUUUCCUUCUAACUAAUCCUCUCUUAGUCUCUUUUUAAGAAUGAAAGACAUGAAACCAGGUUCUUUGCUUUUUCAGAUAUUGGGACCUCUACUACCAGGUCAACAGAUUCCGCUGCCUCUGCAUUUGUCUGAGGCUGGUAGAAUAAGAUGGCAUCCAGUUGGCACCAGCUACUUGUGGAGUGAAGCACAUUCGCUAUCAAGUAUGCUGUCACAGGAAAAUAGGCUUGGAUUCAUGAGAUCAUUCGUUUGCUAUCCUUCUCAUCCUGCUAGUGAUCCAUUUCGUUGUUGCAUAUCGAUUCAAGAUUAUAGCCUGCCUUCAUCUGUUAGUUACCAAAAAUAUCCACAGAUCUUUGAGAAGAAAUUGAGUAAGAAACAUUACAUACGCCAAGUGAAGCUGACUACUCCUUUGUUGAUUAAAAAUUAUCUUCCUGCAAGCUUAUCCUUGACAAUAGAUGGCUGUGGAGUUCCACAUUUUGUUUCCCUUUCGGAGGUUAGCUUUAUGCUUGUGCAUGAUUUUUAUUUUGUAUAGCUUUUGCAAUAAGUUAUAUAUAGUAGUAUUUAUUUAUUUAUUUAUUUUUUAUUACAUCCUAUUUCGGUUUUGCAGGUAGAUACUGCUUCUAUUUUUCUUGUUGAUUCAACAUAUGACCUUGGAAUUACCUUCCACAUUCAAGGAUACAAGCCUACUGUAUCGAAGUUCCCUCGUGCAGAAUCAUUUUCUGCUAUCGCUAAGAUGAAUGGCUUAAAAUUUUCCUUAACAGAAACACUUAUAUUUCAUUCUGACGCCUCCUGUAAGUGCUUUAUCUUAAUAUUGUUGGUGUGUAAGACUGCCAGAUAUGUAGGCUAAAAGACAAAUAUAUGAUUAUUUGCUAUAGGUUCUAUAAGUGUUACUCUAGAGAAAGCAAUGGAUGCAUACUGUGGUGCGCGAGAAUUAUGCCUUUCUGUUCCCUUCUUGUUAUACAAUUGCACAGGUCUGCUACUUACCAUCACAGAAAGUAACCAUGAAAGGAAUGGACAUGCCCUUAUUAUUCCUCCCAGCUAUAGUUUAGCUGGGAAUGAAAGCUGUUUGGUUGGAAAACAGGGCCUUGCUCUUCUGCCCUCUGAGUUAGAAUCUAACCCAUGUCCUCAUCUUAUUAGAUAGAUCUAUUAUAAACAUUUUUACAAUACCUCUGCUCAGAACUUACUACUUUUUUGAACAGGUACUUCCCAUCUAAAUUCAAACGAAUAAAUGAUCUAGAUCUAUCUGGUGCAUCUUAUUCAUCAAGAAAGGUACGAAUUGAUGGAGCACGUGAGACUGAGGGAAGCAACAGAGAGCCUAAGCCACAAAUGUAUUCUCCUCCUGGCCAUCUUGCUGCUACUGAAUUUAUCGUUAAGCUUAGUGCAGCUCGAAGUCAGAGCAGCACUGUGAAUUCUCAGAGCGCAGCUUGGUCAAGUCCAUUUACCCUUGUCCCUGCAAGUGGUUCAACUAGCAUUGUCGUUCCUCAACCGUGUAAUUCUGGUGCAUAUUUAAUUUCUGCAACAGUAAUAACUGUUUCUGGAGAACUCACUGGGAGGACGAGGGUGAUUACUUUUCAGCCAAGGUAUUUUUCUCCCCCUGUAAUACAUAAGACAGAUAUUCCAACAUUUGUAGAAUGAUAUUUCACUUAAAUGUAGCACUCCGAAGAGCAUUUUAUUUGUUAUCAUCCAUGAUAAUAACUGCAGUAUUAAAUAUGUGAAUUCACGAGAAACUUGUUGCAUAUAGAGAUCUAUUAUUUAUGUGCCAAAGGCUCUUCGCUGAGCAGAUCAAUUGGACCUUCAAUGUGUUGCAACAUUUUAUAUGUGCUAAACUGAGGAAAUUCAAUUAGGAUGCAACCAAGCAUUCUUGCAUCAUAAUAUUGGUUUUUCUUUUGCAUUAUUUUCAAUCUUAUGGGUGCAAAACGGCUGGACUGCUUUGGGACAAGUGAGUUCAUGGCCUCAUAUUAUCUUCGCAGGCUUAGGUUUUCUGUUAUGCUUUGUCUAUUGGCCUGAAACUAAUCGAACUUGAGCAUUGUGAGGCGGGGAGAGUUUAAUAAAUGGCCCGAACAUGAUUGUGGCUGGAACCAAGCUAGCCCAUAAUGUAGCCCAAGCUCGAUCCUAACUGUGAACCAAGAUUUGAAGUGUACGGCACGGGGCGGCAUGUACUAUGACCCCAAUUUGGGGGCAUGGUACGGGGGGCUCUCCAGAACUCCCCUAGCCGCGAUACCCUCUUGGGUAUCGCUCGAGACAGUCCGGUACCCUCCUUUUUUUUUUUUUUUUUUUUUUUUUUUUNCUUCGUUUUCUUCUUUCAUUGCUUUGAUCUUCAAAAAAAGACAAAGAAAUAGCAAAUUGAAGAUCUACUUAUAAGGUAAGUUAAAAAAAAAUUAUAAUUUAACUUUUUGCUCAUAUAUUUUGAAUAUUUCUAAUUUGUGAGGCUACUUUUCUGAAGAAAUAUAAAAUUAGGCAAUUUUUUUUUUUGUAGUUUACAAAAAGUUGAAAAUAGAUCUACUUGAUUUAUUUAUUAAAUGGUCAAAUAUUUAAUUAUUUCGGAUAGAUCUAGUAUUUUAUAUGAGAUUUUCAACAAAAAUAUUUUUAUCUUUGAAAAUUCUAUUUUUGGAUUUAGAAGAUUGAAAAUGCUGAUAAAAUCAAAAACUAAUUAAACCAAUUGAUACUUAAAUUUGUUUAAUUUAUUUGUCAUAUAAUUUAUUGCUAAAUUUUUAUGGAUAGAUCUAACAAAUUUUCUUAAAAAUUUUAAUUAAAAAUAAUUUUCGUCAAAUAUUUUACAAAUAUUUUUAAAAGAUUCAAAAAAACAAUUGUGGUCCUAUUUUAGUUAAUCUAAUUAUCAUGCGAUCUCUUGCAAAUGUUCGUUAAAAUUUUGAGAAAAAAUGAUUAUCUAAUUUUGUAUUUUAUAAUUUUUUUAACUUUCCAAGAAAAUAAAGAUACAAUUAGAAGAAUUUUAAAAGUUAAUCAAUUCUCACAAUUUUUCUCAAAAUUUUGGAAAAAAUAUUUUCUUCAAAUUUGAAAUAUAUAAUUAAAUAUUUUUUAGAAUAAUAGAAAUAAAAAAUAUUAUCAAUGUAAUUGCGGUCCUAUUCUUGUUGCUCUAGUCAUCAUAUGAUCGCUCAUUGAAUCAAUAUAUGGAUCUUGCAAAUUUUCAUAUGAAAUUUGAGAAAAAAUAUAAUUUUCUAUUAUAUAAUAUUUUAAAUUUUUGAAAAAAGAAUCAUAAAAUUAGAAAAAAUUACUUAUUUCAAACUAACAUUAUAAGAGUUUACUGGGAUUAAACAAACUAAAAUAAGUUCGUACCAAAACGUGCCACUAGAAGUUCAUGUGUAUCUCUAGGCCACGUGUCGGCACGUUGGCGUGCCUGUGCGUACCUUGUCAGGCAACAAUCGACAUGCUUCCGUACCACCGCAUUUUAACUCUUGCUGUGAACUAUCUGUUUGUUUCUGGCUGGACCAUGCUUAGGUCUAAAUAAUUUAGACUUUAGAAGAAAAUUUGUUUUAGGACUCAGCAUGGCCUGGACUAUUUGACUACCUUGGUAUUUUAAUGAUAUAGUAAUGUUAAAAUAGCUUAACAGUGCUUGUGGCUUGUUUGGCAGGCUCAUAUUAGGGUGAACUACUUCCCGUUUGAUCUUCUUGCACUUCAAAUAUACUUUUGUAAACAAUUCUCAAAAGAAUAUAUGUACUAAGUUCGCUGUAAGGUUCCUGUGCAGUUAUGUGCUUUUACAACUGUAAUGGACAGCCAGGCAGAAGCUGCAUCAGUACAUUUGCAUUAACAUGGUUCAGUUAAUGCAUUUAUGCUCUGUCUUAUACUUAAUUACUAGGCUGUUUGAGGCACUUUAAAAGUUUAAAUUGUAUGGAUUCUUGUCCGGUACCUGCUGCCAUGCUAAGAAGUAAGAAUUAUGAGGGGGUGUGAUAUUAAGUAAAAAAUUUAUCUCAUUAUAGAUAGUGCUAGUUAGUUGAAAAUACAUGUGUAAGUUCUAGAAUGUUGCUUCAUCUUGAAAAUAUUGCUUACGCUAAUACUAGUAGAAACAUUAACUCUGAAUGCUAUUCCCUACUUGUUUGACAUAGGUUUGAAGGAUGCUUAUAUUUCACUCAUUAAUAUAUUUUACAUGUGAAUUUGUUUUGUUUUAUCUUGAUAGCUCUACUAACCUAUUUUUUACUUUAUCAAUUUUCUUUUAGAUAUGUGAUUUGUAAUGCUUGCACCAAGGACUUGUUUUUCAGACAAAAAGGAACAAGCAACUUUUAUCGUUUGGGUGCUGGGAAACAUUCUCACCUCCACUGGCCUGAUGCAACAAGGUAUUUUUCAUGGACUUCUAUGAAAUUUGUUUAUUCAAGAGCCAUGAAAUUUCUAUUUUAUAAGGUAAAUUAGGAAGGCCACAAAUUUUUUUUUUCUAAUAGAGGGUUACAUUGAAAGAAAGGCUAAUCCUAUUUAGCUUGACCAAUAUGUGGAUCCAAACCUUAAAUCAGUUAAUUUUAGUGAAGAUAAAGAAACUUUGCUGGAUGGGCAGCAAAAGUGAAAUCAGAUAAGAGGCGGGCAAAAAUGAGGCUCUGAAAGCAAAACUAAAGAGUUUAAUUGGUUUUUUUGAUUCGUACCAUAUCAUGCCAACAAGAUAUGGCCACGAUACACCCUCUGUGCCGAUGGCAUAGUUCAAAACCCUUUAUUCUUUAAAUUAGUAAGUAAUUUUCUCAUUAAGUUGAAAAGAUUUGAUAAAGAUACAUAAACAAUUAGAAUAUUUUGUUGCUAAAGAAAAUAAAUAUUUAAUGCCAUUAUGUGUCGGCACACAUGUAUUUUUUUGUGACGGGCACGUAUCGACACGGCCUAACACGCACUGUGUCGUACCCGUGCCGGCAAGUUUUCGACACGAUCCAGUGCCACGGCACUUAAAUCUUUGCUUUUGAGUAUCUGAAACUUUUUUGUUUUAAUGAUUCCAUUACCAAUCUCGGUAGAAGAUGAGUAGUGGCUAAAUUUCAUCUUUAGCACUAGUAUGGUAGCAGUUUUACAACCUAGUAGUGGAGAGCAAGGAUAAAAGUGCAAUGACAUGAGGGCGUGUCGCUGUUUGCCUGGCACGAUGCGGGACAGGCACGCUUGCGUGCCGACAUGUGGCAUGCUUGCGUGCCGAUGGAUAUGCAUGGCCUCCUAUUAGCACAGGCCUAUUUUACUUUUUUUUGUCCUAAUAAACUCUUAUAAUAUUAUUUUGAAAGGUUUAGUUAAAUAAUUAUGAAUAUUGGCUAUGUAUAACUUACUAUACUUACCAAUUAACAUACUGGUAAGUUUUUUUAUAUGUAAAGUACAACUAUACCUAAAGAAUAGAAAUUAAAAUAUAUUAAUUAUAUAAAUUUACAUCUUUACAAAGAGAUGACUAUUUAAUUCUACAUAAAUCGUUGCGGUGGAUCAUCAAAAUUUGUUAGAUCUAUUCAUAAAAAUUUAGUAAUAAAUUAUAUAACAAAUAAAUUAAAUAAAUUUAAGUAUCAAUUGAUUUAAUUUAACUUUUAAUUUUCUCAGUAUUUUCAAUUUUCUAACUCCAAAAAUAGAAUUUUAUAUUAGAUGUGUCUUGAAAUUUGAUUAUCGAGUUUGAUUUUGUAUCCUGAUUCGCCGAAAGUUUCGCUGUACGAUAAAUUUUGAAAAAAUAAUUUGUGAAGAAAAAAAUGAAUGACUGUGGUGGAAGUGGAAAGCUUGGGCCGAUAGGCCCCGAUGGUAAGGAGCAGAGUCCCCCGCGGGGUGGGGGUGGAAAGUGUGCAAAAAGAGGGGGAAAAAGUCCCACAACAGCCAAAAAAAAAGAAGAAGCGGCACGAUAUGUGCCGUACAAUACUCGUUGGGGUAUUACGCUGUCUUGCGUGAUACCCCAGCGGGUAUCGCGGAAAGGGGGGGUGGGGUGGUUGGUUCUUGUGAGACCCCCCUUGUACCGUGCCUUUAUAUAGGGGGCACGGUAUGUGCCGCCCCGUGCCGUACAGCGCAGGGCGGCAUUUUAAUCCUUGGUGGAGAGGUUUUAAAAGCUGAAGAGGGGAGAAGCAAUGAAAAUUGGAAGAAAUAGCAAUUUUUAAGCAAGAUAGGGGGGAAUGCAAAAGGGUCUGUUCCACAAGAAAAGAAGCCCGGCACGAACAGGGUGGAGAAUGAAUUAAUUUGGCUCUUAUGUGGUAGGAUUUGAAAAAAGUUGGACUAUCAUUGCAUAAGAUGUGGAAAGAUAUGGAAAUAACUGUAGGUCUACUGAAAAAUAUAUAUUUUGUUUUUAUAUACAUUUAGAGAGUCCUUUUGUCACGCCCCGAGACCGCUACCAAUUUGGUCCGGUCCGGGCGCAUCGAACAGACGCCGAACGGACAGCACUACCAGUGCCAACCAAGCAAGAGCAAGAUACAAGUAUGAGACAUACAAGUAAAUAAAGAGAAAGUUCUAUCUAUUACAUUCAUUCAACUUAAUACAUUUAAUUCCAUCUUUUACAUUCUUCCAGAACAUAUGUACAAUCACUCACAAACCUCACCCUAUACAACAUCUACUGUCAAACAUAAAUACAGGGUAGAGCUAGUAUAGAAAAGUAGGCGGCUAAUGCAACUAGGGCGCGAGGCCCUUACUGCGAUCCUCACGCUCGCCCGGGGCACUCGAACUCGGACCUGUAUAAAGUGUGGUGAGAACUAUCUUCCAUAGUUCCCAGUGGGUUUGGCCGCCGACUCCGCCGGUCUCCCCACUAGGUUCAAGUGGGCACGAGUAGAUAAACAGAUAGAUAGAUAAAGAAAGCUAUGGAAACAGAUAGUAAAACUGCGCUACUGUGCCCGAAUCAUGUAUACGAAAAAUGCAUACAAAAUAAAAUAGAUAAUCAACUAGCUCUUCAAUCAACUAGCUCUUCAUAUGUCCAAGAAGUAAGGCUAUUUACUUAUUCAUUAGUCUCGUGGCUCAUUCAAGGAUCCGCCUACUACUCACAUAGCCAUCUCGAUACUACGAAUCCGAGACUGUCUGCGGGACCCCACAUAGGCCAUCUCUCGGGACCCCAAAUAGUCCAUCCCUAUCCCACGGGACUCCAAAUAGGCCAUCCCUCGUGAGUGACUCCGGAGCGCACUACUUGUGUGGAGCGACCACCACAAGUCGGGAACAGACAAUGAGUAUGAUCCAAUUCUCCCACCUCAAGGGUAUCCUGUCCUCUAGGGUUACUAUCACCAUAGUCAAUGGGUUUUAUAUACACUACGACUGACAUAUGCCACUCGUUCUCUGUUUAAUUAACAACUAGAUGCCACUCGUUAUUUUAUUUCAACUAUUGCAUCAUUCUUUCACCGCUGCACCAUAGGAUUACAAGUCUCGACCCAAUCCUCAUCAAUCCCCUAUAUCCAGCAACUAAUGCAUAAUAUGAUAUCAGCUAGGAAAGCAUAAGGAAAGGCAAUGCACAAUUAUCCUACAAUGCAUGUGAACACAGGAUGCAAGGUCUCAAAAUACUAAGACAUAAAAGGGAGCCCGAUUGCUUCAGGAUGGUGACCACCCACCUCUUGGUGAUGCCGCGAUGGUAGAAAACUCGAUUUCACAGUCCUUGGUCGACGCUUCGAUGUCUCGGGAUGGAUGGGUUUAAGCAAUAAAACCCAAUCUCAAGAAAGCCACUAUGGAUGGGUUUGAAGCUUACCUCUAUAUCAAGCUCCAAGCUUGCUCUAGCUUGAAGGAGAGAGGGAAGAAGAUGAUCUUUUUCUCCUUUUUGGUCUUCUCCUUCCACUUCUUCCUCUUUUCCUUCAUCUUCUUCUUCUCCUUCUUCUUCUCCUCCUUUUCUUUCUAGAGAGAGAGAGGGAAAGAGUGUGAGAGGGUUAGAGAGCAAAUGAGAGAAUGAGAGGGGUCCCUUACCUCUUAUAUAGGCCAUUUUACAAAUAGGCCCCUCAACUUUCCAUUUAUUAAACAGCCUUUACUGGGCUGAUUUCGCAGUGAGGGACCGGUCCCAGCUCGGGGAGACCGGUCCCCGAGAGCCUUCCUUCUCGGGCAAAAGGGAUUUCGCGUUCGGGAACCGGCCCUUGCCUGAGAGACCGGUCCCCGUCCGAGAGACCGGUUCCCGAGAGUUGGAUUUUCGGGACUUAGCCAAAUUUCGGCUAUUCUCGCUGGGCUAACGUUCGGGGACCGGUCCUUCCCUGCCAGGGACCGGUCGCAUCAAGAAUCCCCCGCAAGCCCAGCCUGAUGGGACCGGUCCCUCCCUGUCAGGGACCGGUCCCCGAGAGCAAUUCUGCUCCAGUGCAGAUUUUUGCACUGCUGCUCUCGUGGACCUUUCCUUAAUGCACUUCAUGCAUUAUAAUCGCCUUCGGACUUUCCGAAGCCUACACGCUCGACAAUUAGUCGAUUCUAGCGAAGUCUAAUCCUCGAAUUUCGAGAAUUCACUUCCUUACACCUUUCGACGAGAAAUUAAAUCCAGUUAGGGAUUACAUUGGCAAGAUCACAAAAGUUAGCGUUCAUAUGCUCUAAUCAUGAAUCUUCUAGCCAUGAAUACUUCACACGAGCUUGCAUAUAUUCUAACUUUCUAGGCAUGAGUACUUCAAAUAACUAAAACCAUUGUUGACAAUGACUCACGAUACUUAUGCGUAUUCAAACUUUUGUAAUUUUCUUGAUGCUCUAUAAGUCACAGAUCUAACAAUGGGUAGAAAGCAGGCUGAGAAGUUUUUGUCGGGUGUCAGAAUAUCAUGGAUAUAAUCUUAGGGCAAUCUUGAUAUAAGCCUGAUAUAAUGGACCGAAGGAAUUUGAAUAUUAUUUGGUAUUGUCGGAACUGUAGUUAACUGUUGUUCUCUUCUAAGUUCAGUGUUUACGUGUCUUGAAGAGUAUCUUUGACAGUCUAAUAUUGUCUUAUUGUCUUGUUUUUUAAGAGAAAAUAUUGUCUUAUUGUUAUUAACACCAUUCUAGUUUUUGAUGAUGUGAAAGAAUGUAGUUUGCAAUGAAUGUAUAUAGUGUGCCUGAGUGCGGUUUAUUUAGAGCCCACAUUUUGUGGUUGACGAAUAAGUCUGCAAUUUCUUUACAAGGUUGCAGUUGGCCUUCUAACAUCAAGCCUAUCACCUCUAAACAUGUAGCUUAAUCUCUGGAAAUACGUAGUUAAGAUGUAACGAUAAGCUUAAUACUCUAGUCUAGUAUUCCUAAAAUAUAACUCCUGACCGUCUUCUGGUAUUAUAAUAAAUUACUUUGUAGGAAUUCAGAGAAUGAUUUUCUGUAUUGUGGUUUCAUUACAUCUUUUGGGUUCACAUAAGCUGUAUCAGGUUUUCUGGAUAUGAGAAAUAUUUGCUUAUAUCCUUAUCUAUCAAAUUUGAAGUGUUUCAAACUUUUAUAGUUACAAGUUAUGAUUCCAUGUUCUUCUUUUGUUUUACUUUAUCAUUUUCUGUGAUUGUUGCAGAGAGUUGGUUGUUUCUAUUCGAUUUGAUGAACCAGGGUGGCAAUGGUCAGGCAGCUUUCUUCCUGAUAGAAUAGGAGAUACUCAAGUGAAAAUGAGAAACUAUGUCUCUGGCGUAUCAAACAUGGUUCGAGUUGAAGUACAAAAUGCUGAUUUGGGCAUCAGCAAUGAGAAUCUUUUUAAGAGAACUAAUAGUAAUUCAACUACACAACUUAUUCUAUUGUCCGAUGAUAAGACUGGGUUUAUGCCAUACAGGAUAGACAAUUUCUCCAUGGAGGUAAUCAAUCUUUUUGAAUUGCUUAAUUUGGAAUUCGCUCCUGCUUUCUCCUCUUCAUGGAAAUAUUAUUUCUCCUGAUUUGUGUCUGAUUUAUCGGGGCGUUCUUGGGAAAUGUCAAAUGAUUUGUCCUUAUCAAUGCAUUUAUAUCUAAAUCAUAGAAAUUAACCAAAACUGAAAGAUAAUUUCUGGCCGGACACCUGAUCCAAACUAUAGCUCUGAUAACAAACAUUAAUCUACUAAUUGUGGCUUGUAGGCAGGUUUUCCUGGUGAGUGGUCACCUCUAUUAAUUGUAACAGUUUCCGACACAAUAAAGCUUUCUGGUAUAAGUUGAUAGCACUCGACAACGUCCACAUUACUUGUUUCCAAACAACUGCUUUGUUGAAUGACAUAAAGGAUGGAGCUGUGAUCAAUAGAUUACUUAUUUCCAACUUUUAGUAGAGGAAGUCCUUUGGCCUUUCAGAUAAAUUUAGAUAGUGAAGGCCCAAUUUAUCUUUAGCAUCUAGGUCAGUUGUUAAACUAGUAAAGAGUUGCAAUUCACCUUAGUGUUGAAGUGGUGGAAGGAAAUACUAGGAGCCUUGGAGAUAAACAACCAUGGGAAAAGAUAUACUGCCACUUAGCUGUUAGAGUUGGAUAAUCCAGCUGAAUGCUGGACAAGGAUUCAUGUUUUUGUUACCAUUUUUGUUCUUAUUGUUGCUGUUCAUACUUUGUAUGUUGUCUGAUUUUGCUUGGCGUAUCAAGUAUGGUAGGUAUCAAUUUCAGGUACAUACACUUGAAUGUUAUCUAAUUUUGCAACAAGAAUUAAAAGCAAUCAGAAGAUUCAGAACUCAUGUAUGACUUCACAUUGUCUGUGUUAAAGAUUAGAGUGUGUCACUGAUAUAAAAAUAUGAUAAAUUGUAGUUCAUCUUUUUUACCGAUUUGUAAUAUGAGUUUUUUACUUAUCAAAGCUUGUCUACUAGUGCUUGUCUACAGGAACACAAUGCCUUCUAGUGUAAUGCGUGCAUGAGUCUUAAAUGCAGUACUAAUAUACAUGUGAGUGCACAGAAAAAUAUAGACUUAUUUUAAAUAAAUUUCAUUCAAACUAUAUGAUGGAAAUAGGGCUCUAAAACAUUCCUGGUUCGUCCUAUGAUUUGUUGAAAAUUCUGUGGGUAAAGUAGCUGUAACUUUGGGAUUCAUCAUAUGAUUUGAUGAAAAUUUUGUGGGUAAAACAGUUACUAGCUUAGAGGUAGUAUUGUAUCUCAAGUAAUAUGUAUAUUGAAAAGUCUGUAACUGCUUUAAUUGUUAGCUUAAUUGUACUUAAGUAUUUUGCUUAGCUAGAAAUUAUUCAAAACAAUAUUUAACUCAUUCUGUGUUUGUUUGUCUUCUUUUUCACUUAUUCUCUUUUUUUUGGGGGGGGUUUUGCAUAUCAAUUCUUGCAAACUUUCUAAUCUGUAGAUAAGUCUCUCAAAACUUGUUAUUUUUAUAAAAAUCCCUAAAAAACCUCUAUAUUAUGAAAAUCGGACCCUAGGUUGGACGAACCACACAUUUGAAGAAUAUUUGGGAAUAUUCCUUAACGGUGUCAACUCUCUUACAACAAAAUAACCUUUGCAAGCUUCUGGAUGCUUUUUUGCCAUAGCCUUAUUCCUAUUUAGAAAACGUAUAAUUGAAACUAGCAUGAGUAUCUUUUAAUAUUUGUCAUGAAUAGCAUUAUAAGCAAGGAUUUAAGUGCCUAUCGGCACGGGCUGUAUUGUGUCAACAAGAUAUCAGCACGAUACAACGGCUGUACCGAUGUCAUAGCUUAAAACUCUCUAUUCUUUAAAUUAUUAAGUAAUUUUUUCAAUAAAAUUCGAAAGAUUUGAUAAAGAUACAUAAUAAACAGUUAGAAUAUUUUGUUGCUAAAGAAAAUAAAUAUUUCAUGUAAUUAUGUAUCGGGACAUAUAUAUUUUUUGUGACCGGUAUGCAUCGGCACGAACCAGCAUGCAACGUGUCGGCAAGUUUUCGGCACAACCCCGUGUCACGGCACUUAAAUCCUUGAUUAUAAGGUGGGAAGUAAGAGGCAACUGCCACCACUAUAGAGAUUCGCAUUGCCAAACUUCGUCCUCAUUGUCUCCUUCAUGGAUCAAAUUCAAUGUGGGUAUGGUAGGGGAAAAGAAUGGGGAAGAAUGGAAUCUUUUUAGGGCUCAGUGUUACGCCCCGGGCACUUUUGGAAAGCUAAUUCUUCCAAUUUGAAAACAGAGUUGUGGAAAAGCGUACAAUUUUUUUUUUUUUUUUGAAACCUUGCCCUCGUCGGCUGGUUGCACCCACUGGGAAACAUAUUUAUAUGUUUCUCACCCUACUGUUUUUACAGGUGUUGCUUAUAGUGCGGGUCGGGGCACGGUGUGAGGGCGUGGUAGUUAGUGCCUAGAGAAUUCGUGCUGUGGAUUUCUAUUCCUAGCCUCAGAUUACUCCUACUUCACUCUGUUGCUAUCAUGUAAGAAUUUAUGUGAUUGUGAUUUAAGUUUAGUUGCAUUUGGGUUUUUCCUAUUAUAGUGGUUUAGUGGAUUCUGGAUUAUGGUUUGGAAUUUAUUUUCCUGUGCUCCUACGCCGUGCAUGCGCAAGGGAGAUUUUGUCCGCAUGGACAUAGGAUGAACUGUAUAUGUGGCGGGUUUUUGCAUGUCGCGGGCAAGGUUUUCUAAAAAAAAAGUUUUAUACGCUUUUCUGCAACUCUUGUUUCAAAUUGGAAGUUUUGUCUGUCGCACCCUAAUAAUCUCACAUCGAAUAGGAAUGGGGAUGUGAUUGGGUAUAUAAUAGACUUAGACACUAGUAAUAAUAACUGCGCUUAAGCAUUUUGGGCCGGUGUUUGAGCCUAACGAGUUAUUGUUGCUAGCGGAUUGGGUCGUUACAUUUGGUGUCAGAGCCGGUUCACUAGCCGAAAAUGUGUGGCGAGUCUCGGCUGAGCUAGGGUCUGAAAGAUAAGGUGAUAGGCGAUGCCGGAGUUUGAAUGACAAGGUGACCGGCUAUGUCAGAGUCUGGAUGACAAGACUAGCAGGACGAGUCUCACAUCGCCUGGUGAUCUUGGGUUGUGUGUGUGAUUAGACUGACGAGAACGUCGGGGCCUUAAAGGAGGGAGUCUGUCACACCCUAAUAAUCCUACAUUGGAUAGGAAUGGGGAUGUGAUUGGAUAUAUAAGAGAUUUAGACACUAGUAAUAAUAACUGCGCUUUAGUAUUUUGGGCCGGUAUUUGGGCCCAACGAGUUAUUGUUGCUAGUGGACUGGGUCGUUACACUCGGUGAGGGUGAUUUAGGAGAGGUAGUGGGAGAGGCGACCUGUGAUGGAGAAGAGGAAGCAGAGCUUGCUGGCUAGGAUAGACUAGUGUAGGGUACUUAUUUGUAAAUAGGAAAGCUUCUCAGUAUUAUCCUUUUUCUCUUUUUCUCUUCGCUUGGUGCAAAGAUCAAGCAAAGAGAUUGAGAGAAGUACGUAAAAACCUUAGAGCUUGAUAUGUCCAACUUACAAUAUGUAGUUGAUACUUGAUACUCCUUCUAUUCACUAGACAAAGAAGUCCAGAAAUUUCAGCCUUUUUUAGUGCUGUCCAAUUUUUAGUUGAUAACUACUUUCUUAAGUUUUCCUGUUUUCUUAUUGAACGAUAGGCCAAAGAGCUUGACCCUUUUGGGUUUCGUUGAUGUGAAUAUAUAAUUACAAGAGGUGUAUACAUGGCAACCUUCAUUACCAUAUAACCUUACACUAUAUAUAGAAUAUACCAUAUAUAUCUCGUUAUACAUGUAAUGUAAUAUAUGUAUGCUAAAUAUAUCCUAACAUCCUCUCGCAAGCUGAGCAUCCUUUGCACAGAUGUGAAGAUUGGUUCGCAAGGUUAAAAAAUGGGAAGUGGACAAGGGCUUGGUGAAGAUGUCAGCCAGUUGCUUAUCAGAAGAGAUAUGGACCAAAUCCAAGUCACCCUAGUGAACUUUCUCCUUCAUAAAUGAUGAUCAAGCUCAAUGCGCUUCGUACGAGCAUGUAAGACAAGAUUUGUAGCGAGAUAUGUUGUGCUAAGAUUGUCGCAAUAGAUUCAAAUAGACCGCUGGAGGGAGAUUCCAAGAUCACGAAGGAGAUGUCAGAUCUAAACGGUCUCAGCAAGCGCAUAGGCCACAACGCGAUACUCCGCUUCAGAACUAGAGCAGGAAAUAGUAGGUUGCUUCUUUGCCAACCACGAGAUAAGAUUAGGUCCAAGAAAGAUACAGUAGCUGGAAGUGGACCGCCGCGUAUCUAGACAAGCAACCCAAUUAGCAUCAGGGAAAGCAACGAGAGAUGGAUUGUCGCAACGGGAGAUAGGAAUGCCAUAGGAUAGUAUCCCUCGGAUAUAAUGAAGCAGACGUUUGACAACUUGCAUGUGAGGCUCACGACGUGCAUGAAGAUACUGAGCAACAAUAUUAACAACAUAGGAGAUAUCCGACCAUGUGAAAGUAAGGUAUUGUAAUGCACCAACCAUCUGACGAAAGAUGUAGAGGUCAUCAAGUGGUUGCCUUUCAUGAGACGAGAGAAGUGGCAGGUGAAAGAAGAGUAGAAACCAGCUUAUUAGCAAGAAAACCGUGAUGCUCAAGUAGUUGAUGUGCAUAUUUCUAUUGAGUCAUAAAAAGACCAGAAGGGGAGCACUUGAGUUCAAUGCCCAAAAAAUAGUGUGAAGGUCCGAAGUCCUUUAUCGCAAACUCAAGUUGUAAAGCACUGAUAAGAGACGCAACCAGAGAAGAAUAACUCCUAGUGACGAUAAUAUCAUCAACAUAUAGGAGAAGAAUGAGUCCCAGAAGGUGAGUGGCAAGUGAACAUCGAGGGAUCUGUAGUGCUGCUAAUAAAACCAAUCUCCGAAAGAAAGGAGGUAAAAUGCUGAAACUAAGUCCGAGGUACUUGCUUGAGUCCAUAGAUAGCCUUCUUGAGUCGACAGACAUGAUUAGGAAAGGAAUGAUGUACAAUGUUUUUUCACAUGAACUUUUCAUAAAGAGAGCCAUGAAAGGCAUUCUUCACAUUAAGCUGUCAAAGUGUCCACCCAGAAGAGAAAGCAACAGAAAGAACAGUACAAAUAGUAGUUGAUUUCACAACUGGAGAAAACGUUUCAUCAAAGUCAACAUCCUGUCGUUGCUUGCAGCCCUGAGUUACCAGUCGAGCUUUAAGACGCUCAGGAGAACCAUCCGCCUUCUGUUUGACCUUGUAUACCUACUUGUAGCCAAUAAGAUUGAUUGACGGUGGAGAGGGAACAAGGUCCCAAGUAGAAUUUUCCAAUAGAGCAUGAAACUCCUCGGUCAUAGCUGCACGCCAAUUUGUAUCUUGGAAAGCCUCAAUAAAGGAGUUGGGCUCGUAAGGAAAUAAUGAUUGUUUAGAAGCCAAGAGUGAGGUAGAUGCAGUCAAAUCCUUUGUCAUGGAUCGAGUGAGAAUAGGGUGUAUGCGAGAAGGGAUAGGUGGAGCUAUAGGUGAAUUAGGUAAGGUAGAGGACGAAAUGGGUGGUGCAAUAUCUAUAUAAAGUGGAGGCUGAAGGGUCAGAUGGUGAUGGAGCAAGUUCGGUAGGAGGACUGGGUGUUGUAGUCUUGGAGAGGCGUCGGCGGGUAUAGACACGGAGCUCUUGGUGACCAGCAGCAGAGGUAUCAUUUUCAUAUGAGUUCAAGUUGGUAGGAAAUUGAGGUAAGUACUCAAAUGGUGGUGAAACGGGCGUAGGAAGGUGAUCAGUGCAAGAAGCACUAGUACCAUCGGUAGUGCUGAAACACGUGAAAUUGAAGCCAGAGAUGGCAUCAAGAAGAGACGGAGACUUAUCCAGUAAAGGAGGAUUAGAGAGAAUUUUGAAGCAGUUGAAAAUUUGAAUUCACAGGCACUAAAAAGUUAGAAAAUUUUGAAAGAUAGGAAAAAGAAAAUACUGUUUCAAAAAAUGUAACACGCCGAGAAAUAAAAUAUUUUCCAGUGCUCGGGUAUAGGCAGCGAAACUCUUUCUGUCUAUCAGACAGUCCUAAGAAUACACAAGGAAGUGAUUUGGGAGAGAGCUUAUGAUCAGCAACAUCCUGUAGAUCAGAAUAACACAAACACCCAAACACCUUAACAAGUUGCAAGUCAGAGAGAGCACAAUCAUGCAAAAUAUCGUAUGGUGAUUUCCCUUUUAAAACAGUAAAUGAAGGAGUGCAAUUGACAAGGAAAACAGCAAUUUGAAGAGCAUCGGCCCAAAAACGAAGGGCAUCGAAGCUUGAAGAAGAUUUCGGAUGAUAUUAGUUAAAUGUCUAUGUUUUUCCUCUCUGCUGCACCAUUUUGUUGUGGUGUAUGAGGACAAGAAAACCUAUGAAUAAUCCCAUUCUAUAAAAAUAAAGUAGAAAAUUUAUCAUUCACAUACUCCGUACCAUUGUCAUAUUGAAAAGUUUUAAUUUUUCGAUAAAAUUUCAACCAUCGCCUUGAAAUUUUUCAAAAACCUCAUGUUUAUAUUUUAGAAGAUAAACCCAAAAAUAUCAAGAAUAAUCAUUCACAAAAAUUACAUAAUACUUAUAGCCAGAAAAUCGAAGGAACAAGAGACUGUCAUAUAUCAGAAUGAACAAGUUGAAAAGGAAAAGCAGAUUUUGAGUCAGAAUCAGUAAAAGACAGUUUGACAUGUUUUCCUAUGUGACAUGCAUUGCAAAUAGACAAAUUUAUUCCAGAACUACCAUUAGUAAUAUUAUUUGCUUUAACAAACUUUGAUGGAACAGAUAAACUAGGCUGACCUAAACGUCUAUGCCAAAUAUCUCCACUAAACCUAGAUGCAACACAAGCUAAUAGUUGUUUAUUCCCUAUAAUUGCAACUCGAGAAGAAAUUGGAUAGAGUGAAGUGCUCGAAAUACGGCAUCUGUGAAGCUUCUUCCCUGUUUCCUUGUCCUUUACAGCAAAGCUAGAUGAGUCAAAUUCAAAAAGAGAUUUGUUAUCAUGGCAAAAUUGACGAACACAGAGUAAAUUUCGUUGAAUAGAAAGAACAAUAAGAACAUUCUUGAGACAAAGGAAGUGGAAGCAGUUUUCAAAUGUGUUUCACUUGUCUAAGUAAUAUUCAGCAAAUUUUCAUUACCAGCUAGAAUCUUAUCUUGCCCAGUAUAAUGUUUAGAUGGUAAGAGAAUAUCUGGAUUAGCAGUCAUAUGAUUGGAUGCUCUAGUGUCGGGAUACCAAACCUCCUCACUGGGCUCAUGGAGGCUUAUGGCAAUGAAAGUUUGUGGGAUAUCAUCUGCAAUGAAGGAAUGAUUGAAACAAUGCAUACAUUGAAGACCAGAGUGAUGAAAUUUACCACAGAUCUGACACUCUGUGCCAGAUCGGGAGACAGUAGACUGUCGAUUAAAUUGGUUAUGGCUAGGUUGAGGAUGUGGAUAUGCUCCAUAAGAUCCACGGCUAGGAUUAGAGUUAUGUCUACCACGUUGUUCUCGGCCUCCACGAUAUCUACCCCCACGACCUCCAUGGUUGUGUUGACCACAAUUUGUAUAGAAGGCUUCACCAUCAAUAGGAGAAGUUAUAGGUGGUGUCGUCAAGAUAGUACGACGUUGAACUUCAGUUUCUUCUUGCAUAAGGAGUGGGCGAAGGUGUUAGAAGACAGAUUUUUGCAAGGUUUAAAGUGCUGUGGCACGGGGGCGUGCCGCUCUUUCCCUGGCACGGUACGGCACGGGCACGCUUUCGUGCCGACACGUGGUACGCGUGCGUGCCGAUGGAUACGCAUGACCUCCUACUGGCACGCUUUGGCACGGACUUAUUUAAGUUUUUUUUGUUCCAAUAAGGCUUUAUAAUGUUAUUUUGAAAGAUUUAGACAAAUAAUUAUUAAUAUUUGCUAUGUAUAGCUUACUAUACUCAUCAAUUAACAUGCAUGUAAUCAUUUUGUAUAUAAAGUACAACUAUACCUGAUGUAGAAUAGAAGUUAAAAUUCUUUUGUUUUUAUUUGAAAAGUACAACUAUUCUUUUGUUUCUAUAUAUUGAUUCGAUUAGGAAAUAUAUAAUGACUAGAACAACCAGAAUAGUACCGCAACUACCUUUAUUUUUUUUUCUUUAAAAAAAAUAUAUUGAUCAAAAUUUGUUUAGAAAAUCGAUUUUUGUUUCCCUGAUUCACCGAAAGUUUUGCGGUGCGACAAAUUUUGACAAAAUUUUUUGUGAAGAAAAAAUGGAUGUAUGUGGUGGAAGCGGAGGGCUCGCCCCCCGCGUGGGUGCGGGGGGCUUCGCCCCCCGCGGUAUGGAUCGGAUAAGUAAGAAGUUAAAUUAUAAGUUUUUAAUUUAAUAAAAGAAAAGGCAAAAAAAAAAAGAGUUGACAAAAAGGCAUCACAAUGUCAAAAAAAUAAGAGAAAAGUGAAAAAAAUGCAAUAUAGAUGGCCUGGGAAGGGAGGGGGGCGUCCGUAUCCAAGAGAACAAAAAAAAAAGCCAAAAAAAAAAACCAGCGGCAAGCCGAUACGUGCUGGCGGCACGCUGGUGCGUGCCGCUUUGUCUCGAGCGGCACGCAACAGCGUGCCGCGAGACGUAGCGGCACUUAAAACCUUGGAUUUUUGUUUUGUGUGUAUUAAGAGCACUUACAAAGCCUUUAUAGUCCUCUGGUAGUCCUAGAAGAACAGUCAUGGCCAAAUUAUGAUCAGACUUGGGUUCACCAAUUGCUUGAAGGGCAUCACCUAUUGACUUGAUUUUUUGCAUAUAGUCAGUCAUCCCUAUUGAUCCCUUUUUGAUACUUCAUAACUUAGAUUUUAGAGAAAAGACCGUAGAGGCUACCUUGUCAAGGAAGUAUGCCUCAUGACUUUCCACGCUUCACAAGCUGUUUUAGGUGAGCUGGAUAUGACCAUCUGCAGAAUACUAAGGGAUAGAGAAGCAUUAAUCGAGGACAGUAUAGUUGUGUCUAGAUUAAAUAUUUAGGAUUCAUAGUUAUUUUCUUAUCAGCGGCUUCAAUAACUUGAGGAGGAAUAAUAGUGGUCCUAGUCACAUGUGAGAAAAUAUCAAAACACUCUAAAAUAUUAAGAAAAACUUGUUUCUACACUAAAUAUGUGGACUUAGUGAGUUUUAACGACACAAGAUUUUGAUAUUAAUGACUGGGAGAGUAGAGGUUGAUGAAAAUAUAUUUGCCACCACAAGAGGAGCCAACCGACACCAAGGAAGCAAUAGGGAAGUCGAGAGCCCAAGAUAAGCCGCACCAAAAACACUAGAAAAACAAGCGGGGAGAUCAUUGAGAGACAAAAAAGAGAUCACAAAUAGGCCGAAAUUACUGUAGCAUCAGUAUUGUAGUGCUGAAAUUACUGUAGUGCUGGUACUGUGGCAGUAAGGAAAAUUAUCAUGAGAGAAGAAAAGGCAAGAUCAAUGCCGAUGAGAUCCGACGAGUGAGAAGGGUGGCACUGGAUCGCUAUACCCUAGAGUUAGGGCUUGGCUCUUAUACCAUGAAAGAUAGGCCAAAGAGUUUGACCCUUUUGGAUUUCAUUGAUGUGAAUAUACAUAAAAUUACAAGAGGUGUAUACAUGGCAACUUUCAUUACCAUAUUAACUUAUACUAUAUAUAGAAUAUACCAUAUAUGUCUCGUUAUACAUGUAAUGUAAUAUAUGCAUGCUAAAUAUAUCCUAACACUUAUGUUUCUCUGUAAAACUUGAAACAUUCACACCUGUGCAAGUAGCACAUAGCGCGAUUAAACUUCUGAUUGAACUAUUGAAGUAGUUAUAAUUUUCAUAUCUAGUACUUGUGUACUUCCAUAUUCGUGAUGUAUUUCUAGUUAAAAUGGCAUUUUUAAUUUUGGUAUAGAGAUUGCGGGUUUACCAACAGAGGUGUGAAUCUAUUGAAACAGUAGUUUAUCCAUACACAUCUUGCCAAUAUGCUUGGGAUGAGCCUUGCUACCCUCAUCGUCUUAUAAUUGAGGUAUGCGAAAAUGAUUAUUUCGUUCUUACAAAAAUUGCCAUAGUUGUCAUUGUGUAUACAAACAUUUUUCGUAUGUUGUUUGUUAGGUGCCUGGGGAGCGAAUAUUGGGAAACUACAGUCUUGAUGAUGUAAAUCAAUACAUGCAUGUGAAUAUCCCUUCAACAUCGGAGGUACUCAUGUCCUUACGUUGUAGGGACUUCUUGAAGGAUUAUCAAGCACCUGAAUCAUAUUUCUACUGCUUUAUAGUUCUAACCAUAUUAACAUUUAUCAAGUUUCUCUUAUAGUUGCACUGGGAUGACAGUAUCGAUUUCGAGGAAUGCUUUAAAAACAAUUAUUGCGACACACUAGGAAACUAACAAAGAAAGUGCACAGCGAAUAUUGUCUUCUAAAGAAGCUUUUUGUUUAAUUACCUUGUUCUAGUGUCUGAUAAAUCUGUGGUCCAAUCAGAAAAAUUUUGAAAAUUUCUAUUGAAUUAAUUUUUUUACUAUUUUGCUGAAAAUUUGCUUCCAAAACUGCCUAGUAGUAUUGACAAUUAUUAGCUUUACAAUAAUUCCAUUCUUAUAUAUGUUUCCAUUUCCACUUCGGGUGGCACUGAUAUUUUACUUAGUUUGGACUGCAUCCUAUCUUGGCCAGGUCAUGUCUCAAUUUAACACAUCAUUAUUAUUUUACCAAUCUUAUAUUAUGGUUUGUGUCCACUAUUAUAAAGUAAUCAUGACCAUCCAGCAUGUGUAGAUCUAUUACUCAGCCGCACACAACUUCUCUUACUUCCAUAAAUGUCCUUUUACGGGCUCUGAACUCACCUUCUACUCUGGAGUAAAUUUGGAAACAGAAAGGGCACUUAAUUGCCCCCAUUGCUUGGGGAGGGCAUUAUUUGUGAGCAUUUUUACAGUGAUCUUCAGUAAGCCGGCGUAUCAGAAUAUAUUUUAGUGUAUCCUGCAUUGCAAACUACUCCUAACAAUGAGAAAAGCUGGUAUUUAUCUCAUUCAAUCAUCAAUUGAGUAUCUAAGAGAAACUGUGCGUGAGGUUUAGAAUUUGUCAGAGCAUCUUACAAAAUCAUGAAAUGCUGGAUAAAGAAACUUUUGUCACUAGUAAGAUAGAUCUUGCAUCUUACUUUUCAUGCACGAUUUACUAAUUUUCAGAAGCUUCUGAUAUGCCUUUGCUAAAACUGUAUCACUUUGAGCUUAUUAUUACCUUCUUUUUGACUUUUAAUUUUGUUUGCAGAAAUCUGAUAGAAGACUCUGUAUCUCGGUGCAUGCAGAAGGGGCUAUCAAGGUAGUUCUUAAAUCUUUGCAUGUUUAUAUGAAACGCAAAUUCAGUCUUGCUAUUUAUUAUUGACCUUUCCUUAUGUUCAUGAACUACAGGUGCUGAAUGUUGUUGAUUCAACUUGUCAUUCUAUAAAGGACAUGGAAGAAAUUGGUUUUCUAGGAUUCAAAGAAAGAAUGGAUGUUGAUCAGAAACAGGAAUAUCAAGUUAAUUUCAGUGAGACUCUGACAAUACAGUUGCCAUUUAUUGGGAUAUCAUUGAUAAGCUCUUCUCCUCAGGUAGAUUGUUUGUCUAAUUUGGUUGAUUAUAAUUAGGUGUAAAAAUUAGCAUAACAGCACCUAUUACGGAAUGUUUAGCCAGUUUUUUCUGAUUAGUCUGGGUGUUCUAAAUAGCGUCCGCCGUCCGGUAUGGCCAGUUAGCCGCUAUAGCAGUAGUUGAGCAUAAACACUACGUUAUGUGACAUAAGAUAGAAUUUAGCAGAUUAGGAUUAUAGCAACCACUACAGAAGCCAUAAUGGCUGCUAUAGCUGGUCUUUUUCUCAAGCCCCAAAUACUUAAAGAUUUAGGCAGGCUGAUUUUGGUCUGAAAUCAGUAAAAACUUGAAAAACUAUUUGAUUGAAGGUAAUGAAGUAAUUAGUGGGUACCAAGGGAACUAUUCAGUCACAUUCCUUGUGGAGACCAAAUGAGAAAAUUGGGGUUUCCCUGAAAAGCACAGUGGGGGCCACUGAGGAUCACCAGGCCUGCAAGGAUCACCAUAUUAAGGAGAAAUAUAAUUAGGAAUAUAGAUGUAAAGAAAUUUGUAAGUAAUACACUUGCAUAUUUGGAACUGAUAUAUUUUUUUUUAUCAUGUUAACUACAAAUGCAAUCAGGAAUAUAAGAAUUUAAGUAAUUACUAAUUUAUAUCCCAUUAUGGGUUUAUAGCUGCUGCUAUGGCACCUGCUAUCUACUAUAAAACCCCUCAAAAGUUGUGUGCCCGCUAUGCGCUAUAUGCAACCUUGAUUUAUUUUUAACUUUGCAGGAGUUGCUUUUUGCUUGUGCGAAGAUGACCACAAUUGUUGCAAUGCGAAGUUUGGAUCAGCAAAAGAUUUCUCUCAAAAUAGGAUCUAUUCAAAUUGAUAAUCAGUACUCCGAUAGUCCGCAUCCUAUCAUGCUGUCUUUUGACAAUAAAUACAAGGGAAGAUCCUUCUUCAGAAGUAAAGAAAUGCAGCUGGGGCUUCAAAAUGGUUAUAUGAACUAUUCUAGUUCUGACACUACACUCGACCCUAUCUUUUAUGUAGCUGCCUCCAAAUGGAGGAUUAGAGAUACCUCAUUGGAUUCUUAUGAAUACAUAAAUAUAUGGUAUGUUUCUUUUGUUGUUUUAUAAUUAUAUGGUCUCUCUUUCUCUCUCGCACAAACCUGAACUUAAGUAACUUGUGUAUUACAGUUUGGCCCCUUUGUGCAUCGAGCUUGAAGAACGAGUUCUUUUCAGUUUGGUUGACUUUUUUAGAGCUGUUUAUACGAGACUACAAGGCCGAAGCCUAGGAAAAGAAAUUGAACUGUGGAUUCCAGAGUCUAUUACUGAUGCUUCAAAAGAGUGCCUGGAAAAUGUCAGGGAGUAUAGGUACAAAAGUAUGUUAAGAGAUUCCGACUAUGUCGAAGGACAGAAUAAGAGUGGAUUACUCCCUUCUGUUGUUCCUAUUGGAGCUCCUUGGCAACAAAUAUACCUUUUAGCUAGAAGGCAGAAAAAGUUAUAUGUGGAAAUGUUUCAGUUGGCCCCUAUAAAGUUAUCUUUAAGGUGCUAUUUUCUCUUCUAGAUUAUUUUGUUGGCUGAUAAUAGAUUUUCUCUACUUUUCACAUAUUUUUAGCUUCAGUUUCAAUGAUCUAGGAUAUAUGUUCACACUUUUUCAUUUAAAUAAUCAGUAUCUUUGAAUAACUUCUUUUCUUAUGUUAAAGCUUUACUAGCAAUCCGUGGAUGACUCAAAGUGAAGUAGCUUCAGAGAUGGAUACCAGGUCUCGCAACAGUAGUACCACUAUACAGGUGAAAAUGCUUCUUGCUUUUUGAAGGUUACUGCUCAGCUAUUACUUACAGUGUGUAAAAUUCUUGUAUUUUGAUGUUUAGCUAUCGAUAGCGAAGGAAGAUAUUUAAUUGAAACUCUUGCAUUAUGUUGAAUCUCGCAGAAAUGAUUCUUUUUAAUAGAUUGUCUAUUAACAGUGUUUGGUAAGGGGAUAGGGAUAGGGAUAGGCCCUUAUCCCCCCUUUUAUACCCAAACGCUAAUUUUUUACCCGAGAACAAUAGUUCUCGGUUACCUAUAAUAACGGGUUAUAACUAUCCCCACCAACACCUCCAUUUUCUAUAUAAAACUACCUAAUAUUUUUCUUAUUCCAUAUUAUCUAUCCAAACGCUAUUUUUUUUUCUCCCCGGGAACAAUCCAAUUUUCAUUCAAACGCUAGUUUUCUUAUCUCCAUACUUGUACCUAUCCCUGUUAUAGCUAGUUCUUGCUUAUAUCCGAACCAAACGGUACUUAGGGAAUUACAGAAUUCCAUCAAACUGUCCCACUAAUCAGUAUUCAAUUUGUUCUGUUUCUAUUUGGGUUGCCUGUUUGGUAUGACAUGUCCUUAGUCAUAUCACUUGGUUUUGUACUAUGUAAUUGAAGUUACAAAGAGUAGAAAAUAUAAGAGGAGAUCAACAUGAUAAGUGGUAUAGUUUUAUCUACUUAAGUUGGUCUUCUAAUGUUUGUGAUUUGAACUCGAGCAUGUAAACUCCGUUGUAGGAAUUUUUAUAGAACUGUGUGAUAACAUUACAAAAGAAUAAAUGAAUGUCUUCUUAAAGAUGUCAUAAAUAUCAAGCUAGUUAAAAUGGUAAUAUUUAAAUAUUUUAAGGUGCCUUAAUAUACUUUUCUUAACACUAUAAUGGUGUAAAUUAUUCAAUGGUACAUAGCAGCAUUAUGGAUGUUGGAUGGUAGGGAGGAGAUUGUAAACUCAUGGUGGGCAUUGAGUAUUUGCUAUCACUUCCUGUUUUCUUAGUAGAUUAAAACUCGAUAUUCAUUAUGCAAUCAAUAAAAUCACGUGAAAUUAAUCCGAAAGUAAGUUUUGAGAACCAGAUAUCACCAAAGAUCAAUAUGAAGCUGAGAGUAUUAAUAAAUGAGUGAAAUUUCUAACAUUGUAUAUCACCAAAAGGAAAAUACAUCCCUCUUAAUGUGCUACCUUUCUCUUUCUUUCCCUUCUAUCUCUCUUUAUUUUCUAACUCAUGGCAAAUUAAGAGUUUUCCUUAGGCCCUUUGUGGAAUGAUGUUAUAUGAUGUGUUCAAAUUAUCAUGAGUGCCAGAAUGUGGCUGACGUAGUAAUUCUGAUGCACGAGUGCCACAAAUUAUUGAGCCAUACUAACACAUAUUAAGGUGUGCCGCGAUGCAUUAAAUUUUGCCAAUUCAGUAGCUAAAUGUUUCUUUGCACUGUAUGAUCUUUUUAGCAAACAUCUACACUACAACUCAGAAAAUAUGGAUUAAGGAUUAAAGUGCACAUCGGCACGGACCGUAUUUAUCGUGCCGUAUCGUGCCAGCAAGAUAUCGGCACGAUACAGCCCCCGUGCCAAUGGCAUAACUCAAAACCCUCUAUUCUUGAAAUUAGUAAGUAAUUUUCUCAAUAAAGUUCAAAAGAUUUGAUAAAAAUAUAUAAUAAAUAAUUGGCAUAUUUUGAUGCUAAAGAAAAUAAAUAUUUCAUGCCGUUACGUGUCGAUACACAUAUUUUUUGUGAUCGGCUCUCAUCGGCACGGCCCGGCAUGCACCGUGCUAUACCAUGCCGGCAAGUUUCCGGCACGAUCCCGUGCUACAGCACUUAAAUCCUUGAUAUGGAUCUUAAUUAUAAUUAAAUAUAAGCCUGAAAACACAAGAAAAGGAUAAAAAUGCACGCCAAUUUGUGAGUCUGUGAGAGCCAGGAUUUAAGUGCCGUAGCACGGAGUCGUGCUUGAAACUUGCCGGUACGGUACGGCACGGUGAGUGCCGAGUCGUGUCGAUGCGUUCCGGUAAAAAAAAUUCUUGUGUGCCGACACAUAAUAGCAUUAAAUAUUUAUUUUCUUUAGCAACAAAAUAUUCUAACUAUUUAUUUUGUCUUUUUAUCACAUCUUUUGAACUUUAUUGAGGAAAUUACUUAUUAAUUUAAAGAAUAGAGGGUUUUGAGCUGUGCUAUCGGCACGGGGUCUGUAUCGUGCCGGUAUUUUGUUGGCACAGUGUAUACGGCCCGUGCCGACGGGCACUUAAAACCUUGUGUGAGAGUGAUUGUCCGUGCCAUCAGCAUGCAACACCGUGUCGGAAAUAGUGUCAUUUAUCACGGCUGUACCUUGCCUACCAGCUUUUGUCAUGGAAGCAUGCUUUUGCAAGGGCGAUCCUUGAUACAAAUUACUAUAUGCUUGUUCUAGAUUUUGUGGUUAUCACUAACACGACUUCCUUCUUACUGGUAAAUAUUAGAAAAUUUUGCUUAUAUCUGGGGAAACUUAGAAAACAACAAUACAGCGAUUAAGAAGUUCGAAAUGAAGAUUGUAAAGACAUGUUUUAUAUCUGUUAACUUGAAGAUAUUAAAGAUUUAAGUCAAUAAAAAGGUCUCUCUAUAUCCAAACUCAAAAAGUUCUCAAGUAUAUCUUUUCCUAUUGCAUGUUAGUAAUAAGCUCAGAAUAUAUGAUUGCCAUACCUCUCUCAAAUUUUGCAGAUGCUUACUCCUCUUGAAUGUUUUAACCACUGUUUUGUAUUUUAGUGGGCAAGUUGACACUCAUUUUUUUCAAUUUUAAUUUUGUUUUUGUACUUUGACUUCUUUAAUCUAGAAUUUUCUUUGCAUUAUGCUUUGUUCUGCUGUAGAGAGGUCUGAUGGCCCUUGUUGAUGUCGAAGGAGUUCCUGUUCAUCUUGGAGAAUUAAAGUUGGAAAAUCUGAUGGCUAGCUGGAAAUCAAUCCAACAGAUUCUUGCUAGUCAUUAUACGAGGCAGUUGCUUCAUGAACUGUACAAGGUGAAAUGGAUUCUGCUAUCUGGUUAUUCACUCACUAAAUUGUACCUUCUGUUCAAUUUUGGUUACCGUCUCUUGUUCUUAUCCUCGGUGUAUCUUUAAAUAGUUCCUAUUCACCUGUUAAAAUUUUCAUUUGUAUACUAAUGAAAUCUGUACUUGUUGCCCUAGUUGUUUGAUGAACCUAUCUAUGCAUGCAUCCAUGGGCUUUAUAAACUACUUGAUCAUUCUUUCACUUAGUAUAUUGGCUCACGCCAUCAUUGGGAUUGAAAACAGGCCUAGUAAAAUUAUACUUUCUCAGAGAUGAAUGCCACAUGUGCCUCCUGUAGCCAUUAUCCAACACUUUCUAUCUGAAUGCAGAUACUUGGUUCAGCUGGUGUUAUAGGAAAUCCUAUGGGUUUUGCACGGAAUGUCAGAACCGGUUUCAAGGACUUCAUAUCUGCUUCGAGCAUAGGGGUCUUGCAGGUGUGAAGCAAUUAUUAUUAUUAUUAUUAUUAUUAUUAUUUUCCUUCUUUUUAAUUGCCUGGAUCAUACGUAUUCCAUAUAAUUAUUUGAUGGCCAUCUUCAAUAUUUUUAUUCUCAGAGUCCUGCUGAACUACUCACUGGAAUAGCACAAGGCUCGAAAACUCUUUUUAAUAGUACUGUCUAUGCCAUAAGCAGUACUACUACUCAGUUCACUAAAACAGCUUACAAGGUAACAUUCAAUUCUGUGAUUCAACCAGACCGCAGAAAAACUUUUCGACAACACAUUAUAACCUUUUCUUCUUCUUCUUCUUCUUCUUUUUUUUCUUUUUUUUUUUUUUCUUUUUUUGCGCAGGGCAUUGUUGCCUUUACUUUUGAUGAACAAGCUGAAUUGGAUGAGCUGAAAAAUCAUUUAGAUUUACAUGGCAAGGGUGUACUGAAUGGGCUUCUGGAGGUGUAAUUCGUACCUUAUCUUUUGAAUAGAUUGUCCUCUGUGACAAUAAAUUUUGUGCCUAAUGAACAUUUACUGGCAUUACUAUAUUCAUUUGUGGGAAAACAUGCUUAGCAGAAUAUCAGAAAUUUGAUACGGUGGAAUAUAAGAAGAGUGCAACUUUUCUGUGUUCAGAAUUGGUCUACAAUUUACUUGUUGGAUUAUUACAGCUGUUAUUUGACAAAUAAAAUUUAAACUAUUUAACAGGACUUUAGCUAUUAUCUUUUUAUCCUAAUAAAUCUUAUAUAAGGUGGCAUAGCGCCGUGCCGCGGCAAGCAGUGCCGUGCCGCACAAGACAGGGCGGCACAGCACAGUAUGCCACAUCGGGACUGCUUUUUUUUCUUUUGCUUUUUUUUUUUGUUUUUUUUGUUCUUUGGGGUAUCCAAAGCAUUCUGGGUACCCCACACCCUCCCAAAGGCAUUGCAAAUCGAAAAUUUACUUAUUAGGUAAGUCAAAAAAUUAUAAUUUAUUUUUUUUUGUUUAUCAAUAUACGGGAAAAAGAUUUGUCGGAGCCCUCCGCUUCCACCACAGACAUCUAUUUUUUCUUCACAAAUUAUUUUAUCAAAAUCUAUUGCACUACGAAAUUUUUGGCGAAUUAAGGAAACAUAUCAAACUCAAUAAACAAAUUUUGAGCCACAUCAAAUAUAAAAUUUUUCUUUUGCGCUAGAAGAUUGAAAAUACUGAUAAAAUUAAAAGCUAAAUUAAAUCAAUUGAUACUUAAAUUUAUUUAAUUUAUUUGUUAUAUAAUUUAUUGCUUAAUUUUUUGAUAGAUCUAUUAAUUUUUUUUUUUGUAUUUUAUAAAAGAAAGACUGUAAUAUGGUCAAAAGAAAAAAAGAAAACAAACAUCUUUGCAUUUUAAAAAUUUCAACUUGUAAAACUUUCUAUUCUGCAUCAGAUAUAAUUGUACUUUACAUACAAAAAAGUUUACAGGCAUAUUAAUUGAUAAGUAUAGUAAGCUAUACAUAACAAAUAUUCAUAAUUAUUUAAUUAAAUCUUUCAAAAUAACAUUAUAAGAGUUUAUUGGAAUCANAGAAAACAAACAUCUUUGCAUUUUAAAAAUUUCAACUUGUAAAACUUUCUAUUCUGCAUCAGAUAUAAUUGUACUUUACAUACAAAAAAGUUUACAGGUAUAUUAAUUGAUGAGUAUAGUAAAUAUACAUAACAAAUAUUCAUAAUUAUUUAAUUAAAUCUUUCAAAAUAACAUUAUAAGAGCUUAUUGGAAUAAAAAAAACUAAAAUAAGUCCAUGCCAAAGCGUGCCAGUAGGAGGUAAUGUGCAUCCAUCAAUACGCAAGCGUACCAUGUGUCAGCACGGAAGUGUGCCGGUGCCAUACAGUGCCCAUGCAGACAGCGGCACGCCCACGUGCCACGGCGCUUUAAACCUUGGUGUUGACAUUAGAUUUCAAUUUGAUUACAAAUUUCAUGUGAUUUCAUUACAUUGCAGAAAUGAUUGUUUCUAUGUAUUAUUAGUUAUCAAACCUUUGUGUUGUUGCUCUCUGCAAAACUGCUAUGUGGAAAAACAUAGCAGAAUAUCUGAAAAUUGAUAGAGUGAAAUAUAAGAAGAGUGCAACAGCGCCUGUUUGUUCAGAAUUGGUCGACAAUUUACUUUUUGGAUUCAUACAAUUGUUAUUUGACCAAUAAAAAUAAAAUUAAUUUAUAACAGCUAUUACGGCUAUCUUUCCUCCGAAUAAAUAUUAUGGCUGUAAAAAGAAUUUUUAUUCUCACGUGUUUGAUGUUAUAUUUCAAAGUGAUUACAAAUUUCAUUUGUUUCGGUACAAUGAAGAAAUGAUUAUUUCUUUGUAUUGAUUAUCAAAGUUUCUUGUUACUCUCUCAAACAAAUCAAAGUGAUUUUCUUUUUUUUCUUUUUUUUUUUAUAUACGAACUUAUAUUAGUGUAUGUAUUAGCUUGUUACAAAUAUUUAGUCACAUUAGUCUAUGUAUUAGCUUGUUAGUUUUACCUUCUCAUUUUUCAUUUCUUGCUCCUAUGGUUAGUCAAUGCAAUUGGGGUUGUGUAUGAUCCAUUUUUUGCAGAAACUGCUGUUUUGCUCGUGAUCAUGCUUCUAUUUUUUCGAUUUCCUUCAAUUCUCUCAUCUAAUCUAGAUCUCAACUGUUGUGCAGGGUCUAACUGGGCUCCUCCAAUCCCCAAUAAGGGGUGCUGAGAAGCAUGGCCUUCCAGGAGUUGUUUCAGGUACUUCCGUUUAUGGAAACCCUACUAUUUAUUUCCGUAGCAUUCGUGUACUGAAAAACACUAAUUCUUGUUCCAACAGGAAUAGCAAUGGGUACUGCUGGACUUGUGGCGAAGCCAGUGGCCAGCAUUCUCGAAGCCACAGGAAAAACUGCACAGAGCAUUAGGAAUCGAAGCAAUCCCCAUCGAUUCAAUUACUUUCGCGUCCGUUUCCCACGGCCUUUGACAAAAGAGCUGCCUUUGUUGCCAUACUCGUGGGAAGAAGCCAUCGGAGUGUCAAUGCUCGUACAAGCAGAUGGAUGCAGGCUUAAAAACGAAACUUUUGUUCUGUGCAAAGCACUGAAACAGUCGGGGAAGUUCAUUAUCCUUACCGAAAGAUUACUUUUGGUUGUUUUUUGCCCUUACUUAGUCGAUCUAGGAGCAUCGGCCUUUAUUGGUGUUCCUCCUGAUCCAGAAUGGGUGAUAGAAACAGAGAUGAAUCUGGAGAGUGUGGUUCACAUAGAUAGGUCAGAGGAGGUGGUGAAUAUUGUUGGAAGCACUGCAGAGACGCUACCCAAGCAGAAAAGAGGUGGUGGCACAAGGAGUAAUAGGCCAUGGAGCCUGCCUUCCACUUCUACACCUCUCUUUCACGCAAGUGUGGAAUUGCCAAAUAAUGAAGAAGCUGAGGAUGCUCUACAGGUCGUUCUGUCUGUGAUAGAAAAAGGAAAGAUGCGAAGGUGGGGUCUGCGUGUUGUGCAUCGAAGUAAUCUAGGCUGAGAGUGCCUUGCUUGUACUGCCUAUCGUAAGAAGAUCCUUAUGCCGCACUGACACCUGAACUUGUUCGUAUCCACUGCAGCUGUAAAUCAGCAUAAGGAGCUGUAGAGUGUAAAUAGAUAGAAAUCAUAGGAAAAAGACCAUUGUAAUUGUUAUAGAGAAAAGAAAGGUGAGCUUUUGAAGUUUAUACAGCUAUAACGAAUUGAAACAGCUUUUCUGUACAUAAAUAACAAUUAGUUGUAGACUUCUAGCUUUUUUGUGCAUAAUAAAAGCGGCAGUAUGUAUCGGUAUAUUCCUGCGGUUGUCUUCCUUUAGAGAGAGGCUGUUGUACUCCUUGCGGUUCUCUCCCUUUAGUGCGGCUAAUGCACUGUGUGUUCUUCUUUGUUUUACUCUUUUGUGGUCUUCCCUUAUUUAAAUCGUUUAAAUAUAUUUGUGUUCAUUCAAGUUAAUGUUCACUAAAUUGUUAGUUGAGGACGUGGGUAUAUGCAAAUGUAGGGUGGUCCUCCCAGCUUUUUACGAAUUAAAAUUUAGUUUUUACGAUGACUCCAGAGGAAGAUUUCUCCCUUCUAACCUUUCUGAUAUUUCGUAUAAACGUAAUGUCUGCGACUACUAAUGACUUGUCUCACACGAUUAAUCUUUUUUGACUUUCUGUGCGGUAGUAUUCAUGAUUCAGAUUAAUACUUAAAUAUGUAUAUGAGUAUCACGUAUUGAAGAUUCAUGGCUUGCAGUAGACACAAGCAUUGACGGUUAAUUACCCUUAUAAAAUGUUAAAACACUUUCGAUUAAGAGACCUCUAAAAUGUUGAUAAUGAAAUAGAUUGAAAUCAAAUAAAAUAUGAAUAUUAUUAAAUAGGUUGCUAUACAAUCACAUGGCUUAACUAGAGGCAUACCCCCAAUGUAAAUGAAUAGAACAUAAAUAUGAUGGUCAAUUGAAUUUGGGGCCGCACAGUUUAACGACAUGACUAUCGAUUUGAGUUUGAUUUUGAUUGCACCUCAGUGAUGCUAAGAUUGACUCUCUCUCUCUCUCUCUCUCUCUCUCUCUCUCUAUAUAUAUAUAUAUAUAGUAGGGCUACUGUGCUAUUAGGAGCACAGCAGCCCUUGUGCUCCAAACUUUCUAACCACCCAUCAAGUUUGAUGGGUGGUUAGAAUGAGAAAGGGAGGAGAUAUUGAAGAGAAAUUUAAGGAUAAGAGAAAUUGAAACACUCAAUUUCUCCCCAAUAUCUCCUCCCUCUCUCAUUCUAACCACCCAUCAAACUUGAUGGGUGGUUAGAAAGUUAGGAGCACAAGGGCUGCUGUGCUCCUAAUAGCACAGUAGCCCUACUCUAUAUAUAUAUAUAUUUUUAAGGAUUUUUUUAAGUUGGCGGAUUUCGUGAAUCGAAUGAAGUCUUGAAGAGUUGAAGACAAAGGUUGAAGAGACGAUUGUGUAAUUCAAGAUUAAAAGACUCGUUCGUGAUGCUCGAAAUCUUAGGUAUGAAUGUUAAUAAUUUGUGGUGAGAUUCUGUAUUUAUAAAAGUGUUUGGAAGACUUAGGAUGAUUUUAAAAUGUAAUAACUGGACAAAACUGAGCCUUUCAAGGUUCAGGGUCUGGUCCCUGGACAGAGGGACCGGACCCCGUAGGUCCUCUCUACUUGAAGACUACGAGGGACCGGUCCCUGGACAGAGGGAUCGGACCCCGUACGUUGAAAUUUAUGUUACGUUGUGAGGGAUCGGACCCCGUAGCUUGGUUUUUUCUGAUAUGCAAAGAGAGACCGGUCCCUGGCUUCAAGGAUCGGACCUUGCAGGACCGGACCCUAUGGGAGGUCCGGACCUUGAGACCGUCGUUUGUUUUUAAAAUCGUGUUUUUGAAAUCCUAGUCUAUCUAAAAGUCUUCUAAACCUAUAAAUAAGCUAUGGGGAGUAUCAUAUUAUUUAUGCUUAGAAAGAAAACCUUUUUGAAACCCUAAAAACUCGUUUUGGAGAUUUUUGGUCAAUGUUUUAAAAAUAAGUUUUCGUUUUUCGAUCGCCGACUCGAUUCUUUGGUUUCUAUUCCUAUGUCUCUUUGAGAAUCGAAUCGGUGAUGGAUUGAAAGGUUUCUCCUCGUAUCUUAUUAUCUUUCUAAGAUUUGAAUCACCACAAACUAUUAAUCUCUACGAGCCCCGGAUGGAGCGUUGGCGCGUGGACUUCACGUGAGGCAGUGGAUUCGAUGGAUGCAUCGAGGAUUCGAGGCAUUGUUGCUGCGAGGAUUUGCGGCGUGAUCGGUUGUAGGUCUUCGAUCGAUCGAGGACUGAUGAAGAUGAUCAAAAACGAGGAUUCGGUAAAUUGGGUCGUGUAUUUUGGUAAAUCACUUGUACUCAAUUUUUAAAUAGUGGAUUGUUUCGUGUGAUCGGUCCCGUGGGUUUUUUUCUCCGAGUUGGAGUUUUGCCACGUAAAAUCUUGGUGUGUUGAUUUUAAUUUUUCGCAAUUAGUUUAAAUUUGUAUCGAGAAUCUUUGUUUUAUCGUUUACACCUAUUCACCCCCCUCUAGGUGUUAUUUUCUUUUAGAUCUUUGGGAUCCAUAUCUCACAUAUAACACCUAGAGGAGUAGUCUACUUUCUGCAUUUAUCAUUUUUCUAGGAGUAGUCUAUUUGUAAUUCUUUUACUUUUUCCGCAUUUACUAUCUUUUUUAGGAGUAGUUUGCAAAGUAGAUCUUCCUUCGAGUACGUCAUGCUGGCGUACUCUCUUUUGUAAACAUUUUUUGAUUUUGAGCAAUAUAUAAGCUUUUCGGCUCUUCAGCCGAACUAGAAAUUCCUGUGUAAUCCGUACACUUGGCUGAUUCAGUUGAACCGAAUUUUUUGUGUUGAAUCGAACUCGAUUGAUCCGAUCCCUCAUCAAUUGAAUCGCUUGAUCUGCGAUGGGCGCAAACUUCGAGGGUCAUCAUUUGUAGCCAUUUCAUCUCCUCGCACACUUUUUGAAGGAGGAUCUUUGACCGGGUCAGCGGUCGGAGAAUUCGGCUCGCAGCAGUAUGUAUAUAUAGAGUUGAGCUAGAAUACACUUAAAAGCACCAAUCCAUUGGUGCUUUUAAGUUUCUAACCUUUAGGUCUACCCUUGACAAUUAAUAACCUUUGGAUCAAAUACUAUUCCACCUACCACCAUCAUAAGGGUAGGUAUAGAUGUAGGGCUACUAUACUCUUAUAUAAGAGUAUAGAUGUAUUAUACCGAAACUUCGGUAGGUUAUAUCGGACUUUAGUCAAAUUGACCAAAAUGCGAAGUCGGUCGCUUCGGAACGCUUCGGAAAGCCGGAAAUGCAUUGGAAUGGCACAUAAGGGUGUAGAGGACCCUGGUGGGCACCAUAGAAGAAAUUCAGAAAAUUUCGCAUUCGGGGUGUCUACGGGGUCCGGACCCUGUGCAGGGUCCGGACCCAGUAGCCCAAAACUGCCCAAUGCGGGGCAGUGUGAAAAGGAGCUUGUUGGAGGGGAUUUAGGCAAUUGUGUUUGAGUGGAGUGUACAUGAGUGGUUGUAGCUCAUUUCCUCUCAUUUUCCUCACCUUUACAACCCAAAGCACACACACUCUCUCUCUCUAAGAAGUCUCUCUCUCUCUCUCUCUCUCUCUCUCUCUCUCUCUCUUAGGGGUGGAUCAAAAGGAGGAUUUGGAGGAGAAGGAGGCUAGAGAGUGAGGCAACUACUACUUCUUCCUUGGCUCAAGAAAAGGAAGCUUAUUGAGGUAAGCUUCAUGAGCUCCCAUGGUAGAACUCUAGGGUUUGGUUUAAAUGCUUUAGGAAUGGCUCUAGAUGAAUCUCUAGAUGUUAUCAAGCUUGCUAUUGCUUGAAUCAAAAUGGUUUUAUGUAGUGUUCUUGCAAUGGUAGAUUCUAGGGCUUUGAAAGAGGGCUUUUGACCAUAGAUGAAUUUGAUCUAAAUUGAGCCUAUGUACCUCUAAUUAAAGGUAAAACUGACGUGUUGGGAGACUUGGUUUGAAAAUCUGACGAGUCUACGCAAAGAAAUUGAGGAAAAAGUCUAUUUUGGCUUCAUUUUGCCGCAGUCGAGAGAAUAAGCGUCCAAAAAUCAUAAGAAUCGAAUCGUAGCACCUUAGCAACCCUACAAGGUGGGUGGUGCUAUCCGAAAUCCUUGAAUUUUUUUUUAUGUCUAAAUGUCACUUCUUGAGCAUACUUAUGUAUAUGAAUUUCAUGCAUUGUAGGGUUGAGUUGAGAAUGUAUUGUUGCAUACUUUGAGUACAAGAUGCAUAUGAGAUGAUAGUGAACUAUUGAGAACUUGUGAACCCUAUGAAUGUGUGAAUUGUGACAAGAACCUAGUGAUGUACAGAUGACAUUAUGACAUGAGUAAAGUAGUAGUGUGGCAUUAAUGAGUAUAAUGAAUGCUAGAGUUGAACACUUAAUGUGUGUGGCAUUAAUGAGUCAUGAAUGCUAGAAAUGAGACACUUAUUGGUGUGGCAUUAAUGAGCAUAACAAAUGUUAAAGAAUGAAACACGGUAUUAUGGCAUAUGUGAAUAUAGCAUCCUCAUAGUUGAGGCAUCCUUAUAAUAGUUAAGGGUUUGAUUGAGCAUUACAUCCUUAUAGUUAAGAAUUGGAUUGAAUUUGGUAUCCUUAUAGUUAAGGAUUGGAUCAUACUCGCCUGUAAGUCUUGGCUUGAGGGCGAUCGCACCCCCUCGAGCGAUGCGCUCCGGAGUAGUCAUCACUGGGUUGUAGGAGUCUCCCCAGAGGACGGUCCCGUCGGGUUGUAGGAGUCUCCCCGAUAUUAUGAAUUUGAGUUGGUGAGUUGUAGGCGAAAUCUACGGGUUAACCAAUGGAUUGGGUAUUGGAAAUGAAAUUUGCAUGCAUCAUGAGCAUCCUUUAUUGAUUGUAUCUUGUUUAGGCAUAUUAGCUGCAUUUGUAUAGCUUCGCUACUUAUCUAUUUGCUUAUUUCUUCUAUUAUGCCUGAUUUAGACUAAGUGGGAAAGUCGGCGAGGUCGGCGGUUGUGAUAUACCGAACCUUAGCAAAUUGGCAAGGUUACAGUAUAAGUUUAUGCUUGAUGGAGUUGGAGACGUUUUGCGCAAAAUAGACGUAAAAACGGACUUUGAAACUCAAGAUUUAUAUUGUAGAAGACUAAAGUUGAAUAUUUAGUUAUGGAGGGGCUUGUGGGCAAUUUUGUUUUAUUAAGAGGUGGAGUUCACGUGCUCCCCCAUCCUUAUCCUUCCUUUUGUUGCUUUUUUAUUGCCAAGUUUUAAGCUAGUUAAUUAACAGGGUAGAACUUGGUUUCGUUCAUAUGAGCUAGCGAGCGAGGCGAGCGAGCGAGUGAGUCGAUAGCGUGCACGUGUAAUUUUAGCGUGUCGGUGUCGUGGUUGUGUCGUUGGAGGAGACCAGGCGAGCGUGUAGGUUGCCUUCUUUCGACUUCUCGCCGUUGUUGAACGUGCUUUUGAGGUGGGUUAAUGUUUACCAAAAUCGUCAGUUUUCCUCCUAAGCCGGAGUUGACAGUAUGUAUUUUUGGCUUUGUAUAUCAUGUUUAUUAGCUCGAUUCGUCGAUUUGUAUUGUUCAUAAAUGAAAUCUGAAUUGGAGCUUUAAAUGCUAGUUUUAUUAUACAUGUUGAACUUGGAAUUGACUUAGGAGAAACCUAUAGGUUCUACACUAUAAUUUUCUGAAAACUAUCAUAUUUAGUUUUAGGAGCUGUAGUUUAUUUGUAUCGCCGUAGUUUGUAGCGGUGGAUACGCAGAAUAGUGUCAAAUGAAAUUACGUUCCUACUGGGAUGUCGAGUUUAUUUUUACAGUAGUGUAUAGACGGUUCCGGACUGUCGGGUGCUGUGGUGCUUGACGGUGGACCCAGUUUGCUGUUUGUGCAUCGGAUUAUGCCGAGAGCACGUGAGUUUUGGUGGUUAGACCAGUUUGACCCUUCUGCUUUGAUUGUAGUCUGUGAGAGCCUGAUUGAGCUCGGCAGAGACACGCUUUCAUACUCGGUUCGGUAGCGCCCAUGAGUGCCACUCCGGAGUCGGGUUUUAUAAGUUUGCGUUGGUGUCGUUGUGUUCUGGUUGGACUCGCUCUCCACUGACUACCCAGCGUGGUUGUUGUUAGUGUAGCUUCGACAAGUGGGACGGGUGUGUUCAUAGUCCCUAGUGAGAUUUGGUCAGAGAUUGUAUUUUUCUACAGAUAGUAGUGUUGGAUCAUGAUAGUAUAGUGGCAUAUAGCUGUAGAUUGUUUUCAGUUCCUUUACUAUCCUUGGGCAUACUUUCUGUAGACUUAGUGGGUGAGCCGUUGAGGCUGAUAGCGGUACCUACUAAGAACUACUUCUUUUUGCAGUAGUUCUCUAAGUUUGGCAAACUUUAGAAAGACAAGACGCGAGAGUCGUGAAUUAUCGCGAAAGUCAGCGAUUGAUUUAUUCUAACUCACCCUAGAGCGGAGUGAGUGAUUGAAGGAGUGUCUGUUUCGGUCAGAAAAAUUAUGUCGGCUGCAAACGGCAUAAUUUUGAGUAGAAAUAGGGGUAGUCUUCUAGACUUUCACUUCAUUGGGUCGAGAGUAUUUGUGUUUUGUAUCUAACCCUUAUUUUACUUUCAGGUAGCUAUGUAUUGACGCCGAGAUCAACCGCCGACGCGGGAUCGUACUGCACCUUCAGAAAUGCCUGAGUCGGCAGAGCCGAGUGCACGGCUAGAAUCGAGCGCACCCCUUGAUCUGAAAGAGCAGUUGGUUGCCUUGACUGAGGUGACGAGGCAGCAGGGAGCAUUAUUAUAGAGGAUGUAUGAGACAUUAGCUCCGCCGCAAAGCAUAAUACGGAGAGCACCAGAGCAGUCAGCCCCACUCCCGACUAUUCCAGUGGCCGCACCAGCCGCAGCUGUAACCCCACAAAUGACAGUUCCUAUAGAUCCAGUUACAUCUUCUGGAGAGGUAUCAUAGAUGUCUGAGGCUGAGCAGGAGUGGAUGACUGAGAGGCUUGCUCGUUUUCGCCGUUUUGAUCCGCCGACCUAUGAUGGCAGCUGCAUGGAGCCCUGGGUUGUAGAGGGCUGGGUCAGCGCGACGGAGAAGCUGUUUGAGGACUUGUUUAUUCCUGAGCGGGAGCAGGUACACUUGGGAGUGCACUGCUUGGCUGGCGAUGCACAUUCUUGGUGGAGGAGGAUGAGGCGAGACCGAGGGUUGGUGGCAUUGUAGAUGAAGUGGGAUGAGUUCUGCGGAAUGCUGUAUGGGAUGUACUUUGCAAACAGCGUGAAGCAGAAGCUCAAGGAGGACCUGAAGAAGCUUCAGUAGGGGGAGCGAUCCGUUCAGAAGUACAUCCGUGAGUUUACUCGACUCGUGAACUGUAUUCCAUUUGUAGCCAGAGACGAGAGCCACAGGGUAUAUUUGUUGAGCGAGGCUUGAGACCAGAGAUCUUUAGGUUGGUACAGGUGCAGAGGUUGAGGACCUUGGAUGCGUCUAUUGAGCAGGCUUUGUGCGUGGAGAGCGGUGAUGUGUUGAUUCAGGAGCGGACUCAGGUGCCGGGGUAGAGUCAAGAUAGGAAGCACCCGGUUCCAGAUAACGGAGGACAGUCGAGCAGUAGACGUCCGCCGAGGCCUCCAUGAUCAUGCUCUCAGGGUCGUGGGUCUUCGGGGCCUCAGCGUUCCAGAGGAUCUCGUCAGCAGGGACAGUCGCAGGGAACGCCGCAGUGUGUGAUUUGUGGAGGACCACACUAGCCUCGACAGUGUGAGCAGAGAGAGGGCCGGUGCUAUGGAUGUGGACAGCCUGGACAUAUGAGGGCAGCGUGUCCCCGAGCAGCCUCACAAGCACCAUCGACAGCAUCAGUACCACCGGCACCUUAGCAAUUUUAGGGAGUAGCAUCGAGUUACCGCCAAGAGGAUAGGGUGUCUAUGCCGCGGCAGGGUGAGCGGCGACAGCAGGUCCCGAGUAGCAGGGUAUAUGCAGCUCAGGUGGAGGACUCUACAGCAGCCGACCGGGUGGUGGCAGGUAUCAUUUUGAUUUCUGGUAUUAGAGCCCGUACCCUUUUUGAUACCGGUGCAUCACAUUCUUUUGUUAGUCAAGUAUUUGCAUCAUUGCAUGGUUUAGAGGUAGGGCUUUUAUUGCAUUCACGAGAGGUGCAGAUUCCCGACCAUGUUUUGUAGGUAGCAGACUAUUGUUGGUCGUGUCCGGUGUAGUUAGAUUCUUGGAUUAUACCAGCAGACCUGUUGGUCUUAGGGCAGCUGCAGGACUUUGACGUUGUGCUUUGCAUGGAUUGGCUGGCACGGUGUUAUACUACUAUCGAUUGCAGAGCAAGGACAGUGACAUUCCGCAAGCCAGGCCAGGAGGAGUUCGUGUAUAGGGGCUGCAGGAGUACGCUGUUUGCCACUUGGAUAUCGUUGACGAGGGUGCGACAGCUGAUGAGUAGAAGAUGUGUUGCUUUUCUGGCGAUGAUUGUGGAUGUGCCUACGACGGCACCGGGACUCAAGGAUAUUCCUAUCGUCCGUGAGUUUUCAGAUGUUUUUCUCCCUAAGUUGACGACGAUGCCGCCGGAUAGAGAGAUCGAGUUUGUGAUUGAUAUAGUUUCUGAAACUGCACCAAUCUCGAAGGCACCCUAUCGGAUGGCACCGGCAGAGCUGAGAGAGCUAAAGGCGCAACUGCAGGAUCUUAUGGAUAAGGGGUAUAUGAGACCCAAUGUAUUGCCUUGGGAGCGCUGGUGUUAUUCGUGAAAAAGAAAGAUGGUUUCACUUAGAUUGUGUGUGGAUUAUCGGGAGCUGAAUAAAGUAACCAUUAAGAACAAGUAUUCUUUGUCGCGCAUCGAUGAUCUAUUUGAUCAGCUGCAAGGAUCUGUGUCUUUUCGAAGAUUUAUCUCCAGUCAGGUUACCACUAGUUGAGGGUGAGGGCCGAGAAUGUUCCCAAGACUGCUUUUCGGACUCGGUACGGGCAUUAUGAGUUCACUGUGAUGCCUUUUGGAUUGACGAAUGCCCCUACUGCAUUUAUGGAUUUGAUGAACAGAGUGUUCAAGCCGUUCUUAGAUAGAUUCGUGGUUGUGUUCAUCGAUGAUAUUCUGAUAUACUCCCGGAGUGAUGUGGAGCAUGAGGAACACUUGAGGAUAGUGUUACAGCUUCUGAGUGAGAAGUUGUAUGCUAAGCUGAAGAAGUGCGAGUUAUGGCUUCGGGAGGUUUCUUUCUUGGGCCAUUGAUUUCUGCGGUUGGAGUAGCAGUGGACCCGAAAAAAAUUGAUGCUAUUCGGGAUUGGCCCAGACCGACGACGGUGACUGAAGUGAGGAGUUUCCUUGGACUAGCUCGAUAUUACCGUCGAUUUGUGGAAGGCUUUGCGAAGCUUUCCACACCCCUCACUCGAUUGACUCGAAAGGGAAUUAAGUUUAUCUGGAGUGAGGACUGUCAGAGGAGCUUCGAUGAGUUGAGACAGAGAUUGAUGUCGGCUCCUAUCCUUACCCUUUCAGUGAUGGGGGAAGAAAUUGUGAUUUACAGUGAUGCAUCGCAUAGUGGAUUGGGUUGUGUGCUGAUGCAGCAUGGUAGGGUAAUUACUUAUGCUUCACGAAAACUGAAGAAUUACAAGAAGAAUUAUCCUAUGCAUGACUUGGAGCUUGCUACGGUGAAUUUUGCUUUGAAGUUGUGGCGGCACUACUUAUAUGGUGAGCACUGUGAGAUUUUCACUGAUCAUAAAAGUCUCAAAUAUCUAUUUACCUAAAAGGAGUUGAACCUGAGGCAACGCCGGUGGUUGGAGUUGUUGAAGGACUAUAAUGUUAGUAUUCAGUAUCACCCCGGCAAGGCGAAUGUGGUAGCAGAUGCGUUGAGCAACAAAUCAAUGCAAAGUUUGGGCAUGAUGAUUACUCAGUAGAGGCUGUUACUUGAGGAGCUGUAGCGGUUAAGACUCGAGGUAGUGUCCCCUGGGUCAACUACAAGACUGAUGCCUAUGGUCUUGCAACCCACUCUGUUAGACAGGAUCAGGGAGAAACAGAGUGGAGACUCUCACUUGUUAAGGAUUCGAGAGAAACUGGAGACGGGAUAGGCUGAGGCCUUUUUAGUGGACAGUUCGGGAGUACUGUGGUACAGGGACCGACUGUGUGUGCCAAUGGAUUUAGAGAUCCGAGAGAAAAUUCUGAGAGAGGCUCAUUAUUCACCUUAUACGGUUCACCCUGGUGGAACCAAGAUGUAUAAGGAUUUGAAGGUACACUUUUGGUGGAACGAAAUGAAGAGAGAUAUUGGCAUAUUUGUAGCUUAGUGUCUUACUUGCCAACAGGUAAAGUCAGAACAUCAGUUACAUGCUGGCAAGCUUCAGAAUCUACCAGUGCCCGAAUGGAAAUGGGAGCAGAUCACGGUGGACUUUGUCGUGGGAUUACCGAGAGCACUGGGUGGUUUCGAUGCUAUUUGGGUGAUAGUGGACAGACUGACUAAGUCUGCUCACUUCCUACCAGUACAGAUCACCUGGUCCAGGGAUAGACUUGCUCAGCUAUAUUUGGAUGAGAUUGUGAUGUUGCAUGGUGUGCCAAUCUCGAUCGUAUCAGACAGAGACCCGAGAUUUGUCUCGCACUUUUGGAGGAGUCUUCAGACAGCCUUCGGUACACGGUUGCAUUUCAGCAAGGCGUUUCACCCACAGACGGAUGGUCAGUCUGAGCGGACCAUUCAAACUCUGAAGGACAUGGUGAGGGCAUGCGUCCUGAACUUUAGAGGAGGGUGGCAUCUACAUUUGAGGCUGGCUAAGUUUGCGUACAACAACAGCUAUCAAACGAGCAUUCAGAUGGCUCCGUUUGAAGCGUUGUGUGGACACAGGUGUCGAUCCCCUCUGUAUUAGAGUGAUGUUCGUGAAAGAAAGACUCUGGGGCCUGAGAUUCUGAUAGAGGCUGAGGAAAAGGUUAAAGCUGUAUGACGACAUCUUUUGACAGCCCAGAGUCGACAGAGGAGCUACGCUAACACCAGGAGACGAGACUUGGAGUUCCAGGUUGGAGAUCAUGUGUUUCUGAAAGUCUCGCCGUUCUGAGGGAUACGCAGAUUCGGAGUACGUGGAAAGCUCAGUCCAUGCUUUGUAGGCUCUUUCGAGGUAUUAGAGCGAGUUGGACCGGUAGCCUAUAGGAUUGCUCUAUUCCUACGACUGGCAGGGAUUCAUGAUGUUUUUCACAUCUCGGCAUUGAGGAGAUACGUGUUUGACCCCUCACACGUGAUCGACUUCACUCCGCUGGAGCUUGGCAAGGACUUGAGAUACGAGGAACGACAUGUGCGAAUUCUGGCCCGUGAGUCGAAAAAAUUGCGCAGCCGGGUCAUCCCGCAUGUAAAGGUACAGUGGAGUCAUCACGAGGAGUGUGAGGCGACCUCGGAGCCAGAGACAGUGAUGCGGGAGUCCUACCCUUACUUAUUAGAAACUCAGAUUUGAUAUAUAUUUUAGGUUUCGAGGAUGAAACUUUUUUUUAGGAGGGGAUGAUGUAAUAUACUAAACCUUAGCAAAUUGGCAAGGUUACAGUAUAAGUUUAUGCUUGAUGGAGUUGGAGACGUUUUGCGCAAAAUAGACGUAAAAACAUACUUUGAAACUCAAGAUUUAUAUUGUAGAAGACUAAAGUUGAAUACUGAGUUAUGGAGAGGCUUGUGGCCAAUUUUGUUUUAUUAAGCGGUGGAGUCCACAUGCUCCCCCAUCCUUAUCCUUUCUUUUUUUGCUUUUUUAUUGCCAAGUUUUGAGCUAAUUAAUUAACAGGGUAGAUGUCACGCCCCGGGUCCGGCGAAGGCCCUCCCGGUAGCGUGCCCAGACCCGCCAUAUGUCUACACAUAUAAGGCGUCUACAACAAAAGCGGAAGUAAAAGCAAGUAAUAGAACAAAUAGAAGAAGUGAAAUAACUAGCAACUAAUGAUAUCAGAGCUAGUAAAGUUCUAACGUCUACACCAAAGUAAAUGAGUAAAGCUAGACAAAAAGAGAAAUCAUAAGUAGUACAAUAACUGUCUCUAGUACAAAAAUGGUGGUCUCUAUACAUAUAUGGGGACAACUCUCAACCUCUCACAAAAAGAAAACACGAGAGAUAGACCACCUAUCGAACGAUCCCUCGGUAAGCAGGCUAGCCCGAGGCGAUACCCUUUCCGCGAUCCCUGGCCUCUCCCUGCGUGGAAGGCUCUGAAAAACAUCGAGAAAAAGAGGGCGUGAGAACUAUAAUUUAUAGUUCCCAGUGGGCAAUUACUGACCUCAGCUCUAUGCACCACUAGGCCCCAAAAGAAAAGGGUAAGUACAAUAAUAAUAGCAAUAAUGACUGCGAUAUAAAGGCAUAAUUAAAAUGCUAAAUUACUAAACUCAAGUAUAAACGAUGUCAUGGUGAUGUACAUCUACGAUAUCAAAAUAGUAUGUCAUUAACCUUUAUGAAUACAUUAUGCAUAAGUUCUGUCAUGACAACCAAGUAUGCUUUAAUGCAAAAAAAGAGACUAUCAAGUAUACUACAUGUCUCAACACUAUGCUAAAAGCAUAUAAAUGUCAUUCAGCUACUAAACCUAUCUAGUAGUGAUUAACCAUUCUCAACACCGUGUCGAUUUCCAUUUCCAAUUAAGGACCUACCAAAGGUAGUCCAGCUUGUGCCGCCUAAGUGCCUGUGGUAGCCCAACAUCCCUACUCUUGGAAUGUGUCUGUCCCACUCGACCCCGUAGGCUUCUCAAUACCGCACGAGCGAACAUAGGUCGCAUAGGCUAACUCCGGAGUGCCGGCUUGUAGGGAGCGACCCUCACAAGCAUGUGCGAAUGAGCACAAAUGGCAAGCAAGUAAGGUCAAAGUCUCAAGUACUCUACUCUCGUGCCUCUCACAUAGCAAGGCCACUAGCAUUCCAAGGGUCUAGUCCACAGUCUCAAGGUGACGCUCCACGCACACUCUCGCUUAGUGCCUCUUUAUGACACUUAAGCAUCACAACUAAUCGUGCCCAAUUCAUGUCCCAUAUUCCAAUUAACUAGGUUCACUUUAGCCCAGGCCCCAUGCCUCUUUAUGACAUUGGCCCAAUCUCAAAUAGUCUAAGUUCUCAAGCCUUCUCUAGGCCUCUAAAAUUCCUAAUGUCACAAUCGGCAUAUAGGUUAAAUGCAUGAAAGCAAGGUUUCAUUUCCAUAAUAGGAAUCAUGGUUCCCAAUCAUAACUAGAAUGCUAAGUCUCACAUGCAUGCACUCUACCACAUAGGGGUCUAAAAUUUUACUAUACAUAAUAUAUGCAUGUUAAGCAUUCUAAAAUUCAUAUUAAAUACAUUUAACAUGAAAAUACAUGAAUUUCUAUUUUACGAAACAUAUUUGCCAGAUAUGAGCAUUUCUCAUAUCCUAGGCUAGGUCAAACCCACCGAACCGUCGCGUGCUCCUUCGAUUCGCCGAACGGAGUUGUCCACGAGCCUCAAAACACCCUAAAAGUAAUCAGCGAAGGGAUACACGGGCAUUACGAUCAAUUAUAAGAUCAAACUUUAACAACCUAACAAAAGGGCUAAAACUCACCUCAAGAGAAGAAAUCUCUUCCAAAGCUCUAAAAGAAAGUUAGAACCCUUCCAAUCCAAGCCCAAGGAAGGUUCUAAUCCAAUCAAUCUAGCCUCAAAAGCCCUAGAUCAAAAAGCCCCAAAAUCAACCCUAAAUCUCAUUUCUAGGGUUCCAAGAGGUAACAUCUACCAAAACAAGAAUCAAAGGGUAGAAUCAAAGUACUAACCUCUAGAGAUGCCUCAAAAUAAGCUCCAAAUCUUCUAGGGUUGAAGAUUGGUCCACCACCAAGCCCUACAAGCAAGCUCCAAGCCUUGCAAAGGUGGGAAAGAGAGAAAGGGGUUGAGCUCCGAGCUCCCUCAAGUUAGCUCCCCUUCUUCUUCUCCUCCUUCUUCUUCUUCUUCUCUCUCUAGAAAGUGUAGGGAGAGGGUGAGAAUGAGAAAAUGAGGGAGGGAAGAGGAGGAAAUGGCUAAUAAGCCCAUCUAGUGUAACAAAAUCCGGAGAGACCCCUCAAAAACCCAAUAUUGCAUCAGCCCGGUCUGGGCAUUUUUCGCCCAGAGGGACCGGUCUCUCCCCAGCAAGGACCGGUCUCUCGAUGCGAACCCGAAAAACCAUCGUUCGGGAACCGGUCUCUCCCUGCGUGGGACCGGUCUCUCUCUGCGAAGGCGCGCUCGGGGACCGGUCUCGCCUGCCAGGGACCGGUUGCCUCAGGGCUGCCACAAUACUGCUCACUGGGGGACCGGUCUCUCCUUCCAGGGACCAGCCCCCGAGAGUAAAAACUCUCAGGACUUGUCCAGAAUUCCAGUUUUCGAACUUUUUAGGUCGGAAAACAUUCCACAACCCUCCACCAAGUGUGGAAAAGCUCGAAAUACAUCCAAACACUCGAACCUCGCAAUUUGCAAAGGUCCAGUGCGUUACAGUAGAACUUGGUUUCGUUCUUACGAGCGAGAGAGCGAGUCGAGGGCGUGCACGUGUAUUUUUAGCGUGUGGGUGUCGCGGUUGUGCCGUUGGGGGAGACCGGGCGAGCGUGUGGGUUGUCUUCUUUAGACUUCUCGCCGUUGUUGGACGCGCUUUUGAGGUGGGUUAAUGUUUACCGAAAUCGUCGGUUUUUCUCCUAAGCCGAAGUUGACAGCAUGUAUUUUUGGCUUUGUAUAUCAUGUUUAUUAGCUCGAUUCAUCGAUUUGCAUUGUUCAUAAAUGAAAUCUGAAUUGGAGCUUUAAAUGCUAGUUUUAUUAUACAUGUUGGACUUGGAAUUGACUUAGGAGAAAACUAUAGGUUCUACACUGUCAUUUUCUGAAAACUACCAUAUUUAGCUUUAGUAGCUGUAAUUUAUUUGUAUCGCCGCAGUUUGUAGCGGUGGAUAUCCAGAAUAGUGUAGAAUGAAAUUACGCUCGUGCUGAAAUGCGGAGUUUAUUUUUACAGUAGUGUAUAGACUGUUCCGGACUGUCGGGUGCCGUGGUGGUUGACGGUGGACCCAGUUUGCUGUUUGUAUAUCGGAUUGUGCCGAGGGCACGUGAGUUUUGAUGGUUAGACCAGUUUGACCCUUCUGCUUUGAUUAUAGCUUAUGAGAGCCUGAUUGAGCUCGGCAGAGACACGCUUGCAUACUCGGUUGGGUAGCACCCACGAGUGCCACUCCGGAGUCGGGCUUUGUGCGUUUGCGUUGGUGUCGUUGUGUUCUGGUUGGACUCGCUCUCCACUGACUACCCAGCGUGGUGGUUGUUAGUGUAGCUUCGACAGGCAGGACCGGUGUGUUCACAGUCCCUAAUGAGAUUGGGUGAGAGAUUGUAUUUUUCUACAGAUAGUAUUGUUGGAUCAUGAUAGUAUAGUGGCAUAUAGCUGUAGAUUGUUUCCAGUUCCUUUACUAUUCUUGGGCAUACUUUCUGUAGACUUAGUGGGUGAGACGUUGAGAUCGGUAGCGGUACCUAUUGAGGACUACUUCUUUUUGCAGUAGUUCUCACACCCAGUGUUUGACCCCUUUUUGCAGAGCUCUUCUGCGUCUGCUGCUGUUCCUGACACUGAUCGAGGGAAGGGCGUUGCGAGUUAGAUCCCUUCCAGAUGACUUGCAGAGCUAGAGGAGUACCUUCUACAGGUAGUUUUAGGAUUUUUAUGUGUUAAGGAUUUUGUAUUGGCAAGUUUCGUGAAGUGAGUCGGAGUCUUGAAGGAUCGAAGCGGAUUGACGAAGAUUGAAGAAUUCAAGAUUUCGAAGAUUUUGGAAAGUAGCUCACAAUGUGAAUCACGACGUAAAGGUAAAGUUUUAAUUCAUAAUAUGGUGAUUCAUACUGUAACGCACUGGACCUUUGCAAAUUGUGAGGUUCGAGUGUUUGGUUGUAUUUCGAGCUUUUCCACACUUGGUGGAGGUUGUAGAAUGUUUUCCGACCUAGAAAGUUCGAAAACUGGAAUUCUGGACAAGUCCUAAGAGUUUUUACUCUCGGGGACCGGUCCCUGAAAGGAGAGACCGGUCCCCCAGUGAGCAGUGCUGCGGCAGCCCUGAGGCAACCGGUCCCUGGCGGGCGAGACCGGUCCCCGAGCGCGUCUACGCAGUGAGAGACCGGUCCCCGAGCGCGUCUACGCAGUGAGAGACCGGUCCCGCGCAGGGAGAGACCGGUUCCCGAACGAUGGUUUUUCGGGUUCGCAGCGUGAGACUGGUCCCUGCUGGGGAGAGACCGGUCCCUCUGGGCGAAAACUGCCCAGUUCGGGCUGAUGCAAUUUUGAAUUUUUGAGGGGCCUCUUGGGAUUUUGUUACAAUAGAGGGUCUAUAUGACCCAUCCCCUCUGUAAUAUACCGAAAAUUCGAAAAAUAAAUAUCGAACUUUAGUCAAAUUGACCAAAGUGCGAGGACGGUACACUUCGGAAAGUCCGAAGGUGUUAAAACGAUCAAAAGUGCGUUGUGGAAGGUUUUCGAGAGCUAAAGAAUCAAAUUCUGCAAAACUGCAGAUUUUCAGCUCUCGGGGACCGGUCCCUGGUGGGAGAGACCGGUCCCCGAAUGCGCAGGAAAUGGGACAGCCGAAAAAUCGGCUAAGUCCUGAGAAACUAGCUCUCGGGAACCGGUCCCUGCCUGAGAGACCGGUCCCCCAAGGAGAGACCGGUUGCACUGCGCGCAGCAGCUCUGGCUGCGCUGGGACGACGUUCGGGAACCGGUCCCUGAAGGAGAGACCGGUCCCCACCUGCGCGAAUUGCCCAGUUCGGGCAGUGUAUUAAAGUGAAAGUGGAGGGGUUUAUUUGCAUUUUGGCAACCCAAUAGCUAUGUUAUGGGGCCUAAUGAGAUUUCCUCUCAUUUUUCCCCUCUCAUUCCCUCUCAUCUCUCUUUCUCUCUCUAGAAGACAAAGAAGGAGAAGAAGAAAACAAAGAAAGGAAGGGAAAGAAGGAGAAGAAAGUGAAGGAGAAGAUUAAGGAGCAAAGAGGUUUCAUCUUCUUCCUCUCUAGUGCAAGAAAGGAAAGCUUAUAAGGUAAGCUUUGAACCCUAUUGUAGUAAAACCCUAAAAUGGGCUUUGAAUAAACCUAAAAAUCGUUUUAAUGGAAUCUUUAGAGUAUUUGAAGCUUUUCCUUUGCUUCUUUAGAGAUCAAGACCAUGAAAAUGGUGAGGCUUGAGGUGAGCUUCAUCACCUCUCAUGGUGAAACCCUAAGUAGGGUUUUGAUUUGUCUAAAAAUGAUUCUAAUGGACUAAUUAGAGUAUAUUGAAGCUACUUUUGCUUCUCUUUGAGAUCAAACCCUAGGUUUGAUAUAUGUAUUGGAGCUAGGGCACCAAAUUGGGGCUUUUGCUCAUGGGGAUUUCUAAGUGCAAUUGACCCUCUAGAAACCUAAUUGGGGGUAUUUCCGACGCGUUGGUGCGCUCGGAUUAACGUUACAAAAAGCCGAUGCAAAGUUAUGGCCAAAUAAGCCUAAUUUGGCUUCGUUAUGCCACAGGUAGUGAACCGGAUGUCUAAAAAUCCCAAGAAAAUCGUCGGAGCACCUUUAGAAGCCUACGAGGUGGGUGGUUCUUCUCAAACUCAUUGAACUUCUCUCUAUGCCUAAUGUGUCAUUCUUUUGAGCAUGUAUAUAUAUAUAUGUUGUUGCAUGCAUUUUAGGGUAAAGUGAUGAUAAAAAUGUGAUAUUGCAUGAUUGUGAGUACAACUUGCAUAAUAUGAUGAAUGAGAGCUAUGUGAACGUCAAAAACCCUAGAUGUAUGCAUGAGAGAAAAUGUGAGUACCCAAGUGAGGCAAAAGAACAGAGUGACACUAUGACAUAGAAUCGCUCAUGAAAUUUUCUUUCCAAUUCGUCCCAACCUUGGACGGAAUUGGCUGAUAAACUUGUAUACUAAGUAAACGCCGUUUUAGUUAAAGACGUGUUAAAUAAUCGAAGUUUCAAAAAUGAGUCAGCGGCCGCUUCUCUACAUUGGGCCGUGAACCGGACUAUAUGCUCGACCGUAUUCUCGGUCUCAUCGCCCGAGAACUUGUCGAACUUCGACAGUUUCUAGUUUGGCGGAUACGGAUGCUCUGUAUCUAUGUUAGCUGGAUACAGGGAUCGAAAAAUAGGCCGCAUAGCCGGCCUAGCCCCUAUUCCGAAGAUAUCCGAAUGACUUCCUCAAUCUGAGCCUACAGCGGAGCUUGUGCUGAGCCAAAUUUGGCCCUUGAGGAACUCUAGAAUUUUGUAUUGCAGGGUUCGCUCCUUGCAUAUCAUUAGGGGCCUGCCCCCAGCCCUAAUCCCUAUAUUUUGGGGUUGAUAAGCUGGUAAAGGAGGUAAACCCGAUGCAAUCUCCGACUAAGGGUUAGCGUUUAUAUUCGCCGGCCUGUAAGCAACCUGGAAAGGUGCCAUUUGCGGUUCCACCUGUGAGACCGCCAGCAUGACUGGAUUUUGUUGCACCGGCACAUUUAGGGGCCCUUGUUGCCCCCCAUAAGGUUGCUCGUUUCGGGUAAAUAAUUGUCUGAUUCGACCAUUAUUUUUAUUAUAGGCCGUUAUAGCGGCCAGCACCGCAUCUAGUUGAGCGGUACUUUGAUGGAUAUUUUGAUCUAAAGUUUACAGGACUCGGCUCAUCUGGCCGACUGCCUGAGUUAGACUCGGCUCUUGAUGAGCCGACUGUCCACUAGUUUCUCCUUCAACUGGCAAAACUGCUUGACAUUCGCUAGCAUUGUCUGAAUCACUAGGUUGAUUACUCCCAGAAUUUCUAGGAACAACCCUAUUACGUAGAUUCAUGGCGUUAUCAUCAGCUAUGAUUUAUAUAAAAUAUAAAUUUACCUAAAAAUGUGUCCCACCGGGCGUGCCAAAAAAUUAUUGGUAGCCUAAUUUUCCGACCCUUGACCCAGUCAAAUAUCUUCCUCGGGAAGCGUGUCGGGGUGAGGAACGGCUGCGGAUAGUGACCCUCGAAGUUUGCGCCCUUCGACAGAUCAGGCGAUUCACCUGACGAAGGAUCGGAUCAGCCGAGUUCGAAAACCUUUACUGUAGAAUCGGUUCGGCUGGAUGAGCCGAUUGUACGAACUGUGUAGGGAUCAAUGUCGGCAGAAGUGCCGAAUGGAAGAAGUACACAGUAACUGGUCGGCUGAAAGAGCCGAAUGAAAGAAGUACACAAUGACUGGUAAGCUGAAAGAGCCGAAUAGAAGAAGUACACAAUGAUUGGCCGGCUGAAAGAGCCAAAUGCCUUUAUAUAAUAAUAAAAAAGAGUGUGCCCGAAGGGCAUACAGACUCAGAAAUAUAGUUUACAACAGAGUGAUGCCCGUGGGGCAGACAGACUCUGCAAAUGUAGUCUACAACGGAGUGAUGCCCGUGGGGCAGAUAGACUCCAGGGUUCUAUUUAGCGAACUACUCUUAGGAAAGCAGUAAAUGCGGAAAAGAAAAAGAUUACAUUUAGACUACUCCUAGAAAAGCGAUAAAAUGUAGAGGAAAUAAGGGUGGUCUUCUCGUUCAGGGUGGAGAAAGACCUUUAUUACAGGCUUUGAAAUUACUAUUUAUAGUGAUGUCUUCUAAGCCCACAUUAUUGGUCGGUUGAAAGUAGUGGGGGGAGUGGUUGUAACCAUGAUCGUGGAAGUUACGCCCACUCCUCAUGGAAGUUACGCUCCAUCGUAGAAGUUAUGCCCACUUCUCAACCGUUCCUGCCUAAAACCUUCAGGCGCCUUAUUGUCGACUCCUGGUGUACCACGUAUCCUUAUUGGCUCAUACGCGGGUUAGGUCGGCAUGUUAAUUUCAAUUUUGGCAUCAACAACACCAUUAAACAUGAUCUAGAGUAUUUGAAACUUUCAGAAGUACCAAGUCAUUUGUACUUGUAAGUUUCGGCCCUUGGAUUAAAAAAUGUGUGGUUAGGAUGAUAGUGGCCCCCUAGGGUUGAGUGGAUGGUUGGUUGAAUAGUAUGAUCUAACAGGUAUGAAUGGUCAAAGGAGUAAAUCUAACGGCAAAAAACUUACAAGCAUCAAUUAGUCCGACUUCAUAUAUAUAUAUAUAUAUAUAUAGUGUGAGGCUACUAUGCUUCUGGAAGCACGGAAAGUCUAAUCUAGAGGGAGAGGAUGAGCUACCAACCUUUUAGAAGCUUCAAACAAGGUUCAAAAUCCUCCAAGAGUGGAGAUCUCCCUCUCCCCAAGCUCCAAGAUCAAGCUCCAAUGGUGGAAAAGCUACCAACAAGCAAAAGAAGCAAAAAAGAGGUUUAAUCCACCAAAAUCCCAGCUAAAAAGGGUUAAAAAUCCGAAGAGAUGGUGAGGAGGGGUACCCUACCUUCUCCUCCCUGUGAUCUGAGCUCAGGAGGCGCCGUAAGGGGCGUGGGUCCUAAAUAGAUUAGGCACAAACGCGAAAAACCUCCUGCAGUUUGGACUGCUCAAAAAUUGCCUCUGCGUACUAGUACACGGGCCCGCGUACCCUGCCACGAAAACGCCCAACCCGAGCCUCGGGUUGGCUGAGACAAUGCUACAGUUGAUGGCUGUACCGGUACAACCAUCACCCCGCACCGGUACACCAGCCUUUGAAGGCUACCCGAGAGCUAACCAAAAUCCAAUUUUUUUUGGAUUUUUGGUACCAGCUUAAAACCACAAUUCUCGAGAUGCGAGCCAUGGGUCGGAACACUGUCUACGACCUUCCAGAAAGUCUAAAAAAGCUCGACACAUCGAUCAAACACUUGAACCUCGCAAUUUGCAAAGGUCCAGUGUGUUACAUAUAUAUAUAUAUAUAUAUAGAGAGAGAGAGAGAGAAAGAGAGAGAGAGAGAGCACUAGGCUGGAAUACUAUCAAUAGCACCAAGUUAUUGGUGCUAUUAAUUUUUUAGAUCUUGGAUUGAGAAAUGUGCGGUUAGGAUGAUGUGGACCCCCUAGGUUGAGUGGGUAGUUGGUUGAAUAGUAUAAUCUAAUGGGAAAAAAUAAUAAAAAGGUUAAAUCUAAUUGUGGAAAUACUCGCAUCGAUAGCCACCAAACCCUAGUGCUAUCGAAUAUGUAUCCGCGCGACUCUAGAUAUAUAUAUAUUAUAAAUAUAUUAUAUUAUAUAUAUAUAUAUAUAUAUAUAUAUAUAUUAAUAUAUAUAUAUAGAGCGGGACUGCUGUGCUCUCAGAGAGCACGGAGGCCUCCGUGCUCCUGACCCUUUUUCGAUGAUUGAAAUUUUCGAAUCGACGAUCGGCUCCAUUAGACUUGAUCUAGCUAUUUGAAGUUUCUAGAAAAUAAUUUUUGCGAUUUUUUGAUAUCAUUUACUCUCGCAAUCGAAAGGAUUCAAAAUCAAUAAUUUUUAACAGGUUGAAAUAAAAAAUCCUAUAAAAAAGUUGUGAUAUAGCCCACUAAAAUUUUUCGAUCAAAAAUAUUGAUCUUGUUGUAGAUAGAUAAAGAAUUUUGUAUCAAAAAUUUUCUGAUUUGAAUACUUCUACACCGUUAAACUUGAAAACGGAGAUAUCAACCAUUAAAAAUUAUUGAUUUGAAACUUUCGACACUAGGUAAAUAAUAUCAAAAAAUCGCCAAAAUAUUUUCUAGAAACUUCAAAUACCCUAGAUCAAGUCUAACGGAGCCGAUCUCAUUCGAAAAUCCAUCAUCGAAAUGGCUCAGGAGAACGGAUGGCCUCCGUGCUUCUGAGAGCACAAGCAGCCCUGCUCUCUCUAUAUAUAUAUAUAUUAUAUAUAUAUAUAUAUAUAUAUAUUAUAUAUAUAUAUAUAUUUGUCAGGCCCCGGGCACCAGCGGAAGCCCGCCCGCGCGCGGUCCAGACCGCUGUAGUCUAAACAUACAAGGCGUCUAAAUAAAGUGGUAAAUAAAACAAUACAAGAAGAUCUAGGAGUAUCAGAGCAAAGUAACUACGAAAUGCUACAACAAUAAGAAGACCAUAAAACUGAUAAUCCGCUAGUAAACAUAUAAGGUAAUAUAAAAGCGGUCCAAAGCAAGUACAAAUCUGAAUAUAAGGUGGUCUCUCUAUACAUGGUGCCAAAACUCUCCCUCUUUCAAAUACAAACAAAGAAGGAGUACCACUAUCGGCAAAACGGGCUCUCUCCCGAGCUUGCUACGCCGACACCUUGCCGCGAUCCGUGCCUCCGCCGGUGCUGAAGGCUCUGAAAAAACUUAGAAAAGCGGGCGUGAAAAACUAUUAAACAAUAGUCCUAGUGGGCAAUUACUGACUUCAGUGAAAGCGCCACUAGGCCCAAAACUACAAACAGUUGAGGUCGGCUGUGUACAAGUAUAAGCCAAAGCGAUAAGAACAACAAGGAAAUAAAUAUGAAUAACUAUUCAACCAUGAUAUCUCUACUUAGCAUGAUUUGCAUAAGUAAUGAAGGCAAUUACUACAGUAUGUGCACAAGAGUAUCCAACAUGCGAAUGCAUAAAUAUGCAUAUCCAAUGUCCACAAGUAAAUAGUAAAAAUGUCAUUGUUUACUAUUCUAGUCAAUGUCCACUUGUCACUUUAAUUUUUACUGUUCAACUUUGAUAGACCACCCGAGGUGUCUGGCAUAAGACCCACCCGAAGGCUGUCUGGCAUAAGACCACAUCCCAAAGGUUGUCUGGCUUUACCGUACCUAAUGGCCCCGGUCGUAGUCAACAUCCUCCCUAGCGAUGAGCUUUUUGUAAUGCACUGGAUCUUGCAAAUCGCAAGAUUCGAGUGUUUGACCCGUGUAUGGAGCCUUUCCACAGUUUUCGGAGGGUCGUUGAUAGUGUUCCGACCCCUGGCACGCAUCCCGAGGAUGUUGGAGUGAGACUAGGCACCAAAAUCCCAAAACUGAAAUUUUUGGUCAGCUCUCGGGUAGCCUGCAGCAGAGAUUGUACCGGAACAAGACUGGGCUUGUACCGGUACAAGGUUGAUGGUUGUACCGGUACAGCCAUCGGGCUUGUACCGGUACAGAGGCGCAGACCCCGCGACCCGAGCCUCGGGUUUGCAAUUUCGUCGGCCUUGUACCGGUACAAGAGCCCGUGUACCGGUACAAGGAGACAGUUUUCGUGCAGAUUGGUCUGCAGGGGUGUUUUUGCUAUUGUAGCACUUCUAUAAGUGCACCCCACGCCCCUUAGGGCCUCCCCUGUGCAGAGACCAGCAAGAGUUGAGGUAGGAGGAGCUUUCUGUCCCUUCUUUUGCAUUUUUACUCCUUUUGCUUGGUUUUUAUUGGGUUUUCUCUCCUCUAUUUGCAUCUUGGUGGCUUCUCCACCAUUGUUGAUGACUUAGAGCUUGGAGAGGAGCUAGUGGCUGCGGAGAUCUUCAACAUCACUUGGAUUGGAGCUAAGUUUGGAGCUUCUAGAGAGGUUAGAGACUUGAUUUCUCCCUUUGAUUCUUGAUUUGAGGUUUUUGUGAGAUGAAACCCUAGAAUGAGGUUUUAGGGCUUAAAUUGGGAAUUUUGAAUAUAGGGCUUUUGAAGCUAGAUUGAGUGGAUUAGAGGCUUCCAUUUGGUUGGAUUGGAAGGGCCCUAGCUCUCUUUUGGAGCUUUAGAGGAGAUUUUGGCAUUAGAGGUGAGUUUUCCUCACCUAUGCUUGAUUAGCUUAAUGAUUGAGCCAGGUAUUGAUCGUUUGGCUCGUAUGACACAUGUUUCUAUACCUCUAGGGUACUAGGAGACUAGAGUACACCCUCGUGGGAGCGAACGAGGAAUUUCGUCGUCAUCGGUGGGUUUGGCUUCGUGGAAAUAGGGCGAAAUGGCCCCUAUGCUCUUUCUACUUGUUGUAAAAUAUAUUUAAAUUUAUUUCUAUGCUAAAUGGAAUUUAUAUAAAUUUUAGAGCACUUAAAAUGCAUGCAUUGUGUAUUAUAAAAAUUUCACUAUAUAGUAGAGCUAUAUGAGUAGAAUGCAUGCAUAAGGGAAAAGUGUUUAUUUUGCAAGUGGAAAAUACAUCUCCUAUGAGGAUUAUGACUUGAAAUAUGUACUUUGAAACAUAGUUGCCAUGCUUUGACAUAGAGAACAAGAGUGUCAUAAAGGGGCACUUGAAACUAGUAAACUAUGAAACUGCAACGUAGAGACAUAUUGAUAGGCCACUACAUAUCUGCUAUAUUCCAUGUUAGAGACAUGAUGACAUAGGGAUAGGCCUAUGAGAUUGGUGACAUAUAUUCCAUGUUAUUAGACAUGAGGACUUGGUACUUGUGACAGAUCGUUUGACUACUUGCCAUUGUGCUCAUUCGCACAUGCUUGUGAGGGUCGCUCCCUACAAGCCGGCACUCCGGAGAUAGCCAUCGCGAUUCAUAUUCGCCGUGCGGGAUUGGGCGCCGAAGUGGAUUGCCGUGGGACAGGCUCAUUCCUAGGGUGGGGAUGAUGACUACCACGGGGCCAUUAGGCUCGGCACCGGCCAGACAGCCUACGGGUGGGUCUCAGGGCCAUAGACAGCCUUCGGGUGGGUCUCUUCAGAUUUGACUUUGAGUAUUCAUUAUGACAUGUGGACAGAUGAUGACUUAGUGUACUACUUGGACAUUGACUAGAAUAGUAAACAACGGAACUUUACUAUUUCGCAUUGUGAAUAUUAGGAUAGUUGGAGACUUUCACUUCAUGCAUAGUUGCUUCGUACUUAUGCUAUUCAUGCUAAGUAGAGAUAUCAUGUUGUAGUAAAUUAUAUUUUACUUACCCUUCGCUUUUCUACAUUUAUAGUCACUGACAUCUUUUGUAGCUUUGGGCCUUGUGGUGCAUCACUGAAGUAAGUAAUUGCCCACUGGGAACUAUUUUUAAUAGUUCUCACGCCCCCAUUUUAUGGUUUACUUUUCAAAGCCUUCGGCACCGGCGGAGGCACGGGAUCGCGGCAAGGGGAUCGCUUAGCUAGCUAGCGAGGAGCGGAGGCACGGGAUCGCGGCAAGGGGAUCGCUUAGCUAGCUAGCGAGGAGCGGCACUUUGCCUAGGUGGUUUACUCUUUCUUUUUGUAGUUGGGAGAGUGAGAGGUUUUUGUAUUCAUGUAUAGAGACCACCUAUGUAUCUACCUAUAACACUUGUAUCUGGAAUUUUCUUGUAUCACUCUAUGUUUUAUUUAGCGGAUUUACAGUUUUAUCCUUAUCCCUUGUUGUUGCAUUUAGACUUUUAUUAUGCUCUGAUACUCCUAGAUGCCUUUUACUACUGCUUUUAUUAUUGUUGUUUUUAGACGCCUUAUAUGUUUUAGACAUAUGGCGGGUCUGGGCACGUGCCGGGCGAGCCUCCGCUGGGUUCCGGGGCGUGACAGAUUAAUUUCGUAUCAGAGCCUAGGGUUGAGUCUUAGGGGACCUAGCAAACCUUAGGCCGGUUGGACUAUAGGAAAUAGGCUCGUGAGAGACGAGAUCUAUUCGACUUGUGAGCGAAAGUAUUAUGAUUGGGUAUUAUGAUAACUCUAAAAAGUUAGAGUUGAUUGGAGUUUUUGGCUUCUAACUUCACGGAGGGUUACGUUGGCGGCCUACAACGUAACAUCGGGAGUUAGUUGUGGAUAACACUUCCUUACUUUCGCAUGAAUUGGGAUUUGUCUUUUGAGCGGGGGUGCGAUAGCGUGAGGUCGAGACCAUGCGGCAAACUUCGAGGAGGUCGAGACCUCCGCUACCUCCGGAUCCAGCGAGGUCCGUGAGUUGAGGGGCCAGCUUGCGGCCCUCACUGAUUUCGUCACUCAGCAGGCGGAGGCGGCCCGACAGCAGACCGAUGCGGCGCGCCGACAGGAGGCGCGGAUGAAGCGUCUGGAGGACCUACUAUUGUAGCAGGCGGCAGCUUCCAGGGAGACUCAGGCCCCUACACCGCCAGCACCAGUUGUGGACGUUGCACCGAGAGCGCCGUCCCCCGCGCCCAGUUCUUCGCGUGCGGCGCCUGCGGCCGCACCCCAGGAGGAGGUUUUGGUGGCACCACCUGUGCUGAGGCCCCCGGUUGGAACAGCUUUUCCUACCUUGGUUGAGGGGGCGGAGCGAGACAGACUGAUGGAGCGCCUCAACGAGUUUAGGAGGUGCAGCUCCCGAGUCUUCGACGGCGAGAAAGUCGACCACUGGAUCGUAGAGAAGUGGUUGAUGCAUAUGGAGAAGCUCUUCCGUACACCUUCGUGGAGGAGAGGGAUCGAGUUUGGCUCGCCACUCACUACUUGGACGGCGAGGCCUACCGCUGGUGGUUGGAUUUUCAGGAGCACCCCAGCACUGACUUGGCAGCUAUUACUUGGACGAGGUUCAAGCAGCUUUUUCUGGCGCACUACUUCCCGACUAGCGUCAAGAGGAAGAUGGAGCAGGAUUUGCGCAGCUUGCGCCAGGGUGACAGGACCGUAGCCGAGUACGAGAGGGAGUUUUCUCGGCUUUUGCAUUGUGUGCCCUUCGUCGUGCGGGACGACGAGGACAAGGCCCGCAUCUUCGAGCGAGGGUUGCGACCGUCGAUUUUUCGGUUUGUGCAUUCCUCUAACCUCCAAACCUACCGGGAGGUGGUGGAUCGCGCGCUCAUCGUGGAGAGCGGCGCGACAGAGGUCCAGGAGCAGCGAGAGGCUAGGGACAAGGGUAAGGCCAAGAGGCCUGCGGUGGAGGGUGCGAGCCAGACGCACUCUAGGAGGCCGCCGAAGCAUCCGAGGAGCCAGCAACGUGGACGCGGCUCAGCAGCGCAUCGAGGAGGAUCCGAUCGGCGCCGGCCUUCCCCGUGUGUGAUCUGCGGUGGCCCCUAUUACCCACCGCAGUGCCCACAGCGGGCGGGCAGAUGUUUCCAGUGUGGCCAGGAGGGCCACAUCCGUACCGAGUGCCCGAGAGGUUCUUCACCGGCACCGUCGACUGCAUCGGCACCGGCUCUACCAGCCGUCAGCCACGGGACUCCGUCGACACAGUACCAGCCUGGGCGGCCACCCGUCCAGCGCCAGAGCGAGAGAUCUCGACAGGCCCCGAGUGGGCGCAUGUACGCGGCUCAGACCGAGGAGGCGGCAGCAGCCGAGGAUGUGGUUGCAGGUAUCAUUUUACUUGAUGGCAUUAGAGUUCGUGCUUUAUUCGAUGCCGGUGCAUCGCAUUCAUUUAUAGAUCGGCUGUUUGCCGAGUUGCAUGGCAUCCCUUUGGUUCCUUUGUUGCAUACAGGACAUGUUGUUGUACCCGACCACAUCUUGGACAUUAGAGAGUAUAGCCCCAGUUGCCCUAUUCGGGUAGGAGAUUGGAUCAAGCCUGUAGAUUUGCUAGCUUUGCGCAAGCUGGGGGAUUUUGAUGUGGUCUUGGGCAUGGAUUGGUUGACCAAGUAUUAUGCCACGAUUGAUUGCAAGAAUCGCACGGUUACUUUUAGAGNNNNNNNNNNNNNNNNNNNNNNNNNAGAAUGAGUAUUACCUACUAUGCAAUAAUGAAACCGGCAAGUAUACUAAAUGUACCAAUUCAUAUCAUGAGCAUGUCCAAGGCCAAUCAACUACAAUCCUACAGUAGUAGUGAAUUGUCCGUAUACAACACCGUGUUGAUUUUCAUUUCCAAUUUAAGGACCUACUCAAGGUAGUCCAGCCUUGGGCCUUAAGUGCCUUGGUUAGCCCAACAUGCCCUACCUCCUUGGAAUGUGUUGUCCCACUCCGAACCUGCGCGUAGCUUCCAAUACCGCACGAGCGACACGAAGUCGCGUAGGCUAAUCUGGAGUGCCGCUUGUAGGGGAGCAACCCUCACAAGCAUGUGCGAAUGAGCACAAAUGCAAGCCAGCGUAUCCAAGUCUGCAAAGUGUCCAACCUCAAUGGUCUCUAACAUGGGAUUCAUAACUAGCACCCGAAAGACUAGUCUAAUUCACAAGAGCAAGUCGAACAUUCAUUACGCCUAGUGCCCCUUGAUGACACUUAGACAACUAAUGUUCAACAUAACCCCACAUCCCCCUCCAUGAAGCUCCUAACUUCACUAGUUCCACACAUGUCCCGAGCCUCAAUGCCGCUUGAAGACAUUAGCUCUCCAAAUUCACAUACAAUUCUAGUUGAUACUCUAUAUGGCAAUUUGUCCAACUUUCAUGGUCUCAAAUAAACUUAGGUUAAAUGCAUAGUCCAAAUCUUAUUUACAUUAUAGAAGUUAUGAAAACCACACUCUCGUAUAGAAUGCAAUGCAACCAUAGGCCCACCAAGCUAUCUCUCUUACUACAUAGAGGUCCAAAAUUCAGAAAAAUAUAUAGAUACAUAGGCCUUGUUAAGCAUUCUAAAAUUCACAAUAAAAUACAUACAAUAGAAUAUGAAUGCUUUUCCAUUUAACGAUACUUAAUUAAGCAACAAAAUGGAGAAUCCAUUGGUGUGGCUAGGUCAAACACCGCCACCGAACCGUCGCGUAGGGCCUCCCGAUUCGCCGAACGCAAAGUUGUCCCGAGUUCAAAAUACCCCUAAAGUAUUGAGUCGACAAGAUACACGGGCAUUACGAUCGACUAUAAGACAAACUUUAACAAAUUAACAAAAGGGCUUAAAACUCACCUAAUGUGUGGACAAAUCUCUCCUUAAGCUCCAAAAGAGAUGCAAAGUUCCUCCCAAAUCCAAGCCCAAGGAAGGUUCUAAACAACUAAUUACAGCUCCAAAAGCCCUUAGAUUCAAAAACGCCAAAAAAGCCCUAAAAUCUCAUUCUAGGUUUCAUCUCAAAACCAUCAAUAAAAAGUCCAUACACCAAAGAGAGCGAUAAUUGGAUUACCUCUUAGAAGCUCAUCUAAGCCUAAACUCGUGAAAAAUCCCAAGAUCUUCCCUCAACAAAUCCACCCAAAGACUCAAGCCUCCAAGCUUCACAAAUGUAGAAAAGCAAAGAAAAGUGGAAAAGAGAAGGAGCAACACUUAAAUCCCAAGCUAAAAAGAAUCAAAUCCAAAGGGGUGAAGGGGAAGUGCCCUACCCUUCCUUCCUGCAAAGGUGAGCUCAAAGGAGGGCCCUAGAGGAUGGGCUGAUAUAUAGUAGACCCACAAACGCAAAAAACACCCUGCAGUUGAACUGCACAAAAUCAGCCUCCUUGUACGGUACACGGGCUCUUGUACGCGCGGUUACAAGGCGCCACGAAAUGCAAACUCCGAGGCUGGUCGCGGGGUCUCGGCUCUGUACCGGUACAAGCCCGAUGGCUGACUGGUCAACAACCAUCAAUUCUUGUACCGGUACAAGACCAACCUUCGUUCCGGUACAAGCUCUGCUGCGGGCUAACACCGAGAGCGGUCCAAUGAGAUCCCAAUUUUGAUUUGGUACCAAGCUUAAAAACCACAAUUCUCGGGACUUCGAACCGCAUAGUCGAACACUGGUCCAACGACCCACCAGAAAGUCCUGAAAAAGCGCGACAACACCAGAUCAAACACUCCGAAACUCGCAAUUUGCAAUAGGUCCAGUGUGUUACAUCACCCCUCCAAAAAAGGGAUUUCGUCCGCGAAACUCAAAAACAAACCAAGGUACCUCAAGCCCUCCCAUCUAAAAAGAUGGCGAUAGCGCUCCCCGCAGUGCGCUCUCCAACUUCACAAGUUGGUCUCGCGCUCAAUCGUGGUGCUCCAAAGCAACCUUUCACCGUAGGGAAUUCUCUGGUCCGCAAUCUUUCACCUCGCGAGCCAAAAUUCUCAAGGGUUGCUCCUCAAAGCUCAAAUCCUCCCGCAGCUCCCAUAGGUGUAGCAGCCAAUACAUGACCGGAUCGUGGAUGUACUGUCCGAAGGACCGAAUAUGGAAUACAUUGUGUACACCCGAUAGGUUUCGGCGUAGAGCGAAAUCUAUACGCUACCGGGCCUACAAACGCUCCAAAACCUCAUACGUGUCCAAUAUAAUCGGGGCUCAACUCGCCGAAUUCCAAAUUUCGAAUUCCUUUGGUCGGCGAGACCUUUCAAGAACACCAUGGUUCCCAUCUGAAAAUCCAAGUCCCCUCGCCGCCCUGUCACAUUAACUCCUCUGCCUACUCUGGGCUGUCCACAAAUCGCUCCGACCGCAAUGCGAACCUUGUCCUCUGCCUUCCUGGAGCACAUCUGGCCUAAAGGCCAAGUCCACCGCCCACUUCCACUCCCAAUGAAAUGGCGAUCUACACUUCCAUCCAAUACGUGCCUCAAACGAUGCUAUCUUGAUGCUUGCUUGAUUAACUAUUUGUUAUAAGCAAACUCUGCCAUCGGUAGAUCGGCGACCAUCCUCGACAUGAAAGUCGAUCACCGCAGGCUCGAAGCAUGUCCUCCUGAGAAUCUGUAAUCGUAACGCUCGACUGGCCCUCACUCUCCUGGGGGUGAAAGCAUAGUGCUGGAAUCCAAGCGCGCACUCUGGCCAGAGCGCCUGUAAGCUCCCUCCAAAAGUAGGACACAAAACGGGGGCUCGAUCUGAUACUAUGGACAGUAGGUACCCCGUGUAAAAUCGCACAAUCCUCAUCCACAAUAAAACCUGUGCGAAGUCUCUCACACAGUCCAAGUAUGGAUACGGUAAUGAAGUCAGCGCGACUUCGUCAACCGCUAUCCACGAUCAAAGCCCAAAUAGUGUCGUGCCCCGCCUUGUGAGUUGGCAAUCUCCUUGUCCACAGAAGCCAAUGGGAUCUUUUCCCCACUUUCCACACGUGAAAUCGGUAGGCUCUUGCAGCUUCCCCGCAGGAACUCGGUGCCCCCAGCCUCACCUGUGUUGGCAAGUUAAGCCAUCUGGCAACAAACUCAACCCACAUCCUUUUUCAUCCCGGCCACCCAAUAAAGUAUUUCAAAUCCUUUACAGAUUUUGGUGUCCUCCACGGAUGUAUACCAUAACGGCUCGUGUGCGUCUGAAGAAUACCUCUUUGAAUGCCAAGUCCGCGGUACACAAAAGUCGUCCCGGAAACGCAUCAAUCCAUCACCGUCUAAGGUAAAUCACCGAUGAACCCAUCCAACUAUCUUAGCUCAAUCUUUUGCAACUCCGAGUCGGCAGCUUGCUUUUCUUUAAUUCUAUCCAACAAUUGUAUGGUUUGCACCAACCAAUGUCAAUCAAUCCUCAUAGGCGUGUCAGGAGCCACCACCCUCCAAUCUCCAAACCGCUUCAUCCUGUUCGAUCAACACGGCGGUCGAGAACCCACAAGCAUCGUAAGUUUCAGUCGAUUUCCGACUUAAUUGGCAUCUGCCACCCACAUUAGCCUUGCCCCCGGGUGGUAAAGAAUAUCAAGUCAUAAUCCUUGAGUAUCUCCAACCAUCCGCCUGCCUCAGUUCAACUCCCUUCUGAGUAAAUAAGGUACUUUACUUUUGUGAUCCGUAUAUAACUUCGCAUCCGCCUGCCGUAUAUGGUUAGUGGCCCGCCAUAAGGCUUCAAUGCAAAGACCCACGGCCGCAACUCCAAGCCCGUUAGUGGGGUUAAUUCCCUGUUCAUAAUCCUUCAAUUGGUGAGAUGCAUACGCGAUCACUUUCCCUGUCCUGCAUCAAAACACAGCCAAUCCAUUAAAGGUAAGCAUCCACUAUUAAAUUCACAUUACCCUGCUUGCCAUGUAGUUGGCAGAGGUUAGGACGGGCAAAGCGUCCAAGUCGCUGUGCCUUCAACUCUGGAAUCCUUUCACACGCCAUCAAAUUUCCAAAAAACUUGGGCCCCUUAUGCGGAGUCUCGUGAGGAGUAGAUAAUUCUCGCAAAUCCUCGACAAACCGUCGGUGAGUAGCCGCCAGAACCAAUAAGCUCCGUUAUCUCGGUCACCUCGUCGGCCUCGGCCAUCCUUAAUAGCUCAAUUUUUCUCGGGCCAGCUAUGCCUGAUCCUGAAAUCACGUGGCCCAAAAACGCCUACUCUCUAACCAAAAUUCACACUUUUCAACUUGGCUAGAGUCUUCUUCCGAAGCAACUUGAAUAAAGUCUCAAGUGGUUUCUGAUCCGACGUCAUACGAAUACACUAAGAUGUCGUCGAUAAAAUACGAACCUGCUCUAAAUAAGGCUUGAAAACACGUUCAAUCCAUCAGAUCAUAUCCAUAAAAGCUGCCGGGGCAUUAGUAAGCCCAAACGGCAUAACGGUAAACUCAUAAUGUCCAUACCGUGUUCUAAAAGCCGUCUUCGAUACAUCCUCAGGUCUGAUCCUCAACUGGUGAUACCCAGACUGUAAGUCAAUCUUGGAAUAUACACAAGAUCCCUGGAGUUGAUCAAAUAGAUCAUCAAUCCUCGGCAAUGGAUACUUGUUCUUAAUCGUGACUUUAUUGAGUUCACGUUAGUCCACACAUAAGCGAAGUGAUCCAUCCUUCUUCUUCACAAACAAAACCGGUGCCCCCCAAGGUGACACACUCGGUCGCACAAAACCCUUGUCUAGAAGAUCCUGCAGCUGUGCCUUCAGCUCCUUCAAUUCUGCUGGUGCCAUCCUGUAGGGCGCCUUUGAGAUUGGGGUAGUCCCGGGGACGAGAUCUACCACAAACUCAAUCUCCCUAUCAGGAGGCAUGCCUGGAAGCUCUGCUGGAAACACAUCUCCAAACUCCCGCACUACGGGAAUAUCCUCAAUCCUAGGGGCGUCACCCUCACCCCGCAACACAACAGUAGCCAAGUAGGCUACGCAGCCUCUACUAAUCAAUUGCCGAGCUCGAGAAGAGCUAAUCGUCAUCACAAACAAUGAACAGAUCCUCAAAUAACUUCUCCAUCGCACUGACCCAUCCCUCAACAACCCAGGCCUUAGUGCAACCGCCAUCGAAAAUCGGUGGAUCAAAACGGCGGAAACGAGCCAACCUCUCCGUCCACCGCUCCUGCUCGGCCUCUGUCAACUGUACUGGCCCCCCAGCAGGCGCAACUGGCACUACUGGAAAGGCUGCUGGCGGAGGUACUGCUGCAACUGGUACUACCACUGGAGUAGUCGGAGGUGGAACAGAUGGCUCUGGUGCCCUCGGUGCCGAACUCUGGGACGAAGCUAGCUUCUCACACAUCCUCUCCAACAACUCCCCCUGCUGCUUCGUCACCACUGUCAGGGCGGCUAACUGUGCACUCAAGUCCGGGGAUGUACUCGUCUCCUGUUGAACACCCGGUUCCUGCUGGACACUCGGCUCCGCAUGCUCAGGCAUCUCGGAAGGUCCCGCACGAUCUUGCGACAACUGGGCACGCUCCCAUAACGACGGUCGACCUCGGCGACGAUACAUAGCUGAAAGGAACAAAUCGGGGUCAGAUGAAAUAUAAACACUCUCGACCCAAUCAACGAAAGUCUUGAAGGCGGUCCCUGUUUUCCUCCAAAAUUAUGUUGUCUGCAGCGAACAUAAUUUCUCAUGCCAAAACAGGCACUCCUUCAAUCAGUCACCCCACUCUAGGAGGAGUUAGAACAAUUAAUCAUUGACUUUCGCAAUAAAUUACGCCUCUCGCGUCUUGCCUUCCUAAGGUUUGCCAAACUUAGAUUUUCUAGGUCCCAACGACCUAAUGCUAAGCUCUGAUACCAACUUAAUCUGUCACGCCCCGAAUUACACGUUCCCCGGGCACGCCGACAAAUCCGCCGUAUAUAAAGGAAAUUUCUCCUGUAUACGAACCGACAGCUGUACCUGUAAACCGUACAAUACUAACAAACAGUAGUAUAGAGCUGUUAGAGUAAACAGAAGCUAAACAAAUGGAGAUCCAUAUACAUAGUUCAAUAACCAAAAAUACAGAGCUACUCGCACUGGCGAGUUAAGUAUACUAUGUACAUAACUCAAAACAAAACAUCUACCUGCAGUAGGGGCACCUCUAGCUCGACACGUCUGGUAGGGCUCUAACUCGCGACGCCCUUGCCUCGUUCCUGAUCUGCGACAGCAGCAGCCGACGACGAUGGCUCUGCAAAAAUAGGGGGUAACAACAGGGCGUGAGAACUACUGUAAAAACAGGUAGUCCUCAGUGGGUGCCGCCCUCAACAACAUCGGUCUACCCACUAAGUCUACAGAAAGGAGCAAAGAUAGUAGUAAAUGUAGGAAUAAAAUCUACCGCUAUGAAUCACUACACUAUUAUGCUCUACACUAACCAACUGUAGGAAAUGUCAAAUCUGACCCAAUCCAAUCGGGACUGUAAACCUACCCGUCCCUGCCCAGUUGUGACUAUCCAGCUACCUCCACACUACUAGUCCGUGGAGAGCAAGUCCAACCAGCAUGAGCGACACCAACGCGAAAGCACAGCGCCCGUCUCCGGAGUGGCACUCAUGGGAGCUAUCCAACCGAGUAUGCAGCGUAUCUCUGUCGAGCUCAAUCAGGCUCUCAAAAGCCAAAGUCCAGUGACCGACUCAAACUGGUCUAACAAUCAACAGGUAACGUGCCCUCGGCACAAUCCAACGCCAAAAAGGCGAUACGGGUCCACCGUCAACCCCGACGGCACCCAACAGUCCGGAACAGCCUAAACGCUAUUUUAAAAAAUUCACUCGGCAUCCCCGCACGAGUGUAACUGAAAUCUAAACUACCUGAAAUUCUCAAUAUGAUGAUACUGCAACAGUAUAAAAUCAUACAACGGCCCCUAGGGCUAAAUCAGGUAGUUUAACAUAUGCCGAUUGUUAUCGCAUUUUGUCCUAAGUCGAAUCCAAGUCCAACAUGUAUAUUUAUGGUUACAAGUCAUGUUCUCAAUGCUGAUUAUUUGUAGCCAUGAUACGAUCAACAACCUGAGUUACAAUAUGAUUUACCAGAAACUCGAAAAUCAUAUAUGUCGACUAAUAUAUACGUAGGAAUAAACCGAUGUAACCCACCUCGAUCGCUGAACCCCGGCAGCGAGGAGGUCACCAAAAAUCCCCAAAUCCAGUGGAAAAAUCAGGGUGUUCAGCUCAAGUUCGAAAUCGCCCUGCACACUUCGCAACAAAGACUCCAACUCAAAUUCUGACCGAAACACAACAGCAGAGGAGAAUAUAAUUUCAACCCAGCUAACCUUCAACAAAUCCAGCAAAUAAGGGCUUCGUGGAUUUCUGUCAAAGUCCAGAAUCCAACGAACCAAGUCCCGUCGAAAUCCGACGUUCCUACGCCGAGUACGAGCCGAAACUCUGACGGUCGACACUGAAAAUCAGUAAAAUCAGCACGCGAGCUCAAAAUCGUGCGUUCAAGUAAUCCAAGGAGGAAAGUUAGGUACCCACCUCAACAGCGAAUCCAGCGCCGGUGCGACGUCGAGGACGGCGAAAACACCCCCUCGCCCAGCCUCCUCGCGAUGUAACGGCCGCAACCAUAUGCUCGAAUGGCUUGGCGACGCGACGUCGACGUGGAAAUCGAGCUCCGCGGCACGAACCGAGCUCCUCCUUGCUUCGGCCGAAUGGAGAGAGAGACUUAAUUACAGAAGUGCAUGCACACCCUCUAAAUAGAUAAGCAUGCAGUGCAUGCAUGGGGCACGUGGCAUCCAUAUAUAUAUAUAUAUAUAUAUAUAUAUAUAUAUAUAUNCCCCCAGCACGACUUCUGGAGCUAGAGGGAUGAGGCUAGAGCUCAGAGGAAGGGUUUUGCACCUUCGUCAUUUUCUCUCUCUAGGGUUUCUCUCUCCUCAAGUAGAAAUCGCCUAUUCGAGCUUCUUUCGCGCCGCGCUCGACACUCGCUGAUGUGAAGACUCAAGAGAAGUAUUUGGCACAUGGGGAGAAGACUUCUUAUUGAAUUUCUGUGGUCCUAUCACAAGGGGAAAGCUGAACUGCAGCUUUAUAAAGGUAAUUAGCUCAACUUUUCUUUAGUUUGCGGUUUAGUGUCGGAUUUUGACGCGUUAUGGUAUCGUUGCUUCCGCUGAAAUCCAGGGCGUGACACGCCAUAUGUCAACAACAUGUAAGGCGUCUAUAAUAAUGCGAUAAAUAAAACAGAGAUAAUACAACAAGUAUAAUAUCAGAGCAUAAAUACUUAUAAUUUUUAUAGACAAGUAGAUAAAUAAAAGAACUAAACAACUAAUAUAAACCAUUAAGUAGGGUAUACAACACAAGAUCCACAUAAAUAAAACUAAAUACAAAAGUAGUGGUCUCUACACAUAGGGUACAAAAUGUCUCUCUCUCUCUCCAACUAAAACAAAAGGACAGAUGACCACCUAAGAAAAUGCUCUAAGCUACGACUAGCUAAAUGCGACCCCCUUGCCGCUAUCCCUAACCUCUGCCGGAGUGAAUGACUCUGUAAACAAAAGUAUCAACAAAAUAGGAAUGAGAACUAUUAGUUAAUAAUUCCCAGUGGGUAAGCCGCCGACCUCAGCGAAAUACACCACUAGGUUAUAGAGGCAAAGAGUAGUAUAAUGAAACUGAAAUAAACAUCAUGUAUAUUGAACAAAUAUUAAUUUGCUAAGCUACUAUGCCUCUAAUUAGCAUAAAGUUCAACAAGUGAUACUGCUAUUCUAUCAUGAAUGAGUAUGUCCAUAGAGUACACGAAUAUGCACUAAGCAUGUCCAAUAAGUCCACGAAUAUGCACUAAGCAUGUCCAAGGAAUCCAGCUACUAUACACUACCUAGUAGUGAUUGUCACAUUAUUCGGUUUAAAUGUCAUUUUUUAAUUCCAAUUUGGGACCUACACAAGUAUAGUCUAGCUUGUGCCGCCUAAUGGCCCGUAGUAGUUCAACAUUCCCCCACUAGGAAUGAGCCUGUCCCACGCCGACCCAAUAGGCAUCCAAUCCCGCACGGGUGAGCAUAUAUCGCGUAGGCCAACUCCGGAGUGCCGACUUGUGGGGAGCGACCCUCACAAGCAUGUGCGAACGAGCACAAUGGCAAGCAAGCAUGAUCAUCUAUCUCAAGUCUACGAUCGUCAUGUCUAAAAUAAGGUAUAAGCAAUAGCAAUCCAAAGGUCUAUCUCUAUGUUAUAGCGUAAAAGUUUAACCGUUUACUAAGUCGAAUGCUACUUUAUGACAUUAAUGUUCUCUAUAUCUAGUACAUGUCCUUUGUUCAUAAGCAUAUAAAAGAUUGUCAUUUUACUAAAUAUAGCAUGAUUUCCAACAUAGUACAAGAAUGCCACUUCACAUGCAAUUUACUAUACAAUUCUCUCUCUACUACAUAGAGGCUAUAAAAUAUGAUACAUGACAUGUAUUUUAGGUAUCUAAAACUUCAUUUAUGCCUUAUCUAGCAUGAAUAUGCAUGAUUUUUUAUUUUAAACCACAAGAUAAAACAUAGGGGAAGUUCACCCAUUUCAGUGAGAUCAAACCAACCAGAUACCCCUCGCAACCCCUUCGUUUGCGCGAACGGAGUUGUCCACAAGCCUCUUAGCUCCCUAACAAAAAUUCCAAGAAGGUUUGGAGCUUCAAACGAACACACUAAAAAUUUCUCAUAAUCCAACCCAUAAAUAGGUAGAAAAAUAUCUUAAAUGGUUGAAAACUCUUCCAAAAUCCAAAUGAAGGUUAGGAUGCUUCUAAUCCAACCUAAAAGAGAGUUCUAUACUCAUCAAUUCAACCCCAAAGACUACAAAUCAAAAACCCCCAAAUAAAACUCUAGUUUUCCCAAAACUAGGUUUCCUUUCAAAACCCAAGCAAAAACAACAAUCAUAUGUAGUAAAAAGGUUACUAACCUUAGAAGAAGCUCCAAACCAAGCUUGGGUUGAAGUUAGAUCCUCUACUAGCUCUCUUCUUUACUUCUAAGGCUCCUCUAAGGCUCAAGAAGCUAGUCACCAUGAAGAGGAAAAAGAAAAGAGAUAAAAAACCCAAAUCAACAUGAGUUUUGGAGAAGAAAUCCAAGGGAGAAAGAAGGAAAAACUCACCUCUUCCUCUCUAGUCUCAGCACAAAGAGAGACAUGUGAGGGAGAGAGUAUGUUAUAAGCAUGAUGUAACAAUUCCCUCAAGACCCCUCAAAAACACAGAAAUUGCAAACUGCACAAACUGCAGUUCCUGCACUGCAUACCGGUACGCGGGCUGGAGUAUCGAUACCCGGCCACAAAUCCCGCAAACCCGAGCCUCUGUCAAGCAAACAGAUUGCAAGGUACCGGUACCCGCGUGAUGCAGUACCAGUACCAGGCUCCAGUACCGGUACUCAAGCGAUGCAGUACCGGUACUCUGCCUCGUAGAGCUCAAAUCCGAGAGCACAUCUCUUGAUUGCGCGACGGGGUUCCGGUACCUCUCUUUGAUACCGGUACCGAGCACCCCAAAACCUGCAGUUUGGAGGUUUUGGUGCUAAGUACCCACUCUCGCUCUUCAAGAUGCGAGUAAUAGGUCGGAACACGAUCAACGACCCUCAAAAAUACCAGGAAUAGCUCGAAAUACUAUUCUAACACUAGAACUUUACAAUUUGCUAAAGUUUAGUGUGCUACAGUAUGCCUGGGGGCGUGCUGGCCCAAGUACGGCCCAAGACUAUAGGUGGGCCAGAAUGCAGGCUAAGCCUAGCGCGACUCAGCAUGUGCAGGCCAAACCUUCUCUCGGCGCAUUCAAGUGGACUAGGGCUCUGGCCCUGCACACGAGAGGACCCUACAGGCCCAGGCAUGCCCCCGAAGGCGUGGGCAGGCCCCUGCAGGCCAAACGUGUGGGUUGGCUACAUCAUCCUAGUGCGCUAGCCAGACCUACAUGCAACCGUGCAUGCAAGAAAGCCUAAUCUAGCCUGGCUCACUGCUCUUGGUCAGCCCUACAUGUGAGCCCCCUCUCCUGUAUCAUGCACUUCUAAAAUCGAGCGGAAUCUACCAAUUAUGACUCAAAAAAAUAGCCAAUUUUAUUUAUUUUCUUUAUACAAAUCAAUGCAAAUUUAUCGUUUAAAAAAUAAUAGUUAAAGAUCUAUUCGAUAUCAAAAAAUGGAUCAUCGAACGAAAACAAGCACUAUAAGUCUCUGAUACCACUGCUAGAAAAAAUAUAGUCAAAUCAAAGCGCAAAAAUCACAUAGAUUUUUACAUACCUCUUUGAUAUGGAAUUAAUGUUGCAAUUAUCAGGAUCUGAUCUCGUCUUGUUUUACAAACUCCUUGAUCCGCCAACAAUCUGUCUCAAUUUCUUACACAUUGUUCUUUUUUGUCGCGAUUCGGCUACUAGAGUCGAUCGCAGCACACCGCCCAAAUCCCUAGGGUUUCUGAUAGUGCCCUAGAGCGAACCCAGGAGAGAGAAUUUUGUGGAGAAAUUAUUCUAUUUUUUUUUGUAUAUCAUAUGUGGCCAAUACCAAGGAUUUAAGUGCCGUGGCAUAGGGUCGUACCGGAAACUUGCCGGCACGGGGUCGUGCUGGAGUACAGCAAGGUGCGUGCCGAGCCAUGCCGAUGCGUGCCGAUCAAAAAAAUUCUUGUGUGCCGACACAUAAUAGCAUGAAAUAUUUAUUUUCUUUAGCAACAAAAUAUUCUAACUAUUUAUUAUGUCUUUUUAUCACAUCUUUUGAACUUUAUUGAGGAAAUUACUUACUAAUUUAAAGAAUAGAAGGUUUUGAGCUGUGCCAUCGGUACGGGGUCUGUAUCGUGCCGAUAUCUAGUUGGUACGGUACGGCACAGUGGAUACGGGCCAUGCCGACGGGCACUUAAAACCUUGGCCAAUACCUUAUGUAUUUAUAGACCAUAGGGGAGAUAUUAAUUCUAAUCCUAUUUUAACUGAAUCUCACACGGAUAGAGAUUUAAACAUAUUAAAAUCUAUCUAUUAGAUUUAUUCCUUAUUCUAUGUGGACUAAAAAUAUUUUAGAUAAGUCCCGAUGUAGACAAAUUCUAAUAAAAAGUUUAAGCGAUUGUAAAACAUUGGCACUUAAACAUCAUAAUACAAUUUUAUGUAUUACUGGCAGUAAAGACAUUGCAUCGUUUACUUCUUAAGCAUAAAGGCAUGGUAGUAUUACUUGAUUACAGUCUUUUUAUUCAAUUAUUGUUAUUCCAACAUUCUUAUUACUCAUUCCUCAGUUAUCCUAGUGUGGUAGUGUGCCCCACUCAGCAGCGAUACCUACCGGAGAUUAUUUUACAUAGUUCUUACACUCAUUGUUCGUUACUACCUUUGCAAAGCAUUCUAGCACGAGAGAGGUCCGGGAUCAUGGCAAGGGCAUUGCUUGAUAGCUAGAGCUGUCCCACCCACUUGAACCACAUCAAGGUGGUCCGUAUUUCACCUUUUGGGAGUUUAGGUUAAAAUAGUUCUCACAUUCAUUGUUCGUUACUACGUUUGCAAAACAUUCUAGCACGAGAGAGGUCCGGGAUCAUGGCAAGGGCAUUGCUUGAUAGCUAAAGCUGUCCCACCCACUUGAACCACAUCAAGGUGAUCUGUAUGGAAGUUUGUGUGUGACGGAGAAGGUGAUGAGGUUUUUAUAUUAGACUAGCUCACAUUUUGUAUGCGUUGGAGUUGUAUGCUAUUUUGGAGAUGAGUUGUGUUAGAGCUAUGUUCUUAUUCGGAAUAUAUUUACGUUGGAUUGCAUCUAUUUACGUGAAGUUGAUGUACGCUCUAAGUUAAUUCAAUUGUUAUGUAUGUACUAUUGAUAUCUAACUAGUAGAAUACACACUAUAUUUUAACGGAUGAUUGAUUGAUUGUAGUCUUAUACUUGCAGUGAUGAUCUACUACGCACGGCCCCCAAUUAGACUUUCGCCAAAACCCUGAAGCGCAACAGCAGUAUUCUUGGAAGCCUAUAGCAAUACUAUUUUUAGAAAUUCCAAUCCACAGCAGUCCAACACAAUUAAGUGCCCUCUUCAAGCAGAAUCAUUCAAGCACAGAAAUUUUACCACCAUACAAAACAAAAAGAAAAAAGAAAAAACGAUAGAUAAUAUGCAGCAACAAGGCAACACCAAAUAUACAUAUCGCACAAUGUUUCACACUCAAAUGCCGCAAGAAAUCAGGCAGCAUGGCAAAAUAUGUAUUAUUGGGUGCAGAAAACAAACAGCAAAGAUUUAUUACAUAGAGCAAGCAAAAAACAUAAAAUACUCUUGGAUCCCCAAUUUCAAUCCGAAAAUUAAAAAAAAAAAAAAAAAAAAGAAAAAAAAGAAAAGAAAUCUUCUCCCUUCAGACGUAUAGCUUUGGCUUUGCAAUAACGACAGAGUGGCUGAAUCUUCACUACACAGCAUAAUCUACCGAUACAUUUAAAUAAAAAACAAAGCUCGGCGGAAGAGCAUUUUAGGACUUCUAAGGCUGCAAAAAGCUGGCAUAUUUGGCACCAAGGAAAAGCCUCUGCACGCAAAGGAGUGCAUUCUUUCUCACUUCAGCAUUUUCGUGAUUCAUGAGCUUCAUGACCCGCUCUUUUGCCUUGAGGUCGGUAGCAACUAUCCGCCCAGCUGGGUGGUACUGAAUGAAUUGGGACAGGUCAUAGCAAGCAACGGCAAGUGCUGUUGGGUCACUCGACGUAUCAAGAAUUGUGACGAGGACUCGCAGGAUCUGCAGCACAAUAUGUACAAAUUUCUAGUAAAAUACGAAGAAAGAUACUUCGGUCUUACAACAUAAGCCGAUGCUUAAAAGACAACUGAGAAUGAAAACCAUUUGUUAAUUGGUUGUUUAGGGUCAUGACAAUGACACCUACGAGUGACAAGAAAUAAGCAAUCCCAAAUUUGAAGAAUAUAAUUAUCCAGAAAUCAACUCACCUGCACAAUGCACUAUCUUGAAAGUCAAUGAUUGUUAGCAACUUAUUAAGGUAAAACUGUAAAAAACUUGGGCCUGUUUGGCCAAGCUGUUGGAAAAAUAAUUUCUGCAUAUUGAUUUUGGUUUGAAAAAACAAUUUUGGUUAAAAAUUGUAAAGCGUUCGGCUAAGCCUAGAUGGAAAACGAUUUUUUUAAGUGAUUUUGUAAAGCUAUUUGGCAAAAAAAAAAUUGCUGUUUACAAAUAAUAAAUUUUCUUUUUUGCUGAAUUUUACUUUAAAAUAAUUCAAAAUUUAAAUUUAAAAUUUAUAAUUUGAAAUUUAAAAUCUAAAUUUGAAAUUUGAAAUUUGAAAUUUAAAACUUUAAAACUUUAAAUUUAAAACUUACAAUUUUAGAUUUUAAAAUUUUAUAGUUUUAGAGUAAGAAGUCUAAUAAAAGCAGAUUUUCACAGCUCAAAAGCAUCCCAUCACAUAUUUCAACUCUCGAUGGGAAUUUAAAAAAAAAAAGGAAUGAGAGCCUGGACCAGGAAAGCUUACUAACACUGAAAAUUAGGAACAAGACACAGAAAGCAUCAUCCGUUAUGUACACACAGUGUUAACUGACCCAAAAGAGUUUAUACAUCAAAAUGUCACUUAAACCAGAGAUUCUUCCCAUUAUAUUUACAAAACCCUGUUACUAGACUUCAAAUUAUGGGCAAUUGCAUACUAUAGACCAGUUACUAGACUUCAAAUUGCAAAUCUUGGUUGCAACCUAUGGUUGCAAUGUUGCAAAAGGUCACAAUAGCUUGAAAGCCUUCCCAAGGCUUCAAAUGUUUAAAAUGGCCAUAAAAGCAUAGUAAAAGGUUUGCAUUUAACUUUUAAAUAAAUAGUCAAGAUAAACAAAUACCUGGAAAUCAUUCUCUUCGAAGUUUGUAAUGUUCUCACGCCAGAAUCCAGGAUCCUUGUGCAUAGGAGACCAGUCAAGAUUACCCAGAAGGACUUCUUGCUUAUAUUUCUCAAAAGAACUCAAUCUUUUGAUGUUGUCUCUGAGCCCUUCUUCGAGCUGAUUCAGUGCUUCCAAUAAAUCCUGAAUCCCAUCAAGAAACAAUUGAAAACACACAUCACGGAAAGUUUCUCGCAAAUACAAUAUAUAUGAAAAGGGGGAAAAAAGGGUUCUACCCUAGUUCUUAGGUCGGACUGAGUAUUUAUGAGAAAUCAGUUGGUGGUUUGUUAUAUUAUAAACUUUCUGGAAAGAAUUGAAGCAUCACGGCUAUCACAUAUUAUGAAUUUAUUAUGGCAUGAGAUUACUGACCGCAGUUUGGAUUUUAAAAACACAUAAAAAACAGAGUUUCAAGAGCAAAUGAUUUUCCAAAUCUAGCUACACAAUAUUUGAACCAAGGAGCAACACAAUAUAAAACCGAGAAUAUGAUAAAACAGCUCAAUGAAAUAGCACCGAAAAUUAAGAAUCUGAGGGUUAAAAUCCUACUUUGCUCCCUGCCCUCCCUCAUGCACCCCCGACCUCUUGUACUCACCAGUACACAAAAGACCAUAUAAUAGAAAUAUGAGACAGCUUAUUUCAACGUACUUGCGUUUCGUUUGAUUAAGAAAUUUUAUUUGAACCACGAAUAAUAUAUGGCUAGACAAAUCUCCUUUAUUCACCCACAUGGCAUAUCCAAUAUAGAUACGGACAUGCCUAAAGCAUUUAAAGCAUACAAUCACCACAAGAAAUCAAUUUCAUGCGCUCUAUUAUUAUUGUAUGUAAUGUUAACAGAAGUCAAAAAUUCACCUCAUCGCUCCAUGCCUGAGCUUUUAAACUUUGGACUAUUUGUGGCAAUCCAAGAUCAAUCAUUUGAGCCCCAAAAGCACCCUUUGAUAGCAAAUUGCGGAAGGUCAAUACAAUAACCCUAACCACCUUCAAUACGUACAAGCCAUUAACGAUGUUAGAUACUUAUUUAGUGUAGAGCAUUAGUAUAAUUUAGCGUAGAUUACUAGUAUAAACAUAAAAACGUGAACAAACUUACUUUCUCUUUAGUAGAUCCUUUUACAACCUCUACAAGUCUUGGAAGGACCCUAGUAGUGGCCAUGUACUCAACUGCCUUACCAUAAUAUGACAGAAGCCAGAUACAGAGGCAUGUUUCAUAGAGAAGCUGCAAAAGGACAAUAAAUUUGGUAUGCAAACACCAGGUCAUGGCACAUACGACAGAAACUGAAAACAAUUACAUUCAAAGCACAACAGGUGACGGAAUCUGCAGGUUGAUGCUAUUGACCAUAUAGUAAUAUGAUAGGACAAAAGCACAAUACAAAAUGAAAUAAAUUACCUGAAUAGACUGCUGAGUGGAUGCUGGAGAAAUUAAAGGAACAAGCAAUUUUAUGCCGUCAGCUGCGACAAAUGAAGCUCGAACACUGCGUUCUCUAAGCAAUGUUGCUAAGCUAUUUAUAGCUGUCGGAACAGAACUGCCGGGGUGAGAAGGAUUCCUCAACUGCAAAAUAAUGCGAUUUUAUCAGGAAUAGAAGAUGAAAUUUAACUUACAGUUCUACUAUCUUCAAUUGGCAAGAAGCUUGACAAUUUCGUUCCACUCUCGCAAGGUCAUCGGUGGCUAUUUAUGUCUACCUUCCAAGGGUAACAAAAGGAAAGAAAAAAAAAAACAAUUCACUUUAGAUGUACCCAGAAUUCCAUCACAUAAAAAAGGAAAAUACAAAGUAUGAUGCAUAUCUGACAAUCAGCUAAAGUAUUCAUAGCUGCCAAUGGGCUGAAGUAGUCAGCUGAAAUAUAAGUACUCCAAUAUGAGAUUUUCCUUGCUGGUACUGUCAUUAAAAUAUCCCAAAAACACAGUACAUCAACAUGCUAUUUGGAAUAGAAGAUAACCAACAUAUAUAUGAAUAUGCUACAUAAGGCGUAUAGUAAGGAAUGUGCAAUCAACAUGCAUAUAAUCGAAAUGCCAUGUUUCAUAUCCAUAAUAUGAGUUCCUAAUGUCAUGAUUAUCAAGGAAGCAAGGUGAAUCAAGAAAUAGAUGACAUAGAAGGAGUUCAACGAUUUCUGGUUAGGUCGAACCCACCAAAUGGUUUCUCGAAAGUCUUUUGUUUCCUCAAUCAAAGUUGUGUAUAAUGAAUAUGUACAAUAACCCUAGAAAUCAUUGAAUUUAGGGUGUCAUGAUGUGUAAUAUCGCGACCUUCCGGAAGCAUCUUUUGGAGUGUCGAUCACCCUCGACUCUCUCAUGUGCAUUGGGAGGGCCGAUCACCCUCGACUCCCAUUAUGCGCCGGAGUGCCGAUCCUCUCAAUUCCGCAUGUGGUACUUGGAGGGAUGAUCUCCCUCGACUCCCAGUGCACCAAUUGGAGAGUACUACGAUCUCCCUCGGCUCUCUAUGAGGUGUAUGUCAACUGAUUGGAGAGUAGUACGAUUUCUCUCAGCUCUCCAUGAGGUGUAGUGUAAAAUAGAACCAAUCAAAUAAAUGGUUAAAGACAUGAGGUAAGUGGAGAAACCUAUAACUAGCGGCAUAGUAAGCAUCUGGAACACUUAAGGCAUGGCAGUUGUAAGAUUCACUUAUUGCAUUUCUAGUAUAGAAAUAUUUAUUGUUAUCAAUAUCUAUCUACUAAUGCCUCCUUUGGACCGAAUGACUGUAGAGCACCAUUCUUAGUGGUUGCACCCACUGAGAACUAUUUGUAGUUCUCACCUCCUGUAGUUUACAUUUCUACGGAUCUUAGCAUCGUUGACAAAGCAAGUGACCGCAACAAGAAUGUCACGGAGCACGGGAACAGUAGACCUAGAGAGAGGUCUAGAAGUACCCUUUAUUUUAUGAAUAAUCAAAGAAUUGUACCAUUUUAAGAUCAAAACUUGUAAACUCUAAGGCUACGUUUGGUUCGGGUAUAAGUAAGAACUGCUUAUUCCAAGAAUAGGUACAAGUUCAGAUAUAAGCAAGAACAAGACUAAUUUUGCAUUUGGAUGAAAAUUAGAUUUUUCCUGGGAAUAAAGUAAAGUGUUUGGAUGGUUAGAUUGGAACAAAGGGAAUAAGAAUUAUAAUUUUAAAUUAAAAUUAUUUUAUCUAAUUAAUUAACAUCAAAAUAUUACUUAAAAAUAAUUUAAUAAAUUAAUAAAUUUAAUAGCUACAAAUAUUGUAUAAGAUAGUGAAAAUAUAUUAAUUAAUUAAUUAAUUAGUUAUAAAAAAUAAUUUAACUUUUUAAUUAGUUGGUAAAUUAUUAAUGCUAGAUAACUAGUAAAAAAAAUUAAUUAAAUUAUUAUUAUUAUUAUUUAAGCAAUAAAUAAUAAUUUAAAUAUAUUAAUUAGAUAAAUUAAUAAUUUAAUACCAUAAUUAAAAUUAAAUUUAGACUCUAAUUAACCUUGUUCCCACCUGGGAAUAAGCUUGUUCUAGGGAAAAAGGUAGAACAGCAGUUCCAGUCUUAUACCAUCUUAUUCUAGAAACCCGAUAACUACUGUUCUCGGAUACCAAACGCAACAUUUGGGAACAAAGGGAGGAACAAGGGCUUAUUCCCCUUUUGCUCCCGAAACAAACACUGCCUAAAGAAGUUAAUUUUUGUGAAAUAUACAAUUAGUUGUAGACUUUCAAAUAUUUAAAGUUGAAUGUUUUCAACUUAGUAGUUGUGCUCUGAUAUUAUAUGAUAUUAUAUGUAUACAUAUCGUGUAUGAUUGUACAGGUUAAUGCAUAAUUCCGCUUCGUGAGGGUAGAAAAGGCCUUGGCCAUUUGGCGGAUCUGCGCGUGCCCAAGCGGGCCCAGUUGGCAGUCUCGGGGCAUGACACGGACUUAAAUUAGUUAAAUACCAACCAACAAUACACCUUAAUGUCAUUACCAUCAAAGGGUUGUUAAUAUUAUACUAACAAAAGUAGAAUUCCUAUCGAGUGCAAUUAGGGACAAAAAAUCAAUCCACCCUGAAUCUCACCAAGAUUCAUAUUCAAAUGUACAAAACCCUUCACUUUUUCUUCGAAAAGAGUGAAAUAUUACUCGUGUAAACUUUCAGCCCCCUAUUAACUAUGUUUGGUACGCAAGGUGAACUUUUAAGAAAGAUAUAAAUUUCACCUCCUUUUAAACCUCCAACAAUACAAGGAAAAAGAGAGGGACUAGAUUAAAAGGAUGUUAAGAGAGAUGAAAUUCAUAAUAUAUAGGAAGCGAGAAAAUUUUGAUCUUUUUUACACUAUUUUUUACUCUCUCUUUAUUUUCUCUCUCCCCACUCUCCUCAUUUCUCUCUUUAUUUUCUCUCCCUAUUCUCUCUCCACUUUUUUCACCCUUUUCUCAUUUUAUGUCCUUAAUUUCUCUCUUUAACUCUCUCAUCCCUCUCUCCUUACUUAUCUCCCUUCACUUUCUAUUCCGUAUCCCUCUCUUCACUUCUCUCAUCUCUAUCCAUCUCUCUUCACUUUUUAUCCUCAUCCCAUUCUCUUCUCUCUCCAUUUAGUCCCCACUCUUCCUUCACUUUCUCUCUCCUCAUCCUUUUUGUCACGCCACGCAACCGCCAAUUUGGUCGGUUCGGGCAUGUACACAGACGUCGAACGGACAGAACUUUUUCCCUGUCCGCCCAAGGCUCCACAAGUUCAUAACAUGUAUAAAGAAUUGCCCAGGAAGAAUUACAAUAUACAUGACUUGCGCGAGGACAAGUAACAAGAGCAAGUGAAAGUAACUCCUAACUAUUACAUCCAUUCACUAAACUUGAUUACAUCUAACCAAAAAUACAAAUCCUUUACAUCUGUCUUUAUAUACAAUUUUAGCUCCCAAAAUACAUCCUUUUCGUCAUAUACAAAAGAUGAAAUAAAAGAACAACUAAUGCACGGGUGUCCACUACCUAGGGCGCUAUGCUCUUGCCGCAAUCCUCGACCACCCCGCUCGCGCUCGGAUCUGUAAAAAUGGUGGGGUGAGAACUACAAGAAGUUCCCAGUGGGUUCGGCCGCCAACCACGCCGACUUUCCCACUAGGUCCAAUCAGGCAUGAGUAGAAGAAAACAGAUAGAUAGAUAGUCAUUUCUAAACAAAUGCAGCUACUAUGCCUGGGCAAGGAUAAUGAAACAAUAUAUAUAUGAUGCUCAUAAUGCGUGCAGAUUGCCUUUGCCAAUACCCAAUCCUCUUGGCUAACCCGUAGGUUUAACCCAAAACUCACCAACCAAAUCCUUACUAUCGGAGAGAUACCGCUACGACUCGACGGGACCGUCUUCUAGGGAGAUACCUAUAAGGACUGAGAUUUGACAGUGUAACUAAACCCUCUAUUGACGAUGUUUUUGUGUGUAUUUUAAUUAUAAAAGCACUCGUCAAGUUUCGGGAGAAAACGAGUUAGAAUGGAGAUUUUACGCGAUCUUUACUUUUCACUUAAAGUGAAUAGUAACCUCGGUUUCCGGAGAGGCCAAGGUCUAGAGAUGGCUUCCGGCGCGUAUCGGACUCCGUUCAUAGCGAUCCAAUAGCUCGUUUUCAAUGGUCUAACUAUUCUGGAACCAUUGACGCUGACGGAUUUCAGGUUUGACGCACGGAUUUCGAGAAAACUGGAGAUAUAUAUAUUAUAUGUAUUUUUGUGCGGGUUUUGCCAUUUGGAGAGAGGACUGCCAUUCGGAGAGAGGACGGGUUUCACCGCGAAUCUGCGACCAAACCAGGCAAAACAAAAUCGUGUAUUUGUUGUCUCUGUUGUGCUAAUCUCAUUGGUGCGAUCCAUUCACAAAUCUGACGGACGGAUCUCCUAUAAUCGCGCGUUGAUCAAGGAGGGGUCAUUAAUGGCAAAACGGUAAUUUUGCUAAAAGGUUCUACAUUUUAUGUACAGUUUUGCGUGAAAUUGAACAUUGAGGUGUGUUCGCGCGUUUUAUUCGCGCUGUGAGGGACUCGGGUUAAAAUAUCUGAGUUUGCUAGACUUAUGCGCAAUUAUGCCCUAUGUAUAUAUAUAGUUUCUAGGGUUUUACACAUGCAAACCCUAGCCCUCCUUAGCUUAGCUAACCUAGCCGCCCUAUCCCCCCCACCUCGUGCGCCAUGCGUCCCCAGCCGCCGCCGACCCAGCCCGAGCAUGCUAGUCGCGGCCACCACAAUCUGCUCCUUUCUCUCCCUCAACUCCUCCACCACCUGUGCCGAGGACCACCAAGGGGGGGUCUAUACCCUCGGGCCCCUCUGGCAGUGACCCCUGAUCCUCGGCGACCGUCCCCGCCUGUCGCCGCCUCCUCCGCGCACUGCAGCUGCCACCCUAGCAGCCUACGGCCGGCCUGGGCAAGCUCGGGUCAAGGAGCUUUAGCUCCCUUCCAGCACCACCGCCGCCACCUUUGGUUGGCUGCGCCACCCUCCCACAACCCUCGACAACCUCCCCCGCCGGCCGCCGGCCCUGCGGGCCGCCGCUGCCGCCUCUGACAGCCUGCGGCCGCCCCAGACCUGCUCGGGCCGAGGGUGAAGCAAAGCCUCCCCCUCGCGCCGCCGCUGCCUGGGAUCGGCCGCAACGCUUCCCUCCGGCCUCCGACAGUCCACUGCCAUCGCCCCUGAGCUCCCCACCGGCCGCCAUGGCCGCAGCUGCUCUUGAACACAAUCCCUAGCCCGUGCGGGCUCGGGUUGCUCCACCGCCACCGCCACCGCCGCCCCUCGCCGGCCGGCGCGAGCCCUGACCUCCCCACAUCGGACGCACCCGUCGGCCGGCGGCGCACCCGCCGCAAGCCGUGUCGUAGCUCCCACCGCCCCGGUAAGCUUAGUUGAGGGUUUUUGGUUGCUGUUUUGGGUUUGCGCAUGCUUUUCCAGCGAUCCGAGACUGUCCUGCUUGUGAGCACGGUGGUCGCUGGUCAAUGCUGAUCAUAAUGCUCACCUCACUUUGAAUCAGCGAAUUCCGAAACUGCAUUUUUCGGCACAGUUUUCCACGAGUGCGAACUAUUCGUUGAAUGUUCGGAUCGCUCCCGCGCCUCCCACAGUGAGCCGUUGUGCUCCGGAUCAUGUGCACGGCCUCCGACACGUCGAGACCUGUCAGUACGUGUCUCGGCGGACGUCGGAAGUCCUAGGUUUGCGUUAACGAGCCAAAAAAUCUCCCGAUUUACAUAAAAUGAUAGGAUUUUAUGUAAAUGUAGGGACUUUUAUGCAAUUGUGCAUCUUGUGGCUACUAUGGGCAGUACGUAUGUGUAUGUGGUGACCGCUGGACUGAUUGUCCAAGGUCCGAUAGCUUUCACGAAAAUCGAAUAGCGAUUUCGGUAUGUUUGUCGGCGAAAUUCACCGGCGGAACGCGGUUUCGGUUCGGAUUUCAUCCGAAGGUGUGUUUGCCCUGUGUUGUGUCGCUGAGCCUUGUCAGCUAGUCACCAUCGUCAUAUCGUGAGUUCGGAGAUGACGGGUGAGCGACGAUAGGUUCUGGUGUCGAAAUUGACACUUCCGGGAACCCGAAUCCAAACAAUUAUCAGUCAAUAAUUGUUUAGUUGUGUAAUCUUGUGUUUGCUGCCAAGACGUCCAAAUCGGUGUGUUUUGUGGCAGCGGGUGACUCGUGGCACGAGUUGGUGAAUUUCGGGAUACUUAGUUGGUCCCGACGGCGUCCCGGUGUGAUUUUCGGAACUUCCGACGAGUUACAGUAAUCGGUUUAAGGAAACCAAUUUUGGGGAUUUUGGUGGGGUUCGUGAGUCGUGUAUUUUGGAUUUGUGGGUUGGAUACUAACCCGGUGGAUCUGCGUAGGUCCGAUUGACUUGUUGCGCACCUAGGUUUCCGACGCGAUUGUGACAGGUGGGUGCUUCGAGCUGGUAGUCGGUGAGAUCGUUUCACUUUUCUCUAUUCUUCUAUAUCAGUAUCGUAGUCUCUACAUGUCAGUUAUAUUUGUUUAUCAUUCAUAUCUAUGCCUUGUUGCUUGCAUUACAGUAGUUGUUGAUAGACAUGUAGAGCAGGCUUGCAUAUGUUGUAUAUCUGUGGACCUUGGGUCCAGGCAACACAUCGACUCCUUUGUCGUGUGUUUCGAUCUAGUUGAUUGUGGUUCGGCGUUGUAUGUCCUUGCAUCUGGCUUCAACCAACACAUCGACUCCUUUGUCUGCAGAUCAAUAUGGCAGCACAAGAUUGGGUUUAAUUUUGGAUUAUAUACCCUUGAGGGUUUUUGUUACAGUAGUAGUUAGAUUCUUGCUCAUUUACUUUCCUGUUUCUAUUACUACUGUAGUUGCUCUUAUAUCAUAUUAUAUACAUAUCUGUUGUUCUAUCUCCUUUGUUUUCCAGAGAAUACGAUUUGCCUUCAUGGCUCUGUCGUACCCACUGGAAAACCUUGAUUGUGAUUUCUUACCCCCUAUUUCCCCAGGUGGUUCGAACAAAGAGUUGGCGUCUGGACCGACGGGAGGACGCCCUAGCUAGGCUACAGUAGCGGUCGUCACCCUGGUAACCUUCUCUUUCUGCAUUUAGUAAAUUGAAUAAUGAAUGGUUCAGUUAGAUGAUCACUAUGAAUGUUUGGAUAUUUGUGAACUGGUUUGAGUUGAUGUGUUUCUUUUAUGCAUGCAAUUGGAUUUAUGAAUCUUUAGUAUUGUAUUUAUACGUCGUGAUUUUCUGCCCUUCGAGUUAGUCGGUUUUCCAAAUGAAGUUUCCGAGUGGGAAACAGUUUUAAAAAGCUUUCGAAUGAUUUUUAUGAUUGAUUAAUUAGUGUUUAAAAACAAAGCUUUCGGGUUCGGAGCACUUUCAAAUAGGAUGUCUGUUAUAUUGUGCAUCGCAUCAUCCAGCGCUUAAGUAAUGUUUAGAGGCAUGCAUCAUCUCUAAGGAUCGCUAACUGUAUAGAAAUGCAUCGCAUAAAUUGCUUGUGGAUUGGUAAAUAUAGGUUGUUGCUGUGAUCCUGAUGUUGUUGUUGGUACGCCGAGUAAAUAUAAAGGAGACUCUGUCCGUAUGGCCAGAGAAACUUUGUAUUUGUGGCGGGUCUGUACGUCACGUGGGCGGGGUUGAAUUCAAAAAAUAAAAAAGAGCACGUUUUCCGCAACUCUGGUUUCUAAAAUGGUAUUUAUUAUAUAAAGGUUUCUAAAAUCGGCCCCGGGGCUUGACAAUACUGCUACGACCCAGUGAUGACCAUUCCGGAGCUCAUCGCUUGAAGAGGAGCGACCGCCCUCAAGCCUAAGACUAUAGAUGAGUAUGAUCCAAUCCACAAGCCAUGAGGAUGCCAUGUCCACUACUGCCACAAUACACAGUGUUCCAUUCACUAGCAUUCAAUGCCACAAGGUGCUAUUUCAAUCGUUUGUCACAAUGUCACCAUAUUUUCUACCUUGGCUAGGUUCUUAUCUCAAUUCAUGCAUCUAUAGGGUUCCCAAGUGUCCAAUGUUCUAUUGUCAAAUCAUAUGCAUCUUUACACGAAAAGCAUGCAAUGAGUAACAACAUGUUUACCAUUUAACCCUGCAAUAUAUAAAUCCUACACAUACAUGCUCAAAUGGUGACUUAGACAUAAAGAGAAAUCUAACUGUUCCGAAUAGCACCACCCACCUCGUAGGGAUGCUGAAGUGCUAGAACCCGAGUUCCACGAUUUAUGGUCCCCGAUUUCCCUCGACCCACGGCAAACGAAGCCAAAAUGAGGUUUUUCCUCAACAACUCGACGUAGACUCGUCGGAACAUCGAUCCGAGUCUUCCAACGCGUCAGUUUAUACUCCAAUUAAAGCUACAAGAGAACAAACCCAUGUUAGAUCUCAUACCUUAUAAAACCCCAUUUUUAAACCUAGGGUUUAUACCAAUACCAAAUACCCAAAUUUCUUGGGGAUUCAUAAGUCAAUCUAACAUAAUAUCUUCUAGGAACAUCAACUUCAAGAGAUUUAGCCAAACCCUAACCCAUAACCACACAAACUCACCUCAACUUCUAGCUUAUUCCUCAACUCCUUGCACGAGAUCUAGCUUCACUCCCAAGCAAGCUUCCUUCUCCACCAAGCUCCACUUUUGGAGCAAACCCUAGGGAGAGGAAGAGAGAAAAGGGAGAGAGUAAAUUGAAUAAUGAAUUGUUACCUUCUCUUUCUGCAUUUAGUAAUUGAAUAAUGAAUGAUUCAGUUAGAUGAUCACUAUGAAUGUUUGGAUAUUUGUGAACUGGCUUGAGUUGAUGUGUUUCUUUUAUGCAUGCAAUUGGAUUUAUGGAUCUUUAGUAUUGUAUUUAUACGUUGUGGUUUUCUGCCCUUCGAGGUAGUCGGUUUUCCAAAUGAAGUUUCCGAGUGGGAAACAGUUUUAAAAACUUUUCGAAUGAUUUUUAUGAUUGAUUAAUUAGAGUUUAAAAACAAAGCUUUCGGGUGGGGAGCACUUUCAAAUAGGAUGACUGUUGUACUAUGCAUCGCAUCAUCCAGCGCUUAAAGGAGUGUUUAGAGGCAUGCAUCAUCUCUAAGAAUCGCUAACUGUAUAGAAAUGCAUCGUAUGAAUUGCUUGUGGAUUGGUAAAUGUAGGUUGUUGCUGUAAUCCUGAUAUUGUUGUUGGUACGCCGAGCAAAUAUAAAAGAGACUAUCCGUGUGGCCAGAAAAACUUUGUAUUUUUGGCAGGUCUGUAGGUCACAUGGGCCAGGUUGAAUUCAAAAAAAAAAGGCACGUUUUCCGCAACUCUGGUUUCUAAAAUGGUAUUUAUUAUAAAAAGGUUUUUAAAAUCGGCCCCGAGGCGUGACAAUACCGCUACGACCCAGUGAUGACCACUCCAGAGUUCAUCGCUUGAAGGGGAGCGACCGCCCUCAAGCCUAAGACUAUAGGUGAGUAUGAUCCAAUCCACAAGCCAUAAGGAUGCCAUGCCCACUACUGCCACAAUACACAGUGUUCCAUUCACUAGCAUUCAAUGCCACAAGGUGCUAUUUCAAUCAUUUGUCACAAUGUCACUAUGUUUUCUACCUUGGCUAGGUUCUUAUCUCAAUUCAUGCAUCUAUAGGGUUCCCAAGUGUCCAAUGUUCUAUUGUCAAAUCAUAUGCAUCUUUACACUAAAAACAUAAGUACCAACAUGUUUACCAUCUAACCCUGCAAUGCAUAAAUUCUACACAUACAUGCUCAAAUGGUGACUUAGACAUAAAGAGAAAUCCAACUGUUCCGGAUAGCACCACCCACCUCGUAGGGAUGCUGAAGUGCUAGAACCCGAGUUCCACGAUUUAUGGUCGCCGAUUUCCCUCGACCCACGGCAAACGAAGCCAAACUGAGGUUUUUCCUAAACAACUCGACGUAGACUCGUCGGAACUUCGAUCCGAGUCUUCCAACGCGUCAAUUUAUACUCCAAUUAGGGCUACAAGAGAUCAAACCCAUGUUAGAUCUCAUACCUUAUAAAACCCCAUUUUUAACCCUAGGGUUUAUACCAAUACCAAAUACCCAAAUUUCUUGGGGAUUCAUGAGUCAAUCUAACAUAAUAUCUUCUAGGAACAUCACCUUCAAGAGAUUUAGCCAAACCCUAACCCAUAACGACACAAACUCACCUCAACUUCUAGCUUAUUCCUCAACUCCUUGCACAAGAGCUAGCUUCACUCCCAAGCAAGCUUCCUUCUCCACCAAGCUCCACUUUUGGAGCAAACCCUAGAGAGAGGAAAAGAGAAAAGGGAGAAAGUAAAUUGAAUAAUGAAUGGUAACCUUCUCUUUCUGCAUUUAGUAAAUUGAAUAAUGAAUGGUUCAGUUAGAUGAUCACUAUGAAUGUUUGGAUAUUUGUGAACUGGUUUGAGUUGAUGUGUUUCUUUUAUGCAUGCAAUUGGAUUUAUGGAUCUUUGCACAAUAGCUAGCUUCACUCCCAAGCAAGCUUCCUUCUCCACCAAGCUCCACUUUUGGAGCAAACCCUAGAGAGAGGAAGAGAGAAAAGGGAGAGAGUAGAGAGUGAGAGAAGGUUCUAGAAAGAGAAAGAGAGCUUUUCUCUUUUGGUCUCAUGUGAGGGAAAUGAGAAUUAAGGGCUAAGAACCCUUAUAUGGAACCUCCCAAUUGACAAUUGCACCAAGGCCCCUCACAAAAUUGCUAUUUUGGACCAAAUGUUCUGCGUGUUCGAGAUACAGAUCUUACACUCAGGGUCCGGACCCCGAGAGCAACUUUCAUAGUUUCGCAGCUAGGGUCUAGACCUUAUUGCCAGGGUCUGAACUCCGAGAGCAAAAACACUCUCAUUCGUCUCGAAACUUUCCGAUUUGCUCUCCAAGGUCCCAAGCACCUAUCCAAACCAUUCCGAAGCAUUCGGAACAACUCACGAACCGCACCAUUUUGUCCAUCACCACACUUCAGUUAAUUUUAACUAAAGUUCGAUACACCCUACUGGGGAUUCGGCAUGUUACACUUUUCUCUCUUCUCUAUGUUCACUCUCCCCCCUCACUUUCUCUCUCAUCCCUCUCCUUUAUCUCCUCUCUCAUCAUUCCUUUUUGCACUCUACUUAUUUCUCUCGCCACUAUUUUCUCUCAUCCAUCUAUCCUCGCCUUGUCUCGAUUCACUUUCUCUCUCCUUAUUUCUCCUCUCUUUUCUCUCUCAUCCCUCCGUCAUUGCUUUGUCGCCCUUUACUUUCUCCUCAUCACUUUCUCUCUCCUCACCUUUUGUCUUCACUCUUUUCUCUCCUCUCUCUCUUCACUUUCUCUCUCAAUUCCCCUCACCUCUUUCUUCACUCUCUCAUCCCUCUUCUAUUUCUUUUCUUAUUCUCUCUCUCUUCAUAUCCUUUCUUCCUUUCUCUUUCAUUCAUUUCUCUCCUUAUUUUAUCUCUUCUCUCUUCACCUUUCAUUUAUGACACAACCAAAAAUCAUUAAAGAAAACUUUUACAAGAAUAACAUUUACUCCACGAAAUAUUACAAGGCGAUUAUUUAACCCCCCAACUUUUAACCCCACACCAAACUAGCCCUUAGAAUUGAAAUUGAGUUCUACUACUUUCUAUAAUGAAUGUAAUUUAAGAGGCAGUUGCUUUUGAGGUAUUUUCAUUUUCUUUUAUCUUUGUUUUACUUAAAACAGUGAAGCUCCAAUUGUAUUGAAGCCAAACUUGUACGUAAAAGAAAAUGAAAAAUUUGUUUUGCGAGGUAGAUUUGGGUCUUUGCCAGAAGGCAGGGUUUCAGAAGGGUUUCAGAAGGAGCGAGAAGCAGAGCACAUUUUGUAUUGGCAAGGCAGAAGGCGGGGUGGGUCUGCUGCUUCCAUAUCUGCCCCAUUUGCAUCCCUAAUGUAAUUUUCAAAAGUAGGAUUGCAGGCUUACGAAGGAGCUUUUUCGAUGUAUAAUCAAUUUUUCAAAAAUCUAUGGUUUUACCUCUAAAACCUCUAGUAACUAGUUUAUUGUUAUUUCUCUAUUGAUUUUCUACAGACUUUGACGUCUAUAGCUAACCAGACCAAAAAGUAAUUCAAACCAACCAUAACUACAAUUUAAUUUGGGCUUUUUUCGAAAAUAACCUUAUAAAAUUUUGUAAUUGGCAAAAUAACCCUCUGAAAAUUUUAUUUGGAAAACUAACCCUCCUUUCGCCACGUCGGCGCCAGGUCGGAGUUUUCUCGUAAAGACGGUGAAUCGGUCACCGUCUACACGAAUUCCUCAUGAAGACGGUAGAUGGUUCACCGCCUUCAUAAGACGGUGAACUAUUCACCGUCUUUAGGCGUAUCCAUCCCCCUCUUUAGAACGAAUACAACACCUUUGGAACUGCUGUGCCCUCAACCUCGGCCCGAACUUGUCGUGAAGACGGUAGAUGGUUCACCGCCUUCAUGAGACGGUGAACUAUUCACCGUCUUUAGAACGAAUCCAGUCUUUACAGCGAAUACAACACCUUUGGAACUUCUGUGCCCUCAACUUCGGCCCGAACUUUGGCGAAGGAGAUAAAACACAGAUAAGACGGUGAACUGUUUACCGUCUUAUUUGUCCUGCACUAAAGACGGUUAACAAUUCACCGUCUUUACUUUUGUCAAGGUAAGGCGGUGAAUCGUUCACCGUCUCCAGUGUUGUGUUAUGAAGACGGUGAACAAUUCACCGUCUUACCUUGGUAUACCCGAACCCGACACCUCUCCCUCACUCUUCGCUCUCUUUCUCUCUUAACUCUCUGUCUCUCUCUCCCUCCGCACCCCGACAGUCGCCGCCGCCCAAGCCGACGUCGCCGCCGCCCAAGCCGCCGUCGCCGCCGCCCAAACCCGAAGCCCCGACACCUCUCCCUCACUCUUCGCUCUCUUUCUCUCUGAACUCUCUGUCUCUCUCUCCCUCCGCACCCCGCCAGUUGCCGCCGCCCAAGCCGCCGUCGCCGCCGCCCAAGCCGACGUCGCCGCCGGUCGCUGUCGAGCCACCGAGCCUUCCCCCGUGCCACAGCAACCCACAUUGCAAGUAAUAUUCUAUCUUAGCAAUUUUUUAGAUUUAAACCUAGUUUAACCUAGUUUAANNNNNNNNNNNNNNNNNNNNNNNNNNNNNNNNNNNNNNNNNNNNNNNNNNNNNNNNNNNNNNNNNNNNNNNNNNNNNNNNNNNNNNNNNNNNNNNNNNNNCUCGUUUGACCUCCGUUUCUUUUCAAAUCGAACCGAGACUCUCCAAACAUGUUUUCAAACAUGUUUUCAUCAUCUUUUCAUCCACGCUAAUGCCGGAUUUAGUCAACGGUCCAACAUAGCCUUCCGGGUUCCGUUUUCGCGCCCUAUGCGCACCGAAGCACCCGAAUGCUUCCGAACUUCGCCGGAAUGAUUCCAAUGGCUUUCUAAGCUAACAUACAUCGUAACUUCAUAAAUUAGAAGUUCGGUAUAUUACAAAAGUGUUCGUAGAGACUGAUUCCUUCAAAUCAGGGUAGCAUAGAAUGAAAUUCAGAAGCUACGGAAUGAUAUGAUUUUACUUGUUGAGGAUUGUUGGAACUUAUCUCCCUCCGUUAGGGUAAAUAGAAGAAUAUGUCUCCAAGUUUCGCGGACGAAACUUUUGUUAACGGGAGGAGAUUGUAAUAUAUGGUAUCUUGGAGUUGCGAUGUCAACUUUGAUUCCCUAGAUCAAAGUGAGGAUGGAGCUAGUUGGACAUCCUUCCCGAGUGAUUUUGGACGCGUGAGAAUGAAUUCUGGAGAUAAAUAAGUGUUUCGGCGCAAAUUGGGCGCGAAACGAAAUGUAAAGAAAAUUGUCAGAUUCCGACGCUAACUUUAAUUAAGAGAAUUAAAGUGAGCAAAGUAAUAUAAAAUGGUGUGAGAUACCAUUUGAUUGGACUUAAGGGUGUAAGAUAUAAGUCUGGAAUGACUCGUGUUGGAAUCGGAGCGAAAACAGAAGAAUUGGAAUUUUCUGUAAAGAAUGGGACUGAGAAAUUAGCAGAAAAUGCACAGUGUCAGAAAAUUAUGAAAAUUGGAGGAUAUGUCAGGAAUAUGUUCAUGAGGCUAGAUUUGAAGUUUCAGAUUAUUCGGACACCCGUAGAGAGAGAAAUUGAGUCCGAAAGCUAUCCGAUCAAGAUUGCAGUUCGGUACAGUUCGCAGUGACUAAAUGGGGUCGGAACUGAAAUGUUAAAAUUUCUUUGGAUCUGUUAAAUAAAACCGAACAUGCCUGUCAAAUUUGAGCUCAAAUGGACUUUUAGAAGAGCCUGCGAAAGGUAUCUAAUCCGUGCGACUAAACGAAAUUAAGUCGAGGGGCAACUUGGUAAUUACACAUGGCUGAGUGGAUUUCCACUAAACCUGCCAGCCAGGAGCCCUCAGCCAUCCUUAUCCCCCUCUGGUUCCAUACGUAGAGAGAGAGAGAAGGAGAAAAGAAGGAGGAAGGGAAGAAGAAGAGAAAGGAGAAAGAGAAGAAGAAAAAGAAAAAAAAAAAAAAGGUAAAAUUUAUAUCCCUCCCUCUCACCCCUCUCUCUCUGCUACUAGUAGUAGCAGCAGCUUGGCAGCAGGAGUAGCACCAGCAGCAGCUCUUGCUGCUGCUGCAAGCUAGGGCAAUCAGCAGCAGCAGCAACCCUUGAGCUGCAAGCUAGAGCAAUCAGCAGCAGCAGCAGCCCUUGCUGCUGCUGUGAGCAGGAACAGCAGCAGCAGCAGUAGCAUGAGUAGCAGCAGCUGCUGCCAGCAGCAGCAGCAGCAGCCUGCGCCAGCAGCAGCAGCAGCAGUGGCACCAAUAUUAGCAACAGUAGCAGCAGCAGCUUAGCAGUGGCAGCAGUGGCAGCUGCUGUCAGCAGCAGCAGCAGUGGCAGCUGCAGCAGCAGCAGCGCAAUCAGCAGCAGCAGCUGCAGCUAGUAGCAGCAGCAGGAAAGAAAAGAAAAGAAAGAAAGGAAGAAAAGAAAGAAUACGAAUGAAAAAUGAGGAAAAGGGAGAAAUGGAAAGAAAAGUUCGAAACUAAGUUGAAUUGUAUAGAAAACGGGUUAGAUGGAAAACUGACCCCGGUAAUGCACUUUUGCAGGAUUGAAGUCCUGACGUGAAAUUGACCGCGUACAAACCAAAUUGAGGGUAAAACAAACUCGUUCGCGAAGUCGGUUCGGCAAUCCGACGAACCUACGCAAAGAUAUCGCCGAAAAGACGUUUUCGGCAUCAAUUGGCACGAGCGCGGGUCGCGGUUCUCGGGAAAGUACGGAAAGUGGAUUUCUCGCGUUCAGGUAUCAGAUGAAGGUAAGUUGAGUUCAUAUCUAAAUAUAAUUGAGUUGACUAUCUUAAAGAAGAGUUAGAUGCUGAAAUUCUUGCUGUUGAUGCAGCCGAAAUACAAGUGUGGACUGAUUGUGCAGUGAGCAAGCAGUUUAGCAUCUGAUUAAGGUAAUCUUGUUCUAAUACUUGAUUAGGAUCAAGUAGAUUGCUUUAGAGAGGAUACUUACCUGAACAUUAUACUGUUAGUAGUGGCCGAAAUGAUGAGGAGGGCCAUUUGAAGCUGUGAACUAGUUGAUCCAGCAUCUAAUGAAGAAGAGGAUCAGUUGAUGCAGUGAACAAGUUUAUUCAACAUCAACUUACAGUAAGUCCAUUUCAGAUUGGAUUAUAGCUAAGUUGGUCACUUUAGAAUGGAUCCAUUUAAGAAUUAGUUGCUGAAAAUCCAGAGUUGAAGCUGAAGUUGCAAUCCUUGUGGAACUUGGUGAAUUGCUGAAGCAGGGAGCCAGAAAUCAGCAAAGGAAAUCUGAAUUUGAGGUAAUCGAUGUAAACUUCAGCUAAGAACUAAUUACAGCUAUACAAAGAUUAAGUUGAAAGGAUUAGAAUGCUGAAAUUUCAGAAUUGGUGCAGCUUUGCUGUCCAAACUGUGAAGUUGGUUGAAGUUGAUCCUUCGAGUGAGUUCUUGAUGCAUUAGCUGAAGCUUUUGCAAUUGUGAGCUGAAAAGAAGCCUGAAGGAGAGCUUCAAAUUAAGAUAUGAUGUGUGGAAUUAAAGCUGAAAAUGAGCACCUGAAUUGGUGCUGAAUUUGUGAUGCUCCAAUGCAGAAUUUCAGCAUUGGAGACUAUUAAUGUUGAGGCUGAGAAGGCACCAAUUCAGCAAUAAAUCGAGAUAAGCAUGAUUCAAGUUGAACUGAGGUUCAAUUAAUUGUAACAGAGGUAUGUUACUUAGGGAUUUUAUGAUGAAUUGAGCUAAGAUAAGCCUAAAGCUGCAUUGCUCAGCUUCUAGUUGAGUACUAUAAACCUGGCUGGUGCCUUGUAUCUAUGUUCAUACCUAGAGAGGAUUAGUAAAGGAGAGAUGUAAUGCUGAAAGUGGCAGCAUAAGAAAUAGAUUUAAGCUUAAUGUUGAAAUCAGCAUUAAGCUGGUAUAAAGGUGUAUGUUGAUAAUGGAUACACACAAGCAAAUUGGAAUUGAAAUGCUAACUUGGAAAAUAUAAGAAUAUGACACCAAUGUAAUCUCUUUUAUUCUUAUGUAAAUGAAAGUUACAUAUGCUCGAAAGUCUAAAUUGACUUUCCGACAGGUCAACGACGCGCUAAUUACGGUAGAGGCCGUUCUAGUUCUAUUUACACCGAGACGCGCAAGAUUGUUCUUGACACAGUUCGAGACGUGGAUUCUAGUUGUUGACACCACUACUGGUGGGUGGUGCUAUCCGAAGUCUUUGGAUCACCUUUUAUGUCUAUGUUAUUCGUUGAGCAUAUUUGUAAUUAUUUAGUCAUGCAUUAUAGGGUAUUUGGUAUUGUGCAAGUGAAAAUGUGAAUUUCUAUCAACAGUGAGAACUUGUGAACUUUAGAGUGUGGAUAUAGAACCCUAUGAAUGUAUGGACUAUAACAAUAGUGAACUUGGUGACAUUCUAACUAGAGGUUUGGUUAGCAUCGAGAAAUGAAUUUGUGAAACUAGCAUAAAGAUCUAGUUAGAGUAAAUUGUGACAGUGUUUGUCAGUUGAAUCCUCUAAAGGGGGAUCAGAUCAUACUCACAUUUGUUAGGUUCAAGUGAGGUCGCUCCUCCUUGAACGAUGAGCUCCGGAGUAGUCAUCUUUACUGGACCAGGAGGUGCGUCUCCCCCAGUUGACGGUCCCGUCGGGUGCAGGUGCGUCUCCCCGAUAUUUGGGAUAGCGUCAGUGAGUUAUUGUUAACCAGAGGGUUAAACAAAAGAUUGGGUAAAGUUAAUGAAAAGCAUGCAUGCAUAUUUACAGUUUUCAUAUACUACUUCCUUCAGCUUUGUACAGGCAUUGUAGUGGUUACACAUUAUAGUUGGUUACUAUCUCAGUUUACUUUUCUUGCCUAUAUAUGCCUGAGUAGACCUAGUGGGUGAGUCGGCGAGGUCGGCGGCCGAACCCACUGGGAACUUCCUUGUAGUUCUCACACCACUAACCAUACAGGUUUCAGUGCGAGCGUUGUGGCCAAGGAUCGAGGCAAGAGCCAGCAGCCUAGCUAGUGGACACCCGAGUACUAGUGGUAUACCAUUUUGGGUUCGUGUAUCAUCUAUUUUGAUAUACAGAGACAUAUAAAUGAAUGUAUUGAAGGACAUGUAAUAACUAAAUGUUUCAGUUAUGUAAAGUUUUAAAUUACAGUGGAUUUCAUGUUUAGUUAGACUUACUAUCACUUGUGUUUGUUGCUUGUCUUCGUGCAAGCCAUGUAUAUUGAAAUGUAUCCUGGGAAUUGUUUAUUUUUUUAUACAUGUAUUCGUUGUGGUUGAGCCUUGGGCGAAUAGAGGAGGUGCUGUUCGUUCGGCGUCUGUGUACGGGCCCGGAUCGACCAAAUAGGCGAUAGCGGGACGUGACAAAGGGCAUGAUGUAAAGUACCGGACUUCUAAAAUUAUGAAGUUACGGCGUACAUUUAUUUGGAAAGCCAUUUGAAUGGUUCCGGUAAGGUUGCGGUGGAACGUAAUAUACCGGAUUUUAAAUAUAAAAAUAAAAAUAAAUAAAAAUAGUGUGAGAUACUAUUUUUAUUGGAUUUAGAGGAGUAAAACAUAAGUCAGAAGUGACUUGUGCUGAAAUCGGAAUGAAAACAGAAGAUCUAGAAUUUUCUGUUGGAACGGGGCAGAUAAAUUAGCAGAAAAUGCACAGUCUCAGAAAAUUAUGAAAAUUGGCAGAGAUGUCAGAAAUAUUUUUAUGAGGCUAGAUUUAAGGUUUCAUAUUUUUCUGACACCCAUAGAGUGAGAAAUAAAAUUCGAAAGCUAUCUGAUAAAGAUUGCAGUUCGGUACAGUUUUCAGUGACCAAACGGGGUCGAAACUGAACCAGUGAUCGUCAGCUUGUUAAGUUAAGUAAAACCGAACAUGACUGUCAAGUUUGAGCUCAAACGGAUAUUCAGGGAGCUCCGGCGAAAGAUAUCAGAUUUCGAACUGCCUGGAAUGAAUAGUGUUUUGAGGGUGUUAAUUAAAGAAGCCUUUUGCUUCUUCCUCAGCCGACUACACCCAUGGCCACACACACACGCACGCAUGGAGGGGGGGGAAGAAACCCUCCUUUCUCUCUCUAGAGAUCUCUCUCAUUUCUCUAUAUCUCUCGCUCAAAUUCGCGGGGUUGGUGGAGAAGAUGCUUGCGAACGCAUUGGAGGCGACGGAUCGAGCUUUCGUGCGCCCGUUGGAGCGGAGUAUUUUCGUCGCGGCGUUCACAUUGAGGUAAGCUUUUGGGAUUUGGCUUAAUCCUUAGUUUAAAGUAUUCUAAUAGCCUCUAAUGAGCAUUCUAAAUAUGUUUGCUCCAUUUGAUUUGGAUUAUUUAGAGGUUAAUUGUAUAUUAGGGCUCCGAAUAGGGUUUUGUAAAAUAUAAGGGUUUGAUCUAAUUUGACCCUCCGUAAACCUAAUUGCUAGGUAACGAAACGCGUUGGCGAAGACGGUUCGGCAAUCCGACGAGCCGUUACAAAGUUAUUAAAGAAAUGGACGUUUAGGCUUCGGGUCCGCCGGGAGGGCUGAGGCGAUAUCGUAAAUUCAUGAAAAUGGAUUUGAAGCAUCGUGGCACAUAACCGAAGACCUUUAAUUUUCGGAUCGUGGAUUGGAGGCCGUUCGGGUGGUCGCGCGAGAGAUCGGGCCAAACCGGGUGCCGGGUGCCGCGGGAGGCCGAUUGCAAGUGUCGACAAGCAAUCGGAAUGCGAAAUGAGGUGGGUUGUGCUUACCGAAGCGACUAGGUCGCCCUUUAUGUCUAAGAAACAUACAAAUUCAUAUUGAUGCAUGUUAAUAAAAUGACAUAGCUAAUGCAUGUGGACAAUAUGAUGCAAAAUGCUAAGUAGAAUGCAUGAUAAUGUGAUAUAAAUGAUGCUAGUUAAAUGUAUGAGGUAAAUGGCAUUUGCACGUUAACGUAAACUAGAGAACAUGCUAGUUGUAAUGCAUAAUGAAUUAAAUGCUAAAAGAGUGCAUGAGAUGCUAAGUAUAUACUACUUUGGAUGAUGAUUAAAUGUAUAUUGUCAUAUCAUAUAAUGUGCAUGAUGACAUGUUGUGAAUUAACAUAUUAUGGAUUAUGUUAAAUAGAAACAUAUACAUGAUGACAUAUAUUGCAUAUGAUAGAAGAAUUAUACAUGUUGCCAUAUUGUGGAACAUAGUGGAUGUAUUAUGCAUGUUGAAAUUGGUCGAUUAGAGAAAUUGACAUUGGAAAACAAGAACACAUCGAGUGGCAUUAAUGUAGUGUAUUUGAAACUAGAGGUUUGAGAACCUAGGGAUAGGUGAAUCCCUUAGAAAAUGCCUUGUGUAUAAAGAACUUAGUAAACCUAAGUACCCUCACAUGGAGAGGUUGUCGAUGAGUUAUUGAGACAUUGACUCUAGUUGUAGAGCAUCCUCACUUGGAGAGGAUUUGAUUGGGUUAUUGACUCUAGUCGUAGAGCAUCCUCACUUGGAGAGGAUUGGAUUCGGUUGUUGACCCUAGUGGUAGGGUAUCCUCACUUGGAGAGGAUAGAUCUAGCUCACAGUCUGCGUUUGGGAUGGUAUAGCCAUCCAAUCCCCACAUGGAGGGGAUUGUCGUCGAGUACUGCGGAGUGUCGCGCGACUAGGACCACUUGGAGGUCCGGACCACAUGGAGGUCCGCAGACGGUCCUGGGCUUGGGUGCACUUGGAGCUCCCUCCCCACUUUGGGAUUGAAAGAUGAGUUAUUGGCGAACCCUAGGGCUUCGCUACAGAUUGGGUAAAAGAACAGUGAACAAUGCCAUUGAACAUUAUUAUUCGAACAUGGAUCGAGUUUGUUAGCAUGAUAGUAAACCUUUACUAUUUGAUGCAUGGUAUGAGUUUUAGUUGCAUCCGAGUUGAGUGGAUUUAGGGCCGAGGUGCAUGUGAGACAUCCUUCACCUUGAGCCUGGCUUUGUGCGGUAUUCCGCGUAUGAUUGACUCAAGACCGAGUCGAGUGGAUAGCUUAUAAAAACAGGUUAAACCCUAUGAGCAGAAUUGUAAUUGACAGUAAUCUAAGAUACAGGAAAACUUAGAAGUCAAUUGGUUGAACUGUGAAUAACAGGAAUGAAAGUAGUAUCGAUUGAACUACUAGUUGGUUGCAUGGUUGCAUAAACUGCAUGAAUUUCAUAUUGCAUAUUGUGAGGCACAACAUGUAUUUCAAUACUUGAAUAUAUAUAUAUCUGUUGGAUAUCUGCUGGGCUAACAUGUUGCAGGGCCUCCUUAGACCUAUCGGUCGAGCUUUUCCCUUGGGUGGCCGUACCCACUGGGAACCAUGGAGUUGGUUCUCACCCCACGUUGUUUUGGGGUGUUACAGGUUCGCACGUGAGCGGCGCGGUGGCGCAAGGCGAGGGCGUAGCUCCAUAGAUAGCGCCCUACCUCAGAGACCAGAGAUAGAGGUACCCCGAGUCGGCAUAGCCUAGGGGUAGAGGGGAAAGAAAAAGAGCAAACUUGUAAUAAUAUUGCGAUCAUUAAUUGUAUUUGGAAGAAAAUGUAAUGUAAUAAUGCUAAUGUGAUGUAAAAAUGAAUCUAAUGAAUGCUUGUAAUAACAUAGGAUGUGUUAUGUUGUUUGAUACCUUCCUUAUGCAAUCUUGCUUGAAUACUGUUCCUGGUUGGAACUUCUUGUAGUUGUAUUGAUUGCGACGCCUAGGACGUAUAGGGGAGACUCUGUCCGUUCGGCGGUCUGUCGGCGGCGCCGCGACCCGGCCAAAUAGGCGGGUGGUCGCGGGUCGUGACAUUGGCCCUGAAUGGUUUCGAGACCCAUGAGGCAGGGUGUGACCUUGCAGACACCCUUCUGAGGACCUACUAUAUGUGUGGAGUUGUGAGGCCGCGACUAUGGGAAGAGGGCAGUUCCCUAAAACACACAUGAAGCGAUAUUAGCGCAUGGCCAUAAUAGCGCUCACCCGCUUAGAACCUAAACGGCUGUACCAUAUGUGCGGUUUGUGAAAAUCAGAUUCACCGGCCUUGGUUCAAGGCAAAAAGUCCACCAUUGUGCCCUCGGAUGUACAUAAAUAAGUACUAAGUGAAGGUUCAAACCCGAAGGUACCUUCGCCGAAUACGUGGUAUAAGAGAUCCAGCAUUCUUUUGAGUUGUUUUUUGAAUUUUAGCUUUAUUUACUUUCUUUAUCUAAAGUUUUAAAUCAUGUGGGGGAAUGUUAGUUUUAAUUAUUUAAAACUAUGAUUUAAAACUUGAUUUUAAUUAAUAUAUAUAUAUAUAUAUAUAUUAAUUAACCCUACAAAUCUAAUCUGGAUUGUAUCCAGAUUUGGUCCAAGAGAGAUCUUGAUCAGAUCUCUCUUGAUUUGAUACAUGCCUCGGGAAGGGACUGGGCUAUCCUAGUCAACCCUUGGGAAAUGGCAAGAUCCUAGUCAAGGAUCUUGCCUUGACUCUCCCGUUGGAAGCUCUCCUAUAUAAGGAGAGGUGGUGCAUUUACUUAGAUACAUGAGAAGAAUAUAACUUCUUCUUAAACCGAGAUUCUUCAUUCUUUCUAAUCCUCUUUAAACCUCUUCUAUAUUUAGUACACUAAACUUUACUAUUUUUGCUGGAUCUUGAAGUAAUUGGGGUUCGUGUUGCGCCCUAAGACGUGCGACCGGGAUGCGCGACAUGCUGUUUGUAUCGCCUAGGAGUGAUUGCCGGACCUCGCCGUGGAGGCAAUCUUCUUCUAGGACAGUGCAUUCAACACGCCUCGACUCACAGCUUCAUCUGAUCUUUUAUCUCCAUGAUUAACUAAUAAUUUUCUAAUAUUUUGUUUAAAGUUUUUUUUAAAACUGAAGUUUAAAAUUAUUUUAUAUUUAAAAUCUAAUUUACUAAAAUAUUCUUACUUAGAGUUUUAGAAAUAGAACUAAUUCAACAUAGUUCACAGAAGUAGUGUUUUAAUGUUAUAAGAACAAACGAGUGGCUAUCCAUGAAUGUUAAAGAAUAACGAAGUGGCAUUAAUGUAGUGUGAAUGCACUAGAGCGUUGAGAACCUGAGGGAUAGGUGGCAUCCCUUAGAAAAUGCGCUUGUGGGAUAAAGAACUUAGUAAACCUAAGUACCCUCACAUGGAGGCCGUUCGUCCGAUGAGCGUAUUGUAGUAAAUGACCCUAGUUGUGUAGCAUCCUCACUUGAGAGAGGAUUUGAUUGGACGUUGCUUGACCUAGUUGUAUAGUGAUCCUUACUUCGAGAGCAGAUAAUCUAGCAUCACAGUCUGCCUUUGCCGGUGGUAUAGCCAUCCAUGAUCCCACAUUGGAGCGGGACUCUUCGUCGUCGAGCUACUUGGCACCCAGUGUCUGCGACAUAGGACCACUCGGAGGUCCGGACCACAUGGACGGUCCGCAGACGUCCGGGCUUCGGGUGCACUUGCGAGCUCCCCCCCCUUGGGAGUGAGAAGGUGAGUUAUUGGGCCGAACCAAAGGCUUCGCUACAGAUUGGGGUAAAGACAACGUGAACAAUGUCAUGAACACUUAUUAUCUCGAACACAUGAUAUGGGCAUAGUAGCAUAGCUUUUCCUUACGAUCGAUUGUACAGCUUUCAGAUAAUCUAUCUAUUCUAUCUAUCUGUCUGAAUGCUUUGCCCACUUGGAUCCUAGUCGGGAGAUCGGCAGAGUCAGGCAGCCAAGCCCACUGGGAACUAUGGAAGAUAGUUCUCACCCCACUCUAUUUCCAGUGGUAGGUAUAGGGCUGCCGAGAGAGGACCGCGGCAAGGGCAUCGCGCCCGAUCGGUGAGACCGUGGUAGUAUGUAGCUUUCCUUUUUGCAUUAGUACACCUAUGUAUUGAGAGAGAUUCAUUGUAGGUGAGGAUUUGGAGAGCUAUAUAUUUUGGAUGAAUGAUGUAACCAUUUAAAAAAAAUGAUGUAAAUGAAAAGGAUGAAGUAUUGUAAUAGUUAGUAAAGUACUCUCUUUAUUUCACUUGUUUUUACUUGUGGAUUACUUGCUCUUAGAUGUUGGCACUACUUGUGCCCCGUUGAAUGUGUAUGUUUAGAAUUUAAAUUUCCUGGGUAAAUUCUUGUACACAUUCUUGUUGUGAGCCUGGGUCGAACAGGGGAGGUUCUAUCCGUUCGGCGGUCUGCUCGCCGCGCCCGAGUCGUGCCAAAUUGGUAGUGUUUUCGGGGCGGGGCGGGGCGGGGCGUGACAGUGUAUGGUAUCAGAGCAUUAAGAGCAAAUAAAGAGAGAAAGUCUAGGAUGACCUAGGAGACCCUAGGUUGGUGAACCCCAAGGUUGUAGGUGCGCGAGCGGAACGUUAACCUAUAACGAUAGCGGAAGUUGAUUCGAUUGGGUCGAAGUUGGUAAUAUGUCUCUAGUUGUGACUAGAGAUGGAUUCAAGUGGUAUUAGUUCUUGAUUUGAGGUGGUUGUGUCGGCGGCCGACGACAUGAUACCAAGAGUCUAGAACGAGUACACUUGUGUGCUUCCGCCCGAUUUUGUUGUUGAGUCAUCAUGUGUCGUAAUUUCGACGAGGUGAUUAGUUAAGAUGACUGACCAAGUAUUUGCGUUUCAGGGACUAAUGUCUCCAAGACGCUACACACGUAGAUCUACUCCGGCACCGACUCCUGAGGUGCCCGAGCAGGAUGAACCGAGUGUGAUCGAUCGGUUGCAGGCGCAAGUGGCGGCGUUGACCAAUGUGGUGCAGUGCUAGGAGACCCGAUUCGAGCGGCUCCAGGAUCUUUUGGAGCGGCAGGUUGUGGCAGCGGCUGCGACGGUGAAUGAGGGCGGUGGUCCGCCCGCACCCUCGACUCAUGUACCCGGAGCGGCAGAGGGUGAGGGCAUAGCGGCGGUUCCGGUGACGGCACGCCCACCGCCAGCGAUCGUACCACCGGCGGCGUCGGGAUCGGUGUCACGCCCCGGGGCCCAGCGGAAGCCCGCCCGGUACGUGUUCAGACCCGCUAUAUGUCUAAAACAUAUAAGGCGUCUACGAUACAACAAUAAAUAAAAUUAAGUAAUACAAAGAGAUCUAGCGAUAUCAGAGCAAGGUACUGCUAGAAUCUACAACAGGAGAGUAUAACAAGAGCUAAAAUCCACAAAAAUAAAUCAUGAAGUAGAACGAUAGAAUUUCGAGUACAAAUGCUAUAAGUGGUACAAUGGCGGUCUCUAUACAUGGUAACAAAACUCUCUCUCGCACCAAAAACACAAAAAGAGAGUAGACCACCUAGGAGCAAAGGCAGGCUCCGCACUAACUAGCUACGCGACUCCCUCGCCACGAUCCCGUGCCUCCGCCGGUGCUGAAGGCUCUGAAAAGAAAGUAUCAAACAGAGGGCGUGAGAACUAUCAAAUAAUAGUUCCCAGUGGGCAAUUACUGACUUCAGUGAAAUGCACCACUAGGCCCAAAACUAAGCAAGGGAGGUAAGUAAGGCAGCUAAGAAUAAUAUGAAUAAAUAAAUCACAGAAAUGGAAGCUCACUAUAGCAUGAUGUCACUACUUUAAUCAGUAAUAAUCUACCACAUGAUCCCUACUUGGCAUAAAUUUGCAUAAGUAAUAAGCUACCACAUGAUCUCUACUUAGCAUGAAUUUGCAUAAGUAAUAAGCUACCACAUGAUCUCUACUUAGCAUGAAUUUGCAUAAGUAAUAAGCUAUCACAAUAAUCACAAGCUAAAAUGGUAAUGUGUCAUUAUCCACUAUUCUAGUCAAUGUCCAAAAGGUAAUAUGUCACCAGUAACUCAAUCCUGUGGAAGCUAUCCGUAGGUAGUCCGGCCUGCGCCGUGCCAACAAUGGCCCUGUGAUAGUCAACAUCCCCACUUAGGAAUGAGCCUCCCCCAUGGCAUCCUAUUUUGGCGCCCUAUCUCGCACGAGCGAGCAUGUGUCGCGAUGGCUAUCUCCGGAGUGCCGACUUGUAGGGAGCGACCCUCACAACUAUGUGCGAAUGAGCACAAUGGCAUGCGAGCGAAUAAGUCCGUCUCAGGUCCCAGUGGUUCAUCACUGUUUCAUCGGAUCUAAAACCCGAAAUACAGCACAUGUCCCAAAGGCCUGCCUCUAUGUCAUCGUGUCUAAAACACAGAAUAUAGUAACUGUCUCAAUGGCCUAUCUCUAUGUCAUCGUGUCUAAAACAUGGAAUAUAGUAACCGUCUCAAUGGCCUAUCUCUAUGUCAUCAUGUCUAAAACAUAGAAUAUAGUAUAUUUCCAGUGGCCUAUCAUCAUGUCUCUAAGUUGUAGUUCAACAAUUUUCUAGUUCAAGUGCCCCUUUAUGACACUUUUGCUUACUAUGUCCCAAUAUGAAUAAUAAGUCUAAAAGCUUGUCAUUCUAAUUAUUUUUCACACAAGAAACAUGAUCUUACAUCAUUCAUUAGAACAUUAAACUCAUACAUACUAACAAUGCAUAUGCUUCUCUCUACAACAUAGAGUCAAUUUUUCAUGAUGCGUAACAUAGGGGUUUUAAGCGUUCUAAAAUUCACAUAAAUUUUAUUUAACAUGAUUAUGCAUGUAUUUAUAGAAUACGAAAAUAUUUAACCACAUAGGAGGCAUUUCCUCCCAUUUCAAUGAAGCCAAACCCACCAAGUCCUCUCGAAGCCCAUCGUUUCGCCGAAGGGAGGUGCCCACUAUCCCCCUAGCUCCCUAUAGGUAAAACUAGGGGAGUUACACGAACGAAACGAACUACAACAAGCUAAAACAAUAACAAACUCAAGAUAAGGGCAUAACUCACCUAUAGUGAAGCAAACCCUUCCCAAGCUCCAAAUAGGAGCUAGAACCCUUUCAAUCUAACCUAGAGGAUGAUUCUAAACCAAUCAAUUGAGCUCCAAAAGCCCUAAAUCACAAAUCCCCAAAUCAAGUCCUAAAUCCUCAUUUCUAGGGUUUCAACAUAAAGAGACCAAUAAAACAUGAGUCAAAAGGAGAGAACAAGUUUCUAACCUUUUGAAAAGUUUAAGCUCAAAGUCCUCUAGGUUCAAGGAUCUUUCCUCGAACAAGCCUCAAGUCCUCCAAGCUUCAACAAUGGUGGAAAUUGCUCCAAAAGGCAAAAAGAGAAGUAAAUCCACCAAGAUCCAAACUAAAAGGAGAUCAAAACCAAAGAAAUGGUAAAGAGGGCUCUCUUACCUCCUUUUCCUCCUUCCUCAGCUCAGGGAAAGCCCCAAGGGGCGUGGGUGAUAUAUAGAAUAGCCACAAUUGCAAACACACCCCUGUAGUUCGACCAUUCAAAAUCUGUCACUGCGUACCGGUACACGGGCCAGUGUACCGGUACACAUCCCACGAAAAUGCCAAACCCGAGCCUCGGGUUGGCUUGGAAGCUGCCUGUGUACUGGUACACAAGCCCGUACCGGUACAACUAUCAACCCUGUACCGGUACAGCCAUCAACCCUGUACCGCUACGCAGCCUGCUGAAGGCUACCCGAGAGCUUACCAAAAAUCUGACUUUUCGGGUUUUGGUGCCAAGUUUUAAACCUCAAUUCUCGGGACUCGAACCAUAGGUCGGAACACUGUCUACGACCCUCCACAAAGUGUGGAACAGCUCGGAACACAAAUCAAACACUUGAGCCUCGCAAUUUGCAAAGGUCCAGUGUUUUACAAUCGGCUACACCCGAUGUGACGGCCGAAGAUGUGGAAGGAGAGCGCGCAUUGGCGGCUCUUAUCAAGUUCAACAAGUUCCAUCCGCCUACCUUUGAGGGCGAGAAGGUGGAGCCGGCAAUGGUCGAGUCUUGGAUCGACUCGAUGGAAACCCUCUUCGAUGAUCUGCGUACUCUGGAGAGGGACAAAGUGUAUCUCGCCACCCAUUGUUUGGAGAAGGCGGCGAAGGUAUGGUGGAAGCGCGUUAAAUGGGAUCGGCUUCCCGGCCUUCCGCCAAUGUUGUGGGAGGAAUUCAAGCGGGAGAUGGUCGCUAACUAUUUUCCCGAUACAUUGAAGCGGAAGCUCAAGGAGAAGUUCUGCAAGUUAGAGCAAGGGGACCGCUCAGUGGCGGAGUAUGAACAAGAGUUCUCCCAUAUUAUAGAUUGCGUCCCGGAUGUUGUAAAGGAUGACCGGGACCGGGCCGAGUGGUUCUUGCGAGUACUUCGGCCGGGAAUCUACAAGGCCAUGCAAAUAUUCAAGCUCACGACCUUUGCGGAGGUCUUCGAUCGGGCGCUGUGGGCGGAGCACGGAGAUGCCCAUGUUUGGGAGAAGCGUGAGCUUUUGGCCAAGUCCAAGGAUAAGGGCAAGAAACGCCAAGGCGGCGGAAGUUCGGGAGGACAAACACGUUAAAAGAAACCCCCGAAGUAUCCGCGCACUCAACAGAAGAGCGGUGGAACGCUGCGAUGCAUUGUGUGCGGCGGAGACCACCCGGUCUCGCGCUGUGAGCAAGGCCGAGGCAAGUGUUACAAGUGUGGGCAAUCGAGGCACUUUAUUCGGGACUGCCCGGGAGGAGGAGCCUCACCUGCCCUAUCAAUUGCAUCGGCGCCGGCGAUUCCGGCUUACUAUGGAGGAGUUCCACCGACGGCCGCGUCGACGGGACGCGUGAUGACGCCGCGUCAACCUGAAGUGGCACGAUCGGCCUCGAGCGGACGGGUAUUCGCCGCUCAGGUCCAAGCUGAGGAACCUACGGAGGCGGAGGAGCAUCGCCUUGUGGCAGGUAUGGUUUUGAUUAACGGAGUUCGCUCCAGGGCUUUAUUUGAUACAGGGGCCACGUAUUCAUUCAUUAGUAGGUCAUUCGCACGCAUGCAUGACAUUCUCAUAGAGGCGAGUGACAAGUGACGAGUUGAGGGCCCUGGGUCGACGUUUAAUACCUACUCGGAGUGUGCGUCGUGUCCAGUACAAGUGGGUGACUGGAUAAUGCCUAUUCGGACGCUAGAACUCAAGAAGCUUGAGGCUUAUGACGUCAUUCUGGGCAUGGACUGGCUCUCGAAAUAUCAUGCAAUGAUCGACUGCAAGAGAAGAGUAAUUACAUUUCGUGAGCCAGGACAAAAGGAGUUCAUAUAUCAGGCUUGUCAGAGCUCGUGCUUCGUCGCGACGGUGUCGGCGACAAGAGCAAGAAAGUUGGUCAACAGCGCUUACACGGCAUUUUUGGCAACAGUUGUGGAAGUGGAACGAGUGACUCCGACAUUGGAGGAGUUAUCGGUGGUACGGGAGUUCCCGGAUGUAUUUCCCGCAGAGUUGCCGGGGAUACCUGUCACGCCCGGGUACCAGCGGAAGCAUAUCCGGUACGUGCACAGACCCGCCAUACAUCUGCAGUAUAUAAGGCGUCUACAAGAACACAAGUCGAUAGGAAGAAAAACAUAGAAAAUCCUGUCCUGAUAUCAGAGCAAUGUACAAGUCGAUAUACUAUCAGCAAAAGAACAAAGAGUGUACAAUCCAAAAUCUCGACUAAAAGAGAAAGUAUCAUAACUAUAGUGACUCUCCAAAAAGUACAUAUACAUCACGGGGUAUACAGAAGAAGAUACAAUGGUAGUCUCUCUAUACAUAGGGACAUCACCCUCGGUCGUAGCCCGAGUAGCAAGGUGAUCGACUAGCACGCUCCUAGUAGUCCCUAGCUAGGCGCGACUCCCUUGCCACGAUCCCUAGCCUCUCCUGUAACAGGCUCUGUAAAAACAACCACCAAAAGGGCGUGAGAACUAUUAACAAUAGUUCCCAGUGGGUAAGCCGCCAGCCUCGGCGAAUUACACCACUAGGCUCAUGAUGUACUAAAUGAAAGCGAAAGUAGUAAUUGCAAGAUAUAUAAUUAUGCAAUGCUAACAGGUAAUGAGCAUGUAAGCAACAUGUAAUCAUAGUCAAACAGUAAUGAAUCAACUGAAUAAUAGAAGCAUAGCAACUAUUAAAAGCAUGAAUAUAAACAUAAAUGUGUAAGUAACAACUGUACACUGUAACUGGUAAUCAUUCAUUACUGUCCAAUUUUCUUUAGCACUUUCCUUUUAUUCAUAGGGAGCUACUCAAGGUAGUCCAGCUUGCGCCGCGCCUAAUGGCCCCGUGGUAGUGUACACUCCCCACGGCAAUCCACUUCGGCACCCAAUCCCGCACGGGCGAGCAACUGUCGCGUAGGCCAACUCCGGAGUGCCGGCUUGUAGGGAGCUACCCUCACAAGCGUGUGCGAAUGAGCACGAUGGCAAGCAAGCAUAUUCCACUGUCCACAUGUCUCAAUUAUCAUAUUUUCAUUUGCAAUGUUCUCAGUCUCGAUCCUCGAUCGAAAUUUCAAUAUAACAAAUAUUAACAACAACUAGAAUCCACUAGUUUAGUAAGCAUGCAAGAGUAAUGCUAAUUUACACCUGGCAUUAGAAUCUUUUCACUAUCAACAUAGUCCCAAAGCAUGUCAUGGUUCUCUACUUUAUAGUCAAAAGAAUGUCAUUGUUCUCUACUUUGUACUCCAACAAGUAAAAAGAGAAUGUCAUGGUUCUCUACUUUUCAUGAGCAUAAUAACUUGUCUCAUAGUUAUUCAACUAAACUAAACAGGAGUAUGAAUACUUUUAUG
rnacentral:lncRNA from 1 species